GCCGCCGCCGCUGCAACCCCGACAAGCUGCUUGUCGUCCAUGAUGAAGGCCAUAGGCCGACUUGCACUUAACCUCCUAGGCUUUGGUGUAAACGAGAUCAUCUUCUAGCUACAGCGGCAAAUCGUCGAAUUUUCUGGUUUGCUCUCCAACGACGCAAUUCAUCAGCGCCAUCCUCGUUUUCCCUCGGCUUUAUUGCAUCCCAAUAAUCAUUGGUGAGAAUUCCAGACUUGACGAUGCUCGUUUUCUACCCAUCUGCUACUGCUAUUUAUAUGCUCAUGACCAUGUUUCAAGCUACGGCAUGCGACGAGCAAGUCCAAGCCGCCGCCGGUGCACUCUCCCGAUCGAAGCCGGACUCAUCGAACCCCGAGAUGGACACUGACAAGUUAGCUGUGGACGCCUGGAGCUCUCCCUAUCCAUGAUAAACACUUUGGUGAGAUCUCCAUCAUCUGCUCUUGAUCCUUAGAGUCAGUGAAUUAUGCUUAGCAACAGCCAUUGCCGGUUCCAAAUGCAAUUGGUAGCUUGAUGACAUCAUACUGACAUCAUGAUGACGCAGAUGAAUUUUGUUGCCGUUUUUCUUUAGAAAAACAAAUCUAGAAAUACAAAGAAAAUACACUAGUUUGUUUAGGCCAUAUCUUCUCCGUUUUAAUUCCGAUUUUCGUGAACUUUACGUUUGUGUGAUCGUAGCGCUGCAUAGAAUAUUUUGAUAAACUUUUAUAUUUGUUUUACUACUGUUUGGUGUAUUGUUCUAAUUAUAGCUUGUUUGCUUCGUGUAUGUUUGUCUCCGAUUGUUUGCGUGCUGUUGAUUGAUGUUUGGGAAUAGACGGUGAGCCGUGCGUUGUUGAUCAAGACCAAGCUUUUAAAGACCAGCAGGCUCAGGAGAGCUUUGAUCAAGGCAAGUAUAACUUGGGAUCAUCCUUGUUACCUAUACACAAUUAAUACGUUAUAUAUCAUAUGCAUGCUUUCACCUUGAUAACCUUAGCAAAAUCAUAGAUGAUUGUUAUCCUGAAUUCCUUGUUACCUAUUUGGAUAUACAUUUGGGUAGUUCUUGCUAGUGCUUGAUUAAUAAUCCAUGAUCUUGUAACAUGAAUAUUUGGAUAUACAAUAAACAAUAAAAUAAGCUUUCUAGCAACUUGAACAUAAAGGGUGGAAAGAACUCUAGCUUUUGCUAGAUUGAUCUUGACCCUCCAUAAGAACUUAUCCCUUGGCAAAAGCUGGGACAACUCGUACAACCAUGAGGGCUACAUGGCUCUGGUUUUAGCUCAGUAUGAGGACCUUUUUCUAGCUUGUUAGCGGUUACCUUAAAUGGCGUAAGAAUGGUUAGACACGUUGGGUAUAGUGUGGCCUUUGUCCAUGUGUAUAGGCUGCGAGUUAUGUGCCAUGGAAGGGGGGCUCUAUAUCUGCCUGCCGAGUGAAUCUAAUGGUCCUAACUUGUUAGACGAAACCUUUGAAAGGCUUCAUAGUGAUCCCUGCCGACCUCCCUAGGAAGGGGGUUAACAGACUUGCAACCUCGGGCGAAAGGGUAAAUCACGACUCAUGGGUAAAGAUGUACAACCUCUGCAGAGUGUUAAAUCUGGUAUACUAGCCGUGCCCACGGAUACGGGCGGCCCGGAAAACUGACGGAAUAGAUGGACACUGAUGAACAUGAAUAAUGAUGAUAAAUGAUGGUUUAUUAUGUUGUUUAUGUGUGUUAUUCUUAAUUCUUGUAUACAUUGAUCAUGUGGUUAUGGGAUUUAAAUAUGCAACCUUGACAUUUGCUAUCUAAAUAUGAACAUGCUAUCUACAUAUAAAAGCUAAUUGCAGUCAAACCAGUGUCAGCUAAUUGAGCCUCAUGAACCCCUGGUUAUACUUGUUGAGUACGAUAUAUGCUCACUCUUGCAAUUUCCCCCACACUUCAGGAGAUGUUAGGCUUGUGCUCAACCAGUCAGUUGGAUCCUGUGGAGAGAAGUUAAUACCCGAAGUUUGAUGUUGUCUAUCCGCUGUUUGCUAUCAAAGGUUAUAUCUUUUAUACUACGUUCGUUAUAUAAUUUAUGCAUUGUCUUUUGAUAUUACCCCUUAUUUUGUAGCUAUAUGUGAGAUUUGGCUUUUAAAACUCACAUAUGGUGUAUAUCUGGUUUUGUCCUUAAAAUCGGGUAUUACAAAGUGGUAUCAGAGCAAUGCUGACUGUAGGACGCAAGCCUAGUUAGAAAUUGGUCAUCUUAAGGUUUUGGAAUUGUCAUAAAACCCUUGCUCUAUAAACCUUGAUAUUUUUCUCCAUACUAUAUCCUUUUCAUUGCUAUUCAUCUUCACCUUGAUGCUUAUUUUAAAAGUACUUAUUCUCAUCCCCACUCCUUGCUUGAUAUGCUUUUAGAACUUUUUCUUACCACCUUCUUGUGUCCUUGAAAUAUAAGUUUUAGGAUCUUUGCCCUUAAUAGGAAGAGAACGAUAGUACCGCAAGUUGAGUUAAUGCUUGAAGUGUGAACCUUUGAUGCUUGGUUUGGUUUGUUAUUAUGCUUAUGAUUGAUUUGGAUCUUUGUAAUGAGUGCAAUGAUCUUGUGGGUUUUCUCCAUGAUAUCAUUUAGUUUAUAGGCCUAAGGCAUAAGGAGUAGUGAAAUAAGUAGUUGGGUUUGGUUAUAUCCUGUUUCUAUCCUUUGCUGUUUUCUGAAGCAGACUGCAAUAAUUCUGGUGUAUCUCAAGUUCUGAUCAUGCAACGUCUAUCAAAUUUUUCUGGGAACAACUAGACUUCAAGAUAUUUCUCUGACCGCAAGGAUCACCCUCAUAUCUAUUAUGGUUUGGAAGUUACAAAAAUCACAAGAUGAUACAUAUGUGCUGUCAGGAAUCUGGAUCAGUUCGGUUGCCUACUGUUCUAGACAAAUAUAACUACAUAAUUUGGAAAAGUGUUCUAUAGAAGAGUUGUAGACAAUUUUCUAAGCUUUCCAACGGUGUAAGCUAGAACAUAUUUGGAUAAGUAGAACCUGAGAUAUGACAGAUGCAAUUGGAUGUUUCUGUUCUAUUUCAAAGUCUGGACAGUCCUAGUAUUUCCUAAUUUCAGCCAAAUUAACUUCAUAAUCUGGGAAAAAGUUGUAUACAAAAGUUUCAGAGGAUUUCAUAAGCUUUUCAACAUUGUAAGGAUCGUCAUUAUAUGGUUUCUAUGGCUCAUGAUAUGACUGUUUCAAGAUGUUGUGUCUGUGUUGUCAGACUUCCUGGACAGAUUUUAUGUUGGAUUAUCAAACCUUAUUUUAACGCCCGAAUAUGGGGAAGUGAUCAACAAGAAAGUUGUGGAGAAUUUGAUAAGCUUUCCAGCAGUGUAGACCAUAACUCUAUCAGGUUGACGGAACAUUAGUUGUAGCUGGUUUACUAAGUUGCUGUUUUUCAUCUUGCGAGGAAUUUCUGAUUUCUUGUUCUUGUCUAUGUAUAUGAGUUCUCUUGGAUAUAAGAAGCUCUUUUAUGGUAGUUAACCUACUCAUAAGAAUGUUCAAGCCAUCCUUGGUAUCCCCUAGCUGAUCUCAUCUUAAGGGGGGUAGCCAAGCUAUAGAAGUUGCAAGACAAAGGUUUUAUGUGUUCAAGUAUUUUAUUUGGAAGAUCUGUUAUUCCUUUGGUGGACAACUCCCUAUCAACCACAAAUAUCUUUGCUCAAGAGUGGUUACUCUUUGCACCAAUGAGUUCAGGUAUUCGUCAAGAUUGGUCUCCACAUUGAGCUAUUAUCAAAUGGAGGUUCAACUUCCAACAUGCCCAAGACAAGAUGACAUUAAUGAUAUUGGAAAGAGAUAUCGAACAUCUACGGAUGAUUCUUCAGAGAGUUAUGAAACCUUAUUAUUUCACCAUGCAUGGCUAGUAAGUUUUGAGUGAACUAAGUUUUCUAAAUUGAAUAUGUUGUCUCUAGUGGUGGGAUUAUGGAGAAGUAUAUGUCGAUGCCAAAGCUCUUAUCAUAAAGAGUGUGCUAGGAAAAGUUUGGACAACACCUAGAUUUGAGGAUUUGUGUGCGGAGGUUUAGUGAUAUUACUAACACUACAAAUUUGGAAAUUAAUAGGGCUCACUUUGGAAGAAGGAGAAGAAGGAUUGUGAAAUGGGACGAUGAAAGUAAUAAGGAGAAAGUUGAGUAUAUCAUGGUUGGAAAUGCAUCAGGUUUUAAAUGGAUGGGCAAGGAACAUAUACCCCAGAUAAGCUAUGAGUAAAAAAAAAACUUAUCUAUACGAAUUACAUUGCUGAACUCUUGGGAACCAUUGAUGGAGAUGUUCGGAGUGACAAAGGCCAUAGAAUGGUUACUAAGAAAGAGCUACUCAAGGAAGUGAACAAGGUUCAAAAGCGGAGUAUCUACAUCUCUUUGAUCACCAUCUUCCGAAUCUCGAGGACGAGAUUCAUCUUAAGGGGGGUAGAUUUGUAACACCCAAAAUUUUGCUCAUUUUGAAAUAGGUGAAAAACAAAUUAAUUUAUUGAUUUUGUGCUCAUGAAAAUAUAGAAAGAAUAAUAUUUUUCUUUAAAAUAAAAUUUAUCAUAAGGCUUAGCAACAAUUGGGUGUAGAACAUGCUGGUGCAUUUUAUUUCUGAGAUGAGUGAUUUUGACCAAAGUUUGAAAAUGGUUCAAACAGAUUUUUAAAUGGAUUUGAAGUAGGCUUUUGAUUAAAAAAAAAAGAAGAAAAGACAAAACCUCUCCUUUUCUUUCUCUCCAUCUCGGCCCAGCACCCCCUCCCCUUUCUCCCCUCGCGCGGCCCAGUGUCGCCCCAGCCCAACCGCGCCUCCCUUCCCCUCUUCUCUCUCUGACCAGCGGGCCCCAUACUUUCUCUCUCUGACCGGUGGGACCCUUCUGUCAGCGCCUCCCUUCUCCCUUUCUUCCCCAGCGCACGCAACCGAGCCGGACUCCACACCGGUCAAGACAAAUCCCGAUUUUGACGGGAUUUGAUCUUCCCGAUCCCUAUAAAGAUCACCAACCUUGCCUCGAAUCUCGUUUUUCCACCCGAGCCGCAAAAACCAAGCCCUAGCUGCCUUCCCCACCCGAGUUGGAUCUCGCCGAAUUGCAAAGCAAGCCGCUGCCGCUGCGAGAUCCGUUCGCGCUUCCCCGGCUCGAACUAAGGGCGCAGGUGAGCUCGUCUCUCCCUCCUCUUUGCUCUGGUGCUCUUGGUUCGGCUUUUGGCGCAAGGAAUCGGGAGUUUGAAGAAUGCCGACGAGCUUGGCGGCGGCAACAAUGGCCGCCACCGCACCGGAGCAGGGAGCCGGCCGGUCGGCCGCCGCUGGCUUUCCCCUGGCGAAGGUGGACCGUCCGAUCGAGGAUGAAGGGAUAGGAUUAGAAGAUACCUCUUCGGCGGCAUUUUUGCUAAAGAAUCCCCGGAGAAAUCUACAAAAUAACCCGCGGUCCUUGGCGUAAACCACUGAAUACGUUUUCUCAAUUCUAAAAGCGUACUUUCGUCGGUUUAAAAGAAAAUUACGUUUUCAGUAUUUACAGUUUUGCCACCAGAUUUAAAUUGCUUAUAACAUGCUCAUCUUAAAUCCGUUUUGGUCCAUUCAAAUUGCGUUAGGUUCGUAAUUACGAGCUCUACAUGUUAGAAGUAUUAUUUUACUGUUUUGAAACUUUUUAAUUUCCUGGUACCAUUUAAUUAAUUAUUUAUUUAUAGGAAAUCUUAGAAAAUUCAUAUCUUUCACGUUUUAAUUCCGAUUUUCGUGAACUUUACGUUUGUGUGAUCGUAGCGCUGCAUAGAAUAUUUUGAUAAACUUUUAUAUUUGUUUUACUACUGUUUGGUGUAUUGUUCUAAUUAUAGCUUGUUUGCUUCGUGUAUGUUUGUCUCCGAUUGUUUGCGUGCUGUUGAUUGAUGUUUGGGAAUAGACGGUGAGCCGUGCGUUGUUGAUCAAGACCAAGCUUUUAAAGACCAGCAGGCUCAGGAGAGCUUUGAUCAAGGCAAGUAUAACUUGGGAUCAUCCUUGUAACCUAUACACAAUUAAUACGUUAUAUAUCAUAUGCAUGCUUUCACCUUGAUAACCUUAGCAAAAUCAUAGAUGAUUGUUAUCCUGAAUUCCUUGUUACCUAUUUGGAUAUGCAUUUGGGUAGUUCUUGCUAGUGCUUGAUUAAUAAUCCAUGAUCUUGUAACAUGAAUAUUUGGAUAUACAAUAAACAAUAAAAUAAGCUUUCUAGCAACUUGAACAUAAAGGGUGGAAAGAACUCUAGCUUUUGCUAGAUUGAUCUUGACCCUCCAUAAGGACUUAUCCCUUGGAAAAAGCUGGGACAACUCGUACAACCAUGAGGGCUACAUGGCUCUGGUUUUAGCUCAGUAUGAGGACCUUUUUCUAGCUUGUUAGCGGUUACCUUAAAUGGCGUAAGAAUGGCUAGACACGUUGGGUAUAGUGUGGCCUCUGUCCAUGUGUAUAGGCUGCGAGUUAUGUGCCAUGGAAGGGGGGCUCUAUAUCUGCCUGCCGAGUGAAUCUAAUGGCCCUAACUUGUUAGACGAAACCUUUGAAAGGCUUCAUAGUGAUCCCUGCCGACCUCCCUAGGAAGGGGGUUAAGAGACUUGCAACCUCGGGCGAAAGGGUAAAUCACGACUCAUGGGUAAAGAUGUACAACCUCUGCAGAGUGUUAAAUCUGGUAUACUAGCCGUGCCCACGGAUACGGGCGGCCCGGAAAACUGACGGAAUAGAUGGACACUGAUGAACAUGAAUAAUGAUGAUAAUUGAUGGUUUAUUAUGUUGUUUAUGUGUGUUAUUCUUAAUUCUUGUAUACAUUGAUCAUGUGGUUAUGGAAUUUAAAUAUGCAACCUUGACAUUUGCUAUCUAAAUAUGAACAUGCUAUCUACAUAUAAAAGCUAAUUGCAGUCAAACCAGUGUCAGCUAAUUGAGCCUCAUGAACCCCUGGUUAUACUUGUUGAGUACGAUAUGUGCUCACUCUUGCAAUUUCCCCCACACUUCAGGAGAUGUUAGGCUUGUGCUCAACCAGUCAGUUGGAUCCUGUGGAGAGAAGUUAAUACCCGAAGUUUGAUGUUGUCUAUCCGCUGUUUGCUAUCAAAGGUUAUAUCUUUUAUACUACGUUCGUUAUAUAAUUUAUGCAUUGUCUUUUGAUAUUACCCCUUAUUUUGUAGCUAUAUGUGAGAUUUGGCUUUUAAAACUCACAUAUGGUGUAUAUCUGGUUUUGUCCUUAAAAUCGGGUAUUACAAUAUUAUUUAAUUAAUUAUUUCUCUAUAGGAAAUCUUGGAAAAUGCAUAACUUCUCCGUUUUAAUUCCGAUUUUCGUGAACUUUACGUUUAUGUGAUCGUAGUGCUGCGUAGAAUAUUUUGAUAAACUUUUAUAUUUCUUUUACCACUGUUUGGUGUAUUGUUCUAAUUAUAUCUUGUUUGCUUCGUGUAUGAUUGUCUACAUUGGAUUGCGUGUUGUUGAUUGAUGAUUGGGAUUAGACGGUGAGCUGUACGUUGGUGAUCAAGACCAAGCUUUUGAGGACCAGCAGGCUCAGGAGAGCUUUGAUCAAGGCAAGUAUAGCAUUUGGAUUUUAUAUUCUGUGACCAUGAUCGUGUGACUACAUUAAUGUUAAGUAAUAAAUGAUAAAAAUGACUUUUUAGCCACUUGAUGAUUUAUCUGUAAGUGAUAACCGGGACAACAGUGCAACCAUGAGGGCUAUAAUGGCUCUGGCUUUGGCUCAGUAUGAAGACCUUUUCUAGCUUGUUAGAGGUUACCCGAAAGGGCGGAGGGGCUGAACCGACACGGGUAUAGUGCGAGCCCCUGUCCCUAUGUGUAUAGGCUGCGCGUCAUUGUGCCAUUCGGAAGGGGGUAUCUAUAUCUGCUCGCAAAGGAAACCUUGCGGCCCUAACUUGUUAGACGAAACCUUUGAAAGGCUUCAUAGUGAUCCCUGCCAACCUUCCUUGGAAGUGGGUUAAGAGCUGAUCACCUCGGGCGAAAGGGUAAAUCACGACUCAUGGGUAAAGAUGUACAACCUCUGCAGAGUGUUAAAUCUGGUAUACUAGCCGUGCCCACGGAUACGGGCGGCCCGGAAAACUGACGGAAUAGACGGACACUGAAGAACGUGAAUAAUGAUAAUAAAUGAUGGUUUAUUAUGUUGUUUAUAUGUGUUAUUCUUAAUUCUUGUAUACAUUGAUCAUGUGGUUAUGGAAUUUAUUAUGCUACCUUGACAUUUGCUAUCCAAUGAUUAAACAUGCUAUCAACUAUUAAAAGCUAAAUGCAGUCAAACCAGUAUCAGCUUUUUGAGCCUCAUGAACCCUUGGUUAUACUUGUUGAGUACGAUAUGUGCUCACUCUUGCAAUUUCCCAAUACCCCAGGUUAUGCUAAUGAUGAUGAUUGGAUUGAGGACUACCAUUAUGAGUACUAGGUUUGGAGUCAACCAGUCAAUGUUGUCCCUGUGUGGAGCUUCCGUCGAGAGCGUUGUUCACUUUAUGCUAUCAUCUUUGUAUGAGACUAUGUGAUUUAUUAUGUUUCGCUAUGUAAUAAACACUGCAAUGGUACAUUUGAGAUUUGUCUACUUAUGUGUGCGACUAUUCCUGGGGCACAUAUGAGUCUUUUAUGCAUCCUAUUUUGUUCUUAAAAUAUGGGUGUGACAUAUGCUACCUUGAUAUUUGCUAUCCAAUGAUUAAACAUGCUAUCAACUAUUAAAAGCUAAAUGCAGUCAAACCAGUGUCAGCUUUUUGAGCCUCAUGAAAUAGGAUGCAUAAAAGAUUCAUAUGAGGCUCAAAAAGCUGACACUGGUUUGACUGCAUUUAGCUUUUAAUAGUUGAUAGCAUGUUUAAUCAUUGGAUAGCAAAUAUCAAGGUAGCAUAAUAAAUCCCAUAACCACAUGAUCAAUGUAUACAAGAAUUAAGAAUAACACAUAUAAACAACAUAAUAAACCAUCAGUUAUUAUCAUUAUUCACGUUCAUCAGUGUCCAUCUAUCCCGUCAGUUUUCCGGGCCGCCCGUAUCCGUGGGCACGGCUAGUAUACCAGAUUUAACACUCUGCAGAGGUUGUACAUCUUUACCCAUGAGUCGUGAUUUACCCUUUCGCCCGAGGUUGCAAGUCUCUUAACCCCCUUCCUAGGGAGGUCGGCAGGGAUCACUAUGAAGCCUUUCAAAGGUUUCGUCUAACAAGUUAGGGCCAUUAGAUUCACUCGGCAGGCAGAUAUAGAGCCCCCCUUCCAUGGCACAUAACUCGCAGCCUAUACGCAUGGACAGAGGCCACACUAUACCCAACGUGUCUAGCCAUUCUUACGCCAUUUAAGGUAACCGCUAACAAGCUAGAAAAAGGUCCUCAUACUGAGCUAAAACCAGAGCCAUGUAGCCCUCAUGGUUGUACGAGUUGUCCCGGCUUUUGCCAAGGGAUAAGUCCUUAUGGAGGGUCAAGAUCAAUCUAGCAAAAGCUAGAGUUCUUUCCACCCUUUAUAUUCAAGUUGCUAGAAAGCUUAUUUUAUUGUUUAUUGUAUAUUCAAAUAUUCAUGUUACAAGUUCAUGGAUUAAUAAUCAAGCACUAGCAAGAACUACCCAAAUGCAUAUCCAAAUAGGUAACAAGGAAUUCAGGAUAACAAUCAUCGAUGAUUUUGCUAAGGUCAUCAAGGUGGACACAUGCAUAUGAUAAAUAUUGUAUUAAUUGUGUAUAGGUAACAAGGAUAAUCCCCAGUUAUACUUGCCUUGAUCAAAGCUCUCCUAAGCCUGCUGGUCUUCAAAAGCUUAUCCUUGAUCACCAACGUAUCGGUCACCGUCUAUACUCGAUCAUCAAUCAACAACACGCAAUCCAGUAUAGACAAUCAUACACGAAGCAAACAAACUAUAAUUAGAACAAUACACCAAACAGUGGUAAAACAAAUAUAAAAGUUUAUCAAAAUAUUCUACGCAGUGCUAUGGUCACACACACAUAAAGUUCACGAAAAUCGGAAUUAAAAUGGAGAAGUUAUGCAUUUUCCAAGAUUUCCUAUAGAGAAAUAAUUAAUUAAAUAGUACCAGGAAAUUUAAAAGUUUCAAAACAGUGAAAUAUUACUUCUAACAUGUAGAGCUCAUAAAUACGAAUCUAACGAAAUUUGAAUGGACAAAAACGAAGUUAAAAUAAAGAUUAUAUGACUAAAACAAUAUAAUGUAUUUCCUUUGUAUUUCUAGAUUUGUUUUUGUAAAGAAAAACGGUCAUAAAUUUGUGUGAUGUCAUCACGACAUCACCCUAGCAUCAUCAAGCUAGCAAAACACGCAGAGCACACGAUGGUGGCCAUCAUCAGAUAUGAUCUUGCCGGUGCUCCUGGACGAGGGCCAACCGGCCACGGUGAGCCGAGGGCAUAAAAAAAAAAGAGCGGCAACACCCUGCUCACCUAGAACGAAUCCACCGACUGAAGCGAGAUAGAGAUGAUGGACUGCUCGAUUUUGGCGGAUGUUCGACGUGCUGUGAGAGUUCCAUGAUGAAUCGUAAGCAAAAGAGAAAAGAAACAAGAGGGUAAACGGUGCAUGGAGAUCAACCACCACAUGGAUCGGAGUUGACUAAGACCUGCUUGGAUCGUCUCGGGGAAACAGAAGAUGGACGCGGCGUCUAUACGGCGAUGAGCUUGGCUUCUCGACGAGGCGCAAACCAAUAUGAGAGUGCGGCUAGGGCUUGGACUGCGGCACGAAGAUUGGAAAAUAAGGCCUCACGAGAUUUAUAGGAUGUUUGGCAAGCACGAUCGCCAAAACCCUAAAAAAACAGAGCUCUGUGCAGGGUUCGACUCAGAUCAGAAUUUGGCUCAGGUUAAGCCAGCCGCACGGAGGUGGUCACGCCUGCACUACACGGCCAUGCAACAAGCCAAACGAGGCAACAGUGCAUUUUCCCUUGUUUUUUUUUCUAAGAAAACUGAAUUUUCAACACUACUUUCCAAAAGGGAAUUUGAAUUCAACUAAAUUUAAAAUAAAACACUCAGUAUAAAAAUAAAAUAAUGACCAGAAUGAAUGCAAAAACAUGUUACUAAACUUAUAAUAAAUUUUAAUUUCAACAAAAAAAAUAUUUAUUUGCUAUAUUAAAUGCCCACAAAAAUACUUAAAUAAACCAAAUUAAACCCUAUUCAUUGAAAACCAGAUUUUUGGCUGUUACACCUCACCACCAUAGGCCUUGCCUAGGGCGUGAGUGAGCUCAUCCACCUCUCUCUUGAGAGUCUCAUUCUCAACCUUUAGUGAGGUAUCACAAGUGACACUAUCACUAGAAGUAGAGGUAGAGUUGGUGGUGGUGGAUGAAGACCUACAAGAAGAGUUAGUGGCAACAACAAUAGGUAGGUUGGGUGAUUCUUUAAUUAAGUCACAUGUUGUGCCCACAUCACAUGAUACAACAAUCUUUUCCUUAUUCUCUUCUAACAACAAGGAGUGAGCUUUAUCAAGCUUGGUGUGAGCCUUGCCAAGCUUUUCAUGGGCUUCCACUAGCCUCUCAUGAUUAGCAUUGAGCUCAUCAAAGGAUUGCUCAAGAGCUUUUAAUUUCUUGACCAAUUCUUUGCACUUCUUGUUUUUAGAGUGAAUAAGUGAAUCGGCUUGCUCUAGCAUGUCCAUGAGUUGUUCAUUAGUGAAUUCAUUUUCAUCAUCACUAUCACUAUCAUGUUCAUGUUAACUUUCACUUUCACUCUCAUCAUAUUGUACCUUGUGGCCCUUGGCCAUGAAGCAUGAAGGAGUGUUGAAGAGAGAUGGCUUGUUGAUAGCAAUGCUUGCAAGUGCCUUCUUCUUGGAUGACUUGUCAUCAUCGCUUGAAUCAUCAUCCGAAGAAGCAUCACUAUCCCAUGUCACAACAUUGGAUCCACCCUUCUUCUUCUUCUUGAAGACCAUCUUCUUGUCCUUCUUUUCUUUCUUCUCCUUCUUAUUCUUCUUCUCAUGCUCAUCAUGAUCACUAUUGUAUGGACAAUCCGCCACAAUAUGAUCGGGGCUCUUGCACUUGUAGCAUAUCCUCACAUAUUCCUUGUUCUUGGAGUUGUUCCUUCUCUUUCUUGUAUGGUAGCCCUUCUUCUUCAUCAUCUUGCCAAACUUGCGGACGAAGAGUGCUAGUGCUUCAUCAUCACUAUCAUCAUUGGAGCACUCCUCAUCACUUGAUUGUUCCUUCUUGGCCUUGCCCUUGUUCUAGCUCUUGGAUGAAGAGCUAGCUUUGAAUGCUACACUCUUCUUCUUCUUAUCAUCAUCAUCCAUCUUCAUGACCUCAUCAUCAUCAUUGUCAUUGUAUUGAUCUUCGGUCAUGACAUCUCCAAGUACCUCAUUGGGAGAUACACCCGUCAAUCCACCUCUAAAGAUGAUUGUUCUCAAUGUCUUGAACCUCUUAGGUAAGCACAUCAAGAACUUGUGAAUGAAGUCCUCAUCCUUCACUUUCUCACCAAGGCCCUUGAGAUCAUUGAUGAUGACUUGGAGCCUAUAGAAUAUCUCUGGUAUGGACUCAUCAUCCUUCAUCUUGAAGUUGGAUAGCUUGUCCUUGAGCAUGUACAACUUGGCACUUUUUACCGUUGUAGUGCUCUCAUAUGUUUCUUCUAGCCUUGUCCAUACUUCACUAGCCUUCUCAAGAUCUUUGACUUGUUCAAACACUUUUGAAUCAAUGCCAUUAUAGAUUGUGUUGAGAGCCAUAGUAUUUUAUUGCUUGUUUGCUCUCUCAUUGUCGGUGGGGUUAGCGGGGUCAAGGAUCACAAAAUCAUUCUCCGUGACUUCCCACACUCUAUCAUUUAUUGAUCCAAGGUACAUUUUCAUCUUUAUUUUCCAAUAGUCAAAAGAACUUGUGCCAUCAAAGAAUGGUGGUUUGCCCCCAACAUGGUUGAACACUAUUUGAGCCAUAAUUUGAACACCGAGGUUGUUAAGCCUUCACAAACGGUGACCACGGCUCUGAUACCACUUGAAAGGUCCUAAUAUGGCUAGAGGGGGUGUGAAUAGCCUAUUUAAAAAAUUCUACAAACUCACUAGAGCAAAAGGAUAGUAAAAAACAAAGCGAAGCUUUUUGCUCUAGCUCUAAAGGGGUGUUUGCAAGCCACCUAUCCAACAAUUCUAGUUGAUAAGAUCACUAGGCACACAAGAGCUAUGUCACUACUUACACUAGAAGGCUACCUAAAGUUUCUGUACAAGUAAGUAAGCUACUCUAGUUUACGGGAAUGUAAAAGAGAUAGUUUGAUCUUUAUACCACAACGUAGAGAGGAUGAACCAAUCAAUAAUAUGAAGUCCAAUCACCUGGAGAAAUCCAAUGAACAAUCACAAUGGAGACACACGAUUUUCUCCCGAGGUUCACGUGCUUGCCGGCAUCCUACGUCCCCGUUGUGUCGACCAACACUUGGUGGUUCGGUGGCUAAGAGGUGUAGCACAAACCUCGUCCUCACUAGGACACCACAAGAACCUACCCACAAGUGAGGUAGCUCAAUGACAUGAGCAAUCCACUAGAGUUACCUUUUGGCUCUCCGCCGGGGAAGGUACAAACCCCUCACAAUCACUGGGAGAUGGCCACGAACAAUCACCAACUCGUGCCAAAGCUCCUCCGCUGCUCCAAGUCGUCUAGGUGGUGGCAACCACCAAGAGUAACAAGAAAACCGCAGCUAGAACGAUCCCCAAGUGCCACUAGAUGCAAUCACUCAAGCAAAUGCACUUGGAAUCACUCCCAAUCUCACAAAGAUGUUUAAUCUAUGAAGGAGAUGAGUGGGAGGUGUUUGCUUAGGCUCACAAGGAUGUCAAGUAUGCUAGAAUGCCAAGAGGGUGAGCCCCAAGCCGGCCAAACACGUAUUUAUAGCCCUUCAAACAAAUAGAGUCAUUGGCUCUUUCACUGGGCAAAACACGGGGUCACCGGACGCUCUUAAAGUGGCACCGGAGGCUCAACACCUGCGUCCGGUGCUCCAAAGUCAGCCACGUGUCAGGGUCCAACGGUAACCUGUAGAGCACGGGACGCUGAGGAGGUUGGCACCGGACGCGUCCAGUGCACACCGGUCUUAAACACAGAGAGGUCUUGCAAAACGCGCAGGCCACCGGACGCUAAGCACCGGACCGUCCGGUGCUCACCGGACUAAAACUCAGACAGCUCUGCAAAACGGACCUCACACCGGACAAGGACCACCGGACGCACAGGCCUGCAUCCGGUGCCUGUCGUCCGGUUCCUUGCCCUAGACGCACCGGACGCUCAGACUCAGCGUCCGGUGCUCUAGAAGCCAGCGUCCAGCACUUGAUCAUCUUGUGGUCAUCACCAUCAUCACCAUGAUCAUCACUUGCUCCAUUACUUGGCAUGUACCAACCUCAUUAAGUCUACACACACUUAGCAUAGAGGUUAGUACUAGGGUUUCAUCAAUUAUCCAAAACCAAACUAGGGCUUUCAUCGGCGCAAUAGAAAAUAUGCACUUCAUUUUCUCAAAAGCACCGAAUCCCGCCUCGCAAGCUCGGUGGGAGGGAGAGAGGAACCCAUCCUCUCUCUCUACCCUUCAAACUCCACAUCCUUCUCAAAGUGUGCCAACACCACAAAGUGUAAACCAACAUGUGCACGUGUGUUAGCAUUUUCACAAUCAUUUUCUUCGAAGGAGUUAAGUUAGCUCACUAGGUUCUAAAUGCAUGCACAUGAACAAUGACACCUAGUGGCACUUGAUAACCGCUUAGCCAAUGAAUUCCCCUCUUUAUAGUACGGCUAUCUAUCCUAAAUGUGAUCACACCCUCUAUGGUGUCUUGAUCACCAAAACCAAAACCCUAAGCAAUAUCUUUGCCUUGAUCUCCAUAAGGUUUUGUUUUUCUCUUUCUUCUUUUCCAAGUUGAGCACUUGAUCAUCUUGUGGUCAUUACCAUCAUCACCAUGAUCAUCACUUGCUCCAUUACUUGGCAUGUACCAACCUCAUUAAGUCUACACACACUUAGCAUAGAGGUUAGUACUAGGGUUUCAUCAAUUAUCCAAAACCAAACUAGGGCUUUCAUCGGCGUAAUAGAAAAUAUGCACUUCAUUUUCUCAAAAGCGCCGAAUCCCGCCUCGCAAGCUCGAUGGGAGGGAGAGAGGAACCCAUCCUCUCUCUACCCUUCAAACUCCACCUCCUUCUCAAAGUGUGCCAACACCACAAUGUUUAAACCAACUUGUGCACGUGUGUUAGUAUUUUCACAAUCAUUUUCUUCGAAGUAGUUAAGUUAGCUCACUAGGUUCUAAAUGCAUGCUGAAGAACUUGGAGAACGAUGAAGAACGAACUAGUUGCUGCAAAAGCAGAAUGUUGAGGAAGAUCCGACAGAUCCGGCUCCUCCUCCGCUCUCCUCUUCUCUCUCUCCCUAUUUUCUAGAUUACAACUAGAACUAACUAGAACUAGAACUAGAUGAACUAGAGGGAUCCUCUCUACUUGGAUGAAUAAUUGAAACCCUAGCUUUGAUUCUGUAGGUCUGUUCUCCAGGGGCCAGGGGGCCUGCUUAUAUAGCCCUUCCAAAUGAACGUGGGCCGUCGGAUCAAACCAACCUUAAUCGCACGGUUUUCCUUGAUCCUCAAAAGCGGUGGAGCACGAUCCACGAGACAUGCCCUGAUUGGUCACCAGGGCAGAGCGGGCGCCCAAGGGGGGAGGGCGGGCGCCCUGCCCCUGGGCCCGCUCUACCUCUCGUUCGUUCCCGUGGCUUCUCGAGUAUUCUAGAUGAUAGAAAAUUGGCGCACACGUUAAUAUCUCUAUGUAAACCCGACGUGUGGGCCUUUCCUCCAUGUUUCCUGAUAAACCCCUGCAGAAAUAGACAAACACCAAAACUCGUGGAAUUCUGUCACAUGAAACCCUAAUUUUGGAUGUUGGUUGCAUAUAUGUUCUUUUUCAUGAUUAGUUGAUGAUUAAAUGUGAGCAUUAAGAACCGUCAACACAUGCACAAGAACAAUGACACCUAGUGGGACUUGAUAACCGCUUAGCCAAAGAAUUUCCCUCUUUAUAGUAUGGCUAUCUAUCCUAAAUGUGAUCACACCCUCUAUAGUGUAUUGAUCACCAAAACCAAGACCCUAAGCAAUACCUUUGCCUUGAUCUCCAUAAGGUUUUGUUUUUCUCUUUCUUCUUUUCCGAGUUGAGCACUUUAUCAUCUUGUGGUCAUCACCAUCAUUACAAUGAUCAUCACUUGCUCUAUCACUUGGCAUGUACCAACCUCAUUAAGUCUAAACACACUUAGUAUAGAGGUUAGUAUUAGGGUUUCGUCAAUUAUCCAAAACCAAACUAGGGCUUUCACCGUGACGCCCGGUGAGCCCCGCAAAUUCCACCGGACCGUGCUGGCCCACAGUCCGAAGAACAUACACAAGUGAAUCAGUGAUUAACUAACACAGUAACACACACAGGAAUACAAGAUUUACAGAUUCACAGAUAAAAGAACAAGAAAGAUUAAAGAGAUAAUAUAAUUAACUUUACUGAGCUAUUUUGUGCAAUGCUGCCUCAUUAAAAACCUUGCUAGGUAAAACUCACCCUUGUGAGAAACCCUAGCAAGGGAAAAAGAGUGCAGCCAGCUCCAAAAUGUGAAGUGUUUAGGACUUUAGGCUAUCUUGUUACAAAUUUACAGUAGCCAACAACAUGUCAAACUGGCAACUGGCAACUCAAUGUUUCAAGACUGGAUGUCUAUCACUCUAUCCUAUUAGGCUAUUACAAGAUCAACUCAAUGUGACCAACAAUCUCAGACUUGAAGUUGCAGUGCAGACACCAGCCAGCCAGACUUCAAAAGAGCAGACCAAAAGCUCCUACUGUCCUCCACAAUGUAAACAAGUUCUUGUCAAAUUCUUACUCAUUCUAAUAAGGUAAAUAGCUAAUUGCAUCAAUCUGAAGUUCUAAACAUAAUCUUGUCAAAUUCUUACUCAUAUUCGUAUCAAUGUCAUCUUCUAAACAAAUGUACUGCCGCUGCUGCUGCCAUUUCCGCUGUCGCUUCCUUGAGCUUGAUCUUGUUCGUCCAGGUAGAGGUUCUUGAAUGCAUCUACCAGGUCAAAGUCUUCAAGUGUGUGCUGCUCCCUUGUUGCUCCUAGCUCCCAGUCCUUGAUGCAUGUGAGCAUCUCCACAUGCUAAGGCAACAAGCGACGGCGCCGGUCCUAUAGUAUCCUGGAGGUACAACUGAAACACGACUCGGAAGAAACAGUAGACAUAGGGACAAACAUGAUAUCUCGAGCCAUAAUAGAUAGGAUUGGAUAAGUAAGCUUGUGAUCAUGCCACCAAAGGAGUAUGUCGAAGGAUUCCUCAUAGCAUGUGACAGGCUCACUGUCCAGGUAAGCACUGAGCUCACUAACAGCAGAUGGAGUAGAAGAGGAUGUGGGGGAACAGGCAGGGGAGUCACCUGGACCUCCAAAGAUCCUUCCCCAUGCCUGUUUUCUCUUACCAGCAUGAGCUGAAGGGACUGCAGGCCUCUGAGACCUAGCUGCACCAAAUUUAUCUUCAUACUUGCCAAACAUUUUAAACAAUUCAUCUUUGACUUCACCAUAGUAUAAACUAUAACUACAUCCAGUUGCCUUACCAAGCAGAUUAAGUACAUUAUAGAAACCUUUCAUCUUAGCUCUAGGAUCAAGAAUGAAUGCAUAUGAAUAAAUGAGUGGGAUUUUCUCCCAAUAUUUAAGUAAUUUCAGUUUCAUAGGAGUAGCAAUGCUUCUAAAGCCUAUAUCUUUUUCAGCUUCUUGCAAAUGCUUAGCAAUGGCAAGCAAAUGGUGCAAAACAAGUGGAGCAGUGGGAUAAUAAACAUCAGACAAAACAACAGUACAAUCAUAAAACAGUUCCAGGAAUGCCAUGAUUUGCUCAGCAUUAUGCCAAUGUUGUGGAGUCUACAAAGUAAAACCAUAAUUAGAGUUAAUGAACACAUUGAAUACUUCCAUAUAUGGCAGCAAGUGCUUGAGCAUCAAGUAAGUAGAAUUCCAUCUAACAUCCAUAUCUAAGCCAAACUUUCUAGGUCUAAGACCCUGAGCAUUGCAGUAAUUCUUAAACAGAGCAAUUCUUUGAUUAGAGGAAUUUAAAAAGUUGAUUGCAGUUCUGAAAUCUUUAAGAUAAGUUUUCACUCUCUUGAAGCUAGUUUUAACAAUCAAGUUAAUGAUGUGGCAUGCACAGCGUUGAUGCACAAGCAAGUAUUUCACCUUGUUUGGAUUUUCUCUUGUAGGUGCAGGGUAAGAACCCAAAUAACCAAAGAAAACAGGUUGCAGAAUCUCAUGAGCUCUAGUAUUAGUAGAAGCAUUGUCAAGAGACACAGAAAAAAUCUUAUCCAUCAAACCAAACUCAUCAACAACACUAGCAAUCCUAUCAGCAAUAUUUUCACCAGAAUGUUUAACCUCAAUCAAUCUUAAACCAACAACUUUCUUUUGUAACUCCCAGUCUUUACUAACAUAAUGAGCAACAAUAGAAAUGUAAUCUUCCUUGGCAUUACCAGACUAAAUAUCAGAUGUCAAUGAAACAGAGGAUGCAGCAGGCAACACAUUUUUCAUAAGCAAAGUACGUUGUUCAUCAAACAGUUUAGACAUAUCUCUAGUGGUGGUCUGUCUAGAAACCUUCUCAAAUAGAGGAUUAAGAGCACGUCUUAUAUAAUCCUCCCAAGCCUGUGUCUCACCUAUCCCUAAAGGUCUAACCUAGCAAUCAAACGACACAACUCAAUGCGAGCAACCAUAGGAUCAUAAACCCAGUUUUUCAAACCAUCAGGAUUUAGAGCAAGUUUAGACUAGGUCAUUUUAGCAUGAUUCUGUUUUUUCAUACAGGAUCUCAUGUGCCGUCUCAAAUGACCAGUACCAUUACCAGAUCUAGCAGUGUACUUCGAACGACAAUGCUUACAGAUUGCAGCAAUUCUAAUCUUAUUCGUCGCAUCCUUAACCUCGUGAAAGUACGUCCAAACAACAGAAGUUUUCUUACCAGAGCCAGAGGUGGUUGAGGUACCUCCAGUGUUAGUGGGGCCGGCAUCAUCGUCGUCCUCGCCGUCGAGCUUGAUCGGCUGGUUGCCAUUGAUGCCAUCCGAGCCAUCACCGAGGUCGACGCCGAACAACACAGCUGCGUCCUCACACAGGUCGUCGUCAUUCUCGUUCUCCAUCUCCCGCUCGUUGUCCGAGUUCGGCGCUAGGUCCUCACCGUCGAUGAGGGGGCGGCGCUGAUCCGCACCGGCCCCCUGCGUUGCGAGGCCAGCACUUUCACUGGACGAACGAGACUGAGACUGAGACUGAGAAAGCCCUCCAACUCCAGCACCGCCCCUCGACGGGCGCUUCGGUGGCCUAGCCAUGUUCGCCUCCACUCCAAAGGAGGAAGAGGCGGCGUCAGGCACCACCAACCUGCCAAGAAAAGGCGAAGAAGAAUCAGAGUCAGAGAACACCGAGAGAAAUGAAGUUAGGGUUAGGGUUAGGGUUAGUGUUACCUGUGCGACUGGAGCCCGGUGUCGGAGUCGGAGAAGAAGCAUCAGAGAAAUAGAGAACACAACAAACGACAGCAAGCGGUGGCAGAGCGUGGAAGAUGCACACAAACUCACUUGCUUCACCAGAAAAAUAGAGAGGAGUGGAGAGGAAAGGAGGGAGAGAGAAGAGCUGGAGAGGAUAUGUGAACUCAGCCGGAGUGGAGGAGCGGCCAGUGGCGGGCAGCGGCGAGCCGACGAGGUGGAACCGUGGAGGAGCAGCUGUCGGCGACGGAUCGAGGACGAGGAGACAGGAGAGUAGGAGACGAGGAGAUGAGAGGGGCAGAGGGCGAAUGAGCGAUUGCGGUGCGGCGCAGUGGACGUGGAAUGAGGAAGACGGGUUAGGGGGCGUCCGCGCGGCCGCGGCUUAUAUAGUGGCCAGGCCGGCCUGUCGGGCCGUUAAUUUAGCCGGGCCGUGCCAGCACCGUGCCACGGGCCGGGGUGGCGGCCUAGGCACGGCCUGGUGCGUCGGGCCGUGCCGGCCCUGGUCCGUCGGCCACCGGGCCGGGCCGGGCGGGCUAUGGGUCAAAACAGCGGGCUGCGGGCCGGGCCACCGGGCGCCGGGCUGCAUGGCCACAUAUGCACUUCACGUCCAUGCCACGGAUAGUAGCCCUCAGGUGCUGGGUACGCCGGCCAUUGACCCGUCGUAUAGAAGCUGGCCGGCGGUUGGUAGGGCGCUGCCGCCCAGUAUUGGCCACCGUACACUGCUAGUGCCGGGUAGUAGUAGCCAGCCCCAGCAGCCUGCGGUGGAGGGGCACCGUACAACUGCAAUGGCGGCGACGGAUGCUGGUUGCUGCUGCCUGCCGGUUGGACGGGUGGAGAUGUGGUUGGUGGCGCACGGGUACAUCGUCUCCGGCGCCUGCAGCAAAGUGCGGCUGGUAGGAGCACAGAUGACGAGGCGCCACCGGGACUGGGAUCGGUAGCCGCCUCCCGCGGCUCCCCAUACAUCUGCUGUGCUGCCGCCCAUGCUGCGGUCGCCUUCCACUGCUCGUGGCCGUAUCCGGGGAAGAAGUCUAGUCUCCGGGAGUCGCUGACGACUCUGACGGAAGUCCUUGCCCUGAGCUGGAGGCUGGUGGCCACCGCCGAGGCGUCGGCCGUCCCGGUGACCUCCACCCGGCUCGCCGCCACGUCCGUCGUCACCGUGUCCACGCCUGCACCCACGUUCCUACUUCAUGGUGAGUACGUACGACGGAUAACAAAUUAAACAAGUACAGAAGUUACAUAUCUCUCGCGCACCUGGGAUCUGCAUCACUCGCUUCUCGACCUUGUUUGCAGUUUCAUCUCUAGGACGACGGGUGCAGGAGGCGGCGGAGAAGCGUCGUCGCUGCUGACGCUGCCGCCGUCGCUGAUAACGACGUUGACGGCCUUCCCCGUCUUGGCUUGGAGGCGCGCCCUGAGCGUCGCUGCGUCGGCCGUGCCCUCGAUCAUCAGGAGCCCAGUCCCGAAAGUCACGCUAUCCACCCCUGCAUGCAAUGCAAACAAACGCCUACAAAAGAAGAGGGACGGGGAGAUCAAAUGAUUCGCAGGUGCGCAAACGGAUCGGAGCUCGAUCGAUCCAUCGAUCGGCGUAUGCAGUGCAGCGCGUACGAACCGGGCAGUUUCAUGACGGCGUUCCGGAUCUUCUUCGCGCAGCAGUGGCAGUGGACGUCCAUCGAGAGGAUGACGGGCGCCAUUAGUGCCGGUGCUGCGUCGUCGUUGAUCUUAGUUAGGCACCAGUCUAGCUCCGUGCCUGCUAGCUCUAUGGGCUAUGGGUGUGCGUGUGCUGUGGAAUGGCACGCGAUCGGUGUCUAUACAUGUACUCCAUAUACAGGAGCACUGUUUUAAGGUCAUACAAGAGCACUGUUAUUAAGAUAUCAGAGAUUCUUCACUGAUUGAUACUGCGGCAUGCACGUUUCCAUGUAGGAGUGAUUUGUUGUAUCUCUUGCAGUCUUGCCAUAUAGAUUGACUAUUUCUAUAUAUUAUUUAUAAAUUAGUCUUGUAGUCGAAGCCUAUAUAUACCUCUUAUACAUACACAAUACCAAAAAAAUACUCGUGAAAAUUUGUUUUUUAGCAUCUUAGUGAUUACCGUCACGUUACGACGAGAGAGAAACGAUGCCAAUUUACAGUAACGAUAUCUAAUUGUUAUGACCAGUUUUAAUUUAUUUUGUAGUACGAUGCAAAACACUUUACCUGAAGCGAUAUAAAUCUGUCAAACAAAAAUUAAUAAAGAUCCAUCGACGACAGUAGACAUUUUAAUAAACGGAACACGAGUUGACACCGAUGAAGGAACGACACAAUAUAUUUAGAUGAUAGAUCGACUGAACUAGUAGAGUUAAUAAAGAAACGCACAUGUUUCACUAUCUAAAUCGUCAUUCGAUUGUCAACAACUAAAGUAUUCCUCCUCCUCAUCACUAUAACCAUAAUCCUCAUCGUCAUCAUCAACAUCGUCAUCGUAAUCAGGACUCGUCGGAAGGAAACUCGAACUUGGGAGGAGCAUAAAUUUCGCUAACAACGGUGACGCCCACCCUCAGCCCGUAGGCGAUCUCAUCCCGGAGGUCCUCUGCGCUGGCUAUGUUGCCGCCGCCUUCCACCACUACCCGCCCAGUAUCCUUGAACAGUCCCACCUGCAUGUCUUCCCCUACGAAUUCGAACGUACACAAAGACAAGAGGGGGGUAUGUGUGUGUGUGUCAAAAUGGACGCAUAAUUAAGGAACAUGCAUGCUUGUACAGAGAUAAUGUAGCUAUUGUAGAUGACGCGCGCGGAUCGGAUCGGAGCAUGCUUGCACGUACGUACCAGCAAGCCCCUCGAUGAGCUCGUGGAUCGUGCCGUAUCUCCUCACGUCGUACAUGUCUCGAUGCCGAGCUAGAUAUUGCUAUGUAGCUGGAAGCUCGAUCGGACGGGCACGUAGAGUUGGGGUUGCUGUACGUGGUGUAUGCAGGCAUAUAUGGCGAAAGGGUGUUAUUUAUACACAGAACUACAGGAGGGCGAUCCAGGUGAUCGGCGUACGUCGUCGUGAGGAGUUCAGGGAAACCUUUCUCCUUUUGUUUUUACUAUUACUAUAUAUAUAUAUAUAUAUAUAUAUAUAUAUAUAUAUAUAUAUAUAUAUAUAUAUAUAUAUAUAUAUAUAUAUAUAUAUAUAUAUAUAAAUGGAAAUGGCACUGGCACACGUUCGGGCAUUAGCACCGGUGGAAAGGGUCUGUUGCCCCGGUUCCCGAGCCGGUGCUGCCAUUUCGGGACUAUAAAGGCCCACCAUUUAGUCCCGGUUCGGGGAACCGGGGCUAAAGCGCCUCCUUUAACACCGAUUGGUAAUUCCUGCCAGAGCUGCCACGUUGCAGGACCCUUUAACACCGUUUGGUUUUUUUUGGUUCACUUCUUCGGUUGUGUUUAUUGUUUUUAUAUAUAAUAAUAAUAGGUUUUUCAAUACAUAUUUUUGCUGAUACAAUAAUAUAUUUAUAUUACACGCAUAUUAAGCAUAUAUAAAUGAAAAUUAUAGGCUUAGCUUUAUAAUUAAGCUUUGCCUAUAAUAAAAUAAAUAUGCCACAUCAAAAAUUAAAUAGAUAUGUAAAAAGCUUUAUAUAUAUGUAGUUUUAUAAGUACAAAAUUCGUAACACAUAUAUACAUAGAGUUUUUUCUCCCAAUGUCUAAAAACGAUACAAAUGUUCAUCGUUGUUUGGAAUAAGAGUUUCGUUGCCGUUGAAGUGAAACUCGCCGUUUGGAUUGAUCACUUGCUCGCGGAGAAAUCCUGCUAUCGUCUCUUGGAUAGCUUUAAUUCGGUCUUUUUGUAUGACCUUUUCCCUCAACCAUUCCGUCUUUAAUUUGAAAUAAAUAAAAAAGGUAUUAGUUAUCUAAGUUAUUCAAUAUAAUUCAGGAGAUAUGAAAAGAGACAUGUAACGUACUCUGAGCGUCUCUGUGGGUGUUUGAUUGACUUGUGUCAUUAUGAAUUUGCACACGUAAUAUGCACAUGGAUUGUUCCCCCUUCUUGUCUUAAACACCACAGUACGAUAUAUAUAUAUAUAUAUAUAUAUAUAAUAUUCACGACCACGACAAUAAGAAGGCUAAAAGUUAGCUAGCCAGUAGAACUUACUUGUGGAUGUAUUAUGUUAAGCGGCGCUUUACAUCUACUGAGAUGUUCACGGUCAAUGAAUCUUUCCCAAACCCUACACACAGCCAUUGUGGAUCGUGAACUAAUAAUUAUAGAGUCAUAUUAUGAUAUUCUUCUAGCUGAGAUCGACAUUACGUACCUUUGAAUAAUGUUUACCAUUUGUUGAUAAUUUUCUUGUGGUUUUCUCAUUGAGUCAAAGAUUAUCAACCAGUUCUUGGGAAUUUCAAUGACCAUGAGUAUCUAGUGAAAGCUGUUUACACACAUAUAUAUAGUCAGACCUAUAUAUAACUAUAUAAAACUUGUCUCGAGUAAUAAUUAUUAAAAUAAAAUAUGCAUGCACUUAAUAACUAUAUAACUCACUCGAAGUUGAAGGGGAAGAGUAUUUUUUGUUUUUUUGGUUCACAAAGAACCUCGUAAGAUUGGUGCAGACUUCUGUCUCAUGAGCUGCUGUCCACACUGCCUGCGGAGCUUUGAAAACAAUAUAAGGGUCAACGAAACCAAUACUAUUGUCAUUUCUGAUUCUGUGCUCUCUCAUUUGGUGCCUGCAUAUAUACAUACAAAUCCUAAGUGUGUAAGGAUUAUAUACAUGUAAUUAAAGAAGUUAGAAGUAUAAUAAAAAGAAAAAAAUACUUACAGACAAAAGCAGCUGACAAGAGAUUUGUUGAGAGCGUCGAGGUGACAUAAUUGGUGCAAUUCUUCGAACUGCACGUAUAUGAGGUCAUCUCCACAGAAGUAGUGAUGUUGUCUAAUACGAACAGAAAUCCAAUUCUCUCUCCUUUUAGACGCCUCAAUGCACCAUUUGUUUAUUGCAAACAUUUGUGUGCCGAGCUCAUGUAAACGCUGAGGGUCGAAUAGACUCCUGCCCGGUUCAUAUCUUGCCCUCCAUUGAUCAACUACCUCAGCUUUUUCAAAUGUUUGGCAUCCAAGAAUGGCGGCAAUUUCUUCCAUAUUUAAACCGCUCUGUCCAAAGUAACGCUCAAGCGAGUCUAGCUCAGACAAUACUAAGGAUUUCUUUGGCAUCAAGUCUUCAUUUGAGCCGUAUUGAUUUGGCACAAUCAAAGGAGGCAUCGGUUUUGAUACUUCUCCGAGCUGUGGGACCCCCUUUCCUACUCUCUUUCUAGGCUGUGAAGACUUGACCAGAGACCGCUCAUAGUCCGAAAGUGCUGGCUUUUUCUGAGCUUCGUGUUGCUUCUUUUGCUGGUCCGCCACCUUCUGCCUCAGUUCCGAUGGCUUUACGUAAAAGUACGGCUUUUCUGGGUUUAGCCGUUUUUUUCUAUCCUCCUUCAAUUUAUCAAAAAAUUGUUUCACCUCAGCUUUGGAUGCAGCAAUUAUCUCCUCUUCACUCUUUUCGUAAGGUAAUUUUUCUGGUGUCUUAGCUCUCUUUUCUGAGACAACCUUCUUUGGAGGUGGGACCAAUGACUUCGGUCGUUCUUGGGCGAACCACUUCUGACUACCUCGCUUUGGAGGCGAUGGGACCGACCGUAUACUCUUUGAAGAGGGCGGUGCAGGCGGUGGAGGUGGUGGGGCCGAUCUUUUUGGUGUUGGAGAACGCGGUGGAGGAGUUGGAGACCUCGGUGGAGGAGGUGGAGACCGUGGUGGAGGCGGUGGCGGGGUCGGUAUGGCCGCCGCAGGUGUUGGAGGAGAUCCAGCAUUGUCACCGCCCGCAGCACUAUGAUGCGCUGGAGAGAGAACUGGACUUAGGUUGGAGGAGUCCCUGCAAAGAAAACAAUUACAAGUUUUGUGAGCAAACCUUUUUUUUAAUUUCAAUACAUAAUAAAUAAUACAAGAAGUAAAAUCACACACAAACCUAUGUUGAGGAAUAAUUAUGAAGCGCUUGCGCCAACAAAUAAAUGUCUUCUCAGCUUCACCUAAGGUCUUCUCUCUGUCUCCCCUUCUAUGUCUAGAGGCACAUUGCCACAACCUUUCUCAACCCUAUCAACCGAGACGCAAGCAUAUCCACAAGGUACUGGUCAAUUAUGGAUUCUUGGAGUUCUCGUUUGGUCGAUAGGGUUGACAACAGCGAUAGCCACCUUUUUUGUUGCAUUCCCAUCUGGUACAUGCAGCUCACAGGUAGUAAAAGCCUCUUUGACAUCAUCCACGGGGAAGUGUAGCUUCAUGUGAUCCUGAAUGGUUGGUACUUUCGUGGAUGCGCAGCUGCUUUUCAACUGGCCUGGCUAACGUUGACCUCAGGAUGUGAUGUACCUUGCCCUUUCGUCAUUUGACUAAGUGCUGCUUGCACUUGCCUUUGAAUCUCCGCCUGCAUCCAUUCUUCACGAGCUUUCUCGCGCUCUUCUGAUUGCAGAACAAAAGCUUCCAGACGGCGGAUCCGCUCUGCCUCCUCAUCAUUCUUUCUCUGGAGGCUUCUGUAGGUAUCUUGAUUGGCUUGGAAUGAUUGCAGCCACAGAACUGCCCCAUAGCCUCUCGUACGCCCACCGUGCUCAGGAUUUUCAAGCGCAUAGGUGAGUUCAUCCUUCUCCCUGUUAGGCCUGAACUCAGUAGACUGAACCGCCUCUCGUGCAUGGACUAGUCUCUCUACUACUCUAGAGAUUUCUUGGCCCCAAAUUAGCGCCCCAGUGUUUGGGUCCACGCUUCCCCCAUGACCGUAGAACCAAUGCUUGGAGCGCUCGCUCCAAUUCUUUGCUAUUGUCUCGGGUGUGACCCUCCUAGCAAGCAUCUCCUGUUCCACUCGGUCCCACUUGGGAACAACACUCUUAUAACCAUCUGAUCCCAUAUGAUGGUGGUAUGUAUUUUUACUUGCAUUCUCUUUGUUUCUAAUGGCUCGUUCCUCGCCCUCUUCUGAUGUUUUGUACUGCACGAAGUCAUCCCAGAAGGCCCUCGGCUUUAUAUAUUGCUUGAGGUUGAAAUUUGGAGUCUCAUUUUUCUUGACAAAUUUAUUGUACAAAGUCUUCUUCCAAUUCUGGAACAGUACUGCCAUCUUCUUCAUAGUCCAGUCAUAAAUUCGCACCUUCAACUCUUCAUCGUUGGUGUCGAAGGUGAAAACGUCUGUGAUGGCUUUCCAAACUAACUCCUUGUCACGAUCAGAGACAAAACUGAUCUCAGGAGCACCUCGCUUCUAUCUCCAUUCACGAGCACUAAUCGGUAUUUCAUCUCUCACAAGAUAUCCACAGUGACUAACAUAUUUAUUUGCAUGUUCAACGGCUUCUUUGGCCCUCGUGGAGGUACGCUUCUCCCCGUAGAGGUCGAUCCAGAAGGCUACACGUAGAUAUAGAAACAAAAAUACUAAAUUAAUAACCAAGUAAGUCUAAAACCUAAUGUAAGAGAUGUAUUAAUUAUAUAUGUUUAUAUUUACAUACCUCGCUAAUAUUUUCUUCUUGUUGCACGACAAGUUGUUGCUCAGGCGCAUUGCCCUCUUGUUGCUCAGGGGCAUUGCCCUCUUGUUGCUCAGUCGGAUUGCCUUGCAUGAUCUCGUUGUAAUCAAUAAAGUACUGACUACCGUCAUCGAUCAUAUUUUGAAUGGCAUCUUCCAUAUAAUGAGGAUCAUCAUGAGGACAGUCAGCCAUUUCUAUGUCUGCAACCAUACAUAUAUAUAUAUAUAUAUUCUAUAUAAGAUAAGAAAUACCCUAGAAUAAUAUACUAAAAACAAUACUAGAAUAAUAGUAUAAACAAUAAUAUAUACAAAACACUACUAGAAUAAAUUUGGUGGGUAAACACUACUAGAAUAUAUAUUAGAGACUUAUAUACUACUACUAGUACUACUACAAAUGAAAGUGUUGGAGUGCUUUAAAAAUAAUACUAGAAUCUUUUAAGCCAAGUAAUACACUAGAAUAAUAUACUAAAAAACAAUACUAGAAUAAUAGUACAAACAAUAAUAUAUACAAAACACUACUGGAAUAAAUUUGGUGGGUAAACACUACUAGAAUAUAUAUUAGAGACUUAUAUACCAGUACUACUACAAAUGAAAGUGUUGGAGUGCUCAAAAAAUAAUACUAGAAUCUUUUAAGCCAAGUAAUACACUAGAAUAAUAUACUAAAAAACAAUACUAGAAUAAUAGUACAAACAAUAAUAUAUACAAAACACUAGAAAAUAAAAUAUGAUACAAGAAUAAUACAAGAAUAAUAUACUACAAAUAUAUACUAAAAAAUACUACUACAAAUAAUAUACUAAAAAAAUAAUACUACAAAAUAAUACUACAAAAUAUUACUAAAUAAUACUACUACAAAAUUUUUUCAUUUUAAGUAAUUUAGUUUGUCAUUUGACCAAGUUUGACCAAAACCCGUCUUGGAUUUUAUAGAAAUAUGAUUAGGAUUGGCUCAAAAUUAUCCAAAUGGAAAAAUGGACAAUAUAUAAAAUGUAGAUCUUGAUGAUCUCUAACAACUUUGUAUUCAAAAAUUUUUCAUUUGAAGUCAUCAAAUGGGCCAUUUGAUCAAGUUUGACCAAAGUCAAAGUAUUGGUUUUUACAAAAACACCCUUUGACCGAACCCUAGAUUGUCCCAAAUGGAAACGUCAUGAAUAUAAAGUUUGUUACACUCAUCAAGUUCUACAUUUUGUCUAAUGGUCAACUUUUCUUUUGGAAAAGUUUGAACCACUGAAUUUUAAAUUUUCAGAGAAUUCAUAGCCACGCAGCGGUUUCGGAACCCUAGAUGGUCUCGAAUGGAAAAGUCAUGAAUACCAAUAUUGUUCCACUCAUCAAAAUCUACAUUUCAUAUAUAGACCAUUUUUGCAUUUGACAAAGUUUUGGGAAGGUGUAGUUGAAAAUCCACAAUUGACACAUAUAGUUUCAUAUAGUUUGUGUGAGAUUCAAGGAUUGGUGGGUAUUGUUAACUUAAACUUUCUAAAAUGGAAAAGUUGUGUAUAUAAAAAGUUUAGAUCUUGAUGAUAUCUAACAACUUGGUAUUCAAAAUUUUUUCAUUUUAAGUAAUUUAGUUUGUCAUUUGACCAAGUUUGACCAAAACCCGUCUUGGAUUUUAUAGAAAUGUGAUUAGGAUUGGCUCAAAAUUAUCUAAAUAGAAAAAUAGACAAUAUAUAAAAUGUAGAUCUUGAUGAUCUCUAACAACUUUGUAUUCAAAUUUUUUUCAUUUGAAUUCAUCAAAUAGGCCAUUUGACCAAGUUUGACCAAAGUCAAAGCAAUGGUUUUUAGAAAAACACUCUUUGACCGAACUCUAGAUGGUCCCAAAUGGAAAAGUCAUGAAUACAAAGUUUGUUACACUCAUCAAAAUUCACAAUUCUCAAAUAUAGUUUCAUACAAAGUUUGUUACAACACAUACUAUUAAACAUGACUUUAUGUUAAGCCGACACAAUAGUGAACUUCUUCUUGACGUAUGACCCUUGGUUAUGAUCCUGCCGUAACCAUGGAGUAUCCUCAUUGUUUAACAGAAUGCUUGGGUAUUUGUUGACUAUGAAGGAUGGAAUUCGAUCAUCCCUUUCGUAAUCGCCUGACAUGUCUGACUUGUCCUCAAUUCCGACAAUGUUUCUUUUCCCAGAAAGGACAAUGUGGCGCUUUGGCUCAUUGAUGAUUGACUGGUCAUCAUUUUUUCAUCUCUUUGGUUUCGUAGACAUAUCGUUGACAUAGAACACCUGACUCACAUCUACAGCAAGGACGAAUGGUUCGUCUUUGAACCCACUAUUGUUAAGGUCCACGGUUGUCAUCCCGUACUCCUUGUCGACAGUUAGCCCACCUCCGGUCAUCUUCACCCAUUGGCACCAGAACAAAGGAACUUUAAAAUUAGCUGCAUAGACUAGUUCCCAUAUGUCUUCUAUGCGUCCAUAAUAUGUUUGUCUGUUCCCAUUUGGAUCCAUGGCAUCCACGCGUACACCACUAUUUUGGUUGGUGCUCCUUUUAUCUUGGCCAACUGUGUAAAAUGUGUUACCAUUUAUCUCGUACCCUUUGUACGUGAGGACAUGCCAUGAUGGUUGCGUGGCCAACAAAUAAAGUUGCUCAUCAAUGUUUUCAUCACCUUGACAUUUUUUGCGCAACCAAUCACCAAAAGUUUCCAUGUGCUGACGCAUUAUCCAAGCUUCAUUCUUCCCGGGCCACUGGGACCGUAGGAAAUCUUUGUGUACCUCAACAUAUGGUUCCACCAAUGAGGAGUUCUGGAGAACUGUGUAGUGUGCUUUAUUGAAGUAAUCGUCUCUCAUACCAAUAUAUGUUUUCUUCCCAAGUGUUCCCUUUCCGCUGAGUCUGCCCUCGUGUCGAGAUUCAGGAAUGCCAAUUGGGUCAAGGUCUGGAAUAAAGUCAACACAGAACUCUAUGACCUCCUCUGUUCCGUAGCCCUUGGCAAUGCUUCCUUUUGGCCGGGAACGACUAUGGAUAUAUUUCUUUAGGACACCCAUGAAUCUCUCGAAGGGGAACAUGUUGUGUAGGAACACAAGACCGAGAAUACGAAUCUCUUUGAUCAGAUGAACUAGGAGGUGUGUCAUGAUAUCGAAGAAGGAUGGAGGGAAUACCAACUCAAAGAUGACGAGAUAUUGAACGACAUCAUUCUGCAGAGUAGCUAGUUGCUCUGGAUUGAUUGCCUUCUAAGAAAUUGCAUUGAGGAAUGCACAUAGCUUUACGGUGGCUAGACGUACGUGUGGAGGUAAAAUUCCUAUUAAACCCACCGGCAGCAAUUGCGUCAUUAGAAUGUGACAGUCAUGGGACUUCAAGUUUAGGAAUUUCUUCUCUGGCACAUUAAUUAUUCUCUUGAUAUUGGAGGAGAAUCCAGAUGGGACCUUGAUGCUGCUAAGACAUUCAAACAUGCUUUCCUUCUCUUCUUUGCUCAGAGUGUAGCUAGCAGGGCUUAAGUAAUGGCGUCCAUCAUCUGUCUUUUCUGGAUGUAGGUUGUCUCGUUCUUUCAUGCACUGCAAGUCUUGUCGUGCUUCAAGUGAAUACUUAGACUUCCCAUAGACACCCAUGAAUCCGAGCAAGUUCACACAAAGAUUCUUUGUCAGAUGCAUCACGUCGAUCGCGUUGCGGACCUCUAGGACAUUCCAGUAAGGUAGCUCCCAAAAUAUGGAUUUCUUCUUCCACAUGGGUACGUGUCCCUUAGCAUCCUUGGGAUUGGUUCGCUGCCUCGUCCUUUCCAAAUACCACUUUUAUAUCCUUGACCAUUUCGUGUACAUCAUCCCCGGUUCGAUUGAGAGGUUUGGUCCGGUGGUCUGCCUUGUCUUUAAAAUGCUUGCCUUUCUUUCGUAUUGGGUGGUUCACAGGAAGAAACCAACGGUGGCCAAGGUACACGACCUUUCGACAUUUUUUUCAAAAAUACACAGUCAAGGUCUUCAUAACAAUGUGUGCAUGCAUUAUAUCCCUUGUUUGACUGGCCUGAAAGAUUACUUAGAGCUGGCCAAUCAUUGAUUGUUACAAACAGCAAUUCUCGCAGGUCAAACUGCUCUUGUUUGUACUCAUCCCACACGCGAACUCCUGGUUUGCUCCAUAAAAGUUGAAGUUCCUCAACUAAUGGCCUUAGGUAGACAUCUAUGUCAUUUCCAGGUUGCUUCGGUCCUUGGAUAAGCACCGGCAUCAUAAUAAAAUUCCGCUUCAUGCAUAGCCAUUGAGGAAGAUUGUAGAUACAUAGAGUAACUGGCCAAGUGCUGUGACUACUGCUCUGCUCACCGAAAGGAUUCAUACCAUCUGUACUUAAGGCAAAUCGCAAGUUUCUAGCAUCAUCUGCAAAAUCUGGGAAUUCUCUGUCUAUUGCUCUCCACUGGGAUCCAUCGGCAGGGUGUCUCAGCAUAUUGUCUAUCUUACGGUCUUCUUUAUGCCACCGCAGCAACUUUGCAUUGUCCUUAUUUCUGAACAGACGUUUUAAUCAUGGUAUUAUAGGAGCAUACCACAUAACCUUGGUAUGAAAUUUUCUUCCUAUGACGUUCUUCACCCUCAACAUCGCCAGGAUCAUCUCGUCUAAUCUUAUACCGUGAUGCCUUACAUACUGGACAUGCAUCCAAAUUCUCGUAUUCCUCCCCACGGUAGAGGAUGCAGUCAUUAGGACAUGCGUGUAUCUUCUGGAUUUCUAAUCCCAAAGGGCACACAACCUGUUUUGCUUCAUACGUAGUGGUGGCCAAUUCGUUCCCUUUCGGAAGCAUCUUUUUUAUGAUCUUCAAUAACUGCCCAAAUGCCUUGUCAGAUGUACCAUUCUUUGCCUUCCAUUGCAGCAAUUCCAGUGUGGUACCCAGCUUUUUUUGCCCCUCUUCAGCGGUGGGAUAUAGCGAUUUCCUGUGGUCCUCUAGCAUGCGCUCGAACUUGGCUUUCUCUUUAUCACUUUCACAUUCUCUUUGUGCAUCACGGAUGGCAUCACCAAAAGCAUCAUCGCCCCGAUCAUCUUCUGCCGCUACCUCUUCUUUAUUAUCUCCCCCCAUUGCAACAUCAUUGAAGCCACCGUACUAAGCAAUAAUAUUGGCAUGGUCCAGUUCUUCUUCUUCUUCACCUUCAUCCAUUAUAAUCCUGCUUUCUCCAUGCUUGGUCCAACAAAUAUAGUUUGGUACGAAACCAGACUUUAAUAAGUGCGAAUGAAGAGUUCUUGAGUUAGAAUAUUCCGUCAAAUUCUUGCACACGGCACAUGGACAGCACAUGAAACCGUCCCUCUUAUUUGUCUCGGCCACACUUAAGAAAUAGUGCACGCCAUUAAUGAACUCUUCGGAGCGCCGAUCGGCAUUAUACAUCCAAUUACGUGUUACCAUCUGCAUUAAAUAUAAUAUAUAUAUAUAUAUAUAUAAUGAAAACCGUGCACAAAUAUAGUUUCUCAUCUUAUUGCACAACAUGUCUAAGAUACAUAGUUGAUUAAUUCAGGAAAGCUUGGCUACAACAAAUACAAUCGCAACUAGCACUAAAAAAACCAAAACUAAAAUGCACUUAAGCAACAUAAUUAGUUCGCGUCCGAUCCCAACUAUAAUAGAUAGAUCAUUUGCUUGAUCAACAUCAUUGAACUUCUUUCGUCGGCUCACUGCCUCACCACCUUCAGCCUCAACCAGCUGUGCAAAAGAUUUCUUAAUGUGUUCAAUGUAUUCUUCCUCCCAGUACCAACCUGUACAUCCGCCGGUACCGUCCCACUGAAAUUAAAAGAGAGAAUCAAAAGUUUAAUUAAUAUCAUUUAAAAAAUAUGCACAUAUAUAAGCAAAUGUCUAGAAAUAACUCACAUUACGAUCCGAACACUUAUAGAAUAUACGACCCUUGUUUACUCCCUCUUUCGACACUUUGUACUCCAUCACAAUCUUCUGCCCACACUUGCCACAAGUAAUGAGAGAGAGUUCCGGCCGCUAUCGCUUUUGAACCCGUUGAGAGACCGAAGACCCGGUCACGGUUGCCAUCUACUAUCCAUACUCAAUUUUUAAACAAUUAUAAAUUCCACAUUUACUAGUAAACAUGUAUGAUUAAAGAAGAACCUAAUAAUAUCCUUUAUUUGUCUAGUUACUUCAACAAAUCUUCUAAAUUAUACAAUGGACAUUAUGUAGUAAUAAAAAUAAAUCAAGUGAUAUUAACAAACCAAUUAAUUUGAACUAUCCUACUUUCUAAGAUCAUAAAAAGAUACUAUAAUUUAUUCUUGCAAACUACAUUAAUACUAGGUCAACCAUGAAAUAUGAUAUAUAUAUAUAUGGAUACUAAUUCAUGUGAAUGAUUCAAAAUAACAAAGUGGAUUUGAGCUAAAAAUGAUGAGAACAUCACAAGCCAAAAACAACAUGAAAAAGACAAGAAAUGCUGAAGUUAGUCACCUCCAAGCACGAAGAGACGAUGGCGGAGUCGAAGAAGAUCAACGAUGGGCGUCGGAAAUAAAGAACAAAUGAAGAACAAGCAAGAAGAAGCUCCAAGAACAACAAUGGUGCUCUCGGUUUCAAAUGGGCAGAGGGGAGGAGGGGGCGGGCCUAUAAACCGGAGCUUUAGCACCGGUUCAGGGCAAAAACCGGUGCUAAAGGGCCUUUAGCACCGGUUUUUGUGCCAAACUGGUGCUAAAGGCUUUGCCUCGGCCCGUGGCACUGGCCGGUGCUAAAGGGGUCCCUUUAGCACCGGUUGGUAACACGAACCGGUGCUAAAGGGUCCCUACCCCGACAGCACCUGUCAGUAGCCGUUGGGCAGGACCCUUUAGCACCGGUUCGUGUUACGAACCAGUGUUAAAGGGGCCUUUAACGCCGGGCCGCAAAAAGGUCGAGGUUUUUGGCCAUUUUGUGCAUCGACCAAUGUCUCAUUCUGUAGUAGUGUGGAUGGUCCGAAUCUCAGGUGGAGAGGGAUAGUUAGAGCAUCUUCAAGAGUUUACCAAAUUUCACUUAGUAAAUCUUGUGAUUUGACAAGUGCCUAAACUAUAUGGCAAGAGAAAAAAGAUUGUAUCUCCAAUAGUGCCAUUUGGGCUUCGUAAAAUUUAAAAACUAGGCCCACUUCCAAACUAGAUGAACUAAUUUUUACCAUCGCCUCAACUUAUCAUAGUGUAUGUAAAGCUGCUUUUGCUCGGGAACUUUCAAUCUAUGGCCCUGUUUAGAUACAAAAUCUAUUUAGAUUUUGACACUAGUAUUUUCGUUUGCAUAUUGACAAAAAUUGUCUAAUUAUAGAGUAACUGGACUUAAAAGAUUUGUCUCAUGAUUUAUAGGUAAACUAUGCAAUUAGUUAUUUUUUAUCUAUAUUUAAUACUUUAUGCAUGUGUUGCAAGAUUUGAGGUGACAAAUAAUCUUGUAAACUUUAGAAUUUUUGAGUGUAUUUAAACAUGUCCUAUGUGCAACGAGGACAUGUGACAUUCUUUUCCGGCCAUCAGAGUUGAUGUGACAAACGAUUGAUGUAUUUUGAUGGGAUCACGUGUUGGCCGAAGUGAUGCAGUGCAGGCGUCCCCUCGCUGCUAGGCUAGCCGGUUCUGAACAGAUGCAUUUAAUUGGCGCCGAAGAUGAGCAGGCGCGGCGGUCCUACGCACGAUGGCAAGCCAAACUCACACGCAAAUAUGCGCGGAUUCAGCUCAAGAAUACCAACUCCUCAAAUUAUACCAAGUAAGUUACCAAACUGUUGGACCAUGAUUUUUCAUGUUUUGCCAAAACAAAUAAGGAUAGCAAGUACUUUUAGCAAAUUCUUAGAGAUGCUCUUAGGUGUUAGCUGCCCCGCCGUCGCCCGCUGUCCUUCCCAAAAACAAAUAUACUACUAUAUCAUCAUCAACAUUGCUAUUUUCGCAACUGCGCGCAACAGAGUUCCUCCCACGUACGGUGAUGUUGAAAACCAAAAUUAUCCAUUUUACGAAGUUGUCAAAAUAUGGAAUGAACUUCACCAUUGCGUUCCUCCCGUCAAGAUGGUCAAAAAACAUACAUACAAUGUCUAAUUCGGAGUCCGGAUGAAGAAGCUAUGCCCUCGAGAAGAUGCUCCAUUAUUAGAAGUUUUGAUGUGAGUCGAGAGUUCCAACACGAGUCGAGAGUCCCGACAAACAUUGGGAGUUCCGACCCUAGUUGGAAGUUCUGACCCGAGUGAGGAGUUCUGACGCACAUCGGGAGUUUCGACUCGACUUCCAGCUGACCUAAUAACUAUUUGGAUCUGGCCUUCGGGAUUCCGAUUUGAACUCUUCCAAAAUCGUGGAAAACUUGAAAAAAUAAGAUUUGGAGAGGUUUCCUACUGGGAUAAGACCACCCCUCUAUAUAUAUGAGAGGAUCAUGGGCGAUUGAGUUUCCAUCUAUCCAAUCGACAAAACACAAACCAAUCUAAUCCUUUUACCCCUUUUCUCCUCUCCUCCAACCUUCAUGUUGUUCAUCCCUUGAUCCACGACCAAGGAUGGCGCCCUAGUCUCGCUAGUCGACCUAGGCAACCCAUUGACGUCCUUAUCCUCAUGGGAUCCCUCCCGGGUGAGAGCUUCGACGGUUUCUUUGCUAGUUUACUUGAAAACUAGCCAGUUAUUCAUCACGCUAGCACGUUGGUUAUCCUUUGAAGGUUUGCUUGUAAGCCUCUCCAUUAUUCACCAUGAAAAAGUGAGAUCUCACUGCAUUCUUCGGUUCGUAGUGGCCCGGGCGUGCAAUGCCCUUUCUGGUGUUUGAUUCGGACCACAUUGUUGACGGUAGAUAAGUAUUAUUUUUAUAUCAACAAGAGAAUGGAAGAAGGGUGUUGACACUUGCUAACACCACUUGAAUACUAGGUUGUCAUACCCAGCAAGACACUAGAGUGUACUAUGGUAUUUAUACGCACACAGAUAAAUCUGCAAGCGCACGGAUACUGAUGUAGCUUUUUCCAGGUUAAAGGUUUUAUCGUAUCCACAGGGAAACGGGAGAACUGAUCUACGCUCUAACUUAACCAAGAUAAAUAAAUAGGUGUAAAUAGGAAAGAUGGUAUAAUCGAAUAAGAACAAUAUUAAAGGUAAGAUAACAGUGAGUGAUAAUAUGGGAAUAGAGAGUAGAGCAAUCUAAUAUAUAGGCGAUGGUAGCAAAAUAGAGAGGAUAACUAUGGUUUCUCUACUUCAAAGGGGUAUGUCUAUGUCUGGGAUGAACCAUGUGAUAAGAAUACACCACAAAGGAUGCUUAUCCAUAGGCCGAUAAACCCUACCCGUCCUGCUAACGAGAGGUGGACUACAGGGGACCAACGUAACUGUCACCUACACGGCCUAUCACACGAUCCGGCUAGACAGGGGAUAUCCACAAGUAAUCUAGGUCUAAGCACCACGCUUACACCUAUACUACAACUCUAACCUAUAGGGUCCUAUAGAUUAGAAGUACUCAAAAGAGUUGUGAACUAGAACAUACAUGAUUAGUAAUUGCAUAAUGAAUUAGAAGUAGAUUACCAGAGUCAUCCCAUGAGCAAGCUUGAUUAGAGCCUGAUCAUAGCGAAGUACAACCGGAGGAAGAACCGACAGGCCGGCCUCUCCUCUAAUCCUCCUUCGCUCUCCAUCUCGCUACUAUCUAGAUCUACUCUAGUUUAGAGAAGAGAGGAGAGCUCUCAUCUCUAAACCCUAGCUUUUGCUCUGUCUAUGAAUAAUGAAUAAUGAUCAAGGGGUUCCUCCUCCAGGGGCCAGGGGGUCUGGUUAUAUAGUCUCCUCAAGUGAAUCUAGGCCGUCGGAUCAAACCGACAUUGAUUGAACGGUUAUUCUUGAUCCUUUAGGUCGGUGGAGCGUAAUCCGCGAGGUUGAACGUGAUUGGCCGAAAUAGGUGGGCGGGCGCCCUGUCCCUGAGCCCUCUCGGCUUCCGCUUUGUUCCCGUGGCUUCUGGAGUCUUCUAGAUGUAAGAUAAUUGCGCGACACGUUGAUAUCUCUAUGUAAUCCCGACGUGUGGGCCUUUCUUCCUUAUUUCCUGAUAAACCCCUGCAGAAAUAGACAAACACCAAAACUCGUGGAAUUCUGUCAGAUAAAACCCUAAGUUUAGAUGUUGGUUGUAUUUGGAUCCUUUUCUUUGUUUAUUUGCUGAUUAUAUUUGGUACUUAAGGACCGUCAACAAAAGGCAUUAAACAAUCACCAACAAUAGAUUAAGGUUUGAUCUAACAAAAUUCCACAGGUUUUGGUGAAUAUUUAUUAAAUAAUCACCAACAAUAGAAUAAAGUUUGAUCUGACAGAAUUUCAUAUGUUUUGGUGAAUAUAUAUUUCUGCAUGGGAAAUGACCAAAGGAAGUUGACAUGUCAUGAUUACAUAGAGAGAAACAAGAUAUCUACACCACGUAUGAAGAAGGAUCUAGAAGUGUCCACAAGGCACCUAGCCAAGGGGGAGCCCACCUUCCAUAGGGCCAGGGUACCCACCCCUUGGGCCCAGGGCGCCCGCUGAAAGCCCAAUUUUGAUUUUGGAUAAUUGAUGGAACUCAAAGUACUAAAAUUUUAUGCUAAUUGUAUGAAUUAGAUAAGGUUGGUACAUUCCAAGUGAUAGAGCAAGAGAUGAUCAUGGUGAUGAUAGUGAUGACCACAAGAUGAUCAAGUGCUCAACUUGAAAAAGAAGAAAAAAACAAAACCCUAUGGAGAUCAAGGCAAAGGUAUUGCUUAGGGUUUUGGUUUUGGUGAUCAAGACACCAUAGAGGGUGUGAUCAUGUUUAGGACAGAUAGCCAUACUAUAAAGAGGGAAAUUAUUUAGCUAUGCGGUUAUCAAGUGCCACUAGAUGACAUUGUUCAUAUGCAUGGAUUUAGAACCUAGUGAGCUAACUUAACUCCUUUGAAGAAAAUGAUUAUGAAAAUGCUAACACACUUGCACAUGUUGGUACUCACAUGGUGGUGUUGGCACACUUUAAGAAGGAGGUAGAGUUUGAAGGGUAGAGAGGGGUUUGGGUUCCUCUCACCCUCCCGCCAAGCUUGCGAGGCGAGAUUCGGUGCUUUUGAGAAAAUGAAAUGCAUAUUUUCUAUUGUGCUAGGUGGAAAGUUUGGAGAAGUCGUGGUAGUGUUUUUUACUAGAAAAAUACUCACUGGACACUGGCCGUGGAGGCAUCGGACGUUUGCUUAGCAUCCAGAGUAUAGUGAUUGAGCAGCGCAGUGUUGAGCUGCACGUCGGAGCAUCCGACGGUGAGCGUUGGACGCGACUCCAACACUGUUCCCGCGUCUAGUGAGUAGUCUGUGAAUGCACGAGCGAGCCUCUCUAGCCGUGGUUGUCGGAUGCAGGGAGCGUCCGAUGAGGUUGCAUUGGACGUGCCCGACGCUUUUGCGUUUUGCAGAGCUCCCUGAGUAGCGUUCGGUGGUGAGGGGCGCAUCCAGUGUGUACCACCUGACGCGCCUGACGCUUUGAACCUAUGAACUCGAAUGUUUAAGUGACUGUUAAAGAUCAACGCGCGAGAUUCAAAAGCUAGACACAUGGUUGUCAUCUGAGCGUCGGACACUGGGUUCUAGCGUCCGACGGUUAAUCAUCUAUGCAUCUGACGCCCCGUUUUCUGUGCAGUGAGAGCCAACGACUCUAUUUAUUUAGGGUGUCUAUAAAUAGUGUUUGGCCGGCUUAGGGCUCACUCCCUUGGCAUUCUAGUAUACUUGACAUUCUUGUGAGCCUAAGCAAACACCUCCCACUCAUCUCCUUCAUAGAUUAAUCAUUAUAGUCAGAUUGGGAGUGAUUCCAAGUGCAUUUGCUUGAGUGAUUGCAUCUAGUGGCACUUGAGGAUCGUUGUGACUGCGGUUUUCUUGUUUCUCUUGGUGGUUGCCGCCACGUAGACGGCUUGAAGCAGCAGAGAAGGAUUGGCAUAAGUUGGUGAUUAUUCGUGGCCAUCUCCUAGUGAUUGUGAGGGGUUUUGUGCCUUUCCCGACAGAGAGCCAAAGGCAACUAUAGUGGAUUGCACAUGUCUUGGGUAUUUUAAACGCAAACAGAAAAAUCCGCAAGCGCACGGAUACCGAUGUAGCUUUCACUCGGGAGUAUUCCAGAGUAUCAAUUUUCCACAGGGAACGUGAGUGUACUAAUUAAGAUUCAAGAUCGCCUAAGGAUAACUAUAUAAUUAUUUUUGGUGGGAAGAGAGAAAGUUUCCGGAGAGUUCUCUAGUUGAUCUAAGAAUCAAGAAUUACUUCAAAGAUUAUUUAUUUCGGGACAUCAGAACACUAACCACAGAAAGAGAUGAGAAGGGGGCUAGGAAGCUCUGACUACGGUCCUACAAACACCGAUCCGAACGAGGUGGAAUACGUCGACCGUUAGGGCUGUCACUACCCUAGGGCUACCACAACAAUCCGUAGGAUUGGGUGCAAUUCCAGGUAAUUGCAAGACUAAACACCACGUCUAAUCUAUUAAUUACUACUCUAAUGUUGCAAAGAUUAGAGCACCUGAUGCAAGCGGGAAUCCAAUAAAUAACUUGAAUGUAAAUAAAAGUAAUUAAAGAACUCAGGAUUAUGAAUUGAAGAACCUGGAGAACGAUGAAGAACGAACCAGUUGCUGCAAAAGUACAAUGUUGAGGAAGAUCCGACAGAUCCGGCUCCUGCUCCUCCGCUCUCCUCUUCUCUCUCCCUAUUUUCUAGAUUACAACUAGAACUAACUAGAACUAGAACUAGAGGAACUAGAACUAGAACUAGAUGAACUAGAACUAGAACUAGAUGAACUAGAGGUAGAACUAGAUGAACUAGAGGGAUCCUCUCUACAUGGAUGAAGAAUUGAAACCCUAGCUUUGAUUUUGUAGAAGAGGUAUGCCUCCAGGGGCUGGUGGGGGUCUGCUUAUAUAGUAACCUCAGGUGAAUCUGGGCCGUCGGAUCGAACUGACAUUAAUCGCACGGUUUUCCUUGAUCCCUUAGGUCGGUGGAGUACGAUCCGCAAAGUUGACCUUGAUUGGGCACAGAAGGUGUGCGGGCGCCCUGGUCUCUAGGGCGGGCACCCUGGGCCAGGCCCCGUUUUGCCUCCGUUUCGUUCCCGUAGCUUCUGGAUUCUUCUAGAUGAUAGAAAAUUGCGCGGCACGUUAAUAUCUCUAUGUAAACCCAACGUGUGGGCCUUUCCUCCGUAUUUCCUGAUGGCCCCCUGCAGAAAUAGACAAACACCAAAACUCGUGGAAUUCAGUCAGAUAAAACCCUAAGUCUGGGUGUUGGUUGCAUUUAGAACCUUUUCCAUGAUUAGUUGACGGUUAAAUGUGAGCAUUAAGGAUCGUCUACAAGCUCCCCCAAGCUUAUCCUUUGCUCGUCCCUAAGCAAAGAUGAACUCAAGAGUUUCUGUAGUGGUUUCAUGCCUUAAAGAUAUACAUGCGUUCAAACAAGAUCUCAUCUCUGGGUUAGGGUAAACUGUUAAGAUUUAAACUUACUCAUUUUUCUUCCAUCAUGGGGCUUGCAACCGUCACUUGUGUCUUGAGCAGUUAAAAGAUAGAACGGUCUAGUCAAGCGCCAUGUCUCUUGUUCUUCGAUUAACUAUAGCUCUGGAGUUUUUGCAGAUUUUCAAAUAAAACUCAGAGAUUCCUUGUAUGACUCUCUCUAGUCUCUCUUUUGUGGUAUUUCUGGAUCCUUACCAAAGCAGUAAUGGUGUAUGCCUUCUCUCAAAGUAUGUGGUAUUUUUGGUAUGAGGCAUAGUGGCAUUGUCUUCUCUCUCACCCUACUCUAAUAAGGUUUUGAUAUCUGCAGCUCAUAGGUGGGAGACAACUAAUGCAUACUUACAAGACAUUUAUUGCAUAGUUGUUGACACCAUUUUUUGGGCACGUGUAUAGGAUGGCAGGAUAGGGUGGCAGUACGAUGCGGGUUGCUGAUGAGGAUGGUUGCCGAUGAGGGAGAGGUUGAAUGUGACUGAGUCCACAGGCAGUAAUAUGGUGCCGAUAGCUGGAUAAAAAGGUCUGCCGAUGACUAUGGCAAGGGGAUUGCCGAUGAUGCGAGGGAGGAGUCUGGAAGCUGCCAGUCGUCAUGUGGAGGAGUUUCGGUUUGUCACGAAGGAUAGUUUUAUUAUUUCCUUAAUUAUUUGCAUCGUUUUGUAUACGGAUUCCGUGUAAUUUGGAAUUCGAAUUCUAAUCGUGUCUGGUUGUAGCUCUUUGAGCAGGGUAUAAAUAUAAACCCUAGGACCUUGUAAUAAUCAAUCAAGAAAUCAAUCAAACACACGUUUUACUCAUAUUCCAGCAUCUACUUUUUCGACGACUUCGUCAUACUUUUUUCUUUUUAUUACGAGUUCUUAGGAAUUCGUCGACUUAAGCUCGGCGUGUUCUCGAGUUCCGCGUGAGUACCUCUUAGCCGUGACAUCCGGGCGCAUCGCUGUUGUCAGGACUAAAGUAUUCGAGUUAUCACCUUUGCCGAUAGCAAGGUCAAAUCGGCUGGCACGCCUUAACGUUUGAAUCGGGUAUUAGCCCUUUGUGUUUGCAGAUCAGUUUUGCAUCAACACAUCUUUUGGCACGCCCAGUGGGACCGAUUCAAGAUCAAGAUCAACAUGUCGAUCUCUGACCUCGAUCAAGAGAACGUCAUCCCCGUGACGGAAGCCAACCUCAAGGAUGAGCAAAAGCAAGCUAUUGCCCAAGCCAUGGAAGAGUUCAAGCAGCAAUGCCUGAGGUCUUUCAGCAUAAACAGGAGCGGCGAAGUGGUCCAGAAAGAUGCACUGCCGGCACCACGGCAGGUCACCUUUGACGCCAAUCCUGGCAAGCUUCAAGAUAUGGUUGACAAUGCCAUCAAUUGAGCGUUGAUUAACCAAGCUGGUGUACUGUCUAAUACGGUUUUCAACGCCGUGGCAAGAACUUUCAAGGAAGGACAAAUCCCGCCAGAUUAUGUGGGGCCCUCCCAUCAUCAGCCAACGGCACCAGAGGUCACGGCUCCAUCGGCUGCCUUGACGAAUGCAAGUGCACAGUCUGCCGUCCCUCCAAGUACAUUGGGGACUACUGGCGCACUAUCUAUGCCGAUGGCAACCAACCCACAAAUUUCAGUUGGGCAGCAUAAACUGACAACAGAUAUGUUGGCAUCGGCAAUGUCAGGGUUAAAUCUUCCUCCCAACUGGUGGGGUUAUGGUAUGCCUCCAGAGUUGACGCCGGGAACAUCACAAAUAACUGACAUGAGGGGCAAAACUCCUAUGACAUCGGCACCUCCCAAUGCGCCGGUGAACCAGAGUCCUCGGUAUACCACAACUACUACCGCAAGGCCUCACACUGGGAAUCCUCAAGAUUCAAUGUUUCAGAUGCCCAACGCAUCGGCAGAGUCAAUGCUGAUGCAACAGAGGCCUAUGGCCCAGUCGGGGUAUGUCAAUUCAACGACGGUACCCAAUUACCAAUCAUCGGCAGCACCUAUGCCGAUGAACGCUAAUAAUGGAUGGCUUGGACAGCAAGCCUUUCCACAAUCGCCCCAGCAGGGUUAUCAGACUACGGGGUUCCAGCAAGGGCAGGUUUAUCCCGGGUUCCAAGGUCAGGGGAUUCCCAACCAGCCAAUAAAUUUUGGACAGCAACUCGGAGGACAGCCAAUCGGUGGACAGCAGUUUGGUAGUCCGCAGAUUGGAGGACAGGUGACCAAUACAAUGUUCCAUGCAGGUCACGUCCCAAACAGACACGUGGAGGUUCGCCACCAAGUGCCAGAUCCGCAGCCGCCUCAUCGGCAAGAUGCCGAUGCGUAUUGGGCCGAUAAGAUUGCUGAAGUAAUGAGGGAACAAUUUGGGAUAAAACCCAAAGUCAACACUUAUUCUUAUCGGACACCGUAUCCUCCAGCGUAUGAUUUGAUCCCGCUUCCACAUCGGUACAAGGUACCGGAUUUUACAAAGUUUUCCGGACAGGACGACACGUCAACCAUGGAGCAUGUCAACAGGUUCAUUAUUCAAUGUGGAGAGGCUGGUAACAGGGACGAAUUGAGGGUUCGUCUAUUUUCAUCAUCAUUGUCUGGAUCGGCCUUUACUUGGUUCAUAUCAUUACCUCCCAACUCAGUAAUUACUUGGGCCGAUCUAGAGAAGCAAUUCCAUAGAUACUUCUUCUCGGGGGUUCAUGAGAAGAAGAUCACCGACUUGGUCAAGUUGAGGCAACGUAAUGAUGAGUCGGUUGAGGGAUUUGUGCAGAGGAUACGAGAGGUCAAGAAUAAAUGCUAUAGCCUGGUUCUGGAUGAUCGGCAGCUAGCCGAUUUGGCUUUCCAGGGUUUGUUGCCACAUAUCAGGGAUAAGUAUGCCUCUCAGGAGUUCGAAAGUUUAAGUCAUUUGGUGCAGAGGAUAUCUGAUCAAGACAUCAAGCCUUUCGAGCCUAAGAGGGCAUGGAAUAAGAAAGUGUCAUUUGUUGACGAAGCAACAAGCUCAGAUUCCGACGAGGAACUAGUAAUCGGUUUGGCAGAGUGGGUAAAAAACAAGAAGCCGAUGUCUUGUCCUUUUGGGCAGAAGGAACCAGAGAAGUUUGCCUUUGACACCGCCAAGGCCGAUAGGAUAUUUGACUUUCUACUUCAGGAAGGUCAAAUCAAACUGUCACCUAACCACGUGAUCCCGUCGGCAGAAGAGUUGAAGAGGAUGAGAUAUUGCAAGUGGCAUAAUGCAACUUCACAUGACACCAACGAGUGCAAAGUAUUCAGACAGCAGCUGCAAUCGGCUAUAGAGUCAGGGAGAAUCAAGUUUGACAGUUCUAAAGCCCAGAAGCCGAUGAAGAUAGACCAACAUCCUUUCCCGACAAACAUGUUGGACGCUAAGGGGAAGGCUAAGGUCUUAACGUCGGAAACAGCUGAGAAGAGUGCAUCGGUAGAUCCUCAGCAUCAAGUUACUACUGCCGAUGCAAGAAGUAAGGGCUUGGUCCAGGAAGGAACUAGCUCAGGAAGGCUUCCUCGAUCUGGCAUCGUCAUAACUCAUAGGAGGCCUCGAGAAAAAUGGCAACAACGGGAAGAUCGGUAUCGACGCCAGCAGGAAGAUUAUCAACGGGAAGAAGAAAGACGCCGACAGGAGUGGAAUCGGCACAGGGAUCAUUGGAAUUGCCCAUUCUUCAUCCAUUGUUGGGAGGAGAAUAUCAAGCUUCCUACUGUCAGAGACUGCCCUGAAUGCAAUGGUUAUGAUCGGUACGAUAGGAACGAUCGGCGUUAUUAUGAUGAUGAACGGCGAGCUAAUGGGCCGAUCAGAGGAAGGGUGUCAGUUCAUGACCGGCUGGGGGGCAGAUUCAGUGGGCACAACAGACUUAGUGACCAUGUCCAGUAUUUUCCCAGGAACCAAGAGGAGCUCGAAGGAAUGGCUGAUGCGCGGGUUCCCGAUGAAUUCAUAUUUUGCAGGGAUGCUAACACGCAUCGCAUGGAGUCAAGGGAGAACCGACGCCCGACGGCAAGGCAAAGGCCACUUCCUCCAUGGUGCCCUCAAGGAUUAACCAAGACACAGAAAAGGAGAUUGCAACGAGAAAGGCAAGAGGAGCUAAACAAGGGAGAGAACUCUGGAAGUCGGCAGCCGUCAGACACUAAGAGGGAAGGUCCAUCGGCAGGCGUCAACAUGGUCUUCAUGUUGCCGAUGGAGUUUCUUGCACCAGCCAGUGACGAUGAGUUGGAAUUUUCUGAUCAGAUAGCUCAGUUGGCUCUGGAUCCGAUGACGGCUAUCUUUGAGAAACCUGCCGAUGACGAGAGGCAGCAUCUUAAAGCUUUAUUCCUCAAAGGAAGGGUUGAUGGGCAGCCAAUGACCAAGAUCCUAGUUGAUGGUGGAGCUGCUAUUAAUAUUAUGCCGUAUGCAGUAUAUCGGAAGCUUGGGAAAGGGGAUCAAGAUUUGACCAAGACCGAUAUGAUGCUCAAAGACUUUGAAGGAAACGUGUCUCCAGUCAAGGGGGCGAUAUGUGCAGAGUUGACCAUCGGCAGCAAAACCUUGCCGGCAACUUUUUUCGUGAUCAGCGGAAAAGGUGCCUACAAUUUAUUAUUGGGGAGAGAUUGGAUUCAUGCCAAUUGUUGUGUCCCAUCUACAAUGCAUCAGUGCUUGGUUCAGUGGGUAGGUGACAAGAUUGAGAUCGUCCCAGGAGAUUCUUCUUAUGUUAUCGCAUCGGCAGAAGCGGAUACUUACGAAAGGACCAGGUGCAUUUCAGGAGAAGCUUGGGAGAAAGAUUUUCUCAAAGUUGCCGAUUAUGAGAUUCCACCGAUCCAAGCAGUCGGUUCUGACGACGGUUUUUAAUGGAUAGAUUCGCCGAUGAUGGAAAAUUAGGCCAGGGAUUCACAUCGGCCGAUGAUUUGGUAGAAAUAGAUAUAGGUAGUGGUGAUAAGCCUAGACCUACUUUUAUUAGUGCUAAAUUAGAUCCUGAGUGUAAGCGACAAUUAAUUAGUUUGUUAAAGGAAUAUAAAGAUUGCUUUGCUUGGGAUUAUACAGAGAUGCCUGGUUUAGACCGAUCAAUUGUCGAACAUCGGUUACCCAUCAAGUCCGGAUUUCGGCCACAUCAGCAACCAGCCCGCCGAUGUAAUCCUAACAUUCUACCUGAUAUUAAGGCCGAAAUCACUAAACUUAUUGAAGCUAAGUUUAUUCGGCAGUGUCGGUAUGCCGAAUGGAUUUCCAAUGUUGUUCCGGUUUACAAGAAGAACGGGAAGCUUCGGGUGUGCAUUGAUUUCAGGAAUCUCAAUAAAGCUACGCCGAUGGAUGGAUACCCAAUGCCUGUCGCCGAUCUACUGGUUGAUGCUGCGGCUGGCCAUCGGGUCAUCAGCUUCAUGGAUGGUAAUGCGGGUUACAAUCAAAUAUUCAUGGCAGAGGAGGAUAUUCCAAAAACCGCAUUCAGGUGUCCUGGUCAUGUUGGACUAUUUGAAUGGAUAGUCAUGACUUUUGGGUUAAAGAAUGCUGGUGCUACUUAUCAAAGGGCAAUGAAUUUUAUAUUUCAUGAGUUCAUCGGCAAGCUCGUAGAAAUUUAUAUUGAUGAUGUGGUGGUUAAGUCUGGAGAUUUCUCAAAGCAUCUUGCCGAUUUACGAAAAGUGUUGGAGUGCACAAGGAAGCAUGGAUUGAAGAUGAAUCCCAACAAGUGUGCAUUUGGCGUAUCGGCAGGGCAGUUUCUUGGUUUCAUGGUACAUCAGAGGGGUAUUGAAAUUAGUCGAAGAUCUAUUGAUGCCAUCAAUAAAAUAGUGGCCCCUACCAAUAAAACCGAGCUCCAAUCCUUGAUCGGCAAGGUGAAUUUUAUCAGAAGAUUUAUAUCGAAUUUAUCUGGGAGGAUUCGUGCUUUCAGUCCUCUUCUUAAAUUGAAAGCCGAUCAAGAGUUUGUUUGGGGAGAAGAACAGCAGUUGGCUCUGGAUGAAAUCAAAAGGUAUCUAGUAAAUCCUCCAGUUUUAGUUCCACCUCAACAAGGGAAGCCCUUCAAAUUGUAUUUAUCUACCGAUGGAUCGGUUAUCGGUUCAGCUUUAGUUCAAGAAUUUGAGGGGAAAGAGAGAGUAAUUUAUUAUUUGAGUAGGAGGUUGAUUGAUGCUGAAACCAGGUAUUCGGCCAUUGAGAAACUGUGCUUAUGCUUAUAUUUUUCAUGUAUCAAGCUGAGACAUUACCUGUUGUCGGCUGAAUGUGCUGUUGUUUGCAAAGAUGACGUGGUCCGAUACAUGCUAUCUAUGCCGAUUAUGAGUGGUAGGAUCGGUAAAUGGAUUUUAGCGCUGUCAGAGUUCGAUUUGCGUUACGAAUCGGCUAAGGCAGUCAAAGGGCAGAUUAUGGCCGAUUUUGUGACUCAGCAUUGCGGUCUAGUGGAAACCUUGGAAAUUGCACCCUGGACGCUCUUCUUUGAUGGAUCUACCUGUGACCGGGGGGCAGGAAUCGGCAUUGUAUUAGUUUCUCCUAAGGGGAGGAAGUAUGAGUUUUCCUUGCCGAUUGUUGCUACAUCAACAAAUAAUCAGGCUGAGUAUCAAGCUCUAAUCAAGGGAUUGGAGUUGUUAAGAGAAGUUCGUGCUGAUGCUGUUGAAAUAUUCGGGGAUUCUAUGUUGGUUAUAAAUCAAUUGGCCGGAAGCUAUGAAUGCCGAAGUGAAGUUCUCAUAACCUAUUUCGAGAGAAGUAUGCAACUGUUAAAGGAAUUCAAGGACUUCCGAUUGGAGCAUGUUCCCCGAUUGCAUAAUGAAGACGCUAAUCGGUUAGCCCAGCAUGCCUCGGGAUAUCAGCCAAUGAUUAAUGCGACAUCGGCAGUCAGUGCCGGUGAUUGGAGGAAAGAAAUUAUUGAUUAUCUAAAAGAUCCAUCCAAAAAAGUUGAAAGACGGGUUCGAUUUCAAGCAACCAAGUAUGUGCUCCUUGAAAAUGAAUUGUAUUAUCGAACUGUCGACGGAAUUCUUCUCCGAUGCUUGGGUGAUGAUGAAGCCAGAAGUUUGAUGGGGGAAAUCCAUGAAGGAGUGUGUGGAGCGCAUCAGUCGGCUUUUAAGAUGAAGUGGAUGAUUCGAAGGAAUGGAUAUUUUUGGCCAACCAUACUUGAAGAUUGUUUUAAAUAUUUCAAGGGGUGUCAAGGUUGUCAAAAGUUCGGUAAUAUCCAGAGAGCACCCGCAUCGGCUAUGAAUCCUAUAAUAAAACCUUGGCCGUUCCGGGGAUGGGCCAUCGAUCUGAUCGGCCAGAUUUAUCCACCAUCUAGCAAAGGGCAUAAGUUCAUUCUAGUUGCCACUGACUAUUUCACUAAGUGGGUCGAAGCUAUUCCUUUGAAGAAAGUCACAUCGGCCAAUAUGAUUGAUUUUGUGAAGGAGCAUAUUAUUUACCGAUUUGGGAUUCCCCAAACGAUUACUACCGAUCAGGGCACCAUGUUCACGUCAGGGGAGUUCGAUGAAUUCGCAAUCGGUAUGGGAAUUAAAGUGUUGGAUUCUUCUCCUUACUAUGCUCAAGCCAAUGGGCAGGCCGAAGAGUCUAACAAAGGAAUUAUCAAGCUUAUUAAACGAAAGAUUGAAGAAAAUCCUAGGCGGUGGCAUACAUUGUUAAAUGAAGCACUAUGGUCUUAUCGGAUGGCUUGUCAUGGAUCAACCAAGGUGUCACCCUAUCAAUUGGUGUAUGGACAUGAUGCAGUGUUGCCUUGGGAGAUUAAGGCUGGAUCUAGGCGAUUAUCUUUUCAAGAUCAAUUGGCUGCCGAUGAUUAUGCCACUUUGAUGACCGAUGAGUUAGAUGAUUUAGCAGGGCAUCGGUUAAAGGCUUUAAUGAGUAUAGAAGAAAAUAAGAAGAGAGUUGCUAGAUGGUAUGAUAAGAAAGUAAAGGCUAAGGAGUUUGCCGAUGGGGAUUUGGUAUGGAAGUUGAUUUUGCUAGUCGGGACUAAAAGUUCAAAGUUUGGGAAGUGGUCUCCUAAUUGGGAAGGUCCUUAUCGGAUAAGACACUCGGCUCCUGGUAAUGCCUAUAUUCUAGAAACUCUCGAAGGAGUUGAAUUUCCCAGAGCAUUAAAUGGCAAAUAUUUAAAGAAGUACUACCCCAGCAUAUGGGUCGAUGCAUAAAAGUUUAAGUGCCGAUAACACUCCUAUCGGCUGGAUUUAAAUGUUUGGGGGCAGACUUAAUGUUUCAAAAGAUGCCGAUAACAGUCUUAUCGGCUAGACUAAAAGCUAAAAGCGGGAAAACAAAGGUGUGUUGCCGAUGAAAGCUUCAGAUGUUCAGCAGCGCUUGGAUUGCCGAUAUGGCGCGCAGCCGGAUCUGAUUGGCUGUCUCUAUCUCUUUGAUAUCAUCAUCGGCAGAACCUUCUAUCGGCUUCAGCUUCCUCUUCAGCUGCAGCGCUUUGCGGCCGUGGACAUUUCGUUCUUGUUCAAGGUGCUUGAUGGUCUCCGGCAGUUGACUCUCUUCUUGCUGGGCUUGGGACAGAGCAUCCUCUACUUGCUUGAGUUCGGCCAGCAGAGCUUCUCUUUUUGCCGAUAGAUCAGAUACUUUCUGCUUCAGUGCAUCACCUGAGGACUUUAAGGUGCCGAUGUUCUUAUGUUUCUCGUCGGCUAAGAGUUUUUCUUUCAUCAUCUCCUCAGAAAGCUGGAUUUGAGCGGCUCUAUCGGCAAGGCGUCGAGUGGCUCUCUGGUACUGUAGCUGGCGGCUUUCUAGGUAUGCAGCAUGGAAGAGGGUUUCUUCAGCAUCGGCAGGAAUUUGGCCUCUAAGGGUUUUGAACAGGGCCUUGGCCGGGUCAGAAUCGUUGACCAGUUGAGCAGUGUCUUGAUGAAGUAUGGCCGAUAGCUCCUCCAGCUUAGUCCUGGUUUCUACCGAUACAGUCCCAAUUGCCCGAGAGGAGCUUGCUUCCUCACCUUCUUCUUCGAAGAUAUCAAUGGCGAAGGAGAAUAAGCUAUCGGGAGAAUCUUGUUCCUGAAAAUGAGAAUGAAAUAAGUCAUUUUUAUGGUCAAAGCUUCGGCAGACGAUGCUGGUGGAAAAAUUGGAUGACUUACUUGUUUCAGGGCAAUUUCUUGCCUUUGACUCAAAGAUACCGAUGGAGCUACAGGUUGAUCGGCAGAUGUUGCCGAUGGAACGAUAUCGCCUGAGAGAAGACAGGAAGGGUUAUGAGACUAAAUGAGAAUAAGUUUAUCGGCAGAAGUAUUGUUGAGAUAUGUUACCCGGAGGAGGAACAACAGUUGUCUGAAUCAGGGAAACCGCCGAUGAUAUAAUUGGACCUGCCGGGCCAGUUGUUUGUUCACCCACGUCAGCUGAUGUACCUUCUGUUUGAGGUUCUUCCUGCUGGGGUUCUUCCAUCUGUGGUGCUUCCUGCAUUGGUUGGGGAGAUGGUGCUUGCUGUGUCUGGACUUCUGGAGAAGAAGGGGAAGAUUCCACCGGGAUUGGAGACACCGGAGGAGGAGGGGGAGUUGCCACUUUCUGGCGCUUUGUUCCAGCCUUAGCACCUUGGGUGCCCUUCCUCUUUGGCUGGCUAGACUGGGGGGCAUCGGUACCUUGGCGUUUGGCUUUUGCCGAUGCACCAGUUUGCUGCAACAACAAAAAGGAGUUUAUGAGCAUAGAUAGCCGAUACAAAGAUAGUUAGCAUAAAUGAAAAGGGUCUGACAAAUUGCCCUGAAAGCUUGCGCCAGAGUGGAAGCAGCUACCGUUGGCGAUGUCUGAGUUUUCCUGGUGGUAACUUUCUUGAGGCGCGCACCCCGAUGCAUGAUGGAAGCCAGAGUGGGAGCAUUAUGGCCGAUUGAGGAGAUCGGGCCUGAUGGGAACAAGUCGAUCGGCUUGCCACUCCUGCUAACCGAUGGGGGGGUGUUGUCAGCCUGCAAAAGGAAUACAGGGGUAAGUUACCGAUGGAAAUAGUAUUGGAAAAUGAGACAUCGGUUUAAAAUACUUACAGUGUCAUCAGGGACUUCGUAUUCGGGGUCGAUCAUGCCGCGGUAUGAGAGGGCCGAUCUGCAGAAUAGAUUCUCUUUCCAUUCUGCCCACCAUAGCUUGUAUGCCUGAGUAAUAAAGGCAGCUGGAACCCAUUCUAACAGAUCUACAUCUGUAUCGGCAUUUGGUGGUAGCUGGGCUACUCGAGUCCACUCGAGAAGGUUGGCGAUGGGUUCUCUGGGCUUUAUCACAUCGGCAUAAGGAAGUGCAAUCGGCAACUGGCCGAAAGCUAGCUGGCGAGCUAAUGCCGAUGGAUUAUAAAAUUCAUAGGUUUGGGGAGAGGUUUUUGUGCUACCGAAGAAAUUCACUGGUAUGGCUCUGGGAGUCACAAUUGCCAUCAUCACCUCAUUGUCCCUGUCGAGAGCUUCAUCAAAUGGAUUGAAGGUCAGAGGGAGCAUGCUAUCUGGAUCGUCAUAAGCCAGCCAUGGUCGUUCAUCUCUGGCCAGACCCUCAUACAGAGUCUCAAAGAAUCGGCCGAUCUGAUCCGGAUUGUUCCCUGAACCGGGUAAGACUAUAACGGCUUCGCCAAAGUUCAAGGGGGCACGCGUUGCCGAUUCCUCUUCACCCAACACAUGAUUUUCGGCUAUAUCUCUUGGGAAGUGCUGUGAGAACAAGUUGAAAUCAAGGCGCUUAUGCAGGUGCAGAUUGAGCCACAUAUUAAUAAACCACCAGGGGCCUCCCAAGUUGCCGAUGGAUUGGCCAAGCAGGAGUUUCUGGGCUACCUGAUGAAGAAGGUGGUAAACAGCGCUGAGCAAAUAUCGGCGGAGAGGAAAUUGGCCACCGCUAGCCAGUCUUUCUGCUGCCGAUAGAUAGACAGAAGUCGGUCCUGCUGAUCGACCACAGAAUACAAACUUGUCCAGCCACAUGUUCAGAAAGGUGGUUUGCUCCUUUAUGGUGACAGGCCCUCUCCCGCGGUACUUCUGGAUGUACCCUGACCAACCGCCGAUAGCGCGAGUCUCCACUUUGGCACUGGGGGCAGUAUCAAAAAAGUGGGUGCUAUCGGCAGAAGAUAUAUCUAGCCCAGUAAGCAUGGCUACAUCGGCAAGGGUAGGAGAAGUAGGGCCGUGGCCAAAAACAAAAGCAUUGAGAGUGUCUGACCAAAAGUAGGAUGCAGCUAUCAGCAAUGACUCGUUCCUGUGCAUAUCGGCAAUGGAUAGCCUAAUGCAUUGAGCUAGCUUCCUCUCACCCCACUGAACUUCAUAAGAAUUGCUGACCCUCAAGAACCAAUCUUUCCACCCUACAGUAGGGCUGGGCCAAGAGCGAAAGGUGUCUUUCCACAGAUCUAAAGAAAAGUUUUCGGCUCUAAAGGGAAUCCUGUUGGUUUCUGCAUUGAUAAGGUCGGUUGGAUCUGGAUUCCCUAGAGGGCCGAGGCACUGAAGGUGUGGUUGAUCGGUAGGGAUGACAAUUUUGUUGGACAACUCCUAGUGUUUUGGGGAAUAAAAAUACAAAGAAAAAGGAAAAGGAAGAUAUUCGGUAAGAUGAAUCGUAGAUGAACAGGAAUGCGAGAAAAAGGUACAGGAGAUGAGAUGGAAGUCUGACCUCAGGGACGACGAAGCCAAUGGCCAUCUUGUCGUGAAGAGGACGUUGGAGGGCACCAGAGUUGAUGAAGAGGAAUGCUUGUCGGAGAUCUUGAGGGUUGUAAAUGGCGCCGCCGCUGGAAAAGCAAAGUGGGAUAGUAGAAUGGUGUAAUGGGGGAGGAGUACCCAAGAAGGAACUAUUUAUAGGACAAGACGGGCAAGGGCAAAUCCGACUUAUCUCUUUGCCGCAUCCGAGAAGCCCGAGGGUACUCAGGUAGAUAUGGUAGCUGUUCGCACAGUAAUCCAGGGAUUGUGCAGGUGAUUUGACGGGAAGCGGUCAUUAUCUAAAGAUAUUUUGCUGUGCGAGAUCUCCUGGUCGGUCCAUCGGCGAUAUUCUAUAACGGUCAUCUUGCCGAUGGGCGGAUAGAGGGGAGGUAACCGUUUUUGCGAAUAUCCUGGUCAGAGCAUCGGCAGAUCUUUGUAACGGUAUUGUUGCCGAUGUACGACCAAGAAAGAUGCCCGUUUAGGAAGUUGGGGAUUUCGAGGAAUCUGCGGAGGAUUAGGAUCAGAGUUGUCCAGAUUGAGGUUGUCGGUUACCAGAUUAGGAGCAUUAAUUGCGGAGAAGGCAUCAUUACUGCAGAGAAUUUCGGAGCAUUAAUAGUUUUAUACUCCGAAACUGGGGGGCAUGUGUUGACACCAUUUUUUGGGCACGUGUAUAGGAUGGCAGGAUAGGGUGGCAGUACGAUGCGGGUUGCUGAUGAGGAUGGUUGCCGAUGAGGAAGAGGUUGAAUGUGACUGAGUCCACAGGCAGUAAUAUGGUGCCGAUAGCUGGAUAAAAAGGUCUGCCGAUGACUAUGGCAAGGGGAUUGCCGAUGAUGCGAGGGAGGAGUCUGGAAGCUGCCAGUCGUCAUGUGGAGGAGUUUCGGUUUGUCACGAAGGAUAGUUUUAUUAUUUCCUUAAUUAUUUGCAUCGUUUUGUAUACGGAUUCCGUGUAAUUUGGAAUUCGAAUUCUAAUCGUGUCUGGUUGUAGCUCUUUGAGUAGGGUAUAAAUAUAAACCCUAGGACCUUGUAAUAAUCAAUCAAGAAAUCAAUCAAACACACGUUUUACUCAUAUUCCAGCAUCUACUUUUUCGACGACUUCGUCAUACUUUUUUCUUUUUAUUACGAGUUCUUAGGAAUUCGUCGACUUAAGCUCGGCGUGUUCUCGAGUUCCGCGUGAGUACCUCUUAGCCGUGACAUCCGGGCGCAUCGCUGUUGUCAGGACUAAAGUAUUCGAGUUAUCACCUUUGCCGAUAGCAAGGUCAAAUCGGCUGGCACCCCUUAACGUUUGAAUCGGGUAUUAGCCCUUUGUGUUUGCAGAUCAGUUUUGCAUCAACACAGGUGCAUCAACACAUCGGAUACAUACCUUUCUUGCUCUUUUGAAACUUUUUGAGGAGAAUGAGAUACUCUAUAUUUUCUUUUUCUUUUCUCUCAGGUGGGUAUCUUGUACCCCUAAUUCUACUGUCGGACACUUGUCUAUUUUUACCACUCAUCUCACUUUUUCUUUUCUUUCGAGGUUCCAGGCACUUGCCCCUUUUUAUUUCCUCGUAUCUUCUUUUUUUUAGAGCACUCAUCUCUUGAAAUAAUGUAGCAAGUGGUAGUAACCGAAAUAACUUGAGAAUUUAUUUCACAGGGGAAAAACAGAAAUGUUUUUAGCUAUUCUCUCCCGUAUUAGGAGUAGAAUAUUUUUAGGUGAUUAUGGAGAUGGAAAUGAGUGGAUGUAUGUGGAUGCGUACUUCCAGAGUAGAAGCAGCAUGUGUGAGUGAACGUGCAAGUGAAUCUUGAUUUAACCACAUGACAAGCUCCUAAGGGUCUACACAGCUUGACCACACUCAAUGCUCAUAAGCAGUAAAAAGUAAAUGAAUGGUUCAUAGUCUAAUAAGCAUGUAUAUAUGGCUGUGGUAGGAUUUUAAACUCUCAUCAUACAGGAACUCAUCAUGCAACAUUUUAAAGAUUUUCAAAGAUAAAAUUCUCCAGAAUUCUAGCAUCUCUAGGAACAGAUAAACAGCAGCUCAACUUCCCAUAUCAUAUCCGUUAACGACUUAGACUUUAGAUCAAGUAUUCUCCCCACAAGUUCAGGUUUAGAUCAAAUCUUAAUUCAUAACAGUCAAGCCUAAACUUGAGAGAGAUUUCAAUUCUGAGAACUAGUCAUGGCAGAGCAACUUUUCGUCAUUUCCAUGUGAGAGCUUAUCAUGAUAGUUCAUAGCAAACUUUAUUUAUUUAUUUAUUUAGCAAACUAAGCAAAGAUAUAUAUAUAUAAGCACAAAAUCUUUAUUUGGGUUUUUAUGAUUAUGCAUCUUUUUAUUAUUUGAGUAAAGUAUAAACAUGAGUAGAACACUUAGCAGGAUAAAUGGGGGUGCUCUCUGUUGACGGUCCUUAAGUACUAAAAUUAAUAAUAAAAUAAACAUGAAAAAGGAUCAAUAUGAAACAAACAUCUAGAAUUAGGGUUUUAUCUGACAGAAUUCCACGAGCUUUGGUGUUUAUCUAUUUCUGCAGGGGGUUAUCAGAGAAUAUGGAGAGAAGGCCCACAUGUCAUGUUUACAACGAGAUAAUUACGUGCCGCGCAAUUUUCUUCAAUCUAGAAGAGUCCAGAAGCCACGGGAAGGAAGCGGAGGCCGAACGGGGCCAGAGGCAGGGCGCCCGCCCUCCUGCCCUGGGCGCCCGCCCUGGGUUGGACCCUAAUCAGGACUCUCUUUCGGGGCUAAACUCCACCGACCUAAAGGAUCAAUCUAAACCAUACAAUCUAUGUCGGUUUGAUCCAAUGGCUCACGUUCACUUGAUGGGACUAUAAAACCAGACCCCCUGGCCCCUGGAGGAGAAGAGAAGAAAUCAUUAUUCAGAGGUAGCCAUCAAAGUUAGGGUUUAGAGCUUCUCUCCCACAGAGAAUUAGAAUUAGCUACUCCCUAAUCCUUCAAGUUUAGAGGUUUCAUUAGAUAGCAAUUAGAGAAGUAGAGCACUACGCUCUGGAUUCGGAUCUUCGGUAAUAAAGAUUGGUAUUAUUCAUAUCUUUCUCUAAUUCUAUUGUUCUAAUUGCAUUAUGUCUCUAAUUAUUAUGUUCUUAGUUUGCUCUAGUUCUAUAUUUGAUAUAGUUAUGAUUGAUAAUGAGUUUAUGUAUAAGUUUGCAAAGCGCUUAGCUCUUGACGCGAGGGAGUUAGGUGAUAGAUCACAUGUGAGUGUGGUGCUUAGAUGUUAUUUAUCUGCAAAUGUAUCCUAUUGGCCGGGUCGUGUGGUAGUUCGCGAUAGUGACAGCUUCGUUGAUUCUUAUAUAGUCCACCCUCCGUUGAUAGGACAGGCAGAACUGGUAUUGUGGAGUAAGUCUUGCGAUGCUCUGAUUUACUUUAUCAAUGUUCCUUAUACAUGAAUGAAGAGUCUUUUAUGCUAUAUAUGAUCUUAUAGAUAACUAGAGUAGAUUAUGACUUAGUAGUUAGUAGAUAACUUAGAAUCCAUUCUCUAGCUAAUCCGACAUCACCUACAUAUAUGAGGAGUAGUCUAAUUUCUAAUCGUUGUGUUAUUUAUCCCUUGAACUUAUAAUUCAUUAUCAUUAUCUUUAUGGUUUACCCCCUGCUAAAGUAAGUGACUGUGUGACGAGUUUCUCAUUAGUAAUCAUGUUCUUGCAAGUUUAUCUCUAGUCUAUGCCUUGAUAGAUUUUGUCCUUAAUUUAAUUUCAUCCCUUUUGUUCUCUUAAGCAAAAAUUAUAAAUAACGAUACCUGGAAUACUUAUCCUGGUGAAAUGCUACAAUGAGGUGUUUUAUCUGUGCGCUUGCAGAUAGAAUAGAUUAUUUUCUAGAGAGCCUUUACAUUUAUAAAUACCUUUGUACACUCUGGCACCAUGCUGGGGAUGACAACCUAGUAUCUAAGUGGUGUUAGCUAGUGUCAACACUCUCCCACAAACUGGAUUUUGACGUAAUUUCUUCUGAUGUAGCUAGCAGGUGGCGGAGGUGUAUUUGAAUGUCGGCGGUACCGUGACAGCGAUUAGGAUGACCUCCGUCUGCUAGUCUUCUUUGAUCCUUUAAUUCUGUAGAGAUCAAAUAGACAACAAAGCUUUGUGGAACUAGUUAAGUGUUAGCACAAAUAUCUAGCCUUUAUCAUGUUGAGCCUCCUCAAUAAAUGUUACACUCUUUAGUAGGAUCAUAAAUUUAUUUUUUUUUAUUUUCAUUUUUAUAGCACAGGAGUAUAUUUAUUUUAUUUUUACGCCACCACAGUGAAUGUACUUAUGGGUUUUAUGCCAUGAUCAUACUCACAUGGGGCUUACUAUUUUUAACAUUUUUAUUUUCUUUUCAAGAUGAUAUGAACCUGAUUAACUAAGCAAACUAUUUUAAAAUAAUUGAAAGGAAAAGGAUAACUACCAAGUUUACCUCUUGGCAAGGCGUUCGGUGUUUUUAAGUCCUCCGAACGGGACUCUCCGUUUCCUCAAUCGUCCUGGGAUUCGCUGGAUGGCAUAGUCGGUGGUUCCGGCGGCGCCUGCUCUUCAUGUAUAAUUAUCUUCUCUCUACACACCUGACUCGGUGCUACGGUCUUGUAACACCCCGAAAACCACAAAUACAUCGAGAUGCUACUAGACUACACAAACAACAGCUGCACACAACCAAUAAACAAUUUGGUAACAUCUUCUUUGUAUUUAUAGCAAGCGGAAGAAUAAAAUAUAAAAAAAAUAUUGAAAUACCAAACUAGGAUUAAAGAACAUCCUAACGCAAAUAAGUUACUUCAACAAGAAUUAAGUUUAACACCCACACUUUAACAACCGCCUUCAAAACUAAUAAGCAAACCAAAUUAUUAUUUAUUAAAACACAAGGUCUCUAAAUGAAUAAGUGUGUGACGUGCAGCUAAUUCCCUUCCCUUCCAAGUAAGCAUCAAGUACUUGGAUUGAGUAAAGCAAGGGUGAGAUGAAACAUCUCAGCAAGUGAACUUGUUUUGACAAGCUAUUUAAACCACAAUUUGAAUUAACAUCAAUUUAAUAUGAUGUUCCCAAUUGACAUAAUAUUAUACUAAAGUAACAGUCUUCCAAUUUGGAACAUAGCCAAUAAUACAGAGCUUCAUAAUAACGUGGAUAAAAUCCCUUCAAUAACAUACUUCUCAUGAAUGCAUAUGAAUGCAAUGCAUAUGUCUCCUGCCUGCACACCCAACAAGGUGUGGAGCUGCAUCCCAUGAUGCGUACCGGUACAGUCAUGACCAUAGGUCAAGACAUAACUUCCAAUGCCAAUGAAUGAUGCAAUGCACUUGGCAUGUUGCAAUAAAAUUAAUAAAUCACCAAUGAUACUCCAACUUCAAAUUCAGGUUUGCGGGCUAGCCAUAAAUAACAAUAUAACAUAAUACCAUCACCAUAAGUACUUAAAUAAGACCAUAAUUUAACUAAGACUAAAUAUACCCAAAUCAUAAAUUUUAGAUAUGAGAGAGGUGACAUUCUUAUAGACAAUAAACUGUAGGUGAUAAAAAUAACAAGCCAAAACGGUAGCAAACCACCGCUACAUUCACUUGCCUCUUUACCGAAGGAGAACAAAAGCACUAGCGAUGUUCCGAAGUGCUACCACCUAAUCACAAAUACUACUCAGUACAUACCCCAACAUACAAGCAAGAGUAAGAACAAAUACGCACUAAAGCGCCCCAAACCCGACAUUCAAGCCUCUACCGUUUGGGCUACCGAUCAAGACAGCAGCACCGACUCUUCUCUUUUUCAUAUACUUCAGAAUACUCAUCCAAAAAUUACCACAAUUUAUCAGAUCAUGUAAAACUCUGUUAUAUACAACUUUUGUAUUGUAAGUUUUGCAUCAAAGAUCUGCAAGAUGGUAUAAUUAACCAUAGAACACAACUGAAUAUUUCUGACCUUCAAAACAGAACAUCAAAAUUCAAAAAUUCAUAACUGGAGAUAUACUCAUUCAAAAGUUACAAACUUUACCAAUCUAGAAAUCUUAACAAAAAUCCUAAAACCUUUGUUAAUAAUCAAAGACCUAAUUAUUUCAUUAACAGGGUCAAAAACUUCUUAGAUCCAAAACUGUCCAGAUUUUCGUCACUGGAAACCGGUCAGAUUGAAAACUCGAUAUCUCACAAAUUAUAACUGCUAUGACAGAGUUCUUGGCGUCCAAAGAAAGAUAUUGAAGUCCUCUACAACUUUUCCCACAGACCCAAAAAUUAUUAAAGACUCUAAAAUGCCCUAACGUUACGAUGAACACGGACUGCUCAGUCUAACGAGAAUUUCAGAACAUGAACGUAAAUGACUUCGAGAAUUUCUCCACUAAACCCAAUCCCAAAUAAGCGAUUUAAUCCACAAAACUUGAUCAGAUGAAGGGGAUUAAUAUUUGGCUUCUCACCUAGAGAACCACAGCAAGCACGACGCCGAAACUUCCGGCGUCUACUCCUUCUUUUCCGCCUCUUCACCUUUCCAUCAUCUCCGAUCCAACUCGCCACGAUCCUUGCCGCCACAAAAGCCUUGUUAUUCCGAUCUACGCCAAACAUGGCUAAGCCCUCAUGGACAGCAAAAGGGACAUGGUGGAUCAAUGGGACAGCCAAGAUACAAGGUAGAACCUAACCGUAUUUUUCCACGGGAGGAAGAACGACCACCACGGAUGACCGACGGCGGCGGCGGCAAAACCCUAGGCCCUAUUCUCCCCUUCCCUCUUCUCCUUUCUCUUUUCUCCCCUCUCCUCUUUUUUUAUCUUGAAUAUGAAAAGCUAUGGAUGAAACCUAAAGGCCUUGGAAGGGGAUAUAAAAGGCCACCACGGGCACUGUAGCGGCGCGACACUGUAGCGUCACGCUACAGUAGUCCUGUUUUUUCUUUCUUAAAACUUCUGAAAUUUAUAUCUCCAUGAUCCAAAUUCCAAACAAUACAUAUGAGUAGUGCAACUGAAAGCAUUUGACGAGCUCUACACAUCUAAAAUCUCUGAUCAUUCAUUUGAGUGAUGGAUAAAAUUACAAUUAUUAUUAUUUUGCCACUUUACACUUCUAACGCAAUAAACGUAUUCAAGAUGUUACAGGUCUUCUCAGGACAGUUCUGUUCAAGUUGUAUGUCUUCAGACCUUACCACUUCUCCUUCGUAGUCUGCCCAUCCGUCCUUGAUGAUUUGCCUCCUCUGGUUGCGGUUGCGUCGUCUUCUUCUUGUCCUGACCUGCUUAGAGCCUUCAACUAUAUAGUUAGGGUCAGUAAAAUAGCGGCGUACCUUCUCAGAGGGGAAGUGCAUGUGGACUUCUCCGGUUCCAAUAUAGAUGAUUGCUUUAACGGUGCUGAGGAACGGUCUCCCAAGGAUGAUGGGUGGAUCGUACUCGUCUUCUCCCAUGUCAAUAACCUGAAUGAUCAUCUAUUUUGACAGAGACAUCAGUUACUAUACCUUCAACCUUUCAGAAUGUUUGAUCUACCAUCUGGAGCUGAAUGUAUGUCGAUUUUAGGGGCAUGGUUCCAAAUAGGAGCUGAUAGGUGACUGGGUCAUCCUUUUUGGUCAGGAGCGGUGACUUAAGUCGACGAUCUUGACCUCCUUGAACUGUGUUGACGGUUCUUAAGUAUCAAUUUUAAUUAUCAAAUAAACAAGAGCAAGGACCAAUAUGCAACCAUCACCUAGAAUUAGGGUUUGAUCUGACAGAAUUCCACGAGUUUUGUUGUUUAUCUGUUUCUGCAGGGGGUUAUCAGGAAAUAAGGAAGAAAGGCCCACAUGUCGGGAUUACAUAGAGAUAUCAACGCAUCGCGUAAUUUUUCAUCAUCUAGAAGACUCCAGAAGCCACGAGACCGAAGCGGAGGCGAAACUGGGCCAGGCCCAGGGCGCCCGCCCUGGUAGCCUGGGCGCCCGCCCCCCUGUUGGAGCCAAAUCAGGACUCUUUCGCUCGGGAUAUUCCACCGACCUAUUGGAUCAAGAAAAACAUAGUACCACCUCGCCUAUCAACCCAAAAACGCAUAGAAGGGGAGGACUAUAUAAGCAAGGCCCCCUAGCCCCUGGAGAGACAUGAAGAAAUUAUCAUAGAGACUGAGGGGUGCCCUCGAAGGAAAACCUCUUCUCUAAUUAAUAUUUCUUUUUAGGCUUAGCAAUCAAUGUAAGGUAGAAAUAGAUCUUCUAGUUUCUACUAGAUUGAGAGAGAUAGAGUGGAGGUGUACAGUGGAGGAAGCUCGGCCUGUCGGUGUCUACUCCAAGCUUGUACCUGCGGGAUCAAGUUCUCCUAACCUGAAGCUUGCUCCUAGGAUUCUUCAGUAAUUCGACUUCUAAAUUCUAGUAAGUUCUUGUUUUAUUGUUCUUAUGGUUUAUGAGUUUACUUUAAUCUCUUCGCGUAGAGUUUAGAGUAAUCAUUGCUGGCGUAAACGUGGUGUUUAGGCUGGGGUACUCAUAGAUAUUCCCUGACUAGCUGGACCGUGGUAGUAGUGAGGAACGUGACAAUUCCGAGCUACCUUUGUAGAUCACAUCUCGUUAGCAGGAAGGAUAGGGUUUAUAGGUGCGGGUUGAACAUCCUUUGUGGUGUCUAGAUUCUGUUAGCCUCCCCAUUAGAACAGUAGAUCAUCCUUACCAAGGUUAGAAGGAGACUACGGUUGCAGUCUUCUCUAUUUAUCACUCACAUCGAAAGACAUUCUUUGUGCCUAAAGGUUAGUAGUAAUAGACCGGUUAGUCAGAUGCACUCUUUCUCCUAGUGGUAAAAAAAUAAAUACGAUACUCUGGAUAAUUUCCCGGGUGAAGUGCUCACCGAUAUCCGUGCGGUUGCGGAUCAAUUCCUUAUUGCGUUCCCAAAUAUCAACAAGCAUUUCUGGCGCCGUUGCCGGGGAGAAAGACGGUUGCUGAGAUAACCUGUGUCUUGCUAUUAGCUUGUAUCUAUACUUUUAUCUUUUCUUAUCUUUUAUAUCCUUUAUUUAUUUUUCUUUAUUCUUACCUUAUGGAAAACCAAAAUUCUAAAUCGAUCCAUGAGUCUGCAAUCCCUUUAGCAACUGACCUUUUACCAUGGGAAUCAUCACAGCCUAUCCAAACAUCCCAGUAUAAGUUAAGUUCUAGGUUGAUUGCCAUGAUUCAAAACCUAUCUUUUUCGGGAAAGGAAGACGAAAACCCUUACCUUCAUAUUAGAGAUUUUGAGCAAACAUGUGAUUGUCUUCGCAUUGAAGGCAUUUCUGAUAAGACUUUACGUUGGAAGCUUUUUCCUUUUUCUCUAAGGGGAGAAGCUAGACAAUGGUACAGUCAGAAGGUAAGUCAACAACAAGGUGAAUGGGGAGUUUUACGAGCCAACUUUUGUCUAGAUUUCUAUUCCCUUGACCGUAUAGCCGACCUUAGACUCGAAGUCCUAUCUUUUAAACAAAAAGAUAAUGAAACUUUGGGAAAAUCCUGGAAACGUUUUUCUGAUCUUUUAGAAUCUGGUCCAAACCUUAAUCUUGAAGACCCUGUUCUUUUAUUUCACUUUUUUCGAGGUCUUCAGAAAAAUCACAAACAAAUGCUACACACAAUGUCUAGAGGUUCUUUCUUUCGAAUCCCUACUGAUGAAGCUAGAGUGAUCCUAGAUAGAAUCCUAGAAGCUGAGAUGGAUAAUACCCUUCAUGAUGAAACCUACGAAGCCGAAGUAGACACUCUGCCAAAUUCUUCAUCUACUUUAGCUAUCCCAAGUUCUGAGCCACAAGAGGAAGAAAUUCCACCACCGGACUUCAUGCUGGAUAUAGAAUCCGAUCUUUUUGCCGAUUUUGGAAACAUUUCAAACUACCAUUCUAUUGAUAAACCCCAAAACGGUCAGUUUAGCAUUUAUUUACCAAGUGAAUAUCAAUUGAGAGAGCUUAUCUCAGUAAUGAGUAGCGAAUGGUUGGAGGAAUCAGAGCUUUCCUCUGAUGUGGUCCGUUUGGACACACCCUCUAUAACUAUACGCUGUGCUUAUAAUUCUGAUCGAUUUAAUGCUCUCUAUAAUCCUAUUGUGGGGAUCAACAUUAUGUCUGAAUCCUUUGCACUUAAACUAUUUAAAAAUCUUAUCUUAACCCCCACAACAAAGGUCAUAAAGGAAUCUUCGGGACGAUUGGUCCCCAGUCUUGGAAUUAUAAAUGUCCUACCUCUCACGGUAGAAGGCUCCAUGGUUCAUUUGAACUUCUAUAUCUUUGAUACAUGGGACUUCGACCUGUUGAUAGGACAACCUUUUAGAAGACUCCUUUAUGAAGGUCAUACUGGAAAGCUACACAUUUCUUUUGGAAAAACCUUUAAAUUCCCAAUAAUAAUUUCACACUCCUUAAACAAUAAGGCCGAGUCAUAUCUUUUGCCUGAUCCUAUGGAGGAAGUAAAGGCUGCAUCUCUAGAGCUUUUAGAUGAACCAGACUUAGAAGACGAAACUCCUUUCUUCACUGAAGAAGAAGACGAACCUUAUGAGCCUGAACCCUUAGAUGAGUUUGCAGAAACACCUAGACCCCCCAUAGAACUUAAAACUUUACCACCCGGUCUUACCUAUGCUUUCCUAAACAAUAAUCCAGAGUUCCCUGUGAUCAUUAGCGAUAAACUCACUCAGGAUCACACUCUGCGAUUAAUGACCAUCCUUGAAAAACAUCACUCAGUUUUCGGCUACUCACUUCAAGAUCUUACAGGAAUCAGUCCUAUGAUUUGUACCCAUCGUAUUCCAACAGAUCCUUCUGUUACACCCUCUCGAGAACCCCAACGUAGACUUAACAACACUAUGAGAGAGGUAGUUAAAAAGGAAGUUAUAAAGCUGCUGCAUGCAGGGAUUAUAUAUCCUGUGCCGCACAGUGAGUGGGUGAGCCCAGUACAAGUUGUGCCCAAAAAGGGAGGCAUGACAGUUAUUAUGAAUGAAAAGAACGAGCUAAUUCCGCAACGCACCGUCACAGGAUGGCGGAUGUGCAUAGACUAUAGAAAACUAAAUAAAGCCACGAGAAAGGAUCACUUUCCUUUACCUUUUAUAGAUGAGAUGCUAGAGCGGUUAGCAAACCAUUCUUUCUUCUGUUUCUUAGAUGGAUAUUCAGGGUAUCAUCAAAUCCCGAUCCAUCCCGAUGAUCAAAGCAAAACCACUUUUACAUGCCCUUAUGGAACUUAUGCUUAUCGUAGAAUGUCUUUUGGGUUAUGUAAGGCACCAGCUUCUUUUCAAAGAUGCAUGAUGUCUAUAUUUUCUGAUAUGAUUGAAGAGAUUAUGGAAGUUUUCAUGGAUGAUUUCUCUGUUUAUGGAAAAACUUUUGAUAGUUGUCUUGAAAACUUAGACAAGGUUUUGCAAAGAUGUGAAGAAAAGCACUUAAUCCUUAAUUGGGAAAAAUGUCAUUUUAUGGUUAGGGAAGGAAUAGUGCUGGGACACUUAGUGUCUGAAAGAGGUAUUGAGGUAGACAAAGCAAAAAUUGAAGUAAUUGAACAACUACCUCCACCUGUGAACAUAAAAGGAAUUCGAAGCUUUCUUGGCCAUGCUGGUUUUUAUCGUAGAUUCAUAAAAGAUUUUUCAUUUAUUGCUAGACCACUUACUCUUUUGCUAGCCAAGGAUGCUCCUUUCGAAUUUGAUGAUGCAUGUUUAACAUCUUUCAAUUUAUUAAAGAAAGCACUCAUCUCUGCACCAAUCAUUCAACCCCCUGAUUGGUCGUUGCCUUUUGAAAUUAUGUGUGAUGCUAGUGAUUAUGCUGUGGGGGCAGUAUUGGGACAAACUAAAAUAAAAAGCAUCAUGCAAUUGCUUAUGCUAGUAAAACUUUGACAGGAGCUCAACUUAAUUAUGCAACCACUGAAAAAGAGCUUCUGGCUGUUGUCUUUGCCACAGAUAAAUUUAGAUCUUAUUUAGUUGGAGCUAAAAUAAUUGUUUACACUGAUCAUGCUGCACUAAAAUAUUUGCUCACUAAAAAAGAUGCUAAACCUCGCCUGAUUAGAUGGAUCUUAUUACUCCAAGAAUUUGACUUAGAAAUAAAAGAUAAAAAGGGAGUAGAAAAUUCUGUUGCUGAUCACUUGUCUAGAAUGUAUUUUAAGAGUCCACAGGAAACCCCAAUCAAUGAUUCACUCCGGGACGACAUGCUCUACGGGAUUAACAGGUCUGACCCCUGGUAUGCAGAUAUUGUUAAUUUUAUGGUUUCAGGGUAUGUACCACCAGGAGCAAACAAGAAGAAGCUUAUUCAAGAAAGUCGUUCACAUAUAUGGGAUGAGCCAUACCUCUUCCGAGUAUGCUCUGACGGCUUACUCAGGAGAUGUGUGACCACUGAGGAAGGAUGGAAGAUCAUCGACAGAUGUCAUUCAUCACCAUAUGGAGGUCACUAUGGAGCAUUCCGUACACAUUCAAAGAUCUGGCAGUGUGGAUUCUAUUGGCCUACAAUGUAUGAGUACACGAAGUAAUAUAUCAGAAGAUGUGGGCCAUGUCAAAGGCACGGAAACAUAAAUACAAGGGAUGCAAUGCCACUCACCAACAACCUUCAGAUUGAGCUCUUUGAUGUCUGGGGAAUAGACUACAUGGGUCCAUUUCCUCCAUCAAAGAAGUGUGAGUACAUCUUGGUGGCAGUUGACUAUGUCUCCAAGUGGGUAGAAGCAUUACCUUGCAAGCAUGCCGACAACGUCAGUUGAAAGAGGAUGUUCGAAGAAAUUAUAUUUCCAAGAUUUGGAGUCCCCAGAGUAGUGAUAAGUGAUGGAGGAGCACACUUCAUCGACAAACGCUUCAAUCAAUAUCUAUCAAGACAUGGAAUCCGUCACAACGUCGCUACCCCCUAUCAUCCUCAGACAAGUGGCCAAGCAGAGACUUUCAACAAACAAAUCAAGAAUAUUCUUCAGAAGACAGUAAAUGAAAUGGGAACGGCGUGGAAAGACAAGUUACCUGAUGCACUCUGGGCAUACCGGACAGCAUACAAGACCCCAAUUGGAAUUUCUCCAUACCAAUUGGUGUACGGGAAGACUUGCCAUCUACCUGUUGAACUAGAGUUCAAAGCACACUGGGCCAUAAAGAGAUGGAAUAUGGACCUAGAUGUUGCUGGAGAUUAUAGAAGAAUGCAACUAUCAGAAUUGGAAGAAUGGCGAGAGAAGGCAUAUCACAAUUCAAAGAUCUACAAAGAAAGAGUCAAGAGGUGGCAUGACAAGAGAAUCAAGAAGAAGGAGUUCACACCCGGAGAUAAGGUAUUACUUUUUAAUUCCAGGGUUAAGCUUUUCGGGCAUGGAAAACUCCGGAGCAAAUGGGAAGGACCAUUCAAGGUAAUCAAUUCAUCAUCCCACGGAGCUAUCACACUUCAAAAUAGCGAAGGUACGUUAUUUAAGGUAAAUGGUCAACGUCUUAAAUUAUUUUUAGAGCCCAAUGAGGAAUUUGAAGAAAUAGACGUAGUCCAUUUUACCUUCCCAUGGAGAAUUAGAGCCCGAUAUUUUUGGUCUGUGGUUUUGGGUCAUAUAUAUAUAUUUCUAAAUAAUUUCGCAUCUAGAAACACGCUCGGAGAAGUGGGCCCACAGAGGGGCCAGAGAGAGGGCGGGCGCCCAGGUCAAGUGGGCGGGCGCCCAGCCCCUGUUCCCCCUCGGUCCCGACUUUCUCUGUUAUGGAAAAUGCACUUAGGGUGAUCCGAAUAAUCCCUCGGAUGGAAAGUUUCGCACGCACAUCGACAGGAGCAACCCGAACAACCCAUAGAGGCAUCCUUUUGACCCCUAUAUAAACAGACCCCUGACCUCAGUUUUCAAACACCAAGCCACCAAGCUUUCUCUCCUUCAAUUAGAGCUUGAUUAGCUCUCCUUCAAUUAAAAUUUCAUUAGUUCCUUGCUACUCCAAUGGCCGACAAGUACCACGACGAUUGGGAAGUCGUCCCCUUCAACCUCAACAUGGAGCCUGUGGAAGACCCCAAUGCUCGUGCUCUCGUCCCGGCCAACACAGAGCGUCAGCUAGAAGCCAUGCCAUUACGCCAACGCAGCUCCACCCAAUCUUACCAUGCUCAACCAGUUCUCACCGCUCCGCCACAACCCCUACUCCUCAAAGGACCAUCAUCCAAGACGAAGACCACUAUCAAGGUGCCAACCGGCACAAGGAUCCUUCCACCAAGACCCAAUGAGAGGGUCGUUGGAGUCAAGACCAACCGAAGCGGCGAGAUCAGCAGUAUUCGCUACACUACAGAGGAGGAAAGGCCUUACUUUGAAGGGAUUAGAGCAGCCAAAGUCCGUUUCAUCCCUCCAAAGGCAGCCCCGAAGCACGCUCUCAAUGCUUUUGAGACACCUCCCAAGCGUCGCAAGACUAUAAUGGAUAUUGAUGAGGAAGUUCGCAGGCUAGAUAGAUUUAUCAUAGACCUCCAGUCCUCGAUUAAUUCCCUCACUAGGCAGCUCUCUAACCACAACACAGUUAUACUAGGCCUUAGGCAGGAUCUUGCCAGUGCCAACAAGAAGAUCAAGGAAUUAGAGCGCCGCUAAGUUAUCUAGAUUAGACCUUGAGGCAAUGCAUCUUAGUCAUCUAUCUUUAAAUUUGGUUUAGGUUUGCUAUUAUUAUCAGUUUGCUAUCAGUUUGCUAUCAGUCUUUUGUAAUGAAUGCCUCAAGAUUAAUAAAGAGUAUUACUAUUAUUAUUAUGUCUUGUGUGUCUCUACUUUAUUUUUGUGCAAGAAAGCAGAAAACAAGUAUGGGGGAGAUCCCUCGACAUGCCAACCACACUCCGACUACACCACUCCACCACUCAGGUACACACUCUGCACACUUUACUUCAUACAUACAUUUAUUCUGGAUUAUGCAGAUUACUGUUUCCGACAUGAUAAAAUAAAAAGAUUAAAAUAUUUCUAAUCAUGAUUAAUCUCAAUUUAUGAUAUUUUCUGAAAACUUGCAAUUAUUAUAAAAUCAUUUUAAAACCCUGUCUUACUUAAGUCAAUUGGAAUAUGUGAUGAUAGAGUAUGAGUUUCUUAUUCUUGAUAUCAUUGUUGCUUGGAGAAUUUAUUUCAAAAUAUUCAAAUUUCUAGCUACCAUCCUCAGUGUUUUAUAUGCCUGAUAAAACUGAAAAUAGUAAUUAUGAUUAUAAAAGCUAUCUGCUCUGUAUUGAGUUUGUUCAAAAUGAGUUAGACCCUUGUUGAGAGAUUUAUCAUGCUCCCAAGAUCAAGACAUUAUUUCAGUAAGAUUCACUCUUUCGAAGUAUUAUUGCAUUAGAGGCAUGGGCUAUGCAAAAAAUAGAAAUAUUUCGAGGAAAUAAAAAGGAGCAAGUGCUCGACAACCUCGCAGAAAAAUGGACAAGUGUCCGGCAGUAGAAUUAGGGGUACCUCGGUAUCCACUUAGUAAAAAAAAUGAUAGCCCAUGGUCCCUCUAAUAAGCAAUAUGCCAGCAUGAGUUGACAAAGUUUUUAAUUUUCAAAGUCUUUGAUCUAAGAGUAUGACAUUCCCCUCCUCGGAUCCCGUUUUGAUCAAAAUGCAAAGUAAGUAUGCUUGAGAAUUUUUGCAAAAUAAAACAGCCUCAGUGAGAUAUAUAUAAAAGAUAAUGAGUGAUCUGAGAGAACCUAUGAGGAUAAAAAGGUAUGCUAACUUUCUUUCAAAAAUAUUAAAAAAAAACUCCAAGUGAUAGGAUUGAGAAGAGAGAAUCUUUACUCUUGAUCAUAAACUUCCCUGACUAUGGUAUACAGUGGAUUUUUAACACCCUGCAAAUAUAAAGAAUAUUUUUAAAUGUUUACCCCAGAUAUUUUUCUUAACCAUCCUUUUCUCGAGGACGAGUAAAAGCCUAAGUAUGGGGGUAUUUGUUGACGGUUCUUAAGUAUCAAUUUUAAUUAUCAAAUAAACAAGAGAAAGGACCAAUAUGCAACCAUCACCUAGAAUUAGGGUUUGAUCUGACAGAAUUCCACGAGUUUUGUUGUUUAUCUGUUUCUGCAGGGGGUUAUCAGGAAAUAAGGAAGAAAGGCCCACAUGUCGGGAUUACAUAGAGAUAUCAACGCAUCGCGUAAGUUUUCAUCAUCUAGAAGACUCCAGAAGCCACGAGACCGAAGCGGAGGCGAAACUGGGCCAGGCCCAGGGCGCCCGCCCUGGUAGCCUGGGCGCCCGCCCCCCUGUUGGAGCCAAAUCAGGACUCUUUCGCUCGGGAUAUUCCACCGACCUAUUGGAUCAAGAAAAACAUAGUACCACCUCGCCUAUUGACCCAAAAACGCAUAGAAGGGGAGGACUAUAUAAGCAAGGCCCCCUGGCCCCUGGAGAGACAUGAAGAAAUUAUCAUAGAGACUGAGGGGUGCCCUCGAAGGAAAAUCUCUUCUCUAAUUAAUAUUUCUUUUUAGGCUUAGCAAUCAAUGUAAGGUAGAAAUAGAUCUUCUAGUUUCUACUAGAUUGAGAGAGAUAGAGUGGAGGUGUAGAGUGGAGGAAGCCCGGCCUGUCGGUGUCUACUCCAAGCUUGUACCUGCGGGAUCAAGUUCUCCUAACCCGAAGCUUGCUCCUAGGAUUCUUCAGUAAUUCGACUUCUAAAUUCUAGUAAGUUCUUGUUUUAUUGUUCUUAUGGUUUAUGAGUUUACUUUAAUCUCUUCGUGUAGAGUUUAGAGUAAUCAUUGCUGGCGUAAACGUGGUGUUUAGGCUGGGGUACUCAUAGAUAUUCCCUGACUAGCUGGACCAUGGUAGUAGUGAGGAACGUGACAAUUCCGAGCUACCUUUGUAGAUCACAUCUCGUUAGCAGGAAGGAUAGGAUUUAUAGGUGCGGGUUGAACAUCCUUUGUGGUGUCUAGAUUCCGUUAGCCUCCCCAUUAGAACAGUAGAUCAUCCUUACCAAGGUUACAAGGAGACUACGGUUGCAGUCUUCUCUAUUUAUCACUCACAUCGAAAGACAUUCUUUGUGCCUAAAGGUUAGUAGUAAUAGACCGGUUAGUCAGAUGCACUCUUUCUCCUAGUGGUAAAAAAUAAAUACGAUACUCUGGAUAAUUUCUCGGGUGAAGUGCUCACCGAUAUCCGUGCGCUUGCGGAUCAAUUCCUUAUUGCGUUCCCAAAUAUCAACAAACUGCAGUGACCAUCUUAGCUGACUCGGUCCACAUUUGCUUGUUCUUGUUCCUCCUGUUGGACCUCUUCCUUGGUUCAUGUCGGGAAUGCUCUGAGAUUUGUGUAGUCUUGUUCUUGAAGAAAAACAUCUCCUUCCUUUCCUUUAUGUAGAAACUGAUCUUGGCAGCACUAGCGUAGAUGACAGCUCCCGAGGUGUUCAGGAAUGGCCUCCCUAGGAUGAUGGGUGCCCUCUCAUCAGUAUCAGUCUCUAUCACCACGAAGUCUGGUGGAGCGUAUAAGGUACCAACUCAGACGUAGAGGUUCUUCAAUAUUCCCUUUGGGAAACUUAGUGUCCGAUCUGCAAGCUGUAAAUACAUGGUUAUUUCUCGUAAAGGAUGUGUAAAGAAUUUUUCAUAGAGUACCCUGGGCAUAAUGUUGACGCUGGAGCCAAAGUCGCAGAGUGCUUCUGGGAAGUCCACCAUGCCGAUGGAGAUCGGGAUGAUGGAGCGUCGUGGAUCACCUCUCUUGAUUUUGUUGAGGACGGUUGUAGUAGUUGUUGGUGGUGGUGGUGGUGUAGUUUACGUCCUCAAGCAUCUCAGGGCAGUGAUUGCCUGAGUGUCCAGUAUCUCCAGUGUGUUUGUGCUCGUAGAUCUAGGUUCUUCACUUGGUGGAGUCUAGGAGUUGUAAAAGUCCUUCAUAUUUUGCUCGAAGUGUACCUGCUCAUAGAGACAAGGCAGAGAUCAAGUGCGUGGGCCCUGUUGGUGGAAAACACCAACAAAACCAAAAGUGUAUUUGUUCUUCUCUAACCUUAAGCAUAGUGAGCAAGACAAAGUUGAUGGAUAAUAAGAUCAUGAGUGUAGCAUUUAAAACAUUUGUCAGAUCAGAUUGCUCAACCUAAUGGAAAGAUAAUCUAUCUAUACUUAUGUUGUUUUUUUAUAUAUCUUCUAAAGAUUACGUGUGCAACAUUUUAGCUCAUAUGAUUAAGAGUGUGGGAUCAAGAAGGUAGUACUGGAAACAAAGAUUAAAGGACUAAACAUGUUGAAUCAAUUGGGUUGGUUAAUCUGGAGUUAUAAAUCAUACAUGUUUGUCUUUUUAUCCAUGUGCAUGCCAGAACCAAGGAGAAGCUUAUAAAAAGUGAUAGUCAAGUACCUUAAGAUGUUACCUUACUUGAGGAGUGCUGGUACAGUAUGACCUUGUGGAAGCUUUCCUUUCUUAGCGGUUGUGCAUCGUGUUUGUAGCACCCUCCAUGGAUCAUCUCUUGUGAGCUAUGCCUUCCUUGUGUAAAUUGUAAACCUUCAUGUGUCUCUCUCUUUGUCUCCAAUGUGAGUUUAUCUCAGGACUUCCCAGGUCGAUAUUGAAAGUUUUCCUGCAAGGGUUAGUCCAACAAAAUAUCCAAUAUCUACUAUAGCAUACUAAUGGCUCAAAGAUCAACCUAGACACCAUGUCUAAUUUGAUUUAGGAGGGCAUUUUAACCUAAGCAUCAUGCUUAAUUUAAACUCCCUUGGAAGUAAGAUCUUCAGCCCUAAACUAAGCACCAUGCUUAAUUAAGAGAUAAAUGAAACUACUCCAAACCUAGACAUAUACUAAAGCAAAUAAAGGUAGCAUGAGAGCAUUUAUAGAGAUCUACUCAAGUGGAGAUUAAGUAGUGUGAUUAGUAUUUAACAAAUUGAGCAUGUCUUAAAGGUAGGGACAACCAACAUAGCAACAUGGCAAAGGAUAUUUUUAUGUAAAGUACUCCCCCAAGCUUAAAUUUUGCCAAAUUCAAGUUUGGAUGAAUUUAAUUCAAUGUUGUAUGAUGAUUGGUUGGACAUACCUUGUGCUUGUCAUUCAUCCGAUCUUCUUGCUCCAAUCCUAGAAAUGUUAGUGACAAGAAUACCUGAAGGAAUUUUUUUUACAAUUAUCCUUAUAUGCUCAACACACACGGUAAAGUUGCAAAUAAUUAAAAGCUCAUGUUACGAUCUGAUCCGUGCUUAUUUUAGGACACUAAGCUUGUCCUUGGGAAACCAUCAAUUUAUGUCGGCGAAGUGGUUUCCCAUCCAACGCUGACCUAUAUCAAGAUCAACUCAACGAGAUCUGCAAAAUUUAUUAUAGACAUAUGCAUCGACAACCGCCCUUUUAAAGUUUUUAUAAAUAGAAAGGAAGAGGGGGUUGGAGAUCUCGAAUGUGGUGAUGUUGGAGAGACCAAUGCAUUGUGAAGAUAUUGCAUAUGAGCAUGGAGUAAAUGAAGUGGCUAUGAAAUAAAUUCCAUGCUCAUUAAUGCUUGGAGUGAAAUCCAUGUGGUGUGGUGAAAAUGGUAAGGUGAGUGUGGUAAAAAAAAGAAAAAGAAAAAGGAUACACGGACGACUUGGUUCGAAACUAGCACAGCUACCGUUCCCCGGCAACGGCGCCAGAAAGCUUGUUGGGUAUUUUAAACGCAAACAGAAAAAUCCGCAAGCGCACGGAUACCGAUGUAGCUUUCACCCGGGAGUAUUCCAGAGUAUCGAUUUUCCACAGGGAACGUGAGUGUACUAAUUAAGAUUCAAGAUCGCCCAAGGAUAACUAUAUAAUUAUUUUUGGUGGGAAGAGAGGAAGUUUUCUGAGAGUUCUCUAGUUGAUCUAAGAAUCAAGAAUUACUUCAAAGAUUAUUUAUUUUGGGACAUCAGAACACUAACCACAGAAAAAGAUGAGAAGGGGGCUAGGAAGCUCUGACUACGGUCCUACAAACACCGAUCCGAACGAGGUGGAAUACGUCGAUCGUUAGGGCUGUCACUACCCUAGGGCUACCACAACAAUCCGCAGGAUUGGGUGCAAUUCCAGGUAAUUGCAAGACUAAACACCACGUCUAAUCUAUUAAUUACUACUCUAAUGUUGCAAAGAUUAGAGCACUUGAUGCAAGCGGAAAUCCAAUAAAUAACUUGAAUGUAAAUAAAAGUAAUUAAAGAACUCAAGAUUAUGAAUUGAAGAACCUGGAGAACGAUGAAGAACGAACCAGUUGCUGCAAAAGUACAAUGUUGAGGAAGAUCCGACAGAUCCAGCUCCUGCUCCUCCGCUCUCCUCUUCUCUCCCCCUAUUUUCUAGAUUACACCUAGAACUAACUAGAACUAGAACUAGAGGAACUAGAACUAGAACUAGAUGAACUAGAACUAGAACUAGAUGAACUAGAGGUAGAACUAGAUGAACUAGAGGGAUCCUCUCUGCUUGGAUGAAGAAUUGAAACCCUAGCUUUGAUUCUGUAGAAGAGGUAUGCCUCCAGGGGCUGGUGGGGGUCUUCUUAUAUAGUAACCUCAAGUGAAUCUGGGCCGUCGGAUCAAACCGACAUUAAUCGCACGGUUUUCCUUGAUCCCUUAGGUCAGUGGAGCACGAUCCGCAAAGUUGAUCUUGAUUGGGCACAGAAGGUGGGCGGGCGCCCUGGUCUCUAGGGCGGGCACCCUGGGCCAGGCCCCGUUUUGCCUCCGUUUCGUUCCCGUGGCUUCUGGAGUCUUCUAAAUGAUAGACAAUUGCGUGGCACGUUAAUAUCUCUAUGUAAACCCGACGUGUGGGCCUUUCCUCCGUAUUUCCUGAUAACCCCGUGCAGAAAUAGACAAACACCAAAACUCGUGGAAUUCAGUCAGAUAAAACCCUAAGUCUGGGUGUUGGUUGCAUUUAGAACCUUUUCCAUGAUUAGUUGAUGGUUAAAUGUGAGCAUUAAGGACCGUCAACAACGUGUCAUUGAGCUACCUCACUUGUGGGUAGGUUCUUGCGGUGUCCUAGUGGGGACGAGGUUCGUGCAACAUGUCUUAGCUACCGAACCACCAAGUGUUGGUCGACACAACAGGGACUAGCGUGCUGGCAAGCACGUGAACCUCAGGUGAAAAAUUGGUGUCUUAAUUGUGUUUGAUUGGCAUUCUCCUGUUGCUUGAUUGUUUAUAUUGGUGAUUGGUUCAUCCGCUACGCGGUGGUAUAAAUAUCUCAUCCUCUCUUUUUACUUACCGUAAAGUAGUGUAACUAGUUUAGUUGCUAGUUUAGCUUUGUGUAGUUAAGCUCACUAGUGUAGCUUGUAGAGACAUAGUUUUUUUGUGCCUAGUGAUAAUAGCAACUAGAAUUGUUGGAUAGGUGGCUUGUAAAUACCCCUUUAGAGCUAGAGCAAAAGCUUUGCUUUGUUAUCUACUAACCUCUUGCUCUAGUAACUUUGUAGAAACUUUAGAUAGGAUAUCCACCCCCCUCUAGCCAUAUUAGAACCUUUCACCCGCCCCCCAUCAGCCAAUCAGGGCUAACAGCAUGGAUCGUUGACUAAACCGCCUUUGAGGAUUGCUAAUCUUCGUCCAAUUAAGUUGGUUUGAUCUAAUGGCUAUGAAUCAUUCCACCGGCCUAUAUCAGGAGGGGUAGACCUCAGGGUUUCAGAUCAUUCUCUCAUUCAAAGAAGGAGUCAUUUAUACAAUCAAGCCACCAUCUCUCUAGAGCUCCAUAGUUUUAGAAGCAUAGCUACAUAGGAUAGAUCUAGUAGGAGGCAAGCCUUGCUUGAUUUCCGGAUCCGUCAGAGAGUUACUCGGUAAUUCUUGUAAUCUUUCUCCUACUUUAUUCUAGUUCAUCAUUGUAUAUAUUAUUUCAUCUCAUUAUGAAUAUAAGUUUGCUCUAUUCGACUAUACUGGAUAUGACUUUGCUCUACUUCCUUAUUCUUAAUUAUAUUGUUCUUAGUCUAUUAUGAUUAUAUGCUUGGCAUAGCUAGAUUAGAUUUAUAUUCAAACAUAUGUUCGUAUAGCGCUCGCUCAUUGAUAUCCUGGGUGGGUGGUUGACAUUAUGUAGGCGUGGUGCCUAAAUUGUGUUUGUCUAUGUUUGCACCCUAUAUUCCGGGCCAUGUGGUAGAUCAUGGGUAUGACAAACUUGUUGAGUCCUCUAUAGUCCACCCUCUGAAUAUAGUUCUUUCUGUAGACACUGAUUACAAGAAAAUGAUUUAAUGUCCCUAUGCAUAGAUAUAACCUUCUCUUGCUAUGAUUGCCAAGUAUAAUUUUACUAAUCAUGAUAUGCUCUGACUUUAUAGUUAGAAUAACAUAGGAAUUAUCCUCAUAGAUCUUCCUAAUCCAUGCUAGUGCUAUAUACUGGAGUACUCUAGAGAUACAUUUAUCAUUCUAUUUAUGGUUUAUCAUUAUCACUCAUUAUAUAUAUCUUUAUCAUGUGACUCACCCCUGCAUGAGAUAGAUGGAUAAAGACAUAGUUUACCUCUUAAGAAUACAUGCAAGUGAUAUCUAAUUCCUUGGCUAUCCUUCCCAUUGGUAAAGUUAUAAAUAACGAUAUCUGGUUUACUCCUGGUGAAAUGCUACAAUGGUGUUACAUUUGUGUGCUUGCGGAUACCUUAUUCUAUAUUCAUUCUAAGAGAGCAUUGCAUAUUUUCUACCACCAGUGCAUUUCUAGUGUCAUGCUAGGGUUGAUAACCUAGCCACUGAGAAUUGAAUCUCACUCUAUUCUUAGUAGUGAUGCUAAGAAAUGCCAACACACAUCCGACAUCAAUAGGUGGCAAGUACGAACUCCUUAAUUUACCUGCCAUUUUUAUAUGCUUGUAAUACUAGACUAGCAAAUAUGUUCGUGUGUUGCAAUGAGAGAAGAAACUUAUUUUUUUUUAAAAUUCAUUAUUAUGUGGACCACUUUAGUUAGAAUACAACCAUAAUUUUUUAAAUUAAUUUUAAUUAUAAAAAAUUUAUAGUUCCUGACCAAGAUUCAUCAUAAACUACUUUUAUAGGCUAGUAUUAACUAAAAUUAAAGUACUAUUAUAAUAUCCCUCGAUGACCUCUCUACCUCUCUCUCUUUCCUAAUCUUGUUUUUUUUUUUUUGAGCUAGCUCUCUGUGAGCUCUCUUAUUCUUGCUACUCCCUGUUGAGUUAUCGUUGUGACCAUGUGAUGCCAAGCAAAUAGCCAUCACUGGCAUGGAGCACUUGUAGUACAAACUUCUACAAAAAAAUAUAGACAGAUUAGAUAUUUUUAGCUUUGAUAAGAGAAAUUAGAAAGUAUGAAAAAAUAAAAUAGCAAAUAAAGAGAGGUGUAUCUGUUUACCCUAGGACCAAUUUAAAUAAACGUUUAGAAGAAGAUGUAGAUAGAUUAGAUACUUUUUUUUUACAUUUGUAAGAAAAAUCGGAAAGUGCUAGAAAAGAAAUAAGUAAAUUGAAAAUAAAAAAAGUGUAUCCAUGUACCUAGCAGUCUCAGAUUUUUUUUUUUUUUGCCAUAUCCAUACGUCCUAUUUUUUUUGUUUGGUCGUCUUGUGUGCAUUUUUACAAUUUUUUGUUUGAUCGACCCCAUGAGAGUCCUGGUCGUUUCUGUUUGGUCGAUGUAAUAUUUCUGUCUCCACACUCACACCACAACAACAUUUGGAUUAGAAUUACUAUUUAGGUACUUAAGAUCCAAAUAAUCUAUUAAGAUUUGGGUUAGGAUUAGGAUUUCUAUUCAACUCAUUUAACAAGCGCAUAUGUCAUAUAAAAUAAGACGAUCAUAGACCAUAGUUUUCACGUUCACAAAAUUAGUUAAGAGAGGCUAUACAAAAAAUAGGAAGAAUUUUUGCCUACUCAGAAGAACAUCUCCAAGGAUUUUGCAUUUGAGGUUUGCAUUUAAGUAAUUUGUCAAAAAGCUCCAAAAGAGAUAUCCAACGGUUUUGCAUUUGGAGUUUGCAAUUUGGACAACUUAGCAAAUGAGAGAGCAAACUUGGAAAAAAUGCCAAGUUAGAGCAUCUCCAAGGGCUUUGCAAACAAACUUUGCAUUGCCCUAUUUGCAAAAAAGAGUAGAAAAUACCUCUCCAAUGGUUUUGCAAAUAAGGUUUGCAAUUUGGUUAACUUUGCAAAUAGAGGUUGAGUCUUUGCAUAUAUGCAAACCUUCUCACCACUUUGCAUCUACAAUUUCGGCCUUCCACAUCGGACUCCGUCCCCCCGCCCCCCCCCCCCCCCCCCCCACUUUGGGUUUGCCAAGUCUAAAUGUAAAAUCUCUUGGAGUUGGACUAUUUUUAGACUUUGCAAAUAAGUUUGAGACUUUGCAAACAACACCAAAUGCAAAAUUCAUUUGCAAAGUCCCUUGGAGAUGCUCUUAUGGACAGCUUUGCAAACCCGAUCGCGCUCGCCCCGUCACGCGCGAGGAAAGCGCGCACGCCUAGAGAUCUCCUAUUUUUAUCCUUUGUCAAGGCCAAAUGCCAAUUCCGUUGAAGAUGGCCUAUUUUUAUUCUUUGCAUUAGAGCAUCUCCAACAGUUAUGCAAUUGGACUUUGCAUUCUUGAAAUUUGCCAAAAAUCUUAAAAAUUGCUCUCCAACAGUUUUGCAUUUGACUUAUGCAUUUUGGCAAACUUGGCAUUUGAUGGACCAAACUUGGCAUUUUUGCAUAGGCACAAUGGCUUGGCAAUUUUGAUAUCCCGAGAAUCUUGGACUCCUUGUCGUGUCCGUACUCCCCACGUAACGUUGCGGUAGUUUCCCGCGAGACGAGUCCUCCCCGUGUGCGACUCUUUUUUUUCGCGCGCCGCCUUCUUUCUUCGUGCGGGCGAACACGGGCGAACCUAGGACUGUUGCCUCAAUCCAUGAACACGGCCGUGCGAUGUGCGAGAGAAUUGGCGGCGACGGGCGAAGGAAUUGCGCGCGAAAAAGAAAGCGUCCACGCGACGCGUGAGAAAAUUUCCCACGAAGAUGAAAGAUUCACGCACAAAAAUAGUUGGGUCCACUAUUUUUGGAAAUGCCAAGUCAAAAAUGCCAAACACUUGGAGAUGAACUUAUUUUUCAUUUGGCAAAACGUUAGGGACUUGGCAAACUUUAACAAAUGGUAAAUUUCAAUUGCAUAACUGUUGGAGAUGUUAUGAGAGUUUGCAAACAACAACAAAUGUCAGGUCAAUUUGCCAAAGUCUUUGGAGAUACUCACCUAUUUUAAAAUGGGAUCUAAGAGCUCUAUUGAGGUUAGAAAGUUUAUCUAUGCACGUUAUCACAAGAAAAUUCUAUAUAUGUUAUUAUGAUUCUGAGUCCAGGCCACAUGCACGACCAAAUAUGUUUUGAAAUUGAAUCUGUAUCGUGUUAGAAAAAAUCUAUUCUAACUCGUAUGAGCACGUGUUAUAUAUAUAAGUUUGGACAUCUUUAUUGUCCGGCAGUUUCAUGACGGCAUUCCGGAUCUUCUUCGCGCAGCAGUGGCAGUGGACGUCCAUCGAGAGGAUAACGGCGGGCGCCAUUGUAGUGCCGGUGCUGCGUCGUCGUUGAUCUUAAUUAGUUAGACAACAAGUCUAGCUCCGUGCCUGCUAGAUCUCUGGACUAUGGGUGUGUGCUGUGGAAUGGCACGCGAUCGGUGUGUAUACAUGUAUAUAUAUACAGGACAGGAGCACUGUGUUUUUUUAAGGUCAUAUAGGAGCAGUAGUUAUUAAUAUAUAUAUAUAUAUAUAUAUAUAUAUAUAUAUAUAUAUAUAUAUAUAUCAGAGAUUCUUCACUGAUUGAUACUGCGGCAUGCACGUUUCCAUGUAUGAGUGAUUUGUUGUAUCUCUUGCCAUAUACAUUGACUAUUUCCAUUAUUUUUAAAUUAUAACCUUAGUCGAAGGCUAUAUACUCUUAUACAUACAGUACCAAAAAAAUACUCGUGAAAAAUUGUUUCUGCAGGCUUUUAAAAAAACAUAUUAGGAGUUAAAAACAAUCACGCCUCUAAAAAUUUAGCAUGAACAAUUAUCAACAUCAUCUCUUCCUUUUUUGCUUUUGCAAAAGAUAGUGCAGAUACAUACUAUCGCUCGACGACUAACAUCCCUGUAAAGCACACACGUCCAUGCAUCUUAGAAGUACAAUUACCGUCACAUUACGACGAAAGAGAAAGGAUGCAGUUAAAACGAUAUCUAAUUGUUGUGGCCAGCUUUGUGCGAUGAUGCAAAACACUUUAAUUAGCUCGAUCAAGCAAUAUAAAUAUGUUGGCAGACAAAAAUUAAAGAUUCAACGGUAGUAGAGGACAUCUUAAUAAACGGAACACGACUUGACACCGACGAAGGAAAGAGAUGAUAGACGGAACUAGUAAAAUUAAAGAAACUUACAUCUUUUACUAUAUAAAUUGUCAACAACUAAAGUAAUCCUCAUCGUCAUCAUCAUCAUCAUCAUCAUCAUCAUCAUCAUCAUCAUCAUCAUCAUCAUCAUCAUCAUCAUUACCACCACCACCACCACCAUCACCGUCACCAUCAGUAUCAUUGUCGUCCUUGUCCUUUUCCUCGUCAUCCUCAUCAUCAUCAGUAUCAUCAUCGUCGUCCGGAAGAGCAUAAGUUUCGCUAACAAUGGCGGCUCGCAGCCCCACCUUGUUGUAGAGCUGCCCCUGGAUGUUUCCUGCGCUGGCGUUGCUGCCUUGCACCACCACGUGACCAGUAUUCUUCACUUGAACCUCCACGCCUUCCUCACCUAUGAAUUUGAACAUAAUCGAAAACAAGAGGCCGGCCAGAAACGCACAAACAAAGUCAAAAUCGAUCGACGCAUGAGGAACAUGCAUAUAUAUACAAUAUAAUAACUAGCUACCUCCAUACCCGUAAAGAAAGUCGUUUUCGAUAAGUUUUGGGUCAAAUGUUGGGAAUAUAAAUCAUGAAUAACUUUUAAGUUGUAAAUUUAAAAAUAUGAAAUCUAUAUGAAUAGAUUUGUCUUGAAAAAUAAUACUUUCAUAAAAUUAUACAUAUGCUACUUUUUGAUAAAUAUUUUUAUAAAAAUAAGGAGUCAAAGUUAGUCUUUAGAGAUCGUGUCAUUAUCCUAAACGACUUUCUUUAUGAGUAUAGAAGACGUGUGUGGGUGAGCAUGCUUAUUUGAUUGCACGUACGUACAUACCAGGCAACUCCUGGAUAGCAUUGCGGAUCUCCGUCUCCCACUCGUCGCAGUCGAGGCCGACGUAGAGAGUGAUGGUCGCCAUCGCCGCUUGUCGUCGUCUUUCUGCCGAUGCCUAGCUAGCUAUUGCUAUCUAAUAGCUCGAAGCUCGGACACGGGCACGUAGGGUUGCUGUGUGCAUGCAUGCAUGCAUGGCGCAGGGGUGGUGGUAUAUAUUUAUACACAGGAGUCAGGACUACAGGACGGGCGAUCCAGGUGAUCGGCGGCGUAAGUCGUGACGAGUUCAGGGAAACCUUUCUCCUUUUGCUUUUACAUUUACUAUAUAUAGGAGUAUAUAUAUCUAUACCUAUCUAUAAAGAGCCAAAAUUUCAGUCUGCCUAAAUUUCUUCUGCCACCAGUCCGCCAGCCCUCGAUUCGGAGUACAGACGCAACAUAUACCGGAAACAAAUCUCCUCUUCCAAAUCAGACACGAAAUCACUUCCAAAUCAGACAUGAAAUCAAAUGCAGCCAAUUCAAUCGAACUCCAAAUCUAAAUCAAAUCUAUAUCUAUAUCUAUACCUCUAUACCCCUAAUAUAAAGAGACAAAAUUUCAGCCAAAAUUUUCGUCUGGACUAAUUUUAGUCUGGCUUCUCCCCUAGAUCGACCGACUCCAACUCGCUCGAAAGAAAAAAUCGUCCAAUGAUCCAAAUUAAAUUGAAAAGGAGCUCCAAAUCGAAUAGAAAAGCAGCAAGAUUUACGAUGUACGAGAUUAAAACUGCCUUUAUUUACUAUAUAUACAAAUAAAUUAUGGGAAACACAAACAUAUCGCUAGAACGCCUGAGCACCGCUGCAGGGCGGUUCCAUGGAGCCGCGCGUGCGGCUGAUAGGGACAUGGGCCACGCGGUAGUGCCAGGGUGCUUGGGGUCGCCGCUCGCGAAUGCCUGGACGCCUGAGCGCCACUGCAGUCCGGCUCGACGAAGCCGCGCACGGCCAACGCUUCAUGUGAGCUCUGCCGAGCAGCCUGGUGGCGGCGUAGGUCAGCUAGCAGCGCUCGCUCCCGCUGGCGGUGCCCUCAACUUGGCUCUUUGCCCAUGUAUGCUUUGCUUUGUCAGCUACGCGGCUUGAGAAAGAAGGAGGAGGAAGAGAAAGUGAAGCUAGGGUUUUUUUACAGCUGCGGCUGAUGGAUUUUAUUCCCGGCACGAGUGUCCUCAUCCGUCAGAUUACAAUCAACGAUUCGGAUCAAGCCAAUAGCUAAAUGGGCCUGCGGGCAGCAUGCACCAACACACUUGCGUGGCCUAGACCCAGGAAGCCGGAGGUAAAGUCCGGGUGUUCAGCAGGCCUAAAAUAGAAUAAACCGUCCAUCCGCGCUUUUUUCUAGUUUUCAUCUCCUUUUCAUCUCCAGUUUUAUUUUUUUAUUUCCGUUGGUUUCGUUUCUUGCUGCCUCUCCAGCCGAAUUGUGGCUCAAUGUGCCAUUCUUUUCAUGAUUUUUUAAUAUAUAUAAGUCUACCUUUUUCUUAUAAUAACAAUAAAAAUAAGUAGUAAACACAGUAUUAGGCCCUUCAAGCAAUUACCUAAUAAAAUGUAAACAUAAAUAUUUCUAUCCUUAAGCUGACAAUGUAAUUUGAUUAUAAAUAUCCUUAAGGAAGUAUAACCUAACUAAUCGUAUUGUAAACUAAAAUAUUCGUCUGUUUGUCAUCCAAUCAAAUCAAAUCAAAUCAAAUUAAAUGUUUCUUUAAGUUAUCUGCAUAUAUUGGUGCAAAUAUAACAAUAAAAAUAAGUAGUAAACACAGUAUUAGGCCCUUCAAGCAAUUACCUAAUAAAAUGUAUGCACAUCCCGUUGCAACGCACGGGCAUGUUUUCCUAGUGAAUAUAUAAAUGGAAAUUGAUGGUCCGAAACCCCUCGGGUGGAGACUGGAGAGGGAUAGUUAGGAGUUACCUGCGCUGCCGUCGCCCGCUGUCCUUCUACAAAAAAUAUACUAUUAUGGCAUCCAAAAGUUUUUUGGAUUUAGCUACUAUAGCACUUUCGUUUGUAUUUAAUAAUUAUUGUUUAAUCAUGGGUUGAUUAUUGUUUAAUCAUAGGUUAAGUAGGUUUAAAAGAUUCGUCUCGCAAAUUACAGACAUAAUAUACAAUUAGUUAUUUUUAGCCCGCUGUCCUUCCAGAAAAAAUAUACUAUUAUGGCAUCCAAAAGUUUUUUGGAUUUAGCUACUAUAGCACUUUCGUUUGUAUUUAAUAAUUAUUGUUUAAUCAUGGGUUAAUUAUUGUUUAAUCAUGGGUUAAGUAGGUUUAAAAAAUUCGUCUCGCAAAUUACAGACAUAAUAUACAAUUAGUUAUUUUUAGCCCGCUGUCCUUCUAGAAAAAAUAUACUAUUAUGGCAUCAAAAAGUUUUUUGGAUUUAGCUACUAUAGCACUUUCAUUUGUAUUUAAUAAUUAUUGUUUAAUCAUGGGUUAAUUAUUGUUUAAUCAUGAGUUAAGUAGGUUUAAAAGAUUCGUCUCGCAAUACAAUUAGUUAUUUUUUAUCUAUAUUUAAUGUCCUAUGCAUGUGUCAUAAGAUUCGAUGUGAUGAAAAAUUUUAAAAAGUUUUUGAAUUAUGGAGUGAACUAAACGAGGCCUAUCAUCAUCAUCAUCAUCAUCAUCAUCGCUGUUUUCUCAACCGUCGCGCAACAGAGUUCUCUCAGGUACGGUGGCAAGUAAAAACUCCUAAAUUUACCUGUCAUUUUCAUGCGCAAAGAAGGUUGUAGUAUGUACAAAUUCCUUAAAGGAUGCUAUGCUAUGAACUUGGAGCGUGGGCCAACGGACCAAGAACACAACCAGCUACUAUGGACCAGAACGGGUCGCCAGGUGGAUUCAGCCAAUUUACUGCUGGGACCGGCAUUGCCUUGAUUCUGGAAAAUGCGAUCGGCGAACGCCGGCAAUUUGCCGCAUGGGUAUGGUGUGGGAUUGGGGCUAUAGAAGAUUGGAAUUGGAUUUGGAUUUCUUGCUGGGUCACCUCGUGACGUGCACAAGCAAGUUUUUCUUUACCGAAGCAAGCAAGUGAGCCGAAUCGGCUCUCCACCACCAAGUAAGGCAAGGCUUUCCUGUUAGGUAAGAUUGAUUUUGGAAGGAACCAAACGUGUCCUUGCUUUGCUAGCUCACUCUGCUUAGGUUUUCUCAGCUCGGCUUGGCUCAGCUCAUUUAAUUUUUAAGUGAGGUGAGCUAGUAUUUUAGUAGUUACAAGAGUUUAUUACUUUAAUGGGCCAAAUCACAAGCUAAACAAGCUAAGUUGUUGAUUGAUCACCCUAAAUAAGCAAUAAUUAGGCUUGAUGUAUGUCUGGGGUUGAAAUCUAGAACCAAUGUAUGAUGUGCAUUGUACUUUUUGCCUAAUGUUUGCAUAUCAUGGAACUAGUUAGUUGUUGUUAUUGUUAUUGUUGUAUGUAUUGGUUGCAUUUGCAUCUCUUAACUUGGUGAGUUCCGUGUGCGGUGCUGUGGAAUUUAAGAAAACUUUAUCAUGGCAAGUAGCAAAAUAUUUUAGAGGAAAAAUUAUGGAGAGCAUGUAGAGAAUUUGGAGAUUGUUGAGAGCAUGGUAUGGUGCAUUUUGCAAAUGAAGGAAGCUCGUCAUGGGGUUAAUGGCAACUUGAAGGAAACUACACAAUACAACUGAUACUCCCAGAAACGAAAUGGACAAAUAUUGCUUAAGCUGGAAUUUCUGAACAAUAUAUUUUAGAAAAAUAGGCUUGGGGAGGGGACUCGAGACCUUCCAUCCCUCUCCAUCGGCACUGUUAAGUCUGGUGAAGUGGUGGUUUGCGCAGCGCGACACGAGGUGCGGCCAGCAGCCGGCCCAUCUGAUAAAGGCAUUUUGUGAAGGCCUCUCGGGCCACCGGCGAUGGAGGAAUCGCUGUUGUAAAAGUAACAGGGCAUAGAGAGAAACAGCCCAUGAGGCACGUUCAUUUAUUUAUUUCCAAUUGUAAAACAUCCAUCGUAUCCGUAUUAGUGUUGCUAAAAAUGUCCAAUGAAUAGGCAAUUCCGGUAACCGCUACAGAAAAAAUGCUCUCACAGGGUGACAGUACACCCAGCCAGGUGGAUCAGUUCAUGUCCACCUCGGUGUCGUUGAGUCUACACCCCUUCGUCUCGAAGGGGAAGAACGAGACGGCCAGGCCGGAGAGGAAGAUUACAAGUUCGAAGAGGAGGAUCGCCGUCGUCUGCUGGCAGCUGUGCACCAGGGCGACCGCGACGAGCGGGCAAAGGAUGCCGCCGAUCCUGCCCACUGAGCUCGCGAUGCCAAUGCCCGUCGUUCUCACCGCGGUCGGGUAAAUCUGAACAAUAGACCAAAGGCAAACAAUAAAAGAAAUGUAAGCACAGACAGUCAGACACCAAUUGGUUGGUUAUCUGCUAGUACCACCAAGAGAGAUGGAGAAUGAAUUGAUUUUUGCACAGGAAACUCACUCACCUCUGGAGCAUAUAUGUAUACAAUGGUGAAGCUGGCGGAUAUACAGAGCCGGGCACCAAACAGGGAGAUUCUGGUUAGUAUAUCUGUCCGGGAGAACACCAGUGGGACUAAGAAAACACAGCUAGUGAAGAGCAUCGACGCCAUUGAAAGCUUGCGACCAAAUCUAUCCACGAUCAUGGCCGAUAGAAAUGACCCUGGGAUCUCUGUUUCAAGAAAACAUGGCAGCAUUGGUCAGCAAUGAAUCACAUGCUUUUGAAGCUAGUUAUGAUAAUCAUACUAUGCACGCCAGUAACCAACCUGCAAAACUAGAUAUGAAAACAUUCUUAUAUAGGCUUGCAUUAGUUGAAUUAACUGAUUCAACAUCCUGUUUGGCACAUAUCCUAUUUCCAUUACUGAGCUCUGAUGUCAGAAGAACAAUGCCAUAAUAGGCAAACGCAUUUCCAAAGAAGGCCAUCCACAGAAGCAGGGUUGCUCUGAUCAGUUUUGGUGCAAGUAGCUUGCCAACAGACUUAAUACCUCCGAAAUCAGAACCACGAUCUUCACUUAGGUUGUCACUUUCUUCGGCACCAGACAAAAGUGUCGUGGACUCUGAAGAUCCUGAGACUUCAUCUAGCUCAAUAUUUUUGUCAGAAACAAGCCUACCAGAAGGUAGUUGUACAUUGUUUAGUCUUGCCAUUUUCUCCAAUACAUCCACAGCCUCGGUAGUUCGGCCUUUCAUGCAAAGGAACCUUGGUGACUCUGGCGUAAUGGCAUAAAAUAGCAGCAGGAGAAAAGAUGGAAUAGCUGAUAAUGCUAACAACCACCUCCAGCCAAACUUGGGCAUAACUGUCUGCCAUUAAUAUGUUGAAAAAAAUUAGGCAUGGAAAAACAUGGUGGAGUCUUCUAGUCUAAUGCAUAUGCGUUUUUUACUGCAAGAAUAUGUUUCUCUGAUUAUGAGCUGCCUAUCCAGACAUUGAUAGUAUAUUAUAGAUCUUUGUAUCAAAGUAACCAAAGUAAAGUUGCAGGUAUUGCAGAAGAAAAUAUCUACAGAUAUACAUAAUACUUAACAGAUUUGGUAAACAAAAAAGCAAACUAAUUGCCAGAGAACUUCUGAUUCUAUGCCCUCACAAUCGAAGUUUCUUUCACAAGUGAUGUUCCAGAUUGCUAGUCUCCCGGAAACUUAUUCUUAUUCCAUGCACUUUUUCUUUCAAUAGAUCAAAUAACAGACCCAUUAAUACUACAGUUAAUUGUUUGUAUGGUAAUUAGCAACGCUAUUAGCAGAUUAACUGUUAGUGAGUGGUUCAUAAAUUUCUGAAUAAACUGGAGUAUACAAUGAGAGAUUGAGAAUCAGUUGCAUCAGGUUAUGAUUUAUCAUGUGUAAUGUUUACUUUUGAUGCUGGGCACUAUUAUAAAAUAUGAAUAGCAUUAUCAGUCUCAAAAUAUUCAGGAGAAAAUAUUAUACCCAUGCAAGAGAUGCCUCCAAUAUUGUCCCAACAGUCCAAAAUGCAGAAAAUACCACCAUCCAUGUUCCUCUAGUUGGAGCAGGAACAAAUUCCAAGAACCAAGAUCCCAGAACAGGCCCUCCUCCCAAACCAAUACCAACUAAGAAUCUCAGGGAAAUUAAUGACAGAUAGUUCGGAGCAAAAGCACUCAAGAAUCCAGCUCCACUUGUCACGAUGGCAGUAAAUAGAAAGCCUCUCCUAUAGAAUCCAAAUGAAACAGAGUGUAAGGGCUUUUAUGAUGUACACAAGCAAUUCGUUCAUGACCAUAAAUUUUGAGAAUGAUUUGAAGCUUGUUCUCGAAAGUAGCAUGUAAUUAACUUGGCUGCUGAUUGAAACUCAGCUAUAACAGCAACUGUCCAAUAGAAACUACAUCAGGAACAAGUUUUGGUAAUCCCAUGUUAAACAUCAGCAGGAAAGGAAAUGGACUUGCAUUAUUUUGAGCAAAAAGGUACAUGACAUAAGUAAAAGAUUGGACCUGCCUCCUUCCAUAGUUGUCUGAAACCACACCCCACGAGUAAGCUCCAAUCAGCAUUCCAACAAAAACAACACUUGUAAUCAUGCUUUCCUGAUGAGAAGUAAGCUUCCAUUCUAGCUGUACUGAUGGACCAACAAAUGACAGCAGCAUCAUUUCCAUCGCUUCGGCAAUUAAGCCAAUCCCAGCAUAUGAAAGAAUCAGUAUCUGGAACCUCCCAAAACCUGAUGACAAGAGCGCAUCAUCCACAGUAUAUGAAGCUGAUUGCCCCUCCUCCAUCUGAAAAGUAAUGAUCACAGUUGUCAACUUGUCAUCUAUAAAUCACAGUAAAUCUAAUCUACUUAUAUAACCAAACCAGCCAAGGGCGGAAACGAGUUAGUUCCUUCUAUUUCCUUUUUAUUUGUGGGUUUAAACAACACUGAUUUACUGAUACACACAAGUAAACACUGUUUGCCUAAAAGGUCAUUUAUCCCAUUUAGACAUCAUUUAAAUGCUACAGGGCGAUACGCCGUUUCCGUUUAAUCGGUCAUUUAUCGCAUUUAAACAGCCGUUUCUCUUGAUUAAAUGGCCAUUUAGUCCAAAUAAUGGUUAAACCGUAGGUGAUCCAUUCUAUAGCAUUUAGUGUUUAGGAAAGCACUGCAGGUAAACACACGCAUCGUGUAACAAGAGGUAAUCAAAGACCCCGCGAGCUGAGAGCAUUCUAAAGCAUUUGCAUCGCUGUACAAGAGUACAGGCCAACUUAAGCAUUCAAUUGUUAAUAAAAAAAAUUCAAUUGAAAGUCAACUAAAGCCAACAAGAAGGCACGUCACAAACUCACGUUAUCUGCUUUGUUUUCCCUCGCUUUGCACAUUCCUAAAGCACAGGAUCAACUGGAUAGCAAGUAACCGACAAGAACCGAAACAGCUGAAUCUGAGGAGAGGAGGCUCGCGAGAUCCUCACCAUUUCAAGAGCCGUCUGGCGGAAUCAGAAGCUUAUCUCGUAAUAACGAUCCUCAGCGAGCUGGGAGCAUCAGACCCAACCCUAGCCUCCGUCCGGGCCCGCCUGGUUAAAUCUUCCCUGGCCCAACUGGUUCCACGCCCUGAGAAAUCCAGACAAUGAGCAGUUGAGCACGCAUACGGAAUCAGUCGUGUCCAGGAACACGCGAGAAGCAACGGGUGUGUGCCUGUGUGGAGCCUGGCAACAUGAGGGAGAAGCGAACCGGAAUGCGUUUCUUGGAUCUGCGACAGGCGGCGAAUCCCGCAGGUGCAGAGGAGGGGAUUCGCGGUCUAUGGAGGAACGACGGACCCCGAAUCCGCGCGCCUGCAGCACUGCUGCUUCCUGGAAAUCUCUUCUGCGCUUUUCGUUGCGUUUGGGCGAGAUUUGGGUCCGUACCGGAUGGGUUGGGGAAGGAGAUGCAAAAUGGAGCCCGCGCUUUGACCGGGAAAACCAUCAUUAUCAUUAGUCAAAGCCGCUGGCACGCGUCCGGCGUCUCCAACGGGAGGGGACGGGGUGGCCUGUUCCUUCCGUGCAUUUCACGCACCGACGUGGAGACCAGACCGACCAAGGCCUUGACGCAAAAACUAAAAACUUUUCAAGAUUUUUUUGUCACAUCAAAUCUUACGCCAUAUGCAUAAAGUAGUAAAUAUAGAUAGAUAAGAACAAAAACUAAUUAUACAGCUGUAAAUCGCGAGACAAAUCUUUUAAACCUAAUUACUCCAUAAUUAAAUAAUGUUUAUCAAAUAAAAACGAAAAUACUACCGUAUCAAAAUCCAAAAACUUUUCGCAUGAGCCCAAACAAAAACGUCGGGAUGUUGCUGGUGUUGUGAGAGAAGAUCACAAGGGGGGUAACGCUUGAGAUUGAGAGUGUACCAAACUUUCUAGUAUUGAUAAUAACUUUGAUGUAUUUGUUUGUUACUAAAUUUUAUCUUACUAAGUGUAAAAUGAAUUUUCUGGUGCCCAAAGUACAUUAAGAAAAUACUAUAAAACAAUAUAGACCUAUCUGCCUUCUUCUUAAUGUAGAUUAUAAAGGUUUUACUGAGGUUCUAACUAAGAGAUUUACACUUGUGGCUAAGGAGGUCACUGGAGAAAAUCAGACAAGUUUUAUAAAAAGAUAGAAACAUUCUGGAAGGACUAGUGGUUUUGCAUGAAGUGAUACAUGAGCUGAAUAAAAGCAAAAUAGAACGAUAUGAUUUGAAAAGGUUUAUGUGAAAGUCUGAUGUUUUUUUAAAUGUCUUACAUGGAAAGGGGUUCCCUAAUAUGUGGGUUAAUUGAGUGAUGUAAACGGUUAGCGGUGGUCAAGUUUGUCUUAAUGUUAAUGGAACUAGAUGGCCUUAUUUUAAGGCCAUGAGGGCAUGAGGUAGAGUGACCCUCUCCCCCCCCCCCUAAUUCAAUCUGAUAGCUGAUUCUUAAGUGUGCUAAUGGAGAAAGUUGUGGAUAGAAACUUAAUAGUGGGUGUUCUAGAGUCUUUGCUAGACUAAGGGCAUCUCCAGUGUAUAAACGAUUUUACUCUGCUCAAACAGUAUCGUGUCGGAGGGUUCGAUGGCCACUAUGUGAGCAUUGGUUUGUGGGGCCUGCUACUCUUGUUUUUGUUUUCACGUGUCAGCUCUAGAUAGGCUGUGAAUCUGUCACUGUUGGUCUAAUACCAUCUUGCACUUGAGAGAUGAAUUUUUUAUGUAGCUUUGGUUCGACUCUUCGGCAACAUCCGCUUUCAAAUCUGACAAACAUGGUUCGGUUGCUGCAGUGCGCUCGAUUCGACUUUUCAUUUCCAUGGUUCGAUUUUCGCAUACACUGGAGCUGCUCUAAUGUAUCUCUCACAUCCAGUAUGCAGAUGACACUAUACUCAUGACUGAUGGAUCUGAUAAGUCUCAAGGUUUUGUUGUAUUGUUUUGAAUGGUUAUCUGGCCUUAAGUUCAACUAUCAUAAGAGUAGGGUCAUUUUGUUUGUCUUCGAUCAAGAGGAGAAAGAGAGGAAGGCAAAUAUGCUUAAUCGUAGGUUGGGAGACUCACCAGUGAAAUACCUAGGUAUUCCUGUUUCUGAUAAAAUGUUGGGCACAGUAGCUUUCAGACAUGUCUCAAAAAAUGUUGAAAAGAUUAGACCCUUGGAAAGGGAAAUUUAUGGCAUUUGGUGGUAAGCUAAUUCUUACUGACUCUAGUCAAAGUAACUUACCAAAUUAUGGGAUGGGAUCCCACCUGCUUCCUAAAGGGGUACUUUUGGAAAUGGAUUCUAUAAGAUCAUUUUUUUUGGCAAGGUACUGGUAACUCUUCAAAAAUAUCACAUGGCUAAGUUAAUCUCUAUUAGUAAACCUAAAGUCCACGGUGGUUUAGGUAUUCUUAACACUAUGUUGAUGAACCGAUGUCUAGUAACUAAAUGGGCCUGGAAAAUAGAGAAGGGUUCAAAUGAGCUUUGGUGUAGGGUACUGCAAGCCAAGUACAUGGAAAGGAAAGACUUCUUUAAUUCCAAUUGUCAAGGUUCUUCUCAAUUUUAGAGGGGUCUUAUUUCAAUGGGUGUUGAAUAUAACAUAAAGGUGAUAGAGUAAGGUUUUGGUAUGACUCUUGGGUUGGUGUUAUGCCAUUGAAGAUUCAAUUUAAUAACUGAGAGGAUUUCAUAACACAAUCUUAAUGACCUUUUUGGACGUGCAAAAUGCCUUUGAAAGUCAAAUCUUUAUGUGGCAGGAUUUCAUAACAAAUAUGCAAAUAUCCACUGCUCUCAAAAAAGGGGUUGGGGUGAAAGCUCUUUUAUGUUGUGUAUGUGCUAAACCUGAAACUGUUAAUCACAUUUUGUUUGAGUGUGGUUUUGCACAGUAUAUAUGGUGCUGCAUUAGAGAUGCAUAUAGUUUAGAGGAUUUUCCAACUUCUAUUCAAGACAUUUUGGUGCAGUGGUUGCCAAGGAGGCUAGGUAUCUCAAGGAAAUUAAGUUUUGUUUUUGGAAGAAUAGAAACAAAAUGGCAAUUGAAAAUACUUUCUUCUAACGCAGAUGCAGUGAUUGUAUACGGAUGUGGGUAGACCUUCAAAUGGACCCCAAUUGUAUGCGGAUGUGGGUAGACUUUCAAAUGGACCGCGACAAGAUCAAGCUGACUUGGAUAGCUCGUUGUCUGGAUGAAUAGCAAGAAGGCUUUUAUGAUGAUCCUAGCUAUGGUACCUUUGUUAUGUAGUUGGCCGGCUGGUGUGUUCGUGUUGGUUUGCCUUUGGUCUCUCGGUCUUUGUGUUUGUUUUAGUGGGGUGUGGCAAGGUUUAGCUUGUGUCCAUGUACGCUUAAGUCGAAAACUGAUAUACUAGUACAUAUUAAACUUUAAUCGGCUUUCUUAGAAACCGAGUAAAUCUUCUUUAAAAAAAGUGAAAAAUGAAACCUACUGACUUGCUGAAGAGGAGGCCAAUGAGGCAUGGGUUGAGAAGAACAGCGGCGCAGGAGGAAAAGAGGACGACAAACGAGGAGACGAGGCUGGCAGCGGCACGGGAAGAGACGGAACCAGCGAGCGGCAGAGCAACCAUACGAGAAAAAUCAAAAUAAAAUUUGUAUAUGGGACUCACACGAUGGGUGACGCUUAUAAAUAUAGCUAGCAGCCGAGUAUUCGGGUGAGGACGCCUGCAAAAUUUCAUCCUGCACGCAGAUGAUCGACAAAUAUGGUUUUUACAUUGGCUAAAUCAGCAAUAAAUUAAUUAGAAGAGAGAAGUUGUAUCCCUUUAAAAAAUAUUAAUUGGACACCGAUAUAAUUAUACUGCAAACCAUGCAUAGAUAGCACUCCAUAAAUCGUUGGAAACAAAUAAGAUGAAUAAAAAUACAUCCAAAUAAGCCUAGAGAUGGAUGGGCUAAAUCCUGAGGUGGUGCUAUGAGGAGAAAGAAUUACUGGGAGGGCUAGCAGGUUUGUAUCGAGUCAUAGAAGGUGGACACUCUUUAAGUAGAGCUCGUGCCAAUGGAGAGGCGGUAGGUAAUUACUGUAAAUAGGAUAGUGAAUGGAACGGACAAUGACGAAGAUUUUAAGCCGAAGAUAAUGAGUUAUGAGAUAUUUAAACGUGGACUGCUCCAACUUGAAACAUCUUAUUUUGAGUUUCAAAAGCUCAAGAUUUUUCAUUUAAAGAAGAAAUUUGGUGGCAAGGGCUCACAAAAUCCCUUCUCAAAAAAUGCCUGAUUUCGGCCUGCAGGUCCUAUACUUAGGCCUUGUUUGGCUUUCAUCCCAAAGUUUUUCAGUUAUCAAAUCGAAUCUUUAAAUAUACAUAUAGAGCAUUAAAUUAAAUGAAUAAAAAUUAAUUGCGCAGUUUAGUUGUAAAGUUAUGAAACAAAUCUUUUAAGUCUAAUUAGUCUAUGAUUAGCCAUAACUGCUAUAGUAACCCACAUGUGUUAGUCGGAUUAAUUAAUUUUAAUAAGUUCGUCUCGAAUUUCCAGACGAGCUAUAUAAUUUGGUUUUUAUUAGUUUAUGUUUAAUACUUUAAAUGCGUGUCAGCAUAUCUGAUGUGACAAUUUUUUUUCGAACUAACGGACUUAAGACCUUGUUUGGAUACACCUAAAAACCCAAAACUUUACAAGAUUCCCCAUCACAUCGAAUCUUGCGGCACAUGCAUGGAAUAUUAAAUGUAGAUAAAAAAGAUAACUAAAUGCACAGUUUACUUGUAAAUCACAAGACGAAUCUUUUAAGCCUAGUUACUUCAUGAUUGGAUAAUGUUUGUCAAAAAAAACGAAAAUGCUACGGUGUCAAAAUCCAAAAAGUUUUUGGAUCUAAACAAGGCCUAAGUCGGAUAUCUUAAGAUUUAUUUUCUCUUAAAAAAACGUAUAUUUGCCUAAGGACGAGUGAAUGGAGCCAAAUAAAAAAAAACGAGAGUCCAAACCCCCAAGGAGGCCAAGAAAAGGCGAUCUAGAAAAGAAAAGAAAAAUUUCUCAAGUCCGUUCUCCGCGCUCUCCCCGUGUCCCUCUGGGCGGUUCGGCCGUUCCCUCGCAUCUCCUCCUCUCCCUCCAGACUCCAGGUCUCCACUCCCUCGCGCUUCUCGUCGCGUCGCUAGGUUUCUCCCCUCUUCCUCCGCCCCAAUUCCGAUCGAUCCGAGCUUGCGAUGGUCUCCGGUGCCGGACCCUCCGGCGGGGCAGCCCACUCCGCGUCCACCGGUGGUGGGGGCGGCUCCCCCUCCGACAGGGGCGGCGCCGCGCCCUCGGCCUCGGCGUCGGUCUCCACGCCAGCCAGCGAGAGCACCGUCGCCCGCCGCCUCAACGGACUUGACCUCCAAGGCGACGACGCGCCAUCGUCUCAGCCAGCCGCGAGGUGCGUGACCCCCGCCGGCUUGAUUCCAUCCUUGGUCGAGUUGGGGUUUCGGCUCCCCUGCUUAAUUACUUGCUCAGAGGGACUGUGUGAUUGCCGUGUGAGCUAGUGGUGUUUUGCGGGUUUGAGCUAAGGGGGUUUGGUCGUGUAGAUGAUACCAUGCCGAUCUGCAUUUGUUCCUGCUCUAGAUUUGCCUUAUGUGUGGUCUUUAGCUUGUCUGGAGUAUUGGAAUUGCCGAAUUGGUGGCUGCUAGUGUUUUUAGAGGAUCCUUUUGUCUGUUUGAUAAAUUUAUUCUUAAAUUUGUUUCUCAACUUACUGUAUUAAUAUUGGGAAUUCUAACUAGUGCUAGUGGCAUAUUACUUGUAUUGGUUUUGCAUUUGUAUUUGUUCAUUCUACCAUGAAACUGAAACUCUGGAAUGAUUUUCUAUAGCUCUUGUAGCAGCUCAUGGCACCUUUGCACAGAGAGAUGAUUUUCUAUUUUUUUUGCCACCUUUGGUAUCUCUUGUUGAUUUCUUUAGGUGUAUAUGUUUUCCGAGGUUGGAUAUUCUAGCUUAUUGAUUGAUCUAGAGCUAGUAAUGUUUAGAUAACUUAAAUUUUGUUUUGCUUUACCAUGUUGUAACUUCAGCUUGCUACUGUUUCAUAUUUGGUAACUUGCAUCAUGUCUUAUUUUCACUUAUUUAUCUGGCCAUUUACGUAACACAUUUCUAAAACACAGCUGGUUCUCUAUUUAUGAUGCAGCAAGAAGAAAAAGAAAGGGUCACGUGCAGUUGGUCCUGACAAAAAUGGCCGUGGAUUGCGCCAAUUUAGCAUGAGAGGUGGUUUAAAGAGUUCCUUUACCACUCAUACCUGUGAUUUUCACUUGUUUUUGGUUUGUGUGAUCAUAAGAGAAAUGAGAUUGACAUUAAAGUCUCUCUCUCUCUCUUCAACUGUGCGUGCCACAAUUUUUUUAAAUUAUUUCUGUUUGUAUCAUACAUGUGCUGUACUAUGCUUGAAUGGGCCAAUUUAUUGAGCUGGAGUUCACUGCAUGUUUACAAGUUUCAUGAAGUUUUUAUUUGUUCUUUUUCAGUCUGUGAGAAAGUUGAAAGCAAAGGGAGAACAACCUACAAUGAGGUAUCCAUUCUAUUUUCCAUGUUACAGUUACAUUGUAUAGCAGUUGCAUUGUAUACCAGCUCUUCCCAAUAAGGACAACCUAUAUGGCUAUACCUAGUCUUAUUGGGUACAGUUACAUUGUAUCAAUGUUUUCUGGUCGGCUAGUCGAUCCUGGUCGACCUGGGACCGACCAGGCGAUUAAUCACGAUUAAUCAGCGACCAGGUCGAUUAAUCGACCCUGGUCGUCCCCCUGGUCGUCCAUGGUCGUCCAGGCAUAUCAAUUGGUCGACCUAUAUAUAUACCUCUAUAUAUACACUAUAUUAUACACAAUAAAGGAAGCAUCAAGACUGCAUUAGUGUAAACCAACAUUCCUCUUCAUCUUCAACUUGUGCUGGCGCCUCUAGAACAGUCCUUGAACUCUUUUUGAUGUAAACCAACAUCUCCUUCUUAACUAUUUCUGGAGAACUGGGACAACCAACAGCAUCUCCAUACCCCCCACAUAUCUGCCCAGUCAAAAAAGCCCAAAAACAGAGCACACAACCUGGUCGUCCAUGUCCUAAUCGGACGAUUAAUCGCGAUAAGUGGACGACUAAUCGGACGACCAGGUUUCUAGUCGACCUGGUCGGGUCGGACCUCCUAAUCGAGCACUCCUGACCGACCAGGAUGAUUAAUCGCGAUUAAUCGGACGACCUGAAAACAUUGCAUUGUAUAACAUCCCUUUUUGCAAAGCAGAAGUUAGUAUAAGCAGCCAGCGAACAUUAGGUACUGCCAUAGGAGUAGCAUAGAAGAUACAGACUCACCUCCAAAGUUUACAAGUAAACCACAUGUGUUUAAUCAUUUGUCCCAUAUACUUUACACCUGUGUGGAUUUUCAGCGGAAGAGCUGGUAUCUCUAGAAGAGUGCUGAUAUUGAUAAGAAGUGGCAAAUAAACUGUUCCCUCCGUUCCAAAUGGUAGGUCAUUCUGGCUUUUCUUAGUGCAUAGUUUUUGCUAUGCACCUAGAUAUACACUAUGUCUAGAUGUAUAGUAAAAUCUAUGUAUCUAAAAAGGCCAAAACGAUUUAUAAUUUUGAAUGGAGUACAUCAUAUGCUGAUAUGUGUAACUGUGUGUAUUUGCCACCUCUUGUCAAUAUCAGUGCCUUUCUGGGGCAUGAAAAGCACAAACAACAUCAAAUUAUUGUUUGUAGUUUCUUAAUUUUUUUAGAAAAGGAAUAACUCUUAACUAAUGAACAAAAUUCUGGGAAGAUAAUGUGGGAUGAAGAUUCUGCUUUGGUCCCUCCUCCACAUCAUUAUUUUUAGUUAAUGAAAACAUUGCAUCCCCUUUCUCCUGCAUCUUCUUUUAUCAAUCUGCGCAGCAUCAGAAAAUUUAUGCAUAUGGUGUGCAUUUUUCAGGUGGCAGAUGAAUUGGUUGCUGAGUUUUCAGAUCCCAAUAUUAAUAUUGACUCUCCAGAUCCUGAUAAUCCCUCCGCGGUAAGAAAUACCACUAUGACUCUUGGUCAGUGAUUUAUCAAGUAGUUAAAUGCCAUUCUGAUUAUGUUAAAAUGCAGCAACAAUAUGAUGAGAAAAAUAUUCGAAGAAGAGUUUAUGAUGCGCUGAAUGUCCUAAUGGCUAUGGAAAUUAUAUCCAAAGAUAAAAAAGAAAUACAAUGGAGAGGCUUGCCCAAGACAAGUAUGAAUGAUAUUGAAGAAUUGAAGGUUCUGUUCCUUAUCUCUAAUAAUAUGGAUUUGCUGAUAGUUCGACCCUUUCUGCUCAUUUCAUUAAGUUUAUGCAUAUAUUGCAGACAGAGGUCAUUAGACUGAAAGGCCGGAUUGACAAGAAAGCUGCAUAUCUGCAGGAUUUACAAGAUCAAGUAAGAAUUGACUGGUCCCUUCUUUCUCAAUUUCCUCAUGAUAUAAGCCAAUUGAUAACAACAAUAUUUUGUGUCCCCCAAUGUUAUAUAAAGCUAUGACUGGUGGCCUAUUAUGCAGUGAUUCAUACACUUUAAACAUGAAAUACCUAGCAUUGUAGAUUUCGUGGUUUCUGUUGCACUCAAAAUUAAUUGCACAUUUGUCCAUGAGACUAUUUUGAGAAUAGCAUUAACAAUUUUAACUCUCCUGGAUCUUAAAUUUGGAAGCGCCACUGCACGCUGAUGUGGCACAACAACCACGUGCAUACAGAAUUAGGUUAAUCCGUAGCUUUCUCUGGUCAUUUGUUACAUUAUUGAAGCAAAAGGCAGAGAUACCUUUGAGUUUAUGUUGGAUUUUAUAAUUAAAGCAAAAGUGAUUCAGUUGCUACAUGGAUUUCAGAAAUACUUCCUCCAUCCCAAAAUGUAAGUGCACAUCUCACAUUUCGAUGAGUCAACCAAUCAAUUGAUCAAAUAUAUUAAAAAUACUAAUAUUCAUGAUACCAAAUAAGAAUCAUUAGAUUAACACGCUAGAUAUUUUCAUAGUAAACCUAUGGAUAUACAAAUGUUGAAACUUGAAAAUAGUUGAAUUGAAAUGUGUGAUGUGCGCUUAUUUUGGGACGGAAGGAGUAUAUAUUUUGGAGGGUCCUGUAUGGCUGAGUGAUCUUUUUUUUAUCUAGUUAGCUGCUCAGUGGACUUUUGUGCUACCGUCUCUCAAUCAGAAUUAAUCAUUGUAAAGUCAUGUUCCAGAACAUUAGUAUGAAGGCGUUUUUAGUAAAUGAGCCAUGCCUUGUUAACUGUAUUUCUCCAUUGCAGAUUGAGUUAGUAAUGAUAUUUGUUCCUUCAUUUUUCAAUGUUGAAUUUGAAAUAUUUUGAAACUCAUUCGUUUGUUAUGAGUUUUUAUUUUAUUUUUUUAUUUUAUAAGUAUGUAUGUCUCCAAAACUUGGUUCGACGGAAUGAGCAGCUAUAUGGGUCAGGAGAUGCACCCUCCGGUGGAGUGGCCUUGCCAUUUAUACUAGUUAAGGUAAAAAUAAUGCUCCAUCUUCUCCAAACAUGGAUCUCGAAAUACUUCAUUGUAUCAUUAUGUUUCAAUGCUAGUUUCAAAAGAGAACAUUUUGAGCCAUUUCAGAGAUAUCCUAGCAAGCGAGAUAUCGUUGGAAGCAAAUGGAUAUUUCAAUAGAAAUGUUCCACCAUCCAAAGGCCUAUUUAGUUAUUUAGACUUUCACAGUGUCCACUUUCUAUUUAGGCCUUGUUUAGUUCCCAAAAAGGUGCAAAAAAAUUUCAAGAUUCCCUGUCACAUCGAAUCUUACGGCGCAUGCAUGGAGCAUUAAAUAUAGACGAAAAUAGAAACUAAUUGCACAGUUUGUCUGUAAUUUGCGAGACGAAUCUUUUGAGCCUAGUUAGUUCAUGAUUGGACAAUAUUUGUCAAAUACAAACGAAAUUGCUACAGUACCCGAAGCCAAAAAAUUUUGUGAACUGAACAAGGCCUUAGUCACAUGCUACAUAUUGAUCAAGAAGUUUAAUUGUUUUAGGCUAACUGAUAUUUAACUUCAAAGUCUUAAAUUCAUAAAAGAACAAGGUUUUAAUAUAUGACUAAUUUCCAUAAAAGUUCCCAUUGUUGAGUUUGGGACAUAGAUUUUGAAUUAGAGGAGUUGCAGCUCAGUAGUUGGAAUCCGAGCAAGUUCUUGAAAACACUGUGAACUAGCUAGCUGGUUCAUCUUUUGUUUAGUGGCUGGUGGGUACCACAACAUUUUUUUUGAAAUUGGGGGUAUCUUUAUGUUGCUUUAUGUUAGAUGACACAUGGGUAGCUGGCCCAAUGGGCUGCUCGGUUGAUGUCACUAUGGGCCAUGCACCCACACAUAGUUAGGUUGUUAGGAUGGUUAUGGUUGAGUCAUUAUAGGCAAGGAUCGCAGUAGAUUGUUUCUGUUCUAUAAGCCAAACCCUAGGUCAUCCGGUCAUCCUUGUCGAUAUGUGUAACCUUUUAUCCUCCAUAAUCCCAUCAAUUUCGUGCCAUAUUCUUACAUGGUAUUAGGCUGGUCGAUCCUCGACCUUCUGCUUCCGCUCAAAACCUAACUCCAUCCUCCAGCUGUCAUGCCUAUAGGGCUGCCGCCGGCCUCCUUCGCUUCCCUUGGCACUGUCACUGAUGACUGCUCCAAGGCUGCUGCAGCCGCCGAUAGCGGGCGCGUGGCAGCCACCAAAGCUGAGGAAGCUGCACGCGCCCUAGCACAUCACUGCCACUGCCAAGGCACAUGGUGGCACUCUGGCACUGAUGGUGCCGAUGCCCUGGAGGCUGCUGAGCACGAAGCUGCCACCGCUGCCAAGGAUCGCUAGGACACCAUUGACCACGAGGAUUUCACUUCGGAGCGCGCAACCAUCCAGGCCAAUGAUGACCGUGCUGGGUCCGACGGGGAGUUAGUGCACACGGACCCCCUCCCCUUCAUGAUCUGCUCCUUCUCCAUGAGACUGCCGCCUUGGCCAAUCUCUAUGCCCACGCCCAUGCCCAUGCCCACGCCCAUGCCCAUGCCUAGAUGGUUGCUGUACAGAACGUCUGCACCCUGGUGCCUCUCAUCCUUGACCUCAUCUUUGGCCACUACUCUAGGUGGCACGAGCUCUUCCUCCGCUCUUGGGAAGUACUCCCUUGAGGUCCAUGUCCUCAGCGACGACCCUGACCGAACUCUACCAGAUUGGAUGCGCCUGGACUGUGAGGUCAAGUCAGUGCUCCUCAGCACGAUCUGCAACUAGUUGGUCAGGACGGUGUUGAAACACCGUGUCUCUGCAUGCGCUGCCUGGCUCACCAUUGAGACCUAGUUUCUCGGCAACCAGGAAUGUGUGCACUCUACCUCGAUGCAGAGUUUUGCUACUUCGUUCAAGGCGAUCCCUUGAUCGUGGACUACUGCCGAUGCUUCAAGAUCAUGGCCGACGCCCUCUCCGAUCUUGGUAAGCCUGUGGUUGACCACGCCCUCGUACUCAAUGUCAUCCAUGGCUUCACUGAGAAAUUCACCGCCAUCGGCAUGCAUCUUCCAUGAAGCUGGCCUUUCUCCACCUUCCUCAAGGCACGCACGAACCUGUUGAUGGAGGAGCUGAGCAUUGGUGCCAUGUGUCUGUUGUUAUGACUUUUGAAUUGGUCUGUUUUAGUGAACUAUAAUGGCAAUAAUCAUUAGCAUUAAGGUCAUGCAGAAGCAUUCUUAGUGAACUCUUGUUGCUUUGCUACCAUUACAUCUGUUCAUCACUUUUAUUCCUUGUGUUAUGCCUUCUCAACUUCAUUAUGCAAGUUCCUUAAUUUUUUUUGGCCGUGAUGUGCAAAAUAACAGUUACCACCAUUUGUUGUGUAACCAGACACGUCCUCAUGCAACUGUAGAAGUGGAGAUAUCAGAAGAUAUGCAGCUUGUGCAUUUUGACUUCAAUAGGUAAGACAAGAAUUACAUUCUGUUUCUCUUUGCAUUAUAUAUCUUGUGAGCCAGAUAAACAGUCUUUAAUAACAUAUGUAUCUCCUGAUUUUGGACUCCUAAUGAAAAGAUGUCCGUUCAUAAGAAUGUGUUAAAUCUAUACAUCUUCUGGAUGGUUCAACAAUUUUAUUCCAUGAUUCUUAUGCAAUUAGCACAUGAAACUGUCUUUAAUGAUUUGUGAAUUCUAGGUUGCCUGAUUUUUUUUUGAAUGUACAGCCUGUCUAUUUCUAAUCAGGGGGCUCUAAUAACUUUGGUCCCUGUCCUAAUCUGUGAGAAGAUGGAAUGCCAUUUUGUUGAAUUAUUAUAAUUCACUUGAGAACAACUAACUAGCCUUUUUACUCACAUGAACUGAUGAGCGUUUUCUCAUUUCUGUAAUUUAGACAUUUUCAAUUUUUUUUGCUUUGCCUUCAAGGUCUUAUGUUCAUUCUGAAGGCAUUAUGUCAUUACAACUGAGCAUGAAGAGCUCUUGAGUGCUAAACCCUUGCUGACUCGCAUAUUCUCAAAAAUAAAUGCAGCACUCCUUUCGAGUUGCAGGAUGAUACCUUUGUACUGAAAGCAAUGGGAUUAUCUGGCAAAGAAGAAAAUGAUUGUACACAAGCUCCUGUUGUGAAUGGAGGUGAGUGCUCAAGUACACCGAACAAUUAUUGGCAUCAGUCACCGCAGCCUCCAGGACCAAGAGGAGUUAGGGUACCGAACUCGCCUCCUAUUCCAGGGAUACUAAAAGGGCGCGUCAAGCAUGAACACUAGGCUUUAACAUGCUUGGUGGUGUUGAAUGAGUUAUUUCUUUUAUUGUUCCCCAGCUAGUUUUGCUUGUAGAAAAUUCUCGUAAAUUAUGCCGGUAGGGGCAAUCAUUGUCUAAUUUGACUUUGCUGAUGCCUAGCUCACAUCAACUCCUAGUAUCAGUUAUCUGGUCGAGGAAAAGAAUCUUCGGUUAAGUGUAAUUGUGUAGUUUAUCUUCUUGAAAUGGUUGGCAUAUCGUAUCUAUGGGACAUAUUGCAUUAGAUUUUAUACUUUUUUUAUGACGUUUGUGUGUGGCGGAAUUCAGAUUUUAGGAAUACAGUGUUGUCAGUGCACUCCAACUGAUGGCAAUGGUACGUAUUGAAUUCAGAUUUUAUAUAUACAAUAAAAGGCAAAUGUUUGUUUACAGUUCAGUUGCUUUCUGAUGGCAAUGGUACGUAUUGAAUUCCUGUAUUUUUUUUACUAUGUAUCUUUGCUCUUUGCAAAAUCAUAUUUUUACAAGCGCGAGCUGUAACAAUUUUUCUUAUUGAGCAAAAAUCAGGUAGGACAUUCAAUGGCUGAAUUGGUCUAUCAAAUCUCAGGGUUGGCCUCUUUCCUUGCCCCCUUGUGUUGACAAGGAAACAAGAAAGAGACCCGUUAGAAUCAGUCAUGUAUUGUUUCUAAAAAGAAUCUGUCAUGUCUGUCUCCUAGCAACUUUAGGACAUUAAGUAUGACAGAUGAAAGAACAUACUACCCGCAGUACUUGCAUACUGAUAGGUGAUUGUUUUAGGCUCUGUUUAGGCCUUGUUUAGUCCCCACCAAAAUCCAAAAUGUUUUCAAGAUUUUCUGUCUCAUCGAAUAUUACGACACAUGCAUGAAGCAUUAAAUGUAAUCUUUUGAACUUAGUACAUAAUUGAAUAAUAUUUGUUAAAUACAAACGAAAGUGCUGCAGUAGUGAAAUCUAAAAAAUCUUCACAACUAAACAAGGCCUUAGUUCCUAAAAAUUUCUCAUUUUUUUUAAAUUUUUUCGUCACAUCGAAUCUUUGGACAUAUGCAUAGAGUAUCACAUAUAGAUAAAAAAAUAAUUAAUUGUACAUUUUGUCUGUAAUUUGUGAAACGAAUCUUUUGAGCCUAGUUAGUUCAUGAUUAGACAAUAAUUAUUAAAUACAAACAAAAGUGCUAUAGUAGCCAAACCUAUUUUUUUCACCAACUAAACAAGGCCUUAAUAGCAUUUACUAAGAGCAUCCAACUGUGGAUGCAGUAAAUAUGAGGAGACAUUGAGAAAAAUAAAUGAGGCUAGUGGACCAUUCGAUCUUUUAGAGAUUGAUUUAUUUAUAGAUAAAUUUUUGAAUGAUGAAUCUAUUUAUUUUCCCUAAUAAUUUUCACUUCUUUUUUGUAUCUUUAUAUUUUUUGGAUUACCUCAUAAUAAACAUUUUUUUUAUAAUAACUCAGUAGAGCAACUCAGCUGUUUUGAAAUAGUUAUUUGGCAAAAUAGUUUCAACAGCAGAUUUAUACAUGGAUAAAAGAAAGAAAUGUUGGGGUGGGGGUGUGGGGGGGGGGGGUUUAAGGUAGAAUAAGCUAUUUUUUUUAGUUUCAUGCCAACUCAUGUCUUUAUGAGAGCAGAAGAAAAAUGACUUCACCCAUAAAGCUAUUUUAGAAAAGACUAUUUGGUAAAAAAAAGCAACUAUGAAUUAUUAUUAUUUUAGAAAUGACUUCACCCAUAUAGCCCAUAAAGCUAUUAUGAGUUAUGCCAAAUAGACCCUUAAGCUUAUUCUUGGUAGUUGGUACAAUAACAUGGGGUCGGGGCCAGUAAAGGCGAGUUUUCUACGUACCUGAUCUGACUCUUCGACGCCAAACUCAUUGCAUGCAGCGACGGAGCCAACGGUGGGGCUCCAGCCCCCCCUACGGCCGUAGAACCCACGUAGCCCCUCCUUAGCCCCUCCAACAAAUUUUUAUUAUUGAUGCUCUUCAAGAAGGGGCUGAAAUUAUCUUAAGGUAGCAGAAGCCUCCUGAAAGGAUCAAGAUGCCCAAGAGGGGGGGGUGAAUUGGGCUUCUCUAAAAAUUUAAGCAACCUAUAAGCUCCAAUUCAACCCCUUGUGCCUAGUGUGACUUAGAGAGCUACCGGAUAAAAAGUUUUGCAACCUAGUUCCAAUCCUAUUCUAGCAUGACAAUUCUAAGAAUGUAAGAGCACAAAGUAAAUGCUAGAAAGUAAAGGAGUAGUGGAAGAAAGUGCUCGGCGAUGUUUUGCCGAGGUAUCGGAGAGUCGCCACUCUCCACUAAUCCUCGUUGGAGCACCCGCGCAAGGGUCUUGCUCCCCCUUGGUCCGCGCAAGGACCAAGUGCUCUCUACGGGCUGAUUCUUUGACACUCCGUCGCGGUGAAUCGCCCAAAACCGCUCACAAGCUUGACACUAGCCACCCACAAGAACUCCGGGCGGUCUUCGUGCCUCCAAUCACCACCGAACCGUCUAGGUGAUGGCGAUCACCAAGAGUAACAAGCAAAGAACUCUCACUUGACCCAAACAAGGCUCUAGAGAGUGGUGGAUGCACACUUGACUCUUGGAAUUCACUAGAGAAGGAUUCUCUCAAGAAAUCACUCAAAUCUCAAUCCUCUCUAGGCUCUUGCAACUCUCUUGCUCCACAACAAGGUUCUCUGAUGUUCAAAUGGGCAAGAGACCUCUCAUGGACGAGGUGGAGGAGUAUAAAUACUAUCCAUGAAGUCCAAAGGUCGGCCAACCGUUUUCCACUGAAGACGGGGUCACCGGACGCACAUUAUGUUGCACCGGACGCACUGCACCGAGCGUCCGGUGCUUCACAACGGCUACCUGUACUUCUCUCUGACAGGUCACCGGACGCUAACUCUCAGCGUCCGGUGCACCGUCCGGUGCUCGGGGAAACUUUACAAGCUCCCUGCGCAUGGGACCGGAUGCUACCCAGUGCGUCCGGUGCUAGCGUCUGGUGCUCAGGGAAGGCUUGCAACCUCCCUGGGUAUGGGACCGGACGCUACCCGGUGCGUCCGGUGCUAGCGUCCGGUGCCUAACCCUAAGCACCACGCUGUUCCAACGGCUAAGGACCUCACCGGACGCACUCACAGAGCGUCCGGUGCACCUUUGGGCACCCAAACUUCGUCGAAACGCGAUCGCUCCAAAACGAAGUUGGUUCCUCUCGAUCUAAGGACUAUCUCUGCGCUGCCUAGUGCUAGGUUUACUAAGUGUGCACCACACCUAAACCUAAAGCCUUGCCUAAGUCAAGCUACUAGAUCAAAGCCACUCUUAAUAGUACGGUCAAAGGAAAACAAAGUCCUAAACUACUCUAAGUGCCCUUCUUCACCAUAUGGCACUUAGACCUAAUCUAGUCUUGACGAUGUCCAUCCGUUCUUUGAAAACCGAAACGAUUUCCACUAUUAAGUUGGCAUGUACGUCCCUGUUCAUCGAGUACCUAUUUACCAUGACCUUACCUAUGACUUUGCCUCUGCAAAACACACGUUGGUCAUAGUAAUCCAUAAUGUCAUUAAUCACCGAAAAUACUAGGGGCCUAGAUGCUCUUUCAAUCUCCCCCUUUUUGGUGAUUGAUGACAACCUCGUGUAUGAAGAGAGUUGAGGUUUUUAAAGUGACUUGGUUUCAAUAAGCAUGUUACAAUAAGAUCAAAGAGAUUAGUCAUGCUUAUAUCAACCAAGUCCAAUACCCUGCAUCCAAAUAUGUGAGUGGUAUAUGACAGGAUGUAAACAUAAGGCUCAUAAGUACAUCGGAGUACAACGCGGAAGCAAAGAUAAUAUGAGCCAAAACACAUGUCAUUAAGAUAUCACAAUAACCACAAGUCAUGUCUCACAACCAUAGAAUCUCACACAAGUGCAAAGCAUAAGAGUAAACAUGAUGCAUGAUAAGGUAGUAGCACACAUGAAAAGUAUCUCAAAAGAAUAAACUCCUAAACACUAGCUCCCCCUAACUCCUAACUCUCAUACGCACUCUCUCCCUCUUUGGCAUCAAGCGCCAAAAACCUAAGAAGUCGGCGGAGGAGGCGGAGCUGUGGAGUCCCUCGGCACGGCCACGAAGCGAGCUGCAUCAUCUGAACUGUCGGCCGUCGAGGCAGAGGAGGUGGAGUGACCCUCUGAAGCUGCAGGAGCUGGUGAAGCGGUCCGGGUCUGCUCUGGCGCGGUCACAGGCUGUGCUGGCUGCUCGAGUCCGGCUGACGAAGCAGGCACGGGCUCAGUCGCGGUAGUUGUCGUCUCUAGCACGGUAGAGGACGGUGCAAGCUGCUCGGACGACGCUACGGAUGACGACAGAAGCUCUGUAAUGGUGACUGGCGCCAUAAAGACUGCAGGAGCCUGCAGAGGAGGAGGCGUAGGGUCACCAGUCAGAGCACUGUUGGUGAAGCUGAGGUGCGGAUCUGUCUGCGAGUCCCACACAAGCUGUGACGCUGACGCUGACUGAGGAGUGAAGCCUGAGCGGAGAGGAGUGAACUGAGGUACCUGCUCAAAGCCUGAAGAAAUAGCACCCUGGGAGACCUGGUGCUGUGGCGUCGAGAACGGCUGACUCUGAGCUGGUAGCUGGAGAGGCUGCUGAGACUGGCUCUGAGUCUGAGGCGCUGGAGUAGGUGGCCUGACAGUCGACGUGUCUGGGAGCUGAAUCUACGGUAGCUGAAUCCCUGAGGCGGCCAUGAGAGCGGCCAUCAUCGCUGUCUGCUGGGCCUGGAAAGCAAGCUGCUGCUCCUGAAAGGUGAGAAACUGACGCUGGAGCUCAUCCUGCCUAGCCUGCACGGCUGCAUUGAUGGCAGCCUGAUCCCUGUCUCGCCUCGCCUGCUCCUCAGCUGCACGGCGCUGAUCUGCCCUUAUCCCCUCUAAGAUAGCAAGCAGGGCGGGGUCUGAAGCACUUGAAGAACCGCCUGCCUCGUGGUCGUGUGCUCUGGGAGGAAGAUCUGUCACUGGCGGCUGAUAGUCAUCAUCAGAACUAUCUGAGGCGAAGUCAAAGUCGCCCUCUGCCUCUGCAUCUGCGAACGCACCAAUAGCUAUAUCCUGCUGCUCCUCUGUCUCUGCAACUACUGCUGUACUGCGAGUGCCCCUAGGAGAAGGUGGGGGCACCGGUCCACGUGGAGCAUGAGGAGGAGGUGCACCGCGAAGGUCGUGGUGCGCUCUCAACAUCUGCCUGGGGUCGUAGUGGGGGAAGACGGUGUCAGACUCUGUCAACUCCCUCUGCAAGUGAGCUGGCAGGGGCAGUGGCCUAGCACGAAGAAUCAGCAGGGUAAUCCAGUGUGCAUAGGGCAACUGACGCCGCCCCCUGAAGCUCUCUGAGAUGGUGUUCUCUAUCUCCGAGACGAUCAAAUCCCAUAAGUCAAACUGCGUCUGGGAGAUGAGGUGAGCGACGAGCCACUGCUGGAUACGAGAGAAGCCGUCUCUGUAGCCUGUCCUGGGGAGAAGAGUCUUCCUCAACACAAAGUCGAGGAUCCUAGCUGGGCGUGUCAAAUCUCCCACUGUCCUGCUGGAGCCCUCCCCAAAAGGUGGACGGAAACAGGGAGCCACGAAGUCAACCGGUGGUAUCUCACCACCGUGAGGACAACGAGGGGGAUCCACGUUCCCGUAGCACAGCUGGUGAAUCAAUUGAAAGGAUCAAGAUGCCCAAGAGGGGGGGUGAAUUGUGGUGGGAGAGGCUCGCAGUCCAAGCACCUCUCUAGCCCUCUGAGCUGUCACUCUGUAGUCUGUCCUUGCCAGUGCGUAGUGGAUGUAACUGUGAUCUGGAGAAACCCACACCGACGCAUAGAACUCUCUGACCCACUGCUCACAGUAAGUGCCGGGGAGUGCUAGUAACUCUGGAAGUCCGUGGAGGUAGGUGAAGUACUGACGAAUGUCUGCUCCAACCACGUUCCCCAGUAUCUCUAGGUCUAUCACUCUGUGCUCCCUGAACUGUGCCUGAGAGCGAACCAGUGCCUCGUAGAUGUCCUUCUGGACGACAGUGUAGAACCUGACACCGGCUCUGGGAUCCCGAGCAGCCGGGAACCAUGUAGGAAACGGAACAAACCGCAGCUGCUGGAUCUCUCUGGCUGACACAAGAGAAAGAUCCCUGUGGAUCCUGACUGGCCUCUGUCGUGAAGCUGGAGUGCCUCUGGCUGGUGUGGCACGAGCAGUGGAGGUGGACUGACUCUGCGUACCAGUCCGAGGAGUGGCCUGGGUACGAGCGCGAGUCGACCUCCUGAGGGUCUGCUCCUGCUCCUGCUCCUGUGCUGGACCCUCUGCCUGGGUCUCUGUCUCAGUGUCUGGAUCCUUUUGAGCCGGAUCCCUGACCACAAGCCUAAUCCUCUGUCCUCCAAUCGUCACGGUGCCUGGAGGGGAUCCAUGGAAUGCCUCUGUCUCAAGAACUGCACGCCGCUGCCGUGGCGUGAGGUCAUCCCCAAUCCUCAGGGCACCUGAACGACCACCCCUCUCGGCUGCCUCAGCCGCUGCUGCAACUGCCUCUGCGACCUCUGCAUCUCUGUCACUGGCCUUGCGCUUCUUGGUGGCCAACUUCUUGCCUUUCCCUUUCUCUGCCGCUGACAAGCGACGGGGAGGAUCACCUCCACCAUCACCCUCUGGAGAACCUCCUGAGCCAGCUGCCGGACCACUAACGUUCUUGGUACGAGCCAUUGCAAAUCAGGCGUCCGACAAGCAAUCGACUGACAACGGAGAACAAAGCGCUGCAGAGAAUAGACAAGAUAGGAUGUAUUAAGAAGUUAUAUCGACUAGAGAUGAGACAAACCUAUAGAUCGCAAGAAAAGAUAAGAUACGGACGCGAACGGCUUACGAACCAAGACGGGACGUGUUCUGGAUGAAAUCUCUUGAUCGAAGACCACCGGAGAACACGAAUCCAAUCCUCAAGGUGCUGCGGAUAAGGAACGAAUCAAAACAUCGACGGAAACAACUGUCUAGUCCGUUCAAGCAUUGAAACGAAUACCUCGAGGACAGGAGAUUAGGAGCUCACCCAAACCCUAUCGGCGUCGCAAGAGGAGACUCUGGGCGAUGAGAAGGAAGGGAGGAGCACCCUGAGCAGAUCUGGCACGGGAGGGGGAAGCCUAAUCGCGCCGGAGAUCAAGGGGGCGACGGCGGCGACGACUUAGGGCACGGGCGAGGUGGCUGGAGUCGCGGGAACGAAAAAGAAAACCGUCCACGAAGACCCCUGGGCGCGGGCUUUAUGCGCCCGCCGCGGGGUCACCGGACGCUCUUAAUGUGGCACCGGACGCGUCCGGUGACCACCGGACUCAUGCGCAGAGAAGGUUGCAAAUUUGCAUUGCACCGGACGAUGGGCACCGGACGCUGGCUUUAGCGUCCGGUGCUUCAGGUCACGCCUGGUGAGCACCGGACGCACGGCACCGGAUGCUGCAGGGAUACUGUUCCCGCGUCCGGUGAGUGCAGUCUGGCACACUCACCGCACCGGACGCACGGAGGCAGCGUCCGGUGCAUCGUCCGGUGCUCCUCUGAGCACUUUUUCAACUUUGCACCACGUCCGACUUUGACCCAACCAAGUUCCAUUUUUCAAAAACACACAAGUAAACACCAAAUGGAACUGGUAUGAGUGACUUCUCUCAAACCCUCAAAUUUUCACAAAUAUUUAGCCAUAGGCUUAGUAGUUUUUAUGAAAAUAAUUCGAGAAAAUCACCAAGGAGUAUCGUAUGGCCAUAAAGCUAGGGGUUUGAAUCACAAUGAGCUUUGAAAGCUCCCCCUAUCUAUGGACGAACACAGCGGAUGCUCAACGAGUAACCGAAAAGAAAAGGUCAACUAACAAGCAUGCAUAUGAUAUGAGUUGUAAUGCAAUACUUGAAAGUAGACUAAUGCUUGUCAAGUUUGAUCCAAGGUUAAGCUUUUUCACACACACAAUGGGGUUAUCUUAACCAUGUUAGACAAGCCCUACAUGCAAGUUGGAUUUUAGAUUUAGUAUGCAUGAUAUGCAAAGCAAAAGUUAUUUACAAGUUUCAACACACAACUUUUAUCUUUUAGUGAAGUUGAAUAAGUCAAGCACAUUAAGUUCAUUUCUUAACAUACAAAACCUAGCUUCAUCUAGGGGUUUUGUGAAGAUAUCCGCCAAUUGAUUUUCCGUUCCCACAUUCUCUAGAGAUAUGUCACCCUUAGCAACAUGAUCCCUAAGGAAGUGGUGGCGGAUGUCAAUAUGUUUUGUGCGGGUGUGUUGAACCGGGUUGUUUGCAAGUUUUACGACACUUUCGUUGUCACACAACAAAGGUACUUUGUCUAGUACUACUUCAUAGUCUAGCAAAGUUUGUUUCAUGUAGAGUAUUUGUGCACAACAAGCACCGGCGACUAUGUAUUCCGCCUCGGCCGAUGACAAGGCAACACUAUUUUAUUUCUUUGACAUCCAAGAGACAAGAGAUCUACCUAGGAAAUGGCACCCUCCGGAUGUGCUUUUUCUAUCAAUCCGGCACCCAGCAUAAUCCGAAUCGGAAUAGCCUACAAGUUGGAAUCUUGCACCUUUGGGAUACCACAAGCCUAGGCAAGGUGUGUAUUUUAGAUACCUAAGAAUUCUCUUGACCGCAAUCAAGUGAGAUUCCAUAGGCAUUGCUUGAUAUCUUGCACACAUACACACACUAAACAUUAUAUCGGGCCUAGAUGCGGUGAGGUAGAGUAGACUUCCUAUCAUGGAGCGAUAGAGAGUCUUGUCAAUAGGGUUACCUCCCUCAUCCAAGUCGAGAUGCCCAUUUGAUGCCAUGGGAGUCUUGAUUGGCUUGCAAUCCAUCAUCUUGAACCUCUUGAGAAGAUCUUGAGUGUACUUCUCUUGAGAGAUAAAGACCCCUUCCCACUUGAAAUCCUAGGAAGAAGGAUAGCUCGCCAAUCAUGGACAUCUCAAACUCCUUGGACAUCAAAUCAUCAAAUUCCUUGCAAAAAUCUUCAUUAGUAGAGCCAAAAAUAAUAUCAUCAACAUAAACUUGGCAAAUGAAGAUUUCCCCAUUCAUUUUCUUGGUGAAGAGUGUUGUGUCAACUUUCCCAAUCUUGAAGCCCUUCUCAAUGAGGAAGUCCCUAAGCCUCUCAUACCAAGCUCUAGGAGCUUGCUUGAGACCAUAGAGAGCCUUGGACAGCCGGAAGACAUGCUUGGGGUACCUAGGGUCUUCAAAACCGGGGGGUUGCUCAACAUAGACAAGCUCAUUAAUAUAACCAUUUAAAAAGGCACUUUUCACAUCCAUUUGAAAUAACUUGAUAUCAUGACUAGAUGCAUAUGCAAGAAGGAUACGGAUUGCUUCAAGUCUUGCCACCGGUGCAAAGGUUUCACCGAAGUCAAGACCUUCCACUUGUGAAAAGCCUUUUGCCACAAGUCUUGCCUUGUUGCACACCACUUUGCCUUGAUCAUCCUUCUUGUUCCGGAAGACCCAUUUUGUUCCAAUCACUCUUGCAUUUUUGGGUCGCUCUUCAAGUGUCCACACUUGGUUGCGAGAGAAGUUGUUCAACUCCUCUUGCAUGGCCAUGAUCCAAUCCGCAUCACGAAGAGCUUCCUCUAUAGUCUUUGGUUCAUCUUCAAGAGACACAAAAGCGUGAUGUUCAAUAAAUAAAGCAUGUCUAGAACGAGUAGUUACACCACGUGAUGGACUCCCGAUGAUGAGAUCUUGAGAGUGAUCUUGGAGGAGAUGUGAUGUUCUUCUUGGCGCCACUUGAGGGGUUGGUUGGGGAGCAUCAACUUCUUGUGCUUGUGCCACCGCUUGCUCAUGAGUGACUUGGGUGUCUUCAUGAGCAUCUCUCACAUCCUUGUCUUCAUCUUGUGAACCUUGUGAGGUGGAUGGUGGCUCAACGACUUACACAUCAUCAUCAUCUUCUUUAGGCUUGAUGUCUCCCACCGGCAUGUUCUUCAUGUCAUCCCUCAAUGGUUCACCACCUACAUCAUCAAGAUUAUCACUUGCUCCUUGGGAGCCAUUAGUUUCAUCAAAUUCAACAUCAAACAUUUCUUCAACCAUGUUUGUGGCAUGGUUAAAGACUCUAUAUGCCUUGGACUUUGAUGAAUAGCCAACCGAAUGACCAAUGUCACAUCUUUUUUGGAAUUUUCCCAAGUGUUGGCGCUUCUUGUAGAUGUAGCAUUUGCAUCCAAACACUCUAAAGAAUGAGACAUCGGGCUUCUUCCCAUUGAGCAAUUCAUAUGGUGUCUUCUCUAGGAACUUGUGAGGAAAGAGCCGGUUUGAAGCAUAGCAUGCGGUGUUGAUUGCCUUGGCCCACAUCUUCUCCGAAGUGUUGUACUCAUCUAGCAUUGUUCUUGCCAAGGUAAUCAAUGUCCGGUUCUUUCUUUCUACAACCCCAUUUUGUUGUGGUGUAUAUGUUGAGGAGAACUUAUGCUUGAUUCCCACUUCAUCACAAUACUCUUCAAUGUUGGUGUUGUCAAAUUCUUUGCCAUUGUCACUUCUAAUUUUCUUAAUCUUCACAUCAAAUUGAUUUUGGGCAUUCUUUGCAAACUUCUUGAAUAUUGAUGCAACUUCGGCCUUGUCUUGAAAGAAGAAUGUCCAAGUGUACCGGGAGAAAUCAUCAACUAUGACCAAGCAAUAUUUGUUGCCUCCAAGACUAGCAUAUGUGGUGGGUCCAAAUAAGUCCAUGUGAAGUAGCUCAAGCACUCUUGAAGUAGAGAGAUAGGCUUUGGUUGGAUGAGUGUUUGCAACUUGUUUGCCCGCUUGACAUGCACUACAAAGCUUGUCCUUUUCAAAUGUCACAUCCUUCAAGCCUCUAAUCAAUUCUUUCUUCAUCAACUUCUUGAGUGUGCCCAUUCCAACAUGUGCUAACCUUCUAUGCCACAACCACCCAAGUGAAGUCUUGGUGAAUAAGCAAGUUUUGACAUCAACUUCAUCGGAUGAGAAGUCAACUACAUAUAAGUUGUUGUGUCGGAAGCCUUUGAAUAUCACUUCAUUGUCAUCUUCUUUGGUCACAAUUACUUCCUUCUUCUUGAAUAGGCAUUCAAAUCCAAGGUCACAUAAUUGUCCAACCGAGAGCAAGUUGAAACUCAAAGAUUGCACAUAAAGCACAUUGGUGAUUGAGUUGUCAUUUGAUAUAGCAACCUUUCCUAGCCCCUUGACCUUCCCUUUUGAAUUGUCACCAAAUGUGGUCUUCUCUUGGUUGUCAACAUCUUCAUCAAGAGAGGUGAACAUCCGGGGAUCUCCGGUCAUAUGUUGAGUGCAACCACUAUCAAUUACCCAAUGUGAUCCACCGGUCUUGUAGUUCACCUACACACAAGAGAUCAAGCUUGAGAUUUAGGGACCCACAUUUGCUUAGGGCCCUUGACCUUCUCUACUAGUUGCUUUGGCACCCAAAUCUUCUUUGGCCUUUGCUUGUUGGGCGGCCCCAUGAAGCUAACCUUGACCUUGCCACUCUUGUCUUUCCUUACAAUGUAGUGAGCAUUGAAGGCAAAUGGUCUUGCAUGCUUGGGCAAGGGUGGUGGUAGUGGUGCCUUACACUCAUGAGCAAAGUGUUCUUCUUGACCACACUCAAAGCAUCUCUUUGGCUUUGGCUUGCUUGGUUGAUCAUGAGUGGCUAGAGACUUGAUGAGCUUUGAUUGAUGAGCCUUAUAGCCAAUCCCACUCUUGUCCAUCUUCAUGACGGUGUUCAUGAAAAGCUCACUUUGAAGGUCUUUCCCUUUGGUGAACUUUGCUAACCCCAUGGUUAAAUGUUCCUUCUCUUUCUUGAGCUUGUUGUUCUCAGCAAGAUGACCAAGCUCACCACAAUUGUAGCAAUCCAUCUCGGAGAUGGGCUUCCUCUUGCUACUUGUGAAGAACUUCUUCUUCUUAGAGUCAAAGUUGACUCCAUUCUUGUUGAGCUUCUUCAACAUCUUUGUGGUUCUUCUCACCAAGAGGGCAAUAGAUGCAUCAUCAUCACUUGAAGUUGAUGAGUCAACUUCAAUCUUCUUAGCUUUGCCCUUGUGAGAAGCUUUGAGGGCCAAGUCCUUCUUUUCCUUCUUGGCCGAUGAGGAGCCAUCUUGGGGGUUCAUGUGCAUGUACAUCUCAUGAGCAUUGAUCUUCCCCAAUAUGGCGGUUGGUGUAGCGGUGGAAAGAUCGCCUUGAUGAAGCACCGUCACUAUGUGCCCAUAUUUCUCAAUAGGAAGCACACAUAGUAUCUUCCUUGCUACAUCCGCCGUACUCAUUUGAGUAAGCCCAAGUCCAUUUAGCUCCUCUACAAUGACAUUCAAGCGAGAAUACAUUUCAUUAGCAUUUUCUUUGGGAAGCAUUUCAAAUGUAUUAAGCUUGUUCAUCACUAAGUGAUAGCGUUCCUCGCGUUCACUCUUUGAUCCCUCAUGGAGCGCACAAAGUUCCUUCCAAAGUUCAUUGGCGGUUUUGUGGCUCCGAACGCGGUUGAACACCUCUUUGCAAAGGCCUCUAAAGAUGUGGUUUUUGGCCUUCGCAUUCCACUUCUCGUUUUCUUGCUCUUGUGGAGUAAGAGCGGUGGCUCUUUCUGGAGGGGCAAACCCUUCGGUCGGGGCUUUUAGGCAUUUUACAUCGCAUGUCUCAAGGUAUGACUCCAUCUGUAUUUUCCAAUACGGGAAGUCAUCCCCAUCGAACAUGGGUGGCGGUCCAUCCCCGUUAGACAUCUUUCUCUAGGCGGUGAAGCCUAAAUAAUGAGCACUAGGCUCUCAUACCAAUUGAAAGGAUCAAGAUGCCUAAGAGGGGGGGGGGUGAAUUGGGCUUCUCUAAAAAUUUAAGCAACCUAUAAGCUCCAAUUCAACCCCUUGUGCCUAGUGUGACUUAGAGAGCUACCAGAUAAAAAGUUUUGCAACCUAGUUCCAAUCCUAUUCUAGCAUGGCAAUUCUAAGAAUGUAAGAGCACAAAGUAAAUGCUAGAAAGUAAAGGAGUAGUGGAAGAAAGUGCUCGGUGAUGUUUUGCCGAGGUAUCUGAGAGUCGCCACUCUCCACUAAUCCUCGUUGGAGCACCCGCGCAAGGGUCUUGCUCCCUCUUGGUCCGCGCAAGGACCAAGUGCUCUCUACGGGCUUAUUCUUUGACACUCCGUCGCGGUGAAUCGCCCAAAACCGCUCACAAGCUUGACACUAACCACCCACAAGAACUCCAGGCGGUCUUCGUGCCUCCAAUCACCACCGAACCGUCUAGGUGAUGGCGAUCACCAAGAGUAACAAGCAAAGAACUCUCACUUGACCCAAACAAGGCUCUAGAGAGUGGUGGAUGCACACUUGACUCUUGGAAUUCACUAGAGAAGGAUUCUCUCAAGAAAUCACUCAAAUCUCAAUCCUCUCUAGGCUCUUGCAACUCUCUUGCUCCGCAACAAGGUUUUCUGAUGUUCAAAUGGGCAAGAGACCUCUCAUGGACGAGGUGGAGGAGUAUAAAUACUAUCCACGAAGUCCAAAGGUCGGCCAACCGUUUUCCACUGAAGACGGGGUCACCGGACGCACAUUAUGUUGCAUCGGACGCACUGCACCGAGCGUCCGGUGCUUCACAACGGCUACCUGUACUUCUCUCUGACAGGUCACCGGACGCUAACUCUCAGCGUCCGGUGCACCGUCCGGUGCUCGGGGAAACUUUACAAGCUCCCUGCGCAUGGGACCGGACGCUACCCGGUGCGUCCGGUGCUAGAGUCCGGUGCUCAGGGAAGGCUUGCAACCUCCCUGGGUAUGGGACCGGACGCUACCCGGUGCGUCCGGUGCUAGCGUCCGGUGCCUAACCCUAAGCACCACGCGGUUCCAACGGCUAAGGACCUCACCGGACACUCACAGAGCGUCCGGUGCAGCGUCCGGUGCCCCUUUGGGCACCCAAACUUCGUCGAAACGCGAUCGCUCCAAAACGAAGUUGGUUCCUCUCGAUCUAAGGACUAUCUCUGCGCUGCCUAGUGCUAGGUUUACUAAGUGUGCACCACACCUAAACCUAAAGCCUUGCCUAAGUCAAGCUACUAGAUCAAAGCCCCUCUUAAUAGUACGGUCAAAGGAAAACAAAGUCUUAAACUACUCUAAGUGCCCUUCUUCACCAUAUGGCACUUAGACCUAGUCUAGUCUUAACGAUAUCCAUCUGUUCUUUGAAAGCCGAAACGAUUUCCACUAUUAAGUUGGCAUGUACGUCCCUGUUCAUCGAGUACCUAUUUACCAUGACCUUACCUAUGACUUUGCCUCUGCAAAACACACGUUAGUCAUAGUAAUCCAUAAUGUCAUUAAUCACCGAAAAUACUAGGGGCCUAGAUGCUCUUUCACCUCCCCUAAAUAUUUUUUUUAGAUUCGUCACUGAUCAUAUCGUCCACCUCAUUUUUUUUUUGACUCUUGGUCCGCCUGCAUGGGAUGUAAACAACAACGUUAUAAUAUUUAGUUUACGUCAGGUGCCUUAAAAUAUGUUCAGUGGCGGAACCCGGGGCAUAUCACAUCAUACUAAUAUAAAUUUGUAUUUUUUUAUCUAUAUUAAAAAGAAGAGUAUAACAAAUCUUGUCAUAUGCUUUUUUUGUAUCACAAAAAAAAUCUUGUCAUAUGUAUGUACUAAUAUCCUUUAUAGAUAAUAAAACAUAUAAAGCACAACUAUACACCAACUUCGUCCACUCAAAGACAAAUAAUUCAUUACAUAGUAUAUUAUUAUAAUAAGAGUACAAUCUAUCUUUUAGGUUCCAUUCCAUGCCUCCAUUUUUGUCAUGCUUUGGAGCUCCUCAAGUUUUCAGCUGUACUGCAUAAUAAGAAUGUACAUUGUGAGCCUCAAAAUAAAAACAACUAUAUGCCUUAACUACAAUUGCUAAACAUCACUUAAAUAUAUAUAUACAAUGAACUAGAAACAUCUCACUAUUUCCAAGAAAUGCUUCAAAACUUGUGCCAGUGUACAAAGCACAAAUAUGAGACUUACAGGCUUAAUUUUAUAACAGAAGACUUUACAUUCCAAAUUGCUGAUCCAACUUUUCAGAAUCAAGCCACAGCACAACCCUUUACCUACAACUAAAAUGUACCUAACAUCUUCAUCAUAAAAGAGGCAUUCGGAAGCUCUAGGUCAUAAGAAACACUGGCUAGAUAUGGAAACAACCAUGCUUCAGAGGCUAUACACAAGUGGAGCAGUAAGAAACACCAGGGUUCCAAAUUGCUAAUACCAAAAUCUGAGAAUUGCUAGUAUCUUCAAAUUGCAAAUUAAAGAAUUAUUAAGCUGUUAUCUCACUACCCAGUCUAAAUUGCUAAUUAAAAAAUUGGGCCAAUCACAACAAUUUACAAGGUCGACUAGAGAUGACACUCUGCAAUCCAGCAAGACACUAAUUCAAAUGCAAACAACUACACAGCUAGACUAACACCUACAAUACCGAACAGGAUAAGAAAUUAUGCAAAAUCCAAGCAAGUAUUGACAGCGGCCAUAUAAGCGCAUUGAUAUGGGCAUCAUGGGGCAUUGCUUCCACUUAUAAGAAACCAUGUAAAGUAAUACAGCAUGACACUAAUUCGAAUGCAAACAACUACAAACAGGAUAAGAAAUUAUGCAAAAUCCAAGCAAGUAUUGACAGCGGCCAUAUAAGCGCGACAAUGGGCAUCAUGGGCGUUGCUUCUACUUCUAAGAAACCAUUUAACAGACUACGUACUUAGGCCUUGUUGAAAUUUUUUUGUUUUGGGUACUGUAACACUUUCGUUUGUAUUUGAUAAUUAUUGUCUAAUCAUAGACUAACUAAGCUUAAAAGAUCCGUCUCGCAAAUUACAAGCAAACUAUGCAAUUAGUUUUUUAAUCUAUAUUUAAUGCUCUAUGCAUGUGCCGCAAAAUUCGAUAUGACUGGAAAUCUUGAAAUUUUUUGGAAAUUAAACAAGGCCUUAAACUCGCCCCAGUUGGACCAACACAGAUACAUCAUGGCGAGGCAUACUAUGGGCUAUGGCAUGGCAAAUGACAUAGCAGAAUAAAUCGUACGCUUAUGGAUUACCUAACCAGACAAACCGGUAACCACUACUAACGCAGGCUUAUGUUGCACGGAAGCAAGCAGAGUCCGGAAGAUUUUGACGCUGUAACACCUUAUAAAACUCCAUCCGGUCGCAGUUCAUUAAUUUAUAGUUCUUUUUCAUAAUAGCAAAUAUAGCCAACCAUAACGACAACCUAAAACUCAUAGGUGACACGAGAUCACCUAACUUCUACCGGUUAAAGUAUGACUAAGCUGCUACUCGAUCCUAACUCUACGUAGGAUGUAGGGUAAUAUAUCUAGACAAGGAUAAAAUAUAUAUGCAACAAGGGUUUUAUACCAACUCCUAUACCUAAUGCAACAAUAGAUAUAAACAUAUAAUUAAACUCAAACUUUGGUAAAGUAGAUAAGAGACUUAUAAUGCUCGGGGCUUGCCUUUCAUGAACAUGGAUAGUUCGUGACACGGACACUCCACCACCUCUUUGGGCUCCCCAGGUUCUGCUGGCUAGGCCUCCGACUCCUAGCUGGUCUUCUGAUCCUCCGACUGCGCUCUUUCCACUUCGAGUAGUGGCACGCCUUGCAGUACACCUAUUGCAUGCAUAUUCAUUCAGUAAGUAGACAUGUUUGCACGAUGAUGACAUGAUGGAUGCUAAACAUGAUAGUUCACACAUCUAAACUUCACUGGACACUUAUUUACUGAGUAAAGCCCAGCUCUAUUCAAAUCACUUUAACCAUUUAGAUAAACAACUCAUGACCACAACUACACAAGAGCAACCACACAUACCAGGACAAACAACAGCAGCCCAGAAAACCGAUCAUAACAGAAGAUAUAUAAAUCAAAAAGACUUGCUACAAGAUAAUCUGGAAAGCUUAUAAAAUUAUCUACAUUUCAUAUUUAAUCAUCACAGCAAGAUUCAAUUAGCAAGACGGUCAAACAGGCAGAUGACCAGAUCUAGGUUCAGGAAAACAGAGAAUCACUACAAACUGCAUUUCAGCUUUCAACAGCAGUAACUCUUAAACCAUAUGGCCAAAUGUCACCAAAUUUUAACAGAAGCUAGAACAACAAGUUCUCUACAACUUUGGUAUAAACAAGCUCCUCAGAUGACCUAAUUAUUACAUAGUAAUUAGCAAAGUGGCUCAUUGCUGUCCGGAAAAGACAUGCAACCCUUAAGUUAAUUAUUUAAUGACAAAGAAAACACAUGCUUAAGGAAAACCAAGAUGAUCAACAUGAUACACAUAUCAUAACAUUACUAGAAACUAACUUGCUACUUCUAAAACAUUUCAUAAAACACAUUUAUUAAUUAAUUACAUAAAAAGGCAUAAAUAAGAGAUAUUUCUUAAGGUGCUCAGAAAAAUCUACAAAAAUUAUAGGAGCAUAAGCAUGUCAACUAAGGACCAGUAUACAAACUUCAUGGUAAUUGCACAUGCAGAAUUUAAGAUAUUCUCAUUAACAGGUGACAAGGUGUAUUUAGUCAUAAAUAGGAAACUCUAUUGAAAAGUGUCAAACAACAGAUUUCAGAUUAUUCUUAGCAUUAACUUACCAUAAGAACAACAUUUACCAAAACUCAUCAUAAGAGGACUCACAAAUUAAUUAUGAAAAUUCAAACAAAUAUUAAUCAGUUAAAUAAGAAUGAUUCAUAGUUAUAAUAUACAAUACCCAAAACUCAUGAAAUUUAAACUAUAGCCUACUCAUACUACACAAAGCAUGUCAUAAAAUUUUCAUGGCAUUUGAAGCUAUACACAAAGAGAUAUGAGUUUAUUCUUAUUUACACAUGAAUAAAAGACAUAAUUAACAACUAAUUAUUCUUGCAUGAAACAUAGCAUAUUUCAUAUUUUUUAUUAAAAAUUACACUUCUUAGAGAGUACCACAAAAUUUGGAUCACUAGAUUUGGAGCCCUAGAAGUAAAGAUAUGAUUUUUGCAUGUUGGGGCAAAAAUUUGAAUUUGAAUUAAUCAAAGAGAGGGAAAAGGGGAGACUGACACGCGGGGUCCACACGUCAGCAAGAGUAGAGCAGAGGAGAGGUUGACCGAUGACGUACUCACUAUCAGCGAGGCCUUUGGCAAAACCAAGGACACCCUCAUGCUCUACUCGACGAGGCGACUCGAUUGACCCUAUUCUUCCCCGGCGGAGCCACCAGAAGGGGUUCAUCAUCGAUAAUGGCGGCUCAGCGGAGCUGCAUGGCCAUGCGCCGGCGAGCUCAGGCCAGUAGAGCACACAGUGAGGGGUUCUAAAGCUUCAGUGAGUGAAGGCAGAUCUUCCUAGGUAGGUGAGAGGAUUGGAGAGGGUACAACUAGGGCUGGCCAUGUGCAUGCGGAACUCCAGCAAGGGUACGGCGGCGCUAAGCGUCGUCUUCAACACCGGUGAGUGAAGUAGAGUGUCCAACAAACAUCAUGGAAGAUCGCUUAGGUCCUAAGGUACCCAAAGGAGAAGAAAGGAGAAGAAGAGCACGACUAGACCGCUCGACAUUGAGUUCAUCGGAGAAUUUGCUCUCUCUAGUGAACUUUGGGGGAAACACGAAAUGUGAUCUCACCGAGGCUUUUCUUGACCAACUCGAGGAUGGACGAGGCGGAGACGACAAUGGCACAACUGUGGGAGGAGUUGGGCGAGUGGAGGAGCUUCGAUGAGCGUGCACGAGCGUGUGAGAGUGGCAUGGUGGCAAUGGCAUUGCCAUGUCUGCCUCUAGAGUGGAGAGCGCGUGAGAGAGAGGUAGAGGGAGGAAGUGGAGUGAGUUGGGGAGAGCAGAGGGGCGCGUGGCGUCCAUGACGGCCACGACAGCCUGACAAGUGGGCCCAACGCUGGUGUACGAGCGCCAGAUGGCAGCCGAACCCUGACGCUGGUUGGCCACGACGCUGACUGAAUCAGCCAUGAGGCCUCCCCAUCGAUGACUAAUAGAGCAACUUCAAUAAUGAUUAACUUUCAAACCAUUGAGAACUGGUCGAUGAUGCAGUUGACAAACUUGGAGAACUACACGAGCUCUACAACUUUGCCAAGUAGAUCAAGAGCUAGAUCAGCAUAGCUUGAGAGAUACAAAGCUCCAAACACUAGAUUAGGCAAACUGUGUUCACCCCGGGACUUAGGAAAAAUUCUGUGUGUUGAAUCAACACUCAAAAUUGAAUUGUGGGCCAUAUUUGAGCAUAUUGUGGUCAUUUUCAUGAGAUGACUCUAAAACAACUUUUGAUCCUUAUAAAAUUUGCCACAACUUUGCUUAAUAGUGCUUAGACCUACAAAGAUUUUAAAUUGUACUUUUAAAAGGUCAAGCAAAAGAGGUCUAGAAGUCAACCUAGGUCAAAGCAUGACUUAGAAGCAUAAUUAGAGCUAAAGAUGAACAUGAACAUUGGUCCUUAAGAUAUCAUAAGCAUAGUUAAGUUGUUUUGGCAGAUCAUAAGCACACACUUGCAUAAGCUACACAUGAGCAAUCACAUAUAUGAGUAUAAAAAAUGAAGAUUAAGUACAUCAAACAUGAAAUGAUGGCACACACAUGAUAUGAUGCUCAUGAUAUGAUAUGAAAAUGCUUGCUCUUGUUAUGCAAGUGAUUAGAUGCAACCAUAACACUUGGUUGUUACAUUCGAAAGGGCCUCUAUCAAUUUGCCAUUGAAUGGUAAUAGAAGGUGAAUCCAAACAGAUCACAUCAGAAGAAAGCUCUAAUUCUUCUAACCACUCAUGGCUAAUUACAGACACUAAGUUUUGCGUUGUCUGUUUUAGGAAUGCUUUGUCUAAGGGGUCAUAAAGUUCUUGAAUUUACGCUUUCUUGAUCUUCCUAGGCUUCCUAUGGUAAUUCGAGGUGUUUCCGUAUUCGACAUAAAGUUUAUCCUCAAAAUUGAGCAUGAAGUCUUCAAACUUGGUAUCUAAUGGCUCGGAAUCUAUAAUAGCUGAAGGUUGUGAUGGUUCUGGCAAAAUUUUAGCUUUAGCAAAUGUUAUUUAUUCUUCUACAAAAUUCUCUCCUGGCUCUAAGGGUGUCAAAUGCCCCAAUCCUUUAGUGGAACUAGAUUUGAAUGUAUUGAUGAAAAGAAUUAAAGAGUGGCCUUUCAUGUUGUUUCUGCUCUCCAGAGCUCAUGACCCAUACCAUUAGUCAUCCAGGAUCUUGUCAACAAAGAUUUGCAACUCCUAGUUCAUAAUUUGUAAAUUUUAUGAAUUUUAUCUUUUGAUCUCUAUGUGGGUUGCCUUAGGUAAAGAAAUAACUAGGAAUAUAAUUUGUAUCUUGGAUGAUCACAAGAUCUCUAAUUCACCACAUGUCAUCAGUUGAGAAAUAUAUGGCCAUCCCAAUCAUUGGAGUCUCACUUAUGUUGGUCAUAUCAAAUAAAAUCUAUGUGGUGAUCUAUCUACCUUGGUGGUGGUAUGUUUCCUUGGCAUAUUCCAUUUGUUGAAAAUUUAUGAUGUCUUGACCAAGAUAUAGGAUGAACUCCUCUUGACUCAUAAACCGAUUCAAAUGUACUUUACAAGUAGUUUGAGUACUUGCUGCAUAUAUUAAGGGGAGCCCAUUCUAUGUAUUAUGUCUUUGAGAGUAACAUUUUAUUCUAGUGAAUUUGUGUAGUCUCUCGGUGAGAGUGAGUUUCUCAUGGGUAUGCUACAUUAACUCAAUCCAAAUGGGUAAAGUUAUCUCUCAUAUUUACUUAGGCUGUAAUUUUACCUCUUAAGUAGCUACUCUCCAUAAUAUAGCUUAAAUUCCCUUAUUUGGACUUAAUUGACCAAAAGUGCAUAUGUUCUUGUCUUCCACAUAUAUAUGUAUGCACUAUCAAAAAGAGUGAAUUUAGUCUAUGUUAUGAGGUUUUGCAAUUAGUGACUUACAUACCUUCCACAUCCAAAAGAUCACUAGUUGUGAAACUCUAGCUUGUGCAAUUUGAUGCUAUCUCUUGUCUUAUGAGCAUUAUCUAGGUGACAAUAUGAGAUACAAGCACCCAUCCAAUUGGCAUAACCUUUUGAAGAUUCCUUCAUUUGGUGUCAAAAUUUUGAAGAUCAUAUUUCAAUUGGUAUUGGUGGAUAACUCAAUCUGUCAUAUCAAGAAAUAUGUAUUCAAUUGGUAUCUCAAAAUGACAACAAGAGCUGCCAAUGGACUUUCAAUUGAAAUCAAGUACAAGCUUGUGAUAUCUCCUAUAAUCAAGAGAGAUGGGCACAAAUGAAGUCUUUUUGCAUUUUGCCAAGCCCAUCAAAGCACUAAAUUCAUAAUAUCAUGAUCACAGAGGAGAUUAUAAGGUUUAGAACACAUGUAUAUCGCUCCAUGAACUCUUGUAUUAUGUUUGUGUAUCUAGGCCCUUACAUGCUAGUGUGGUGCAUGUGUAUGCAAUAUUUGAGUCACACCAUGAGUUUGUUCUUAUGGUGAAGUUUAGAGAAUGAGUUAGAUAUUUGGUUGACACCUCUUAUGGUGAUGAAGUGAGUUUGUAUACUUUGUUUGGUAGAAAACUCAAGAGAGAAUCUUGACUUAAAGUGUUGUAUAGUUUGUUUGGUAGAAAACUCAGGAGAUAAAUCCUAUAUGCUAAACUUUUAUCUACCUCUUGCCUUCACUUGUCUACCACUAUUUCUUCCUUUUGGUGGAUAGAUUUUUUUUGGAGAUUAAUGCCAAAGGGGGAGAAAUAUUCAGAGAGAGUGUAAGCGAGGAGAAGAGAUUAUGUGGAUUGAAAGGGUAAAGGAGUAUAUAUAUAUAUAUAUAUAAAUAAAUAAGAUUUUUAAUUUUUUUGUGGUGUGUGCAAGGAUAGUUUAUGCUCUUGAUAAGGACCAUUUAUGCUAGUGUGUGAUAUUCUUGCCUUGAGUGGUGCUUGCCUUUAUUUCUGUGCUGUUUUGGUAGGUGCGGUAGUGCCACCCUUCUGGUGCACCCUUUGCUGGCCAGCAAACUUUGAGUGCAUGACUUGCCAUGAGCAUCAUGUUUAUCAUGUUGACACCUUGCAUCCCACGUAUACUAAGAUAUAGGAGAGUUCUCACACUUUAUCUUGAAUAUUGUAUUUGGCAUUUGAGGCUGAAGUUUGAAAUUCCAUAUAGGCACACAUUUAGUGGAGCUCACUAUAUCAUAGGAUUCAAAAAUCUUAUGAUUUAUCAAUCUCUUAUAAGCUUUAAUUAUGUUGUUAUUAAUCACCAAAAAGUGGGAGAUUGAAAGUGCAUCUAGCCCUUUUUGGGUUUUGGUGAAUUGAAUAACAACAUGAUUAAAGGUCUAAUAUGUUUGCUAAGUGUUGAACAUGAUAUUGAGUGUAUUGUAUAUACUUGUGGAUUGUGUAUUAACAAGUAUGUUCAAGGUUCAACAAGUAGGCAAACUUGAUGAUAUGCCACAUAGUGUUGAAAUAAAGGCCAAAUUAUGUAUUGCAAAAGACAACAAUGCAAUCCUACUAUUUCUCUCCUUCCAUUUAUUGAUGUAUGGGGCUCACAUGUCAAUUUCUUCUCCAUCACCAUGCAUUGAGGGAAGGAGAAGAGCUCUCCAACCAGGUGGGCAAGGCAUGGUCAUGGGGCUGCAGUGGAUGAGCUUGGGCGACAACUAGCAUAGAAGCUGCCAUUAAACUCCAUCUAGAGCUUGGUGACAGAUUGUAGUACUACUACACCAAUAAUAAGUGUUUGACUUGGGGUAAGCUAGCUUGGCCGUGGUGGCGAUUGAAUGGCAUCGUGGCAUCUGUUCUAGUCACAUACAACAACACAGAGAGGAACAUGGCCUACCCUAGCUAGUUGUGCAUGCAAGUAUGUAGCAACCUACACAGAGCCGAUGUGGAGCGAGAUGGCGAGGCCACCCAUCAACGUGUGUGUGUGGCUCAGCUUCAGUGGCGAGCAGCAAGACCCCCAUCGACACUCGACAUACACGCGUGCUCAGCAUGGGUGAGUAGCUAGGCGACUAUCGAUGAAAUAUGGUCGGCAGUCUACCUAGGGGUAUGCCCAAGGUAGUAGAUUAUCGGCAAUAGGUGCGCAAGCUACGAACUAGAUGAUGACGCAAGACACAGACAAUGAUUUUAUCUAGGUUCGGCCAUCGUGAGGGCGUAAUACCUAUGUCCUGUGUCUGAUUAUAUUGAUGAUAUGAGCUCAAAUGAGUUGAGAGAGGUCCCUUAUCCCACCUUAUAUAGUACGAGGGACAAGGUUACAAAUCUAGAAACUAAUCCUAGUCAGUUACAAUUGCCAUAGAUAGUUCGAUAUCAAUUCUUAUUCUAACCGAUCAGGAUCUUGCUUGAUCUUCAUGUCUACCUUCCUUGCGUAGAACUCCAAGUAGAUCGAUCAAGCCACAAAUCAAUCUCGUAAUGGGCCAAUUCUCUCGGCCCAAGUCUAGCCGUAAGGGUAUAGGGGUUUAUACCCCCACAGCUAGUCCCUGAGCACUAUGUAUUGUGAUCUGACACGCCAUCUCGAGCUUCUUCGACCAGUGAAUCUUGACAUUUCCGAUAAGCAAGAGAAUCUCGAGCAGUUACGACGAUAUUUCAACUAGCUUGGAAAUUAGUUGACCACCAUUAAUACCAAAGAAGCAAGUUGUCCGAAUAAUGCAUGGUGCUCUUUGAGAAAAAAGAUUUAUUUCCUGAUGAAGUGUGCACACUUUACUUUUUUGAAAAGUAUAGGGUUUGAAAAAGCAAGCAUAUUCACCGUAAGGUGAAGUUUGCCCACUUAGUCCCCGAGCCUAGUAGUAGGUGACAUAGACACAUGGUGCCAGGGUCUAAAAAAGAAAAAUUUACGUACAAAUUUUGAUACUAAGAUGCAUCGGUAGGUGCAUCGUACCUAUGUAGUCCCCAAGCUUGCUGGAAGGCGAAGUAUGAGCCUGUAGCAAGGUCUAAAAAUUAAAAUUACCCCUCAGUUGUAUAUGAGUAUAAUUCAUAUGUAACUGAGAGGAGCAGUCCCCGAGCACAGCGUAGGAACUGGUCCACGAGUCCCUGAGCAUGAUUAGGAAUGUAACCGUGCUCGGUGGUCAGAGCAGUCCCUGAGCACAACAUAGGAACUGGUCCAUGAGUCACCGAGCACAGAGUAAGGAUGGGUCCACGAGUCCCCAAGUGUGGUUACGAAUGUAACCAUGCUCGAUGGUCGAAGCAGUCUUCAAGUGUAAAGAUUCCUCCUAUGUCUUAUAGUAAAAUAAUUCCUAGUCCUGUCAACACAUCAUUGACAUUGCUUUGUUCCAACUUCAAAUAGUAGUCCAUCUUCUUUAAAUGUGUCAGUCUGCACACCCCAUCAGCAACAUAAAAAGGCAAGCCCAUGAAAAAUGGGCUAUCCCACACGAGAGCCAGAGUGAGCGUAGGCCCAUCAAUCGACAGAACUACCUAUGAUUUUAUCGAGACAGUAUUGGAAACCAAAACAACGCUCUCACCAUAAACAUCGCAUGUUCCCCUAGAUUUGGGAAGUGGAAAAGUUGGUUGCUGUGUAUAAAUAGCCCUGGACAUUAGCCAAUCUUCACCAAAGGCAGUUGCCAUUUCUCGCCCAAUGCAACAUCUUCCUCCUUAAGCCACUAGCCACCUGAGCAAGAUCCAAAAAACCAACAUCAAGAGCCAAAUGGCCAGAGGCAACUCAAAGAAGAUGUCAGAGAUGAUGUCCAAGGAAUGGUGGAAAUCCAAGUCCACCAUGCAGUCCAUCAAUGAGCUUGUCAAGAUGGGAGUGCUGCACAACUAGGAAUUCGAUGGCUGGAGAGCACCGGUGGGAGAAAGCUUCCCCGACCCGAGACCCAGAGAGAUCGUAGUAUUCAAAGAUUUCUUUAAAAGAGGUUUUGGUGUCCUAGUUCAUCCAUUUCUCCAAGGGUUACUUCUGUACUAUGAGAUUGGGAUCUACAAUCUGCAUCCCAACUUGAUUCUUCUUAUGACCAUCUUUAUCCAUCUCUACGAAGCUUUUGCGGCUAUAGAACCGUACUUCGACCUUUUCUGUUAUCUUUUCUACCUGAGGAAGAAGGGGCUCAUGGGGGAUCCAAGAUUGCUAGUGGAGUAUACCUCAAUCUCAGAGAUGGAAUGAAAACCCAUUAUCUCAGCUGCCCCUGGAAUACCUCCUUGUUGGAGUUUCUACAUCCGCGAGGAGCCCAAUAGUGCCACUUUCUAUGAUGUCAGAUACCAACUAGAGAAGAGAGUAAGCUAGACCGACAGACCAGAGUACGACGGGUAGGUCGAGGAGCUGAUGAACUUGAUCUAGUGGCCUCACUUAGACGGACCAACAGUGGUCGGCAGCUUCAUCUGCCGAAAGAUACAACCAUAUCAGAGGAGGGUCCAUUCCGGGUAUGAGUACCAAGGGAAUGAUGACACUACUCGAAUGAAGGAGAGACUCAAGCAGGCAGAGAUCCAUUGGCGGAUCAUGUAAGUGCACUCAAGCCCUAGUUGUGGGUUUUGGUGAUAAUGACCACACAAUUAGAGGACUAAUGAGAUUUGUUGAGAUGACAAGCAGGUAAAAUAAGAAUGAGGGUAACACAUGAGAUGUGAGAUGGCAAAAGCCCAAUUACCAAAUGAUGUGGUGAUGGACUCAAAGGCAUUAAAAUUAUUUGAUAUUUAAUCUUGAGUUUAGGCUAUGCCGCACUAUAAAGAGGGAUGCAAAUUUAGUUGGUCUGAGGAAGAUAGAGUGCUCAAGUAUUAAAACUAAAUCAAAAGAGAGACACUCUAGCACUUCACGAGCACGUAGAAUAGUUUUUUUAAGACUUGUGGUGUUGGAAGUCCCGACGCGCGUCGGAACUGAUGACGCAUGUCGGAAGUGAUGACGUUCGUCGGAAGUCCCGACACCUGGCCCUCUUGCUACCUCUGCUCGCGCUUGCGUCGGAAGUCCCGACGCGCGUCAAAACUGAUGACGCAUGUCAGAAGUGAUGACGUUCGUCGGAAGUCCCGACACCUGGCCCUCUUGCUACCUCUACUCGCGCUUGCGUCGGAAGUCCCGACGUACGUCGGAACUGAUGACGUGUCGGAAGUGAUGACAUGUGUCAGAACUGAUGACGCGUCGGAACUGAUGACGUGCGUCGGAACUGAUGACGUUGGCUGGUUUUGUAUAGACUUCUGACCAAGUGAACAGUGUUUUUAGUAUAUGUCGGAAGUCCCGAGAUCCGCGUCGGAACUUCCGACGUAGAUCUGAAUGGUUAGUUUUUAGCUUCUUGUAUAAAUAGCUUUCUCGACGUUUCUAACCGUUAAGGACUCAUUCUAAUCAAUUCACUCACGACCCCAACAGCUCUCAAGCUCUCAAGGCUCUUCUCUCCUCUCCCCUUUGCUCUAAACUUUGAUUCCCUAAGGAUUUGAGUGAUAGGAGAGUAGAUUGAGUGAGAAAAUCAUCUAGCAAGCUUGAGCACUUGAGUUUUUCGUCAAGCCGGUUGGAUUUGCGUCUAUUACUCUUGGGUUAUUGGAACCCUAGCCGGCUAGGCGUCGUCCAAGAGCUCCCGAUCUGUGGGAGGACCUUGGGAAGUUUGUAUUACCCUUGAUUCUCUAGUGAAGAACUCAAGUUUACCUUUGUGGUUGCUUGAGAGAGGCAAGGAGGUGAAAGAGACUCCGACCUUAGUGGUCACCUCAACAACGAGGACGUACGCAAGCCUUAGUGGCGAGCCGAACCUCGGGAUAAAUCUUUGUGUCCCGUGUGCUUAUUGUUGUUGUGAUUACUUGAGAUUACUUGUUCUUUGUUGUCUCUUUCUCUCUCGAGCCAUUUCUUAGGUUUUGGUCCCGAUCUACAAAUUGUGGAAGUUCAAGGUCAAGGAAGCACUUGGUUUACUUCAUCUUACCACUAUAAAGUGGGGUUGUAAGUUAUUGCCUUCACAAAGUUUAUUUAGGCACUUGUAGUUCAUUUCCCGUAGGCGUCGGAACUUCUGACAGUUUGCGUCGGAACUUCUGACAGUUUGCGUUGAAACUUCUGACACUUUGCGUCAGAAGUUCCGACCUGAACUGUCAUAACUUCCGACAGUUGCUGACAAGUGACUUUGAGUUAUGUAGAAAAUUAGUAGAUACGCCUAUUCACCCCCCUCUAGGCUUACCAAGGAUCCUUACAAGUGGUAUCAGAGCCGGUUACCUCGUGUGCGCUUCACCGCGUGAGGUAUGGAGGCCAGAGGAGGAUCGAGCGGUGCAAAGUCUACGGAAGUCCGUCCGGAGGAAAUGGGCUUGCAUGACACUGACACUGAUAGCAGCCAAAUCAGUGUAUCGACAGCAAGCAAUAACACACUUCCUCAUCUCGAGCCUACCGAUGGUGAAAGGGUUCUCGAUGAAGAAGAGAAGAGAAAAAGGAAAGAAGCAAGAAAGCUGAAAAGAGAAGCAAGAGAAAAGAAGAAAGAGUGACAACGAUUAGAUGAGAAGAAAGCAAGAAAAGGAGCUAGAAGGCUCAAGAGAGAAGAAAGAAGAAAGAGAAGGGAAGCUAGGAAGAAGAAAGAAGAAGCCAAAGCUCCCAACACAUCUUCUAGUGAGCUUUCUAGCAGCUCCGAAGAUGGUGAUGAUGAUGAGUCCUAUCAAGUGCAUAGCAAGAAGGACAAGAAAGGAAAGGGCAAGAAGAACGACAACAACAAAUAUGCCGCCGUAUCCUUUAACUAUUCUUCUUUGUCUAUGACUAACCAUGAUCACAAGUCUUUUAUUAAUGUGCCUGCAGGGAAGUUACCUCAUUUUGAUGGGACUAACUUUGCCAAGUGGAAGCACUUGAUGAGAGCUUAUCUUAUAGGUCUCCACCCUGGUUUUUGGGAGGUUGUUUGCAAUGGGUUUGAGUCACCGAUUGAUCCCAAGAACCCAACAUUAGAAGAGAUGAGAAUCAUUCACCUCAAUGGUCAAGCCACAAGUGUGUUGCUUAGUGCUUUGGAUGGUGAUGAGUACAAUAGAGUGAUUGGUGUUGACAUUGCCAAGCAAAUAUGGGAUACUUUGCACCUUGCACAUGAAGGAGUUGACAAGGUAAGGUAGGCAAGAAUUGAUUUGAUGAUGGCCAAGCUGAACCGGUUUGUUAUCUUGGAUGGAGAAGGGCCACAAGAGAUGUUUGAUAGGUUGAUGUCCUUGGUGGGCAAGAUUAGAGGCUAUGGUUGUGAUGAGUUAGAUGAUCAUAAGGUUGUCAAGAUUAUGUUGGAAGCUUAUUCACCAAGAAAUGAGACCGUAGUCACUCUAAUUAGAGACAAGAAGAAGUUUGAGUACUUCACACCAAAUGAUGUACUUGGGAGAAUUUUGACAUUUGAUAUGCAAAGAGAAGAAGCAAAUGAAAGAAAGAAGCUUGGUGAGCUGCAAGCAAAGCUAGAAGGCAUCAAGAUCAACGAUGGUGUAGCUCUCAAAGCCAACAAGUCAACUAAGCAACCCUCUACAAGCAAGUCCAAGUCCAACAAGCAAGCAUCAACUAGCAAGCCCAAAGCACCAAAGCAACUCAAAGAAGUAGAGACAACAUCAUCAUCAAGUGAAGAUGAAAGUGAUAGUGAACAAUAUGAGAAAGUGAAAGAUGUUGCUCUCUUUUUGAGAAGAUAUCAAAAGGGACUCAAAAAGCAAGGUUACAAGGUAGUGAAGAGGAAGUUCCCAAAUAAGAAGAAGAGACUAUGCUACAAUUGUGGAAGCACAGAACAUCUCAUUGCUCAAUGUCCUCAUGAAAUCGAAGACAACAAUUACAAGAGAGAUAAGAAAGAGAGCAAGAUCGACUACAAAAAGAGCAAAAGACACAUGGGAGAAGCUCACAUUGGACAUGAAUGGGACUCAACAAAAGAUAGCUUAAGUGAGGAGGAUGAGAAGAUUGCAACUGUGGCUAUUCACAAGCCAUCCUCCACACCAAGGCUCUUCAACAACAUGUUUGAUGAUGACUACUACUCCCCUUGCAUUUGUCUUAUGGCAAAGGGUGAGAAGGUAAAAUCCAAAUCCAAGCCUUCUCCCCCUAGUGACACAUCUAGUAGUGAUUUAAGUGAUUGCUCUAGUGAUGAUGUGUCUAGUGAUGAAGAAAUUGAUAACAUAACUAAAAAUUUGGAUAGCAAGACCAAACUGUUCAUAACUAAGCUAAUGGAGGAUUUAGAGAGUGUUCAAGCUGAUUUAGAAUCUAGUGAAGAGACUCUUAUCAAACAAGAGAACCUCUACAUUGCUAGCAAGGAAGCUCUUGCAUUAGAGAGAAGUGAGGUGGAAUCCUUGCACAAUGCUUUGGCCAAAGAGCAAGGGGCCCAUGCUAUCACAAAGAAAGCAAAUAUUGCCCUCAAGCAAAAGUAUUGUGACUUAGAUGGAAAGUACAAGCAACUUGAGGAACAAUAUAGCAUUCUUCGAGAUAGCAACUCACAUCCCUCUAAAGCAAAGGAUGCCUCUAUUCCCUCCACUAGUCAAGGUUGUGGAAAAUGUUAUAAUCUUGAUUUGAAUGCUUAUUCCACUAACCUUGCAAACAUGGAGGCUAUGAGAAAGGAGAUUAAUAGGCUUAAUGAGAUCAUUAGUAAGAGUUGCUUGGGUGGUAAGGCUCAAGUGAAUGACAAAAAGGCAAAUGAUCCAAAAGAGCCUCAAUUCAAGCAAGGGAGACAUCCCUCAAUCAAGCAUGGGCUUGGACACACAAUAGGAGCUAAGACAAAUGGAAGAAAGAUAGUCAAUGGCUAUGAGUGUGUCAAGUUUGAAAGGAAGGGCAAAAUUGGUGUAGAGUGGCCUGCACAGAUUGUGACAGUACAACGUCCCCGAGCGGUAGUGCCACAUAGUGGCUAUACCAUGGUGAAGGGCGGUAAUGUCACGCCCCACAAAAAUGGGAAGGCUACCAAUUUUGUUCCUGAUCAAACUAAGCCCGAAAAGAAAGUAACAUACAAGGAAAAGAAGAUUUCCCAAAAGCCAAAGGAAUUAAUAUGGGGAACUCCAAACAAGUAUGCUUAUCAACCAAAGGUCCAUGCACCUCGACAAAGCUUGUCAUCAUGCUUUGUGUUGAAAAGUAACAACCGUGGUGAAGUUGUUGCUAAGUAUGUUGGCAAGGAGACCAAUGUCUACAAGAAUACUUCCAUUUGGGUUCCUAAAAUACUUGUGACUAACAUGCAAGGCCCCAAGUCUAUUUGCGGACCUAAAUCUAGCAACUAAACUUGUUUUGCAGGCAUACUCCUCCGGUGGAUCAAGUUGGGUGCUUGAUAGUGGAUGUACAAAUCACAUGACCGGAGAAAAGAGUAUGUUCCAAUCAUAUACCCCAAAGGUGGACUCAAAUGAGAAUAUUGUCUUUGGAGAUAAUUCUAAGGGGGAUGUGCUUGGUCUCGGUAAAGUUGCUAUAACUCUUGAGCAUUCAAUUACAAAUGUUUUGCAUGUUGAUUCGUUGAGUUACAAUUUGUUGUCCGUUUCUCAAUUGUGUGAGAUGGGCUACAAUUGUCUCUUUACAGAUAAGGGUGUGGAAGUCUUUAGAAGGGAGGAUUCCUCUAUUGUCUUUAUGGGUCAUUUAAAGAAUAAGCUUUACCUAGUUGAUUUCAACAAAAGUAAAGCUAAUCUUGAGACUUGUUUAGUGGCAAAAUCUAGCAUGGGUUGGCUUUGGCAUCGCCGACUAGCCCAUGUUGGGAUGAGGAACUUGGCCAAACUUCAAAAAGAUGAACACAUUCUUGGACUAACAAAUGUUCACUUUGAGAAAGAUAGGAUAUGUAAAGCUUGUCAAGCCGGAAAGCAAGUUGGCGUACCUCACCCACCAAAGAGCAUCAUGACCACCACACAACCAUUGGAGCUCAUCCACAUGGAUCUCUUUGGACCGGUCGCCUACCUAAGUAUUGGGGGUAACAAAUAUGGUCUUGUUAUUGUUGAUGACUAUUCCCGUUUCACUUGGGUAUUUUUCUUGUUUGAUAAGUGCCAAGUUAGGGACAAGAUGAAGACAUUUGUUAGAAGAGCUCAAAAGGAGUUCGGACUCCCCAUCAAGAAGAUGAGAAGUGACAAUGGGACCGAAUUCAAGAACACUCAAGUUGAGGAAUUCCUUGAUGAAGAGGGCAUCAAGCAUGAGUUCUCAAGUCCAUACACCCCUCAACAAAAUGGUGUAGUCAAGAGGAAGAAUCAAACACUCAUUGAUAUGGCAAGGACAAUGCUAGAUGAGUACAAGACUUUGGAUCUAUUUUGGUGUGACGCUGUCAACACCGCUUGUCACGCCAUCAAUCGCCUCUACCUACACAAGAAGUUGAAGAAAACUUCAUAUGAGCUUCUAACCGGUAACAAACCAAAGGUGUCUUACUUUAGAGUGUUUGGGUGUAAGUGUUUCAUACUUAACAAGAAACCCAAAACAUCUAAGUUUGCACCUAAAGUUGAUGAAGGUUUUCUUCUUGGUUAUGGAUCAAAUGAGCAUGCCUAUCGUGUUUUCAACAAAACCUCUGGGAGAGAUGAAAUAGCGGUAGAUGUGACAUUUGAUGAAUCUAAUGGCUCUCAAGUAGAGCAAGUUGAUUCAAGUGUUGUAGGAAAGGAGAAGCCACCUUAUGAUGCAAUCAAGCAACUGACUAUUGGUGAUAUUAGGCCACAAGAAGAUGAAGUUACUGAUGUGGUGGUUUCCCAUGCUGUUGAUGAACAAGUUUUCGCUAAUGUACCUGAUAUUGAGGGGGAGCAAACCCCUAUUGCAGCACAACGGAGUAGCAGUGCCACACCUAAGAGUGGUAGUGCUGCAUCCCCUCCAACAGCAGCAGCAAGUCCAACUCCAAUUCGAGGACAAAACCUACAACCCAUAUUUGAAGAAGAAGAAGUUGAAAAUUUAGAAAGUGACCAAGAGGCCAUCGAGCAUCCAAGACUCAAGCAAAUCAUUCAACGAGAUCACCCCAUCGACAACAUCCUUGGGAGUCUUCGAAAGGGGGUAUUGACACGUUCUCAUUUAGCAAAUUUUUGUCAAUAUUACUCUUUUGUUUCUCCUAUAGAACCAGUUAGGGUUGAAAAGGCUCUUGAAGAUGAGGACUGGGUGAUGGCCAUGCAAGAAGAGUUGAACAACUUUGAAAGAAAUCAAGUUUGGACAUUGGUGGAAAGACCCAAGACGAACGUGAUUGGCACCAAGUGGGUCUUCCGCAACAAGCAAGAUGAAAAUGGAGUGGUGACUAGGAACAAAGCAAGAUUGGUUGCUCAAGGAUUCACUUAAGUAGAGGGCUUGGACUUUGAAGAAACAUAUGCACCAGUGGCAAGGCUUGAGGCAAUCCGAAUGCUUUUAGCCUUUGCUGCCCAUCAUAACUUCAAGCUAUAUAAAAUGGAUGUCAAAAGUGCAUUUCUCAAUGGCCCUAUCCAAGAACUUGUCUAUGUUGAGCAACCACCGGGUUUUGAAGAUCCCAAAUUCCCCAACCACGUCUACAAACUCCAAAAGGCGCUCUAUGGGCUUAAGCAAGCACCAAGAGCAUGGUAUGAAUGCCUUAAGGUAUUCUUGCUCAAACAAGGCUUUAAAAUAGGCAAAGCUGAUCCUACCCUUUUCACUCGCAAAGUCAAUAAAGAUAUAUUUGUGUGCCAAAUAUAUGUCAAUGACAUAAUAUUUGGUAGUACUAACCAUGAGUUUUGUGAGGAAUUUAGUAGGAUCAUGACCAAGAGAUUUGAGAUGUCUAUGAUGGGUGAAUUGAAGUUCUUUCUUGGUUUUCAAAUCAAGCAAUUGAAGGAAGGAACUUUCAUUAGCCAAACUAAGUACACCCAUGAUAUGCUAAAGAAGUUUGACAUGGCGAAUGCAAAGCCCAUCAAAACUCCCAUGCCAGCCAAUGGACAUCUUGAUCUCAAUGAGGAAGGGAAAGCCAUCGACCAAAAGGUAUAUCGCUCCUUGAUUGGCUCUCUACUCUAUUUGUGUGCAUCUAGGCCCGAUAUUAUGCUUAGUGUGUGCAUGUGUGCUAGAUUUCAAGCUAACCCAAAAGAGUGCCACUUAGUGGCUGUUAAGAGAAUCUUGAGAUAUUUAGUACACACUCCUAAAGGCUCUAAGUUUGAUCUACUUGGGUAUUCGGAUUCCGAUUACGCCGGUUGCAAAGUGGAUCGAAAAAGCACUUCGGGGACAUGUCAAUUCCUUGGAUGGUCCCUAGUGUCUUGGAGUUCUAAAAAGCAAAAUUGUGUAGCCCUUUCCACCGCCGAGGCCGAGUAUGUUGCAGCCGGUGCAUGUUGUGCUCAACUACUUUGGAUGAGGCAAACCCUUCGUGAUUUCAGAUGUCAUUUUACCAAAAUCCCAUUAUUGUGUGACAAUGAAAGUGCCAUAAAGCUUGCAAACAAUCCUGUAAGCCAUUCAAGAACUAAGCACAUAGACGUCUGACAUCACUUCUUGAGAGACCACGAAGCCAAAGGAGAUAUCGAAAUUCGCCAUGUGAGCACCGAAAAGCAACUAGCCGAUAUCUUCACUGAGCCUCUUGAUGAAACAAGGUUUUGUGCUUUGCGUAGUGAGCUAAAUAUACUUGAUUCUCGUAACGUGGUUUGAAAUUUAGCACACCAUUGUUUGAUCAACUAGUAUCUAGGCAAAAUGUUUGCAAAAAGGUUCAUAAUGCAGUUCAAAAUGCUUUAUCAAAAGAGAACUUGUAUUUUAUGGUCAUUACUUGUUCUUGUUCAUCUGUUGCUGACCAUAACAUGUUAAGUGUGUUGUAUCCCUCUUUCUUCCUUUAUCACUUUUUGGUGCUUGUUGCCAAAGGAGGAGAAUGAGAGGGGGGUACAAUUUUUUUUCUCUCCUUAGAUGAUUGUGUGCAUACUUGUCAUACGCAUCAUGUAUAUUCCUGUGACACUAUGUGCAGCACCCCACAGAAGCAUGGAUGUAGAGGAAGCCCCAUCACUUAACUCUAUAUGUGAAUUUUGGCCUCUUAUGCAAGUUUGAGAAUUCAAUUCUCCAUUCACAUAUUUAGGGGGAGUCUCUACACACAUGACUUUAAAAUCUCAGUUAUACUUUAAAUAUUUUUGUAAGCUCUAGUUGUGUUGUCAUCAAUCACCAAAAAGGGGGAGAUUGUAAGUGCACUCAAGCCCUAGUUGUGGGUUUUGGUGAUAAUGACCACACAAUUAGAGGACUAACGAGAUUUGUUGAGAUGACAAGCAGGUAAAAUAAGAAUGAGGGUAACACAUGAGAUGUGAGAUGGCAAAAGCCCAAUUACCAAAUGAUGUGGUGAUGGACUCAAAGGCAUUAAAAUUAUUUGAUAUUUAAUCUUGAGUUUAGGCUAUGCCGCACUAUAAAGAGGGAUGCAAAUUUAGUUGGUCUGAGGAAGAUAGAGUGCUCAAGUAUUAAAACUAAAUCAAAAGAGAGACACUCUAGCACUUCACGAGCACGUAGAAUAGUUUUUUUAAGACUUGUGGUGUCGGAAGUCCCGACGCGCGUCGGAACUGAUGACGCAUGUCGGAAGUGAUGACAUUCGUCGGAAGUCCCGACACCUGGCCCUCUUGCUACCUCUGCUCGCGCUUGCGUCGGAAGUCCCGACGCGCGUCAGAACUGAUGACGCAUGUCGGAAGUGAUGACGUUCGUCGAAAGUCCCGACACCUGGCCCUCUUGCUACCUCUACUCGCGCUUGGGUCGGAAGUCCUGACGUACGUCGGAACUGAUGACGUGUCGGAAGUGAUGACAUGUGUCAGAACUGAUGACGCGUCGGAACUGAUGACGUGCGUUGGAACUGAUGACGUUGGCUGGUUUUGUAUAGACUUCUGACCAAGUGAACAAUGUUUUUAGUAUAUGUCGAAAGUCCCGAGAUCCGCGUCGGAACUUCCGACGUAGAUCUGAAUGGUUAGUUUUCAGCUUCUUGUAUAAAUAGCUUUCUCGACGUUUCUAACCGUUAAGGACUCAUUCUAAGCAACUCACUCACGACCCCAACAGCUCUCAAGGCUCUUCUCUCCUCUCCCCUUUGCUCUAAACUUUGAUUCCCUAAGGAUUUGAGUGAUAGGAGAGUAGAUUGAGUGAGAAAAUCAUCUAGCAAGCUUGAGCACUUGAGUUCUUCGUCAAGCCGGUUGGAUUUGCGUCUAUUACUCUUGGGUUCUUGGAACCCUAGCCGGCUAGGCGUCGUCCAAGAGCUCCCGAUCUAUGGGAGGAUCUUGGGAAGUUUGUAUUACCCUUGAUUCUCUAGUGAAGAACUCAAGUUUACGUUUGUGGUUGCUUGAGAGAGGCAAGGAGGUGAAAGAGACUCCGACCUUAGUGGUCACCUCAACAACGAGGACGUACGCAAGCCUUAGUGGCGAGCCGAACCUCGGGAUAAAUCUUUGUGUCCCGUGUGCUUAUUGUUGUUGUGAUUACUUGAGAUUACUUGUCCUUUGUUGUCUCUUUCUCUCUCAAGCCAUUUCUUAGGUUUUGGUCCCGAUCUACAAAUUGGUGGCAGUUCAAGGUCAAGGAAGCACUUGGUUUACUUCAUCUUACCACUAUAAAGUGGGGUUGUAAGUUAUUGCCUUCACAAAGUUUAUUUAGGCACUUGUAGUUCAUUUCCCGUAGGCGUCGGAACUUCUGACAGUUUGCGUCGGAACUUCUGACAGUUUGCGUUGAAACUUCUGACACUUUGCGUCGGAAGUUCUGACCUGAACUGUCAUAACUUCCGACAGUUGCUGACAAGUGACUUUGAGUUAUGUAGAAAAUUAGUAGAUACGCCUAUUCACCCCCCCUCUAGGCUUACCAAGGAUCCUUACAGAUCAACAAGCUCUUCAAUUUGUCUAAUGCGAGCUAUCCUCCGAGCAGCGACCGCAUGCAUGCAUACAAGCUAGACCGACCACUGCCCAAGGUAACCAAAUACAAUGUUUGUCUUGUUAUUCGUACGCAAUUGUUGAAAUAACUGAUCUCAUGAUGUGUGUUCAGCAGGUCAGAGAUCUGGAUAGGGCGACGAUCUAUGUCUUCUUUGCCCCUGGCAUGGAGCAAUCGAUAGGUGUAGACCCACCCAUGUAGAAUGUAGCUCGGUGCUACAUAUAUACUAGUAGCGAUGAGGACACAGAGCAAAGGAUGCCCGCAGCAGACGACCGAGCUACGGGGAAGAGGCCUAUUGCUGCUGGGGCGUUGAGGAAGAAGGGAGAUGCCCCAUAUUAGGCAGGGGGCCCAUAUUCCUUUGCUGGUGAAUAGUCCUUUGUAAACUUAUUGCGCCGACUAACCAAAAUAAAUGCGGAAUUAUCGGUCUAGCCAAGACUACACCCCUCUAUUUAAGUUCUCUAGCACCUUGUAAAAGAUCAUAAACAAGCAAACAAGGUGCUACCUUAGCAAGAGCUCACCUAACCAAUUCUAGGAGGAAGGUCACACAAACCUAUGCCACUAGUACUUUGCAAAUCGGGGAGCUCCUAUACAACUAGUAAGCAAAGCACAAAGCUCCUAAGCUCACUGGCAAUGCUCAAUAACAAGGCAACCAAUGCCAAACUAGAGAGCACAAAUUACUUAGCUACAUAAACUAAGAAAUGUGACUAAUAAGGUUACACAAACCAAAUUAGCCACGCAAGGGAAAUACUUCUAGCUACACAAGCAAGAAGGUAACUAGCAAGCUACACAAGCUAACUAAUUACAAGAGCAACUACACAAGCACAAGUAUAUGAAUGUAAGAACAAGCUUGUGUUAGGGACUUGCAAACCAACGGGAAGAACAAUGUUGACACAAUGAUUUUCUCCCAAGGUUCACUUGGUUGCCACCAAGCUACGUCCCCGUUGAGACAAGAUCCAAGGUUGCCGCUGGUCCUCUUGCUAGUGGUGACCCGCAAGUCACACUCUCCCACGUGGAGUGCUUACCAUAAGCUCUAGCACUUGACCUGGCCAGACCACUUGUCGCUCUUCACGUCUCGCUCAACUAGAGUUGCUCUUCGCAGUCCCCGCGGGGUGAGCACCGUACCCCUCAUCUCUUCUCUGGAGCACCGCACAAUCUCCUUGGGUGCUUCGAUGGAGUCACAAGCCACCAAGCCAUCUAGGAGGUGGCAACCUCCAAGAGUAACAAGCACCACCGGCUUGCAACACAAACACCUAGUGCCACUCGAUGCAAUCUCUCAAUGCAACGCACUAGAAUCGCUCACUCACACAAUCGGAUGAUCACUAUCAAGCAUAUGUAAGUUAGAGUCUUCACUAGCACUCCCCAACCAUGGACACUAAGUCCCAAGGGUGCUCAGCACUAGCCAAGGCCAACCACCACUUCUAUUUAUAGCCCCAAGGGCUAAAAUAGCCGUUACCCCUUCACUGGGCAAAAGUCGUGCACACUGAACCCACUGCAGGGAGCCACCGAAUGCUAGAACAGUGCGUCCGGUGCUCCAGAAACAGCUACGUGUCACUAGCCGUUUGAACUCGACCAUUGCCGCCAACAGCUAGCACAUGCUCAUGCCUGACACAGCACCACCGGACGCUCUACUGGUUCACACCGGACGCGUUCGGUGCACACUGGACUCAUGCGCAGAGAGCACCGCAAACCUGCAGGGUCACUAGACAUACACGAGCAACCACACCGGACGCGUCCGGUGCAGACCGGACCCGUGCGCAGAGAGCACUACAAACUUGCAGGGUCACCGGACACGAGCUACUGGACGCACCCUGAGCGUCCGGUGCUCUUCAGUCAGAAACACUCCCUGACAUCAAGCCACACCGGACGUGCGAACAGUAUCCUACCCGCGUCCGGUGCCAGCAUCUAGCGACAAAUAUGGAGAAUAUCAAGAAUACUGUUUUAUUAUAUAUUGGAACAUAGUUACAACAUGGCUUACAUCUAUUACAAAGCAUAGCAGAAACUAAUCCUAUUCUUCACUUUGGGUCUCUAUUUUCCACAGGGACGGUUGACUAGGGGUACACUCGCCUAGUUCUCUUGGAACAUUUCAGCAAACUCCACCUUUGACUCACCAUCUGGUACCCAUCCGGGAUUUUUGAUUGUUGAAUGUAAAGCAAGUGUGAGCGCACCAUACUCAACAAGUAUAACAUGAGGGGAUGCAAGACUCAAAAGGCUGGACACAGCUGAACUGCGAUAAGCAUUUUUAGUUGGUCAUAUUUUAUUAUUUUAAACCUGAGUAACUAAGUUAUGCUUAAGCUCCCAAGGUGAUAAGUAUAAUUAUCAUAAAAAUUAAUCAUCACCCAAACCAUCCAUAGAACCAUCUAUCUCGAAAAGGAUCCAGACCGCUCUUGACCGAGAGCACGGCUAAUAUAUCAGUUUUUAUAACUCUGCAGAGUAUGUACAUCUUUACCCAUGAGUCGUGAUUGCCCUUUGCCUGAGGGGGCCAACCUCUUGACUCACUUCCAAGGUAAGUCGGCAGGGAUCACUACGUAACCUUUCACUAGACACCCUAACAAGUUAGUGGCCGUGAGGUUUCAGUGGCAAGUGUGCAUAGAGACCUCCUCCAAGAGGCACAUGUGGUCGCGGCACUGUACACACCAAGGUAGGAGAAAAACUAUACACCACGAGGCACCCCCUCUUGCGCCUUUUGGUAACCACUAACAAGCUAGAGACAUACUAGAUACUUGAUUAAGAUCAGAGCCAUGUGAUUCUUAUGGUUGUACUGUAAGUCCUGGGUUGCCGCUUUAAGAUUCAGUCCUUACGGAGGACAGACUAGAGCACCCAAAAAGGCCCAAUGCUCUAGCCCCCUGAUAUCCAUGUUGCUAGAAAGCAUCAUUAUAAUAUUGAUUCCAUAAUCAUUAAUCAAUAUUAAUAAUAUAUAUUUUGGUGAUUGCAGACUAAGCAAACUACCCAUAUGCAUAACCCAUGGUAACAAGGAAUUCAGGAUAACAAAGUUUCUAGGUAAGUCCUUAGGGGGUUAUCAUAUUAGUCACAUGCAUAUGAAAAGGUGAUUAUAAAGUUAUUAGGUAUCAAGGGUUCUCAUGUUACACUUGCCUCAAAUAGUGCUCAAACUUGUCCAACUUUCCUUCUGAAUCAUCCUCGCAUACCUCCUCGUUUAUAGAUCACAACAACCAGCACAAGCACCAUAAAAGAAACCUAAAAACAAUACAUCAAGCAUUAUGAAACAAGACUUUAAGGUUUUAAACAUGUAGGUCUGCAACUACAAACGUUUGAGCGCACAAACAACUAAGCAAAACUACUAUAACAGGGUAUGAAGGAUCAAAGGUAGAAGUUAGAGGGUUCGGUAAAUGAUAGGAAUGGAAUAAACAUGAUGGACAUGACUAACUUGAAAUAUUUAUACAACUUAAGGAUUUAUAAGUGAGAGGUACAUGAUUAUAGAAGUGUAUACAAGAUGGAUAUGAUUUUAGGGAGAAUGAAGUAAACAUACAAAGAUUGGCAAGGAGGAAACAUAUACAUGAUAGUGACUACGCAAGAGUGAGAUGGUAUAAUAGACAAGAAUGUUUAUUUCUAGCCAUAGAACAUGAAGACCUCAAAACAAUGGUAGUGGUUGGCAAUGAUCGAAUUUGCCAACAGCGAGGAUAUGAUGGUUAGAUGGCAAAAAGUGAGGAUGAACCCAUAGCUUAGGUUCGGCAACCUACUUUAGGAUAUGAUGAUGAUCAUUUGGAUUUGUGAAAUGGAUACUUUGGAACAUAUUUAGACAAGUGGCUGCAGCAGUGUGAAUGCUACAUAAAAGGGUAAUGCGUUUAUGGUGAUUUGCGCACCGGUUGAGCAUACCCCGUGGCGCAUGGACAAUGGUGGUUAGUGGCAGAUGUGACCAUAAAAAAGCAAGGCCUCACUGAACCUCUAGGCUUGAAAUAUGGUAGGAUGAUGUGCAACUAAGAAACACUCAUCCUUACGAGAGGGCUCAGUGAUUGAUAUAGUGGUUUAACAAGGAACAUGGCGAAACAUCGAUGCAUCCAAGACAUGCACGUUGGCAGACAGCGAUGGUUUUGAUGAGUGGUUGCAUGGUUAUAACAGAACCUGAAUAGUGAUGAAUUUUGUGAUGUUGUUGGGGAAUAUAUUGAGUAUGCUACUGCAAAAGAACAUGAUGUUUCAACCUUUCGUUUGCCGGGAAACAAGAAUACAAAGCGAGUCACAUAACUGUUUUCUGGACAAUAGGGAAGACAAAUAUAGAGACACCAAUAUCUCGGCCAUCGUGGCACCUAUGGUCAAACCAGCUUGCAAAGGCGUGUGCAUAUUCACGAUACACAUGUGGGUAAAUUGAUUUGUUAAACGGAGUAACAGAUUUUUGGCAACACGCGCAUCAACUGACUGCACCGCGGCUGCGGGGCAGCAGGGACAGCGAGCACAAGAAAAAUGAUAUUUCUUUUAUCUUGAAUCCUAUUGCCAUGAAAUUUCUCAGGGGCAUGUGCAAGGAUAUGAAACAAAUUGUGGUUGAAGAACACAAUCACUGGAGUGAUGAAACAUCGGGAAUAUGCAUGCCAAACAACAGCUGCACGGUUGCAUGGCUGCAGGAACAGCAAGCACAAGAACAAGUAUAUCUCCUUCAUCUUGAAUUAUCUGGUCAUGAAAUUUUACUGAGACGUGUGCCACUGAAUGAUCAACAUCAUGUUCAAAGAUCUCUAUGACCGAAGGGCGGGAACUCUAGGAAUGUGCAUGCCAAAUUGGCAGCAGCGCUGCUGUCCGCAAAAGGCAAAGACAUGAUUGUUAUGAAACAUCGCCGGAAUUUGACCAUGCACAAAUUAUGGCACAUGUUCUACAAUGAAAAACAUAUUAAAAAUAUGAAGAACAUGGUGGUCGUCACAUCGGGGUUAGCUGCAGCUAGAGAUGAAGUUGACGGUGGCUGACAUCGAUGAUGGGUGUUGACGGGGACUGCGAUCAACGGGACAGCACCGAUUGCGCUCCAUAGAUAAUAUAUGCCACAUGAAAGAUCAAAGGCACGGAUGAGAUGGACAAGAACAGUAAGAUCAGAGAAUGGAGAGGAAGGGGCGUCCUCACCAUGGAAGUGAACAUAUGAUCUGUACAAGACGUCGAUGGUGGCCUGCAUGGCUGCAUUUAUUUGGGGUUGAUGCUAUGGUAAACAACCAUCUAGGUUGCCGUGGUUGAAUCAAUUGGAAGAUGAUGUGCACCAAGAUGAAAUCCACACAAAGGUGCAGCACCAUGAUAUGGCCUGGAUAAGGAUGCAACAACCAUGGAGAUUACCGGCAGAAUGUCAACAACCGGGCUGCGGUCUUUGAUUUGAGACCUUCCUGUGUUACCAGACAGAGAUUCAGAGAGGGAUGAGUGAUGAACAAGGUGCUGCUCAGAGACAUAGGGAGAAAGGAGAGACUUUACCACAGGUGAGAUCAAAGGUUGUGAUCCUCAUACAUAGCUUGCUUCAUCUUGAAGAUGAUCACUGCAGCAGCAAGACAGAAUUGUAGACACAUUUUUCUUUCUGUUUUGAUGGAGAGGAGGGAGAGGAAGUUGGAGCUGCAGACAUGGGGAAGGAAGAGGAACAGAGGGAGCUCGCCCCUUCUGUUUCUUGAUGUGAAUAGGAGGAGGGGGCAGCGCUGGUUUCUGAUGGGAGAAAAAUAAAGGAGAGACAAGGCUGCUUCUAUUGCCAUCAAAGGUGUAAUAGAAAUAUUAAGAGAGAGGUGCAUGCAGGGUUAUUAAGGGGAGGGGAAUAAUUGUGGCUGUUUUGCAUGCAAGGAAGUGAAGCAGGCGGCAUAGGGGAGAAGAGAGACCAUGGAGAUGGUGCCCAUAUGCGUGAUGGAGGGAGGGAGGAGAUGAGGGUGCUGCUUCUCUGGUGGUGGCGUGAGGGAGAGAGGAGAAGGCAGAUAUAGCUGCCAUUUGUUGCAUGGAUGCAUGCAAUUGAAGUGUGAUUAAAUGGAGUUAUCAGGAGGGGAAUGAAGAGAGGUGUGCUGCAUGGUUUAUGCGUGAAAACAAGAGGAGGGAGGGUCUGUUUCACCUGCUUCCAUUCUUGCAUUUAGGGAAUGGUAUAAUGGAGAAUGAAAAGGGAGCUUAUGAAGUGAAUUAAAGGUGAGGUCUGCUGUUAUUUUAUUUGAGGGAGAGAGGGCAGGCGCCAUCUGAUAGUUGGUGAGUGAAAAGAGAGCAAGCAUGGCUGCUGCAUGCUAGUAUAAUGAAGAGAAAGAAAUAAAUUGAUGGAAUGAAGAAGCAUUCUUAAGAGAAUUGUGCAUGCCUAGUAAAUUAUGGGGCAAAGUAAUUUUGUGCAUCUAUUUUACAUGGGAGUAGAGAGGGCGUGGGAGCAGUAGAAGAAUGAUGACAUAAUCCAUGACUGGUCAAGCCUUUCAUUUGAGUAAUUGCACAAAAAGUAGAAGGGAGAUUAAGGAGGAGUACUAAGUGUUGAUGUUAUUUUCCAUGAGGGGGAGACAAUGGGUGUUAGCAGCCAGGAAUAGGGGAGAUGUCGACCAGGGAGAGGUGAGUGUAACCACUUUUGUUUGUGUAAACUAAUAAUGCAAAGGAAACCGAAGGAAUUAAGGAGAGUGUGAUUAAGAGAGGUAUGACCAAGGGAAUUUAGGAAGGAAGAAUUAGUUGCUGCAAUUAUCUUUGCAUGAAGGGAAUAGGAGAAUGUGGCAGAGAGAGAAGAGAGGAGACUUAUGCACGUGUAAGAGAGAGACCAAGUGAUAUUGCUGGUUGUUUUCUUGCAUGCAAGAGAUGAUUAAACAUUGGAGUAAAGGGUGCUGGUAGGAGAACAUUUAAGAGAGUUUGAAAAGAGGCAUGCAAAGGAGGUGAGACUGAGGAAUUAAAAGAGUAGGAAUUAGAUGAUGCUGUUUUUAAUUUCAGCAUGCAUGCAAUUGUAAAGGAUAGAAUAAAGUUGUACACAUAAGAGGGGUGAGUCAAGGGAUUUAAGUGCUAUCAUUUUGCAUGAGAGAAGGGAGGGGUCGGCACCAGAAGAGGAGAGGAGGCAGCAUCUUGUUGCAAUAGUGCUGUUGCAUGCUUGCAAAAUGAAGAAAAAAGAAUAAAUUGAUGGAGUGAAGCUCUCUUAAGAGAAUUUUGUCUAGGCAAUUAAGAGAGGUAAAGAGGAGAUGCAUCUAUUUUUGCAUGAGAAGGGACUGGCGUGGGCAGCAGAGUAGGAGUAACAGCAGCUGUUGCUUCUGUGUAGUAGCAAGGCAGAAAUAAAUAAAGCAUGCAAAUGAAAGAUGGGACAAAGAAUUAAGGUACCAGGGGAUUUCAUGUUGCUGUAUUUCUUUGUAUGAUGGAGAGAGAUUGCGCAAGGGAAAACAAACAGAGAGAGAGCCAUUGCAUGCACUCCUUUUAAAGCUUACAAUAAGAGGAGAAUUAUGUUUACUUGAGGAAGGGAGGGAAGAGGCAUGAGAGCAGGUCUUUUCAACAUGCAGUGAAGAUAGAUAAUGUGGUAUUGAAAAUGAGGAGAAAGUAGAUGACGAAGUUUCGGCAUGGUGAAAAGGGAUGAGGUGCUGCACAAGGGGGGGGGGGCAACUGUAGAGAGGAGAGUUGUGGCCUUUCCAUGUGACAGGGAGGUGGAGGGGCUGGAUUGGGCUUGUCCCAUAAUGUGGAGAAAAUUUCAAUGUGUGGGCCCAUCAUAGAUCCAUUAGCGGAAAGAGAGAAGAAUUAUGGCUUGUCAUAUUGGGCUAGAUAACAGUGUGGACUUCAACCCAAUUGAGAUUCAUUCAUAUGAUCAGAUAAGAAGAGAAAGGAUUGGCAUGAAGAAUACAUGGACACCAAAUUAACGGAGAGCUUGAGAUAGAAAAGAAAAGAGAGAAAGGGUCAUGCUAGAUUUUUGUUGGAUGUUAGCAAACACUUGAUUGGAAUUUUGAAUAUUGAUUUGGUAUUUGGGGAGAAGAAGUUGGGAUCAAACCCUAGGCGUAUUCAAAAACAUUUAAAUUCAGUUUUCAAACAUAAAUACUAUGCAACGACAUGAAUGCAACAAACCGCUAAGUUAUAUUGCAAAAAUUUUAGAAACCCACAUUUUUCAACUAUCUAACAUGUUGGCAACAUAAUAAAGUUGGAACAUUUUAUAAAAAAUAAAUUCUUUGUCUUUGUUUUUAGUGUUUUCUAAGUCAUAUCCCAAAGUUAGAAUUUUGGGGUGUGACAGCAGAGCUGGUUGCUCAGCAACUGGCCCGAGAAGAACCUAUAGCUUCUGCUAGUAGGGUGGAGGUGAGCCAGCAGAGCUCCGAGCUCCCACUAGGGGGCUACCCACCAUCCGAGUAGGCUCUCUGUUCGACAAGCCACCAGCGGCAUAGACCACUCGACCAACAACAACGCCUGAGGUCCCUGAUCGGGGCAAAGGACCGAUGGCGCCUUCAACUGUGGGGGCAAAGGACCGUGGCGCCUUCUCAAUGGCCGAAUACCUUGUCUCAGCAUCCACCAAUCCAAGCCUGGUAGUAGGUGACGUAGACACGUGGUGCUAGGGUCCAAAAAGAAAAGUUUGCAUAGAAAUUCUUAUACUAAGAUGCAUUGCCAGAUGCCUCUCGUCAACAAUCUCUAGGUGGAGCUGUUUGACGUCUGGGGUAUAGACUACAUGGGUCCCUUUCCUAAAUCCUAUUACGCUGAGUAUAUACUAGUAGCAGUGGAUUAUGUCUCAAAAUGGGUAGAAGCACUACCCUAUCGAGCACUAGAUGCUAAACACUUGUAGAAAAUGUUCUACGAGAACAUUUUUCCUUGUUUUGGAGUUCCUAGAAUGGUCAUUAGUGAUGGAGGCCCCCACUUUAUAGAUAAAAUCUUUAGGCGCUUCCUCUCUAACCAAGAAAUCCAACACAACAUAGCAACUGCUUAUCACCCACAAACUAGUGGACAAGCAGAAACCUUAAAUAAACAAAUUAAGAAUAUCCUAUAGAAAACUGUAGAUGAGAUGGGGACAGGAUGGAAGAACAAGUUACCAGAAGUUCUAUGGGCAUAUCGAAUCACUUACAAAACUCAGAUAGACAUGUCCCCCUAUCAAUUAGUUUAUAGAAAGACUUGUCAUCUUCCCGUUGAGCUUAAGUUCAAGGCUCAUUGGGCCACAAAGAAAUGGAACAUGGACCUAGGGCUAACGGGGCAAAACAGGAAGAUGCAAAUAUCCGAGCUAGAGGAAUGGCAAGAGAAAGCCUACCAUAGUGCCAAACUCUACAAGAAAAGAACUAAAAGAUGGCAUGAUAAGCGGAUUAAGAAGAAGGAAUUUAAUCCUAGAGACAAAGUAUUACUCUUUAACUCCUGAGUAUGACUUUUUGGUCAUGGAAAGCUCUAGAGCAAGUGGGAUGGACCAUUCAAGGUCGUCGCCUCGUCGCCUCAUGGAGCUAUCACACUGGAGAGUGACAACGGUCAACUCCUCAAGGUGAAUAGCCAAAGGCUAAAGAUAUUAUAUGAACCCGAAAAACAAGAACUCAAGGAGUCAAUUUCUAAAUUGCCUAAAGUCACCUUAGAUGGCUAAAAUUCGCAUUUUUAUCCCCUUUUCACCAUCCAAGCUACAAAAUUAAGUUCAAACACAAUUGGUCAAGUUGACACGAACAAACACACCUUCUAGAGAGCGACUGGGCACCAUAGAGUGGUGAGCGCUUGGUUAGGGUGGUGGACACCAACCCACCAUGGCGGCCACUGUUGAUAUUUGGUAACGCCAUCAGGAAAUGAUCCGCAAGCGCACGGAUAUCGGUGAGCACUUCACCCGGGAGGUUAUCCAGAGUAUCGUAUUUAUAUUUUUACCACUGGGAGAAAGCGUGCAUCUGACUAACCAAAUCUAUUGCUACUACCCUUUAGGCUACAAAGAAUGUGAUUCGAUGUGAGUGAUGUAUAGAGAAGACUACAACCGUAGUCUCGUUCUAACCUUGGUAAGGAUGAUCUACUGUUCUAUUGGGGAAGCUCACGGAAUCUAGACACCACAGAGGAUGUUCGACCCGCACCUAUAAACCCUACCCAUCCUGCUAACGAGAUGUGGGCUGCAAAGGUAACUCGGAAAUGUCACGUUCCUCGCUACUACCACGGUCCAGCUAGUCAGGGGAUAUCUAUGAGUACCCUAGCCCAAACACCACGUUUAUGCUAGCAAUGAUUACUCUAAACUCAAUCGGAAGAGAUUAAAGUAAACUCAUAAACCAAAGAACAAUAAAACAAGAACUUACUAGAAUUUAGAAGUCGAAUUACUGAAGAAUCCUAGGAGCAAGCCUCGGGUUAGGAGAACUUGAUCCCGCAGGUACAACCUUGGAGUAGACACCGACAGGCCGGGCUUCCUCCGAUCUACACCUCCACUCUAUCUCUCUCAAUCUAGUAGAUCUAGUCUACUCUCACAUUGGAUGCUAAGCCCUAAGUCUAUGUAGAGGAAAGGUUAUCCUUCGAGGGCACCUCUCAACUCUAUGAUGAACUUGUUCUCCUCCAGGGGCCAGGGGGUCUGCUUAUAUAGUCCCCUCAAGUGAAUCUGGGCCGUUGGAUCAAACCGACAUUGAUUGAACAGUUAUCCUUGAUCCUUUAGGUCGGUGGAGCGUAAUUCGUGAGACGGAUCCUGAUUGGACUCUGCACCAGGGCGGGCGCCCUAGGGGGGAGAGCGGGCGCCCUGCCCCUAGGCCCGAUCACCUUCCCGUUCGUUCUCGUGGCUUCUGGAGUCUUCUAGAUGAUAGAAAAUUGUGUGACACGUUAAUAUCUCUAUGUAAACCCGACGUGUGGGCCUUUCUUCCAUAUUUCCUAAUAACCCCCUGCAGAAAUAGACAAACACCAAAACUCAUAGAAUUCUGUCAGAUAAAACCCUAAGUCUGGGUGUUGGUUGCAUUUGAAUCUUUUUCUUUAUUUGUUUGAUGAUUAUAUUUGGUACUUAAGGACCGUCAACAACUCCCCCAAGCUUACCUCUUGCUCGUCCCUGAGCAAGGAUGGACUUAAGAGUUUCUGUAGUGGUUUCAUGCCUUAAAAGUACACAUGCGUUCAAGCAAGAUCUCAUCUCCGAGUUAGAGUAAAUUGUUAAGACUUAAAACUUACUCAUUUUACCUUUCACCAUGGGGCUUGCAACCGUCACUAGUGUCUUGAGCAGUUAAAAGAUAGAACAGUCUAGUCAAGCACCAUGUCUCUUAUUCUUGAUCAGCUGUAGCUCUGGAGUUUUUGCAGAUUUUCAAACAAAACUCAGAGAUUCCUUAUAUGAUUCUCUCAAAUCUCUCUUUUGUAGUAUUUCUAGAUCCUUUCCAAGGCGGUGAUGGUAUAUGCCUUCUCUCAAAGUAUGUGGUUUUUUUUGGUAUGAGGCAUAGUGACAUUGCCUUCUCUCUCAUCCUACUCUAAUAAGGUUUUGAUAUCUCGAGCUCAUAGGUGGGAGACAACUAAUACAUACUUACAAGACAUUUAUUGCAUAGUCAAACCAUGGAUCUAGAAAAACAAGUCAAUAAGUCAAAUCAAGAUGCGCAUGUGUGGCGAGUGAAUGGUGUGUGGUGAUGAUGGUGAUAACAAUGGUGAAAUUCUAAUUCUACUUUUGCUCUUUUUAGGGGAUACAUACCUUUCUUGCACUUUGAAGCUUUUUGAGGAGAAUGAGAUGCUCUAUAUUUUCUUUUUCUUUUCUCUCAGGUGGGUAUCUUGUACCUCUAAUUCUACUGUCGGACACUUGUCCAUUUUUACCUCUCGUCUCACUUUUUCUUUUCUUUCGAGGUUCCGGGCACUUGCCCCUUUUUAUUUCCUCAUAUUUUCUCUCUCUUUUUUUAGAGCACUCAUCUCCUGAAAUAAUAUAGCAAGUGGUAGUAACCAAGAUAACUCGAGCAUUUAUUUCACAGGGAAAAACAGAAAUAGGAAAAUGUUUUUGGCUAUUCUCUCUCGGAUUAGGAGUAGAAUAAUUUUGGGUGAAUCUGGAGAUGGAAAUGAGUGGAUAUAUGUGGAUGCGUACUUCUGGAGAAGAAGCAGCAUGUGUGAGUGAACGUGCAAGUGGAUCUUCAUUUUAACCGCAUAACAAGCUCCUAAGGGUCUGCACAACUUGACCACACUCAAUGCUCAUAAGCAGUAAAAAGUAAAUGUAUGGUUCAUAGUCUAGCAAGCAUGUAUAUAUGGCUGUGGUAGGAAUUUAAACUUUCAUCAUACAGGAACUCAUCAUGUGUUAUUUUAAAGAUUUUUAAAGAUAAAAUUCUCCAGAAUUCUAGCAUCUCAAGGAACAGAUAAACAGCAGCUCAACCUUCCCAUAUCAUAUCCGUUAACGACUUAGAUUUCAGAUCAAGUACUCUUCCCACAAGUUCAGGUUUAGAGGAGGUUUAAAUUAUAACAGUCAUGCCUAAACUUAAGAGAGAGCUCAAACUUGAAAACUAGGUAUAUGGCAGAGCAACUAUUCAUCAUUUCCAUGUGAGAGUUUAUCAUUGAAGUUCAGUUUAGCCUAGACACUUUAUUUAUUUAUUUAGCAAACUAAGCAAAGAUAUAUAUAAUCACAAAAUUUUUAUUUGGGUUUUCAUGAUUAUGCAUCUUUUUAUUAUUUGAGUAAUGUAGAAACACGAGUAGAAACACUUAGCUGGAUAAAUGGGGGUGCUCUCCCCCAAGCUGGAUUUUGACGUAAUUUCUUCUGAUGUAGCUAGCAGGUGACGGAGGUGUAUUGAAAUGUCGGCAGUACCCUGACAGCGAUUAGGAUGUUCUCCGUCUGCUAGUCUCCUUUGAUCCUUGAAUUCUGUGGAGCUCAAAUAGACAACAAAGCUUUGUGGAACUGGUUAAGUGUUAGCAUAAAAUCUCUUUGCCUUUAUCAUGUUGAGCUUUCUCUAAUAAAUAUUACUCUCUUUGGUGGGAUCAUAAAUUUAUUUUUAUAUUCUCAUUUUUAUAGAACAAGAAUAUAUUUAUUUUAUUUUUAUGCCACCACAGUGAAUACUUAUGGGUUUUAUGCCAUGAGCAUACUCACAUGGGGCUUACUGUUUUUAACAUUUUUAUUUUCUUUUUAAGAUAGCAUGAACCUGAUUAACUAAGCAAACUAUAAUUGAGUAAUUGAAAGGAAAAGGAUAACUACCAAGUUUACCUCUUGGCAAGGCGUUCGGUGUUUUUAAGUCCUCCGAACGGGACUCUCCGUUUUCUCAGUCGUCCUGGGAUUCGCUGGAUGGCGUAGUCGGUGGUUCUGGCGGCGCCUCCUCUUCGUGUAUAACUAUCUUCUCUCUCCAUACCUGACUCGGUGCUACGGUCUCCUUAGAACAGUUCUGUUCAAGCUGUAUGUCUUCAGACCUUACUACUUCUCCUUCGUAGUCUGCCCAUCCGUCCUUGAUGAUUUGCCUCCUCUGGUUGUGGUUGCGUCGUCUUCUUCUUGUCGUGAUCUGCUUAGAAUCUUCAACUAGAAUCAUUAAAGUAGUGGCGUACCUUCUCAGAGGGGAAGUGCAUGUGGACUUCUCUGGUUCCAAUAUAGAUGAUAAUUUUGAUAGUGUUGAGGAACGGUCUUCCAAGGAUGAUGGGUGGAUCGUACUCGUCUUCUCCCAUGUCAAUGACCUAAAAAUUAUCUGGAGCUGAAUGUAUGUUGGUUGUAGGGGCAUGGUUCCAUGCAGGAGCUGAUAAGUGACUGCGGCCAUUAUGUUGAUGUCAGAUCCGGUGUCAUAGAAUGUCUUCUGAAAAGAGUAUCCGAUUGAUUGUGCACUCGAUGCUUGGAACACCAGGGUCGUCCUUCUUGAUCAGGAAAGGUGACUUGAGUCGACGAUCUUGACCUCUUCCAGCAAGGAUCCAAUGUUUUAAGUCUUCUGGACAAGACUUCUCACCGUGUUCAUCCGUUAGGUGCAUCAUUUGAUUAGGUGUGGACCUUGACAUCUGCAUCUCUUGAUACGGUGACACCCAUGUUCUUCGUUUGUCCAGCAGUUCGAGAUGUGGCAUUGGCAGCAUCCUGCUCAGUGUGUUUAUGCUCGUAGAUCCACGUCCUUCACUUGAUAGAGUCUGGGAGUUGAAAAAUUCCUUCAGGUUUUGCUCGAAGUGUACCUGCUCAUAGAGACAAGGCAGAGAUCACGUGCAUGGGCCCUGUUGGUGAAAAACACCAACAGAACCAAAAGUGUAUUUGUUCUUCUCUAACCUUAAACAUAGUGAGCAAGACAAAGUUGAUGGAUAAUAAGAUCAUGAGUGUAGCAUUUAAAACAUUUGUCAGAUCAGAUUACUUGACCCAAUGGAAAAAUAAAUCUAUCUAUAUUUAUGUUUUGUUUAUAUCUUCCAAAGAUUGAAUGUACAACAUUUUAGCUUAUAUGAUUAGGAGUGUGGGAUCACGAAGGUAGUACUAUAAACAAAGAUUAAAGGACUAAACAUGCUGAAUUAAUUGGGUUGGUUAAUUUGGAGUUAUAAAUCAUACAUGUUUGUCUCUUUGUUUUAUGUGAACGCCAGAACCAGGGAGAAGCUUAUAAAAGUUAUAGUCAAGUACUUUAAGAUGUUACCUUAAUUGAAGGGUGAUGGUACCAUCUCACCUUGUGGAAGCUUCCCUUUCUUAGCGGUUGUGCAUUGUGUUUGUGGCACCCUUUGUCUUGUUCCAUGGAUCAUCUCUCUAUGAUGAAUGAGCUAUGUCUUCCUUGUGCAAAUCGUUAAACUUCAUGUGUCUCCUUUGUCUCGAAUGUGAGUUCGUAUCUCAGGACUUCCCAGGUUGGUAUUGAAAGUUCUCUUGCAGGGGUUAGUCCGACAAAAUAUACCAAUGCCUACUCAAGCAGUUUUUAGUUCAGUAACCAAACUAGACUCCAUGUCUAAUCAGAUUAAGGAAGGCUAUUUAACCUAAGCACCACGCUUAAUUUAAAUGCCAAUGGAAGUAUGUCCAGUACUUCCAAACUAACACUUACUAGGAUAAACAAAGGUAGCAUGAUAGCUUUUAUAGAGAUCUACUCAAGUGGAGAUGAAGUAGUGUGACUAGUAUUUAAGAAAUCAAGCAUGUCUCAAAGGUAGGGGCAACCAACAUAGCAAGAUGACAAAGGAUGUUUUCAUGUAAAGUACUCCCCCAAGCUUGAAUUUUGCAAAAUUCAAGUUUGGAUGAAUUUAAUUCAAUGAUGAUUGGUUGGGCAUACCUUGUGCUUGUCAUUCAUCCGAUCUUCUUGCUCUAAUCCUGGAAAGGUUAGUGACAAGAAUACCCGAAGGAAUAUUUCUUCAAUUAUCUUUAUAUGCUCAAUACACAAGGUAAUGUUGCAAGUAAUUAGAAGUUCAUGUUACGAUCUGAUAAGUGCUUGUUUUAGGACACUAAGCUUGUCCUUGGGAAACCAUCAAUUUAUGUUGGUGAAGUGGUUUCCCCUCCAACACCAACCUAAGCGUGCCUAUAUCAAGAUCGACUCAACGAUAUCUGCAAUAUUUAUUAUAGACAUAUACAUCGAUAAUCACCCCUUUAAAGUUUUUAUAAAUAAAAAGAAAGAGGGGGUUGGAGAUCUCAAAUGUGGUAAGGUUGGAGAGACCAAUUGAUUGGGGAGAUGUUUUAUAUGAGCAAGGACUUGGUGAGGUAUUUAUGAAAUAACUUCCAUGCUCACUGUUGUUUCUCUCAUUCUCAAACUCCAAGGAUGAUUCUUUAUGAAUGCUUAAAAUUCCUCUAGGAUUGUCUCUCAAGUUUGUUUUAUCCAUCCAUUCAAUGGUGAUAGCACAUGGAUUUUUAAUGCCCUCUAGCCAUUGAUGCUGCUCUUCUCGAUCCUCCUUGUGGUCUUGGUGACUCUUAUGCAUGGGAUGUCUAGAGAGAUUCAUAGGAUUAUCGGGAGGUUCAAGAGAAAGAGCAUAGUAGAAAUUAUUAAGCUCAAGGAUGGGUUGGAUAGCCGAAUUAUGGGAUUGAAAUGUUUGGAAAUUGGCUAUUGAAACUUCCUUUCCUCGUCUCGGAGAUGAUUCCUUCUCUAUCUCUAGGAUUUUUUUAUGAAGACUAGUGCAAGAAGGAUGUCCACGAAUGAAGACAUACCUUGCUUUACUAACAGAUAAAGAAAGAAAAACUCUACCAAAGGUUAUAUGAUUAAGACCAAUGUGAAAAUAUCGAGAAAAAAUAUGGUCUUGUAGGGCUAGGUUUAAACCAGAAUUUAUAGAAAAAUUAAAAGAUUCCCUAAGUGUAGCUAAAAGUUCAUUAUCUUCUUGAUUAAAAGAUAGGACCUCAGCUAUAGAAAAGGGUUGGUUUUGACCUAUUGCAAUCAACUCCGAACACAGAUCAUAAUUAGGGGCAAAGAAAGGACUUGUUGACUCCCAUGGUCUAUGGCUGGUCUCCGAAGGUGCAAAGAAUUCAAUAAUAGGUAUGGAAUUUGAGUUAUCCAUAAAGAUGGAAAAAAAUAAAAAGAUAAAAGAAUAAAAGUAUUAUAUAAGAUAAUAGCAAGACAUAAAGUUAUCUCAGCAAACCGUCUUUCUCUCCGGCAACGGCGCCAGAAAUGCUUGUUGAUAUUUGGUAACGCCAUCAGGAAAUGAUCCGCAAGUGCACGGAUAUCGGUGAGCACUUCACCCGGGAGGUUAUCCAAAGUAUCAUAUUUAUAUUUUUACCACUGGGAAAAAGCGUGCAUCUGACUAACCAAAUCUAUUGCUACUACCCUUUAGGCUACAAAGAAUGUGAUUCGAUGUGAGUGAUGUAUAGAGAAGACUACAACCGUAGUCUCGUUCUAACCUUGGUAAGGAUGAUUCUAUUAGGGAAGUGUAGGAUCGAUAUACUCUAGGAUCGGCAAUCAGAGGGGGGGUGAAUGAUUGCGUAAGCCAAAAUUAAAAUCUAAAGUUCACCCUAAAGACAAAACCAAAGUAAGCCUUUUUUUAAUUAAGACAGAACAUUGUGCUUUUAAUAGAAAUAAACUCGACCAAAAAUAUGCUCUAAUUGACCUCAAAGUUUAAUACAAUAAACUAUAUAAAAUAUGCAAAUGAAGCCAACUGGAAUCAUGUUAAUCAGAGGUCUAGAACUCGAGAUAUAUAAUAAACAAUGUCACUGUGUGUGAUAAUGACGAGAAUUGAUCCAGUUCUAUUUUUGAUUAUGCGACAUCAAUUAAAGCUUAUGCCAUGAGACUUUUCAGAUUACUAGCACAAUACCCUAGCAACAAAAAAAACAUAUGUAAACUUGCAAACAAGAUAUGAAUCUGAAACAAAAGGCUUGACAUGUAAAUCAAGAAGCUGAUAUGUAGAACGCGAUUAACAUCACAUUGAUAUGAGAUAAUUGGACUUCAUUGCUCUCAUAAUAUGUUCACAAGAUGCAACUUACAAGCAUCCACAAGAGAACUCUACAAAAGUUCCCGAAACACUUAAAACAACUACCGGCUAAUCCAGCAUGCGCUGUCUCUCUUUUCUAUGGGUCGCACUCGUGUGCCUCUGCAAUUCUAUAUCCAUACAGACAACGAUGUCCACCUUUUAUAGGCAGUCCUGCAUGCUGAUUCAAGCCUCAAAGUCACUACAACCGUUCACAUGGUCUGCACCAUGACCAAGCUCCACGCCACCAAGCCAAAAAUAGUUGCGUGAACCUCUCCUUGCCAAUUGCCACAUCCUGGUCAAAAUUUGAUGGCGCCACCAGCCAUCCAAGCUAGUCUUCCUUCUUUUUCUAAUCGUCACUUGACCAAACCAAGUUCACCAUGCAACAUGCAACUUAGUUCUCUAGCCCACCGAACAUCUCGCAUGACAUCCAUGACCGAUAGGACCUUAGUUCCUCCCUGAACUUAGUCCUGAAACCUCAGUUCCUCCUUGAACCUAGUUCCAGUCCGUCAUCGACCACGUUCUGCCUCAAGCUAACACCUGCACAUGAACAAACAAGCGACAAGUACGAGCCCAAGUCCAAGACUUGACUCAAGUCAAUCUGCACAACACCUCACACGAGCAUGUCAUGCAACAAUUCCAAAUCACCUGCUAUCACAACCAUAUAUAGACAAUACAUGCAUAUCAAAUUAUGCCAUAAUUCAAAUCACUUUGCAAUGCCAAUUUCAUAUCAAGCCAAUUUUUCAUUACAUGAUCUCACAAUCUCCCCCUUGAUGAAAACAUUGGCAACACCAUUUAAAUAAUGAACAUUGGCAUUUACAUCCACCAAAUUAUUUUUUAAAUCAAUGGCAAAGUGAAAAAAUAAAAAUAAAAAGAUCAUAUCAAAAGAUCCAAAAAGAAGAAAUGAUUUGAAAUUAUCUCCCCUUUCUUAUCUCUCAAAAAAUCACUCAUGUGACCAUGCAAUGGGUAAAACUCUUUCUCCCCCUUUGACAAUGGAUUCAUCAAGAACGUAAAAGACAGCAAAAGAAGGCUGAACACGACACUAAAGAUGACAACUCCCCUCAACAAAUGUUAUGAUAUGAGGAAAAUGCAAAGCUUCAAGAGUACAACAGUCAGAGUAAAAAGAUGCUCUAGUUGGUGCUGUCAUGUGUGUAGCAACAAGUACAAGCCAUAGCAAAUGCUCAAAUUGAUCAACUGAAAAAUAUGAUACUUAAGCAUUUUGAUUUAGUUUUAAGUAAUUCAAAGAGAUGUUCACCAAUGAUUGUAGCACAUAGCCAGAAUAACCAGGAGAUCAAACUAGUGCUAACACAUGCAUACAAAAGUGAACUACCCCAUAUAACGGUCAUACAUCAUGUCUCAAAGACUCACUUAAUACUUGUGGUUUUCAAAGUUUUAUCAGAGUUUGCAGCGGUUCACAAGUAUUAGUUAGAACAUGUGUAUGCGACUGGUUAUCCAAACUGUCCGCCAAAAUAUAAUUUUUCUUUUCUUUUCAACCACGCCAAGUUCAUCCCUUAGUGCAAUGGGAAGCCGUCUCAUCACAAGUGGUUGUGGACUACACUACAAGGCUCAAGUUCAUCCCUUAGUGUAAGUGGGAAGCUGUCUUGAUACCUUGACGUGGGACAGUAAAGACCCAACUCGAUCUUUCAUGAUUACUUAGCUUGGAUUUCAAGUUUUAGCACAAGAUUAUCAAGUUAUCCAAGUCAAGUGCAUGACUCAAGAAACAUGAGACAUAGUAGCCUAGCAUACAUAUGAAAGCAACAUGGAUCUCCACACAUCCUACACAUGCUAGUUGCCAUCUCAAAUGGUGAACAUUUUCAAGUCUCAACAGUUAUUAGUCAAGUUCACAUGUUAGAAAAUAGGCUCAUCUUAUAACAUGUAUCAAUGUGAUCAAAAGGAGCCUAAGCAGGAAGUACUAUCAUGUAUGCACAGAACAUACCAAAGAUAGCAUAGUUUUAUUCUAAUAGUUAUAGUCAUGAAGCUCAAGGAUGUUCUAUCAUACAUGAUGAGAAAUUCAGCUCAAACUCUAGAAGUAGUUAGGAGGUUCAAAACAAAUUCUUGGAAACCACAAAAAAGAAAAAGAGUACUAUAUAGAGAAUGCAAAAUUGACUAUGUACGAGAAUAUAGACUCGCCCUCAAAACAAUCUAGAUGGAUGUAACACCCCAAGUUCUCCCCGUAGAAAAGCAAAACGAGAAGAAUCCAAAGGUUUUGUGAAAAUGUCUGCAAACUGAUGUUCAGUAUCUAUACGAUGAAGCUCAACGGUUCCUUUCUCAACAUGAUCUCAAAGAAAGUGAAAUCUUAUAACGAUAUGCUUAGUUCUUGAAUGUUGCACUGGGUUCUUAGCAAUACAUCUAGCACUAGUAUUAUCACAGAAAAGGGGAACCUUAUUCAAAUUUAUCCCAUAAUCUUUAAGUGUAGCUACUAUCCAUAGAAUUUGUGAACAACAACAAGCAGCAGCUACAUAUUCAGACGCAGCAGUAGAUUGUGCAACAGAAGAUUGUUUUCUAGAUGACCAUGUAAUAAGAGAAUUUUCCAAAAAAUGGCAUGAGCCAGAUGUACUUUUUCUAUUAAUUCUACAACCUCUAAAAUCAGCAUCAGAAAAACAUCUUAAGCUAAUAUAUGAGGAAGCAGAAAGUCAUAUGCUAAAGUUUAGAGUACCACAUAAAUACCUGAGAAUACGUUUGACAGCUUGUAGAUGUGAAGCACGUGUGUCACACUCAUAUUUUAAGAACAAAAAUAGGAUGCAUAAAAGACUCGUAUGUGCCCCAGAAACAGUCGCACACAUAAGUAGACAAAUCUCAAAUGUACCAUUGUAGUGUUUAUUACAUAGCGGAAUAUAAAAUAUCACAUAGUCUCAUACAAAAAUGAUAGCAUAAAGUAAACAACGCUCUCGACGGAAGCUCCACACAGGGACAGCAUUGACUGGUUGACUCCAAACCUAGUACUCAUAACGGUAAUCCUCAUUCCAGUCAUCUUCAUUAUCAUAUCCUGAGGUGUUGGGAAAUUGCAAGAGUGAGCACAUAUCGUACUCAACAAGUAUAACCAGGGGUUCAUGAGGCUCAAAUAGCUGACACUGGUUUAAAUGCAUUUAGCUUUUAUUGGUGGAUAGCAUGCUCAUAAUUAAAUAGCAAUUGUCAAGGUAGCAUAAAUAAUCCAAUAAUCACAUGGUCAAGUGUAAGCAUAAUUAAUCCCAUAGCAUAAACGAUAACCAAAUGAACAUAAUAACAUAACAAGCUCAUCAUCUUAAUGUAGAUGUCCCCAAGGCCGCUCCUGACCGUGAGCUCGGCUAGUAUACCAGUUUUACACUCUGCAGAGGUUGUACAUCUUUACCCAUGAGUCAUGAUUUACCCUUUCGCCCGAGGUAGCUAAUCUCUUAACCCCCUUUCUAGGGAGGUCGGCAGGGAUCACUAUGAAGCCUUUUAAAAGUUCGUCUAACAUGUUAGGGCCGCAAGGUUUCCUUUGCGCGCAGAUAUAGAUAACCCUCUUCCGAAAGGCACAAUGACGCGCAGCCUAUACACAUAGGGACAGGGGCUCGCACUAUACCCAAAACGGUUCAGCCCCUCCGCCCUUUCGGGUAACCUCUAACAAGCUAGAAAAGGGCUUCAUACUGAGCUAAAGCCAGAGCCAUUAUAGCCCUCAUGGUUGCACUGUUAUCCCGGGUGAUCACGUACAGAUAAGAUCUCAUACAGUUAUUUGUCAUUCUUUUAUGUUCAUUGCAUAGCUAUUAAUCAUCUUACAAGAUCAUGGAUUAUAUCAAACACUAGCACAUCUACACCAAAUGCAUAUCAAGUAGGUAGCAAGGAAUCCAGGUAACAAUCAUCUGUGAUUUUGCUAAGGUCGACAAGGUGAUAGCAUGCAUAUGAUAUAUAUGUGUACUUAAGUGAAUAGGUAACAAGGAUGAUCCCAAGUUAUACUUGCCUUGCUCAAAGCUCUCCUGAGCCUGCUGGUCCUCCAAAGCUUGGUCCUGGUCACCAACGUACGGCUCACCGUCUAAUCCCAAUCAUCAAUCAACAACACGCAAUCCAAUGUAGACAAUCAUACACGAAGCAAACAAGAUAUAAUUAGAACAAUACACCAAACAGUGGUAAAACAAAUAUAAACGUUUAUCAAAAUAUUCUACGCAGCGCUACGAUCACACAGACGUAAAGUUCACGAAAAUCGGAAUUAAAACGGAGAAGUUAUGCAAUUUACAAGAUUUCCUAUAGAGAAAUAAAUAAUUAAAUAGAACCAGGAAAUUAAAAAGUUUCAAAACAGAGAAUAAAUAGUUCUAACAUGUAGAGCAUAUAAUUACAAACCUAACGCAAUUUGGAUGGACAAAAACGGAGUUAAAAUGAGCAUUUUAUAAGCGAAACAAUAUCAGUGGCAUUUCUGUAAUUUCUGGAAAGCGCAUUUAGGUUUCAGCCGACAGGAAUACGCUUUUAAAACCGGAAAACGUAAACUUGGAAAAUACGUAAGGAUCGCGGGUUCUAUUUUGGAAUUCUUUGAGGGCUCUUUAACAAAAUACCCCCCCAAGGGGUAUUUUCUAAUCUCCACCGCCGACGGCCGAUCCAACGGCCGAGACUCAGCGGGGAAGGGAACCAUGCGGCGGCCGGCCACCGGAAGCCAAGCACGGCGCGGCGGCGCCAUUGGUGACGCCUCGGAGUUCGCCGUCGACCUCGGUUUCUGCGGAAACAAGCACCAAACUCCGAAUAAAAGGUACCAGGAGUUGGAGAAACGCUUCGCGAACUCACCUAGAUGGUUUACUCCGACCGAGGGCUAGCGGGGAAGCGUGUCCACGCGCGGCGGCGGAAUUCUCCUUGACGAGAUCCGAAACCGCUCGGUUUUAGGUAGCUAAGGCUUGGCUUUGCGUUUUAGAUGCAAAAGGGGUUCGCUGCGGUGCUAGGGAGCCUUAUAGGGGUGUUGGUUAUUCGAUUUGGCAAGGAAAUCCCGGAGUCCUCGGGUUCGGUUCGGUGGGAAAUUUCCCGGCCGAGUCCUACUCGCUCACGGCGAGAGGAGGGGGACGAGUGCCGCCAAGUGGGGCCCGCAUGUCAGCCGGCCAGGGAGAGAGGAGGUGUGCGGGCCGAGGGGGAGGUUGGGCUGGCCUUCCAGGGGAGUUUCCCCUUUUUCUUUUUCUUCUAUUUUUAUUUUCCAAAACAUUUUCCAAAGCAAAUUUUGAACAAAAACAAAAGAUAAAAACAGAAACACGCAACACAAAAUAAAUGCUAUUCUCGGCAUGAAUGCAAAAGCAUGUUGCUACCCUUAUGAUAAAUUUUUAUUCUCCAUAAAAUCAUUUAUUUGCUAGAUUCAAAUGCUCACAAAAAUACUUAAAUAAAUCAAAUUAAAUCCUAUUAAUUAAAAAUCGAAUUUUGGGUGUUACAAACGUGGAGAAGCUUGAAAACGAGCACAUAAACACAAAGAAAAUUGUAUGUCUGGCCUCGAAGCAGUAAGAUAUAAAAGCGAACCAAUCAUGCUCAUGUACUCCUUUUGGUCAACAGGCUCACCAUCUUCAUCAAGAUCAAGUGAAGUAGCAGCUCCCAUAGGCGUCAUAAUAGGCUUACAGUUUUCCAUCCCAAAACGGUGUAGAAGAUCCCUUGUAUACUUACUUUGAUGAACAAAAAUGCCUUCAUUUGUUUGUUUCACUUGUAGUCCCAAGAAGUAAGUCAACUCCCCCAUCAUACUCAUAUCAAAUUCUUUACUCAUCAUUUCUGAAAACUUAGUCACUAAAGCAUGAGAUGCACACCCAAAGAUGAUAUCAUCAACAUAAAUCUGAACGAAUAAUUGAUCAUUGCCUUGCUUAAGUACAAAGAGAGUUUUAUCAACCUUUCCCAUUGAAAAUCCCUUUUCUAUUAAAAAUUUCUUCAACCUAUCAUACCAUGCUCUUGGGGCUUGUUUCAAACCAUACAAAGCUUUUGAUAGUUUAAAAACAUGAUUAGGAAAUUUUAAAUUUUCAAAGCCGGGUGGUUGCUUAACAUAAACCUCCUCAUCUAUGUAGCCAUUAAGAAAAGCACUUUUUACAUCCAUUUGAUACAAUUUAAAACCUUUAGAUGCAGCAAACGCUAACAAAAUUAUAAUGGCUUCCAAUCUAGCAACAGGAGCAAAUGUUUCAUCAAAAUCUAACCCUUCUAUUUGUUUAAAUCCUUGAGCAACCAACCUAGCUUUGUUUCUAACAACAACACCAUCCUCACUUUGUUUAUUUUUAAAUACCCAUUUUGUUCCAAUUAUAGUGUGAUCAGGUGGAGGUGGAACAAGCUUCCAAACUUUAUUUCGUUCAAAAUUCUCUAAUUCUUCAUGCAUGGCAUUGAUCCAAGAUUCGUCAGUUAAUGCAUGAGAUACAUCUUUGGCCUCAAAAGAAGCAACAAAAGCAGAAUGAGCAUAUGAUUUAGUAUCAACAAACCUAGACCUUGUUACGCUUUCAUUUAAAUCUCCAAUCAUUUGCUCAGGUGGAUGUCUCUUUUGAAUGUGACGAGGGGCUGAAAUUUCUAGAGCAUCUUCUUGUUCAUUUUCGACAUGUGUAGAUGAAGUUGUAGCUUGUGGAUGUCCAAUUGUUGCUAUAGUAGUAGAAGGUGUAGUAGGAACUUGAGGCGGAGAAAUAGUAUGAAUCGUGACCUCAUCUUCGUCAUCCUCAUCUUCUUCAUCAAUAAAUAUGCUCUCCCCCUGAACAUAUGCACUUGUACCUGCAUCACUUAGACUAGUGCUAGGACUAGUCUCAUCAAAAGUAACUUCACACGUUUCUAUCACUUUGUUAGUUGCCAAAACAAGCACACGAUAGCCACGUGAAUGAGUGGGGUAACCAAGAAAAAUGCCAUCUGUAGAUCUAGCUUCAAAUUUGUCUAAGUUUCCAGAUUUUAACACAAAGCAUUUGCACCCAAAAACUCUAAGGUGUGAUACACUUGGCCUAUGUCCAAAAUGAAGCUCAUAUGCAGUUUUACCAAGUUUGGAUCUCAAAAACACACGGUUUGAAAUAUAGCAUGCAGUAGACAAAGCUUCAGCCGAGAAUUUUCUUGGAGUUUCAUAUUCAUCUAGCAUUGUUCUAGCCAUCUCAACCAAAGUUCUAUUUUUCCUUUCAACUACACCAUUUUGUUGUGGAACAUAUGGUGAUGAAAACUGAUGAUCAAUACCUUUUUCAGUGCAAAAAUGAUCAAAUGAAGAAUUUUUAAAUUCAGUUCCAUUAUCAGUUCUUAUAGCUCUAAGAGAUCCUGGGUGAUCAAUAGAUAAUCUAAGAACAAGACUUCUAAAAUGCCCAAAAGCCUCAUCUUUAGAUGCCAUAAAGUAAACCCAGGAGUAUCUAGAGAAAUCAUCAACAAUCACAAGUACAUACCACUUACCACCAAAAGACUGAACUCUCGAUGGUCCAACUGUAUCAAGGUGUAGAAGCUGCCCAGGUGCAUUUGUCAUGACCAUAGUAAGUGGAGGAUGUGAACCUGCACACAUCUUACCAUGUCUACAAGAAGAGCACACUACAUCGCUUUUAUUUUUAAGUUUAGGUAAACCACGUAUAAGAUCCAUACCACUAACAUGCGUGAGAUGAUCAAAAACCAACAUGCCCAAGUCUACGAUGCCAAAAGAAUAAGCCUUUUGAAACAUUGGCAACUAGACAUCUAAAUUUAGCACCAUGUACGACAUCAAAAUCUGCUUUGAAAACUCUUCCAAAUCUUGAAAUUUUAAAAACCAAAUCACCUGAAGAAUCUAACACUUUACAUUCACCUUUUUAAAAACAUACUUCAAGAUCUUCAUCAAUCAUUUAUGAGACAGAGAGCAAAUUGAAUUUCAAGUUCUCAACGAGAGCCACAUCUUUAAACAUAAACUUGUCAUUUACCUUCACAAUACCUUUUGCCAUGACAGGUAGCAUCUCCAAAUGUGACACUUUCUGCUUGAGAUGCAUGGGAGAGGGAAGAGAACCAACCUUUAUCACCAGUCAUAUGACGUGAGCAUCCAGAGUCCACUAACCAUAUGUUCUCCUUCCUCGCUCGAGAAGCCUACAUAGAAACACAAGAUGUCGAGGCCUCAGUACUGUGGUUUGAAAUUAAACAUUUAGGAAUCCAGUAUUGAGACACACGACCGCUAGCAAAUGUAGGCACAGAACGAGUGUUCUUACAUAAAAUUUUAGAUUGAGUACCACCCAUAUUUUUGGUCACAAAAGAAUAAGUCUUUCUCAAAUAAGAUCUAGCCUUAGCUUUUUCUUUCUUUUGUUGUUUGGCUAGUCUAAAACAGAAUUGCACAAUGUGUCCCUCUCAAACACAAUGACUGCAAGUAUAUUUAACUUUAUAUUUUUUAUAAUUAGUAGAAGCGACAUUAACAUUUUCUUGAUUAGAAGAUGACAUAGUACCAGCAGAUUUAAAAACUGUCUUUUUAGUUUCAUUAGCUAUUUCAAACUUACCAUUACCAAGAGAUUUGGAAAUAAUUGGUGCAUGAGACAUAGAAUGAGCAUAAGGAACAAAACCUAACCCUGUUUUGUGUGUGCUAGUCUUUUGUUCCAAAAUUUGAUUCAACAUUUUCGUUCCCAUAUUUCCUUGCAAGUAAUCAAUACGUUUCAAAAGGGUAGCACAAUUUUCACAUGCAUCCUUUUUAGUUUUAUCAUUUUUACCACAAUUAGAGCAUGAAAGAACCUCAUGAAUAUCAAAGUUUUCUUUUAAUUGUGCUAUUUUAACAUCAGCAUUUUUCAGUUUUAGUUUAAGCAAUUCACAUUUAUCACAAGAAGUUGGUUCAACAGUAGCACAAACAUGUUUCACAUUUUUAUCUUUUUCAACUUUAAGUUGUUCCAAAGUCAAAGCAUGCAUGUCCCUUAAUGAAGUAAGCUCAGUAUACACUAUAUCACAUGAUUUGCAAGAAUCAUCAUCAGGAAUUAAAGUUUUUAAUCGGUCAUUUUCAGCAUAUAAAGAUUCAAUCAAAACAUCAUGAAAAUCUUUUUAUUUCUUUUCUCUAGUAAGGUACCAAGUUUUUCAACAGCUUUAGCCAACUCAUCAUAAGAAGGUUCUACCUAAUUGUAGCUGUCAUCAGAAGCAUCAUUGUCAUUGGAGCUUUUACUACUUGCCAUGAGACAGCCCAAUUAAAUUUUUCUUUCCGUUGGAAGUGUCAUCCUCACUAUCAGUGUCGACAUCACUCAUGUUAACUUGCUCAAGAGCAGAAAGAACACGAUGCACCACCUUGCGGUUCAAAUAGCCCUUCUUCUUAUUGCUUCUUAUUGUGUGCUUCUUUGUUCUUUCAAUUUCAUCUUCUUUGUCAUCUUUAUCUUUUGCAACUCUUGCCAAAAACUUUGGGCACUUGGGUCGGAUGUGAUUUGGAUCUCCACACUCAAAGCACUUUUGGGGGCCACUGUAUCCUCUCUUCCUUGAUCUCACAUUUUGCAAAGCUCUUGUGAAGCGUGUAGAAAUAAGUGUCAAAUCUUGUUCCGGGAGUUGUUCUAGCUGUUCAUCAUUUAGUGAAGACAAAGAAGAUAGUGCAUAGCUAGUGGAAGUGUUAUCACCAUUAAAAUGGCUUGAUUGUGAAGCUGGAGCUAUUGAUUUAUUAGCAAUAUUUUUUCUAGCAAAAACAUCUAGUUCAUGAGUUUUCAGCUUAGAAUAAAGCACAUCUAAAGUAAGUGUACUCAUCACAGUAGAUUCUCUAAUAGAUGAAACUUUCAUCUCCCAAAUAGACAUAUCUAGAGCUCCAAGUAAUUGACGUGCAUUUUCAGCAUCAGUAUAUGUAACAUUAACUACACAUAGAUUACUUAAAAUUUUAUUAAAACGAGCAAAGAAAUCAUCUAAUGCUUCACCGGGUUUCAUCUCAAAACGCAUGUAAUCCUUUUUAUACAUAUCUUGGCGUACUUCUUUAAUUGUAGAUGAGCCUUCAUGGUAAUCACACAGUGCUUUCCAUACCUGAUAUGCAGAUUCGAGAUGCACAACACGAUCGAAGUCACUCUUACCAAGCCCUUGAAUUAUAUAGUUCCUCGCCUUGCUGUUAGCUUCUACUUGUGCCAUGUUUGCCGUAGUCACACCAUCAAUCUCAGGCACUUCAUAAGGCUUGUAGACCUUCUCCCAAAUAGUGAAGCCUUGUGCCUGAAUAUAGGACUCCAUCUUUGCUUUCCAGAACUGAAAAUCAACACCAUCGAAAACACAAGGUUUUGCCGAAUAUCUAUCUGUCGCCAUAUUUUCUAAUUACCAGUUAAGAUCAAUUAGAAAAAGAACCUAGCUCUGGUACCACUUGUAGGAUCGAUAUACUCUAGGAUCGGCAAUCAGAGGAGGGGUGAAUGAUUGCGUAAGCUAAAAUUAAAAUCUAAAGUUCACCCUAAACACAAAACCAAAGUAAGCCUUUUUUAAUUAAGACAGAACAUUGUGCUUUCAAUAGAAAUAAACUUGGCCAAAAAUAUGCUCCAAUUGACCUCAAAAUUUAAUACAAUAAACUAUAUAAAAUAUGCAAAUGAACCCAACUGGAAUCAUGUUAAUCGGAGGUCUAGAACUCGAGAUAUAAAAUAAACAAUGUAACUGUGUGUGAUAAUGACGAGAAUUGAUCCAGUUCUAUUUUUGAUUAUGCGACAUCAAUUAAAGCUUAUGCCAUGAGACUUUUCAGACUACUAGCACAAUACCCUAGCAACAAAAAAAAACAUAUGUAAACUUGCAAACAAGAUAUGAAUCUGAAACAAAAGGCUUGACAUGAAAAUCAAGAAGCUGAUAUGUAGAACGCGAUUAACAUCACAUUGAUAUGAGAUAAUUGGACUUCAUUGCUCUCAUAAUAUGUUCACAAGAUGCAACUUACAAGCGUCCACAAGAGAACUCUACAAAAGUUCCCGAAGCACUUAAAAUAACUACCGGCUAAUCCAGCAUGCGCUGCCUCUCUUUUCUAUGGGUCGCACUUGUGUGCCUCUACAAUUCUAUAUCCAUACAGACAACGAUGUCCACCUUUUAUAGGCAGUCCUGCAUGCUGAUUCAAGCCUCAAAGUCACUACAACCGUUCACAUGGUCUGCACCAUGACCAAGCUCCACGCCACCAAGCCAAAAAUAGUUGCGUGAACCUCUCCUUACCAAUUGCCACAUCCUGGUCAAAAUUUGAUGGCGCCACUAGCCAUCCAAGCUAGUCUUCCUUCUUUUUCUAAUCGUCACUUGACCAAACCAAGUUCACCAUGCAACAUGCAACUUAGUUCUCUAGCCCACUGAACAUCUCGCAUGACAUCCAUGACCAAUAGAACCUCAGUUCCUCCCUGAACUUAGUCCCGAAACCUCACUUCCUCCUUGAACCUAGUUCCAGUCCGUCAUCGACCACGUUCUGCCUCAAGCUAACACCUGCACAUGAAUAAACAAGCGACAAGUAUGAGCCCAAGUCCAAGACUUGACUCAUGUCAAUCCGCACAACACCUCACACUAGCAUGUCAUGCAACAAUUCCAAAUCACCUGCUAUCACAACCAUAUAUAGACAACACAUGCAUAUCAAAUUAUGCCAUAAUUCAAAUCACUUUGCAAUGCCAAUUUCAUAUCAAGCCAAUUUUUCAUUACAUGAUCUCACAGGAAGCUCACGGAAUCUAGACACCACAGAGGAUGUUCGACCCGCACCUAUAAACCCUACCCAUCCUGCUAACGAGAUGUGGGCUGCAAAGGUAACUUGGAAAUGUCACGUUCCUCGCUACUACCACGGUCCAGCUAGUCAAGGGAUAUCUAUGAGUACCCUAGCCCAAACACCACGUUUACGCUAGCAAUGAUUACUCUAAGCUCAACCGGAAGAGAUUAAAGUAAACUCAUAAACCAAAGAACAAUAAAACAAGAACUUACUAGAAUUUAGAAGUCGAAUUACUGAAGAGUCCUAGGAGCAAGCCUCGGGUUAGGAGAACUUGAUCCCGCAGGUACAACCUCGGAGUAGACACCGACAGGCCGGGCUUCCUCCGAUCUACACCUCCACUCUAUCUCUCUCAAUCUAGUAGAUCUAGUCUACUCUCACAUUGGAUGCUAAGCCCUAAGUCUAUGUAGAGGAAAGGUUAUCCUUCGAGGGCACCUCUCAACUCUAUGAUGAACUUGUUCUCCUCCAGGGGCCAGGGGGUCUGCUUAUAUAGUCCCCUCAAGUGAAUCUGGGCCGUCGGAUCAAACCGACAUUGAUUGAACGGUUAUACUUGAUCCUUUAGGUCGGUGGAGCGUAAUCCGCGAGACGGGUCCUGAUUGGACUCUACACCAGGGCAGGCGCCCUAGGGGGUAGGGCGGGCGCCCUGCCCCCGGGCCCGAUCACCUUCCCGUUCAUUCCCGUGGCUUCUGGAGUCUUCUAGAUGAUAGAAAAUUGCGCGACACGUUAAUAUCUCUAUGUAAACCCGACGUGUGGGCCUUUCUUCCAUAUUUCCUGAUAACCCCCUGUAGAAAUAGACAAACACCAAAACUCGUGGAAUUCUGUCAGAUAAAACCCUAAGUCUGGGUGUUGGUUGCAUUUGGAUCCUUUUCUUUAUUUGUUUGAUGAUUAUAUUUGGUACUUAAGGACCGUCAACAGCCACCAGGGUCUGUUGGCGAAACCGCUCACCCAAGCCAUGUGACGCUCUAUCCGGUGUUUGCAAUUAGUCACAUUGCAAAUUUUCGAAUUCAAAAUUCAAAUUUGAAGAAAGGAUAAGCCCUAUCCCUUUGAACUCCCCUCUACAAAAGGGAGCAUCCUCCUCUCAUUCCAUGAAGAACCAGCCUAAAACACCAUCAGAGCUCGUGAAAAUGGCCUUCCUACCCAAUGAUCGCACAUCACCAAGGCCAUCACCCAUGACCCGAGAGGUGGAGAGAGAUCUUGCCCCGAUUGAUGUCAUUGACGCUAUCCCACUGGCCAUGGCAUUACCACGAAGGUGCCCCAUGGGCUUGCUAGCCACUAGAACAUCAGCGGGAGGAAGGACAGUGGCGGCCACCACUAGGCAGGUGAUGCCCGCCAUGUCAACACACAAUUGCUUCUAGUUGCAUUAAGAGGACUUCUAUUUCCAAAUGUACAUCUAGCCACCAUGGAGCUAUGUGUAAUCCUCAAUGCAAUUUCUCAAAAGGCAAUCGAUCCAAUGGAUCUAGCAAAACUACAGAAUGAUGUGGUUCAAUGUCUUGUUAGCUUUGAGUUGGUGUUCCCCCUUCCUUCUUUAAUAUCAUGACACACCUUCUAGCUCAUCUUGUCAAGGAGAUUAGUAUUCUUGGUCUUGUGUUCCUGCACAAUAUGUUCCCCUUCAAGAGGUUCAUGGGAGUCCUAAAUACAUAAGUUCAAAACCAUGCUCAGCCAGAAGGAAGAAUCGCUAAGGGCUACGGAACAGAGGUUAUUGAGUUUUGUGUUAAAUUUAUUCCUGACCAUGACCUGAUUGGUGUUCCUAAAUCACAACAAGAGGGGAGACUAAGUGGAAAGGGGACAUAGGAAAGAAAACCUAUAUUGGUAUGGAUGAUGAUUAUUUCAAUAAAUCACAUUACAUAGUUCUACAUAACUCCUCCUUGGUAGAUCCAUAUAUCAAGACACAUUAGAACUUCCUCUGAUCUGAGUUCCUAGGGAAGUCUGAAGCAUGGAUUACAUGUUUGCACAUGGAAACUUUCAACGACUAGUUGCAGAAACAAUGUCUAGGUGAUGAGAGUAUGAUGAGCAGCUGUAUUUGUUGGCUAGGCAACCAACAUGGUGUAUCCUCACAUACAAAGGGUACAAGAUAAAUAGGAAUAUAUUUUACAUAGUAGCACAAGAUAAAAGGAGCACCAACCAAAACAGUGGUGUCUGCAUAGAUGCCUAUUGACGGUUAGUAACUCAGAAAUCCGACCAUCAAUUACUAUCAAAAUUUGGGAAAUUUGGCAAACCAACAUCACAUAUGCAUUUAUUUCUAACCUAGUUCCACAUGUAUUUGGAAGAUUGUAUUUUUUACAGGACAUGUGCACAAAUACAUGAGGACACCACAAAAAGGCGCUUUCCAAUGCAUGAUUAUGCUAUCAAAUAACCAAGACGUCAAGUGAAGUUUACACAACCAGUUCCCCCUGAGGCAACCCGAAUCAGAGGAGGCCCAAGGCCUGACCCACAAAGCUAGAGGCCGAGAGGUGAUGCCCAAGGACCGGCCGGCCCCUAGCUAAGCCCCCUCGGCACCACCUUUGUUGUGUGGUUGCAUGAAGCUCUGGUAGGUAACUUGAGUGCUCAUGCGCAGAUUGUGGGGGCAGCACCGCCUCACUCAACAGUAUAAAUAGAGGGAACCUCCUCCUCUUGAAGCAUCACUCCAAGGAGCAAGAGCUAGAGAAUAGAAACACCAGUUAGUCAUAGAAUAAGAGGAGAGUGAGAGAGAGAGAGAGAGGAGCAAAGAAGGAAUUGAAGCUUUGAGCAACUUCUCAAGUGUAGCUUAUACACUAAAGAAGGAAGCCAAAGCUAGCAACCUAUCCUCUUGUAUCUCUGUAAGAUUCAUACAAAGUAAGGAUCUUACGUUUCUCUAUUUGUUAUUUAAUUAUCAGAAUUUAUCUUUAAACUACUAUAGCUUCUGUGAUCGACGUUCAUUCCAGUAACGAGCGCUCUAGUAGAAGGGCCCUUGGAAGAUAGGUAACCCUUGCACGCACAUUAGAGCAAUAGUGAGCAGCGUAGAUGCGGUGUCUAGGUUGAGCAUUAUCUUCGGUUUGCCUCUUUUUCUUCGGUGAGGUGGAUAGCGGCAGGUGGUGACAGCCCUGUCCAUUCUUAGCAUCACCCCCUUCAGUUUGACUUGAGGGUAGAGCUUUGACUGGCAUUUCCUGGCAGACCAGGGGUACUCCGGAGACGGAAGCAAGCUGUGGUAGAGCGAAGUUAUCUUUAUGAUAGUUACUUGACCAUAGAAAAGCCUCAUCCCUCAGUUAUCCUCCUCCUUGUGAUCCUAAGCAAUCUAAUUAAAGAGUCUAGCUCAACUGUUCCUUUGGCAAAAUAUGAUACCCUGAAUAUUUUCAGGUGAAGUGCUACAACGGUAUAUCCGUACGUUUGCAGAUUCUUCUAUGUGCGUUAAGAAAUACCAAAAAUGCCACCAACCCUAGUGGGAAUAAGCAAACAUAUUAUUGUGGCUCUACUUUUAAGGUCUCUUUGUUCAAGUGCCAAUGGGUAAACACAACUGGAGGCGGCGUAGGAGUCGACAACCAUUAUGGGAACAAUGGUAAUAAGAACCAUGCUCAGAAUAGUGGCCCUAAAACUUGUAAUUUUUGUGGCUCGCCUAAGCACUUCUAGAAGUACUAUCUAGGCCUCAAGGAGUGGUGUGGUAAGAAUGGUAAAGAAUUUGUCUCUUUUGUUGAUGAAUCAUUUUUAGCAAAUUAUUCCCCUGAUAGUUGGUGGAAUGACUCAGGUGCCACUAUGCACAUUUCCAAUUCAUUGCAGGUAUUUAGUAUGAUGAGAACUAUAAGAAGGGGGAGCGAAGUCUUACAGUCGUUGAUGGACAUGAAGUUGAAGUCAAAGGCAUUUGGAGAUUCUCCUUAGAAUUAGGCUUCAGUCUUCAGCUUGAUGAUGCAUUUGAUGGAUUUGAGGGCCACCAUUUCAAAUGCUAUUAAGGGAGCAAUCCCUGAUAGGAAGGAAAGUGGUGAGGAGCUGAUUGCUAAGGAGUUCUUUGCCUCUAUUGAGAAAAACUUUAAGAGCUCUUCUAAGACUGAUGCUAGCACCCUCAUCAUGAAAAUAUGUACCUCACGCUAUGAUGGGAGGAAAGGUGUAAUUAGGGAACAUAUAAUGAGCAUGUGUGACAUGGCUGCAAAAUUUAAGGUGCUUGAUAUGGCCAUCUCUGAGGGUUUUAUUGUACAUUUUAUCAUGACUUCACUGCCAGCUCACUAUACCCCAUUCAAAGUUAGCUAUAACACACAAAAGGGGAAAUGGAGCAUUUCAGAACUCAUCAACUAUUGUGUUGAGGAGUAAGAAAGGUAAAAAUUAGAGAAAAAGGACACAACGCUAACCUUGUUGCUUUAGGCAAGGGUAAGAAUCAAGCUGAGUCUAGUAGAAGUAGAUAGCCUAGAAAGUUCAAGCCAAAUAAGAAAAAUGAGAACAAUAAUAAUGAUAAGAAUUUUGGCAAGAACAAUGGUAAUGAGAACCAUGCUCAGAAUAGUAGCCCUAAAACAUGUUAUUUUCUGUGGCUCGGCGCCUUAGCACUUCUAGAAGUAUUGUCCAGGCUUCAAGGAGUGGGGUGGUAAGAAUAGUAAUGAAUUUGUCUCUUUUGUUGAUGAAUCAUUUUUAGCAAAUUAUUCCCUUGGUACUUAAUGGGUUGACUCAAGUGCCACUGUGCACAUUUCCAAUUCAUUGCAGGUAUUUAGUAUGAUGAGAACUAUAAGAAGGAGGAGCGAAGUCUUAGAGUCACUGAUGGACACAAAGUUGAAGUCAAAGGCAUUGGGAGCUUCUCCUUGGAAUUAGCUAGUGGCUUUAGUCUAAAGCAACAAGGUUAAUCAGGUAAAUAGACAUUUCUAUGUUUAUGUAGCUAUAUUUUAUUAGUAUUAACUGAUUAAACUGAUGUUCUACAAAUUUAGAUUUUUUUUUAAAAAAAAGAAACAACUUUUAAGGAAUUUUAAUUUAAAAAAUUCUAAGUUCGAUUCAUCGGUUAAGAUGGAACUAAAUUCACCAUCAGUCCCUGAACUUGGCCGGCGGUGUUAUCUAUGUCCUUAAAUUUCUAAAGUGAUAUCUGUGGGUCCCUAAAUUUAGCAGAUGGUAUCACUCAGGUCCCUAAAUUUUCAAGGUGAUCACCCGUAGGUCACUAAACUUGGCUAGCGGUGUCAUCCUUAUCCUGAACUUUCAAGAUGAUCACCGCAAGUCCUUAAACUUGGCAAGAGUGCCAUCCCUAUCUAAAUGUGAUCUAACCUACUCUAUAAGCUGGUGUGACAUGUUUAUUGUAUGUUAGAUGUGGAUCCAACAUGUGUCAAUUAGUCAAUCAUUAUUUAUGUAAUAUAUUUAUAUAGAAAUAUAAAUUAAUAGUUUACAUCAACAAAAAAUAUUACGUUUAAAUUUAAAAUAGAAAAAUGCUAAAAUUAAUUUAAUAUUUAUGUAUCAUUAAUAGUGUUAAAAUAAUAUUAAAACUCCUAUAGUAUUAACAUUUUUCUUUAUUAAAAUUUACUUCUAAUUUUAGUAUUUUUUUGAAAGUUUUAAUAGUAGCAUGAAGUAACUUUUCUCAAAUAUUAAAACUAUAAUAGUAGUAUUAACUAAUUAAAUUGAUGUUCUAAAACUUGUGAUGAUUUACAAAAAAACAACUUUGAAGAAAUUCUAAUUUUAAAAUUUCUAAGAGGAUUUAAGUUAGAUUGAUCAGUUAAGAUGGGUCUCUAUUGUUCAUUCUAUUAACAGAAAAAAAACAGACAUGAUUUUAGAAGCUUAUUAGUAUAGUAACCUUUUGAAUUUAUGAAAGGGGUGAAAAAGGAUGAUGUUUUGAAAACAAAACAAGUUAAGCUUCCCUCUUGAAGAUGCUCUAAUUGAAGCAAAGCAACUUAAACAUGUGUGUAUAUAUUUAUGUAUGCAGUUGAAGCUGUAAGACAUCGAGUCGUUGCCAACGAUCUAGAAAAUGGAGCUGCGGGUUCUUGAAAUGUGUGUAUAAGUCCGAAGAGCUAGGUUUUUCUCUAUCUUUCAUUAAAAUAUAAAAAUACUUAUAGUUAGCUCAUGAGAGCAGUGCAAUAAUUGGCUUAUCGCGGGGCAUAUACUGAUGUGGAAAAGAGAAAAGAGGAAAGAGAGGAGAGCUUGGCUCUCCUGCAAGCACUAAGCUGGGCACACAAGCAUAUGCAAUGAUGGGUCCAUGCAUUAAGUGAUUGUGAGGGGGAUUAAAAGAGAACGUGGGAUAUGGAUAGAAGUAAUAAUAACAAAAUUCUUAUAGAUAAAUAAGGGACAACUAUAUAUUGUAUAGCUUAGCUCUUAUAAGAGCAUCUCCAACAGUUUUUGCAUAUUGGUUUUGCAUUCUUGCUUUUUGCCAAAAUUCACGAAAUCAACUCUCCAACAGUUUUGCAUAUUAGUUUUACAUUUUUGGAUUCUAUACAGUGAUCCUGGCUUGGACGACUUGAACUUUUCAUUGACGCAAGGCACUCCGUUGUUCCCUGGUAAUGUUGUUUCUACUGAAUUGCAAGAUGAUGUCAUUGAAUUGCAGGCACCUGGAGUUGUUGUUGGUGGCUGUGGUGUGCUAAAAAGGGUGCGUCACAUAGGCAAAAAAUUUUUGACAUAAAGGAAGAUAAAGUCAUAUGCUCGGCUUGGUUGAAUGUUAGCAAAGAUCCCAUUUAUGUGGCCAAUCAAGCUCGUUCAACUUUUAGGGUAGAAUUCAUGCAUUCUUUGAUGAACACAAGGAAAAAAGACAUCUGUAUAAUGCAUAGGUGGCUCACUACUCAAAGGGAUGUGAACAAAUUUUGUUCAUGCUACGAGAAAAUUGAGCGUAGGAAUGCUAGUGGAACAAGUAUCCAAGACAUGGUAGAUUUUCGUAGUUUGUUCUUUCAUUUGUUUUCCAACAUUUGGUUCAUAUGUGAAGAUAUAAAUGUUUCAAAAAUUUUACUUGUGCAAAUUAAUGCAGCAUUGGAGACAUACAUUGGAGCGGAUAAAGAAAACAAGUCGUUCACUCUAAUGCAUUGUUAUCACAAGCUAAAGGAUGAAGACAAGUGGAAGUCAUUGAGGAUUGAACUGGCUCAGAAGAACAAAAAACAGAAGACUACCAUGAUGAAGUGCAAGAGGUUGCAGCCACAGGUUCGGAAAAACAAAUGAGGUCAAAGGGUCAGAAGCAGGUAAAACAAGCUAGGCGGGACGAUGCCUCUCUUGCAGCUUUGGAGAAGAUGUGGGAGAAGGAGGCACGUGAUAGGGAAAGAGACAAGGAAAGAGAGACUUCACUUAAGGUAGAGAAGGCUUCACUUGAGAUAGAGAAUGCUUCAGCUUGAGAAGGAGUGAUUGUCAAAUGAAGAAAAAAAAUUGAAGCGGACUUGCUGAAGGCGGAGAAAGACAUCAUGAUAGCGGACAAAAGGUCUCUCGACCAAGACCAGCUACAGUGGCUUGAGAUUAUGAAGAAGAAGAUCCUUGCGCACAUAUGAGAAAUUAGUUUGAUUUCAAUCCUAGAAUUUAAUUUUAGUCAAUGUCAAUUUAGUUCAUCAUCAAGUGAACCUUUAGUUUAUUUAUUUAUCAUCUACAAACAAUGUCAUGUGUGCAUUUAUGUUAGUGUACGUUUGCUUCAUUCAGCAGACCCUUUGAGAAUUUUUUGAAUUUUAAAAUGGUGUCAGGCAAUCGACCGGUGUGAUAUGGUGUAUGAAUGGAGCUAUAUUUCAUGUAUGUAUAGGGAAGGGCAAUCGGCCGGCUGAUGUAUGAUCUAGCGACAUAUUGUUUACACUAAUAAAAAAUAGUUUAUUACACUUGAAUGAAAAUACUAAUAAAUUAUGAUGCCGGUUCCAUUGGAUACAAAUCAAGAUUACGGCUUCAUAGGUGCUCGAUGAGGUCUUCUUUCAACUGGAAGUAUGUUGGCUUGUCUUUGAUCUUUUUAUUAUGGGCUUCAAUAAAUUCAGCUAGUGUGCGAGUAGGCUUCCCAUGAGAAGGUUGCACAUUUUCACAAACAUCCGAGAACCGCUCAUCAGGGUCGACAACUCUUUCAUCUUUAACAAUCAUAUUGUGCAUGAUAACACAAGCCCUCACGAUCAAUACAAGUGUCUCCCUAUCCCAAAUGCGACCUGGCUGACGAAUAAUGGCAAACUUAGAUUGAAACACCCCAAAAAACCUUUCAAUAUCCUUCCUCGCUGCUUCUUGUGUUGUUGCAAAAUAUUUCUGCUUAUUCCCCAUAGGAGAAGAGAUAGACUUCACUAAAGUGGCCCAUGAGGGGUAAAUAUCAUCGGCGAGCAAAUACCCCAUCUUGUAGUCAUGGCCAUUAAUGCUAUAGUGCACCUUUGGAGCUUUACCUUCUGCUAGGUUGUCGAAUAGUGGAGACCGGUGAAGGACGUUGAUAUCGUUAUGAGAACCUGGCAUCCCAAAAUAUGCUUGCCAACCCCAAAGGUCUUGAGACGCAACAGCUUCUAAAAUUAUAGUUGGCUUGUUCACAUGCCCCUUGUACUGUCCCUAUUAUUCAACUGGACAAUUCUUCCACUCCCAAUGCAUACAAUCGAUGGACCCUAACAUGCCUAACAAACCUCUUUUCUCAUUGACCGCCAGCGAGCGUGCUAUGUCAGCCUCAGUGGGAUGUCUCAGGUAUUACGCUUCAAAUAAUUCUACAACUGCAGCAACAAACUUACGUAGGCUCUCAAGUGCAGUGCUUUCGCCAAUGCGAAUGUACUCAUCUGUUGUAGCAUCAGUAGAAACCUCAUAUGUGAGCAUACGAAGAGCGGUAGUGACCUUUUGGAAGUAACUCAAUUCAAACGUCCCUGUACAAUUCUUUUUUUGCACGAAGUAAUCAUCGUGUGAUUCAACUGCAUCCAUGAUGCGACGGAAAAGAUUCCUACUCAUUCUAAAUCUAAAGAAAAGAAAUAAGAUUUCAACAUGUUGUCUAAAAAUUAAACAAAUAUUAUGAAUUAAUUUGAGCUGAAAGAACAACAACCUCCGACAGAAUAAAUCUGGACCAUACGUCAGAUUGUCCACCAAAUAAUCUUGAUACAUCCUCCAGUGUCCGCCUUCUCUAUCACGAUGAAUGAAAACAUGGCUAGGGACCGAACCUGGUAAUGUUGUUUCUGCUGAAUUGCAAGAUGAUGUCAUGGAAUCGCAGGCACCUGGAGUUGUUGUUGGUGGCCGUCGUGUGCUAAAAAGGGUGCGUCACAUAGGCAAAAAAUUUUUGACAUAAAGGAAGAUAAAGUCAUAUGCUCGGCUUGGUUCAAUGUUAGCAAAGAUCCCAUUCAUGGGGCCAAUCAAGCUCGUUCAACUUUUUGGGUAGAAUUCAUGCAUUCUUUGAUGAACACAAGGAAAAAAGACAUCUGUAUAAUGCAUAGGUGGCUCACUAUUCAGAGGGAUGUGAACAAAUUUUGUUCAUGCUACGAGAAAAUUCAGCGUAGGAAUGCUAGUGGAACAAGUAUCCAAGACAUGGUAGAUUUUUGUAGUUUGUUCUUUCAUUUGUUUUCCAACAUUUGGUUCAUAUGUGAAGAUAUAAAUGAUUCAAAAAUUUUACUUGUGCAAAUUAAUGCAGCAUUCGAGACAUACAUUGGAGUGCACAAAGAAAACAAGUCGUUCACUCUAAUGCAUUGUUAUCACAAGCUAAAGGAUGAAGACAAGUGGGAGUCAUUGAGGAUUGAACUGGCUCAGAAGAACAAAAAAUAGAAGACUACCAAGGAAUGCACACCGAGCAAUGUAAGCAACAAUGAUGAAGUGCAAGAGGUUGCAACCACAGGUUCGGAAAAACAAAUGAGGUCAAAGGGUCAGAAGCAGGUAAAACAAGCUAGGCAGGACGAUGCUUCUCUUGCAGCUUUGGAGAAGAUGUGGGAGAAGGAGGCACGUGAUAGGGAAAGAGACAAGGAAAGAGAGACUUCACUUAAGGUAGAGAAGGCUUCACUUAAGAUAGAGAAUGCUUCAGCUUGAGAAGAAGUGAUUGUCAAAUGAAGAACAAAAAUUGAAGCGGACUUGCUGAAGGAGGAGAAAGACAUCAUGAUAGCGGACAAAAGGUCUCUCGACCAAGACCAGCUACAGUGGCUUGAGAUUAGGAAGAAGAAGAUCCUUGCGCACAUAUGAGAAAUUAGUUUGAGUUCAAUCCUAGAAUUUAAUUUUAGUCAAUGUCAAUUUAGUUCAUCAUCAAGUGAACCUUUAGUUUAUUUAUUUAUCAUCUACAAACAAUGUCAUGUGUGCAUUUAUGUUAGUGUACGUUUGCUUCAUUCAGCAGACCCUUUGAGAAUUUUUUGAACUUUAAAAUGGUGUCAGGCAAUCGACCAGUGUGAUAUGGUGUAUGAAUGGAGCUAUAUUUCAUGUAUGUAUAGGGAAGGGCAAUCGGCCGGCUGAUGUAUGAUCUAGCGACAUAUUGUUUACACUAAUAAAAAAUAGUUUAUUACACUUGAAUGAAAAUACUAAUAAAUUAUGAUGCCGGUUCCAUUGGAUACAAAUCAAGAUUACGGCUUCAUAGGUGCUCGAUGAGGUCUUCUUUCAACUGGAAGUGUGUUGGCUUGUCUCUGAUCUUUUUAUUAUGGGCUUCAAUAAAUUCAGCUAGUGUGCGAGUAGGCUUCCCAUGAGAAGGUUGCACAUUUUCACAAACAUCCGAGAACCGCUCAUCAGGGUCGACAACUCUUUCAUCUUUAACAAUCAUAUGGUGCAUGAUAACACAAGCCCUCACUAUCAAUACAAGUGUCUCCCUAUCCCAAAUGCGACCUGGCUGACGAAUAAUGGCAAACUUAGAUUGAAACACCCCAAAAAACCUUUCAAUAUCCUUCCUCGCUGCUUCUUGUGUUGUUGCAAAAUAUUUCUGCUUAUUCCCCAUAGGAGAAGAGAUAGACUUCACUAAAGUCGCCCAUGAGGGGUAAAUAUCAUCGGCGAGCAAAUACCCCAUCUUGUAGUCAUGGCCAUUAAUGGUAUAGUGCACCUUUGGAGCUUUACCUUCUGCUAGGUUGUCGAAUAGUGGAGACUGGUGAAGGACGUUGAUAUCGUUAUGAGAACCUGGUAUCCCAAAAUAUGCUUUGCCAACACCAAAGGUCUUAAGACGCAACAGCUUCUAAAAUUAUAGUUGGCUUGUUCACAUGCCCCUUGUACUGUCCCAAUUUUUCAACUGGACAAUUCUUCCACUCCCAAUGCAUACAAUCGAUGGACCCUAACAUGCCUAACAAACCUCUUUUCUCCUUGACCGCCAGCGAGCGUGCUAUGUCAGCCUCAGUGGGAUGUCUCAGGUAUUCCGCUUCAAAUAAUUCUACAACUGCAGCAACGAACUUACGUAGGCUCUCAAGUGCAGUGCUUUCGCCAAUGCGAAUGUACUCAUCUGUAGCAUCAGUAGAAACCUCAUAUGUGAUCAUACGAAGAGCGGUAGUGACCUUUUGGAAGUAACUCAAUUCAAACGUCCAUGUACAAUUCUUUUUUUGCACGAAGUAAUCGUCGUGUGAUUCAACUGCAUCCAUGAUGCGACGGAAAAGAUUCCUACUCAUUCUAAAUCUAAAAAAAGAAAUAAGAUUUCAACAUGUUGUCUAAAAAUUAAACAAAUAUUAUGAAUUAAUUUGAGCUGAAAGAACAACAACCUCCGACAGAAUAAAUCUAGACCAUACGUCAGAUUGUCCGCCAAAUAAUCUUGAUACAUCCUCCAGUGUCCGCCUUCUCUAUCACGAUGAAUGAAAACAUGGCCAGGGACCGAACCUGGUAAUGUUGUUUCUGCUGAAUUGCAAGAUGAUGUCAUGGAAUCGCAGGCACCUGGAGUUGUUGUUGGUGGCCGUCGUGUGCUAAAAAGGGUGCGUCACAUAGGCAAAAAAAUUUUGACAUAAAGGAAGAUAAAGUCAUAUGCCCGGCUUGGUUGAAUGUUAGCAAAGAUCCCAUUCGUGGGGCCAAUCAAGCUCGUUCAACUUUUUGGGUAGAAUUCAUGCAUUCUUUGAUGAACACAAGGAAAAAAGACAUCUGUAUAAUGCAUAGGUGGCUCACUAUUCAGAGGGAUGUGAACAAAUUUUGUUCAUGCUACGAGAAAAUUCAGCGUAGGAAUGCUAGUGGAACAAGUAUCCAAGACAUGGUAGAUUUUCGUAGUUUGUUCUUUCAUUUGUUUUCCAACAUUUGGUUCAUAUGUGAAGAUAUAAAUGUUUCAAAAAUUUUACUUGUGCAAAUUAAUGCAGCAUUGGAGACAUACAUUGGAGCGGACAAAGAAAACAAGUCGUUCACUCUAAUGCAUUGUUAUCACAAGCUAAAGGAUGAAGACAAGUGGGAGUCAUUGAGGAUUGAACUGGCUCAGAAGAACAAAAAACAGAAGACUACCAAGGAAUCCACACCGAGCAAUGUAAGCAACAAUGAUGAAGUGCAAGAGGUUGCAGCCACAGGUUCGGAAAAACAAAUGAGGUCAAAGGGUCAGAAGCAGGCAAAACAAGCUAGGCAGGACGAUGCCUCUCUUGCAGCUUUGGAGAAUAUGUGCGAGAAGGAGGCACGUGAUAGGGAAAGAGACAAGGAAAGAGAAACUUCACUUAAGGUAGAGAAGGCUUCACUUGAGAUAGAGAAUGCUUCAGCUUGAGAAGAAGUGAUUGUCAAAUGAAGAACAAAAAUUGAAGCGGACUUGCUGAAGGAGGAGAAAGACAUCAUGAUAGCGGACAAAAGGUCUCUCGACCAAGACCAGCUACAGUGGCUUGAGAUUAUGAAGAAGAAGAUCCUUGCGCACAUGAGAAAUUGGUUUGAUUUCAAUCCUAGAAUUUAAUUUUAGUCAAUGUAAAUUUAGUUCAUCAUCAAGUGAACCUUUAGUUUAUUUAUUUAUCAUCUACAAACAAUGUCAUGUGUGCAUUUAUGUUAGUGUACGUUUGCUUCAUUCAGCAGACCCUUUGAGAAUUUUUUGAACUUUAAAAUGGUGUCAGGCAAUCGACCGGUGUGAUAUGGUGUAUGAAUGGAGCUAUAUUUCAUGUAUGUAUAGGGAAGGGCAAUCGGCCGGCUGAUGUAUGAUCUAGCGACAUAUUGUUUACACUAAUAAAAAAUAGUUUAUUACACUUGAAUGAAAAUACUAAUUGAUUAUGAUGUCGGUUCCAUUGGAUACAAAUCAAGAUUACGGCUUCAUAGGUUCUCGAUGAGGUCUUCUUUCAACUGGAAGUGUGUUGGCUUGUCUCUGAUCUUUUUAUUAUGGGCUUCAAUAAAUUCAGCUAGUGUGCGAGUAGGCUUCCCAUGAGAAGGUUGCACAUUUUCACAAACAUCCGAGAACCGCUCAUCAGGGUCGACAACUCUUUCAUCUUUAACAAUCAUAUUGUGCAUGAUAACACAAGCCCUCACGAUCAAUACAAGUGUCUCCCUAUCCCAAAUGCGACCUGGCUGACGAAUAAUGGCAAACUUAGAUUGAAACACCCCAAAAAACCUUUCAAUAUCCUUCCUCGCUGCUUCUUGUGUUGUUGCAAAAUAUUUCUGCUUAUUCCCCAUAGGAGAAGAGAUAGACUUCACUAAAGUCGCCCAUGAGGGGUAAAUAUCAUCGGCGAGCAAAUACCCCAUCUUGUAGUCAUGGCCAUUAAUGGUAUAAUGCACCUUUGGAGCUUUACCUUCUGCUAGGUUGACGAAUAGUGGAGACCGGUGAAGGACGUUGAUAUCGUUAUGAGAACCUGGCAUCCCAAAAUAUGCUUGCCAACACCAAAGGUCUUGAGACGCAAUAGCUUCUCAAAUUAUAGUUGGCUUGUUCACAUGCCCCUUGUACUGUCCCUAUUUUUCAACUGGACAAUUCUUCCACUCCCAAUGCAUACAAUCGAUGGACCCUAACAUGCCUAACAAACCUCUUUUCUCAUUGACCGCCAGCGAGCGUGCUAUGUCAGCCUCAGUGGGAUGUCUCAGGUAUUCCGCUUCAAAUAAUUCUACAACUGCAGCAACGAACUUACGUAGGCUCUCAAGUGCAGUGCUUUCGCCAAUGCGAAUGUACUCAUCUGUAGCAUCAGUAGAAACCUCAUAUGUGAGCAUACGAAGAGCGGUAGUGACCUUUUGGAAGUAACUCAAUUCAAACGUCCCUGUACAAUUCUUUUUUUGCACGAAGUAAUCGUCGUGUGAUUCAACUGGAUCCAUGAUGCGACGGAAAAGAUUCCUACUCAUUCUAAAUCUAAAGAAAAGAAAUAAGAUUUCAACAUGUUGUCUAAAAAUUAAACAAAUAUUAUGAAUUAAUUUGAGGUGAAUGAACAACAACCUCCGACAGAAUAAAUCUGGACCAUACGUCAGAUUGUCCACCAAAUAAUCUUGAUACAUCCUCCAGUGUCCGCCUUCUCUAUCACGAUGAAUGACAACAUGGCCAGGGACCGAACCUCCGUGUCUUCCUUUUAUAUUUGAAAACAUUUGCACAAUCCGAGAAGCUGUGAACAUUAAGUAAUCGUCGUCGUCUGAGGAAUCAUCAUCGAACUGUCUUCGGAGACGUGAUCUGGCGGCCCUCAUCCUCCGUGCACGACGGCGGCUUGAUGGAGUCACCAACAACCUCGAAUCCAUGGGCUGCAAAUGACAUAUGUGCAGCUGAGUAGAGUUGAAAGUGGUAUGGAUAAUUAUCCGCUCCGAUCCGCCCCGAAUCCAAAUUUUAAGGAUAUAAAUGUUUUUAAUAUCCAUACGUAUAUGGAUAAUCCGAAUCCAAUUAUAGGCGGAUGCGGUGUAGGAUAUGGGAUUGGUGAAAUGUGACAGAUAUGGAUUAUUCGAUAAUUGAACACGGAUUAUCCGACGCUUAUAAUAGGAUAAUCCGUAUAUUUUAAGUCCAAGUGAAAAGAAUAUAAGUCAGUCUAGCCCAUGACACAAAUAUGAUUAUAUUGCAGCCCAUAAUAAAGCUCGUCUGAUGAAAGAAUUCUACCAAAGUGAAGGACUAAGGCAAAGAGUGAAAGCAAAGUUUUGUCUAAUUAAGAAUAUUUACUUAUUCUACACACUUUUUUAUACUCUUAAAUGUAAAUCGCUAACAUGUAUUAAAUUUUUUAGAUCUUAAAUCGAAGUGGUGGAUUGAUGGUGAUUAUUUUUAGUUGCAUAAACGCUUUAUGACUUUGGUUAAUGAACUAUUUCUCAUCAUAAAAAAUAACACGUAAGCACAUAUUAUCCGACUUUAAAAAAUCCGCUUCCGGUCCGAUAUCGGUCCAAAUCCGUACCAUUUUUGUCAUCUAAAAAAUCCGUAUUCGCAUAAGAAUCCACAUGAUAUCCGAUCCGUUGUGAAUCCGAUCAAGAAAAAAAAUUAGAAUAUGAAGAAGCUAUUAUCCGCUCCGAUCCAAUCUGUUUACAUAAAGAUCGGAUAAUAGCUGAGAACAUGAAACUCACGAAUUGGACCUAGGAGGAGCAGUGAUCGGUGUUAGAUUGGUGUUCUGUACCUGGAGCAGUAGCAACCGUGGACUACGAUCUCCAGAACACUUCUUCCACCGGCUGGAGCAGCUACCAAUCUCCACAGCACUUCUUCGACAGGAAUUACCGGCGGCGGCUGAGAACCUGAAGAGCGCAACGUCCACACGCUACGACUGGCAGCGGCCGCCUACAGAGCGCACGACGAAAACCGCGCGGGCGUCGACGUUGGAAGAAAAAAUUAGCAGCAAAAAAAUCACCUAGUCCACACUUUUGAUAAAUGCAAAGUCAAUUUUGCAAAACUUUUGGAGAUGUCUUUUUUUUCUCCUCGCUAUUUGGUUUUCAGAGUUGAUAAACUCUAAUAAACGGCAAAGAAAAAACACCAAACUAUUGGAGGUGCUCUAAGUUGGCUAAUAAUCAAGUAAUUGGCUUUAUUAUUGAGCUUGCUCUUAGUCACUCAUUGUGGGUGCUACUUUUCAGACUAGCAAACAGGCUAUUAGCUUUUUCUAAUGAAGGUCUAACACCCAAUGAAUUAAGAACAGUCCAAUAUAAUACAUGCUACUACUCUACUAGCACGUAGAUGUCUGCAAUUGUUUUUAUAUUAUCUCUUUUUUUUUAAAGGUGUAGCUGUCUAUCGUAUCUUAUCCACUGUGUCGAAUGCAAGAAAGUAUAUAUUUGGGGUCAAGUUCAACUUGCCGCCACAUAUUCGGAGUGUCUAUAUAAUGAAAAAAUAACAUGGUUUCGAUGGAACUGUUCAUUCAAGGUUUGCAUGCAGAAAGCUUCGGCUGUCGGCUCAUUUGAAAAAUAAAAUAGUGCAGGCAUGUGAUGAGUACCUGAAUCGAAUGCCACAGCAUCAGCGUCAUCUCCGGCGUCUGCUUGAGGCACGCACUACUGCAGACAGCGCCUUUGCCGAGCGCCUGGGACGCUCGGCAAAGAGCGAUUUGCGCUCGGCAAAGUCUUUGCCGAGCGUGGCGCUCGGCAAAGAGGUUCCGGCAAAGAAACGCUCGGCAAAGGCUUCUUUGCCGAGCGUCUUUUAUCGGACGCUCGGCAAAGCCUUUCCCUAGCGCCAAAAAGGCCUUCGGCAAAGAAAAGCGACGGGCAUGACCGUUAUGCACCGUGACACUUUCUUUGCCAAGCGUCUUCACUCUGCGCUCGGCAAAGAGCAAAAUUUUUUUUUUGAAAAUUCCUUUGCCUAGCGCCUACAAGACAACGCUCGGCAAAGAGGAAAUUAAUUUUUUUUAAAAAAACUUCUUUGCCGAGCGCCUCCAACAACGCGCUCGGCAAAGAGGAUAAAAAUUGUUUUUUGAAAAAAGUCUUUGCCUACUGCCUCCAACCUGGCGCUCGGCAAAGCUGGGUAGGUUGCUGUUGUCCCGCGCCAAAGAUUCCAGCUUUGCCUAGCGCGGCGCUCGGCAAAGACUCUUUGCCUAGCGCUGCGCUAGGCAAAGCUGGAAUCCGUUUUUUUUUUUGCUUUCUUUCACUGCAAACACAGCAAAUCAUAUAUAUAUAUAUCAUAUUGAUAUCACCAUGAACACAAGUAGCACCAUUUAUAUCACAAUUCCAUCAAUUUUAUCACCACCGGCAAAGGAUUUAUCACAAUAGCACAUAUAUCUCAUAAUAACAUCACUUAUUCGGCGAUAAAGUCCAUACAACAACUUGAUUCUAAUGAAGUUCAACACAACAAGUCCAAGUCCAUGACAUGAAGUUCCACACAACAAGUCCAAGUCCACGACAUGAAGUUCCACACAACAAGUCCAAGUCCAUGACACGAAGAGAAGGAAUACAUGACAACUUCUUCGACGACGUUACUCACUGAGGCGGCGGUGGAGGUGCGUACUCGGGCCACCCAUUUGAUGGCGGCGACGGUCUCCCAUGCUCGUUCGCCACUUGGUUCGAACCCGCCGACUGAGGCUACACACAAGAGCAGCGAUUGCAUGAGACAAAGUUAAAUAGCUAAAUAACAUGCAUGUGUGAUAUAUAUUACUCACCGGAGUAGUGUGGAGAGCAACGAAGGGAGGAACGACGGGAGGAGGCUGAGGUGGACCCAUCAAGUUGGGUGGCAAAGUAACACCUAAAGAACUCUGCAGAAACGCCAGCACAUCUGACAUCCUCUGGUCAGUUGCCAGCCGCGCCGCCCGCUCUGAAGCCACAACCGCCUCCAGCUCGUCAGCCCUCUUGUUCGAAGUUUCCACCUGAGCCUAUACAUUGUUGCAAAGGUAAUGUUAGUGAAGCGAGAAGAAAAUCCUUAAUGCAUGAUGAGUAAACAAAAACUGACCUGUAGUGCCUCGACCCGGGCCUGUGCAUAGGCCGGCCGCUCGCGUAUCGGCGGGAGUCCGGAGCCGCUCGUGGUCUGUGCUCGGAUCUGUGAGAGAGAGGGAGUAGUGGUGCUGUCGAUCACGCUGUUCGCCAUCCAGUAGCGCCCAUGUUGCUUUCCCUUUCCAAGACACAUGACGAGACGUGCAUCGAUGUUGUCAUUCGUUGGUUUCUAACUAACUUCCAUGACAACAUGCACGAAACUUUACCAAAUUUUUACCAUAGCAUCCACAUGUGUUCUAAAGACAUGUCGCUAAGUUAUGUAAUUUUUCGACUUCAUUUGCUUUUUAUAUAAUUUAAUAGCACUUCACGCGCAACUUGGUCGCCGUGUUCCGUGCGCGAGAUGUUCGAUAUUUCAUGCGUGCUCCUGGAUAUGGCCUUAACAUACGCUAUGUAAAGCGAAUAUCAAUUUUUGAACCGUCCAAUUCAGAGAUUCGAUACACCUGCAGUUCAAACCCGCGUUUAUCGUAGAAAUUCAAUUAAACCAAAUUAACUAAAGAUAUAUAAUAAAAAGAUUUUAAAAACUACCAAAACCUUAACAUAUACUAUUAAAUAAUGUGUAAUGCAAAACAAAAAAGUUUGGAAGCAAAAAGUAAAAAAUAAAAAAAUUCUUUGCCGAGCGCCAAAAGUCAGCGCUAGGCAAAGAGAGCCUUUGCCGAGCGCAAAAAUUCAGCGCUAGGCAAAGAGAUGCCUUUGCCGAGCGCCAAACGUCAGCGCUAGGCAAAGAGAUGUCUUUGCCAAGCGCCUAACGGAGGGCGCUCGGCAAAGGGUGACGGCAGGUACCCCAUGUUACAUGUGUUAUCUCUUUGCCGAGUGCAAGCUGUUGCCGAGCGCUUGGCGCUUGGGAAAGAUGUCCUUUGCUAAGAGCGGGCCUUUGCCGAGCGUCUGGUGCUUGGCAAAGACGUUCUUUGCCGAGCGUCUCCGUUUGCCGAGGGCACUACCCUCGGCAAAAAAAUCUUUGCCGAGCGCUGUCUUUGCCGAGGGCCCUGCGCUAGGCAAAGGUGGCCUUUGCCGAGCGCCCGAUUUAUAGCGCUCGGCAAAUAACCAGACGCUAGGCAAAGGCGCUGUCUGCCGUAGUGACGGCAUCCGCUCACCGACUGGACUUGAUCAAUCACACACGAUAGAGAUAAAUUAGAACAAUACACUAAACAAGUUAAAAUAACAUACUAAAAAAGAGCUUGUGAGAUCACAAGAAACACCGAUAACAAGACUACCGUUAAAAGAAACAACUACCAAAAGUUUUAUAUUGUAAAAGAAACAACUAUAAGUUUUAUUUAUGUUAUCUAAAAAAACUAUGUAAAUAGUAUUAAUUUAGAUUAAUCCUAAUACAUAUUUAAUUUCAAAAGUCGAGCAUAUCAUUUAAGGGAUUUAAACUUUACUUUGCAAAGGAAUAAACAUGUGUGAGCAUCUAUUAUAUCUAGCAUUUAAACUAAUCAGAUUAUAAUUAAAAAAUAUAAGUUAACAUUGAGUAAAUUUAUCAUAUUAUUAUUUGUAUACAAAAUGCCAGAGUAAAAACCUAUUUGCGUGUAACUGUAAAACUAAAUAUAUUAAAUCAAUUUAAUAUUUGACUAUAUAUAUAUAUAUAUAUAAACAUGUGACAUGUAAAACAAAUGAUACUAACACGUAGAUCAUAUCGCCACGAAUUUAACACAGCUUAAACAAACUGAAUCAGAAUUAAAACGAAGAAACUGUGUGGAUCGAUUGCUCAUCCUCGGUGGUGUAUUUCUAUAGUAUAUUUGGAUUUGUUUUUUAAUAGAAAACGGCCAUAUGGUGCGUGUGUGUGCGCGUGACGUGAUGACGACGUCAUCAAGCUAGCUGUGCAAAACUGCGCACGCAUAUGGUCGGGCUACUCUGCUAGCUCCGUUGGCUGGCGCGCGGGCGUGGGCACUGGGAGGCUGGAUGCAGGGGCUGGCGCACUUGUCUUGGCUGUGGGUUCGGCACGGUGCCGCUGGAGCAGCCAGCGUCAGUGAAGAAGGCCGGCGCGGCGGUCCUCCAUGGGUGACAGCGAGAGCUCGUAAGCAUAGCACGUACGCAUGAACGGGGCGAGGCCUCGGUUUCCUGCGGUAAGUGCAUGGGGAUGGAGAGGGCAUCAUGAUGAACUCACCCAAAGGGAUUUUUGACGACACGAGACGACCUACGAUGGCGGGGCUGCAGCAGCAUUCCUACAAACGACACCAACCACAUGUUUGAGGUAUAAGCAGAGCGAUUCUGAGAGGAAGAACAGUGCCUGCAGUUUCGUUACCUAGAUGGCAUGCGGGGAUCGGCAACAGUCUAGGCACGACGACGGUGAAGCAGCACAAGGCGUCCGCGGUGGCGGCGGCUGCGGCCGACGGGCUCGGCGAGAUCCGUCAUGUGCGGCGGCGGCCAGGGCUAGCAGGCAGAUUGUAGAUGGGAACGAAGCGGCAUGCUGGGCUUCUUAUAGGGAGAAAAGGGGAGCAGUGCCUGCGCUGGCUGGACUGCUGGGCCGGUGGAGUGCGGCCCGGGAUUCUUCGGUCCGAACGAUCGGACCAGAACCUGCCGCCGAUGAUUCCCGCAUCACUUUCCCGCGCUGUCAUUUUCUGAGGAUAGGAGCGCUCUGACGCUGCAUGCAGGUGGGAGCCACGACGCAAUUAGCCCACAUGCGUUUCUGUUUCUUUCCGUAUCGAGACUGACAGUGGUGUCGCUCUUUUCAGUUUUUUCUUUUUCUUGUUUCCUUUCUUCUUAUUUUUUCCUUUCUUUUGUUUUUUUAUUCUUUUUUCGUUUCUUUUGUUCUUUUUCAUUUUUUUGUUUCCAUGCCUUAUUCUUUUCUUUUUCCUCCUUUUAUUUUAUCUUUGUUUCUUUUCUUAUGUUUUUUCUUUGAUUAAUAUGUUUUUAUCUUUUUUCUUUUCUUUUUCUUUUUUGUGCUUCAUUAGUUUUUUAUUUUUUAUUUUAUGUGUUUUUAUUAUUAUUUAAUUUUUUAUAUUUUAUCUUUUAUUUAUUAUUUUUCUUUUAUUUCCUUUCCUUUCAUUUUCUUAUUAUUUCUUAUUUCCAUAUUUUUAUGAUGUUUAUUUAAUAUUUUGUAAUGAAAUUUUUGUGACGUUCACAUAAUAUAUAUAUAAUGUUCUAUGAUAUAUUUUGUGAUGUUCCUGUAUUAUAAAUAUGAUGUUCUAUAAUAUACGUUGCGAUGUUAUAUGAUGAUUAUGUCCACAUAGUAUACAUAUGUUAUUCUAUGAUGUAUUUUGUGAGAUUCGCAUAAUAUAUAAAUGAUAUUCUAUGAUGUAUUUUGUAUUGUUCAUGUAGUAUACAUGUAAUGUUCUAUGAUAUGUGUUUUAUGUUCAUGUGAUAUAAUGCAAUGUUCUAUAAUGUAAUAUGCGAUGUUCGCGUAAUAUACUUUUGGUGUUCUCGUAGUAUACAUGUGAUGUUUUAUUUUGUACGUAGUGAUGUUCACGUAAUAUAUAUACGAUGUUCUAUAAAAUAUUUUAGUGAUGUUCUAUAUUGUAUUUAGUGUUAUUCACUUAGUAUACAUAUGAUAUUCUUUAGUAUAUUUUUAGAAUGUUUGAAAAAUAUCCAUAUGAUCUUUUUUCAUUUUUCUCUAUUACUAUUUUUUUCUUAUGCUUUGUUGUAGAUUUUAUUUUUUAUUUAUGGUAUUUAUUUAUUUAUUUAUUUAUUUAUUUAUUUUAUGUAUAUUAUAAUAACAAUAUCAUGCACCUAAAACUAGAAUAUUAUUUUUCUAAAUCGAGAAUAUUAUGGAACAUUAUUCUGUAAACCUAGAACACUGAAUAAAUGUUUGUUGAUAAAAAUUACCUAAAUAUAUUCAUGUGAGAUAUUGUUUUGAAGGAUUUAGUUCAAGAGAUUUGAUGGUAUUAUCGAAAUUUAAUUUGGAUAUUUAGUUUGGUAGUUAUAUUUUUUUCGUUCAUGCACGUUAAGUUGAUUCCAGCUUCAUUAUCUGCACUAUUUAAUUUAGAUCCAUGCGCGACCGUACCCGCCCGGCCCACCACAGUCCGUCUGCAGCGCCGCUGCUGUCAGCCGUGAGGCCGUGACCCGCGAAAAAAAUUUCCCGCGCUGCUGCCGGCGCCAGAAACCGGUCCGAACGGCCGGACCCUAAGAGCACCCGAGUGCGGCGCCCUCUGGGCUGCGGAUGACAGGCGAGGAGGCCCUUGUGUAAGCAAACACAAACAUGUAUAGGAUAGCUGAUUCUCAAAAAAAAAUGUAUAGGAUAGCUAGACUAGCUAUACUCCUCCCUAAAGGCUUUAACUCCUAGAAUCUAUGUCGGUCAAAUUUUUUUUUAACUUUGAUCAACUUUAUAGAAAAAAACAUCAAUAUCUAUGAUAUAAAAUGAGUAUCUUAUGAAAAUAUAUUCUAUAUGAUAAAUCUAAUGGCAUUAAUUUGAUACUAUAAAUCUUAGUGUUUUUUUAUAAAUUUAGUCAAAGUUUUAGAAGUUUAACUUAUGACAAUUCUAAAAGUUACAGCUUUCAGAGACAAAAAGAAGUAUCUUUCAUUAGUGUAACAGUCAAUCCCUCUCUUUGUUUUUAGGAUCUGCAUGUAUUCUUGAGUGGCUGGCCCGAGCUCUCACUCCUGUAUAUAUAGCCCAAUGAUUGUAAUACAAGUUGUGGUCAUUCUUCCCAAAUUGUUUUCUUACACUUUGGCUGGGUUAGGCCAGCAGGCCGAAAUGGAGGAAAGGAGUUCCUUUUCUUUUCUUUUUAUUUUUAUUUUCUAAAUCCUAUUUUCAAACCCAUUUUAAAUACAGUUUUGGAUUCAGUUUUCAUUGGCUCAAAACCAGACAGCUCAAAAACAUUGAUGUACCAGCAUAUAUGUAAAAACAUGCAUGUCUCUAGCCUUAUAUAGUUGAUUUUUAUUUAUCAACAAUUGUUAUUUCCCUAUGUUUGAAUGAACACAAAAAGAAUAAUAAAAUCAAAAUUAAACUAUUUUCAAAAAUCAAAAUUUUACGUUGUUACAAUUCUAGGCCUGCAGUAGCAGGCUCGGGCCGGUGGUGUCGUCGUGCCCUGCACGGGCUGAAACUAAACUCAGUCCUCUAGAUCUGUUUCCAUUUUUUACCUGGACCAGGAUGCGUGGUGAUCCAUAUAUGUACAAGGAAAAAAAUUGAAUAUAAAGGUUAAGACCUCAAAUCGGGUAAAUAAAAGAACACAAAAUAAAUCACGUACGGUUAGAAUCAAUCAAUUCAUCAAUAUUAAAAAACACUUGCAAAGAAUGGAUUGAAAUCAUGGACGGGUACGCCAGCUGGAAUGUUGUGCUAAUUAAGAGAAGCCACCAGAUGGCAGCCGGCCAUCAAUCAGAUGUACGUAUGUACAAAGAAGUGACCCUAUCUAUCCUGCAACCCCCACUAAUCCAGAUGUGAUCUUUUACCUUUCUCCAUGGACUGAUGAUCGAGCUCAAACGAGAGAGAGUUUCAGGGCAUUUAUUCUUGCAGGGUGUCAGCGUCAGUGAGGCCUUGUUUAUGGGUGAAAAGUUUUUUUGGCGUCCUUGCUCUUCUUGUUAGUGGAAGCUAGCUUGCUCUUCAUCAUUGAGGCGCUAAACAUCGCUGCCGCUAAAGGUUGGGGCGCCCGAUUCAAGAAGAAAGCUGGAGCCAUGUGGCUGCUCCACCGGUGAAAUAGGGAUGAGGCAGAGACGGAUUUAGUGGGACUGCUCCCUCCCACGCGUGUCAAAACUUCAUCAGCAUGCGUGCGAGUGCUCUGGAUCCGCGCACCGUUGAGACGAGGGGACGACUCCUACAACGCUGCUAGUCUCCUUUGCAUCGGUGCACGGGACGGCUCCAUCGCUUCACGAGACGACGGAAGGGUUGUCUUCAAACCACAAUAGGUUUUUUUUUUGUAAAAGUGCCCAUGAAGGGACGGGAUGAAGAGCCCCGUUGUACAUGCCCUAAGGUGCUCAAAAGGAUACGAUAUAUAUAUAUAUAUAUAUAUAUAUAUAUAUAUAUAUAUAUAUAUAUAUAUAUAUAUAUAUAUAUAUAUAUAUAUAUAUAUAUAUAUAUAUAUAUAUAUUUCUUUUACACGCGCGUGUAGUUACUCUCAUCUAUGUAUCUCUAGAUUUAAGGUGUAUAUGACCGUACGAAAUGUAUAUAGGCAAAGUAUAUGAUCAUACUAGACCAUCUAGAGUGAUAUGUAUGUUAAGUAUGCAUACAUACAUAGAGUAUAUGGUUAUACUUAUUUUAUAUAAUAUAGUAGUGGUAUUUUAGUAAUAUAUUUAAAAUAUAAUUUUUUUUGAAAAAUUUUCGCGUGGUAAGAUCUAGAGUAUCUUAAUAUGAGUAUAUAAACAUACUCAAACUGAUAAACAUGUAUGAAUACAUACACAAUGUAGUUUAUUGAAGAUGAGAGUAACUACACGUACGUGUACAAAGGAAUUUCCAUAUAUAUAUAUAUAUAUAUAUAUAUAUAUAUAUAUAUAUAUAUAUAUAUAUAUAUAUAUAUGGGAGCGUAUGCUAUGAAAACCAACUAGCUAUGCAAACUCUAAUUAAGCACACACGAUUCUAAUCCGAUGGCUUCUGGUGGAGGUGGGACAAUUAAGCACUUAAACCCUCCCACCAAUCUAAUCUUAUUUUUUUUCAACUCACCCAGACAGCGAUCGCUCCGUUCGCUUCCUGUACGCCGCCGCCAUCCUCACGCAGCAGCAAGUUUCAUCAAUCACAACCGGCACAGUGCUAUGCACAUCAGUCACCAUUGAGACCAAUUCUUCCCUGGUAUGUUUGAACGUGAACAUUGAUGGCCAUUUUUUUUUCAAUUUAUAAGAAAAAAUGGGAGAUAAAAAAGAAGAUUUGAACAUAGUUAUAUAGAUAUAGAUUAGAUGGAUGAUAAGUUAUUCAAGAUUUUAGUUUAUCACAUAAGGAUAAAGAGUUUGAACACCCAUGAUAUAUUUACUGUUUUUUACGAAAUUAAGUAUGAGAGAGAGAAAAAGUCAAAAGUCACGUACACAACUGAACGUCGGGAUGAACAAACGAACAAAACAAAAGAAAUAGGAAAAGGACGUGGACAGGAAAGUUGGAAACAACGUUGGUUUAGAAGAAAAACAAAUACGGUUUCCUGACUGAGUCACGUUAGCCUGGGUGAGUUGAAAAAAAAAAGAUUGGAUUGGUAGAAGGGUUUAAGUGCUUAAUUAUCCCACCUCCAUCGGAAGCCAUCGGAUUAGAAUCAUGUGCGCUUAAUUAGAGUUUGCAUAGUUUGUAUAGCUAGUUGGUUUUCAUAGCAUACGUUCCCUAUAUAUAUAUAUAUCCUGAUAUUUGAAAAAAAACGAUGUACUCUUGCUCCUGCUAAGGUGAAAAAUAGCCCUACCAUUUCAAUUCUUUUCUAGAAAAGGUGAAUAGUCCAUUCCAUACCUUACUUUCCCAUACAAAACGUUUGGUUGGGGGUAAUUGAAAAGAGAGAAUGUGAGAUGGAGAUAAGAGUUUAAAAACCUUCUGUUUGUUUCGUGGGAGUGAGAUUUUGGUGGGAAGAUGAAUGGGUGAUAGUUUAAAGGACAAACUCCUACUAAUCAAUUCCCUCGGGAGAUAUGAAUGUGCUUUUAAGUAUAGAUAAAUACAUUCUCAACCCCCAUGACUUGUCCUAUAAUUCCCUACUCAAAAAUCUCCAAACUAAACAAGGGAUACACAUUCCCUCUUUUAACUCCCCCUCUUAAUUUCAUCUGUGAACCAAAUAAGAGAUCGGGACUAAAAAUCAAAUCUCUACCUUUAUUCUCCCCAUCACCUCACACCUGCCCCUUCCCAUGUAGUUGCCAAACACACUAUGUUUUGUUUGGGGGCAGAACAAGGACAACAUAGGAUAUCCCACUUCAUUAUGGUGUUUGGUUUUGAGACAAGUGGAAUGGAAUCAUCCCCAAGAGGAUAUAAUCCCAUUAGAUGCCAUCCCCCCUUCACCCCUUGGUGAUGGUAUUCCACGUAGUUAAUUGUUGCAUCAUUGACCUCACGCGCUUCCCCACCCUCACGCACUCCUUCGCGGGUGGCCCUGUCGAUCUAUUUCGCUUGGCAAUGACAGCCCUGGACGUCCCUGGUCCUCCUAACAACCCGCUUCGUUUAUCCCCAUCGCUUGCUUCACUCAACUCUGCUUGUCCCUAAAGGCCCGACUCUACUUGUCCUUGGCAGUCAUGCUUUGCUAAUUCCCAUCAACACGCUCCCCUAGUUCCGGUCAUCCCCAAUGACCCUACUCCGACCAUCCUCGACAGCCUCGCACUUCCUAGAGAUGGCAACGGGAAAUUCCAAGCUAGGUUUCGUCUUACCAUCCCCGUCCUCGUGGGACAAGAUUUUCCAUGUCCCCGUCUCCCCAAAAAAUUGGCGGGGUAUAUUUUUUCCCCCGACCCUGAAACCGAGUGGGGAAUGCAACCUGACAGGGUUCUCAUCCCCAUGAAAUGUUUGCAAAAAAGUACUUAGAUUAACAACAAUCUUGACAUGUUUUCCACAUAUGCAUUUUGCAUAUGCAUGAAAUAAGACCGUUUACUUUAUCAAUCACGGCUCCUUCGCUGCCAAAUAAAAUCGCAAACAAAUCACAUACAAAAAUCCAUAAAUACACAAGUGCUUGUGUCAAUAUGAAGAAGUCACAAAAUCUCAUAAAUACACAAUUGAUAUGGAAUUUAAGCCUGCAACACGACAUGUUCUUAGGCCUUAUUUAAAUGUAGUCGGAUUCGCAUCAAUCCACAUGUAUUGGGGUGGGUUGGAGUAGAACUUGAACUAAAUUAUACCUCAAUCCACUUCAACACAUGUGAAUUGAUGUGAAUCCAACAACAUCCAAACAAACCCUUAGUGGGUCAGGUUUGGACGGGAGACAGAUGCCAUCCCCGUCCACGUCAGCUCCGACAUGGAUUGAUUUUCUACUUAAAUCCGCAUGGAAAACAAAGUGAUCCCAUCCUCGUUCGCUAAAAUAGGAUAAUUUCCCCGUUCACAUUAGGCUUCUCUGUUCGAACAUCAACCUCUGUUAGUCCCCGACGGCCUGCUCUGUGUCCAUCGCCAGUGAUCCAGCUCUGCCAUGCCUCGGCAUCUCCGCUUAACUUGAUCCCAGCCGUCUCCGCCCAGCAACCCUAUUCCCUUUGCCUGCUCCACCCCUGGUCACUAUUUCUCCUUUGAGGUCUUAUUUAGUUCUCAAAAAAUUUCAAGAUUUUUUAUCACAUCGAAUCUUUAGACGUAUGUAUAGAGCAUUAAAUAUAGAUAAAAUAAUUAUUUAAUUAUAUAAUUUACCUAUAAUUUGCAAGACGAAACUUUUAAGCUUAGUUAGUCUAUGGUUGGACAAUAAUUAUAAAUACAAACAAAAGUGCUAUAGUAGUCAAACCUAAAAAAUUUCAUGAGCUAAUAGUGACACUGGUUAAUCUCUCCCAUUCCUCUUUUACUAUGAGGCGGUACAACACAGUGAAAGAGGUAAGGUUGCAUAGUGAAAGAGGUAAGGCCACAGUGACCAAGGUGGUUGGAAUAGUCGCCACCAUGCCCUGCUGUGAUAUGGGAGUCACUGCGCCUGUCACGUCGUGGGUACGAGCGCCGUGCGUUGGAAGCCUUGCUCUGUGAUGGAGGAUCGGGCGAAGCGGCGUCGACGCCCGAACCCUAGGGGGGUCGGGCGAGGCGGAACUCGCAUCCGAGGCCCAUAGGGGUCGGGCGAGGCGGAACUUGCGCCCGAGGCCAAAGGGGUCGGGCGAGCCGUGGUUUGGGCCCGAGGCCGAGGAGUAAGACGAGACAGGGCCCGCGCCCUGGUGAUUGCGGAUGGUUUGCUUUAUCUCUUGUGAUUUUUAUUACUCUGAUUUUGGGUAUCCAUUUUUAUGGUACCCAACAGUAGCCCCCGAGCCUUUGAAGGGGUGAAGGCACCCUUUCAAAGGUUCUCUUUCAAGGGACUAUUUUGCUUGACUUGGAGCUUUUUUACUCUCUUCGGGGGGCGCGCGCGAGCGCACCCACCGGGUGUAGCCCCCGAGCCUUUUGGAGGAUUGGUGUUAUUCCUUCAAAGGCUUUUACUCCUGAGUGUUGUAGUCGGGAGUAUUUGAGGGUAGGUUGUGUGUUCUUUACACAUAGUGCCUGUCCCCAUUGUGUGAGGAAGCCCCCGCGCCCUUUCCCCACAAGGGUCGAUCAGGUUCUUUCUCGUCUUGUAGUUAUGUCCCUCAUUCUUUCUUUCGCUCGGAGGAGGGGUGGGUUGCGCCGUACUACCCUCGAUGGGCGAGUAUUGACGUUCCCCGGGAGCUGCAAGCGGGUAAAUCCAAGUGGAUGUCCGAGCCCCGUUCGAUAGGGGUCGGCUAGUGGCCUUAUGGGCACAUCUCAAAAUACCCGAGGGCAGUCACGGUGGAUGUCGGAACCGUUCGCUGGGUUCUGAGGGCUCGGUGCCUCCCUUGAUGGGAUUCCACUCGCAUGACACCCGCAUGGGUCUCGGAUACGACUGGCAAAGAUGUGCCGACCCCCUGAGGGGCUCGGACCAUGGCCUCUAUUGUGCUCAUCUUCAGUCAUCCCUUGCUCGGUUAUCCUGAGGCGACUGUUCGAACCUGCUUUGCAGGUCUGUCGACGAAAGCCGGUCCGCAGUCUACCUUGGGGUAUACCCACGGUAGUAGUUUAUCGGUAGACGGUGCGCAAACUACGAACUCGAUGGUGACGCUAGACACGGACAAGCUUUUUAUCCAUGUUCGGCCGCCGAGUUGGCGUAAUACCUACGUCCUGCGUCUGGUUGUAUUGAUUUGUGUUGAGAGAAUAACGUGUCCUAGGGGGGUCCCUUACCUCUCCUUAUAUAGUCGGGAGGGCAGGGUUACAGAUCUGGAAACUAAUCCUAGUCGGUUACAAUUGCCAUAGAUAGUUCGAUAUCAAUUUCUAUUCUAACCGACUAAAAUCCUGCUUGAUUUCCACGUCUUGUUUCCUUGCGCGAAACUCCGAGCUGUCGGGUCAAGCCUUAAACUUGUCUCGUAACGGGCCAAGCCUCCUGGCUCAAGUCUAGCCGUAAGGGUAUAGGGGUUUAUACCCCCACAGCUAGUCUCUGAGCACCAUGUAUUGUGAAGUAACACGCUGCCUUGAGCUUCUUCGACCAAUGAAACUUGACAUCUCCAAUCAUCAUGAAAAUUGCCCAAAUAAUCACAACAGUAUUUUGAUCAAAUUUAAAGAUAUUCGAUCAACAUCAUCAUCGAAGAAGCCAAUUGUUCGAAGAAUGCAUGGUGCUCUUGAGAAAAAAUAUUUCUUUUUCGGUGAAGUGUGCCCACUUUACUUUCUUGAAAAGUAGAGUCCUCCAAAAAGGCAAGCAAAUUCACCGCAAGGUGAAGUGUGCCCACUUAGUCCCCGAGCCUGGUAGCGGGUGACGUAGUCACGUGGUGCCAGGGUCAAAAGAAAAAUCCUCAAAAUAACUUUGAAUGUGAGAUGCAUCGCCAGAUGCAUCGUACCGAUGUAGUCCCCGAGCUUGCUAGAAGGCGAAGUAUGAACCUUGUAGCAAGGUCUAAAAAAUUAAAAUUAUCCAGUCCCCGAGCAUCUCAUACUCGUUUAGUACCAUAUAUACUUAUCAAUUUGACGAGCUGGUCAACCAGUCCCCGGGUGUACAACGCUCGGAGAUCGAUACAUCCCGCAGAUUACCGAACUAAUAGACUAGACGACCAGUCCCCAAGCAUCAAGCGCUCAGUGGUCGGUGCGGCCCCAACAAACUUGACGACCAGUCCCCGAGCAUCAAGUGCUCGGUGGUCGGUGCAUUCCUUGAAGUUCCGAGUUGGUAGACUGAGCGACCAGUCCCCGAGCAUCAAGUGUUCGGUGGUCGGUGCAGUCUUUGAAUUUCUGAGUUGAUAGACUGGGCGACCAGUCCCCGAGCAUCAAGUGCUCGGUGGUCGGUGCAGUCUUUGAAUUGUUGACUCUCUACCAAUUUUUGUCUUUUUAUUUUGAAAAAAUCUUACCACAUAAAUGAUUGACGUGACGAGACCUCCUGACAAAAUGUCAGAUUGUUGCGUGAAAAGUUGCGCCUGGUAACUGUGCAGCCGCCCUUUGCGCGGUUUGAGAAAAAGAAACCAUCAAUUUGUACGAAAACUCCGCCGCAUUAAUUGUCGAUAAUCAUGGGAAACCGAAGCGCCGCGUCUGCCGUUGGGCCCGCCCACUUCCCAAGAAUGCGGGAAGUGGGAGGGGUGGAGAUGUGGUUUAUAAAAUCCUGACAUCACCCCCGCAUUGCUUACCCUGCCAUUGCCUUCAAACCUUCCACUCUUGCCUUCUUCAAUCACCUGCACCCUCCUAGCUCAAAACCACUCCCGCAUCUCCAAUAGCGAAGAGCGACUCCAAGAAGAGGGCCGAGCUGAUGGCCAAGGAAUGGAAGAAAUCCCGCAGCACUGCAAAGUCCCUUGGUGACCUCGUCGAUAUGGGGCUACUGCACAGCCCCGAGCUCGGCGGCUGGAGGGCGCCGGAGGGGGAAAGCUACCCCGACCCCCGUGCCGUUGAGAUCGUAGUGUUCGAGGAUUUCCUUAAGAGAGGUUUUGGGGUUCCUGUUCAUCCUUUUCUUCAGGGGCUUCUUUUGUAUUAUGAGAUCGGGAUUUGCAAUCUGCACCCGAACUCAAUCCUUCUCAUCUCCACCUUUAUCCACCUGUGCGAGGCCUAUGUUGGCGUAGAGCCGCACUUCGAUCUCUUUCGUUAUCUUUUUUGUUUAAGGAAGAAGGGAGCGGUUGGAAGCUCCAAGAUUGCAGGUGGAGUAUACCUCAAUCUUCUUGACGGAAUGAAGAACCGUUACCUAAACUGCCCGUGGAACACUUCCCUGACCGAAUGGUACAGGAAGUGGUUCUACGUUAGGGAAGAGCCGGGCAGCUCCACGUUCUGCGACGUGGGGUACAUCCCCGAGAAGAGGGUCAGUUGGACCGACCGCCUAGAGUUCGCCGGCCAGGUAGCGGACCUCAUGAAGCUGAUCGACUGGUCGCGCUUGGACGGGCUAGGUGUGGUCGGCAACUUCAUUUGUCGUCGGGUGAUGCCCUGCCAGAAGAGAGUGCACUCGGCGUACGAGUACGCUGGAAGCCAAGACCCGACCAGGAUGACUCCUGAGAUCAUGGAGAAGGCGGAGGUGCAGCAGUUGUUGAGCGAGCUGUUCAACUUUGCUGACGGGAGCUUUAUCUGUGGUAAUGAUCGGGUGCCAGCUUUCAAGCUGGGGCGACCAGCCCCUAAGGUAAUGUUAAUUUCUCGUUGUGCCUCCUUGAUUUUUGUUCUUUCCUGCUGCUGACUCGUCUUUAUGACUGUUGUAGAUCGGCGACGUUGACAGGUGCACGGUGUAUGUAUCACUGGCACCUGGGAUGGAGAAUCCCGCGGGGGAGGACCCGCCGGAGGAUGACGCUGCUCGGUGUGCUCGGUACACCAGCAGUGAGGAGGAGCAGGACCGCCCCGUCCCGACCACCGAGGAGAGAGUGGCGGGGAAAAGGCCAUUGGCGGCAGAUCCCUCACCUGCGCCGACGCUGCCAGCAGAGAGCAGCCAGGCGCCAAAGCGCCGUCGGCUCGUCCGGAUCACCGACGACGACGACGAGGAGGAGGCCGCACCGUCGCUGGUCCGAAGGCCUCGUAGCCGUCCGGACAGUGCGCCGGCCACUACUGAUCGGGUGGCCAGCGACCCUCCUGCACCGCGCGUCGCAGAAACGAGGGCACAGGCACCGACCGGCAGGGCUAGGAGGAGGUUCACCGCGACCCACCGUCGAUCAGACCUGUAAGUGUUCGUCUUUCGUACUUGGCGCUUUUUUUGUUGUUGCUGAAAAUGCUGCUUUUUUGUUUAGCGCGGCGUCGGACGUCAACCUCGACCAAGUCAGAGAGCAGAGGACGUCCGAGCCUGCUGCCAUUGCUGAAGACGCUGCACCACAGGCCACAGACCAGCCUGCGGCGACACCCGCUGCUACAGGCGCCGACGGACAAUCUGCCCCGGCGAGUGCCGCCGCGGGCACUCCACCGAGGGAUGGGGAGGCAGCAAGGACCCCUCCCCCAAGUACUAUUUCAAAGGAGGAGGGCAGAGUCCCGACGCCUCCAGCUGAAGAAGGGAGGGUCCCGACACCGCCCCGAGCAGGGGCCUCUUCGCCCGUGGGCUCCCCUGGACUAGACCAGGGGCCAGUAAUGCCCUCGACCGCAGCUGGAGGCCGUGCGGCAAACGAGGAGCCCCAGGAGGCCUCUGACGACGACGUGGAGGAGAUCCAGGGUCGUCCCCGCGAUGGCCGACAGCACGUCUACGUGUGGCGCCAACGCGGGGACCACUUCAUUGGACAUGAAGAGCUUGCGGAGACGGAGGAGGCUGCGAGGGUGGAACGCGCGGCUAAGCGUCUCGUGGACGAGGUUAAGGUAAGUGGUCCUGUGUGCUGCUCGACAACUAUGUGUAGUGUUCCUGCGUUCGACAUAUACUCUUUCUUGCAGGGCGCGAUGAAGACGGUGAAGUACCGGAAACGGUGCUUCGACCAGAUCGAGGGCAUUGUGUCCGAGAACAAGGCCUUGUCCACGGAAGUAGACCGGCUGCGGUCCGAAGUUGGAGAAAAGGUGGCCGAGAUGAGUGCUGUUGAUAUUUGGUAACGCAAUAAGGAAAUGAUCCGCAAGCGCACGGAUAUCGGUGAGCAUUUCACCCGGGAGGUUUUCCAGAGUAUCGUAUUUAUAUUUUUACCACUGGGAGAAAGGGUUCAUCUGACUAACCAAAUCUAUUGCUACUAUCCCUUUAGGCACAAAGAAUGUCUUUCGAUGUGAGUGAUAAAUAGAGAAGACUACAACCGUAGUCUCCUUCUAACCUUGGUAAGGAUGAUCUAUUGUUCUAAUGGGGAGGCUAACGAAAUCUAGACAACACAAAGGAUGUUCGACCCGCACCUAUAAACCCUAUCCUUCCUGCUAACGAGAUGUGAUCUACAAAGGUAGCUCGGAAUUGUCACGUUCCUCACUACUACCACGGUCCAGCUAGUCAGGGAAUAUCUAUGAGUACCCCAGCCUAAACACCACGUUUACGCCAGCAAUGAUUACUCUAAACUCUACGCGAAGAGAUUAAAGUAAACUCAUAAACCAUAAGAACAAUAAAACAAGAACUUACUAGAAUUUAGAAGUCGAAUUACUGAAGAAUCCUAGGAGCAAGCUUCGGGUUAGGAGAACUUGAUCCCGCAGGUACAAGCUUGGAGUAGACACCGACAGGCCGGGCUUUCCUCCACUCUACACCUCCACUCUAUCUCUCUCAAUCUAGUAGAAACUAUAAGAUCUAUUUCUACCUUACAUUGAUUGCUAAGCCUAAAAAGAAAUAUUAAUUAGAGAAGAGGUUUUCCUUCGAGGGCACCCCUCAGUCUCUAUGAUAAUUUCUUCAUGUCUUCUCCAGGGGCCAGGGGGGCCUCGCUUAUAUAGUCCUCCCCUUCUAUGCGUUUUUGGGUCGAUAGCCGAUGUGGUACUAUGUUUUUCUUGAUCCAAUAGGUCGGUGGAAUAUCCCGAGCGAAGGAGUCCUGAAUUGGUUCCACCAGGGGGGCGGGCGCCUAGGCUACCAGGGCGGGCGCCCUGGGCCUGGCCCAGCUUCGCCUCCGCUUCGGUCUCGUGGCUUCUGGAGUCUUCUAGAUGAUGUAAAAUUACGCGGUGCGUUGAUAUCUCUAUGUAAUCCCGACAUGUGGGCCUUUCUUCCUUAUUUCCUGAUAACCCCCUGCAGAAACAGAUAAACAACAAAACUCGUGGAAUUCUGUCAGAUCAAACCCUAAUUCUAGGUGAUGGUUGCAUAUUGGUCUUUUCUCUUGUUUAUUUAAUAAUUAAAAUUGAUACUUAAGAACCGUCAACAAGUGCUCAGGAAGAGCGCCGUCUCGAGCUUACCCGACGCUUAGCCGACCAGUAUCGGCAGCGGACAGGUCAGUCUUAUACUCCGAGGCAGCUGUACGUAGCCGCGUGGUUGACUUUGCUGACCUAUUGAUUAUUCGUGUAGACUUGGAGGAGGAGGUCACGCGCCUUCGGCAGGAGAAAGAGCAGCUCAGCCAAGAGCUUGCUGGGGCGCUGGAGGCCGGGCGCCGAGCAGGAGAGGAACUAGGCCAAAGGGACCGGGAGUUGUCAGGUAAUACGCGCUGCCCCCGUUAUUUGCCGCUUAUCGCUCUUUUCGGUAUGCUGAGACUAACAUCUGGCUUGAUUUGCAGUGCUCAAGGUGAAUACCAAGAAGCACUUGGAUGAGCUGGUCAAGGAUCGGGACUCCAAGAAGGCUAAUUGUUGCAGGAUUUGGAAAGGAGUAGCCCCGGUCCUGGACUUGAUCAGCCCCGAGCUUCCAGAGAGCCAGCCCGGCGUGCCGAGACUGACGCCAGUUGAAAAGGCACAACGGGCGUGGGACUGGCUUCAGCAGUUUGUGAAGGACUCCGGGGAGUUCUCUGGCGCGCAUAUUCUCAGCAUGGUGCGCGCCCACUACCCCCUGGUCGACUUGUCCAGGCUGGAGAAGGGGUAUCCCAAGGUGGUCGGCCCGCUGGAGGCGGACGAGCUUCGGGCCGGUCUGCUGGACUUGUCGUCGACGGUGAUCGGCGACAUUAAUCUAUGCGGGACGGCCACUCCCCCCGACCAGCCAGGUUCGGACAGGUCAGCCAGGGAGUUGUCGGGGGCGUCUGUUGCUGGAGAUGGGCGGUCGACGCCUGCGGUCUCGACCAGCCAGGCGCCGGUGGCCCCGACCCCUUCGUCCGGGCAGUAAGGCCAAGCGGGUGAUCAACCCGAGCAGUAGGCCAGUAGGGUAGUCUGUAGGAGUAGACUAGUGACCGCCCGUCGGGGUAUUUAUUGUAAACUUUGUAUGUAAAGUUUGUAAUAAAGUUUGCUUUUGUCAUGACUGUUAUUUUGAGCACUGUAAAGUUAUCUGAGUGACGUGUCACCGUGUUUGAUUCAUAGUCGUUAAGGGUUUCCGUCGCAGAGGACAUUGUUGCUCUUCGGCGAAAGCUCUGCGUGUAAAACAAAGUAUAGCCAAAAAGAAAAACUUUUUUAUUGCCAACUAUAAGAGACUUACAAGCAAAAAGUUACUAGAACUUAUGGAUAAAAUCGGCGCAGUUUGUCUAUAUGCCAAGAGUUAGGCACGCGCGUUCCCUCUGGAUAUGCCAAUCUGUAGGAUGUGGGUCGUGUGACUUCGGCGACCACGAAGGGUCCUUCCCAGGGGGUUGAUAGCUUGUGCAUUCCUUCCUGUCUCGUUUUCCAUCUGAGUACCAGAUCGCCGACCACGAAAGAACGGUCCUUGACGUUCCUGUUGUGGUACCGUCUGAUUGCUGCAAGAUACUUUGCGGUUCAGAGACAUGAAUUUAGACGCUUUUCUUCCAUGCAGUUAAUUUCGAGCUCUCUGGCGUUGUCAGCUGUUGACUGGUUGAAGUUUUCAAUUCUAGGAGAACCGAAGGUUAUAUGAGACGGCAGAACUGCCUCGGUGCCGUAAACCAUGAAGUAGGGUGACACCCCCGUGUUCCGACUAGUCUGAGUUCGGAGACCCCAGACCACAGCCGGUAACUCUUUCAUCCAUCGACCAGGUGCUCUGUCGUUCUCGGUGUACAACCUUUUCUUUAGGGAGUCAAUGAUCAUUCUGUUCGCACGCUCAACUUGGCCAUUUGCCCGUGGGUGAGCUACUGACACGUAUUUUAUGACUAUGCCUCUGUCAUCGCAGAAGUCCCAAAAUGUGGUGCCAGUGAACUGAGUACCCAGGUCGGUGAUUAUACUGUUUGGGAUCCCGAAUCUGUGUAUGAUUUGAUUGAGGAUCUGCACAGCCUUCUCAGAGGUUGCUUUGACCAGUGGCAUGUAUUCAAUCCACUUUGAGAACUUGUCGAUUAAUAUGAAGACGAACUUGAAGUUGCUCGGGGCCGGUUUAAAUGGCCCGAUCAUGUCGAGCCCCCAGCAGGCGAAAGGCCAGGACGACGGGAUAGUUUGAAUGUCAUGAGCAGGUACGUGGGUCCUUUUGGCGAAGAACUGACAUCCCUCGCAGUUUCGGACCAGUUUUUCUGCGUCGUUGACCGCGGUUGGCCAGUAAAAACCUGAUCGGAAAGCUUUUCCGACCAGUGUUCUGGAGGCGGCAUGAUUGCCGCAGGAUCCGGCAUGUAUGUCGUUUAGGAGCUUGAUGCCAUCAUCUUGGGAUAUGCAUUUGAGCAGCACUUCAGAACUUGCGUUUUUUCGCAUAAGUUUGUCGUCCACCAGUAUGUAAUUCUUCGACCAUCGAAUGAGGCGCUCGUUCUCUGUUUUGUCCUGAAAUCCUGACCCAUCCGAUAUAUAUUUGAUGAUCGGGGUGCGCCAAUCACGGCCACUGGUUGUCAGAGUAGUGUCGUCUAUAAGCAUUGCCUCCGUGGGUUGCUUUUCGACCAGGCCUGCGCCCACGCUUGGCUCAUGGAUGUCCUGGACGAAAACACCUCGCGGGAUCUGGGCCCGAGAUGACCCUAACUUUGACAACGCAUCUGCUACUUGGUUCUUAUCCCGGACCACGUGGAUGUAUUCUAUGCCGUAGAAGUUGGUUUCCCAUUUGCGGAUUUCUUUGCAAUAGAGAUCCAUCUUCUUGUGGGUUGCGUCCCAUUCCUUGUUGAGCUGGUUGAUAACCAAAGCGGUGUCGCCAUAGACAUAGAGGCGUUUGACUCCCAACUCAACGGCUAGUCGUAUGCCGGGCAGGCAUGCUUCGUACUCGGCGACGUUGUUUGAUGCCGGAAAGAGGAGCCUAAGGACGUAACGCAGUUUGUCCUUGUUAGGCGUCACGAAAAGUAUCCCAGCACCGGCACCACUGAUGUUUAAGGACCCGUCGAAGAACAUCGACCAGUGGUCGGAAACGUCGGGAACGGGAGGUUCGUUGAGAUUCGUCCAUUCUGCGAUGAAAUCGACCAGGGCCUGAGACUUGACUGUGGUGCGACUCUGGAAUUCCAGGGAGAAUGGGCAUAGUUCCAUUGCCCAUUUUACAAUUCUGCCGUUGGCGUCUUUAUUGCGCAGAAUAUCCCCAAGAGGGAAACUGGUGGUUACCAAGACUCGAUGGCCGUCAAAGUAGUGCUUUAGCUUCCUUGACGUUAUUAGAAUGGCAUAUAUGAGCUUCUGUAUUUGCGGGUAUCUGGCCUUGGAUUCGUUUAAGACUUCGCUUAUGAAGUAAACGGGUCUCUAGACCUUGUAGACGUGGCCUGGCUCGUCUCGCUCGACCACUAUUGCUGUGGAGACGACCCUGUCGGUUGCUGCAAUGUAAAGAAGUAGGUCUUCAUUGGGCUGAGGCGCCGUGAGAACAGGCGGUGAGGUGAGGAAAGUCUUAAGCUGGGUGAACGCAGCGUCAGCCUCUUCCGUCCAGGAGAAUUUUUCUGACGCUUUCAAGAGUUUGAAGAAGGGGACGCCUUUUUCUCCUAGUCUUGAGAUGAAGCGUCUGAGAGCAGCCAUACAUCCGGUGAGCUUCUGAAUAUCCUUGACAUUCUUAGGUGGUCGCAUGUCAAGUACUGCUUUUACUUUUGAAGGAUUCGGCCGUAUGCCGUCGCGGCUGACGACGUUGCCGAGUAGUAGAUCGGAGGGGACCCCAAAGAUGCACUUUUUGGGAUUGAGUUUCCACUUAUACUUGUUUAGUGCUUUGAAGGUUCGGUCUAAGUUGUUGAUUAGGGUGCUGGCGUCCCUUGUUUUGACGACGACGUCGUCUACAUAAGCCUCGACGAGGUCGUCACGAAUCUCGUCGUGGAGGCAUUGCUGGAUGACCCUUUGAUAGGUGGCCCCGGCGUUUUUGAGUCCGAAGGACAUGGUCGUGUAGCAAUAUGCACCGAAAGGAGUAAUGAAAGAUGUUUUGAUCUGAUCGUCUUCCUUUAGCGAGAUCUGGUGAUAACCAGAGUAGCAAUCUAGAAAAGAAAGGAGUUCGCAUCCGGCCGUUGAGUCAACCACCUCGUUGAUGCGAGGGAGACCAAAAGGAUCUUUAGGACAGUGUUUAUUGAGAUUAGUGUAAUCAACGCACAUUCUCCAUUCAUUAUUCUUUUUGCAUACAAGAACCGAAUUGGCAAGCCAAUCGGGAUGAUACACUUCUUUUAUGAAUCCGGCUGCUAGAAGCCGUGUUAUUUCUGUCCUAAUAGCCUCCUUUUUGUCACGAGCGAACCGUCGCAGCUUUUGCUUGAUGGGUCUUGUGGUCUUCGAGACAUUUAAGGAGUGCUCGAUCAGGUUUCGUGGGACGCCGGGCAUGUCUGCGGGUUUCCAUGCGAAAACGCUUACGUUGUCCCUUAGAAACCUGACGAGCGCGUCUUCCUAUUUAGGGUCCAGGUUGGCCCCGACGAGGGCCGUCUUCUCGGGGCUGCCUUCGACCAGCUGCACUUCCUUGUGCUCCUUGGAUUUUGAGUUCUUCCUGGCGGUCUCCUGCUCGGGUAGUCGAAGCUGGUCGGGAGGUAGCUGUGCAGCUUGGGUUGCUGUCUCUGCCAUGCGGAUUGAGAGAUCAAUUGCUUCGGUGAUCUUGAAGCUUUCCUCCUCGCAAGUAUAUGCAGUGUAGACAUUGCCCCUGACGGUUAGGACACCUUUCUCCGUGGGCAUUUUGAGGACCAGGUAUGAGUAAUGUGGGACUGCCAUGAACUUUGUUAGCGAUGGUCGGCCCAGUAUAGCGUGGUAAGUCCCAUCAAAGUCAGCGACCACAAAGUUGACGAACUCUGUUCGGAAGUGGUCGGACGUGCCAAAUUGGACAGGCAAUGUUAUCUGUCCGAGGGGCACUGAACUCUCUGGCCGGGCAGGACUCCCCAGAAUUGAGCAUCGUAGGGUUUUAGCUGUGCCGGAGAUAACUUGAGGGCGGGCAGGCUGUUACGGAAAAGGAUGUCGAUGGAGCUUCCUCCGUCCACGAGCACCCGCUCGAAUCUGAUGCUGUUGAUGCAAGGGUCCAAGAUUAGAGGGAAACGACCUGGCUCUGGGAUAGCGGCCCACUGAUCCUUCCUGCUGAAGGAGAUCUCUCUGUGUGACCACGGGGGGAAUUUCGGGUCUGCGAUCAGGCCAUCCGAGCUGUCUAUGUUGAGGCAGGCUCUUUUUAGGAGCUUUCUUUCUCGCUUAGAUUCAAUGGAGACCUUGCCCCCGAAGAUGGAGUGGACCACAUCGGUGGGACUGACAUACUGGUGUCGCGGGUCCCUAUCUUGGUCCUCGUCCUCGUCUUCGUGGUCGCGUCCGUCUGGCUUCCCAUUCUUCUUGCCGGAGUCGUCUUGGGCGGCCCAUCGUGUGUAAAUGUUUUUGAGGACGCGGCACUCUUCCAUGGUAUGGUUGGACUUUGGAUACAGUUGGCACGGUCCCUUCAACGUUUUGUUGUAGUCUUCUUGGUAGUCCCGCCGCCCGUUGGGGCGUUUGACUGUAUUCACUUCGUGAUCAUGGUCGCGGGGGCGCUUUCCUCUGAAAUCAUCGCGAUUGUCGCGCCGCCUAUCCCAACCUUCCCUGUGAUCACGGUUGUCGGGACGGCGGUGGUUCCUGUUGUCGAAACGACCGCGACUAUCAUCUCGCCGGGGAGGCUGGUCGGGACCUCUCGCAUCGUCCCGGAUGAGUUUUUCUGCGUCGUCGGCGUCGGCGUAAUUUUUAGCCGUGGCAAGGAGCUCGGCCAUCGUUGUUGGCCUUUUGCGCAACAGCUUGUUCCUCAGUGCUUCAUGGAAGCGCAGCCCCUUGAUGAAAGCAGAUAUGGCCUCGUCGUGGGAAAUCUUCGGGAUCUUAAGGCGCAUAUCCGAGAAUCGUCGGAUGUAAUCGCGCAGAGGAUCGUUUUUCCUAUCCCUUAUCCUUUCGAGGUCGUACUUGUUUCCAGGCUGCUCGCAUGUGGCGAUAAAAUUGUCGAUGAAAGCCUGGCGCAGCUCUUCCCAAGAGUCGAAGGAGUCCUCGGGCAGGCCAAGGAGCCACUGGUGACCAGCCUGGUCGAGGACUACUGGGAAGUAGUUGGCCAUGACGUGCUCGUCUCCUGCUGCUGAUCGGACGGCGAUCUCGUAAAGAGUGAUCCAAUUUUCCAGAUUUUCAUUGCCGUCGUAUUUUUUGAGUUUCUCGAGCUUGAAAUUGCGGGGCCACACGACCUAGCAGAGGUGUGAGGAGAACUGCCUCAGGCCCGGGGGGCCGUGUGUUGCAUCAUAUUCGAUACGACGCAGGUUUUCGUGGACUGCUCUCUCCGUGGCGCGCCUGUUGAUGCGGUCUCGGGCGUCUUUGGGAGGGAUGUUGUAUCGAAGAUCCUUGUGCUGGUUUACUUCCUGACCACGCCCAUGAUUCUGCUCGCGGCGACCGCCAGCAUCCCGACCGCCAUCGCCACGCCGUGAGUCUUUUCGAUGAUCGUUGGGAGAAAGGUCGCGGUGGUGCCCGCUGGGCUGUGGUGAGGUCCGGCUGCGGUGGGUCUGAUCAGAGGAGGCCUCUGUGUAAGAGACGGCUUGGACUCUUUUAAGCAGAGUGGCUGUUUGCCCCAUAGCAGCGAUCAGAUGUGCUCGAACGCUGGAUCGGACGCCCUGGCACUCGGGAGUAUCAGGGAGUCGAUCUAAAUUGGCCAUGGCGACAGCCACAUUGGCGCUUGGCGUUUUGUAGACUUGCUGAUCCCCGACCAUGUCGAAAGCAUCGCUGAGAUUAUGCGGCGGGAAUUGGCGUUCCUGGUCUGCGCGUCGUCGGGCACGGUCGGCGUUGCGCUGCUCGCGGAGCUGCUUCUGCUCGUCUGUUUCUCCAUCAACAGCCGGCUCGUCGGCGCUGACGUUGAGAAUGAUAUCUCCUCACCGAGGUGGGAAGACCGGGAAACGAGGGAAACCCAGAGGAUAUGGAGGCAAAUCCAGAUCAUAGUCCUCAUCCUCGGAGUUUAUGACUUCAGUGGGAACGGAACCAGUGCUCGAAUUUGUGCUGGAAGCCUGGCCGUCCGGUAGUUUUUGGACGGUCACCAUGUUGACGUGGUGACGAGCUGGUCGACCGUUCCACUUUGGCAGCCAACCCGCGUCGUUAAAAAGGGAUUGGACAUGCCGUGAGUAGAGAGAGGCCGAGUUGUUCAGACCGCAAGGAUACCCUUCCUCCGGAUCAGCCUUGGUCUUGACGGACCGUCCCGAGGGGGUGGAGGUUAUCGUCAGAGUCGCCCCCAGUUGUUCGUGUGUGACGACACGAGUUGGCCGGUAGGAUUUGAAAAAAUCCGCUAGUGCGGCUUGAUCAGGUUGACGUAAGAUCCCAUCUACUAGUCGAGAAGCCUCGAGAAGCUUGGAAUCAGCGCGAUCAAGUGCUCGGAGAAGAUCCGAGCCGUCAAUCUUCUUUCCCUUGUAGCGUGGGAGUGGUGGUCGGGUGCUCGGUACCAGCAUCCGUGUGGUCGGAGCCGAUGCCGCCGUCAUCCCAGAUUGGAUCUGGGUUCCCUCCGAAACCGUGGUCGUGAGACCGCCGCCGUGCGUCGUCCACGUGAUCUGGCCGACGGUGAACGUGAGGCCUUCGGGCACGGCCGCGGAAGCUAGGACGAUGACCAUCUUGUUCGUCAGAGGAGUUGUACGCACACCCCCUACCUGGCGCGCCACUGUCGACGAAAGCUGGUCGACAGUCUACCUUGGGGUAUACCCACGGUAGUAGUUUAUCGGUAGACGGUGCGCAAACUACGAACUCGAUGGUGACGCAAGACACGGACAAGCUUUUUAUCCAGGUUCGGCCGCCGAGUUGGCGUAAUACCUACGUCCUGCGUCUGGUUGUAUUGAUUUGUGUUGAGAGAAUAACUUGUCCUAGGGGGGUCCAUUACCUCUCCUUAUAUAGUCCGGAGGGCAGGGUUACAAAUCUGGAAACUAAUCCUAGUCGGUUACAAUUGCCAUAGAUAGUUCGAUAUCAAUUCCUAUUCUAACCGACUAGAAUCCUGCUUGAUUUCCACGUCUUGUUUCCUUGCGCGAAACUCCGAGCUGUCGGGUCAAGCCUUAAACUUGUCUCGUAACGGGCCAAGCCUCCUGGCCCAAGUCUAGCCGUAAGGGUAUAGGGGUUUAUACCCCCACAAGAUCAGUCUCGCAACCUCUGGAACGUAGGUGGCCGUGGCCUGGGGAUUUUUUACCUCGAAAGGUUUUCAGAUUUGGUUAUAGUAUUGGGGUCGGGCGUGACAGAAUCUGCGCCCAACGGAAACCGCCUUGCAAUUUUUGCUCGGGGUCAGCAGGGGGUCGGGCGAGACGGAAUCUGCGCUCGACGGAGACCGCCCUGCGACUUUGGUCAACAGGGGGUCGAGCGCCGCUUGCCCUGGAAGGAACCGCCCUGACAUAUUUUUUCAGGGCGCUCCUUUUGAGGCGCCGUGCGUGGGGAGUUGAAACGGCCGUGCCGUUGUGCCCUGACCGGACGCGACGUUUCACCUACGAAAUUAAUGCGCGCGUGCAGCGGGCGUGAGAAUCGGAGGGAGUGGGCGCCUCGAAUUUUUCACCUGGUGAGGGAGCGGGCGACGGUUGCUCUUUUUCCCCUUGGCCUUCUGCGCAGGCGGUGUGGCCGCGGUGCGCUCCUUCUAUAAAAGCAGUCGUGGGGCCUUCGAUUCCUUUCCUCCUGCUCUCGCGCAAAAAGCUCUCGCCUCCUGCUCCCCUUGCUGCCGUCUUCUCCAAUCCAUCCGCAAGCUCCUCACUUUGCUCGCAGCCAUGGCCGGCGAUGAUGCGUGGCCCCCUAGUAACGUGACGAGGUCCGUACUAGACGCGCGCGUGAAGGCUUGGAUCCUCCACCCUAUCACAGAUGCCGGGUUGCUGGAGUGGAUCGCUCCCUCGGUGAACAAUAGGGAGCCAAACCCGCCUCUGGGCUAUGUGGUUUGCUUCUUGUCGUUCUUGGACCGGGGGUUCGGAACUUCGGCCAGCCGUCUGAUCCGGGCAAUUCUGCAUUUCUAUGAGGUGGAGCUGCAUAACCUCAACCCCAAUUCGAUGAUGCAGGCGGCCGUAUUCGCCACGGUGUGCGAGGGGUUCCUGGGGGUUCCUCCCCACUGGAACCUCUGGCUGCACCUUUUCAAGGCAGAUAUGUCCGCCCGCUACGAGGGAGGGGAGAAAAUUCCCCUACGGGUUGGUGGUUGCACGCUACAGCUCCGCCAGGCGCGGUCCCACCAGUACAUCUGGAGCACCAUGCCUUUGUCGAACCGGGGGUGGCAGAGCGGAUGGUUCUACCUCCGGAACGACGGCGGGCUGCUCCCGGGGUACACCGGGAAGACGGUGACUGAGUGCCCCCCAAAAUGGGCGUGGGGUGCCCCUGCGGAAGAGCAGAAGAGGCUUGCCCCCCCUUCUUGCGGGGCUCGAGAAGCUGCGUGACGCCAGGGUCACCGCGGCCACGGUGGUGACGGCGUUCCACAAGAGGAGCUUGCUCCCGCUAGCACAGCGGUGGGCAUUCAUGUUCGAGAUGACCCAGGACGUCCCCUGGGUUGGGACAAGGAUGUUGGAGGAGCCGGUGUCGGCGUCGGACAUAGCCGCCCGGGUCUCUAAGACCACGCACUCGGACCUAAAGAACUCCCGGGUGGUGCCGAUGCGCCCUGAAAAGGGCUACAUUUCUCUGUUAAGAUGGUGUUUUUGUUUCUAAUUUAGCCUUGUCCCUUUUCCUUCCCGCCCUAUCCCUGAUUGCUGCUCUUUUGCAGGGGAUGGGGAUUGUCAAGGAUUCCCUGCCCCCUGUCCCAGAGGACAAGGAGCUCCGGGCCAAGAAUCGAGACCGAAAUGAGGAACAAAAGAAGGCCAAGGAGGCGCAAAAGGCGAAGGCUGCGAUGAAGGCGCAGCGUCGUGAGACCUCCGCCAAGAAUCGCCGCGAGGCCGAGAAGGCGGGGCUCCCUCCGCCCGACUCCCCUGAGACUUCGGUCUCGGAGAUAGAGGGUGGGGGAGACAACACGCGCUGGCUCGUCGAGCUAGAGGCGGAGGAGGACGACGUGAUCCCCCCUGUCGGCGGGGGGAUCGAGAUCCCGGAGGGGUCGAAGGCCCGAGGGGGGUCGGAGGCCCCCGAGGGGUCCCAAGCACCGGGGGGCAGACAGACUGUCCCCCACAUCAUCGUGGACGACGAGGACGGCGCCCCACGAGAGGGCUCUGUCCCCUCGGGUCCCCAAGAGGGGGAGAGGGCACCGGGGGGUGGAUCCGAAGCGCCCCCACGGCUGGUGGUGCCGGAGGGCCCGACUGAGCCUCGCCCAGUAUCCGGGGCAAAGGCAGGCGGCUCAGAUGAGGCGCCACGGGCCGAGGGCACCGUCGAAGCUCCCACGCCAGGCACCGGGGAGACGGGGGUCCAUCCGACGGCCCCUAGGGUUUCAGGAGGCCCCUAGGGAGCUCCAAGCUCCCAGAAGAAGCCUACCCCCCGAGCAAGGUGCGUUUCAGCAUUUUGGUCUUUCUUUUGAUUUUUUGUUUUUCUCUUUCUUCUGACUCGCGUUAUCUCUUCUUCAGCCAGAAGCACAAGGCGGCCUCAGUGGAGCUAGCUCCCUUGAAGGCCGUGAAGAGGGGGGCACGGUCAACCCCUGGGUCGGCGAAGCCCAAGUCGCCGCCCCCCUGAGCCGCAAAAAGGGGGAGCUCCCCCACGACGAAGGGGGGCAGGGGACCGGGCGGAAGACGCCGGAUCCGCCAGCGAAGGAGGCGGGGACGCCGAGGCCCAAAGAGCCAGAAGAAACGGUCUUAGCCCUCGGUGCUAUUCCCCCUUCUGGGGAUGCUAGCCAGGGGGGCCAUGACCAUCAAGUAGAGGAGGGCCGAGCCGAGGGGACACUUAGCGUGGUGGCCCUUGUGAGGCCCCACGGGAAGGAGCCGGCCCGACCCAAGGCUUCUGCAAGGGAGGGGGAGGGAGAAUGGCCUGGGGCCAGGACCCCAUGAUCUGGCCCAACCCUGAUGACCUAGAGGGGAGGGCCAGAUUUGUGUUGGAUGACCCGUCAGAGGCCUAUCUCUGGCAGGGUCUUGAGGAAUGCGGGCGCGCGAGCGUCGAGGCGCUCAACCGAGCGUCCGAGCUCGUGAGCCGUGAUAUGUUCAAGCUUGCCCAGGUACGAUCUCUGUCCCUUUGUCGGUAAGGUGUUUGUGUCUUUGGGCUAACUUUUUUGCUUAAUACUUGAAUUCGUAGGCGCUCCAAGCCGCUUCCCUGGAGAAGUCGACAUUCCUCCGUGGGGAGCGGGAUGCCUGGGCGGCCUGUGAUGACGAGAAGGCCGCGCGAGAGGCAGCCGAGGGGGAACUCGCGAAAGAAUGUGAGAUCUCUGCCGAGCUUCGGCAGAAGUGCUCGGCCCUCGCGACUGAGGCUCGGAAGGCUCGGGAAAAGGUUGGUCCCCUGGAGAAGAGGGUCAGCGACCUCACCCAGGAGUCCCAAGAGCAGAGGGCGGUCGCUGAGGGGUAUAAGGGCGAGGUUGCUCGGCUAGAAGCUUUGCUCACCGCGAAGGACCUUGCCCUGAACCAAGCCCAGGCCGACCUCUCCGCACCUCAGAGAGAAGUGGUUCCUUGGCACCGAAGCUCGGCGGAGAAUGAGAAGCGAGCCGAGGGUAAGAAUUGUGUCUUCUACCUUAGCUCUUCUUAUGUUUGGAUUGACUUUCCUGACCAUUAUGUUCUUUCCGUUCUGUUUUUUGAUAGAGUUGGAGAAGAAGAUGGCCGAGGCAGCCACUGCCGCCGACGCCUUGCAGAAGUCCCUUGACGCCGAGGUCACGGACCGCUCGGCUCAGGAGGUUGUGGUCACCUCGGCGUGCGAGGGGCUCGGGGUGUCGGCAGGUGAGUCGAGGUCGUCGCUGCAGAGUCGGACUGAAGCUCUCUACUCCCGGGCCGGGGAGAAGAUGAGGGAGGCGCUCCACGUCGGGUUGAAGAAAGCCCUGGCGGUGGUGAGCUCUCACUACGUCGGCAUCGAUUUGUCGGUGGUUAGUGAGGGCUACGUCCUUCCUGAUGACGAGGCGGAGGCCCAGGAGGAGCUGCAGAGGCUUGAAGAUGCCGCAGACGCCCCGAGAGAUGCCCUGGCCACCUUCUUCGACGCUGAGGUGGAGCUUCCCCCCCUCGACGCGCAGGGGCCUGGGCCAGCAGGGCAAUAAGGCCCUUUAAGUUAGAUUUUUCUCUUUUUGUGAACAUCAAAGGCCAGUGGGCCUUGUCUUUUGUAUAAAAUAUUGAUGUUGAGAAUAUAAAUAUGUUUGUUUCUUUUAGAAUUUCUUUUAUAUCCAUUGUUAUCUUUUUCCCUAUGCCGACCUGACCUCGGCAGCGCGGGGUUGGGUGAGCCACUUAGGGUCUAUGCUAGUCAGAGCAUCCAAUCCUAAGUUCUUUCCUCUUCCUUAGUAAUUUUUUAGAAGUUUGGAUCCGUCCCCCGACCCUAGGGAGUGGGCAGAGGUCGUCCUUGCCCGUGGGCGUGGAUCCUUCCUCGAGCCCACGCCUUGCUAGGAUUUAGGGGAUGGAUUUUGCAGCCUCUUAAAUUUCUUUAGGGAACGAAAGAAAGACCUUGGGUCGGGGUGCUUUGACUUGCGCGAAAAAGAAGGGAAGAAAAUUUUGGAGUUGCCACAGGGGGUUCCCCCCGUGUAGCCCCCGAGGGAGGCUCAGAUUCCGCAAGGCGGAUCCGAGGCUCACUCUCUAAAAAGAAACAAUCAUAUUAUUUAAACUUUCAUUUAUUCUUUCGAGAUGAUGAACAACUGAAUAUGUUUACAAAAUUCUAAGGGUAGAAGCGACGUAGUUGUUCUCUGUUCCACGCGAUCUUGAAGACCUCCCCUGCUUCGUUGGCGAGCUUGUAAGUGCCGGAUCGGAGGAUUUCGGCGAUGACGAAAGGUCCUUCCCAGGGGGCGUGAGCUUGUGACGACCCUUGUUGCUUUGUCUGAGCCUCAGCACCAAGUCGCCGACUUGAAAGGCUCGGCCUCGGAUUCGUCGCGUGUGGUAUCGGCGGAGGGCCUGCUGGUAUUUGGCGGAGUGUAGGAGGGCUACAUCUGUGGCUUCGUCCAGCUGGUCCAGCGCGUCUUCUUGGAACGUCUUGCAGCUGUUUUCGUCGUAAGCUUGUACCCUUGGAGACCCGUACUCUAGAUCCGUGGGGAGGACGGCUUCCGACCCAUAGACCAUGAAGAACGGGGUGAAGCGUGUGGCUCGGCUUCGGGAAGUCCUUAGACUCCAGAUCACGGCCGGUAGCUCUUUGAGCCACCUUUUUCCGAACUUGUCCAACAAGUUGAAGAUCAUGGGCUUUAGACCCUAGAGGAUCAUGCCAUUAGCACGCUCCACCUGACCGUUGGUCUUUGGGUGAGCAACUGUUGCCCAGUCCACACGUAUGUGGUGUCUGUCGCAGAACUCCAGGAAUUUCCGCCGGGUGAACUGUGUGCCGUUAUCGGUGAUUAUGGAGUUGGAAACUCCAAAUCGGUGGAUGAUAUCUGUGAAAAACAGCACCGCUUGUUCGGCCUUGAUCUUUGUGAUGGGUCGGACCUCAAUCCACUUGGAGAACUUGUCGAUUGCGACAAGCAAGUGGGUGAAGCCCCCGGGCGCCUUUUGCAGAGGCCCGACGAGGUCGAGGCCCCAGACAGCAAAGGGCCAGGUGAUGGGGAUCGUCUACAGAGCCUGGGCGGGGAGAUGAAUCUGCCGAGCGUAGAACUGGCAUCCCUCACAGGUCCGCACGAUCUCCGUGUCAUCAGCUACGGCGGUGGGCCAGUAGAAGCCUUGUCGGAAGGCGUUUCCUACUAGCGUCCGAGGCACGGCGUGGUGGCCACAAGCCCCCGAGUGUAUGUCUUCCAGGAGCUUGAUUCCCUCCUGACGGGGGAUGCAGCGCAUAAGGAUGCCCGAGGGGCUGCGCUUGUACAUCUCUCCGUCAAGGAGGAGGAAAGUCUUGGCGCGACGAGCCACACGUCGCGCCUCAGCCUGGUCUGAGGGUAAUGUGCCGUCGACGAGGUGUUGCAGCAAGGGGUAGCACCAAUCUGGCGAGUCGUCUGGUGCAGGGGGUUCGGACUCAAUGUCCAUGGCCUCCUGCUCCUGAACCGUGAAGACCUUGGGGUCGGGGCCUGAGUCGCCUAGGGGUUGAUCCGAACCCCCGUCGUCUUUGUAGUCGACAGAAGGCUUGUAGAGGUCGCUGACAAAAACAUCCGGGGGGACCAUGGCCCGCUCGGACGCCAUCUUGGCGAGCGCAUCGGCAGCCUCAUUGUAUUUCCUUAACAUGUGGUUAAGCUCGAGGCCGUCGAAUUUUUCCUCCAGGCGCCAGACUGUUUUGCAGUACGUGUCCAUCUUGGGGUCGUGGCAGCUGGACUCUUUCAUGACUUGGUCAAUGAUGAGUCUGGAGUCGCCUCGGACGUCAAGCCGCUUGAUCCCAAGCUCGAUCGCGAUAUGGAGCCCAUUAACAAGGGCCUCGUACUCCGCCGCAUUGUUUGAGGUAGGGAAGUGAAGUCGGAUUGCAUAUCACAUCCUUACCCCGAGGGGCGAGAUGAAGACGAGGCCUGCGCCAGCCCCGGUUUUCAUCAGGGACCCGUCGAAGUACAAGGUCCAGCACUCGUGCUGGAUCUGGGGUGGAGGGAGUUGGGUCCCCGUCCACUCAGCUACGAAAUCCGCUAGGACUUGGGAUUUUAUGGCUUUUUGAGGCUCAUAGGUGAUCCCAUCACCCAUAAGCUCUAUAGCCCACUUAGCUAUCCUACCAUUAGCAUCUCGGUUCUGAAUCACCUCUCCUAGGGGGAAAGAUGAUACUACCGAGAUUGGGUGAGACUCAAAGUAAUGGCGGAGCUUGCGUCGGGCUAAGACUACCGCGUAGUGUAGUUUUUGGAUUUGGGGGUAUCGGGUCUUUGUGUCGGAUAGUACCUCACUGACGAAGUACACCGGCCUUUGGACCGGUAGGGCGUGCCCUUCUUCCUUCCUUUCGACCACGAUAGCUGUGCUGGCCACCUGAUCGGUGGCUACGACGUAAAGGAGCAAUGGUUCCCCCUCGGCGGGAGGUACCAAGAUGGGAGGGUUAGUGAGCAGGGCCUUGAGCUUGUCAAGGGCUUCCUGGGCCUCGGAGGUCCACGAAAAGUGCUCGCUUUUUCUAAGUAACCUAUACAGAGGUAGUCCCUUCUCCCCGAGAUGGGAGAUGAAACGACUAAGGGAAGCUAGGCACCCCAUGACUCUCUGUACUCCCUUUAGGUUACGAAUUGGGCCCAUAUUUGUGAUGGCCGAGACUUUUUCUGGGUUGGCCUCGAUCCCUCGCUCAGACACAAUGAACCCAAGGAGCAUGCCUCGGGGGACCCCGAAAACGCAUUUUUCAGGGUUCAGUCUGAUCCCUUUAGCCCUGAGGCAUCGGAAUGUUUCAUCCAGGUCAGCCACCAGGCCGCUUGUCUUCCUGGAUUUGACAACAAUGUUGUCUACGUAAGCCUCUACCGUUUUGCCUAUGAGGUCCCCGAAGACCUGGAGCAUACAUCGCUGGUAUGUAGCCCCCGCGUUCUUAAGGCCGAAAGGCAUGGUUACGUAGCAAAACAUUCCGAGCGGAGUGAUGAAAGAAGUUGCGAGCUGGUCAGACUCGUUCAUCUUGAUUUGGUGGUUACCGGAAUAAGCAUCAAGAAAAGAUAAAAUUUCACAUCCCGCAGUGGAGUCAACUAUUUGAUCGAUACGAGGUAAUGGAAAGGGAUUCUUAGGACAUGCUUUAUUUAAGCUAGUAUAGUUUACACACAUCCUCCACUUCUCAUUUUUCUUCUUGACUAGUACAGGGUUAGCUAACCACUCGGGAUGGAAUAUCCCCUUGAUGAAUCCGACCGUUAGCAACUUGUGGAUCUCCUCCUCGAUGGUCCGGCGCUUCUCCUCGUCGAAUCGACGCAGGCGCUGUUUCAAGGGCUUGGAGCCAGCUCGGAUGUCCAAGGAGUGCUCGGCGACUUCCCUCGGUAUGCCAGGAUGUCCGAGGGACUCCACGCGAAUAGGUCAGCAUUCACGUGGAGAAAGUCGACGAGCACUGCUUCCUAUUUGGGGUCGAGGCUCGAGCUGAUCCUCAACGCCUUGCCUUCAGACGUCCCGGGGUCGAGGAAGACAAGCUUGGUCUCCUCCGCCGGCUCGAAGCUUCCGGCGUGACGCUUGGGGUCAGGGAUGUCCUGGUCGCCAUCGCCGAGGCUAGUGUGGAUAGUCAGAGACUCAGCAAGAGCCUCUGCCUGCUCGAUGCACUCGAUGUCACACUGGUAGGCGUGCUGGCUGGUCGUGCUGAUGGUGAUGAUGCCGUUUGGCCCCGGCAUCUUGAGCUUGAGGUAGGUGUAGUUGGGGACGGCCAUGAACUUGGCGUAGCAUGGUCGCCCCAGGGUUGCGUGGUAGGUUCCUGGGAACCCGACCACGUCGAAUGUGAGGACCUCCCGUCUGAAGUUGUCAGGGUCCCGAAGCAGACGGGCAGAUCGAUCUGCCCGAGGGGAUGGGCGCGAUGUCCCAGCACCACUCUGUGGAAUGGCGAUGCAUCAUUUCUGAGCCGAGACUUGCUGAUCCCCAUAAGGGCCAGAGUCUCGGCGUAAAGAAUGUUGAGGCCGCUGCCUCCAUCCAUCAACACCUUGGAGAGACGUGUCUCGGCGAUGAUGGGGUCGACGAUCAAAGGAUAACUCCCGGGGUUGGGGAUCCGAUCCGGGUGAUCCUGCCGAUCGAAAGUGAUUGCGCUCUCGGACCAUUUGAGGUACGAGGGCACGGCUGUGCUGACUGCGCAAACUUCUCGGAGUUCGCGCUUCCUCUGACUCGCGGUGAGACGAGCCGCACGUCCCCCAAAGAUCAAGAGGCAGUUCUUGACCUUGGGGAAUCCUUCUCUCUGGGGGUCGUCGUCCUUGGGGGGCUCUUCAGCGCCCUCCUUGACUAUGAUGUCGGUGUAAUACCGGCGCAGGACAGUGCACUCCACAAGGGUGUGCUUAGUAGGGCCCCUAUGUUAGGGGCAUGGCUUCUUCAACAUCUCAUCAAAGAGACCGGGGCCAGCAGGAGCCCGCUUGGGGUUCUUGCGAUCUGCCGCUUGUUGACACUUCUUAACGCAACCACCGGAUAUCGGCGACGGCGCCAGAAGUGCCCUGGUAGGGUAACUCUAUUUACUAUUGGAUAAUUCCGCAAGCGCACAGAAUGUACCGCUGUAGCACUUCACCAAGGAGUAUUCCAAGGUAUCGUAAUUUAUAUUUUCCCAAGGGAAAGCGGCUAAGUGUGUUUAACAAAAAGGGGAAUGAGAUUCCUUGAGUUAUCUAGUAUCAACUAGUGAAUAAGGGUGGUAAAUAACGAAUAGGAAGGGUAGUGGUGAAUCCAAGGUCCUAUGCUAAAGGUAAAUGGUAGAGUUAGCUAGGUGGGAGGACAACGAGUGAGUAAAGGACUCCUAUGUAUCUAACUUGACUUCUGUGACUUACUUUAAUAGAUAAUUGCCUUAACUACGCUAGAGCCUUACUAACUGUGUGCGAGGGAUAGCCGAGCUGGUAAGACGCUUAGAAGGUUUUUCACCUAACCCCUUACCGAAAGCGACUAUUGGGCUUAUGGACGCCUUACCUUUUAAGAACUAGCCUGUACGUGAGGAGAACCUAAUGCCGCCCACGAUCUGUCACCUACUAGGGAGUGCGCUCCUACUUUCCGUUCAAGCCAGCGGUAAUCAAAGGUAAUCUUAAGUAUGAGCACCACGCUCACACUUAAUCCUACAACGCUAACUAGUUGCAGCUAGCUAGAGCUCCUAUACAAGAUAGGACGAUGAUGCACACACAGGAGUGGUUACAGGUCACUAACUUCACUAAGACAACUAUAUUACUAAAGUAAAUGCACAACAAGACUAAAAGACUUGCACUAAGUAAGAACUCAGUAAAGUAAAGUAAGAAUAAUAUAUUAAUAAGAGGAAAGUCUUACAAAAGUAGAAAGGUACAAGAGCUAUACCAGACUCUCCAGAAGACGACUCCGGAGACCCCGAGCUUCGCUCGACUCGACUCUAACUCCCACUCUAGACUAACUACUACUCUACUUGUAUGCUUGGAACUUGUAAUGCACUUGGCCUUGGAAUUGCACACUUGAAAUGAAGGAUGGAGGCUGCCUUUUAUAGAGGGAGAUGGAGUAGGGGUUACUCCAUCGCCACGUCAUCGAUCCGCGUGACAUCUUCUCUCCACCCUUGGAUCAAACCGACCUCACAACCGCCAUUUGAUCAACGGCAGGGGCAAAUCAACAUGUGGGACAUGUGGGGAAGGUCGGUGGGAGGCCACCGACCCUGGAACCGCCUUUGAUGUGGGGUCGGGCGACCCCACUUCUGGGCCUCUGGGCCCACCAGCAGUGUCCACAGGGGUCCCUUAUGUCGGUGGACUAGGUGGCACACCUGGGUCCCACCAAAGAGGGGUCGGGCGACCCCCUCCCUGUGGGCCCAGGGUGUCACCUGUUGUCCCCUCGAUCUCCUCUUGAUGAUUCUGAUGUUGGCUUUGUCAAAUAAUGUCUUGAAUUUGUUGUUCCUGCAUAAACAAGCUAAGAGUACAAGUGGAACUAGUUAUGGAUAAAAUAUGUUCAUGUCAUGUCGUUUCCCCUUGCAACCGAGGCAUGUUGACGGUGUUUUGUAUGUGGAUUUCUAUGGUAUAUCCACCGUCAACAAGAUCCCCCAAGCUUAACCUUUGCUCGUCCCGAGCAAACAAUCAAACUUAGCCUCGGUGGAUCAGGUAUUGUUACUAUGUUCACAUUUCAAGAGUACCAUGUGUACAACAAAGUUCUUCUCCUUGCAUGAAAAAUUUAGCUAUGUAAACUUACCCCUAUUACCUUAGUCCCUUAUGGGGCUUAUGGCUUUUCCUUUGUCUUAGGUGGUUGAGAGACAGAACAGUUUGACUUGAGCACUAACUUUCUCAUUCUUAGCAAGUUUCAUAUCAGAGGUUUUGUGAUAUUUUCAAAAGAAAGCUUAAAUGUUCCUCUUAUGGUUCUCUCAUGUCACUCAAAUGGUGUAUGAUUCCUCACCAAGGCAUAUGGUAAGAGUUGCCUUCUCUAUUUCAUCCUAUUUCUAAAAGGCUUAUGUGGAGUUCAAGGUAGGGAUGAAAGGAGAUAGCAUACUUACUUUGCAUGUAUUGCGAAAUCAAAGCUCGGAUCCUUGAAGAGAAGUGUCAUACUCCCAGAUCAAGAUGUGCAAGUGUGAUAUAUGGUGGACUAGGUUGCUCCUUUAUUUGAUAGACUCUCUAUGUAUUGAGACAUGGCUAGCAUUUUUUUCUUCUUUUUUUUUAUAUAUAUAUGAGCUUUCAUGUGCUCAAUUUUCUUUUUCUGUGGACUUGCACAUGUCCAUCUUUUUAUUUCAUUUUGCCUAGCCCUUUUGAUGUCUCAUUUACCAAAUAAUGCUUAGAGAGAUGUUCUAACAUUUAGAGUAUGGAGCAACCUAUUUAGUGGAUGCGAAAUACAUGUGGUUGCGUACUUCCAGUGUAGAAGCAGCAUAUAUAUAUAUGUGGUGUGUACGUGAUCUUGAUCUUAGGAGCAUGAAAAGUCUCUUAACAAGGGUCAACAAGACUUGACGACACUCAACACAAAGCGAAUAGCUUAUGUGGAAAGGUUGCAAUUAUGUAAAGUAGAUAUGGCUGUGGUAGGAAUUCAUCACCAUUGAGGAACAAUUAAGGUUUUGAUCAUUUUAAGAAUAAAUCUCUGAUAAUCAUGCAUGCUUAGAAAAAUAUUAUAGUAGCUCUUGUCUUACUAUCUCAUGUCCCACAACAACUUAGACUUAGUUCUAGCACUUGCAACCCACAAAGUUUUUAGGUUCAUGGCAGUUUAAGUGAGCUAAGUGAUCCAUACUUAGAGAAAUACUAAGUUGUAUACUAGGCACUAGAGAAACAUUUAACAAGCAACUAGUCAUAAUUUCCAUGAGGGAUAUAAACAUACAUGAAGCAUAUAUGCUAAAGGGAAAUGCUAAUAAAUAUUUAUUUUUUUUAAGUAAGAAUGAUAAAAUGCAUGAAAAUAAAUAGGAUAGAAUACUUACCUUAGUGGGGGAGAGGAUCUCCCCCAAGCUAGAUCUUCGCUCACUGUGGUGGCGGGAAAUUUUGGUACCAUCCAGCCCAGCGUUGUGCGUCUUCCUCUCGCACACGUCGGAUAUGUUGGCCGUUUUGUAACGCCAGUUGCAAUGUUGCUUCUUGCCCAAUCUGCAAUUCGCCUAUGUCAUUAAUGAGACUGUCCAUACCUGUGGGCUGGUGACGCCUAGACCUGUCCCUUGGGCGUGGAGUGCGUUGUGGAGGUAGACCCAUGGAGUCUGAAGCAUCCACUAACAUCGCUUCAUCGCCCUCUUCAACGUCAUGGUGCGAGGAUCCUCCUUGCUCCAUCUGGGCGGCUUGCAUCAUCCUUCUUGUCACCCUGCGUGUCCCUGCAACAUCUGGACUUGCCACUCGGGCUAGUCUAAUGGUAAGUGUGCGGACCCCAUACAACCGGCGCCUCGCACAUGGGAGAGGAAUUUCGGUUGUAUAGCCCGGAUAAAUCAUUUUAAGUUCACCAUUUGGAUCUCUUAUGAGCAUGUUAGCAUUGAUGAAGAAGUUCUCAUCUACCACUCCUCUAACAUAGCCAAUGUCUUCAAAAUAAUGUGAUUCAAGUAAUCCAAAAGUAUCGGCUAUUCGAGUAAUAAAGGAUGUGAAAUAGAUGGGCUUCCCAUACUCAAUAGAGUUAAGCCAAUAGUUCACUAGCAGUUUCACAGGGGAGACCUUGAUUUUACUAACCAUGGCAUAGAGAAUUUUAAGUUCAUCAUCAAUUAAAGUAUCAGUUCCCAUGCUAGGAUAUAGAGUGCACAUGAUCCAGAAGUGAAGAAAGCGCAAGGUUGGAUUAUGGAUUUCAAUGGGAGUAGGAUUUGAACAAUCAUUAGAGCCAGAAAUUGCUUUCCAGAAUCUAAUUUUAUCGAACAUUCUAGUGGCAUGAUCUAGAUCAAGUUCACAUUCAUGUUCACACCCUAAAGCAGUGUUUAGCAAACUCCAAUUUAAUUGAUGUUCUUGCUCACACAUGCGAAAAGAUAUUCCAUUAUUUGUGAGUUUUAGGGUGCAUAGAAAUUCUUUAGCAAGCAAUUCUUUUCCAAAUUCAGGCACUUGCCAAAAACUACUCCAACCAAUUGCUCUAAACACCUUAUCGAAUUCAACAUCCAUACCUGUGCGGGCCAAAAGGUCCGGAUCGAUGAUGCUAGUGUGUAGGAAGAGACCCUCUCGGAUGAUGUAGUACCUUUGCAACUCUUCUUGGCUUAACAUGAGGCCGCUCUCGGGCUCUCUCAUCCUUGAUGGAGGCUCGUAGGGUACCAUCCCAUGGUAACCUUCUUCUUCCUCCCUUCCAUGAGCAUGGUGAGAGCCUUGAGAAGAGCUCUCACCCUUUGCUUUCUUGAACUUGCCGAAGAUAUGCUUCUUCAUCCUCCUACACAAGUGAGGCAAACCAAGCUCCUACUACUACUACUAUGCAAGGGGAAUCUUUUUGGGUUUUUGUUUUGAUGACUAUUUCUAAACUAAACUUGAGAAAUGGCUUGUAACAAAGAGAGAAGAGAAAGGAUUGUGAGCUCGAAAUGGUUCUGGUGGUUUUGGGUGUGGAGUUGAGCUCACAAUGCUGUGGUAUUUAUAGGGGGAGAAGGGCAAGUAGUGGACCCACAAUAUAGGGGUCGGCCGACCCCCCCUAGAAGCACUUUGAAUUUGAGUUUAGCUUUAUACAGGGAACCAUUCUGCAUGCUUUCAAGAUUUUGCAGAGAUGGUCCAAAAAUGGGGGUCGGCCGACCCCCAUCCUAGCCCCUCCUCCACUUUAAACAUUGUGUCAUUGAUUGUCCGGAAAAGUAAAGGCUAGGUGUGGACCAAAAGUUUUCAAAUUGUUUCUGAGAUUCCCUGUUUUAGUGCUUUGUGAAAGGUAAAAGAUGAAUGGCAAAAGUGGAGACAUGUCUAAAGUGAUUCCUAUGGACCAUGGGAGCACUCAAGCAUGCCUAGGUGACCACUUUGCAGAAUUUAAGCUAGUGGAGUGGUCCCAAAAGAAUCAAAGAUGAAAGGAGCAUCUUAUGACUAAAGUAAAGGAUCAAGGGACCACUCUUUUUCAAACUUUAGCUAGUGUUACAAGCAUAGGACUCUAUUGUGAUUCAAAUGGUGGCCAGCAGGAGGCAAGUGGGGCCAAUAUGGGGGUCGGCCGACCCCCACAAUGGAGCUCCCAGAGCAUCCAAGUGCUGGGUUGGAACCUCUAUGACUAGCAAGGUUGAAAUGUGGUGAAGUGGGCCCCAAGGUGGGGUCGGGCGACCCCCCUUUGGGAGCUCCAGCAGCUCAAAUUUUUAUGACAAGUUAUUCUCAAGAUUUUAUUUAUUAUGGCUAAACAUUUUGUCGAAAUAAGAUAUGCAAAAUUCAAAGUAAGAAUGCAAUUGAAAAGUGAAUAGUAGAAAUUGAAAUGCAGAAAAUAAAUAUGGGAUAACUACUGAUUUACCUUAUCAGCAAGGGCUCCAUGUUUUAGGUCCGUAGAGCAGGACCUCUCCAUCUUGUUCAUCCUUCGGGUGCAUCAGAUGGUCCCGGAGACGUGGACCUUGAUUGCACCUCUUUCUCCCGCCAUACUUGCUUGGUAUUGAUUUUUGGUUCAGCGGGUUCCUCUUCUUUCUUUUCGGCCCUUUUGGCCGACUUACCUCUCUUGUCCCUUCGGCGUCGGAUGUGGCGAGGCUUAGUCGGAGGUUCUUUGUCCUUCACCUGCAUGUUAGCUUUAUAACCAUUGAAUGGACAUUUUACCUUCCAUCCUGGGAAUUGGAGGUGGAUCUGGCCGGACCCCACAUAGAUGACUGCAUUGACCGUGUUGAGGAAUGGCCUUCCCAAGAUGAUCGAGACAUCAUUAUUGGAUCCCAUAUCUAGAAUGAUGAAGUCGGCAGGGACGUAGUCGUCUUGAACUUUUACCAGUAUGUCCCUUGCCAACCCCUCAGGGAACCUGAUCGUCUGAUCUGCCAUCUGCAAACGAACAAAUGUGGGGUGCAAAGGCCCCCCUAGCAAAUUAUCAUAAGUUACCUUGGCCAUGAUGUUGACACCCGAUCCAAGGUCGCAGAAGGCGUUGUGGAAGAUUUGCGGUCCGAUCUCACAGGUGAUGGUCGGCAGGCCUGGGUCGUCCUUCUUGGUGAUGAAGGGCGAAUCCAGAAGAUAGCUCCAGUUGGAUUGUACCGGAGGCUUACCGAACCUCGUAGUAACUAGUUUAACUCCUUCAAUUGGGUCCUCAGGUUUCCCUGGGAUCUUACCUUGCUCGAAGGAUGGGACAGCUGCUGCUAAUUGAGCUAAUUGUGUUUCUAGCAUUUUGUUAAAGCUCAACUGAUUUUUCAUAGCAGAGUUAAAGCUAUCCAACUUUUCACUUAAGUUUUCAAGGAUCUUAUCAUUAGCCAUCAUUUUCUUGUUAAUGCUAUCAUUGAUUUUAGAUUGGCCUAAGACAAGAUCUCUAAGAGAAGGUUGGUUACCAAAAGAAUCAUUGAAAUUUUGAUUGUAACCAUUACCUUGAUUACCUUGGUAGAAGGGGCGCGAGUUCCAUUGCUGUUGUUGGGGCCGGUACCCAUUGUUGUUGUUGUUGAUGAAGCUCACUUCCUCCUUUGUUUCGGGACAAUUGUUUCCCGAAUGAUCAUCUCCUCCGCACACUUCGCACCAUGAAUCAGAUUCAAUGGCCCGUGCAGUGGCGUAAGGUUGAAUGGUCUCUUGCUUGGAACUUUCUUCCAUCUUCUUCAUUAAGAGGUCCAUCUUAGCAGAGAGCAUGUCCACCUCAUUCAAGGCAUGGACACCUCUUCUCUUGGGUUGGAGGCGUUCCUCAUUCCAUCCUUGGUUUAUAACCAUCUUUUCAAUGAGGUCCUUGGCAUCCUUGACAUUGUGUUGCAAGAAUGCUCCUCCAGCGGCAGCAUCAAGGUGACUACGGGCCAAACCGGUCAGGCCAUGGUAGAAACCUUGGAUUAGGAGCCACUCCUCUAUCCCAUGAUGAGGACAGGCGCGAAUGUACUCCUGCAGACGUUCCCAUGCUUCGGGAAUCGUCUCAUCUGCUUGCUGUUGGAAGCUGGAAAUCUUUCCACGAAGGCCGCUGGUCUUGCCCAUCGGAAAGAACUUCUUGAGAAAUGCAUUGGCGCACCUCUCCCACGUGGUCACUUCACCCUUGUUGGCGUAGAACCAUUGCUUCGCCUUCCUAAAUAACGAGAAUGGGAAGAGGCGAAGACGGAUGGCGUCUGCGGCGACAUUCUUGAUGGUGAAGGUGCCGCACACCUCCAAGAAGUGUUGGAGAUGGGCAUUGGCAUCCUCGUGUGGCUUUCCACAGAAGGGAUUAGCUUGCACCAUAUUGAUAAGCGCAGGCUUCAACUCAAAAGUCGCAUCCCCCAAGUUAAGCUGCGGACCCGUGGCGACAUUGUCAGCCGACGGCGCAGAGUACUCAGAGAUGGUCUUCUGGGCCAUAGCUUCUUUGAUAACCGGUGCAGAUACUCCUUCCUCUAACGGAUUCAGGUUCGAGAUGAACCUUUGAGGUGGAACUUGACGACGUCUAGUUCUCCUCAACAGUUGCUCAGGAUCUUCAACGAAGUUUGACGGCAAUUGGAAACCGCUCAUACACUGUCAGGCUUCACAAUAAAGGAAGACAAGACAAGUGAUGGGUUAUCCCUAUCACUACUUGAUAACUAGCAAACUCUGGAUUCUCUUUUUGUUCAAACUCUUAGACAGAUGCUUUCCCCGGCAACGGCGCCAGAAAUGCUUGUUGACACUUCUUAACGCAACCACCGGAUAUCGGCGACGGCGCCAGAAGUGCCCUGGUAGGGUAACUCUAUUUACUAUUGGAUAAUUCCGCAAGCGCACAGAAUGUACCGCUGUAGCACUUCACCAAGGAGUAUUCCAAGGUAUCGUAAUUUAUAUUUUCCCAAGGGAAAGCGGCUAAGUGUGUUUAACAAAAAGGGGAAUGAGAUUCCUUGAGUUAUCUAGUAUCAACUAGUGAAUAAGGGUGGUAAAUAACGAAUAGGAAGGGUAGUGGUGAAUCCAAGGUCCUAUGCUAAAGGUAAAUGGUAGAGUUAGCUAGGUGGGAGGACAACGAGUGAGUAAAGGACUCCUAUGUAUCUAACUUGACUUCUGUGACUUACUUUAAUAGAUAAUUGCCUUAACUACGCUAGAGCCUUACUAACUGUGUGCGAGGGAUAGCCGAGCUGGUAAGACGCUUAGAAGGUUUUUCACCUAACCCCUUACCGAAAGCGACUAUUGGGCUUAUGGACGCCUUACCUUUUAAGAACUAGCCUGUACGUGAGGAGAACCUAAUGCCGCCCACGAUCUGUCACCUACUAGGGAGUGCGCUCCUACUUUCCGUUCAAGCCAGCGGUAAUCAAAGGUAAUCUUAAGUAUGAGCACCACGCGCACACUUAAUCCUACAACGCUAACUAGUUGCAGCUAGCUAGAGCUCCUAUACAAGAUAGGACGAUGAUGCACACACAGGAGUGGUUACAGGUCACUAACUUCACUAAGACAACUAUAUUACUAAAGUAAAUGCACAACAAGACUAAAAGACUUGCACUAAGUAAGAACUCAGUAAAGUAAAGUAAGAAUAAUAUAUUAAUAAAAGGAAAGUCUUACAAAAGUAGAAAGGUACAAGAGCUAUACCAGACUCUCCAGAAGACGACUCCGGAGACCCCGAGCUUCGCUCGACUCGACUCUAACUCCCACUCUAGACUAACUACUACUCUACUUGUAUGCUUGGAACUUGUAAUGCACUUGGCCUUGGAAUUGCACACUUGAAAUGAAGGAUGGAGGCUGCCUUUUAUAGAGGGAGAUGGAGUAGGGGUUACUCCAUCGCCACGUCAUCGAUCCGCGUGACAUCUUCUCUCCACCCUUGGAUCAAACCGACCUCACAACCGCCAUUUGAUCAACGGCAGGGGCAAAUCAACAUGUGGGACAUGUGGGGAAGGUCGGUGGGAGGCCACCGACCCUGGAACCGCCUUUGAUGUGGGGUCGGGCGACCCCACUUCUGGGCCUCUGGGCCCACCAGCAGUGUCCACAGGGGUCCCUUAUGUCGGUGGACUAGGUGGCACACCUGGGUCCCACCAAAGAGGGGUCGGGCGACCCCCUCCCUGUGGGCCCAGGGUGUCACCUGUUGUCCCCUCGAUCUCCUCUUGAUGAUUCUGAUGUUGGCUUUGUCAAAUAAUGUCUUGAAUUUGUUGUUCCUGCAUAAACAAGCUAAGAGUACAAGUGGAACUAGUUAUGGAUAAAAUAUGUUCAUGUCAUGUCGUUUCCCCUUGCAACCGAGGCAUGUUGACGGUGUUUUGUAUGUGGAUUUCUAUGGUAUAUCCACCGUCAACACCGCGGCGACCAGGUUGUCGUCCGACUGACCCUGCUUCCCUUUGCGACCCUUCUUCUUCUUCUUGGGGUCGCGCGAGCCCGAGGCCUCAGUGGCCUCGGCCUUUUGUUUCCCCUUGGCUAUGCCGUCGGAGAAAAUGGCACCAACCGCCUCUUCGCCUGAGGCAAAGUUGGUGGCGAUGUCAAGCAGCUGGCUGGUGCUCGUGGGGGUCUUGCGACCGAGCUCGUGUACCAACUCCUUGCAGGUGGUACCGGCGAUGAAGGCUCCGAUGACAUCAGAGUCAGUGAUGUUGGGGAGCUCGGUGCAUUGCUUGGAGAAUCGCAUGAUGAAGUCUCGGAGGGACUCAUCGGGCUUCUGCCGGCAGCUCCUGAGGUCCCAGGAGUUUCCAGGACGCACAUAUGUACCCUGGAAGUUCCCGACGAAGAUCCUGACCAAGUCAGCCUAGUCGUGGAUCAUGCGCUCAGGGAGGUGCUCGAGCCAUACUCUGGCCGUAUCGGCCAGGUGGAGUGGCAGGUUACGGAUGAUGAGCAAGUCAUCUUCUGCCCCGCCCAGCUGACAUGCUAGGCGGUAGUCCGCUAGCCAGAGCUCAGGGUUGGUUUCCCCCGAGUACUUGGUGAGGUUAGCGGGCUGUCGAAAUCGUGCCGGGAAUUUGGCCCUACGGAUGGCCUCGCUGAAGACGCGGGGGCCCAGAGGCUCUGGCGAUGUGCUGCGGUCGUGGUCGGGGUCGUACCUCCCGCCUCGGCACGGUCGAUAGCGCUGAGACUCGGCCUCGUCCCUGUCACGCCGUCUGGCCCGGGCGUCCGCGUUGGCCCCAACGCGUUCAUGGACAGAUGGGGCCCUGUCGCCCCCUUGCGGGUUAGGGGGCGGUGGACCCUGCACCGUUGGUGCCCUGUUAGGAGGGGGUCGGUCCCCUUGGCGUCUCGUGCCGUGGGACUGCGAUGCAGAACUUUCCGCGUUCUGCACCACAGCUUGCUCCAGAAGGCCACGUAGCCCCUGGCGCACCCUCCUUCCCUCAGGAGUCAAUGGCUCGGGCAUCGCUCUGAGGAGUGCUGCAGCCAUCACGUUCUAGCUGGCCGUGCUGAAGACUAGGGGGUUGUCAACCCCUUCGUCCUCGAUAAUGCGGCGGUUGACGUCCCGGGCGCGGCGUCUAGCCUUGCCCCCGUCCCCACGGCCGGACUGGUCUUGGACCAGGGUUUCGCGGAGUUGGCGGAGGCGUACGCGCUCUUCCUCGAGCCUGGCCUCCAGCUCGUUGAGCUGUUCGAGGUCAGGGCGCUGCCCCGCGAGCUCCAGGGUAGGUUCCGGGAGUUGUGUUGGGAGGUGGAGUGGCGUUCCCCUGCCUAGAGGGUCCUACACCCCCUUGAGAGUUGGGGGCGCUCCUCCAACCUCGAGGUUAAAACACUCUCAUGACGGAUCGUAGCCGUCGUCGUCGGAGUCAGAGUAGCUGAGGCAAUAGUUGCUAGCCUCUAGAAAACGCAUGAAAGUUUCCGGAUCGCCACAACCGGAAAAGUCAGCACCGGCCCACUCGUCGUCUCCUGAGGUAGGAUCCUCAGGGUACGACAAAAUGGGUGGUGUAGCGAUAAUGUCUAGGGUUGACCUCAGGUGGUGCCCCGGAAGAUCCGCGUAUGCACUUAGUGAAGUGCUCACGGAAGAGGCGUAAGUGGCGGCUGCGUUCCGGAGUCCGAAAGGGAGCUCGGGAGGUGCCGCGGUCUUUCCUCCAUCCGUAGGCGGAGGAUGACGAGAAGUCGAGGCCCCCUGGUCCCUCUUCUGAGGAGGGGGCGGGAGUCGUGCUUUGCUCUUCGACCGGGGCGGAACAGGAGGUCGUGAGGAUCCCUUGUUGGUCCGUGGAGUGGAGCUUGAUGCUCCGCGGGCUCUUCCUCUAGCACCUGUCGGGCUAGAGGAGUGGGCGAUCUGGUGAGGAAUAUGCGGGGGGAGGGCCGGAGGGACCCUUGCCUCGGUGGUAGGGUCAGAGAUCCUAGACCUCUGACGCCCCCGUUGGGCACCCCCUGCAUGGUGCCUCGAUCGCCUCCCACGCACUGGCUGCGAUGGGAUCGGCUCGGGGCGAGGCUCGGCGUCACCACAUGGUGGGAGGAGGACCAUGUCAUAGCCGGAGCCAAGCGACAUGAACUCCAAACUCCCAAACAUCAUGAUGGUACCGAGGCGAAGUGGGUGGAAUCCGUCAGCCAUCCGGGCUUUCCCCAGUAGGGAAAGAUGGAUGCCACGCAAAAUGCCCCUACCUGGCGCACCAACUGUCGGCGUCUAGACUCGUGGUCUAGACACAAACGAGUAUAAGUAUGCGUGUCUCCCUAACCCGAAUGGUGAUGCAAGUGAAACACAGAGAGUUUAUACUGGUUCGGGCUAAGGAUGCCCUACGUCCAGUGUGAGAUCGGGGGUCUGUAUUGCCUUGCACCCAAAAGGUGCUUGUAGUAGGGGUGUACAAGCAGGUUGCGAGAGAGGGCUAAAUCCCAAGUCUCGGCUUUGUGUGGUGGACGGAGCACUGCUAGCUACUCUGCGUGGAAGCUCGCUUGGAGUGUGGUGUGUUUAGUGUUGUGUGGAUGGCCAUAUGUUGUGAGCCCUGGCUCCCCUUUUAUAGUCUCAAGGGGGCACAGGUUUUUACAUGUGUGAUUGGAGAUUUCCUCUGCUCAGUGGUGAAGCCACAGUCCCGACCCUGUAGAAGCUCUCCCAUCCCAUCCUUGAGGCAUGGCUGACAGUAUGGUGGCUCCUGUGGAGGUUUACCGAGCCCUGUUGGAGUCGUGAGGGUCGGGUCGAUGAUACUGCUCCUUUGUCCUGUAAUAGUAGGAAAAGACAGCUAAUAGUGACACUGGUUAAUCUCUCCCAUUCCUCUUUUACUGUGAGGCGGUACAACACAGUGAAAGAGGUAAGGCCACAGUGACCAGGGUGGUUGGAAUAGUCGCCACCAUGCUCUGCUGCGAUAUGGGAGUCACUGCGCCUGUCACGUCGUGGGUACGAGCGUCGUGCGUUGGAAGCCUUGCUCUGUGAUGGAGGAUCGGGCGAAGCGGCGUCGACGCCCGAGCCCUAGGGGGGUCGGGCGAGGCGGAACUCGCAUCCGAGGCCCGAAGGGGUCGGGCGAGGCGGAACUUGCGCCCGAGGCCAAAGGGGUCGGGCGAGCCGUGGUUUGGGCCCGAAGCCCAGGAGUAAGACGAGACGGGGCCCGUGCCCUGGUGAUUGCGGAUGGUUUGCUUUGUCUCUUGCGAUUUUUAUUACUCUGAUUUUGGGUAUCCUUUUUAUGGUACCCAACACUUCUCUCUCAUCUGAUAAAACUCCUUCAUUUAAUGAUCCUGACAAAUCAGCAAUUUUGCUUAUGGCAUCCUAUUUAACGUGCAUGACACUCCCAUAAAACAUACAUUGAGACUGGCCUAAUAAUGCUCAUGAUUCUCAAUGUUAUGUUCUUCAGACACUGCCUCUUAUAACCUUACCAGAUGUACGAUUACUUAUAGCUUUUAACAGCUUUUAAUAAAUGGGAAUUAUGUUUCUCGUUAAAAAAAAAACCCCUUAGUGCUCGCUUCCAUCCCUCAACAGUCAAACUGGUAACUUGAGCCUCCCUUGACUUUAGGCCUUUUUCAGUUUGGAUACGGUAGUACUUUUGUUUUAAUUUAAUAAAUAUUAUCCAAUCAUGAACUAACUAAGCUCAAAAAAAUCAUCUCAUGAUUUCUAGACAAACUGUACAAUUAGUUUUUGUUCUAUUUAUAUUUAAUGCUCUAUGUAUGUGCUAAAAGAUUUGAUGUGAUGAGAAAUCUUAAAUUUUUUUAGAAACUAAACAAGACCUUAUUUGUUAGGUGUAAGGCCUUGUUUAGUUCACCACAAAAACCCAAAAUUUUUCAAGAUUCUCCGUCACAUCGAAUCUUGCGACACAUGCAUAAAGCAUUAAAUAUAGUCAAAAACAAAAACUAAUUACAUAAUUUGUCUAUAAAUCACAAGAUGAAUCUUUUAAGCCUAAUUAGUCCAUAAUUAGAGAAUAUUUGCCAUAAAUAAACAAAAGUGCUACGGUGCCAUGAACCAAAAAUUUUUCAAACUAAACAAGGCCUAGAGGCCCAACAGUGCUAGCAAGGACCUAGUUGUGACCAAAUAGUGAUGGCCAAACGGGUCGCAUGGCCUGAGUUUGUUGAUGUCCAGAAAAUUAACCAUAUAUAAGAACAAGCCUUGAUAUCAUUUGGCAUUUCAUUCGGUGGACAAAUAAUGGUUGGUCACUAUGUGACGCCGUAAAUAAAGUACAUAAAACAUUGUAUUGACGCCCAGUGCUGUAACUAUCCUGUCAUACAAUCAAUAAGGUGUUCGUCUAGUCUACCAUCCAACAAUACAGCACUUGCGAACACUACGAGCACAGUAGCCAACUGGCCAACUCUUCCCCGUGUAUGCUCACAAGUUUGGAAACUUUGUACUGUACUCCUGAGCCGACUGCAGGAAAUAAAGGAAAUGUUUUAAAAAAGAUCAAAUACAAAUUAGGAACAAGUUAUCCAUUAAGAAACAUGGCAUCUAGAAUUCGAGAUGACAUUACCAUAAAUGUUGCUGUAAUCAUCUUUCCCGCAAACCAUCUUCCAUGAAGUGCUUGUUGGGCCUUCCCUGCUGCAGCCACACUAUCGAACUGCAGAUACACAAAGCCUGCAGUAUUUCUGCUCCAACAGCAAAACAAGUGACAUGUUAGUUGAUCGGAAGUUGAGAAUAGAAAACAUGGCCACAUAAAAUAAGCCUGUAGUUUCAGAACCGAAGUAAGCAUCAUUUGAAAAAGGAACAAACUAAACUGCAGCAGAUUUUUUAAAAAAUACUCAAAUUAGGAAUAGAUAGAACAUAAAUAUAAUUGAGUUGAUUAAGUAGACCAAAGUCACAUUACACUACUAUUGUUAGGACAGCCAAGACAAAUUCCACUCUCUGUCCAAAUUAUACUUUUGACUUGUCCUAAGUCAAACUUUUCUAACUUUGACCCAGUUUUUAGAAAAAUAUAGUAAUAACAUCUACAAGUUUAAAUAAAUGCACUAUCAAAAUAUAUUUCAUGGAGAAUUUAGGGAAACUAAUUUGAUGUCGUAUAUGUAGGUGAUUUUUCUAUAAACUUAACUAAGUUGAACUAUUAUUUCAAACGGAAGGAUAUUGAACGAUGGGAAAGCUAACUUACUUGUCAACAAAAAUAUGCUUCACUGCACCAAACUUGGAACAUUCAUCUUGGACAUCAUCUCUAAUAUCCAAGUCAAAAUCAGGAUCCGUCUGAAAAGUAAAAAAAAGUACAAAAAAAACCCUUCUCGUCAGUCAGGUCAACGUACAAAUGCCAAGACAAAUUUUGAAUCAGUCAAAUAAAAUCAUCAUGCCCGUGGCAUGCCUAGAAUACAUGAACAAACACAGGUGCAAAAGAGGAAUACCUCCAAUGCUGGGUCAAACAUGUUUUUAAGCAACAAGAAUUCUGUAGGUGUAGACAUGAUCACAUUCUGAGUGGUAACAGGAAGCACAGGUGCCCCAGGAACUGAUCCAACAGCAGCAACUGUUGGUGAUAGAAGAGAAGCAGCUCCUGGAGCCCCAAUAACUGAAGUAGCUGGUAAAGACACUCCAGCAGCACCAAUACCACCAGUUAAGCUGUAGAUAACCAAAAAAAAAAGGUCAACAACACGCAAAUAGCAAAUUAUUAGUAUAACUAUCAGAGGCAACCAAAACUCUGUAGAUAGUGAAACAAACUCCAUGAAGAAUGAACUUAACAAUCAACAUGCCAGGAAAAAUAAAUCCUGAUGCUAACAUGUACAUCAGUAAAAUAGGCUUUGGUACAAAACGAUGAUCCCAAUACGCUUUAAUUAGAAAAUUCAUAGAGGACUUUUAUUCUAUUUAUCUAAUUCUUCAAAGCAGUGAAACCCCAUCCCCAAUGGUAUGUUGGAGGUGACAGCAAUCUGUGGACGGUCACUGGAAUAACACCAUAGGACAUAAGCUAGAGGUGUGCAGUGCAACCUUGUUAACCUGAUUUUAGUAUAGCUGCACAAAUUGACAAAAGAUUUUCAAUCUACUAUUGACAAAUAACCCUAGUUAAAGAAGUUAACAACUGAACUCAGGAAUGGAGCCAAAUUGAUCCAGUCAUGCCAAGUGCACUCUGUAGACUCAACAAAUACCUGGUUGCAGUACCACUCCUGUCCAAUUUGAGCAUAAGGGCAGCUCUGGAGCUUGCAUUUAGUGCCUGCGCAUGUUUAACAAAUGCAUCAAAUAGAGCAAAAUCCUCUAGCAAGAAGCAUUGAUAUAUGUAGUAUGACUGGUUGACCACCCCAUUCCCCAGUAUUCCCCUUUAGCAUAAUGCAUUAAUGCCAAACUACCAAGUGAAGUGGUAACAUCAGAACAGUUUAGAGGCUAUGAGAGGUCUGAAUGAUGGAAAAAAAUAAGGUGAAUGUAAGUAUUCAUAUGUUUAGCCCCGUACAUUCAUUGCCAACACAUUGCCAAUUCUACAAGAUACGACAGAAUACAAACAGCACAAUUUAUAUGAAUCAAGCUAUGAUAUGCAGCCCAGCUGUUCUCCUCUUCUGACAUAUGUAGCUUGCAAAUCAUAAUAAUAUAGAAGAUAGAAUAAUCUGAAUUCCUUAUGAAUAAAAAAGUAAUCACAAACAUGAGUCAACUAUGUACAUUCUAGCUUCCUAUCAUAUACAACUCAACAAGUCUUUCAAUGUGAAACCAUUCUAUCCAAAUGCCUAACAAGAACACAUAAAUCUUGAUAGUUGCACAACCCUUCAGAAAGGAUAAAUUAAAUAUCUCGACAUAUUUUUUGUAUAAGACUAUUAUAUGUGAACGGAACCCCCAAAAUUCUGAAGAUUCUGUUUGUGAUAUAUAUGCAAGGUUAAAUCCUCUGCUUUGCCCAAAUAUCAAGGUUCAAAAACUUAUAAAAGGCAUAGAAAUCCCAGUUAUACAAGGUUAUCCAACAUGUUGAACCAAAUAAGUUCACCCACCAAGCCUCCACCUUCAUCAUCAUCUAAAUCUCCAGUAGUUGCUCCACUAGCCUGCACUCCCACAUGAUCAGUAACAGCUGAAACCUGGUUGAAGGAAAAAACAAGGGUGUUAAAUGGAUGGACUAUUGUCAACAAUAUAUUAUCUGUUCUGUAAACCACAUGAUUGCUAUGAAAUGUUACCUUAAUAACUCUGCCGGCAAUAUCAAGCUGCCCAUUCAAGCUCUGUGCAGCUUUUGCAUCUUCAAGCCGUGCAAACUGCAUGGCACAACAUAGUAAGAAUAAACACAGACAUGGUUAAUGGUGGAGCUUCAGGGGAAAAACUUACCUGAAUAAAACCAUAACCUUUGCACAAUCCAGUCAUUGGAUCUAGAGGAAGCUGUACAAGCUCCACUUGCCCAAAUGGUUCAAAUACCUGGAGACAGAAACUUAUCAUCACACACAAUGUAUAGUGAGGAACUAAAUACAAGUAGCAGUCAUUCGGUCAUUCCUAUUCGGACAUGAUGAAAAACAUCCUUAAACUAAAACAUGAUAUAGACAUGGAGAACUAUUUCUCCACAAAACAACAUGCAGCAACGAACAAAACUAUUUUGUCAACAGUAGUUUUGGUCACAUUAAAUUUUAGGCACCACAAGUGAAACCCUGAAUCUCACAGGACUAACUGAAGCCCAACAGUUAUUUAGUACACCUUUAUUAAAAUGAAGUACCAACAUAUCUCAAUAUAUAAACAAAUAAUUAAUUGACACGAUAUACUUAAAACUUUUGCUAUUGCCUCAGUGGUUUUUUCCAUCACGAAUUUGAAAAAAUUAUAUAGUGAAAAAAAAAUGAUAAAUGAAUAGCUUAUAAGCGGGGUGAGCAAUACAAGAUUGUAUCAAAUGUACCUGUCUCAAUUGGUCUUCAGUAAUAUUUGAGUGAAGAUUGCCAACAUACAAUUUUCUUGCUCCACCUGAAGCCGCACCACCUGAAGUCGCAUUUGACUGAACCAAGUUCUUUUCAGCCUCAGAUGGCUUAACCAUCACUGCUUGUCCAAGCAGCGGUUGACCAGACAGAGCAAUUGCCAUUGGAACAGACAUGACGUCGUAAAACUCAAUGUACCUGCAAAUUUAGAUAUAUGUUUAGUACAAACAUCGAAGCGUCCAAGAAAAGAUGUCUUCCUGUAAAAGAAAAAAGAAAGAGCAAUAAGUGGGGCAUCAAAUGUUAAGAUAUUUCAAUUUUUCACAGAAAACUUCAGGCAUUUUGAUCAAAAUUUGUGUAGGAGGUUUUCGAACUUGGUUCUUGGGUGCCCCCUUUAUUGCCUAGAAACCUGCACCAAGUGUUUGUCAAAUACACUGGAAUCAAACUGUCCUCGACUGCUGACUGACAUCAGAAUGAUCUAAUAUUCCAUCUUACUUGUAAAUUGCCGAUAAUCCCAGCAGGUAGACCAAAUUAAAAAUUUCAGUGUGCAAUCCUGUUGAGUAUGACAAAUGAUGAAAAAUGAUCCCCAGAAAAAUGGCAAACAUGAACUACAAAAGAUGCGCACACAAUUAUAUGGCCACUAAUAGCUUUUUCUUAAAAAAAGGAAAAAAUGAUAGGCAACAGUCGCAAAAUGAGCUUUAUUUUGAUAGAAGUAAAUCCCCAAAUACAAGGAAGUUGAUCCGCAACACUAAUAUUUUUGCAGGAAUCAAGCCGAAUUAAAAAAGAUCAAGUAUUAGGACAACCAUUUAGAAAGAUAGUCUUAUUGCACUCGAAAAAACUAACAAAUGAAAAUGCACUCGACAAAAUUGGCAGCUUGGUUAGCUUUGGUUAAGCAUAUAAAUAUGGAUUGAAUCUUUUGUAAUGUCAUUGCUUUUGGGCAAUGAAAUUCGGUUCGUCCAUGGUGGGAAAAAUAUACUUUUAAGGUUUCCUGAGCACAAGUGUAUGCUGCCAUCCAGGACACAAUCAAAAUCCUAACCCGCCAUUUUAUGUGGCAGAAUUCUGGAGAUACUAAAGCUAAACUCCAGACAAUGCCCCCACAAAUAUGCUAACCGCAAACACUAAUAAACACAUGUUUAGUACAUCUCUAGAUUACCGCACAAAUUGGGGUUAUAACAGGAAUACAAUGCUCACCCAACUCCUUUAGAACGUCUUGAGUUUCGAUCCAUGAUAAGACGAACAUCACGAACCUGGAAAAGGUUAACAUAAACAUUAGAAAUUAGCUAUCAAAUCAUUAAAAUCCCAAUUUACCAUAUGAGAAAUGUUAUGCUCUUUUCACAGAAGUAGACACAUGUGAGAUUGUAAGCAUAUAACAUUCUUAAAUAUGCUCUUACAUUUGAAUGAUAUAAAUUGUCUCAUGUGGACAUUUGGUAAACAAAAAAUCCAUUUCACUAAAAAUAGCAAUGUGUGACAUUAUAUGUUUUACUUUGUGGGGGGACAUUAGCAAACAAAUGCCUACAGCAUCAAAUGCUGAUGAAUUGCCCAACUAAUAGCAAUAAAUACAAUAACCUGGAAGCAUCUUACCUUCCCAGCCCUUGAGAAAAACUCAUAAACAUCUCUUUCGUCUGCCUUCAAAGAUAGCUGCAGUAAUGCUUACUAACAUUAGUUUAAUGGAUCAAUGUAUAAACUAGUACGGUAGAGAACUUUUUUAAAAAAUCAACCUGGAAGGCAAAUACUGUCCUCUGGUCCCUUUCUGGAUCAACUUCUGGCUCUGCCCCAUCAUCUUUCCUACGCCUUCACAACGACAAAAGAAAACAUAUUUAACGAAGCAGCAUAAACAAUGCAUGAAGCACUAAAAAAUAGAAUUGUGACUAUUAUUAUAUGAUCGUUUAUUAAUAAUAUUAAUCCCUGAUAAGCACAAAUAACCAAAUGUGUCCAAGAACCCUAACUGUGCCAGCCCAAUCCAUGUCCCCCAACUGUGCCAGCCCAAUCCAUGUUGUUAACUUGCAAGUACUCCACAAGGAUUUGAUAAAAAAAAGAAUGGUGACCUGAUAUCUUGAGUCAGGCCCAAUUGCAGAUACCAUCUGAAGACGGCUCUAUCGUAUCAUAUCUGCGAGUUCCCAUAUUAAUAUUCAAUAUUCAAACUUAACAACCCUAGAUGAUAAUAUAACAGUAAACUACAGUCAUAUGUUAGCAGCCCUACAAACACUGGUGAUUGGUACUAAUGCCCUAUAAACACUGGUGAUUGGUACUAAUGCAAACUCACUGUGUUUGACAUGUAUGUGCCCAAAGAAAGUCAUUAAGCUACUACAUAUAAGUUGCACACUACAACACAUAGCUAUACAAAAUCUCUACAGCAACAGAGAAUCAUCAUGUGCACUCAAUCAAGCAAAUCCAACCCCCAGCUCUACUCUCUUAAAGACUUAAAGCUUGUACAGACGCUUACAAGAACAAGCACCAAGAUGACAAAAUGUUGGUUUUGGUAGCUGACCCUACAAAGGGUUUGGAACUAGAAACUUAGCCUCUAUGAAUCACAUAACCUUUACCAAUUGACAGUUACAACGGACUCGUAACAAGGCCAUUAAUUUGAAUUGCAUCAGACUGUGUCCCAAUAGCAUUUAUACAGGAGAGUUCACGAAUUCGUACCUGACGUCACCGCGAAAGAGGUGUCGCUCGCUGCGCUCGCGCUCCCGCUCCAGCUCCCUCACCAUCUCCUCUUCCUCGGCACGGCGCCGCUCCGAGCGGCUCCGGCUCCUCCGCUCCCGUUCCACUUCCCUCUCCCUGAGCCGGUGUCUGUCCCCCCUAUCCUUCUCUCGUUCUCUCCCUUCCCUGUCCCUAUCCUUCCCGCGGCUGUCGCGGCUCCUCUCCUUCUCCUUCCCGUCAUCCCUAUCCCGGUCGCGGUGCUCCCGGCCGCUGCGGUGCCGGUCCCGGUCCCGGUCGCGGUCCUCCCCCGAGCGGGAACGCUUCGAUAUGCGGUCCUCGCCGCCCUCGCGGCGGCGCGAUCCUCGGUCCUUCUCGCCGGAGCCAUUGGCCGGCGGAGCAGCUGGCUCCACUGCCUUCUCCAGGUACUCGUACUCGUCGAACUCCAUGGAGGCGGAGCGGGGCGGGGCGCUCGAGUGGAUCGGGGUGCGUCUGCGAAACCCUAGACGGCGCGUUGGGGGAGGGGAAGGGGGAGGGAGGCAGGAGAACUGUGAAGUCUAAACCCUAUGUCGCAGCCUUCUGGAUUGGGCGAUACAGAUUACAGAGUACCUUUUUUUUUUUUUGUCCCUUUGAUGGUGCGCUGCGGUACCGACGAAUAUCCGCCUAUGCCCAUAUGUGUAAUGUGUCCAACUGUCCAUGCUUUUUUCUCUUUUUUUCCCAAAAACAAAGAAAUUUCGAAGGGAGUUUGGAUUGCACAACGGGAAAAAAUUAUACCACGGUAAAUAGAAUUUUUUUUGAAUCUGCGGUAAAGAGAAAUUUGAAUGUGAAAUAGUACUUUGAGCGUGCGUUCAUAAUAUUUUGUUUAUGACCGAUCAUAUCUAUACCUAAUAAUAAAAGAGGCAAAAUUUCAGUUUAUCUUAGAUUUUCAUUCAUCUUAUAAUUACUAGCAAAAAAUGCUCGUGCAUUGUAACGAGAGAAAAAAGCUAUCAAAUAUAUAUCUAUAUCUCUAUUAUCUAAUCUUUUUCUAAUAUAUAAUUGUGAAAAUUUUAGUUCACCAGAAAUCCAUUUUUUGUCUAUCUCUCUCUAACUAUCGAACAAUACAGAGUUCUUUCGUCCGAACUUAUAUAUAACUCGUGCUUAUACGAGUUAAAAUAGCUCUUGUCUAACAUGAUAUAUGGAGUUUGAUUCCUGUCUUAUAUAGGUCUUAUAUAUGGUAACCUUAAUAGCUAGAAAGAGUCAUAAUCCUAAUUUAAAUUGAUUACUUCAAUCUUUUUAGGAAGCUAAAUAGGAAUUCUAAUUCAAGAGUUUGAUUUCAGAUUUAUAUUGACACUAUGCAGAGCAGUGCAGAGCGGAAAGCACAGAAAGAAAUAGGUUGAAACAAAAAUACAAAAUGCAAACUACUUUGGAACGAUAGAAUACAAAAUGGCAAAACUUUUAAGGUUAUGCUUAGUUCCAUCCAAAAUACAAAAUUUAUUGACCUCAUGAGGCUCUUUUGGUGUUUUUUUGCAUGUUGAAGCUAAAAUCCAAAAUAAAAAAUAACUACCUUUUAACAAAAAAUUUGCAUGGUGUUUAGUUCCGUUUUACAAAAUAGUGAACCAACAAUUAAUUUUUUUAGAAUAGAAGGGAAACAAACACCGCCGGAUCAGGCUUACACAGGUUGCCAACAAAUAAAUCACGCAAGACGAAGAGCGUGAUGCCCUGAUCUCCUCUAUCGAGCACACAGCGGACGGAGUGGGACGCGAAAGCUUGCUUGCUUCUUCCUAAAUCUCAAUGACAGAGAAGAAGAGGCUAGGACAGGAGGGCCAACAUCCGAUCCACGAAGAGGAAGACUGAGCGAAGCGGCUCAGCACCAUGUAGAGAAGAAUUGGAGAGGGUUGCUGCUCGGCCAGACGACUCUCCAAGCGUCGGCAGCGCGUCGGGACGGCGGUGGAGCGGCGCAGCGCUGUGGGAGAAGAGGUGGGCGAUCAUGCUAGUCGCGCUUGUGUGGGUGGAGCGGAUCGGGAGAGAGUGAGGCGCUGCGGGAGAUCAAGGACGAACCAAUGUAAGCGGCGGCUGAGUUCACGGCGCUGGUGGAGCAGGUACGGGGGAGGGAUGCCUGCCUGGUGCGGUGGUGCCCCUAGGCACGAUGGAACACGGACGGCUCUCGCAGAGAUGUCUGACAGACAGAACGUGAUAGGCAGACUGGAAUUUUCAUAAUUAAGUAUUAGGGAAAGAUAAAUUGACUUGGUCUUGGCCAUCAGCUAAAAAAAAUUUCCAAUCUCGUUUUUAUCAAUGAAAGACGUUCUCAUCGGUCUUUCCUAUUUUUUUUCUUCUGUGUUCCACUUCCAUAUGUAAGGUAUAUACGUGACUUUUUCUUUCAUCUUUUCUUAUAUAAGUAAAAACAAUAAAUAACAAAUAUAAUACUAUAAAUCUUUUAACUCUUCAUCAUUCUAUAAUCUAAUAAAUAAUCCAUAUAACUUAUAUAUUUUAUCAUCCAAUAACCUAUAUAACUUACCCUUCUCGUUCAGCAAUGGCGGCUGUAGCGGCGGCUCCUCGGCCGCAGCUCUCCCCCCUAUCUGGUGGUGGUGACGCCACAAUCUCCAGUCUCACCCUCCAAACACUGGCCUUCAUCUCCGUCCUCCCCACCCGCUGAAAGGUCCAAAUGGCUAGAGGGGGUAAAUAGCCUAUUUAAAAAUCUACAAACUUCACUAAGUAAGUGUGUUAGUAAAAUAAAUGGCGAAGCUAUUCUAGCAGUAGCAUAACUAAGCUAUGCAAGACACCUACACAAGUCUAGCAAGAAAGCUAAACACUAAGUCACAACACGAAAGCGUGACUAGAGGCUAGCUACACUCCUAAACAAAUAGACUAUACUAAACAAGUUAAACAACUAGCAAGGUAUGCAAAUAAGUAAAGGAGUGGGGAGUGAUUGUUAUACCAAUGUUGUAGAGUAGAAAUAUAACCAAUCAAUCACUCACAAUCACAAUCACAAGAGAGAAUCAUCGGCAAGAGAUGACACAAGAUUUUUUAUCGAGGUUCACUUGCUUCCCGGCAAGCAGUCCUCGUUGUGGCGAUACACCCACUUGAUGGAUCACGAGCUAAAUGGCAAUUCCAAGCCAAACCCUCAGCGGGCACCGCACAUCCACUUCGAGAUGGGAUCCUCCAAGCCACGAGCAAUCCACUAGAGUAGCCAAUUGUGAUCUCCCGCGGGGAAGGCUCAAGAACCCCUCACAAAUCACUUGGUGAGGCUCGAAACAAUCUCCAAUCACGAGCUCAACACCUCCGCUGCUCCAAGCCAUCUAGGGCGUUGAAAAACACCCAAGAGUAACAAAAAAUCCACAACAAACUCAAGAAUCAAGUGCCACUAGAUGCAACUCACUAAGCAAUGUACUUGAAUCUCACUCAAUCUGACUAGAAUUGGCAAUCAAGCAAGGAGAUGAGUGGAGGGAGUGUUCUCUAGCUCAAAGUAUGUCUCAAGUAAUCCAAAGUGCAAGAGAGAACCUUCCAAAGCUGGCCAACAACUAUUUAUAAGUUCCUCAAACAAAUAGAGUCGUUGGCUCUAUCACUGGACAAAAGUCAAGGCCACCAGACGCGCAGCAGGGAGCCACUAAACGCUAGAACCCUGCGUUUGGUGCACAGAUGACAACCACGUGUCAUCCUUUUCAAACUCGUGUGUCGAUCUCUAACAGUCACUUGUAAACCACCGGACGCGUCUUGUGCACACCGGACCCAUACGUAGAGAGCAUUGCAAAGUGCAAGGAUAUCAGACACAGUCAGUGCACUCUCAUCGGAUGCUCCCUGGGCGUCUGAUGCUCUCUAUGUUAGAAACCCUCGCUUGUGCACUUGCUGACGGCAGGCAACACUGCACGUGUGAACAAUGUCUGGCCCGCGUUAGACGCCAGCGUCCGAUGCUCGCUGUACACCAGUGCCAGAAGCUGACAGUAUACCAGAUGCUGGGUCAAUGCCUGAUGCUGCCAACACCAGUGUCCAGUGAGAAACACUCCCGUAACUUUUCAAACUUUCCAUCAGUGCAAUAGAAAAUAUAUGUUUCAUUUUCUCAAAAGCAUUGAAUCCCGCCUCGCAAGCUCGGCGGGAGGGAGAGAGGAACCCAAAACUCUCUCUACCCUUCAAACUUUACCUCAUUUGCAAAUGUGUUAACACCACCAUGUGCAAGUGUGUUAGCAUUUUCACAAACAUUUUCUCAAAGAAGUUAGGUUAGCACAAGACUAGAUCCUAAUGCAUAUGCUCAAAAUAUGGACCUAGUAGCACUUGAUUCAAGAGAUGACCAUGAUUUCCCCUCUUGAUAGUCGGCUAUCUAUCCUAAAUCUGGUCAAACACUUCUCUACUCAACUUAGGUUGGCAAAAGCAAAACCCUAUGUUCAUACCUUUGCCUUGAUCACUUAACUCCUUGUCUAUCACCAUGAUCUCCACUUCAUGCUUCAUCUCUUUGUAAUCAUGUGGCCACCUUUCCAUGCCACCUUGCACCUUCAUCACAUGUGUUGCUAUGCCUAACUCAAAUCACUUAGACACAAAGCAUUAGCAACUUUGUGUCAUUGAUUACCAAAACCAAACUUGGGCUUUCACCCACCGCUGUCACCGUUUUGUGCUCUGCUCCUCCUCUGUCGUCACCGCCGGCGGUGCUACCAUGGACUCCACGCUAGCACCCGAGGUGGCUCCUAGUGCCUCCUCUCCCUUUGCGGGGGGUGAUGACCCUGGAUGGGCGGCUCAAUUUGCUGUGGGGGUUUGGGGAGGAGUGCAUCUAGGAGGAUGAGCUCAGGAACAUGCGUGAUGUACAUGUUCAAUCUCGGUUUGGUCUCUUUCCUUGCUUGUAAAUUUGGAAAAGCUUCAUUAUAGAUUUGGGAGACCGAAGGAAAUCUUAUUGAGUUUGGGGUGGAGGUUGUUACAAAGGGGGAGAGGCCAGAUGAAAGUUUUUCCAUACAAAAAUUUUGGCUGAAAUUUUGCCUCUUUAGUAUUAGGUAUAGAUAAAUGAAUUAAACUCAGUAACAUAACAUGGUGAAUAAUUAGUACUGUAUGGGAUAUUGACAAAACAUUAACUCAACUUAUAUGGUUGGAUUUUAUCUGUCUGUAUUGAGAAGUUGAGAAAGGUACGAAGGCGGGCCAGACGCGCACGCACGGUGCCGCCGCCAUCGUCGGUCGGGCUAGGCUUUGGGCGUGGGCGUGGCAUGGCGCUUCUUUUGGAUUAUGAAGAUUAAACCUGCUAUUACAAACCUUUUGCCUACCUCUGUCUCUUCCCUAUUUGUGAGCCUCUUCCUAUACCUUUGCCUAAUAUAAUCCUUAGGUCCCGUCUGAAGAAAAGCUUAACCUAAAAAACACCAGAACCAGAACCAUCUUCUAUUGCUUGAAGGUGAUCUCCAUCCUAGUGCUCUGCGCGCAUAGAGUAUCAGGAGAGUAGGUGCCUUCAGAACCACCACUCGCCUAAGAUCGUGUUCAGGGUUGUGGGCAAUUAGGUUUUUGGGAAGUGACUACGCGACUCCUCUACUCCCUCUACACGUCGUCAUUGUCUUCUCUCUCUAGUGGGUUCAUGGGAUUUGGCACUAUGAACACCUUACUGCAUCGACUGAGGUCCACGAUAUCAAACAAACUCACUGCUUCCAUGGCUAGUACUAGUGAGAAUGGAGGGUCCAAUGCCCACCCUAAACACAUCUUUGUUGUUCUCAUGUUUCCUGUCAUGUUUUAUUUUGAUGAAUACCUGGUUAUGCCCACUGCAAUGUUUGUUGACAUGGUUAUGCUUGCUAGUAUGAUAUAUAAUUUGAACAUGCCAUGUUUACAUUUUUUAAAUCAUGAUGCAAUGAUUUAUUUGAGUACAUAUGACUAUAUCUUUGCCAUGAUAAACUUUUUAUAUGUCAUCAUAUUUAUGUGCAUAUUUUUCUAGAUUAAAUUGAUAUGGAAAUUGCUUAAAUAUCUAACAAUCCAAAGAUCUAGUGUUAGGCAAUUUUCUAUCAGUGGAUUUGCCGCUUCACUUAAGCCUAGUCCUUUUGAUGGGAAGAAUUAUAUGAUAUGGCAUGCAAAAAUGGAAUUACGGUGUACUGCGAUGAGUUGCUUUCAUGCUAGACUAGGGGAGCGUGAGAAUCUUACUCCUGAUGAGGGAGCUAAGUUUUUGGCUACCGAUAACCUGUUUUGAGGUGCUGUGAUAAGCGCUCUUCAUUCAAAGUAUGACGAAAACAACAUUUCUUGCACAUCUGUCAAAGAGUUAUGGGAUACACUUGAGGCUAAGUUUAGAGUUUCUGAUGCUAGUAGUGAGUUAUAUCUUAUGAAGCAGUUGUUUGACUACAGGAUGGUUGAAAACUAUUCUCUAGUUGAGCAGACCCAUGAGAUACAAGUAGUAGCUAAUGAACUUGAACUGUUCCUAUGUCUGUUACCCGACAAGUUUGUGGCCGAUGGUAUUAUCACUAAGUUGCCACUUGCUUAGAUGGAUUUUGCUAUCUCUCUAAAGCACAAGAGGCAGGAGUUCAGCGUGUCUGAGCUUAUUGGGACUCUUCAUAUGGAAGAGAUGGUGAGAGCAAAAGACGGACGUGGGAAAACCCCUAAGACUUCUGUUGCAUACAUGGUGCAAAAGAAGAACUCAUUUGUAUUCCAUAACAAGAAGAAGAACCAGUAAAAGAACAAUCAAAACAAGCCAAGACAAACAACUGAAUUUAAGAAGAAAAAUAAGAAGGGAGAAGGUUGCUUUAUUUGUGGGAAAGAGGACCAUUGGGCAAGUGCGUGUCCAGAUUGCAAGUAUAAGUAAGAGAAGAAAGUUGUAAAUAUGGUUAUUAGUGAGACUAGAGGAUCUGGGUAUGGUAAUCCUUUACCAUUGGUUCUUUUAGUUUUGUCAUUCACCUGAAUGGUGGAUGAAUAGUGGUGCUAAUAUUCAUGUGUGUGUUGGCAUUUUUUUGUUUACCUCAUACUAGGUCGAUGGGACUGUAGCCUUGCUAAUGGGUUCUUGGUGUUGGCUCGGUCGUUCUGAAGUUUACUUCAGAAAAUACGGUGCCACUGAAGCACAUGCAACAUGUCCCCUCUAUCAGGAUGAAUCUUAUUAACGCUUCUAUGUUAUGUCGUGAUGGCUACAAGGUUGUACUUGAAUCUAGUGUGUUGUAUUGAGACAUGGUACUUUUAUUGGUAAAGAUUAUGAUUGUGGAGGUCUGUUCUGCUUGUCUUUCCUCGAUGUGUGUAAUAAUGUUGCGAACAAUGUUGAUAUUUUGAAUGAGUCGGAAUUAUGGCAUUCACGCUUAUGUCAUGUUAAUGCAGUCUAUCUUAUGCGGUUAGCAAAAAUAAUUUUAAUCCCAAAUUUUAAUGUCGUCAAAGGUUCUAAGUGCUAUGUGUGUGUGCAAUUGAAGCAACCUCGUAAGCCUCAUAAGGCUGCUAAGACGAGGAACUUGGCAUUGCUCGUUCGUUCUGAUUUAUGCAAUAUAAAUGGUGAAUUGACUAAGGGUGGCAGAUGAUACUUCAUGACUUUUAUAGAUGAUUGCACUAGAUUUUGCUAUGUGUACUUAUUAUAAUCAAAAGAUGAAGCGUUGAAUUAUUUUAAGACCUAUAAAGCUAAAGUAUAGAACCAAUUACAAAGAAAAUUAAGUGGUUAAGGUCUGAUCGAGGUGGAGAAUAUUUCUCUAAUGAUUUUUUUGAAUUUUGCAUGGAACAUGGUAUUAUUCAUGAGAGGACACCGCCAUACUCACCACAAUCUAAUAGGAUUGCUAAAAGAAAAAACCGCACUUUAACUGAGUUGGUGAACGCCAUGUUAGACAAUGUGGGAUUACCUAAGGAAUGGCGGGAUGAGGUGAUUCUGACACCGUGUCAUGUUCUAAAUAGAGUUCCCAUAAAAAAUAAAGAGAUCACACCGUUUGAGGAAUGGGAGAAGAGGAGAUUAAAUCUCUCUUACAUGCGCACCUAGGGUUGUUUGGCCAAAGUAAAUGUGCCGAUCAACAAGAAGUGCAAACUAGGGCCUAAAAUUGUUGACUGUGUUCCUUGGUUAUGCUAUUCAUAGUGUUGGGUAUAGGUUCUUAAUCAUAAAUUAUAAAAUAUCUGACAUGCAUGUUGGUACAAUAAUAGAAUCUAAAGACGCUACAUUUUUUGAGAUUGAAUUUCCCAUAAAAACUACAUCUAGCACAUCUAGUCACUAGAAAGAGUAAGCGACAGAGAGUUGCUAAAUCUUUUGGGGAUGACUAUAUUGUAUACCUCGUGGAUGACACACCAAUGACCAUUGAACAGGCAUAUUCCUCUCCUAAUGCUGACCUAUGGAAGGAAGCAGUACGGAGUGAGAUGGAUUCUAUAAUUUUAAAUGGAACUUAGAAGGUUGUCAAUCAUCCAUUUGGGUGCAAGCCAAUUGGCUGCAAAUGGGUGUUCAAGAAAAAGCUUAGUCCUAAUGGUACAAUUGAGAGGUACAAGGCAAGGCUUAUGGCCAAGGGUUAUACCCAAAAAGAGGGUGAAGACUAUUUUGAUACUUAUUCAUCGGUUGCUCAAUUGACUAUAAUUUGAGUGCUUAUGUCUCUAGCAGCUUCUUAUGGUCUUAUCAUUCAUCAAAUGGAUAUUAACACAACUUUUUCUAAAUAGAGAGUUGGAGGAAGAGAUCUAUGGAUUAGCCUGAUGGAUUAUAGCAGAUGGUCAAGAAGGCAAAGUGUGCAAACUAUUAAAGUCAUUGUAUGGCCUUAAACAAGCUCCUAAGCAGUGGUACAAGAAGUUUGACAAAACUUUGACAUUUGUUGGCUUUGUUGUGAAUGAAGCUGAUAAAUGUGUGUACUAUCGGUAUGGUAGGGGUGAUAGAGUCAUCUUAUGCCUAUAUGUUGAUGACAUACUAAUCUUUGGAUCAAGCCUCAAUAUGAUCUAGGAAGUGAAGAAAAUUUUUAUCUAGUAAUUUUAAAAUGAAAGAUUUGGGAGAGGUUGAUGUCAUUCUCAACAUCAAACUCUUGAGAGAAGGUAAUGGUAGGAUAACUUUGUUACAAUCCCACUACGUGAAAAAGGUUUUGAGUCGCUUUGGGUUUAGUGACUGUAAGCCUAUUUCCACACCUUAUGAUUUUAGUGUGCUAUUAAGGAAAAAAAAGAGAAUAGCAAGAGAUCAAUUGAGAUUUUCCUAGAUCAUUGGUUCACUCAUAUAUCUUGCUAGAGCAACAAGGCCUGGUAUUUCAUAUGUUGUGUGCAAAUUGAGCCAGUUUGUAUCUAACCCAGGAGAUGCACAUUGGUAAGCACUUGAGAGAGUGUUGCGUUAUCAAAGGUACUUUGAGCUAUGGCAUUUAUUAUACCGGGUACCCUAGAGUACUAGAGGGCUAUAGUGAUGCUAAUUAGAUAUCUGAUGUUAAUGAGUUAAAAGCAACGAGCGGGUAUGUCUUCUUACUCAGAGAUGGUGCUAUUUCUUGGAAGUCUUGCAAGCAGACUAUCUAUAUGAAGUCUAUAAUGAAAGCAAAACUCACAACGUUAGAUACCACUAGUGUAGAGGUCGAUCGGCUUCGUGAACUUCUUAUGGAUUUAGUGGUGGUUGAAAACCUAUGCCAGCUAUUUCCCUGAACUGUGAUAACCAAACGGUUAUAUUCAAAGUAAAUAGUUCAAGGGAUAACAUGAAGUCCACUAGACAUGUCAAAAGGCAGUUAAAAUCUGUUAGAAGAGCAAGAAACUCUGGAGUAAUAGUGUCGAACUAUGUUUAUACAUCUAGCAAUAUGGCAGAUCAAUUCAUAGAGGGCCUGUCAUGUAAUGUGAUAUAAAGUGCAUCAAGAGAAAUGGGUAUGAGACCUAGUUGAAAUCUACUAUAGUGGUAACCUGUCCUAUAUGAUCGGAGAUCCCGUGAAGUAGGAUGGUGAAACAAAUUAGUAGUAGAUUGUGAGGAAAGAUCCCUUUUACUAAAGCUCAUUUCUGAUGCACAUCUUUCCUUCUAUAAGACAGAUUGGUUUUACCUUAAUGUCUUCCAAGUGUCUUGAUAAAGAAGAGAUGUUGUCGUACAUAACAUCUUUUGAGGAACACACCUAUAUGAGUUAGACUACUAGUCAUAGUCUAUCAGAGUUGAGUAAUCUCUAAAUGCUCAUAAAAGGCACUAAAGUAUGACUUAUACGCUUCAAACUGAGAAGUUGCCUGUUGUAGCCUACUAUCAGUUAUGGACUCUAAUGAAUCUCAUCUCACACAAAACAGACAAUUCAAGGCAUAGUCUAUUGUUCAUUUAUGACUGAAUAAAACUAUUUUUCUAGAUAGAUGUUUAACUUAAUAGUCUCCAUCAAAACACUGGUAUAUCAAAGAGUCAUGGUUCUAGAAAACUUUUAUGUUAUAAACCCUAGAGUUUUUGGGGAUUGUUGAAUUUAUAAUGGGCUUGGCCCAUUUUAAAUUAAAUGGAUUAAACUCUAUGGUCCGUAACUGUUGGGUAUUUUAAACGCAAACAGAGAAAUCCGCAAGUGCACGAAUACCGAUGUAGCUUUCACCCAAGAGUAUUCUAGAGUAUCGAUUUUCCACGAGGAACGCGAAGUGUACUAAUUAAGGUUCAAGAUCAUCCAACGGUAAAGGUCAAAGUAUUUUUUAGUGGGUAGAGAGGAUGUAGAAUGGUAACACCCUAAAAAUUCCCUUCUUUAAAAUAGUGAAAAUUUGAUUUAUUGAGUCAAUUUUGUGAGCAUUAAAAUAUAGGAAAAUAAUAAUUUUUUUGAAAGUUAAAAUUUAAUAUAAGGUUAGAAACAUAUGUUGAUGCAUUCAUGCUGCAACAUUUUAUUUUUUUAUGAUGUGUGAAGUUAUGCAAAAGGAAAUUUUGUUCAAAAUUCAAAUUGCAAAUGCUUUUGAAAAUGAGUUAGAAAUAAAAAAAAUCCACCCUUCUCUCCUCUCCCCCUCCCAUUUCGGCCUGCUUAGCCCAGCAAGCCCGCCAGCAUCCCCUCCCCCCUCCUCUCUCUCUCUCUCCAGUAGCUGACAUGCGGGGCCCACCCGUCAGCUUCUUCUCCUUCCCCAACUGCUCCCUUCGCACGCACGCAGUAACCACCCGAGCCGCGCCCCGCUCCCACGAUUUCCCCCCACGCCCCACGCUUCGGCCGUUUUAAGGAGCGCCCGUGCCCGAGCCACACUCCCUCUCCUCAUUCCCCUCCCAUUAUGCUCUCUCGCUCGCCCGAACGCACACUGGAGAACCGCCAUCGGAGCCGCGACUCGCCGCACGUCGUCCCGACGAACCGAGCCGUCCCGCUCCUCAUUGUUGCCCUCGGUGAGCUCGCCAUUCUCCCCACUCUCUCCUGCACACUUCCCCACGCGAUUUAGUGCAUUCCAGUGCCUUAGCCGCGUGCUCCGACGGGGCGUUCAUGGCGCCGCCACGAACCACCGCAGAAACUGCUUUCUCCGGCCGCGCAAAGACUGGGAACGCGCUCGCCUUGAUCUCCUCUCUCUCCCGGUGUUCUUGGUUCGGAAAACGGUGUCCCGUAGUCUCCUAACGCCCAACGCCGGCGAGCUCCGAGGCCACCGGCCAUGGCACGCCCCGCACAGGCGCACCCCUGACCACGCUUUAGGCAUGGGCGGACUCACGACGGUCUCCUCUUUCUCCCGGUUCAAACAGAAUCGAAAACCGUGCACCGUAGCUCCUUAUUCACUUGCUCCGGUGAGCUUCGGCCGGCUGGCCAUGGUGAUGCCGCUGUGUACUGCUUCCCCACCGCCAGCACUCACCAUCCCCUCCCUCUCUCUUAUUUUUUUUAUUUUCAUUCCUUUCUUUUAAUCCUGCGCGUUCAUCUGCGAUCCAGCGGCCGUGAGUAGCCCGUACCCAUUCGAGGGUGGUUUUGUUAAAGAGCCCCCCAAGAACUUCUUUAUCCCACACGCAGUCCCUCGCUGGAAUUUCCCUGGACUUCUUUAUUUGUUUUAAAAACGAUUAUACUCAGCACUAUUUAUAGAAUUGCCACUAAAUUGUUUUAGCUAUAAAAUCGUCGUUUGAACUCCGAAUCGAUCCGUUCAAGUUGCGUUAGUUUCGCAAUUUCAUAAGCUUCGUGUUGGUACCAUUGGUGUCCAGAUUCACCACUGCUAGGUUUUCUAGAUAAAUACAAGUCCGUAGAUACCCUUUGAAGUCCCGUUUAAUGCGUAGAUUUCGCGUCUAACUCUGUUUUUUGUGAAUUUCGCGUUGAUGUGAUCGUAGCAGCACGUAGAUGAUUUUGGAAAACUUUUAUUUAGAUUUAUUUACUGUUGGUAUACUGUUCUAAUUAUAGCUUUGUUUACUUUGUGUAUGUGUGGCCUCAAUUGCUUGUGUGUUGAUGAUUGUUGACCGAGUCUAGUCGGUGGGCAUUACUUCGGUGAUCAAGAUCAGAGCCUUGGAAGCAAGUAAGACCAGCAGGACCAGCAGGAGCAAUUGGAUCAAGGCAAGUAUAGCAUUUGGGUUUUAAUUAUAUGACCAUGAUCUUGUGCCUAAAUUAAUAUAAAGCCACAAAUGAUAAUAAUAACUUUUUAAGCAACUUAAGGAUUUAUUCGUAAGUGAUAACCGGGAUGAAAGUGCAACCAUGAGAGAUAUGAUGGCUUUAGCUUUAGUCAAGUAUGAGUAACUUUUCUAGCUUGUUAGAGGUUACCCGCGUGGCGCAAAUGGGGGAUAGCAGACCGUGGAUCCCCUGCGGGGUAGAAUCACACGGACUGACUACCGAAACGAAGCGACCCUAACUUGUUAGACGUAACUUUGAAAGACUUCAUAGUGAUCCCUGUCGGCCUCCCUUGGAAGGAGGUUAAGAGGUUAGCUACCUCGGGCGAAAGGGUAAAUCAUGACUCAUGGGUAAAGAUGUACGACCCCUGCAGAGUGUUUAUUAAACUGGUAUACUAGCCGUGCUCACGGUCACGAGUGGCCUUGGGGAUUCUUACAUUAAGGGUGAUGAAUCUUGUUGUGUUAAGAUACUCAUUGAUUAUUGUUUAAUGCUCUAUAUUAUUUAUGUCACAUUGAUCAUGAGACCGUGGGAUCUAUACUAUCUAGUUGCUAUACUUGCGGAGUUCGUCUUGGGCUCACUCUUGCUAUCUCCCCCACACCUCAGGAGAAGUAUUGGGCUUGUGAUCAACCAGUCAGUUGGAUCCUGUAGAAUGAAGUUAAUACCCAAAGUUUGGAGUUAUCUUCCGUGGUUUGCUGCCUAAGGUUGUUUCUGAUUUAUUAUGUACGCUAUAUAAUUCAUGCGUUGUCCUUUGAUAUUACCCCUUAUUUGUAGCUAUAUGUGAGGUUUGUCUUCUAAAACUCACAUAUGAUGCAUAUCUGAUUUUGUCCUUAAAAUCAGGUGUUACAGUUCCCCCACACUUGCUCUUUGCUCGUCCUCGCGUAAAGGUUAAAGAUAAAAGUAAUCAUGAUCAUAACAUCUAGAAACAUAUAGCUAACAUAAAAAUUAUUCCAAAACAUUACUCACACAAGUGGGAUAUGUGGCAUUGGCUAACAUAUGUCCUUAGGUGGUUGAAAAGUGGAACAACUCUCGAAGCGAAGUCAUCUUCCCAGAUUCACAUCUUAGCAACUUGAAGUUUUUUUAAAGUUUUUACAAAAGGAAAGCAUAGAUCACUAUUACUCCUCAAAUGGUACUCUCGAUCGCUCAAUUGUGUAUCUUAUUAUGCUCUUCUCUUCCUACAACUAAUAGCUUAUGUGGUGCUUAGGUAGGGAUAAAUGUUGUGGCAUACUUGUGUUGCAUAUAUUGCAAAGUCAAAAUCUGAACCCGAGGAGUGAAAUAUCAUACUCUUAGAUCAUAAUGUGCAUGUGUGUGUGGAUAUUUAGUGGAUAUAUGGUGGAAUUGGAGAAACAUAAUUCUACUAUACUCCUUGAAUAUCUCUCUCUUUUGAAUUUAAAAACUUGGCCAAAGAACAUGAGCUAUCUUAUUAUUAUUAUUAUUAUUAUUAUUAUUAUUAUUACUUUUCUUAGGGAGGCAAGUAUCUGAGUACUCAUUGUUUUCAUCUCUAGGACACUUGUCCCUUUUUUUAACUCACUCUAUUCUUUUUUUUUCUUUAUAGAUUUUGCAAAGCUCGUGACUCUUUUUGACAACAAAGACCUUUUUGAGAUAGCAACAAGAAUUGUAGCAUUUAUUUGGUGGAUGGAAAACCUAUCAGGGAUAUUUUUAGUGUUCACUCCUAGUGUAGGAGAGAAACAUUUUGGGUGGACCUAAAUAGAAGGCAUGUUUUGCACCUACUCCCAAUGUAAGAGCAGUGCAUAUAUAUGUGGGUGCAAGUGAAUCUUGAUCUUAGGAAUAUGAUAAAUCUCUCAAAGGAUCACAAAAUCUGACCACACUCAACAUAACAACAAGUAGCAUAUGUAGAAAGCUUCUAUCCUAUAUAUAUGGCUAUGGUAGGAAUUUAUCACCAUUGAGGAGUAUGUGACACUAUGGUUUUAUAAAAUUUUAUUAAAAUGAAAUAUCCAAUGCCUUGAAUAGAACUAGUAGGAUUUCUACGCCAGAACUAUGUCACACUCCACAACAACUUAGUCAAUAUGAUUUUUCUAUUAGAAUAUUUUUCCCACCAGCAUAAGUGUAUGUAUAUGAAACAAUCUUCAUGCAAGCUUAUAUCUCAAGAAUGUCAUCAUCCUGUCACUCUUCAAAAUUUAAUUCUAAGUGUGGAUCUUGGUUCUUUUUAACUUGCAAGGUAAUGCAAGUGCAUAACAAAUGUAAAACUCAGUAAACAUAUGAGUGAAUCAAGAAAGAUCAAACCGAGUUUUAGUACUUGUACGCAGACUCCCCCAUCAGUCCAUGAUGUGCUCAACAUAUUUGUUCACAAUGGGGGUUGGCAUCGCCCCCACAUUUCUUCAAAAUUGUACCCGGCUUUUCAUUCAUAGAAAGAAAAUGGUGAAAAUAAAAGGGACUCUCCGGUGUAGGACACCAGAAAGUCUAAAUUGAUUUCUAAGAACUCAAUCACAUCAAGUUCUUCAACCAUGUUGAUUUGUGGCUCAAGGUAAACUUUUAAGCGUUGACCAUUUACCAUAAAUGUGUUACUUGUAUCAUCUUGGAUGGUUAUGGCUCCAUGAGUUGAAGUGUCGAUGACCUUGUAAGAUCCAUCCCACUUGCUUUGUAGUUUACCAUGUCCGAAAAGCUUGACUCUUGAGUUGAAAAGUAGGACCUUGUCUCGAGGAUUAAACUCUUUAUGCUUAAUUCUCUUGUCGUAGCAUCUUUUAGUUCUUUCUUUAGAGUUGUGAUAAGCUUUUUCUCUCCAUUCUUCUAGCUCAGAAAGUUGCAUUUUACGAUUCUUGCCAGCUAGGUGGAGAUCCAUGUUCCACUUCUUAAUUGCCCAAUGGGCCCUAAAUUCUAACUCAACAGGCAAAUGGCAAGUCUUCCCAUAUACAAGCUGAUAUGGUGACUGUUGACGGUCCUUAAGUACUAAAAUUAAUGAUCAAAUAAACAUGAAAAAGGAUCAAUAUGAAACAAACAUCUAGAAUUAGAGUUUUAUCUGACAGAAUUCCACGAGCUUUGGUGUUUAUCUAUUUCUGCAGGGGGUUAUCAGAGAAUAUGGAGAGAAGGCCCACAUGUCAUGUUUACAACGAGAUAAUUACGUGCCGUGCAAUUUUCCUCAAUCUAGAAGAGUCCAGAAGCCAUGGGAACAAACGAGAGCACGAUCGGGCUCGGGGGCAGGGCGGCCGCCCACCCCCCUUGGGCGCCCGCCCAGGGUUGGAGGCCAAUCAGGACUCUGCUUCGGGACUACGCUCCACCGACCUAAAGGAUCAAUCUAAACCAUACAAUCUAUGUCGGUUUGAUCCAAUGGCUCACGUUCACUUGAGGGGACUAUAAAACCAAGGCCAAACCCCCCCUGGAGAGAGGAGAAGAGAAGAAAUCAUUAUUCAGAGGUAGCCAUCAAAGUUAGGGUUUAGAGCUUCUCUCCCAUAGAGAAUUAGAAUUAGCUACUCCCUAAUCCUUCAAGUUUAGAGGUUUGAUUAGAUAGCAAUUAGAGAAGUAGAGCACUACGCUCUGGAUUUGGAUCUUCGGUAAUAAAGAUUGGUAUUAUUCAUAUCUUUCUCUAAUUCUUUGUUCUAAUUGCAUUAUGUCUCUAAUUAUUAUGUUCUUAGUUUACUCUAGUUCUAUAUUUGAUAUAGUUCUAAUUAUUAUGUCUAAUUGACGCGAGGGAGUUAGGUGAUAGAUCACAUGUGAGCGUGGUGCUUAGAUGUUAUUUAUCUGCAAAUGUAUCCUAUUGGCCGGGUCGUGUGGUAGUUCGCGAUAGUGACAGCUUCGUUGAUUCUUAUAUAGUCCACCCUCCGUUGUUAGGACAGGCAGAACCGGUAUUGUGGAGUAAGUCAUGUGAUGCUCUGAUUUACUUUAUCAAUGUUCCUUAUACAUGAAUGAAGAGUCUUUUAUGCUAUAUAUGAUCUUGUAGAUAACUAGAGUAGAUUAUGACUUAGUAGUUAGUAGAUAACUUAGAAUCCAUUCUCUAGCUAAUCCGACAUCACCUACAUAUAUGAGGAGUAGUCUAUUUUCUAAUCGCUGUGUUAUCUACCCAUGAACUUAUAAUUCAUUAUCAUUAUCUUUAUGGUUUACCCCUUGCUAAAGUAAGUGACUGUGUGACGAGUUUCUCAUUAGUAAUCAUGUUCUUGCAAGUUUAUCUCUAGUCUAUGCCUUGAUAGAUUUUGCCCCUUUAUUUUAUUUUCAUCCCUUGCAAAAUUAUAAAUAACGAUACCUGGAAUACUUAUCCUGGUGAAAUGCUACAAUGAGGUGUUUUAUCUGUGUGCUUGCGGAUAGAAUAGAUUAUUUUCUAGAGAGCCCUUACAUUUAUAAAUACCUAUGUACACUCUGGCGCCAUGCUAGGGAUGACAACCUAGUAUCUAAGUGGUGUUAGCUAGUGUCAACAAGCAUUUCUGGCGCCGUUGCCGGGGAAUUUAUACGAGUCUCAGGAAUAAGUCAUAAAGGGGAACAAAAGGGUAAUACUUAGGAACGGUAAGGUAAGCCAGAAAAUCAAUCAAGGUUAUUCAUAUAAAAUUUUAGACUAGACUAUAGAGAAAUAAUUGCAUAAAACAGCUACUAAGUGAGAAAUCAUAACAAGGCACCUCUGUUUUGGCGGUUCACCCUAUUGUUUUUCUAUGUUUACAUUUUUAUACAGGGUAUAUCAGGAUCGACUUUGGGUGCAUUCAACUCUUCAUCAUCAGAACCAAAGCAAUCAAGAAAGAAGAAAAAGCUAGCUACCAAUUGCUGAAGCUAUGACACAAAAGUCCUUGCAAGAAUUCUCUGCUCCAAGUCUUGACAACAUUCCAACUGGUCCGAGAUUUGCAGUAGAAGAAGGAAUACCCGAGUUUGAGCUCAAGUCAAGCCUCAUCAAUUUGGUGCAAGCUACACAAUUCAAUGGAAAGGCACAUGAAGAUGCUAGUGUACACUUGCAGAAUUUCUUAGAAAUUGGAAGCACAAUCCACAUCAACGGAGUUGACAAAGACGUCAUACUGCUUCGCCUUUUUCCAUUCUCACUAGAAGGGAAAGCGAGGAAGUGGUUCUACACUCAUCAAGAUAACAUCAACAACUGGACGAACUUGUCAAAUGCCUUUCUAUCGAAGUUUUUCCCUAUAGGCAAAACAACUGCCUUAAGAGGAAAUAUUGUCAAUUUUCAACAGCAGAAGACAGAAGCCAUUUCAGAAGCAUGGGAGCGUUUUUAGGGAUACAUUUCAGAUUGUCCUCACUAUGGAAUGGCCACAUGGUUACUUAUGCAGACUUUCUACCAUGGAUUAACCCAGAAGGCUCGUGAGUGCUUAGAUGCAUCUGCUAAAGGAUCAUUCUUGGAGCUUACAAUUGGAAAAGCAGAGAUACUUUUGGAUAAGAUAGCAGAAAACCAAAGCUGGUUCCAAGAUGAAGCUCAACAAUAUCAUCAAACUGAAGAAAUACCAGAAGAAGUAAAUGCAUUAUCAACGAAGAUGGAAAAUUUGCUCCAUUGGAUUGACCAGAGGGCCAAGUUUAAAGAAGAUCAAAGGGCCAUUGAGACAGCAUACAAAUAUCAACCAACUUCGAGUCAACCCAAUAGCAAAGGUAUGAAUUCAGGUAAUACUUUCAAGCAACUUUCAUUAAAAGAGAUAAUUGCUCAACAAACCAAAAUUAAUGAUGAAGUUAAACAAAGGCUAGAUACAAAUGAAUCAUCUCUAAAAGAUAUACACAAUAAAAUGGAUUUUCUACUAACUGCCUUUGAUGAACAAAACACUCUUAAUAAAAGGGUAGAGCUUAAAUUAAUAAAGAUAGCUGCUGCACUGCCUGUUGCUACUAACAUUGAGCAGGUAAAGAAUAUAACUACUAGAGGAGGCAAAGCUACGAGAGAUCCCCCAUACCCAAAAGAGAAACAAAGAACACCAGCACCAGUGCAACCAGCAGUGAUAGAAGAAGAAAGCCCAGUUGAAGCAGAAGAUCUGCUACAACCACCAAGAACUGGAGAAAUGAGGAAAGAUUUUUACGACACCAACUAUUUGCCAUUUCCCAGAAGAAACAGAGGACUGCAGUCGGAUGAGCAGUUUGGUAUGUUUGUAGAGGUAAUUCAGAAAUUAUAUGUCAACAUACCUCUGCUCGAUGCCAUAAAGGUACCUACAUAUGCAAAGUACAUCAGAGAUAUUCUUUACAAGAAGAGACCACUGCCCACCACUGAGGUUAUCAAGCUGACGGAAGAAUGUAGUGCGGCCAUCCUCAAUAAGCCACCAAAGAAGAAGGAAGAUCCCGGAUGCCCCACUAUUGACUGCUCGAUCGGAAACCAACACUUCAACAAUGCACUUUGUGAUCUCGGAGCAAGUGUCAGUGUGAUGCCAGCAUUAGUCUACAAAAAGCUUGAGUAUGCGACCCUAGAACCAACAUCAAUGUGCCUACAACUAGCGGAUCAAUUGGUUCGACACCUGUUGGGCAUCGCCGAGAACAUUCCAGUCAAGAUCAGAGAUUUCCUGGUGCCAGUAGACUUCGUAGUACUGGACAUGAGUCCUGACUCAAAAGUGUCCAUCAUCCUUGGAAGACCAUUUCUGAGCACUGCGAAUGCCCACAUUGAUGUCGGAAAAGGAGAAAUCAAGUUCAACAUAAACGGUCAAGAAUAACACUUCACAUUCAAACCCAGACCAGAGAGAGACUCUACAGUGAAGGAAGUUCAUGAAGAACCACUGGAGACACCAUCUCCAGAGGAAGGUAAUUCAGAAGAUUAAAAGAUUUGGAGGUCCAGCUUGGGGGACCCAAAAAUCCCAAACCCUCACCGGGAGGUAAAUCGGUAUUUAUCCGCAUUAUUAAUUUCUUCAUAUUUAAAUUCUUGCAUAAUUAAUUCCUGCAUUAGUCAUAUAUAUUCAUAGCAUAAUCAUAAUAAUCAAAAAGCCCCAUUCAUGGUGUGUAACAACCCAUAUUUAUUAAUUAUUGUGGAGGCACAAAAAUAUUUUCCAUUAUAAUUUUAAUUAAGUUUCAAUUCUCAUAGAUUUUUCCUGCAUUAUAAUUAAUAAUAGUAACCUUCUAGAAGCAUGACCCACACUCUUUGGGUCCCACAUGUCAUACACUUCACCUCACAUACAUCCCAUCACAUUAUUUCAUCCACCAAUAUGUUUCCACUCACCUGACAUCUUUCCACCAUCCAACAACCACCAACACAAUAUUAUUCUGCGUGAGAUCAAAGCAAGGAAGCAAGUGGAGGAGGCACACCCAGGAUGGACACCAGGAGUGGGCGCCUGCCCACCUACCAAGGGCGCCCGCCCUGCUACCUCUUCCUCCUAUAAAUAGCCACCUUCUACCUCCAUCCUCUCCACACAAGCACUCCAGAAAACCACACAAGUAUCAGUUUCCAGAAAGAGCUCUUGUAGUGAAGAGAGAAGAGAGUAGAGAGAAAGAGAAGAGUGGGAAAGAAGUUGAUAGAGAGUGAAUAUCACCUAGCAAGAAGUGAUCCCGCUGUCUAAGCGGAAGUAAAAGUUGUUUAGGGGGAGGUUCUGCCAAAAUAGAAACUUAUCUUGAACGACUAACCCCAGGACUACUGACAUUCCAGAUAGCUGACCACUAACAUUUUCUCUCACAUUUUCCACUAGUUGUGUUUUUGCCAACUUUUGUUUGCAAGAUGUUUAAGAAGGUGAAGAAUGCAGGAAAGGCUCUCAAGAACAUUGGUACAAGGAGUUCAUCCCGACACUCCUCACAGCCAUCAGAGAUGAGCGUCGACCCGACACCCACACAAGCUCCGUCAUCUUCAUCAGGUCAGCAAGUCAAGGUUCUUCUCAAGAUAGGAGACCUAGGACUGAAGACCCGAAGAGAGAAGGAAGUCUAUCAGCAGUUGAAGAACAAAGAUUUCAUUCACACCCCUACUAUUGAUCCAAUCUUACUACAAGAAACAGGUAUGGACACUGAAUUUGACUUAAUUUUCUAGAUGUUAGGUUGGACAAAUUUUUGGAACAUAACUGAGCCGGGUUCUCAUCUUCUCACCCUUGAAUUUCUUUGCACCUUACAAUAUUAUGAGGGGGGAAUUGUUUUUCGGAUGUUCAAACAGGAAAUUAUGUUGUCUUGGAGAGAGCUGAGCGACCAUCUUGGUUUCUCUUCAAGAUGCAUCCUAAACAUUGACUCCGAUCUACCUAACUUUGAGAGACACCAGUUUUGGAGAGAAAUAUCUAGAGAUAAUUUUUAUAGUCAAGCCCGAACAAGUGACAUGGAACACCCCACUCUUAGAAUGUUCCACAAAUGGCUUGGGUACAAUCUUUUCUAUCGUGAUGAUAUUAGGAAAGUAAGAGUAGGGGAUUUACAACUUUUAUAUGCUGCUAUUAGUAAAGUACCCACUUCACCUGUUACACUUUUAGUUUCACAUUGGCUUAGUGUACCUAGUCUGCAGGGACCAGUAGGAUGUACUUCACUUAUCACUCGUCUAGCCUUUAAUCUUCACUUACUAGAAAAUUCAUCGUUGGAUUUCAUAGAGGAAUUAAGAAUUUACCAUGGCUAUGACACGUUUAGACAAGCUCAGAUGUUAAAGAAAGAGGGGAAUAUAAUAUAUAUGCUAUAUGAUGAUAGAGGCAAGAUUCGGUUACCUAACCCGAACCUUGGCCUAUACGUUGUCCAAAUAUUUUUGAUUGAGAUUGCAGCAACACCAGUGAACCAGAGAGCUCCACAACGAGUGGCAUCUGAAAGGAUGACCACCCAUCGAGAACGCACCUGGUAUGGAGCUGACCCUAGACCAGAAGAAGCAGCGCACCUGCAUUAUUGCGAUUACAACCCUCGAGUCCUUCGAGACCCAUGGGUUCGACAUGCGCAUCCACAAGAGCCAACAGAGGAGACAUGGCCGGAGAGCCAAGAUCACCAGUGGACAAACCCGCCUUUUCAUACGGGCAGGUACUCCACUGAUCCAUAUGGAGCUUCAGGAUCCAGACCUCCGCCCCAAUUUGAUGCAGGACGAUACUCCGAUGCCUCCUACGCCUUCACGAAUGACUACUAUCAAGAGGCCAGUGCUUUCUUCACUCGUACCGACAACACCCUCCUCGACAUCCAGAACACGCAAGCAGAACAUGGAAGACUCCUAGAAGAACAACAAAAAUGGAACCAGGACCAUGCUGCUGCAGUACAAGAGCUGAGACAAGAUACAACAACAAUGAAUGACAACAUCACAACUAUGAUGCAGUUCUGGAACAUCAGGUAAGAUCGACGUCAACAUCCAGCUUGGGGGAGUUCCUCCCCAAUUUAUCAAGUAAGUUUUUAUUUGCUCUUCUUAUUUAUUCUAUUUUGUCUUAGUGUUCUAUUUAUCUUAAAAAGGAAAAACUUAGAAAACCAAAUAAAUAUUUUCUUGCUUUAAUUUACUGCACUUUAUAAACAUAAAAACAAAAUAAAAAGAGUGUGUAGAUAAGUGUGCUUUAUUUUCUUGCUAAGUUUAAUCUUUAAAAAAAUAAAAGACCAAAAAGAUGCAUAAUGAAAAUAAGAAACAGUUGCUCUGUUUGCUUACUUUUAAGUACCUAGCUUCUAUAUUAGAGUUCUUCCAGGAAUUACUAAAACUGAAAUACUAUCUUUGGGAAGCAUAAAACUAAAGUCUAGGUAAGAGAAAGACAUGAUAUAAAGUUGAGCUGCUGUUUAUCUUGUUCUUACUACACUAAGUUCUAGAGAUUUAUUUUGAAAACUUACAAAUCACAUGAUGAGUUCCUAGCAUACAAAACUACCUACCGCAGCCAUACUUCCUAUAACAUCUUUUACUAUAUUUAUAUUGAGUUUGAUCGAGCUGUGUUGACCCUUAGGAGCUUUUCAUGUGGUUAAAUUAAGAUAUUCACUUGCACACAUCUACCAUAGCACUCAUCACCAAUCAUUAAAAUUGCUAAAAAUAUUAUCACUCACUGUCCCAAGUAUUGUUAUUCUCUCUCUCUAAAAAGAUUCAAUGCAGAAGAGGCAUGGGUUAUGCAAAAAUAUGCGAGGAAAUAAAAAGGGGCAAGUGCCCGGAACCUCAAAAAAGAAAGAAAAAGAGUGAGACGAGAGGUAAAAAUGGACAAGUGUCCGAAGUAGAAUUAGGGGUACAAAGAUGCCCACUUGAGCGGAAAAAAAUGGACAAGUGUCCGACAGUAGAAUUAGGGGUAUCUACUACCCACCUGAAAAAAAAGAGAGAGAGAAAGAAAAAGAUAGCCCAUGUUCUCUCAAAGCAAAGAUCAAAGAGGAGGAGAGAUAGCAAUAUGAGGAGCAAUGAGAAGUAAGUUUUAUCACUUAUAUAUAUCUUCACCAUCACUAUCAUUUACUCCAUCACACAUGCACAUCUUGAUUUAAUUAUAUGUUGAGUUCCUUUGGAUCCAUAGCUCGAUUAGACAACAUAUGUAUGAGCUGUUUCCACUCCUAUAAACUCCACUUAAAUAUUCCAUUAGCUAUAGGUAAGUGACUUUAUGGUAAGGAUCCACAAAUACUACAUAUAGAGAGACUUGAGAGAAUCAUUUCUGGGAACUCUGAGUUUUAUUUUGAAAACUUAUGAAAAACUCUAGAACAAAGGUGAAGUAUAGACAGGAGGAAUAGUGCUUGACUUAACUAUUUUGUCUUUUGAUUACUUAAGAUUUAAAUGCAGGUACUAAACUCCAUAACACUUCACUCUAAUCUGGAAGAAUUUUAUGCAAAAGCAUGUGUGCCUGUCAGGAAAGAAAACAUCGAAGCAACUUCUGAUUCGUCUAAGUUUAGCUAUUUGCUCAGGGACGAGCAAAGGGUAAGCUUGGGGGAGUUUGUUGACGGUCCUUAAGUACUAAAAUUAAUGAUCAAAUAAACAUGAAAAAGGAUCAAUAUGAAACAAACAUCUAGAAUUAGGGUUUUAUCUGACAGAAUUCCACGAGCUUUGGUGUUUAUCUAUUUCUGCAGGGGGUUAUCAGAGAUUAUGGAGAGAAGGCCCACAUGUCAUGUUUACAACGAGAUAAUUACGUGCCGCGCAAUUUUCCUCAAUCUAGAAGAGUCCAGAAGCCAUGGGAACGAACGAGAGCACGAUCGGGCUCGGGGGCAGGGCGGCCGCCCACCCCCCUUGGGCGCCCGCCUAGGGUUGGAGGCCAAUCAGGACUCUGCUUCGGGACUACGCUCCACCGACCUAAAGGAUCAAUCUAAACCAUACAAUCUAUGUCGGUUUGAUCCAAUGGCUCACGUUCACUUGAGGGGACUAUAAAACCAAGGCCACCCCCCCUGGAGAGAGGAGAAGAGAAGAAAUCAUUAUUCAGAGGUAGCCAUCAAAGUUAGGGUUUAGAGCUUCUCUCCCACAGAGAAUUAGAAUUAGCUACUCCCUAAUCCUUCAAGUUUAGAGGUUUGAUUAGAUAGCAAUUAGAGAAGUAGAGCACUACGCUCUGGAUUCGGAUCUUCGGUAAUAAAGAUUGGUAUUAUUCAUAUCUUUCUCUAAUUCUUUGUUCUAACUGCAUUAUGUCUCUAAUUAUUAUGUUCUUAGUUUGCUCUAGUUCUAUAUUUGAUAUAGUUCUAAUUGAUAAUGAGUUUAUGUAUAAGUUUGCAAAGCGCUUAGCUCUUGACGCGAGGGAGUUAGGUGAUAGAUCACAUGUGAGCGUGGUGCUUAGAUGUUAUUUAUCUGCAAAUGUAUCCUAUUGGCCGGGUCGUGUGGUAGUUUGUGAUAGUGACAGCUUCGUUGAUUCUUAUAUAGUCCACCCUCCGUUGAUAGGACAGGGAGAACCGGUAUUGUGGAGUAAGUCAUGCGAUGCUCUGAUUUACUUUAUCAAUGUUCCUUAUACAUGAAUGAAGAGUCUUUUAUGCUAUAUAUGAUCUUGUAGAUAACUAGAGUAGAUUAUGACUUAGUAGUUAGUAGAUAACUUAGAAUCCAUUCUCUAGCUAAUCCGACAUCACCUACAUAUAUGAGGAGUAGUCUAUUUUCUAAUCGCUGUGUUAUCUACCCAUGAACUUAUAAUUCAUUAUCAUUAUCUUUAUGGUUUACCCCCUGCUAAAGUAAGUGACUGUGUGACGAGUUUCUCAUUAGUAAUCUUGUUCUUGCAAGUUUAUCUCUAGUCUAUGCCUUGAUAGAUUUUGCCCCUUUAUUUUAUUUUCAUCCCUUGCAAAAUUAUAAAUAACGAUACCUGGAAUACUUAUCCUGGUGAAAUGCUACAAUGAGGUGUUUUAUCUGUGCGCUUGCGGAUAGAAUAGAUUAUUUUCUAGAGAGCCCUUACAUUUAUAAAUACCUGUGUACACUCUGGCGCCAUGCUAGGGAUGACAACCUAGUAUCUAAGUGGUGUUAGCUAGUGUCAACAGUGACAUACCAAUAGGUGUCUUAUAUAAACAGUUCGGUAAGCCCAAAGCGCAUCAGGUAGUUUGUCCUUCCAUCCCUUACCCAUUUCAUCUACGGUCUUUCGUAAAAUAUUUUUAAUUUGCUUGUUAGAUGUUUCUUCUUGACUGCUAGUUUGCGGAUGGUAUGGUGUUGCAAUGUUGUGACGCACUCCAUGAUCCCCUAGGUACUUCCAGAAGACCUUGUCUAUAAAGUGUGAUCCUCCAUCACUUAUACCCAUCCGGGGUGUACCAAAAUGAGGAAAUAUGAUUUCGUGGAACAUUCUCUUAGCAUGAUUGGAAUCAGCAUUUCGACAUGGUAGGGCUUCUACCCAUUUGGAUACAUAGUCUACAACCACUAAAUGUACUCGUAAUUUUUGGAUUUAGGGAAUGGCCCCAUGAAAUCAAUCCCCCAUACAUCAAAGAGUUCAACAUGGAGAUUGUUUGUGAGUGGCAUGGCAUCUCGUGAGUUGAUGCUCCCAUGUUUUUGGCAUCUAUGGCAUCUCCUGACAAACUCCUUUGUAUCCUGAUACAUUGUUGGCCAGAAAAAGCUACUUUGCCAAAUCUUGGCAUGUGUCCGAAAUACCCCAUAAUGCCCUCCAUAUAGCGAGGCAUGACAUGUUUCCAUAAUUUGAAUGGCCUCAGCCAUAGGGACACAUCUUCUUAGCAAACCAUCAGAGCAAACUCGAUAUAGAUAGAGAUCAUCCCAUAGGUGAAGACGGCGGAUCCAUUUUCUUUUGUCCAUACCAUCUGGGACAUAACCCGCUACCAUAAAGUUCACGAUAUUUGCAUACCAUGGAUCAGAGUUUGUUAUCAUGAGUAGAGUUUCAUCCCUUAGGUAAUCAUUAAUAGGUAACUCAUGUGGUUCCUUGUAUUGAAGUCUAGACAAGUGGUCGGCUACUGAAUUUUCUACUCCUUUCUUAUCUCGUAUUUCUAUGUCAAACUCUUAGAGUAGAAGAAUCCAUCGAAUUAGCCGAGGUUUAGCAUCUUUUUUAGUGAGGAGGUACUUAAGAGCAGCAUGAUCUGUAUAAACAAUUACCUUAGCCCCCACUAAGUAAGAUCUAAACUUGUCUAUAGCAAAGACAAUAACAAAUAAUUCUUUUUCAGUGGUAGCAUAGUUGAGCUGAGGUCUAGACAAGGUUUUGCUAGCAUAAGAUGUGGCAUAGUGCUUUUUAUCUUUGGUUUGGCCUAAAACGGCUCCAACCGCAAAAUCACUAGCAUCACACAUGAUCUCAAAAGGAAGCUUCCAAUCAGGUGGUUGGAUAAUUGGAGCUGAGAUGAGUGUUUUUUCAAGAAUUUGGAAAGUUGUAUGACACUCAUCAUUAAAGAUGAAAGGUGCAUCUUUAGCAAGGUGACUAGUUAGGGAUCUAGCUAUUUGAGAAAAAUCUUUGAUGAAGCGUCUAUAGAACCCUGCAUGUCCAAGAAAACUACGGAUGCCUUUCGCAUUUGUGGGAGGUGGAAGUUGUUCAAUAACUUCAAUCUUGGCUCUAUCCACCUCUAUCCCACGUUCGGACAUCUUGUGCCCUAGCACUAUUUCUUCUCGGACCAUAAAAUGGCAUUUCUCCCAGUUUAGGAUUAAGUGCUUUUCUUCACACUGUUGUAAGACUUUGUCCAGAUUCUCUAAACAAUCAUCGAAGUUUUUGCCACAGAUGGUAAAAUCAUCCAUGAAUACCUCCAUAAUUUUCUCAAUCAUAUUAGAGAAAAUAGACAUCAUGCACCGUUGAAAAGAAGGUGGAGCAUUACAUAGCCCAAACGACAUUCGUCGGUAUGCGUAAGUUCCAUAGGGGCAUGUGAAAGUAGUCUUACUUUGGUCAUCGGGGUGGAUUAGGAUUUGAUGAUAUCCGGAAUACCAAUCAAGGAAACAAAAGAACGAGUGAUUUGCAAGCCGUUCCAACAUUUCAACAAUGAAGGGUAACAGGAAGUGAUCUUUCUUUGUGGCCUUGUUGAGUUUUCGGUGACAGUUCAUUGAGGGAUGAGUUCGUUUUUCUCAUUCCUAACAAUCACCAUUCCUCUUUUCUUUUAUACAACUUGUACUGGGCUAACCCACUCACUAUGAGGAAUAGGAUAAAUAAUCCCAGUGUGUAAAAGCUUAAGGACCUCUUUUUUAACAACUUCUCGCAUGGCAUGGUUAAGCCUCUACUGUGGCUCCCUUUGAAGGUGUGCAAUCAGGAUCAAUAGGGAUGUGAUGAGUGCAGAGAAUGGGGCUAAUGCCUACGAGGUCUUUGAGUGAGUAGCCGAUAGCUAGUUUGUGUCUUUCUAAGACAGUGACAAGUUUAUAGGUUUCUUCUUGGGAAAGCUUGUCACUGAUGAUCACUGGGGUUUGUCGAUUAUUGUUGAGAAAGACAUACUUUAGGCCAGGAGGAAGAGGUUUUAGCUCGAUUGAAGGAACAGGUGGUUGCUCACUUUUGUCUAGUUCAAUCUACCAACUCUUCCUCUUCUUGAAUAAACUGUUCAUCAUCAAGGAUUGGUUGGGCCAUGUUUUCUAGAGAUGCCAUUAAAACCACUUCAAUAGAGUCUUGCUCGUAUUUGGGUUCCACUAUUGUGUUGAUAGAACGGGCAAGAAGAAUAUUUAUAGCGGAAUUCCCAACCUUAAAGUCCAAAUGACCUUGUAAAGGUUUUUCCUAUAAGAGCUCAUGAUUGGUCUGCCAAUCAAGAGAGUAAUAUCUAAGGUGUCAUAUAUGUGAAAAUCUAGGCAUAUCUCAAAGUUGUUAAUUUUGAUAGGAAUAACCCUUAAUACCCCAUUGCUCUCAAGAAUAGUUCCCGAAGAGGUUUGUAAAUGCUUUUCUGAUGGGGUUAAGGAUGUGUUGGGAUAAAGGCUAUUAGCUAAUGUCUUUGAAAUAAGGUUUAUCCCAAUAGAUUUACUAUAAUGUAUUUUCAUAGCAGUCCUCCUAAUUUGGCACCAAAGAAUGGUUGGGGGAUCGAUGAUUCGAGCUACCUCAGGAGAUAACUCUACUUCCGUCAGCCAUUCAUAACUCAUGAUUGAGGAUAGGCUUUUAAUUUGUUCUGUGAUAACAGAGCCUUCAUGUGGAUCAGAGGGUGUAGUGUGUGCCAAAGGUCUUGGUUGGAUAGGCAAAAUCUAGGUAUUUCCAUAAUCUUCAAAGAUAUCUUCCUCGAAUUCAAAGGGAAACUCUAAAGGAGAAUCAACAUCCUCUAGUUGGGUUUGUGUUCCCUUUUCAGGAGGUUUUUCAACAACCAAUUCAUGAGAUGAAUCAAGUGGAGUUUUUAAUUUGGUUGCUGGUGUUUCCUCUUUUUGUUCGGGGCUUGUCUCAACUUGUUCUUCAGAGAAUUCAUCAUAUACGUCAGUGUAUGGGGUGUUUUUCUAGAAUUUUGUCAAGGAUGACUUUCCCCUCACUAACGAUUUUAUGUGAAAAGGACCCUCCCGAAGAAGUAUCGAGAAAAAGGGUAGCUUCUUUGCUAAGGCUAUAGUGAAAGUGUUGUAAUAGGACAUGUUCAUACAUAGACAAAUCUGGGCCAUAUGCAAUUAAAUUUGAAAAUCUUGCCCAAGCUGCUCCUAAGGUUUCCUUCUCUUUUUGUUGGAAAGUGAGAAUUUUAAGGCGAAGAGGGAUAAUCUGGGAAAUAGGAAAGAAAGCGAGACAAAAUUUAUCUCGAAGUUCCUUCCAAUCUCCCUCUACACUCCUAACAGUAUGAGUGUACCAUUGUUUCGCCCUCUCAGAAAGAGAGAAUGAAAAUAACUUCCAUUUUAAGGUCUCAUGGUUCAUGUCACAAAAAUUCAGAGAAGAACACAGUUGCUCAAAUUCUCGGAGGUGAAUGUAUGGAUUUUUGUCUUCUUUUCCCGAGAAGGUUUGUUCCCGAACCAUAGCUAUGAAAGAAGGGAGAAUUUGAAAGCCAUCCGUAAGUAUAGGAUGUGAUGAUGGUGGAGGCUCUAAUAAUUCACCCCUUGGAGCGGAAAAUUGGUAGAUAGGUGUGGAAUCCAUGUAGGGGUAAAGAUAAUGGUAAAGAAAAAAGGAUAAAUAGGCGAACUUGGUUCGAAACUAGCACAACUACUGUUCCCCGGCAACGGCGCGAGAAAGCUUGUUGGGUAUUUUAAACGCAAAAAGGGAAAUCCGCAAGCGCACGGAUACCGAUGUAGCUUUCACCCGAGAGUAUUCUAGAGUAUUGAUUAUCCACGAGGAAUGCAAAGUGUACUAAUUAAGGUUCAAGAUCGUCCAAUGGUAAAGGUCAAAGUAUUUUUAGUGGGUAGCGAGGAUGUUUCUAAGGUUUCUCUAAUAGAUCUAUAAAUCAAAUUGACUUUAAAGUCUACUUAUUUCGGGACAUCAUAGCACUUAGCCAUAGACAGAUGAGAAGGGGGCUAGGACGGUCUAACUAUGGUCCUACAACACCAAUCCAAACGUGGUGGAAUACGUCGGCCAUCAAGGCUGUCACCACCUGGGGCUACCACAACUAUCCGUAGAACUAGGUGUAAUUCUAGGUAAUAUAUAGACUAAGCACCAUGCCUAACCUAUUAAUUACUACUCUAGCAUUACAAAGACUAGAGCACUUGAUGCAAGCGAGAAACUAAUAAAUGAACUUAAAGUACUAAGAUUAAGUAAAUAAAGAACUUAGAAUAGUAAUUAAGGCACCUCAAGAUUGUUGAAUGAUGAACCAGAUACUACAAAAGUACAAUGUCAAGGAAGAUCCGAUAGAUCCGGCUCCUUUGCUCUCUCCUCUUCUCUCUCCCUCUUCUAAUUAUAACUAGAUGAACUAGAAUUAGAACUAGAAGAACUAGAACUAGAUGAAAUAGAGGGACACUACUAACCCUAAUUUGUGUAGAGAAUAUGAAGCACCGGGGUGUAGAAUGCCUCUUGGGGGAGCCUUGGGCAUCAUUAUAUAGGCCAAGGUGGAGUAAGGGGCAAAGAACCGCCACGUCAGUGAUCUGUGUCUUUAUCUUGUGUGCACCGUCGGAUCAAACCGACUUAAAAUGGACGGAGGGAUACUUUGCUUGGCUUCCAAGGAGGUGUAGGAUGAAUAUUCCAGAAGGCGGUGGCCAUCGAGCGAAAUAGGGCGUCGAUCGGCCCCAGGGUGGGGCCGGCCAGCCCCACCUUCUCUCCUUUGUGGGUCUCGUUCCUUCAGGUGACUUCUAGACCCUUCCUAAGCCUGAUGACGAUAUUUGCCGACGCGGAUAAGUUUUGUGAUAAUUAAGCACUCUAAUCCCUCUUUUAUGCUUUUCUAGAAUAAUCCCUAGAAAAUACGGAACAUGCAAAACUCAUGGAAAUUGUCAGUAAAAACCCUAGACUAGUGCAUAUUCAUGUAUCCCUUUAUGUCUAAAGUUCUAAUAAAAGUUGACGUUAUCCACCGUCAACAGUAACAUAACAUGGUGAAUAAUUAAUACCAUAUUGAAUAUUAACAAAACAUUAACUCGACUUAUAUGGUUGGAUUUUAUCCGUCUAUAUUGAGAAGUUGAGAAAGGUACAAAGGCGUGCCACACGUGCAUGUGCGUCACCGCUGUCGCCGUCAGCAGGGCCAAGUUGUGGGCAUGGGUGUGGGCGUGGGCUGGCGUGGCGUGGAACUUCUUUUGGAUUAUGUCGAUUAAACAAGUUGUUGGCCCCAUUUGUAGUAAGGCUUAACCUAAGAAACACCAGAACAAGAACCAACCUCUGCUGCUCAAAGGCGAUCUCCAUCCUAGUGCUCCGCGCACACGGAGUAUCGGGAGAGCAGGUGCCUCCAGAACUGCUGCCCUCGUGAGAUCCUACUCGAGGUUGUAGGCGAUUAGGUUUUUGGGGAGCAACUAUGUGACUGCUCUGCUCGCUCCACACACCAUCAUUGUCUUCUUCCUCUAGUGGGCUCACGGAAUUUGGCACUACGAACACCUUUGUUGACUAUAGUUAACUCUUAUUUUGAACUGUCAACAUAACUUUUAUAACUGCAAAGAGAUGCUCACCAACAUAGGUUUAAAGGUUUGAACUAACAAAUUCCAUGAGUUUUGGUGCAUCUAUGUUUUGCAGGGUGUCACAUAGGAAAAGAGCUAAAGGCAAACUAAUCAUUGAAUAAAAGAAUCUCAAAUGAUGAAGUGGAUUGCACCAUUGUGAUGGGCACAUCGAGAUGAUCGAAAUCCAUAUAUCACUUGCCUGAUUUGGAGUCUCAGAUGAAGGAAUACGAAUUUCAUAAGAAAAUACACUUUUCUAGAGUAUAGAAGGUUCGAGAAGACACCAGAAUGAAUGGGAAGGCAAACGACCACAGGGGAUGGGCGCUCGCCUAGCCACAACAGCCAAUCAGGCUCUGACUUGCGGAUUCUCGAUCCACCGAAUUUGAGGAUUAAUCCCAAGCGCACGUUUAAGUUGGUUUGAUCCAAGAGAUGUGGUGCUUGUUAGGGGGCUAUAAAUAAAGGCCAUUCCCCCCUGGAGGAGAAUCAUUAUGAGUUGUAGAGGCGUCCCUCGAAUGGAUAACCUCUCUUCUCUAGAGAAUUAGGGCUAGACAUUCCAAUGUAGUAGAUUAGUUUUAGUCAGGAGUUAGGGAGAGCGGUGCUACGCUUCGGUUCUGGAGGAGUCUUCAGAGUUUGAUAUGUUUUCAUAUCUCUUCUUUGUAAGACUUAUACUUUAAUAUAUUAUCUUCUCCAUUUACUUUAUGCCUAUUUAUGAUUAGUGUAGUUGUUAUAUCUUGGCAUGAGAUCUCCGCUCGUAUUGAGUGCUCUAGUUAUGCAAGGUAAUUAGAGUAGUAAACGUUAGUGUAGACGUGGUGUCUAGGCUAUAGUUUACCUGAGGUUGCGCUCAAUCCCACGGAUAGUUGUGGUAGCCCCAGGGGUGACAACCCUAUCAGGCCUUUGUAUUCCACCACGUUUGGAUUGAUGUUUUGUAGAGCUUUUGGCAGCCUUCCCCUGACUACUUUCUUCCUAGUCUUAUUCGAGAGUCAGAAAGGACCUGCUAUUCCAAAGUGCCAUUGUGUGACUACUAUAUCUUUUCAUAUUCUGUUAUAUUAGAACCUAAGUAAUAGAGAAGUACAUAGAAACCUUGAUCUUUCCCGUUGUCCUCCUGCUAUGACUAUAUAUACAUUCAUCAUUGAAUUCUCUUAUAUGCACUUAAUUGAUUUAUUCUAUAUUACAUCAUUUACCCUUGCUUCAGUUUAGUUGAUACUCUAAGUUAGUAGAUGUAGGAUAGUGAAUUAUUAGAUUCUUAACCCUACUUCCCUGUGGUAAAAUAUAAAUAACAAUACCUGGAAUACUCCCGGUAAAAUGCUACGAUGAUGUUCUAUGCACUUGCGGAAUCUUUUAUAUUUCUUUUUGUACUAACGAAUAUCAUCAAGCAUUUCUGGCGUUGUUGCUGGGGAUUAGGCUUUUUGUCUAUCUUUGGUGAUUGCGUUAAGAAAUGUCAACAACCUUCCUGCAUCGACUGAGGUCCAUGACAUUGAGCAAACUCACUGCUUCCAUGGUUGGUACUAGUGAGAAUGGAGCCUCCAAUGCCUUCGGCAUUAGACCCUCCUCUAGGUACACCCUCAACCAUAUUUUUGUUGUUAUCAUGUUUCCUGUCAUGUUUUAUUUUGAUGAAUAUCUGGUUAUACCUGAUGCUAUGUUUUAUAACAUUGUUAUGCUUGCUGGUAUGAUAUAUAAUUUGAAUAUGCCAUGUUUACAUGUUUUAAAUCAUGAUGCAAUGAUUUAUUUUACUACAUAUAACUAUAUCUUUGCCAUGAUAAACUAUUUAUAUGUCAUCAUAUUUAUGUGCUUAUUUUUCUAGAUUAAAUCAAUAUGGAAAUUGCUUAAAUAUCUACCAGAACACAUUGUUCUCCAAAUCAUUGUUCUCCAAAUCCAUAAAAGCCUGUUAGACAUUCAACAAUGUUUUUCUCUCAUAACAAAUCAGCAAACAAUACUCUCAACCAUGUCUUAUCAACCAUGUGAAAUGAGCACAAAAGUUUGUGUGUCCAACCACAAAAGUAGAGGAAGAUAGAGUUAUACCCUAUCCAUAUAUUGGUACAUUAGAAACAAAGAAGUUUGAGAAAUAAGUUAUUACCUUUUUCACGUUUGAGCCUAUGUGCUUCUCUAGCAUUUUUUGUCAUUACCUUCAUUCCUUGUAGGAUAGCUGUCACAUGCCUAAUAUGGGCCGCUGCCCCCAACAGAGCCAAUGGGCCGGCAAGGGUCCGAGGAGGCACGACGGGCAGCCUAGCGCCACGCCCUAAUGGGUCACGUGCUAGGAUAGGGACGUGGGUGAUGCAGCGCCGCCACUCUCGCCAUCAUCGACAUCAUCAACCAUUAUCUAGUUACAUUAUUAAGUCUUAGUAGAUUUGGAAAGAGUUAGUUAAGGAUUCAAGUUUGAGUUUAGAAGGAAAGGAGAAUCUAAAUCCUAUAAGGAUCUCCUGAGAUUGCUUAGGGGCCAAGUCUCACAGGACUAUAAAUACAAGGGAUUUUGUAAUCGUUGCAAUCAAGAAUAGAAUAGUUGAAAGGCCUACACACCCCGUCCCUUUCCCUUGUGCCGCCACCCUAGGCCCCUGGCCCCUGCCCUAGCUCACUGCUGCCACCUCCUCCACCAUAGCCGCCGCCCCCUAGGCCACCUUCACGUCACACCUAUUACAAUAGCCAUCUAAUACCUUCUUUGGAACCUGUAAUAAUAUAGAGAAAUAGAUAGCAUUAGAUUGUGCAAUCAAGCAACUUCGGGAAUGCAGGAAAAAUAUCUCUAUUCUCCACUCUUUUAGAAAGAAAAGACACUAAUACAGUGCCCACGAUCAAUGUAGCCAAAAAAUAUAAUAGAUAAUAGAGUUUGUCUUUUUCCCGUGACACUUCCUGUCCUGAAGUAGGAAUAGUGGUUAAUCUACAAUUCUAUAAUCAAUUUAUUGGCCAAACAAGUUUUGCGAACUCCCCUACUGAUAUGAAAUCAACUUAGAUGAUAAACUGAUACAAGAUGUACCAUAUUACCUGUUAACAGACAAAACACCCAAGAAACCAGAUGAACCAGUGCAAAGAAGGGGGAGGGGGAGAGAUCUUACCACUAUGGUUUGUGGAUCAUUUGUCUGCAACUAGUAUCAACGUUGGGUUUUAGGUGAACAUAAGGGCAUUUGGGACUGAAAUAUGUCAGUAGUGACAUUGAUAAAAAAACUUGAUCCACAGAGGGCUAGGCAGUCCCCGGGUAUUUUUGCUUAAAAAAAGAUCUUCUCACGCAGAUAAAAAAACCUCCAAACUCUUUUUCCACCCAUAUACAGCGGUACUGUAGUUCACGUGAGGCUGAACCAAACCUUAGACCAAUAAUUUGGCGUGGGACAAGAAAUUAUUUACAACGUGCAAAACUAUGAAUGCAGAUGUUGGGAGUUGAAGUCCUAGCCUUGGAGCUUCCCACCACCUAGACGCUACCAGCUGAGCUACCACGUACUCCUCACUCUAGUGCCAUCAUUACAUUGUAGAUAUCCAAAAGAUUGAUAAUGGUCUAUAGUUGAAGUACUUCCACGAGCAAGAACUAUGUUGUAACUCAACUAGUGGAGCAAUGCCAAGAAUCGAUCCCCUAUAGUGAAUGCGAAGGGAAGUUUUCAAAUAUUUUUUCAGCCUAAAGACAUUGGAAGAACUUAUUGUGUUGACAAUUUGCCUUAACAGUAGUUGUUGUUGAUAUUUGGUAACGCCAUCAGGAAAUGAUCCGCAAGCGCACGGAUAUCGGUGAGCAUUUCACCCGGGAGGUUAUCCAGAGUAUCGUAUUUAUAUUUUUACCAUUGGGAGAAAGCGUGCAUCUGACUAACCAAAUCUAUUGCUACCACCCUUUAGGCUACAAAGAAUGUUUCUCGAUGUGAGCGAUGUAUAGAGAAGACUGCAACCGUAGUCUCGUUCUAACCUUGGUAAGGAUGAUCUACUGCUCUAUUGGGGAAGCUUACGGAAUCUAGACACCACAAAGGAUGUUCGACCCGCACCUAUAAACCCUAUCCUUCCUACUAACGAGAUAUGGGCUUCAAAGGUAACUCGGAAAUGUCACGUUCCUCACUACUACCACGGUCCAGCUUGUCAGGGGAUAUCUAUGAGUACCCUAGCCCAAACACCACGUUUACGCUAGCAAUGAUUACUCUAAACUCAACCGGAAGAGAUUAAAGUAAACUCAUAAACUAAAGAACAAUAAAACAAGAACUUACUAGAAUUUAGAAGUCGAAUUACUGAAGAAUCCUGGGAGCAACCCUCAGGUUAGGAGACUUGAUCCCGCGGGUACAACCUCGGAGUAGACACCGACAGGCCAGGCUUCCUCCGAUCUACACCUCCACUCUAUCUCUCUCAAUCUAGUAGAAACUAGAAGAUCUAAUUCUACUCACAUUGGAUGCUAAGCCCUAAAAGAAAUUUUAUUUAGAGGAGAGGUUAUCCUUCGAGGGCACCUCUCAACUCUAUGAUGAACUUGUUCUCCUCCAGGGGCCAGGCCAGGGGGUCUGGUUAUAUAGUCCCUCCAAGUGAAUAUGGGCCGUCGGAUCAAACCGACAUUGAUUAAACGGUUAUCCUUGAUCCUUUAGGUCGGUGGAGCGUAAUCCCCGAAGAGAGUCCUGAUUGGACUCUAGGACAGGGCGGGCGCCCAAGGGGGGAGGGCGGGCGCCCUACCCCCGGGCCCGAUCACCUUCCCGUUCGUUCCCGUGGCUUCUGGAGUCUUCUAGAUGAUAGAAAAUUGCGCGGUACGUUAAUAUCUCUAUGUAAACCCGACGUGUCGGCCUUUCUUCCGUAUUUCCUGAUAACCCCCUGCAGAAAUAGACAAACACCAAAACUCGUAGAAUUCUGUCAGAUAAAACCCUAAGUCUAGGUGUUGGUUGCAUUUGGAUCCUUUUAUUUAUUUAUUUGAUGAUUAUAUUUGGUACUUAAGGACCGUCAACAACUCCCCCAAGCUUACCUCUUGCUCGUCCCUGAGCAAGGAUGGACUUAAGAGUUUCUGCAGUGGUUUCAUGCCUUAAAAGUAAGAUCUCAUCUCUGAGUUAGAGUAAACUUGUUUAGACUUAAAACUUACUCAUUUUACCUUUCACCAUGGGGCUUGUAACCGUCACUUGUGUCUUGAGUAGUUAAAAGAUAGAACGGUCAAGUCAAGCGCCAUGUCUCUUAUUCUUGAUCAGCUAUAGCUCUGGAGUUUUUGCAGAUUUUCAAAUAAAACUCAGAGAUUCCGUAUAUGAUUCUCUCAAAUCUCUCUUUUGUGGUAUUUCUGGAUCCUUUCCAAGGCAGUAAUGGUAUAUGCCUUCUCUCAAAGUAUGUGGUGUUUUUGGUAUGAGGCAUAGUGAUAUUGCCUUCUCUCUCACCCUACUCUAAUAAGGUUUUGAUAUCUGGAGCUCAUAGGUGGGAGACAGAUAAUACAUACUUACAAGACAUUUAUUGCAUAGUCAAACCAUGGAUCCAGAAGAACAAGUCAAUUAGUCAAAUCAAGAGGUGCAUAUUGUUGACGGUCCUUAAGUAUCAAAUUUAAUUAUCAAAUAAAUAAAGAAAAGGAUCCAAAUGAAAUCAACAUCUAGACUUAGGGUUUUAUCUAACAGAAUUCCACGAGUUUUGGUGUUUGUCUAUUUCUGCAGGGGGUUAUCAGGAAAUACGGAAGAAAGGCCCACACGUCGGGAUUACAUAGAGAUAUUAACGUGCCGCGCAAUUAUCUUACAUCUAGAAGACUCUAGAAGCCACGAGACCGAAGCGGAGGCGAAACGGGGCGAGAGGCAGGGCGCCCGCCCCCUCCCUGAGUCCAAUCAGGACUCUGCUUCGCGGGAGAUCUCCACCGACCUAAAGGAUGAAUCUAAACCAUACAAUCUAUGUCGAUUUGAUCCAAUGGCCCAUAUUCACUUGAAGGGACUAUAAAACCAGACCCCCUGGCCCCUGGAGGAGGGAGCCUCUCAACCCUAAUUCAUUGUUCUUCAAGGGAGAAGAAGCCUCUGAUCAAGAUUAGAGCCACCACAUCAAUUAGAUAUCUAGAUUAGCAUAGCUACAUAGGAUUAGAACUAGAAGGAGUCAAUCUUCGAUUGGUUUCCGGAUCUGUCAAGAGGAUUCUUGGUAAUUCUCUAAUUGUGCUUCUAAUUACUUUCUAAUUAUCUUUGUUCUUCAAUAUUAUGAAUAUGACUUUGUUCUACUUCAAUAUAUUGCUUAUGACUUUGCUCUAUUUGCUUAUAUUCAAGAUUAUAUUGUUCUUAGUUUAUCAUAGUUAUGUACUUGGCUUAGUUAGAUUUGAUCUAUAUACAUGCUUAGGAUCGUAUAGCGUUUAUACAUCGGAUCCAUGGGUAAAUGAUAGAUAUUGUGUAGGCGUGGUGCUUAUACCGUAUUUAUCUGUGAUUGUACCCAAUAUGCCAGAUCGUGGGGUGGUUCGUGAUAGUGACAGCUUCAUUGAUUCUUAUAUAGUCCCCCUCUCGUGUAUUGGGCUGGCAGAGCAACAUUAUUACAGGGGAGUGAUUGCUAUGUUUCUCAUAUUCCUUGCUAAUAUCACUAUGCAUGGGCGUAGUCUUGUCUCACAAUGAUUGCUAAGUAUGCUUGCACUAACUAUGAUAAUGCUAGACUAUAUAGUUGAGAAUAACUUAGGGAAUAUUCUUGUAGUUCGUUCUAACACCAUGCUAAUGACUUUCUAGAGUAUCUAAUUGAGGUGCUUAUCAUAUUUAUUAUGUGGCUAGAUCAGAUUAGUUAUCCUUGUCACUAUUAUUAUUUCAUAUAUCUUUUAUGUGACACUUAUCCCUGUAUGAAGAGUUAGAUAUAAUGUUCUCAAUUAUACAUGCAAUGAUAGAUGCUCAAUCUCAUAUUCUAUUCUGUAAUCAAUAUUGAUGAUUGCUAAUCCCUUCCCAGUGGUAAAAAUAUAAAUAACGAUACCUGGAAUACUUCCCGGUUAAAAUGCUACAUCAGUAUUAAUCUGUGCGCUUGCAGAUCCCAUUCAUUAUUUAUUUAGAAGAGCAAUUGCAUAUUUCAAUACCGCGUCUCUUAUAUCAUGCUGGGGAUGACAACUUGGCUUAAGUGGUGUGAGGGAUAGGUUUGGCAUUUUUGGCACCGUUACUAGAUUUAGAGAACUUACUCUACUUUUGGUAAUGAUGUUAAGAAUACCCAACAAGCAUUUUUGGCGCCGUUGCCGGGGAAGGUUGAUUACUAAUCAGGAAUGGAAUAAAAGAUUUUGAGUUAUCAUUCGCAUCACUAAUAUGAUUGAGCUUAUCUAUUCUCUCAUACAGUUUUACCCUGAUAUUUUUCUAUUUUAUCUUAUGCAGGGGAAUGUAUGAAUAGAAGACAUCUUCCAGGAAACUUUGUUGACAAUCCCGAAGCAUUAUUCAAGAAGACGAGAGCCAAGCUCAAGAAGAGAUCAUCAACACUUCAGCAAGAAGCUUCAUCCAAUCAAGAAGAUCACCAGAACUUGUCUUCAGAGUUCGAAGCCAUGGCAAACAAAUCAAUCCGCGAGUUCUCAGCUCCCACUACAGACAACAUCCGCACUGGACCUGCUGCAGAGAUCGAUGGCAACUUUGAGCUCAAGCCUGGACUUAUCAACAUGGUGCAAUCCAACCAGUUCUGUGGGAAGGCACACGAGGAUGCUAGUGCUCAUUUACAACACUUCCUGGAGAUUUGCAACACAUUCACCAUAGCAGGAGUUUCCAAAGAUGCUAUACUACUUCGCCUCUUCCCAUUCUCACUGUUAGGGAGAGCGAAGCAGUGGUUCUACGCUACAAAGGAGAAGAAUACUACGUGGGCACUCUGCUCAACAAACUUCCUGGCAAAAUUCUUUCCCAUGGGCAAGACCAAUGCACUCAGUGGGAAGAUUACAAGUUUUCAGCAACAAAAUGAUGAAUCUGUUCCAGAAGCAUGGGAGCGCUUUCAAGACUACAUCCUAGAAUGUCCCCAUCAUGGAAUGGAGAGUUGGAUAUUGAUGCAGACAUUUUAUCAUGGGCUCGGCAACAGUGCCCGAGAGACCAUGGAUGCUGCAGCUGGAGGAGCAUUCUUAUCACUUACUAUACCACAAGCCACAGCUCUUGUGGAGAAGAUGGUGUCCAAUCAAAGCUGGAAUGAAGAGAGGACCCAGACACGCAAGAGAGGUGGAGGUAUGCAUCAGCUCAAGGAGGUAGACAUGCUGUCUGCAAAGCUAGACCUGCUCAUGAAGAAGCUCGAUGAUAGAGCUGGAGACAAGAAAGAAGUUAUGCACAUCUACGACUCUCACAUGACUUGUGAGGAGUGUGGAGACACCGGACACUCAGGCAAUCACUGCCCUGAGAUGCUUGAGGAUGUGAACUACAUCAACAACAACAACUACUACUACAACCGUCCUCAACAAAAUCAAGGUUGGAAUCAACAAAGGCCUAACUACUCAGGUAAUUAUCAAGGUAACAAUUCUUACGACAAUAAUAAUAAUUUUCCACCUCUAAGAGAGUUAGUGUCUAAUCAAGGAAAGCUAAUGGAUAACCUGUCUAAGAAAUUGGCAUCUAAUGAUAAAGUGCUAGAAAAUAUAAAUAAUAGAAUGGAUAAUUUCUCUACUGCCAUCAAGAAUCAAAUUAGCUUUAAUAAAAUGAUUGAAUCUCAAUUAAAUCAAAUAGCUGCUGCUGUUCCUACUACUAACCCCGGUAUACCAUCACAACCGGAAGGAUUAGAAUCUGCAAAUCUUGUAGACAUGUUUGAUGCAGGUAAUAAUUGGAGUAACCCCGUCACUGAAUUCUCUACUGACAUUCUGCUGGUCAAGAGAGGCGAUCCAGGACGCCCCGUCAUCCCGAUCUUCAUCGGCAUGGUGGAUGUUCCAGAAGCACUCUGUGACUUUGGCUCCAGUGUCAACAUUAUACCCAGGGUACUCUAUGAAAAAAUCUUUACAUAUCCUUUAUUAGAAACAACCAUGUGUUUGCAGUUUGCAGAUCAGAUGAUAACUUUUCCAAAGGGAAUAUUGAAGAACCUUUGUGUCCGAGUUGGUACCUUAUAUGCUCUAGCAGACUUCGUAGUGGUAGAGACCGGAAAUGAUGAGAGAGCACCUAUCAUCUUAGGGAGGCCAUUCUUGAAUACCACGGGAGCUAUCAUCUACGCUAGUGCUGCCAAAAUCAGUUUCUACGUCAAAGGGAAGAAGGAGACAUUUUUCUUCAAGAACAAGAUUACACAAAUUCCAAAUUAAUCCAGACGUGAAUCAAGGAAGAGGACCAACAGGAGGAACAGGAACAAGCAAGUGUGGACCGAGUCAGCUAAGAUGGUCACUGUAAUUCAUGGAGGCCAAGAUCACCAACUUAAGUCACCGUUUUUGACCAAGAAGGACGACCCAGGAAUGCCAAGCAUCUACUGCUCCAUAAAUGGAUACAACUUCUACAAGGCAACUUGUGACACCGGACCGGGCGUCAACAUAAUGGCCGCAGUCACCUAUCGGCUCUUGUUCGGAACCAUGCCACUAAGACCAACAUAUAUUCAGCUCCAGAUGGCAGAUCAGACAUUUUGAGAAGUUAAAGGAACAGUAACUGAUGUCCCAGUCAAAAUAGACGAUCAUUUUGUCUACACAGACUUUCAGGUUAUUGACAUGGGAGAAGAUGAGUAUGAUCCACCCAUCAUCCUUGGAAGACCGUUCCUCAGUACCGUUAAAGCAAUUAUCUACAUUGGAACCGGAGAAGUCCAUAUGCACUUCCCCUCAGAGAAGGUACGCCGUUAUUUUACUGACCCUAACUAUAUCAUUGAAGAAUCUAAGCAGGUAAGGAAAAGACGCAACCGUAACCAGAGGAGGCAGAUCAUCAAGGACGGAUGGGCAGACUACGAAGGAGAAGUGAUAAGGUCAGAAGACGUAGAGUUUAAACAGAAUUAUCCAGAGGAGACUGAAGCACCGAGUCAGGUAUGGAAAAUGAAGAUAACUAUACAUGAAGAGGAGGCGCCGCCGGAAGUACCGACUACGCCACCCAACGAACCUCAGGACAAUUGAAAAAAAAUAGAGAGUCCCGUUCGGAGGACUUAAAAACACCGAACGCCUUGCCAAGAGGUAAACUUGGUAGUUAUCCUUUCCCUUUCAAUUAUUUUUAAAUAGUUUAUUUAGUUAAUCAUAUUCAUACUAUCCUAAAAAGAAAAUAAAAAUGUGAAAAACAGUAAGCCCCAUGUGAGUAUAUGAGUGGCAUAAAACCCAUAAGUACAUUCACUGUGGUGGCAUAAAAAUAGAAUAAAUAUUUUUCUGCUUUAUAAAAUAAAAAUAUAAAAACAGGGAGUAAUAAUUAUUAAGGAGUCUCAACAUGAUAAAGGCUAGAUAUUUAUGCUAACACUUAAUCAGUUCCACAAGCUUUGUUGUCUAUUUGAACUCCACAGAAUUUAAGAAUCAAGAAGACUAGCAGACGGAGGACAUUCUAAUCGCUGUCAGAAUGCUGCUGACUUUCAAAUAAACCUCUGCCACCUGCUAGCUACAUCAAGAGAAAUUACGUCAAAAUUCAGCUUGGGGGAGAGCAACCCCAUUUAUCUCGAUAAGUAUUUCUAUCUAUCUUUAUACUUAUAUUAUAUUAGAAUAUUAAAAUACAUAAACUAUGAAAAACCAAAUAAAGAUUUUAAGCUUAUAUAUAUCCUUUGCUUAGUGUGUUUAAUAAAUAAAUAAAGUGGCUAUGCUAAUCUGUAUCUAAAUAAAACUUAAGCAUGGAUAUGAUGAAUAGUUGCUCUGCAUAAUUUGAACAUUUUAAGUUCUCUCUCAAGUUUAGAUAUAACUGUUAUAAUUUAAAGCUUGCUCUAGACCUAAACUUGUGGGAUGAAAACUUGAUCUGAAGUCUAAGUUGUUAACGGAUACGAUAUGGGAAGGUUGAGCUGCUAUUUAUCUGUUCCUAGAGAUGCUAGAAUUCUGGAGAAUUUUAUCUUUGAAAAUCUUUAAAAUGUUGCAUGAUGAGUUCCUGUAUGAUGAGAGUUUAAAUUCCUACCACAGCCAUAUAUACAUGCUUGCUAGACUUUGAGCCACACAUUUACUAUUUACUGCUUAUGAGCAUUGAGUGUGGUCAAGCUGUGUAGACCCUUAGGAGCUUGUCAUGUGGUUAAAUCAAGAUUUCACUUGCACGUUCACUCAUAUAUGCUACUUCUACUCCGGAAGUACCAUCCACAUAUAUCCAUCCAUUUCCAUCUCCAGAACCACCUAAAAAUAUUCUACUCCUAAUCCGGGAGAGAAUAGCCAAAAAUAUUUUUUUCCCUUGUGAAAUAAAUGCUCAAGUUAUCUUGUUACUAUCACUUGCUAUAUUAUCUCAUGAGAUGAGUGCUCUAAAAAAAGAAAAAAACGAGGAAAUAAAAAGGAGCAAGUGCUCGGAACCUCGAAAGAAAAGAAAAAGUGAGACGAGAGGUAAAAAUGGACAAGUGUCCGACAGUAGAAUUAGGGGUACAAGAUACUCACCUGAGAGAAAAGAAAAAGAAGAGCAUCUCAUUCUCCUCAUAAAAUUUCAAAAAGCAAGGAAGGUAUGUAUCCCCUCAAAGAGCAAAGUAGAAUUAGACUUUCACCAUUGUUACCACCGUCAUCACCAUACACCAUUCAUUCGCCACACAUGCACAUCUUGAUUAAACUUAUUGGCUUGUUUCUUUAGAUCCAUGGUUUGACUAUGCAAUAAAUGUCUUGUAAGUAUGUAUAUUUUAUCUCCCACCUAUGAGCUCCAGAUAUUAAAGCCUUAUUAGAGUAGGGUGAGAGAGAAGGCAAUGUCACUAUGCUUUGUACCACAAAUACUACAUAUAUUGAGAGAAGGCAUAUACCAUUACUGCCUUAGUAAGGAUCCAGAAAUACCACAAAAGAGAGAUCUGAGAGAAUCAUACAAGGAAUCUCUGAGUUUUAUUUGAAAAUCUGCAAAAACCCCAGAGCUAUAGCUGAUCAAGAAUAAGAGACAUGGCACUUCGCUAGACUGUUCUAUCUUUUAACUACUCAAGACAGAAGUGACGGUUACAAGUCCCAUGGUGGAAGGUAAAGUAAUUAAGUUUUAAGUCUUGACAGUUUACUCUAACUCAAAGAUGAGAUCUUAUUUAAAAAGCAUGUGUACCGUCAAAUUUUAAAAAUAUUACAACAACUUAUGAUCCAUAGCUGAGUCUAUCCUUGCUCAGGGACGAGCAAGAGGUAAGCUUGGGGGAGUUUGUUGACGGUCCUUAAGUAUCAAAUUUAAUUAUCAAAUAAAUAAAGAAAAGGAUCCAAAUGAAAUCAACAUCUAGACUUAGGGUUUUAUCUGACAGAAUUCCACGAGUUUUAGUGUUUGUCUAUUUCUGCAGGGGUUAUCAGGAAAUACGGAAGAAAGGUCCACACGUCGGGAUUACAUAGAGAUAUUAACGUGCCGCGCAAUUAUCUUACAUCUAGAAGACUCCAGAAGCCACGAGACCGAAGCGGAGGCGAAACGGGGCCAGAGGCAGGGCGCCCGCCUUGUUCUCCUGGGCGCCCGCCCCCUCCCUGAGUCCAAUCAGGACUCUGCUUCGCGGGAGAUCUCCACCGACCUAAAGGAUGAAUCUAAACCAUACAAUCUAUGUCGGUUUGAUCCAAUGGCCCAUAUUCACUUGAAGGAACUAUAAAACCAGACCCCCUGGCCCCUGGAGGAGGGAGCCUCUCAACCCUAAUUCAUUGUUCUUCAAGGGAGAAGAAGCCUCUGAUCAAGAUUAGAGCCACCACAUCAAUUAGAUAUCUAGAUUAGCAUAGCUACAUAGGAUUAGAACUAGAAGGAGUCAAUCUUCGAUUGGUUUCCGGAUCUGUCAAGAGGAUUCUUGGUAAUUCUCUAAUUGUGCUUCUAAUUACUUUCUAAUUAUCUUUGUUCUUCAAUAUUAUGAAUAUGACUUUGUUCUACUUCAAUAUAUUGCUUAUGACUUUGCUCUAUUUGCUUAUAUUCAAGAUUAUAUUGUUCUUAGUUUAUCAUAGUUAUGUACUUGGCUUAGUUAGAUUUGAUCUAUAUACAUGCUUAGGAUCGUAUAGCGUUUAUACAUCGGAUCCAUGGGUAAAUGAUAGAUAUUGUGUAGGCGUGGUGCUUAUACCGUAUUUAUCUGCGAUUGUACCCAAUAUGCCAGAUCGUGGGGUGGUUCGUGAUAGUGACAGCUUCAUUGAUUCUUAUAUAGUCCCCCUCUCGUGUAUUGGGCUGGCAGAGCAACAUUAUUACAGGGGAGUGAUUGCUAUGUUUCUCAUAUUCCUUGCUAAUAUCACUAUGCAUGGGCGUAGUCUUGUCUCACAAUGAUUGCUAAGUAUGCUUGCACUAACUAUGAUAAUGCUAGACUAUAUAGUUGAGAAUAACUUAGGGAAUAUUCUUGUAGUUCGUUCUAAUACCAUGCUAAUGACUUUCUAGAGUAUCUAAUUGAGGUGCUUAUCAUAUUUAUUAUGUGGCUAGAUCAGAUUAGUUAUCCUUGUCACUAUUAUUAUUUCAUAUAUCUUUUAUGUGACACUUAUCCCUGUAUGAAGAGUUAGAUAUAAUGUUCUCAAUUAUACAUGCAAUGAUAGAUGCUCAAUCUCAUAUUCUAUUCUGUAUUCAAUAUUGAUGAUUGCUAAUCCCUUCCCAGUGGUAAAAAUAUAAAUAACGAUACCUGGAAUACUUCCCGGUUAAAAUGCUGCAUCAGUAUUAAUCUGUGCGCUUGCAGAUCCCAUUCAUUAUUUAUUUAGAAGAGCAAUUGCAUAUUUCAAUACCGCGUCUCUUAUAUCAUGCUGGGGAUGACAACUUGGCUUAAGUGGUGUGAGGGAUAGGUUUGGCAUUUUUGGCACCGUUACUAGAUUUAGAGAACUUACUCUACUUUUGGUAAUGAUGUUAAGAAUAUCCAACACAUAUGUGGCGAGUGAAUGGUGUAUGGUGAUAACAAUGGUGAAAGUCUAAUUCUACUUUUGCUCUUUUUAAGGGAUACAUACCUUUCUUGCACUUUGAAGCUUUUUGAGGAGAAUGAGAUGCUCUAUAUUUUUUUUCUCUCAGGUGGGUAUCUUGUACCUCUAAUUCUACUGUCGGACACUUGUCCAUAUUUACCUCUCGUUUCAUUUUUUCUUUUCUUCGAGGUUCCGGGCACUUGCCCCUUUUUAUUUCCUCGUAUUUUUUUUCUCUUUUUUUUAGAGAGCACUCAUCUCCUGAAAUAAUAUAGCAAUUGGUAGUAACCAAGAUAACUCGAGCAUUUAUUUCAUAGGAAAAAACAGAAAUGUUUUUGCCUAUUCUCUCCCAGAUUAGGAGUAGAAUACUUUUAGGUGAAUCUAGAGAUGGAAUCGAGUGGAUGUAUGUGGAUGCGUACUUCCAGAGUAGGAGCAGCAUGUAUGAGUGAACGUGCAAGUGAAUCUUGAUUUUAACCGCAUGACAAGCUCCUAAGGGUCUACACAGCUUGACCACACUCAAUGCUCAUAAGCAGUAAGAAGUAAAUAUGUGGCUCAAAGUCUAAUAAGUAUGUAUGUAUGGCUGUGGUAGGAAUUUAAACUCUCAUCAUACAGGAACUCAUCUAAAGAUUUUCAAAGAUAAAAUUCUCUAGAAUUCUAGCAUCUCUAGGAACAGAUAAAUAGCAGCUCAAUCUUCCCAUAUCAUAUCCGUUAACGACUUAGACUUUUGAUUAGCUACACUUCCCACAAGUUUAGGUUUAGAGCAAGCUUUAAAUUAUAACAGUUAUGCCUAAACUUGAGAGAGAGCUCAACUUGAAAACUAGGUACAUGGCAAAGCAACUAUUUAUCAUUUCCAUGUGAGAGCUUAUCAUGAGGGUUGAUAGCAAACUUUAUUUAUUUAUUUAUUUAUUUAUUUAGCAAACUAAGCAAACAACACAAAAUCUUUAUUUGGGUUUUUAUGAUUAUACAUCUUUUUAUUAUUUGAGUAAAGUAUAAAUGUGAGUAGAACACUUAGCUGGAUAAAUGGGGGUGCUCUUCCCCAAGCUGGAUUUUGACAUAAUUUCUUUUGAUAUAGCUAGCAGGUGACGGAGGUGUAUUUGAAUGUUGGCGGCACCCUGACAGCGAUUACUAAGUCCUCCGUCUGCUAGUCUUCUUUUAUCCUUGAAUUCUGUGGAGCUCAAAUAGACAACAAAGCUUUGUGGAACUGGUUAAGUGUUAGCAUAAAUAUCUUUUCUUUAUCAUGUUGAGUCUCCUCAAUAAAUGUUACUCUCUUUGGUUGGAUCACAAUCUUAUUUUCAUUUUUAUAGCACAGGAAUAUAUUUAUUUUAUUUUUAUGCCACCACAGUGAAUGUACUUAUGGGUUUUAUGCCAUGAGCAUACUCACAUGGGGCUUACUAUUUUUAACAUUUUUAUUUUCUUUUCAAGAUAGCAUGAACCUGAUUAACUAAACAAUCUAUUUUAAAUAAUUGAAGGGAAAAAGAUAACUACCAAGUUUACCUCUUCGCAAGGCGUUCGGUGUUUUUAAGUCCUCCGAACGGGACUCUCCGUUUUCUCAGUCGUCCUAGGAUUCUCUGGAUGGCGUAGUCGGUGAUUCUGAUGGCGCCUCCUCUUUGUGUAUAACUAUCUUCUCUUUCUGAUUCGGUGCUACGGUCUCCUCAUGACAAUCCUGUUCAAGAUGUAUAUCUUUGGACCUUAUUACAUCUUCUUUGUAGUCUGCCCAUCCGUCCUUGAUGAUUUGCCUCCUUUGGUUUUGGUUGCGUCGCCUUCUUCUCAUCCUGAUCUGCUUAGAAUCUUCAACUAUAUAGUUAGGGUCAGUAAAAUAGCGGCGUACCUUCUUAGAGGGGAAGUGCAUGUGGACUUCUCUAGUUCCAAUAUAGAUGAUAACUUUGAUAGUGUUGAGGAACGGUCUUCCAAGGAUGAUGGGUUAAUCGUACUCGUCUUCUCCCAUGUCAAUGACCUGAAAAUCAUCUGGAGCUGAAUGUAUGUUGGUUGUAGGGGCAUGGUUCCAUGCAGGAGCUGAUAAGUGACUGCGGCCAUUAUGUUGACGUCAGAUCCAGUGUCGUAGAGUGUCUUCUGAAAAGAGUAUCCGUUGAUUGUGCACUCGAUGCUUGGAACACCAGGGUCGUCCUUCUUGAUCAGGAAGGGCGACUUGAGUCGACGAUCUUGACCUCUUCCGGCAAGGAUCCAAUGUUCUAAGUCUUCUAGACAAGACUUCUCACUGUGUUCAUCCUUUAGGUGCAUCAUUUGAUUAGGUGUGGGUCUUGACAUCUGCACCUCUUGAUACAAUGUCACCCAUGUUCUUCGGUUGUCCAGUAGUUCGACAUGUGGCAUUGGCAGCAUCGUGCUCAGUGUGUUUGUGCUCGUAGAUCCAAGUCCUUCACUUAGUGGAAUCUGGGACUUGUAAAACUCCUUUAGGUUUUGCUCGAAGUGUACCUGCUCAUAGAGACAAGGCAGAGAUCAAGUGCAUGGGUCCUGUUGGUGGAAAACACCAACAGAACCAAAAGUAUGUUUAUUCUUCUCUAUCCUUAAGCAUAGGGAGCAAGACAAAGUUGAUGGGUGAUAAUUUCAUGAGUGUAGCAUUUAAAACAUUUGUCAGAUCAGAUCGCUCAACCUUAUGGAAAGAUAAUCUAUCUAUGUAUAUGUCUUUUUCUUUAUAUCUUCCCAAAGAUUGAAUGUGCAACAUUUUAGCUCAUAUGAUUAGGAGUGUAGGAUCAUGGAGGUAGUACUAGGAACAAAGAUUAAAGGACUAAACAUGCUGAAUCAAUUGGGUUGGUUAAUUUGGAGUUAUAAAUCAUACAUGUUUGUCUCUUUAUUCAUGUGAACGCCAGAACCAAGGAGAAGCUUAUAAAAGUGAUAGUUAAGUACUUUAAGAUGUUACCUUACUUGAAGAGUGAUGGUACAGUAUCACCUUGUGGAAGCUUUUCUUUCUUAGCGGUUGUGCAUCGUGUUUGUGGCACUCUUCGUCUUGUUCCAUGGAUCAUCUCUCUAUGAUGAAUGAGCUAUGUCUUUCCUUGUGCAAAUCGUUAAACUUCAUGUGUCUCCUUUAUCUCCAAUGUGAGUUUGUAUCUCAGGACUUCCCAGGUUGAUAUUAAGUUAGUCCGACAAAAUAUACCAAUGCCUACUCAAGCAGUUUUUAGUUCAGUAACCAAACUAGACUCCAUGUCUAAUCAGAUUAAGGAAGGCUAUUUAACCUAAGCACCACGCUUAAUUUAAAUGCCAAUGGAAGUAUGUCCAGUACUUCCAAACCAACACUUACUAGGAUAAACAAAGGUAGCAUGAUGGCAUUUAUAGAGAUCUACUCAAGUGGAGAUGAAGUAGUGUGACUAGUAUUUAACAAAUCAAGCAUGUCUCAAAGGUAGGGACAACCAACAUAGCAACUUGGCAAAGGAUGUUUUCAUGUGAAGUACUCCCCCAAGCUUGAAUUUUGCAAAAUUCAAGAUUGGAUGAAUUUAAUUCAAUGUUGUGUGAUGAUUGGUUGGACAUACCUUGUGCUUGUCAUUCAUCCGAUCUUCUUGCUCCAAUCCUAGAAAGGUUAGUGACAAGAAUACCCGAAGAAAUAUUUCUACAAUUAUCUUUAUAUGCUCAAUACACAAGGCAAUGUUGCAAAUAAUUAGAAGUUCAUGUCAUGAUCUGAUAAGUGCUUGUUUUAGGACACUAAGCUUGUCCUUGGGAAACCAUAAAUUUAUGUCGGCGAAGUGGUUUCCCCUCCAACGCUGACCUAUAUCAUGAUCAACGAGAUCUGCAAUAUUUCUUAUAGACAUAUACAUCGACAACCGCCCUUUUAAAGUUUUUAUAAAUAGAAAGGAAGAGGGGGUUCGAGAUCUCAAAUGUGGUGAUGUUGAAGAGACCAAUAGAUUGGAAAGAUGUUGCAUGUGAGCAUGGAGUAAACGAAGUGGCUAUGAAAUAAAUUCCGUGCUCAUUAAUGUUAUCUUCGUCUCCAAUCUGAAUGUUUGGAGUAUCUCCUAGAUUGGUCUUGCCUAUGUCCUCUUCUGUAGUUGGAUGAAUCUCAUCUUCAAAGGGAGUCAAGAACUCAACAUUUGAAAUUGAGCUAGAGUCAGAAUUCAUUAAGGCUUCUUCCUUGUCCAUCCAUUCAAUGGUGAUAGCACAUGGAUUUUUAAUGCCCUCUAGCCAUUGAUGUUGCUCUUCUCGAUCCUUCUUGUGGUCUUGGUGACUCUUAUGCAUGGGAUGUCUAGAGAGAUUCAUAGGAUUAUCGGGAGGUUCAAGAGAAAGAGCAUAAUAGAAAUUAUUAAGCUCAAGGAUGGGUUGGAUAGCCGAAUCAUGGGAUUGGAAUGUUUGGAAAUCGGCUAUUGAAACUUCCUUUCCUUGUCUGGGAGAUGAUUCCUUCUCUAUCUCUAGGAAUUUUUUAUGAAGACAAGUGCAAAAAGGAUGUCCACAAAUGAAGACAUACCUUCCUUUACUAAUAGAUAAAGAAAGAAAAACUCAACCAAAGGUUAUAUGAUUAAGACCAAUGUGAAAAUAUCGAGGAAAAACAUAGUCUUGUAGGGCUAGGUUUAAACCAGAAUUUAUAGAAAGAUUAAAAGAUUCCCUAGGUGUAGCUAAAAGUUCAUUAUCUUCUUGAUUAAAAGAUAGGACCUCGACUAUAGAAAAGGGUUGGUUUUGACCUAUUGCAAUCUACUCCAGACACAGAUCAUAAUUAGGGGCAAAGAAAGGACUUGUUGACUCCCAUGGUCUAUGGCUGGUCUCCGAAGGUGCAAAGAAUUCAAUAAUAGGUGUGGAAUUUGAGUUAUCCAUAAAGAUGAAAAAAAUAAAAAGAUAAAAGUAUAAAACUAUAAAAGUAUAAUACAAGAUAAUAGCAAGACUCAAAGUUAUCUCAGCAAACCGUCUUUCUCCCCGGCAACGGCGCCAGAAAUGCUUGUUGAUAUUUGGUAACGCCAUCAGGAAAUGAUCCGCAAGCGCACGGAUAUUGGUGAGCAUUUCACCCGGGAGGUUAUCCAGAGUAACGUAUUUAUAUUUUUACCACUGGGAGAAAGCGUGUAUCUGACUAACCAAAUAUAUUGCUACUACCCUUUAGGCUACAAAGAAUGUUUCUCGAUGUGAGCGAUGUAUAGAGAAGACUGCAACCGUAGUCUCGUUUUAACCUUGGUAAGGAUGAUCUACUGUUCUAUUGGGGAAGCUUACGGAAUCUAGACACCACAAAGGAUGUUCGACCCGCACCUAUAAACCCUAUCCUUCCUGCUAACGAUAUAUGGGCUUCAAAGGUAACUCGGAAAUGUUACGUUCCUCGCUACUACCACAGUCCAGCUAGUCAGGGGAUAUCUAUGAGUACCCUAGCCCAAACACCACGUUUACGCUAGCAAUGAUUACUCUAAACUCAACCGGAAGAGAUUAAAGUAAACUCAUAAACCAAAGAACAAUAAAACAAAAACUUACUAGAAUUUAGAAGUCGAAUUACUGAAGAAUCCUAGGAGCAAGCCUCGGGUUAGGAGACUUGAUCCCGCAGGUACAACAUCGGAGUAGACACCGACAUACUCUAUGAUGAACUUGUUCUCCUCCAGGGGCCAGGCCAGGGGGUCUGGUUAUAUAGUCCCUCCAAGUGAAUAUGGACCGUCGGAUCAAACCGACAUUGAUUGAACGGUUAUCCUUGAUCCUUUAGGUCGGUGGAGCGUAAUCCCCGAAGAGAGUCCUGAUUGGACUCUAGGACAGGGCGGGCGCCCUGCCCUCGGGCCCGAUCACCUUCCCGUUCGUUCCCGUGGCUUCUGGAGUCUUCUAGAUGAUAGAAAAUUGCGCGGUACGUUAAUAUCUCUAUGUAAACCCGACGUGUGGGCCUUUCUUCCGUAUUUCCUGAUAACCCCCUGCAGAAAUAGAGAAACACCAAAACUCGUGGAAUUCUGUCAGAUAAAACCCUAAGUCUAGGUGUUGGUUGCAUUUGGAUCUUUUUAUUUAUUUAUUUGAUUAUUAUAUUUGGUACUUAAGGACCGUCAACAGUUGUCACCUAUGGACCAAGAUGAUUAGAGUCUUGAUUUAUUCCCAAAUAUAAGCUCGAGUUCUUUAGUUCAAUUCAUGCAUGCAUGUACAAGUGAACUAAAUUUCAGGGAGACUAAUAGUUAUUUACAUGACAUAAAGUGAUGCAGGAAGAUUCUUUUUUUUGACAAGAUGCAGGAAGAUUCAUUAAUUCCUAACAUAAAAGCCAAAAAAUAUGAAAGCAAUCACGUAAUUUAAUAAUUUAACUACAUAAACAGCCACAUGAGUGGAACUGUUGAUUUAAUCAAUAAAUGGCAAACUCUAGACUUUAGCAUUUUUAUUUUUUAUUUUUAUUAGUCAUUCUGGUACCAUGGUUUGAUCAACAGAAGCUAAAUGUUGAUUUCCACUAGCUAUAAGUCUAUAUCAUAAUAGAGUCACAAUAAAUUGAUAAUUUGACAAUAAUAUUAUUUUGCUACUUGAAAUUAUGUGUCAAUGAAAGCACGGAACAUAUGCCACCUCUUUAUUUUUGGUAAAUCAGUAUGAACGUGUCAUUCUGGGAACAAUAUGAUACAUCAUUUAUACUACCAGAGCAGUAUGAUAGUAAGAAAAUAUUAGGUUCUUUGCAGAAUUUUUAAUGUGCUUAUUGAGGAUACUUGAAGUCAUACUAAUGCUCAUACUAAUGCUAAGAGCAAGUCAUAUUAAUGUGCAACACAAUAUAUAGCAUACAGAAACUGCAGAUUAGCUACAAAUGCUCAUACUAAUGCUAAGAGCAAGUACGAUAUAGAGGAUACUUGAAGUCAUCACUAUCUUCUACCUAGCUGCUUAUAACGUUUUUUUUGCUAAUUUAAGUUUAGAAUUUACUGUAUCACAUUUGGGUUUUGUCCAAGUAUGGUGUAAUCUGGUAUCUAGCUUGUUGUCCACAACUUCACCCAGAUAAUUCUUAAUGGUGAACCAGGUCCGAAAAUAAGACAUCAAUGUAGUCUCUGACAAGGAGACCCCUCUCUCUAAUGUCAUUCAUCCUCAUAAUGGACGUGCUCAAUAGUUUAUUCGAUUUGGAGCUGCUACAACCGCUAACACAAGGAAAUCCAGGUCAGCGCAUAUCCCUUUAUAUGUCGAUGGCAUUGUCCUUUUGUCCUCUUCAUUUGGCCACAGGAGGUUGAGAUGAACAUAUGAGCAUCUUGGACAUGUUUGGUAGGCCUACAAACAAAAUUACAGAAAAGUUGUGUUGUACAUAUUCGGUGUGACCCGACACAAUUGGAGAUGGUAACCUCUACACUGCCAUGAACGACAACAGAUUUUCCUUGCACUUACAUGGGACUGCCGCACUCAACUAGAAAAUAGUAAAGGAAUAAUUGCUCACAUGGAUCAAGAAGAUUAGUGAUAAACUCCAUGGUUGUCAUGCUGCUCUCAUGACCAUGGCAGAGAGAGUUACCAAUGUAAGAUUCGUCCUAUUGGUCAUUCUGGUUUAUGUCAGUAGUUCUCAAUGUUCCAAAAUGGUUUUUGCAUGCCAUUGAUAAGUGAAGAAGAGCUUUUGUUUGGAAGAAAAGAGAACAAGCAGUGGCGGAUCUAGAAACAACUCAAGGGGGGGCUAAAAAUACUGUAAGGUAUUUUUAUGGCACAUCAGAUAGGGCUAAAUCUAUAUUUUUAUUAUCUUAGGCUGGAUAAAGGAACUAUAAAAGGGAUUUCUGGGCCACGCCCCGGGCUGCAGCCCAGGCAGUCCGGGGCCUGGUUCUGCCCCUGAGAACAAGUGAAUGGUGGUGCUUGUUUGGUGGCUUGGGAAAAGGUCUAGCGACCCUUGAUUUGGAGGACUUGGGAUACUUAACCUUGAGUUCAUGAAUUGGGAACUGCAAAUCCGUUGGUUAUGGCUCAAGAAGACAAACCCCAAAUGGUCAUGGGUUGCCCUCGAUGACUGGCACAUUCAUCCAAAUGUUGGGGCUUUAUUCAACGUUGCUUUAGGAAAUAAUCUUAGGUCAAGUUGGAAGAAAUACUUUAUGUUGGAAGGAUAAGUGAAUGGUGGUGCUUAUUUGGAAGAUUUAUCUCCAGUGGUUAUUGUUGCAGUGCCAUCCAAAAUUCACAAGGAACGCAUGGUGGCUGACACCCUUUAGGAGCAUGUUUGGCCAGCCGGUAUUGGAGGGGGCUUUCAAUGGUGGGUCUCUUUGAAUUCUUUUAUUUAUGGGAUAUUCUACAUGAGGUAAUUCUCUCUUAGGAUGCCAAUGUCCACAUUUGGUGACUUGAUGGGCCAGGCUAGUUUUCUUCAAAAUCUGCUUAUCGAGCUUUCUUCAAUGUAUCCAUUUCCUCGAGCCAUGGAGAUGUUUAUGGAAAUCUUGGCUGCCACCAAAGUUCAAGCUAUUCCUAUGGUUAGCAAUCUAGAAUAGGUGCCAAACGAUAGAUGGAUUAGGUAAGAGAGGUUUGCCUCACCCAAGUUGCUGCCCCAUGUGUGAUUAGGAAGAUGAGACGGUUCAACACCAGCUUACCACAUGCGAUCUUGCUCAGGAAUUCUGGUCACAAAUCCUCACGCCUCUAGGAUUGCAUGAUGAAACUCCCACAAGACAAGAGAAUCCAUUAGCAACCUGGUGGCAGAAAGCAAUAAAUAAAAUUUCAAAAGAGAAGAAGAAAGGGCUUAACACAAUUAUCACUCUAGGCUCAUGCACCCUUUGGAAGCACUAAAAUGCCUGCAUUUUUGAAGGGUCUUGCCCCUAACUACAUCACUAGGCUACUCGAGCAGUUCAAAGAAGAACAUCAUUUUUUGUGCAUGAUAGGAGCGCGUGGCCUACGCAUGCUAGGGAUGGGUCGUGGUGGCGAGCUUGGUUAGUUUACCUUGGUUUGGUCGAUUGGAGAUUUGUGGUUAGGGCUCACCCCUAUCUCUAUUGUCUAGAGUUUUAGUUCCUAUGAUGUAAUGAAAACAAUCCCUCACAACCUAGCCUAGAGUGAGGUGAUGGUGUUUGUAAGGGGCUAACCCUUUUCCCUCUUUAAUACAAUGAUACACAGCUCUCUGACCCAAGGUACCUCAAGGCAUCAUUUAGUUAGCAGGCCACACAACCCUCAAUACGCUAGCUAGUAAAGGCCUAUAUAAGCCAAACACGCCAAGCCUAUGCCUAGGCUAGGGUUAGCCAUGACCCCUAGAAGGGAGAGGAUGAACGCGGCCAUGCAUGCCUACUUUGACAAGAGCAGGCACACCACACUAAUCUCACAAGGGUUAAAGGGCAGCAGUCACCUUGGCCUGAUAUGGCAUCAUCUCUAUGCCAUACCAACAAGACAAUACCAUGCAACAAUAGCAAUAGGUAUGAUGCCCUCCGUUCAGGAUAUGGAUCAAUAGGACGGAGGUAGAUCCCACUCAACAAGAGAUGUCAUCCACAACAAAGGACCCAAUGUAGAGGCCAUCCAAGCCAGCUCGAGGCCCCAACCUUGGCAAUCGAGGUUGUGGCCCUCAAUGGCACAGAGAAAUCAAGGGAACGAUGACCCAAGGCGGCUUCCUACUACGGACACAACGCCUUAGGAAAUAAGGUGACAAUGACAAUGACCAUGAUGGAAGCCACAUUUGCACAAAAUAGUAGCACCAUGUCAUUCCCUGCUGCAAUGUGCCCACAAGACCAUGACUAUAGCCACACAUGGAUGGACACCAAAAGAUGAUGUAGCUUGUAAGCCAAGUUAGCUAGGACCUUCUCUAUAUAUCAAUCCCUAGCUCCAAACUCUAUAUAAGGAUAGCUAGGGCACCCUUCUUGGGACAUCAAUUCAUUCAUCCACUCAUUCUUCAUCCUCUACCUCUCUACUAGAGUAGCAAGGGCUCCUAGAGCUUCUCUUUGGGCUGCCCUCAUCUACAAUAGGUUCCACUACCUCUUCCACCAUUCUUGCGCCCCCAUUGUAAUAAGAACUUUAGAGCAUUCAAGCGACAAACACACACUCGAUCAUCUCUGAGACUGGAUGUAGGGUUUUGACUUAAACCAGUAUAAAUCCUCAUGUCUUCUUGUUUGCCACCAUCAUCUUCCUAGAGCAUGUGACAAUCAUAUAAGUUUACUAGUCCAGUUUAUGAAACACCAACACCCGCAUAUUCAAGAAAAAAAUAAUUUAAUCUAUAUGGGAGCUAAAGAUAUCUUUGAUUUCAAUCUUGUUUAGGAAAUAAGUCUAGCUAAAACAAACUAGAACCCAAGGAGACACUAGAGUCAUAAAAUAGAAGUUUAGGUUUAGCCACUAAAUUUUAUAGCAAUGAUCUAGAUUGUAGUUUUGAAUAACUAUGUCUCUAGCAUCAUAAAUGUCGUUGUCUGCAUGCCCCGCUCUAGCAUGAGCUUUGGCAUGUGGGCUUGCGACAUGGCAUAGCUGGACCAGGUGACCUAUGUUACUUAGGUUGUGGUCUAGUCCUUGUGUCUCCAUGAGGCCAUGCUCUAGGUUUGCUUUUAGGAAGUAGAGGUGGCGGCAAGAGAUGCACCUCUACUGAGGUAAUCUCUAUAGCUAUCUCCUUUCCCUUCCUGUGGAUUCCAUGGCUCACCAACCUUUCCACAUAGCAAUGCUAGUGCCACUACAAUAGCAACUCCUCUUUCUGAUGACGGGCCAAUGGCUGUAGCAAGAGCCCAAAUCCAGUUGGCAUGGUGCUUCACUUCCUCAUGUGUUGUGAGCAUGGAUCCACCUUGGUGCAAGGGUAGCCACUUUCUCGAUGGGGAAGAUGAUAUGGAUGACAAUGGAGGUAGUUACAACGAUGGCAGGUGCUAAGCGGCAUCAACCCUGAUUAGAUGCAGGUGGCUCGAACUAAAACCUAGAUCAAUGCACCUUCUGGUCAUCCAUGGUGUCAUCACAUAGGGGACUAUGAAUCCACCACCCUCCACUUUGUCGAUGCAAUGUUUCCCCAAUGGACAAUAAUGAUGACAACUAUGAUGAUGGUGGAUGCUAAGCGGCGUCAAUCUUGGCUGGAUAUGGGUGGCUCGAACUAAAACCCUAGAUCAUGAUGUUGUGCUUUGGUUGAGCUACAACUAUCUCUACUUUAGCAUAUAUAUUGCCAUAGAAGCUAUACUUGUAGUUAGUAACUACAUUUUCACUUCCCUCAUCAUUAAAUUGAAUUGUCUUGCUAGCAUACUGUGUCCAUAUAAUUUUUGUUGAACUAAGAAAUAUUUUGCUUUUAAUGCAUUGCAUGCAUAAGCAACUGAUUGGUUUGUGACCAAGCACCCUAAGAUCAGGGGAGUAGUUUAACAUGAAAUUAAGUCAAUAGAGAAGUGACCCAACUGAAUGGGUUAGACAUAGUGAAAAUAUGUAUUGGUAGAUAAAAAUACUUUAAAGAUUUGGGAUUUAUGAAAAGGCAUUUAGGGAAUUUUGCAUCGAUGGCAAUUUUAUAAAAGUCUAGAACAAAUUCAUGUGGAUUUGAAUGUUGCAUAUUUUAUACAUUUAAAGUAUAUGGUCCAUUUUUUAUGUAUGAGUACUUUUGAUAGAUUUUUGGGCUAAACAAUAAAGAAGCUAGAUAGUUAGUUUUUUAAACUGACAUGUGCAAAUCUAAGAACAACUAGGUAUGUUGAAUAUUCCUAAGUGCACUUUGUAUAUUCUAGCUCACUGCACAUAAUGAGUAAUAACCUUCUGUAAUUGAAUAUGUGCAUGAAUAUUUCCCAUAAAAUUUCAUUAUUAUAACAUACAUGAAUGGGCCUCUACUUUUAGUCGGAGAUACAUGCAUAUGAAUUUUUAUUAUUUUAAGCCCACAAUAGGGGAUAGCUUUUGAAGUAUAAUACUAAAAUCUAAUAUUGAUAUUAAGGUGAGAGAAAGCCUAUUUUUAAUGCCAAAUAUUUCCUAGAAGGAAAAUAUACUUAAGAGAAAAAUAUUCAUCGAAGCUUGAACUAGGAAUAGUAUCACACACUAAAUAAAAAAUAGUUUGACUAGCUCUUGCGAAGUAUGAAGCGGAGCAUAUGCUAGAUAUUUUUUAAAAUAAGAGGAGUAGCUUGAAGUCAAGUUAUAAACUAGAAGUUGUGUUUACCGUUAGUCAAAUAAAAGUUGACUUUACUAGUAGUCAACUAAAUAUCUAGCAUAUGUCCCAUUAAAUAUCAAGUUAUAAUAUCUAGCAUACUAGUUCAGGCUAGAUAUUUAGUUGGCAUGCCAGGUAGAAGUUGUGUUUACUAGUUGAGACUGGAACUUCUUUUGUGAAGGAGAUUGAAAGAAAAGAUAUUUUUAGCUCCCAUAUAGAGUAAAUUCUUUUUUCUCGAAUACGUGGGUGUCGGUGUUUCAUAAACCGGACUAGUAAACUUAUACGAUUACUGCACACUCUAGGAAGAAAAUGGUAGCACAUAAGAAGAUACAAGGAUUUAUAUUGGUUCAGACCAAAGCCCUACGUCCAGUCUUAGAGAUGAUCGAGUGCGAGUUCCUCGCUUGAAUGCUCUGAAGUUCUUAGAAUGGAGGAUGCAAGAAUGGUGGAAGAGGUAGUGGAACCUAUCCGAGAUAAGGGGCUACCUGAAGAGAAGCUCUAGAAGCCCUUGCUACUCUAGUGGAAAGGAAGCGGAUGAAGAAUGAGUGGGAUGAAUGAUUUGAUGCCCCAAGAAGGAUGUCCUGGCUGUUGUUGACACUUGCUAACACCACUUGAAUACUAGGUUGUCAUCUCCAGCAUGGCACUAGAGUGUACUAUGGUAUUUAUACGCACACAGAUAAAUCCGCAAGCGCACGGAUACCGUAGUAGCUUUUACCCGGUUAAAGGUUUUAUCGUAUCCACAGGGAAACGGGAGAACCAACUAUGCUCUAACUUAACCUAGAUAGAUAGAUAGGUGUAAAUAGGAAAGAUGGUAGAAUUGAAUAAGAAUAAUAUUAAAGGUAAGAUAACAAUGGGUGAUAAUAGGAAAAUAUAGAGUAGAGCAAUCUAGUAUAUGGGCGAUGGUAGAAGAAUAGAGAGGAUAACUAUGGUUUCUCUACUUCAAAGGGGUAUGUCUAUGUCUGGGACGAACCACGUGAUAAGAAUACACCACAAAGGAUGCUUAUCCAUAGGUCGAUAAACCCUACCAGUCCUGCUAACAGGAGGUGGACUACAGGGGACCAACGUAACUGUCACCUACGCGGCCUACCACACGAUCCGGCUAGACAGGGGAUAUCCACAAGUAAUCUAGGUCUAAGCACCACGCUUACACCUAUACUACAACUCUCACCUAUAGCGUCCUAUAGAUUAAAGUACUCAAAAGAGUUGUGAACCAGAACAUACAUGGAUAGUAAUUGCAUAAUGAAAUAAGAAGUAGAUUACUAGAGUCAUCCCAUGAGCAAGCUUGAUUAGAGCUUGAUCAUGGUGAAGUACAACAGGAGGAAGAACCGACAGGCCGGCCUCUCCUCCAAUCCUCCCUCGCUCUCCAUCUUGCUACUAUCUAGAUCUACUCUAGUUUAGAGAAGAGAGGAGAGCUCUUAUCUCCAAACCCUAGCUUUUGCUCUGUCUAUGAAUAAUGAAUAGGGAUCAAGGGGUGCCUCCUCCAGGGGCCAGGGGGUCUGCUUAUAUAGUCCCCUCAAGUGAAUCUGGGCUGUCGGAUCAAACCGACAUUAAUCGCACGGUUUUCCUUAAUCCUUUAGGUCGGUGGAGCAUAAUCCGUGAGACGGGACCUGACUGGUCUCUAUAGCAGGGCGGGUGCCCAAGGGGGGAGGGCGGGCACCCUGUCCCCGAGCCCGCUCGGCUUCCUGUUUGUUCCCGUGGCUUCUGGAGUCUUCUAGAUGAUAGAAAAUUACGUGGAACCUUAAUAUCUCUAUGUAAACCCGACAUGUGGGCCUUUCCUCCAUAUUUCCUGAUAACCCCCUCUAGAAAUAGACAAACACCAAAACUCGUGGAAUUCUAUCAGAUAAAACCCUAAGUCUGGGUGUUGGUUGCAUUUGGAUCCUUUUCUUUAUUUAUUUGAUAAUUAAAUAUGGUACUUAAGGACCGCCAACAGCUGCCCUUAUAUAGAGUGCGGAGCUAGGGCCUGAUACAUAGAGAAGGUCCUAGCUAACUUGGCUAGCAAGCUAUGCCGUAUUCUGGUGUCCAUCGGUGCAUGGCUACCAUCAUGGUCUUGUGGGUAUGUUGUAGCAGGGAGUGAUGUGGUGCUAUGUUGAUAGAUAUUCCUUUAUUACUCAAUAAAUCUUCAUUUCAUUGUUUCCCUCUGGUAAAAUAUAAAUAAUGAUACCUAAAAUACUCUCGGUAGAAAGCUACACUGAUGUUCUAUGUGCUUGUAGAAUCCUUAAUACUAUAUUUAGACUCACAAACCUCAAUAGCCACAAGACCUAGGUUCCUCUAGUAGAGGUCUAGAUCACGGGCGAUGGCGGACGUGGGCGCUAGCUCGUUGGUGCCUAUGAAGCUAUAGUUUUCAUGGUGGAUGUGGCCGUCGUGGGCCAUUCCACCAGUGAGUCCACCGACAGUGCAUGGAGCCAUCACCUCCUUCAACAAUCAAGAGUGCGCAAUUGUUCCCUACCUGGUGCGCAACUAUCAAUGUUUUAUAAAUCAGACUAGUAAACUUAUACGAUUGUCAUGCGCUCUAGGAAGAUGAUGGUAGCACACAAGAAGACACAAGGAUCUAUAUUGGUUCAGGCUAGAGCCCUACACCUAGUCUCAGAGACGAUCAAGUGUGGGUUCCUUGCUUGAAUGCUCUAAAUUUCUUACAAUGGGGGUGCAAGAAUAGAGGAAGAGGUAGUGGAACCUAUCCUAGAUGAGGGACUGCCCAAAGAGAACCUCUAGAAGCCCUUGCUACUCUAGUGGUUAGGUGGAGGAUGAAGAAUGAGUGGGAUGAAUGGAUCGAUGCCCAAAGAAGAGCAUCCUGGCUGCCCUUAUAUAGAGUUUAGAGUCAGGGCUUGAUACGUAGAGAAGAUCCUAGUUAACUUGGCUUGCAAGCUACGCCAUCUUCUAGUGCCCAUUUAUGCAUGGCUACCAUCAUGGUCUCAUGGGUACAUUGCAAUAGGGAGUGAUGUGGUGCUAUUAUGCCGCCCAUGUCGGCAUUGUAGGUACAAUGGGUGUCCUUCAGCCAACCUAUGCAAUGCAACUUCUUUCAUGGUUGUUGUCAUUGCCUCCAAGUUUCCUGAGGCGUUGUACCCUCGGUAGGCAGCUACCCCGGGUCACUAUUCGCCUAAUAGCUUCAUGGGGCUGAGGGCCAUGACCCUGAUCAUUGGGGUCAUGGUUUUAAGCCAGCUCAGAUGGUCUCUGCGUCGAGUCCUUUGUUGCGGAUUCCAUCCCUUGGUGGGUGGGAUCGUACCUUCAUUUGUUGAUGCGUAUCUUGGACGGCAGGUGUCAUACCCAUUGCCACCACUGCUUAGUAUUAUCUUAUCGAUAAGGCAUAAAGGUGAUGUUUGACCAGGGCGAGAUGGUUGCUGCCCCCUCGACCCUUUGUGAGGUCAGUGAGGCAUGUUUGCUCUUGCCAAAGUGGGCAUGCCUGGCAGGGCUCAACCUUUGUCUGCCCCUUCCAAAGGUCAUGACGGGGAAGGGAUCGCACUUGCUAGACGAUUAAGGUAGGAAGUGGCUGACCCUAGCCUAGGCGUAGGCCCGACGUGUUUGGCUUAUCUAGGCCUUGGUCGUUUGGGCCUUUACUUGCUAGCAUAUUGAGGGCCGCGUGGCCUACUAAAUACUGGUUGCCUUGAGAUACCCUAGGGUUAUAACCCUGCCACAUCAUAAUUCAUAAAAGAAUUACAAUCCAACUCUUUCAAAGAUGUAUAGUUUGUGGUACUGCAUACUAUUAAUGAUACAUGUAUUUUUGAAAGUAUGGUUUCGAUAAUUCGAACAAUGAAGUUCAAAGGAUGGCUUUAUUAGGAGGGAUCAUAUUUAGUUGAAUCUACCUUGAAGGUAAACUGCUAAUAUUAUGAAUAUCAAGAUUUAGGCAUAGAACAGAGGGAGUAGAUCAUAUUUGCUAAAAUAUUUAGUUUAUCCAUAUAUCGUGAAGAUAAAUAUCUAUUUAUGACCAAGGUUAGGCGUUGUACUUAGUUUCCCUAUGUGAGUUUUUACAUGAAGAUUUCUUACACAAGUUUUUCCAUGAGGUAACAUGUGUAAUCAAGGUGCAAAUGCGAUGCACUCUCUUCUCUAAGAACCACUAUUUUCACUAGGUUUUUUAGAGUUUUUAGUGGGGCAUGUGAUGAGGACAUCACUCCUUCGAAUGCACCCAUCGAUCCUCCAACUGUUAUGCAAGGUCUAAUGACUAGAGCUUGAAUGCGAUAAUUGAACCUAGAGGUGAGCUCAUUAUUAAGUGAUCUUUUUUCAUAAUUUUGAGAGUAGAUUACUACCUAAUGAUGUUAUCAUACUUAGGAACAUUGGAGAAGAUCGAGAAGUACUUGGAGAGAGAUGUAGAGGUGGAGACGAACAACAAGGACGUCCAAGUCAAGCGGGAGACCCAAUCCAACUCGAGUUUGAGUCUACCUAGGCCUCCAGGGUCAGCAUGUAGUAGAAGUGUAAAACGAACGUCCAAGACACAUACAAGCUCCAUUUUCGAUGGUCCUCCUAUCCAUGGAAAGUUAAUUUUAUAAUAUAACCAAUAGCUUUGGUUUGACAUUAAAAUUCCACUAAAUUCAAUGGGAAUUAUCAAAACAAGUUACCAUAAAAAAAUCUGCCAGGUUGAUGCAUCACCGUCUUUUGGUUCGUUGGGCCAUGUAUCAUUUUAGAUGCUAUUAGGGGCGCACCUCCAUGGGGUAUCAUGCACCCAGAAACUUUAUAUUGAUUAGUUAUCGCCCAAGUUAAGGUUUGAAUUUACUUGAGAUGAACAUAUCUUCGACCAGUCACCGUCAUCGGUUGUGAACCCAACUUUGAGUGCUUGAUAAUAGAUCUGCAAUUUGUCACUUCAAUUAUUGAGUUUCUUCUUUCGAGUUUUUGCUUGUGUUCUUUGUUACAUAGGCAGGGAUUAUCCUUCUCGGUGAGGUCAGCUGGUUUGGGACUUGGUUAAUAACCAGAGAAGAUAUGGUGCUAAGGUUCCAUGGAUUCGGGUCUUUUGAUCUGAAGCUAGAUCGGUGUGUAACAUUCCAAUCAAAACAAGAGUUAUGUUCACUUGAUGGAAAUAAGAAACCCCCCAUCCUCAUCGGUGCAUAUUGUAGUAAUCACCGAUGGGGAAGCGUCUAAAACAUACAAAUUCUAGUAGAGAAAUGAGGAGGAGAAAUCAUAAUCAUAGUCUAUUAUUUAUAUGGACUCUUACCAAACUCUUAGGGCAGGACAAUAUAUACGUGGAGGGUCCAUGAUGCAAUCAUCAACAUUAAGAGAAAUAAAGAACAAUCUCUCUAUUUUGUGUCUAUGUGCUCUUUUGCAUUUAUCUACCAUGCUAACUAUGAGAGAGAAGAGCGAAAGGUUCUAACCACUGGCGACAUGUUUUACAACUGAAUCCACGGUGAACUAGCAUAUCACUCGUACCUUAAGCAAAAACAUUGACCAAGUGAUCAUAAGGAUUAAUAAUGAUUAACCACACAGCAUCUCGGCACGAUCCAUGCAUGGGCGAGGGCGGGCGGGGGUUGGCCUGGGUACGUCGACCGCCGCCGGCCUCACGUGACCGCGCAUGUGCAUGUGCCAGUAAUUCGUAUCAAAUAACAAAUGGGUUUAGUUGCUUAACUUGUCGGAGCGAUGGAGAUGCUACGAUACUAUCUGUCGAGUUCUUGCUUAUCAGCGCUAGCUUCUUGUUACUUAUCAACGCGUCCAAUAGACGACCUCCAGUUCAUCUCUAAUCAUUCUGUCCACGGAAUUCAACCCUUAAUUUGUUUUGACAAUCGCCUCCAUCGGGUGUCAGAGCUGACUUUGAUGGACGCGGCCAGAGAAUGGAAGUAUAACAGAAUCUUGCAUGUUACGUUCCUGAAUUAACAAGAGCCGGGCGGAGCUAGAGCACUCGAGACCAGAAAAGCGCACCCACGCCACGCCAUGCACUUGCGCUUGCAGCGCCGAUCUGAAUCUGAUCGGCUAUCCGCAUGCAUCAGCGCAACUGUCGCUGCGCGCGCUCAUGUGCCGUCGUGCCCGUCGAUCUUGAUCGCUUGGAUUCAGCUGUUUCUCGUCGACGACUCCAACCCUUCCUAGCUAUUUAAGAACCGAUUGUAGCAACCACAUCGAAGACCACCACCUUUCGUCUUGAUCCCUCCCUCUAUCGUGAGCUUCUUCCUGUGUGAUCCAUCUUCACUUGCACUGGAUCCUGCUGUUCUGUUUGAGACGCCAAGCUAAGGGUGGCAGUAAUGGAGACACCCAAACCUCUGGCCGUCGUGUUCCUCGCGGUGGUCGCGCUGGCUGCCGCGCCGCCGGCCGUCGACGCCUGGUCCAGGGGCACCGCCACGUUCUACGGCGGCGGCGACGCCUCGGGCACAAUGGGUAUGUACCCACUACCGUCUACCCUACCCAUGCGCUAGUAACAAUAAUGCUUCAUACGUACGAGUAGUAGAUUUCACUGGAUGCAUGUUAUGUCACGCUCCCAUAUGUGAACUGCCACACGUACGUUUCGAUCAGGCGGGGCGUGCGGGUACGGCAACCUGUACGCGACGGGCUACGGGCAGUACACGGCGGCCCUGAGCCAGGUCCUGUACAACGACGGCGCGUCGUGCGGGCAGUGCUACCAGAUCUCGUGCGACCCGCAGACGGACGCGCGGUGGUGCCGGCAGGGCGCCGGCCCCGUCACGGUCUCGGCCACCAACCUGUGCCCGCCCAACUACGCCUACUCCGGCAGCAACGGCGGCUGGUGCAACCCGCCGCGGGCGCACUUCGACAUGUCCCAGCCGGCGUGGCUCAAGAUCGGCAUCUACCAGGGCGGCAUCAUCCCGGUGCUGUACCAGCGCGUGCCCUGCGUGAAGCAGGGCGGCGUGCGCUUCACCAUCACCGGGUUCAACCACUACGAGCUGGUGCUCAUCUCCAACGUCGCCGGCAGCGGCUCGGUGGCCAGCGCCUGGGUCCAGGGCGCCAACACCAACCGGGUGCCCAUGAGCAGGAACUGGGGCGCCAACUGGCAGUCGCUGGCCGGGAUCGCCGGCCAGGCGCUCACCUUCGGCGUCACGUCCACAGGCGGACAGAGCAUCGUCUUCCCGUACGUCGUGCCGCAGAACUGGGUGUUCGGCAUGUCAUUCACCAGCAACUUGCAGUUCUCCUACUAACUACAGGAAGAAUAUAUAAAUAUAUAUAGCGCUCGCCUACCUACUAAGCCUAGGCUCGGAGCGAGCCCGUCUCUUUGGAUAGCAUUUCAGUAGAUAGUUAGCUUGGAGAAAGCUUUCUGCCUACAGCAUUAUGUAUGCAUGUUGUGCAAAUCUUUUCCUUCAUUUUGUAUUUGUAAUGAUCUUGGUUUAGUUGUGGGAAGUAAUUAAGAUUUUAGUCUCUAUGUCGGGCCAGCUGCUUGCUUGCCCCGUAGAACCAGACAUACAAAAAUGUAAGGUGUUUCAUAUUUGAUUGAAAAAUAUUUAGACUGCGUGUGAUAAGAUCAGUUGCGCACCGACCGUUGUUCAAUGACUGAUGCGAAAUUAACUAGAGUAAACAUGAGUCAGAAUCUCUACCGAAAACCAGAGCUUUGCCAAGUGUCAUAUGCUUUGCCAACUGUCAAAUGUUGUCGGGCACUUGGCAAAGAGAUUUUUUGCCGAGUGUCAGCACUCGGAAAAGGUUGGCUCUCGGCAAAGAGGCUCUUUGCCGAGUGUCGAGCACUCGGCAAAGCACAACACUCGGCAAAGACUAACGGUGGUACACAUCGCCACCCUUUGCCGAGUGCCACAGUUUGACACUCAGCAAAGAGGCUCUUUGCCGAGUGUCAGAAUUGGGCACUUGGUAAAGAUUUUUUUUGUUUUUUGCCUCUAAACUUUUUCUUCUGGCUUUACACUUUAUUUUGAAGGGCAUGUUCAAAUUUGGCACAGUUCUUGAUAUAUUUUCUAUAUAUUUUUAAUUUAUUUUAUUUAAAUAUAUUUUUGAAAAUGGAAAAUUGAACUGUAGGUGCAUCGAAUCAUAGAAUUUGACGAUUGGAAAAAAUAAUAUUCAUGAUACGUAUUAUAGUUUGAGGCCGUUUGCAGGAGUAUGCCCGAAAUUUCGAACGUCUUAUACACGAAACAUGGCAAUAAAGUUGCAGGAGAAAUGCAUUUUAAUUAUAUAAAAUGCAAAUAAAGUCUAAAAAUCUUGAAACCUAGCGACACGUCUUCACAUCACAUGUGGAUGCUAUGAUAAAAAUUUGCGAACAUUUCGCGCAAGUUGUCACGUACGUCAGUUAUAAACCUACACCUCUCACAUGUGACCCCGUAGGUGCUGAUGAAUUUUUGAAUUGAUCCCAUAUGUUUUUAACGCUCAAUUUGGCUUGAUUUCUACUAAUCUUGUUGUCUUUCUUGCAGCCGGUGGCACAUGCGGGCCAGAAGUGCACUACGUUCAUGGCAUAUGCUAUGGCCCACAAGGGUAAGGCGACGUUCAACGUCUCCUACAAUCUGGACAACCUAUCCGAGGCGUACACAAACCCGACAUUCUACGACCGCACCAAUGAACCAAUGAGUACACGUCGGCGGCAAAGGUCUCUCCAUAGAAACGACUACAACCCAAGCUCCUAGGACUUUGAUUCAGGGGUUGUCAUGAGCAUUGGAGGAGGCAAGGAGCAUGGUGGUACUAUCUUGGUGACAGCGUUAUCGACGCGACCUCUACUUCCUCUCUCUCCCAUAUGAUUGUUUAAGUUGGUAGGUAGGUAAAUGCUUAGGAUCAAACCACAACACAUGUAGCCUAGUGGAUUUUUUGUCUGACACAUGCAACGUCUUCUCUUUUGUGCAACCUCUAUCAUCGGCUGGUUCGAAUAAUCCACGUGUCAGACCCUCAAAUGAUCCGCAUCAGUAGAUGGUGGAGAUUCUUCGGUACAUGCAAUCUCUUGGGCAACAUACGGGUCUAGCUGCAAUAAACCACAUUGUGUAUAUGUUCAUACUUGUUUAUCAAUUUGAGUAUGUUUAUGUACUCCUAUUAAAAUACUUUAGAUCUUACCACGCGAAUUUUUUUAAAUAAAUUCAUAUUUUUAAUAUAUUACUAAAAUGCCAAUACUAUAUUAUAUACAAUAAGUGUAACCGCAUACUCUAUGUAUGCAUGCAUACUUAACAUACAUAUCACUCUAGAGAUAUAGACUUCAUCUACAUACAUUUCGUCCGGUCAUAUGCACCUUAAAUCUAGAGAUAUAGACAUGAGAGUAACUACAUGUGCAUGUAGAAAAAAUGCGUCUUCAGUAUCGUUCAGUAUCUGUGUUUCAGUAUUGUUCAGUAUUUCGUAGUCUUAGGUGUAGUACUGGAUGAUACUGAACUUUGUACUGCUCAGUUUUGGAGGGUGUAGAAUAGCACUUAUAUAUACAUUAAUAAAGAGGCAAAAUUUCAUGCUAUUUUUUCUCGUCCAUCCAUUUGUUUGGUCUGGAGAGUUUCUUUUGUCUAGACUUAGUUAAAAUAGCUCAUGUCUAGUAUGAUACAGAGUUCGAUUCUAAAACAUAUUAAUCUGUAAUAGGAAAAAAUCAUGACCAAAAACAUAUGUGGCCAAUGAGGACAUGGUCUCUAAUUAAGGCAGAAAAAGAAAAAAAACAUGGCCAGCGUGGACACGACUGCUAUGGCAAAAAGGGAAAAAAGUCAGAACGUUUAUGAAAAAAGAGACCCAAACCAAGAGUUCGUAUGGUAAAAAAGAAAGGAAAAAGAAAAAAAAUUUUGACAAAUGAGGACAUGAUCUCUAUGACAAAAAGAAAAAGUCAGCGUUUAUGGAAAAAAACUAAAGAAAAAGAUUUAAACUAAAUAAACUUAUCAUGGUUAGUAUUAUUAGGAAUAGAUCUCUACUUUUUUUCCUAUAUGAAUUUAUAUUACGAUCCAGUCCAACUUACUACUCCCUCCAUUCCAAAUUGUAAGUCAUUUCAACAAACUUAGAAAAUCAAAGUAUUUUUACGUUUGACCAAAAUUAUAAAGAGAAAUACUAAGAUUUAUAACGUAAAGUGAGUAUAUUAUAAAAAUAUAAUUAAGGAAUAAGCUAAUGAUAUUUAGUUGGUAUCAUAAUAAUAAUUAUUUUAUUAUAUAAAUUUGGUCAAAUUUAGAAAAGUUUGACUCUCCAAGAUUCUUGGAAUAACUUACAAUUUGAAAUGGAGGGAGUAGAAGGUAUUUAUUUGGAUUAGAAUAGGAUCCUACCUAUACUUGUGUUGAAAAAAUAAAAAAAGAGACCCAAACCAAUAGUUUUGUACGGCAAAAGAUAAAAAAAGUAAAAAUUAUGGCAAAUCAGACACAAUCUCUAUGGUUAAAAUAAAAAUUCAGAAUUUAUAAAAAAUAGAAGAAAAAAAAUCCAAACUAAAGAAAUUUAUCGUAGUUUAGUAUUAUUAGAAAUAAAUAUCUACUCUUACUUUUUUCUAUAUGGAUUUAGAUUGCAAUCCUUGUCCAACUUAUUCAGAGAUAGACAAAAAAAAGUAGCUUGAAAUUUUAUUUUUUAAUUGUUAAAUAAAGUAGGUUUAGAUAUAUAGAUAAAAAUACUAAAACAUAAAAAGAUAUAUGUACAUUCCUGUUGUUUUCAUGAACAUUUGAUAACUUUUUUCCUUUGCAACACACAGACAUAUUUACUAGUACUAUAUAAAAUUGUAGAACAAGGCGAAGAAAAAUAAACAAUUUGUUUUUUAUAAAUACGUCAUAACUAUAAGGUGUUAGAAAAUUAGAUAUUUUAAUGUUUGAUUUAAUCCAGAAAAUUACAUAUAAUAUUGUGGUGGCAUAGAUGUGCACGUGUGCAAUUUUAUCACUACUCAAAAUAGAGAUAAACAUUCCAAAUACUACUGCAGACAUACUGAAAAUAAAAGACAAUCAAAUAAGAUUGUACCCUGAGGAGGGACCAGUGCCGAAGGCACCGGCGGCUCCAUUCGCACUAGUCGACAUAGUGCGUUGCUUGCAGUAGUGGACCACAGUCGAUGCAGGAAGAUGAUCGCAGUGCAGUCCCGCGAACGUCCACCAGGAAGAAGACGAUGAAGACGAAGUAGUCGCAGUUCCGAACUCGACCGUCCACCAGGAAGAAGACGCCCGAUCCGCCGGAGUGGAAGAAGAUGAUCUCGCCGGUGAGCUGUCGCGGAAGACGCUCCCCAACAACCUGAUUGCCUGCACACCCGAGUAGGUGUCUCGAUGGGUUCUGGAGGCCUGCUCUCCCGAUCUCUGUGCGCGCAGAGAUUCGGGACGGGGACGAACAAAGAGUAACUCGACAGGAGAUGAGAGGAAGUGUUGUGUCUCGCAGGUAAGGAAGGUUACUCGCGUAUGGAAUAUAUAGGCCUCAAGAGGAAAUGUCUGGUUAGCAAUUAAUUGUCAUUAAUUGUACAACGGUCAGAUCCUAUUUUUCUCCCUUUCCUUAUUCACCACGCGUGACACUUGAUUAAUUGUCAUUAAUUGUACAACGGUCAGAUCGUGUGUCGGUGUUUUUUCCCCCGGGGGGUCACACCAACGAGUAAAUUUGUAUGCGUGCUCCCCUUUCCGGAUGGUGAUGCAAGAAGACACAGAGAUUUAUCCUGGUUCGGGCAAGAGAAGGCCCUACGUCCAGCGGGGGGAGAGAGUUCGUAUUAUCUUGCACCUAAGUGCUUGUACAGGGGCGAAUACAAGCGUGGUAUGAAAUGUGUCGCUCUACUACGUGUGUGUGGGUUCUUGUGUUGUGAUGUGUCCCUCUUCUAUUCCUGAGUCCCUCCUUUUAUAGCUCCAAGGAGAGACACAGGGUACAUGCAUAGAUGUUAGAGUAGGGAUCGAUAGCCGCAUGGAGCGCUGACCUACUCGAGGCUUCCGUACGGCAUGGCCUCGAGCCGUCCCAUCUUGAUAGCUUGGUGAUGAUUACGCGUGCUCCUGCGUGCUGCCCUGCCAGCCGCCUUGUGCUGGUUCUGAGGUCGCAUGCUCGUAUGGUAUGGUGGCGGAUCCGGCGGAGCAGCUGUGGUGUUGUCAGUCGACGCCCGACUUGUCCCUGGGAUGGGACCUUGUUCGGUCGAGGGUCGGGCGCCGCGUAAUAUGCUGAUAUCUGGAGCGCUGACCUUGGGUGUCUCGAGGGGGUCCCGAUUAGACGUUCCAUCCUUGUUUCCUGUGUCCUGACUCGCCCUGGGUCGUUCGGUGGGAAGGCUGCAAAAAGAACGAUGGGACAGAAGCUUGCUCCCUAUCACGCCUUCCGUGACCUGUGUGUUAGGUGGGGAAGCGUCAGGUGCAUUUAAUGCUUCGGCUCGCGUGCGCGCGUCGGGCGGCGGACAGUGUCCUCACGCCCGACACCUCUCGGUUCGCUCGAGCCCGCUUCCGUCAUCGAGGGCAGUCGUCGCUCGAGUCCUGAACCGAUUCGCUCGAGACUAUUUCCGUCUUCGAGGCUGUGACCGUCGAUGGCGGCGCAUACGUAAGACUGGAGCGUCGAAUUAAGGGUCUCGACCUUCAUACGGGCAAUCUCAUAAUGCGUAUUGCUGAGGGUACCCCUUACCGAUACCCUCGACAGUAGCCCCCGAGCCUCCAUUUGAGCGCUAGCGCUCGAAUGGAGGUUUUGAUUUACGGUCGAAUUUUCGUGGGGGCGCGCGAGCGACCCCGCGGGGUAGCCCCCGAGCCCUCGGAGGAGUUUUUGACUCCUUCGAGGGUUAUGUUAUCUAAUUCGCAGGAACGCUUUCGACACCAGUGGUGGAAGGUUCUGACUGGCUCGUUUUUGCCCGGGGGUUUCGACGUACUCUCGAUAGAGCGAGCGUCUUCCAUCCCAAAUUGAGUUCCUAGCGGGUAGUCCAAGUGAGAACCUGUGCCCCUUUCGAGGGGGUCAGCUGUAGCCCGGAGGCGUCCUCAUAAAGCAGGGUCGACGUGGUCGGGGAUACUGGUCUCAUUCGAUAGAGUCCAGCGGCUCGAUGCCUCCCUUCGGGGGGAUUCCUCUCGACUGUCUCGACCCUACCUUGAACAUCACCAGCGAGUCCUCGAGGCGGGCCUCGAUCUUCGACCGCUCGCUGGGGAUCCUUGACUCUGGCGCUCGAGAUCGGCUGUCGAACCCUUUCGGCGGGCCAGCCAUCGACCUCUCGAGACUUUUGCGGUUAUGUCCCUUGGCUUACGAGGGAAGGAAACGGUCGUGGCGGUUCGCCUUUCUGCCCGUUGGGCGCGUCUUUUUAGGCGGAUGACGUUACGACGCCGUAUCGGCGAGGAAUUCGGAGAGUCCGGCCUGUGAGGAGAGAGAGAGAGAGAGAGCUGUCAGGCGGCGCAUUUAUGGGGGGAGUUACCUUACUUCUCGGAUCUGUCCGUUGGCGGACAGCUGCCUAUAAAUAUGUCGUCGCGUCACCGCCGUUCCUCUCCCUUCCGCCUUCUCGCUCUCGUUCCUUUGCUGCCUUUGCUUUCUCGUCAUCUCCCGCGCACACGCCCCCUCGACCCGUAGCGAACCCACCGCCCCGUUAGCCGAGAUGCCUGUAAGACUCGUCGCCGCCGAUGACUGGCGCCCGUCGUCGAUGACGGAGCGCCGGCUGUUGGAGCUCGAGAAGGAGGGACUGCUGCGCCGCCGCACCUCGCUGUCGUCGCCAGAGUGGAUCGCGCCGCCAGCGAGCCACAGGGCGCCUCAGCCACCCGAGGGCUACGUGGUGUCGUUCGCCAAGUUUCACCGCCACGGUCUGGGCGCGCCUCCAAGCCGCUUCAUGCGGGCCCUCUGCUUCCAUUAUGGGGUGGAGCUGCAGCACUUCUCUCCGAACGCCAUCACCGUGGCGGCGGUCUUCGCCGCCGUGUGUGAGGGCUUCCUAGGGAUGAUGCCGCACUGGGAGCUGUGGCUCCACCUCUACAGGGGGGAGCUGUUUCACGCCUCCACCGGAACCACGGGCGUGAGGAAACCCGUGCGGGCGGGUUGCCUCAAUCUGGUGCAGAAGACGGGGAAGACGGACCGGCCGCGGGAGUACAUCCCGGUAGGGUUGUCGACCAACCACGCCGGUUGGGACUCCCAAUGGUUCUACCUGCGGAACGACGACAACCUCCUUCCUUCCUACUCGGGCCGUCUGAUCUUGGAGCGCCCAGCGGACUGGACUUACGGCGUCGUCCAAGCUCAUCAGCCUCGGCUCGACCCUCUCCUCGACGCCCUGAAGAAGCUUCGCCAGGAAGGUUUGACCGCCGCCCUUGUCCUCUCGGCCGUCCAUCAUCGGAGAGUUCUCCCUCUGAUGUCACGACCGCUGAGGAUGGACGAGAUGGGCCCUGGUGUCUCGUCUCGGGACCUCGAGGCAUGUCGGAUGUCCAGCGAGCCUCCGGCGGACGAUGAAGUCGCGGCCCGAGUCAGGGCCGCAAUUGCCGGUGAUUUUAAGCCGGAGCAUGUCAACGGCUUCCCCAUGAGGCCUGACGCAGGCUCGAUCGAUCUGGUACGCUUUCUUCUUACGCGCAUCCUCGAUUCUGGGUUUCCCUUAUUCCCUCUCUUUCUUCUAAGUUUACCUUAGUUUUGGCAGGGUCGAAUUGAUGUCCGGUCCUCGAGGCCUCCGGUAAAGGAGGACGAGGUCGAUCACGACAAACGGCGCCAAUCCGCCGAGAAGCUGAAGUCUGCCAAGGACUCCGCAAAGAAGGGGGAGAAGAAGAAGAACCUCGACCGCCAAGCAUUAGAGGCGCGUCGAGCCAAAUCCAGGCAGAGGGGGGAACCUGAGGAAGAAUCCCCCAACGAUGACGAUGACGACGACGAGAGUAGCGACGAUUCCGAGGGGAUGGCGUCGCGCCUCGAUCGGAUCCUCGAGGGCCCGCCUCGAGGUGACGUCGACGCCCCCCGGACGGAGGUGCCGGAGGAGGGUCCGAGCGGAUCUCGUCGUCCCCGGCCCGACGCUCCUUCCGCGCCCAAGGCGGGCCAAGACGCACCGCGCCCUCCCCUGGCGCCCAGGGAGAGCGGUCCGGCUAGGUCCCAGGCGUCGGGGCCGCUAACUCGCGGUCGCGCUGCGGCCUCUGAGAAAGGGGACGCUGGUCGUAGGAGCACGAGUCCCGGCGCCCGCCAGGCGGGGACCGACGUACCUAGGCCAGUUUCUGCCCCCGAGGGGCCUAGCGCCCCGACGCGGGGUGGCUCGAGGCCCGCUGGUCGGGUAGGCGGAAGGCGAGCCGUUCUGCCCGUGGGGUAAGCCCUUUUGUUGUUGCGGUCUUUGUCCCCCCAUUCUUUCACCCUUCCUCACAUGCCGACUUUUUCUCAGGUUGAAACGGACCCUCGAGCAGGCCCAACCAUCGAUGGCCAAGAGGCUCAGAACGGGUGCCGCCUCCACGGAACCAGGUUCGUAGUUAAUUCCUGGGUGUCGCGAUAUUCUUACGUCGGUUAUCAUAACGUCUGACCCUUACCCUUUGUUUUGUAGGCUCGUCAAGCACCCCACCUUCAGCCGGCGUCGAGAUAGCUUCGCCUCGUCCCGCGCCUACUCCGCCACCACCGACUCAUGAUGCGGCCCCCCAGACGCGAGCGUCAGAGGGAGCCCCCGAGCCCUCUCGAUUGGGGGUCGAGGGGGAACCCAUCACCAUCAGCGAUACGUCUGAUGGCAACGAAGCGUCUGGGGGCGCUCGACCCAUGGAGGAAGAAGCGUCGACUCCCAACGUCACAGGACGGACUCCCUGGCCCGCAGGCCUUCGAGCCCUCGAGGCGCAAAGGAAGAUGGUGGAGGAGGAGGGGCGGGAGCGCGAGGCGACGCAGCCGUCACUGGAGCAGCAGCAGCAGCGACCCCAGCCGGAGGAGCAACUGCAGCAUCAGCAGGGGGAGCAGCAGCAGCAGCUGGGGCAGCAACAGCAGCUGGGGGGCCAAGAGAACGAGCCACUCGAGCCCCCGCCUCAAAUUUUGGCCGAACCGGCACCGCUGGCGUCGCAAGAGCCCGGCGAUCAAGAGGAAGAUUUGCCGGUGUACGGGCCUCCCACCCCAGCGUGGCUCCUCCCGGGGGCGCCUGCCGCGAUCCGGGCAGAGUCGGGGCGAGCGGACGGAGUGGUGGCGCUCGCCUGCAUGAUGCGCACCCCCACCGACCCCGAGUCCGAGAUCAAGAGGACACUCUACGGCAUGGACGGGAUCGCCCCAGGGUUCCUCCGGGAGCGUCGAGCGUGGGAGGACCGCUUUCCCUCUGAGGAGGACGAGAUCGGGUCGUCUGGGAGCAAGGACGGUACGUGGAAGACGGUGGACGACGACGGCCGGUUCCCUUGCCUUGCCGACCUGUUCUUGCGCCACGGGGGUUCCCUCGAGACCGUCGAGAACUUUCUCCGCGGCGUCAAGGUGCGGGCCGAUCGGGAGAUGGAGAACUGGUGCCCCGAUCGGAUUCGUAUCCGAGCGUCCAGCGACCCGUCCGAGCCCAAUAUCUUCCUCGAUGACAAGAAGGAAGUCGAGAAGUGGGAGCACGUCGAGGAGCUCCGCCUUUGGAUGAAACACGUGGUGGGGCUCCUAUCGGACGUCAUCAACAACGGGCUCGGGCCAGCCUAUUUUGUAAGUGUUUCUCGAGCUCCAAUCUUUGUGGUGCUUUCGGGUCCCCGUGUUCUAAUCCCCCUGACCCCUGAUUCGCAGGAUAUGAAAGAGACCUCUCGCAUCAAGUCUAGCUUCAUACAUGCCACGAGGGGCGGAUGGGAGCAGCUUCCCCUCCUCAAGGAUCAACUCCUCGAGUCGCAGGAAAAGCUGCUUAAAGCUUACAAAGAUCUUAUAGCACUCGAGGAGGAGAAGAAGGUGAGGGAGGCUGCUUUGGCCGAGGCCCGAGAGGUCUCGAAGAAGGCGGAGGAGGAGGCGGUGCGGCUACGGGAGCGGGCUCUUACGGUCGAGGAGGCCGCAUCCAGAGCCCGGGAGGAGGUCCUGUCCCACAAGAGCAUCAUCGCGGACCUGGACAAGGAGAAGGGCCUUCUCCAAACCGACCUGGACUCCCUCCGCGAUACCUUCCAGAAGAUGAAGGUGGCGUACGUGGACAAUGAGGUCGCCAGGGGUGCCGCCGAGGACGCAAAGAAGAAAGCCCUCGAAGACCUCGAGAUGGAGCGAGCUCGAUCCCGCAGUCUCUCUGACGACGUCGAGCGUCUGAAGGGAGAACUGCUGGAGAAGAGUGGAGCCGUCGCUCAGGCUGGCAGGGUGAUCGAAGAUCUCCGCGUCGCCAAUACUGAGCUGGCGCGCUCCAACAGAGAGAUCGAGCGUGCCAACACCAGAUUGGUUGGCGAGAACACGGCUCUAGAGGAGAGCAUCAAAGGUAUGUUCCCUUCGUCGAAUUUCCUUUUCGAGGUGUGCUUGAGCUUUUCCUAAAGCUUCUUUGUAUUGGUAUUUGUAGGGCUCAAGGACGAACUCCUGGCCGCCCAAGCCGAGGCUCGCAACGCCAAGGCUCAACUUGAGGCUGAGGUUGCUUUGAACCGUCGAGUGCGGACGGCGAUAAGCGAUCUCUCGACCUCUUGGGAGGUCGAGCCUAUGGAUGAGUCGAGGGAGGACGCCCGAGGCGAUGCCCUGAUCGACCAGUUGUGCUACGUAGGCGCAACGCUGCGAGAUCGGGUGCGGGAUGCCCUCCAUAUCGGGGUGAAGCGGGCGAUGGCGGUUGUCUGCUCGGGCUUCUCCUACGACAUGGAGGUGGUGUCUCAUGGCUUCGUCACCGACAUCUCCAAGACCGACGCGGAGAACGAGGAGAGGCUCCAUGCCUUGAUCGACGACGCGGAGGCUCCUGGAGAAAGGUUGGCCAAGCUCUUCGAGCCUGAGGUGCUCCCUCCUGAGGCUAGCUCGGGCGGAGGUGAGGGUGGCGAGGAUCGUACCAUGGACUGAGGCCUGCGAGCCUGCUCGGGGUGCCUGGGGCCCCUUGUAUAAAACUUUGUUAAUCCUGUUUUUAAGCGAUACAGUAUUUUUGUGGUUGUUAAAUGUCUGUUUGUCUUUCCACUCGAGGUUCUUUUAUUUCUUUUUGCGCCUACAUAUGUGUUCCUUGUUCGAUUUUUCGUAAAAGACAGCUUCGAUCGCCUCGAGGGUGAGGGAGUGAGUAGAAUUUCCAUAGCCCGGGGGCGUAGGUGUUCUCAGGCUCAUUAUCCUUCGGCCCUCGAGGGGCUCGAGGCGCCUCGCCUACUCGAUCGUUCAAGGUUUACUAAGUAGGAAAGAGAGAAACUUUUUGGCUUUUUCGACGCUUGGGGAGGGGUCGUCCCUCUGGUAGCCCCCGAGGGGGUGCGGACUAUGAUGGGUCAUGGUUGGCAUCCCCUUUUGACGUCGAGACUAUAACUCGUGACUAUUUUUGGUACAGAAAGAAACCGCUCGAGGGAAAGACUUUAUUUAUUCAUGCGUUCAUUUACAAAGUCUUCGUACAAAAUGUAGGAUCGUAAUUCUAGGACUUCUAGGGGUAGAAUCGACGUAGCUGUUCGAUGUUCCAUGCGUUGGUGAAGACUGCCCCUUUUUCGUCCGCCAGUUCGUACGUUCCUGGCUUAAGGACCUCGGCCACCACAUACGGGCCUUCCCAAGGUGGGGUCAGCUUGUGGCGUCCUUGGUUGCUUUGCCGGCGUCGUAGGACAAGGUCGCCUACGUUGAGGUCCCUCUUGCGCACGUGCUUGUCGUGGUAGCGUCGGAGUCUCUGCUGAUAUCUAGCAGAGUUGAGGAGGGCCAUGUCUCGAGCCUCCUCGAGUUGGUCGACCGCGUUUUCUUGAGUUUCUUUGUUUGAUUGCUCGUUGUAAGCCUUGAGUCGAGGUGACCCAUACUCGAGGUCUGUGGGGAGGACAGCCUCAGAGCCGUAGACCAUGAAGAACGGGGUGUAUUUAGUGGCCCUGCUUGGCGUUGUCCUUAGGCUCCAUAGGACUGAGGAAAGCUCCUCGACCCAUUUCUUGCCGAAUUUUUUCAAUCGAUUGUAGAUCCUUGGCUUGAGUCCUUGCAAAAUCAUGCCGUUGGCUCGCUCGAACUGGCCGUUAGUUCGAGGGUGGGCUACUGCGGACCAGUUCACACGGAUGUGAUGCUGAUUGCAGAAAUCCAAGAACUUUCUGCCAGUGAACUGGGUGCCGUUGUCGGUGAUGAUGACAUUGGGGAUCCCAAAUCGAUGGAUGAUGUCGGAGAAGAAAAGGACGGCCUGCUCGGAGCGGAUGUUAGUGAUGGGUCGAGCCUCGAUCCAUUUGGAGAACUUGUCAAUAGCCACCAGCAAAUGGGUAUACCCUCCUUUCGCCUUUUGUAGAGGUCCUACUAAAUCGAGCCCCCACACCGCAAACGGCCAGGUGAUGGGGAUCAUCUGAAGAGCAUGGGCGGGCAGGUGUGUCUGUUUGGCGUAGAAUUGGCACCCAUGACACGAGCGUACGAGCUCGAUGGCAUCCGCCACGGCCGUUGGCCAGUAAAAGCCUUGCCGAAAAGCGUUUCCUACAAGGGUCCGUGGGGCGGCGUGGUGGCCACAAGCCCCCGAGUGCAGGUCGUCGAGGAGUUUUCGGCCUUCCUCUAUGGUGAUGCAACGCUGUAAGAUCCCCGUCGGGCUCCGUCGAUAUAGCUCGUUGUCUUCACCAUAGAUCACAUAUGAUUUGGCCCGUCGAGCGAUACGACGAGCUUCUGUCCUGUCUUCUGGCAACUCACCGCGGAUAAGGCAGUCGAGGAGCGGUGUGCGCCAAUCGAAUGGUCGACCCGGUCGUCGUUCUAUUUCCAUCACCUCUUCCUCUAUCAAGAGCGCGUCGACAGCAUUGGUAGGUUGGGCGAUGGUGGUGUCGACGCCAGCCCCCGUGCCUAGGUCGACGGAUGGCUCGUGUAGAUCCUUUGAGAAUGCAUCAGGCGGCACUGUGCCUCUGGUAGAUGCAAUCUUGGCGAGUUCGUCGGCUGCCUCGUUGUAGCGUCGAGCGACAUGGACAAGCUCGAGGCCGUGGAAUUUGUCUUCGAGUCGACGCACCUCCUUGCAGUAUGCUUCCAUUUUUGGGUCAUGGCAACUCGAGGCUUUCAUUACCUGGUCGAUGACGAGUUGGGAGUCGCCUCGGACGUCGAGGCGUCGGACUCCUAACUCAAUAGCGAUCUUGAGACCGUUGACGAGGGCCUCAUAUUCUGCGACAUUGUUAGAUGCGGCGAAAUGAAUCCUGAUUAUGUACCUCAUGUGGACGCCCAAGGGUGAGAUGAACAGUAGGCCGGCCCCGGCCCCAGUUUUCAUGAGUGACCCAUCGAAAUACAUUGUCCACAGCUCCGCCUGGACCCGAGCUGGGGGAAGCUGGGAGUCCGUCCAUUCCGCGACGAAAUCUACCAGGGCUUGCGAUUUGAUGGCCUUUCGAGGCGCGUAAGUGAGAGUCUCGCUCAUGAGCUCGACCGACCACUUUGCUAUCCUUCCCGUGGCCUCCUUGCUCUGGAUUAUCUCUCCCAAAGGGAAAGAAGAGACCACCGUGAUAGGAUGACCAAGGAAGUAAUGCUGUAAUUUGCGACGGGCAAGUAUUACGGCGUAGAUCAGCUUCUGGAUUUGGGGGUAACGCGCCUUGGUCUCCGAAAGCACCUCGCUGACGAAAUAGACUGGCCUUUGGACUGGCAGCGCGUGACCCUCCUCUUGUCUUUCGACCACCACCGCCGCGCUGACGACCUGGGUCGUCGACGCGACGUAGAGGAGCAGCGGUUCCGCAGGUUGAGGUGGAACCAGGACUGGUGCCGAAGUCAGCGUCUUUUUCAGUUUUUCGAGUGCUUCUUCGGCCUCGGGGGUCCAAGAAAAACGCUCGACCUUCUUCAGGAGUCGAUAUAAUGGUAAUGCCUUUUCUCCUAGUCUCGAGAUGAAACGGCUCAGAGCCGCCAGGCACCCCGUGACUCUCUGGACACCCUUGAUGUCUCGGAUUGGCCCCAUUUUCGUGAUGGCCGAGACUUUCUCGGGGUUGGCCUUGAUACCGCGCUGUGAAACAAUGUAUCCUAAGAGCAUGCCUCGAGGCACGCCGAAAACGCACUUCUCGGGAUUAAGCUUGAUCCGGCUGGUGCGUAAGCAGCUGAAGGCAACCUCGAGGUCCUGGAUCAGGUCUCCUCGUUGCUUUGACUUGACGACAAUGUCGUCGACGUAGGCCUCGACCGUUGAGCCUAUAUGUUCGCCAAAUACGUGGAGCAUGCAACGUUGAUACGUGGCUCCCGCGUUUCGAAGUCCAAAUGGCAUGGUCACGUAGCAAUACAUCCCGAAAGGCGUGAUGAAAGAGGUCGCGAGCUGGUCGGACUCUUUCAUUUUUAUUUGGUGAUAACCAGAAUAAGCAUCAAGGAAAGAAAGGGUUUCACAUCCCGCGGUAGAAUCGACAAUCUGAUCAAUGCGUGGUAAUGGAAAGGGAACUUUCGGACAUGCUUUAUUCAAACUAGUAUAAUCGACACACAUCCUCAUUUUCCCAUUCUUUUUCUUAACUAAUACAGGGUUCGCUAACCAGUCAGGAUGAUGAACCUCCUUGAUGAAUCCGGCCGUCAAAAGCUUGUGGACUUCCUCGCCAAUGAUCUUGCGCUUUUCCUCGUCGAAUCGGCGCAACCGCUGCUUCACUGGCUUGGAACCGGCUCGAAUCUCCAAGGAGUGCUCGGCGACUUCCCUUGGUAUGCCCGGCAUAUCCGAGGGACUCCAUGCAAACAUAUCAGCAUUCGCACGGAGAAAGUCGACGAGCACGGCUUCCUAUUUGGGGUCGAGGUCGGUGCUGAUCGUCAGCACCUUGCCGUCGGAGUUGUUGGGGUCGAGCGGGAUCUUCUUAGUUCCUUCCGCCGCCUCGAAGCUGCCCGCAUGUCGUUUAGGUUCUGGAGCCUCAGCGGCCAUGGCUUCGAGCUUUGCAACGAGCUCGGUGGAGCUCUCGACCGCCUCCCCGUACUCGACGCACUCGACGUCGCACUCGUACGCGUGCUCGAAGGAGGAACUGACGGUGAUGACGCCUUUGGGACCAGGCAUCUUCAGCUUCAAAUAUGUGUAGUUGGGUAUAGCCAUGAACUUGGCGUAGCCCGGGCGCCCGAUGAUGGCGUGGUACGUGCCUCGGAACCCAACCACCUCGAAGGUGAGGGUCUCCUUCCUGAAGUUGGCCGCCGUGCCGAAGCAGACCGGUAGGUCGAUUCGACCUACUGGCAGUGCCUUUUUCCCCGGUACGACGCCAUGGAAACCGCCGGCGCUUGGCUGGAGGCGUCCUCUAUCGAUGCCGAGGAGAUCGAGGGUCUUGAGGUAGAUGAUGUUGAGGCUGCUGCCACCAUCCAUUAGCACUUUCGAGAGUCGGGUGUUGACGAUGAUGGGGUCGACGACGAGUGGGUAGACGCCUGGGGCGACUACCUUGUCAGGGUGAUCUUCUCGGUCGAAGGUGAUGGGAGUGCUUGACCAGCUAAGAUACUGGGGCACCGCCAUUCUUGCUGCAAAGACUUCGCGACGCUCCCUUUUGCGCUGCCUCGCGGUCAACUGAGUCGAAGGCCCGCCAUAGAUCAUGUAGCAGUCGUGGACGGCGGGGAAGCCGUCGUCAUCUUUGUUGUCCUCCUUGCCGCCAGCCUUCUCCUUCUUGGAGUCCUUGCGCGUAUCUUUUUUGAACCCCUGACCAUCGAAAUGCUUUUUCAGCAUGCGACAGUCCUUGAGUUUGUGGCUAGCGCCUCCCUUAUGGUAAGGGCACGGCUCUUCCAACAUCUUGUCAAAGAUGCCUCCCUCCGGAGGGCCUCGCGGCUUCUUUCGAUCCAUUGCGGCGACGAGGUCGUCACCCGAAUCUCCCUGGUGGAACUGCCGCACUUUCUGCUUCUUUUUAUUUUUCUUGAGGCCUCGACUGGAAGUCCCAUCUUCAUCGACAGGCUGCUUGCCUUUUCUUCCUUCUGAGCUGAAGAAGGCGCCGACUGCCUCCUCCCCUGCCGCGUAGUUAGCUACUACGUCCAUCAGCUCGUCGACGGUUUGAGGUCGAUUGCGGCCUAAUUCCCGCACCAAGUCUCGACUGGUGGUGCCCGAGACAAACGCCAAGAUGACGUCGUGGUCGGGGAUGUGUGGCAACUCAGUGCGCUGCUUCGAGAAGUGUCGAGCGUACUCCCGAAGAGUCUCUCCUGACUUCUGCUUGCAUUUGCUGAGGUCCCACGAGUUCCCUGGCCGUAUAUAGGUCCCUUUGAAAUUACCCUCGAAGACUCUGACCAGGUCAACCCAGUUGUGAAUCUGAUUGGCUGGGAGUUCCUCGAGCCAUCGACGGGCGGUGUCGGAGAGAAAAAGGGGUAGCUGUCUGAUGAUGGCUCGAUCAUCCCCCCGAGCGCCACCUAGCUGACAAGCCAGCCUGAAAUCGGCCAGCCAUAGCUCUGGCUUGGUUUCUCCAUUGUACUUCGUGAUGCUGGUUGGGGGUCGGAAUGGACUAGGCAGGGGCGUGCUGCGAAUCGCCCUGCUGAACACCCGCGGGCCCGGUGGCUCGGGGGCCACCCGGUCCUCGUCGCUGUCGUACCUCCCACCGCGAUGCGUGCUAUAACCACGUUCUUCCGCGUCUCCAUGCCGGCGGCGUCUAUUUUCUUUGACGUCGUGUCGCGCGUCGUGUCGACGUUGAUUGUCGGCAGGGAGGAUGAGAGCGGUCUUUCUACCUCGAGGGGGAGGUUGUUGCUGGACAGACACCUCCUCUUCGAUUAGAGGCUGUUCGUCGCGCUUUUCUGUGGCAGCUCCUCGUCGUCGAGAUGCCGAACUUUCGGCUUGUUGAACUGCUGCCACCUGGAGCAAUGUCUGAACUUUAUCUCGAAUUCGUCGGGCCUGGGAAUUUGAUGGUUCUGGCAUGUUACGUAGCAGCAUCGUUGCUGCCACUACAUUCUGGCCUGCUCGAGGGAAACGGCCGACAGGUUGCUCCGCCUCUGUGUCACCGACGAUCUGUCGAUGUACCUCUCGAGCGCGUCUGCGGACACUUCCGCCCGGCGGGUAGGGCAGGUCUUGUUCGAGGAUUUGCUCGAGCAGGACGAGGCGCUCGCGAUCUUCGUCGAGCUUCAUCUUGAGCUCCCGCAGCUGCGCGAGCUGCGCAGUUUUAUCUUCCUGAGGAAGAGGGUCGAGCCGUCCGUCGUUCCCAGGCGUCCUGGGGUCUUCUUGCGCCGCGGGGGCUCGACCACCCGCAACAGCAUCCCGUGUCUCGUCGGUGGUUUCUGCCGCCCCGUCGAGGUGAUAGCAUUCCCUCGUAGGGUCAUAGCUGUCUGUCUCGGAGUCGGAGUCCGGCUCGGCAGCGUGGAAACACUCACGUCCUUCCUCCAGCCAUCGUUGCCUGAGGGUGGUGAUCGAGUAUCGUCCGGGGCCUAGACGGCGGAGGCCUCGUACUCGGGAAAGGUCCGGCAGUUCGGACGUCGGCCGCCGCUCUUCGGAGCUACGUGGGAUGACCAUUGGUCUUUCCACGUAUGUCUGAGCGUUUGGGCAUAUCGUCUUGGCGAGCGAUGCCGCGGCGUUGUCCAACCCGAACGGCAGUGCCGCCCUUGGAGAGAACAACCCGUGUGGAAGUAGCCUAGCUGUGGUGGGGGAGGGCGCGCGAGACGCGUCUCCCCCCGUCGUCGCGUGGUGCUGAGUCGUCGCGCUCGUUGCUCGAUCACAUGGUGUUGCUGACCCGUGGCCCACAUCCUGCCUUGCACGAGUUGUUGGUCGUGCCGAAGCAGAGGGGCCGCGGUGGUGUUGCCCGCGCCUCUUCUUAGGCGGGGAGGCGUGGUGGUGAGGGCGUCUUGGAGCCUUCAACCGUGCUGGCGUAACGCGGACUCCUCCUGGUCCUUUGACCGAGAGCAAGAUCAUGUCGUAGCCGGAGCCCGUAGACAUGAACUCGAGACUCCCAAACCAAAUCACCGUGGAGUGCGGAAGCGGCGAGGCAGGAGUAGCCAUCCGGAAAGUGGUGGGAAAUCGGUGAAAAACACGCAGGACCCCUAUCUGGCGCGCCAACUGUCGGUGUUUUUUCCCCCGGGGGGUCACACCAACGAGUAAAUUUGUAUGCGUGCUCCCCUUUCCGGAUGGUGAUGCAAGAAGACACAGAGAUUUAUCCUAGUUCGGGCAAGAGAAGGCCCUACGUCCAGCGGGGGGAGAGAGUUCGUAUUAUCUUGCACCUAAGUGCUUGUACAGGGGCGAAUACAAGCGUGGUAUGAAAUGUGUCGCUCUACUACGUGUGUGUGGGUUCUUGUGUUGUGAUGUGUCCCUCUUCUAUUCCUGAGUCCCUCCUUUUAUAGCUCCAAGGAGAGACACAGGGUACAUGCAUAGAUGUUAGAGUAGGGAUCGAUAGCCGCAUGGAGCGCUGACCUACUCGAGGCUUCCGUACGGCAUGGCCUCGAGCCGUCCCAUCUUGAUAGCUUGGUGAUGAUUACGCGUGCUCCUGCGUGCUGCCCUGCCAGCCGCCUUGUGCUGGUUCUGAGGUCGCAUGCUCGUAUGGUAUGGUGGCGGAUCCGGCGGAGCAGCUGUGGUGUUGUCAGUCGACGCCCGACUUGUCCCUGGGAUGGGACCUUGUUCGGUCGAGGGUCGGGCGCCGCGUAAUAUGCUGAUAUCUGGAGCGCUGACCUUGGGUGUCUCGAGGGGGUCCCGAUUAGACGUUCCAUCCUUGUUUCCUGUGUCCUGACUCGCCCUGGGUCGUUCGGUGGGAAGGCUGCAAAAAGAACGAUGGGACAGAAGCUUGCUCCCUAUCACGCCUUCCGUGACCUGUGUGUUAGGUGGGGAAGCGUCAGGUGCAUUUAAUGCUUCGGCUCGCGUGCGCGCGUCGGGCGGCGGACAGUGUCCUCACGCCCGACACCUCUCGGUUCGCUCGAGCCCGCUUCCGUCAUCGAGGGCAGUCGUCGCUCGAGUCCUGAACCGAUUCGCUCGAGACUAUUUCCGUCUUCGAGGCUGCGACCGUCGAUGGCGGCGCAUACGUAAGACUGGAGCGUCGAAUUAAGGGUCUCGACCUUCAUACGGGCAAUCUCAUAAUGCGUAUUGCUGAGGGUACCCCUUACCGAUACCCUCGACAUCGUGUUUUCCUCUCUUUUCUUAUUCACCACGCGUGUGCCAAGUCACGUCUGGUCUGGUCCUCGUGUGUCGUACGCCUCGGCUCGGCGGCGGCGCGCGCGUGUGGCACCCCUUUUCCCUUCCUCAACUUCUCCAUAUGAGCUAUCAAAGGCCACCUAUUUAAGUUAACAUAUGUUCAAUCAUCAAUACGGUACUAAACCGUUUUCAUUAUAGUAUUUAUUAUAGGCUUUUAAAUUAAUCAUCAAAUAUAAUUAUGGGCUAAAAGCCCAUUAUAUUCAACAUAAGGAACACAUAAUCUGCGAAAGCUGUAGGGAAACAACUUCGAUGUCCAGUAAUAAUAAAAAAGAACGUUGACGGAGCUAUUGUACGUAGUAAAAGCGACCAUUCCCCUGAGCAAAGACACGCGCGCGCUCGGUACACUUACGCUCUGCUCCCUAGCUCAGCCAGCAAGGAUUUGACCAUUUGAGGGGGCGCGGCCGCCGCCGAUCGCAGACGGUGGCAAUUGAGCAGAAGAUGGAGCCCGUCGACGCAUUGCAAACUCGGCGAUGACGAGGCCAUCAUGCAUGUCCCGCUCGCUAGUUAUCCGGCCGGCCGUGCUCUCCGUCGUCCCAACCGCCGUGCAUGUGGCCACUUCGCUGCCUCUCGUGGUCCCAUGUGGGGUCCUCGUUUCUUUAUCGCCACGCUUAUUCUGAUCAACCUCCGUUAGUCCCUGCGAGGCUCAGUCUGAAGGAGACUCGCGCGUAAUGGCCUACUAAUUAAUACGUAAGAGUUGAAGAAGUACGCUGGCUAGUGGCCACGACUACUGGUACUAGUUAUUAUCAAAAAACAAACAAACCAAAAAAAACUACUGGUACUAGUUGAAGGGAUUACUUGUUAGCAAUAAUCACAGAGAGGGUCUUCGUCUAUCUAUAUAUGUCAAGUAGUAGGAAAGUAUCAACCGAGCCGCCGCAACAUGCACGGCGCGCGCCACCGUACCGUACCAGUUGUCAAAGGCGUUGACAUGUUUGCGCUACUGUUGCAUGCAUGAUGAACGCAUGCAUGUGAGCUUCGCUAUAGCUAGCUAGCAGCUAAUACCGUAAUAAUAUCACCCACCAAGCACCAAGAGAGGAACGUACGCGCCGUGCAAUCAAUCAUGCCCCUAUAUUCCCUGCCAACGACCAUCAUUCCGAUGAUCAUCCAUGCAACCGGCUGCUGCUCUACUGAUGUUAUUUAAGCCCUACUGCAUGCCAUGGGCGUCGUCGCAAUCCAUCCAUCCAUCCGCCAUUGAUCAAUAAUCCUGAUCUAUCUACUAUAUACUCUCGGUCAUUCUCUCUUUCUCCCAACUCUAGCUAUCGCAGCUGCUGUUCAGUUCGUCGCUCUAGUGGUCGGCCGGCGAUCGAUUCAAGCGACCGAUCGAUCGAGAUGGGCACCACGGUGGCGCAGCUCAAGCCCUUGGCCGUGGUCGUCGUCGUCCUUGCGCUGCUGGUCGCGGCGGCAAGGGCGGACUACUGGAACUGGAACAGUGGGACGGCGACGUUCUACGGCGGCGCCGACGGCUCCGGCACCAUGGGUACGUACGUAGGGCCCGAUUUCCAUGCAGCAAGAGCCAGCCUUGCGGCGGCAAGCUUAAUUAGCUUGUUACUGAUACUCACAGUUACGUUGGUUUUGCUUGAACUCAUGGUACGCCAUCGACGCAUGCAUAUGCAGGUGGCGCGUGCGGCUACGACAACCUGUACAACGCGGGCUAUGGAGUGCUCAACGCCGCGCUGAGCCAGGUGCUGUUCAACGACGGCGCCUCCUGUGGCCAGUGCUACGCCAUCAAGUGUGACGCCACCAAGUCCGUGUGGUGCAAGCCCGGCAACACCGUCACCGUCACCGCCACCAACCUGUGCCCACCCAACUACGCGCUCCCCAACGGCGGCUGGUGCGGCCCGCCGCGCCCCCACUUCGACAUGUCCCAGCCAGCGUGGGAGAACAUCGGCAUCUACCGCGGCGGCAUCAUCCCCGUCGUCUACCAACGGUAUGUAGCUACAGCCGACAUGAAUUUGUUCAUUUGUAUUAUAAAUUAUAUUUUUCUGUCAGCCAGCAUUGUUUUUUUCUUAUAUUACAUGAGAAAACAGUGCUUUUAGCUAUAUUAAUAUUGUCGAUCGAUAUGAUACGCAUGCAUGAAUGACUCGCGAUCUUAAUUGUUGGGUGGUUUAAUUUGCAUAUGCAGGGUGCGAUGCUCGAGGCAGGGAGGCGUGAGGUUCAGAAUCACCGGGUCCCAGUACUUCCAGCUGAUUCUCAUCACCAAUGUCGGCGGCAGUGGAUCCAUCCAGUCCAUGUCCGUGAAGGGGACCAACACCGGGUGGAUUGGCAUGACGCGGAACUGGGGCGCGCAAUGGCAGAGCAACUCGGCGCUCCUUAAGCAGGCGCUCUCCUUCAUGGUCACCUCCACCGGCGGCCAGACGCUGUACGUCAACAACGUCGUGCCGGCGUGGUGGGUGCUGGGCAUGACCUUCGCCACCAACGCGCAGUUUGACUAUUAGCAGCUCAAUGCAUCAUCGGAACCGGCCGCAUAAUUGCAUGUGCGUGUGCGUGUGCCUGGCCAGCCUCUGAAAAUUUUAAUUGAUCAAGAUCAGUUGACCUGAUGGUGUAAUUGAUGUGGGUUGAUCUAGAUUUUGAUCUGUGAUAUAUCGCAUUUGGUUGAAUUAUUAGUUUCUACGAUCUGAACAUGCACAUAUGUAUACAUCAAUGUAUUGUCGGUUGGUUCAAUUGUUUUAUUAAAUGGUAUAUGGUAUUAAGUUUCAUUUUGAUCAGAUCAUCCUAUAUACAGUUGCUCAUUUGGCAGCUACCGGUUCUUAUCUGCAGAGAAAUGCGCUAUAUAUACUACACUCGACUGUUUUACUCUUUACCCACACUCUCGAUUCUUUUUACCAAUAAAGAAACGGCGCCACAUACCUGGCUUAGCAUCUUCCUUGUGUCAUUGUCUUCGUUUUCCAACGAGGUAGGGUUCAUCGGUUCCUGACGGGCUUAGAAUGAAAGGGGAUUUGUGGAUAAUAACAGGCAAGACUAGUGAUGCCGAUGGUGGCGACGGCGGCAUGCAUGGCCACGUGGGUGAGGCGGCGGUGGCACUGCUGGUCAGGCAGUAGGGAAGACGGUUAAGCGGGGCAAUACACUAAGGCCUCGUUUAGUUCGCGAAUUUUUUUGGAUUUGACUACUAUAGCACUUUUGUUUUAUUUAAUAAUUAUUAUCUAAUCAUGGACUAACUAGGCUCAAAAAAUUUAUCUCGUAAAUUACAGAUAAACUGUACAAUUAGUUAUUUUUUUAUCUAUAUUUAAUACUCCAUACAUGUGCACAGGUGCCAUAAAUGAGCAGCGGUCAAGAACAGGAAGUAGCGAGAGGAGGGAAGUGAAGAGGAAGAAGACGUGGACUUUGGGAUGAGAUGUGAGCAGUUUGGUUAUUUUUUAUCUAGAUAAAAAUAUCCGAGUUUUCUGAGCCCCAAAAGGGCUUAUUAGAUAGAUCGCUAUCUGAAACACCUUUCUACCUUUCUAAGGGCACUCACAAUGCAAGACUCUAUCACAGAGUCCAAGAUAAUUAAUUAUAUAUUAUUUAUAGUAUUUUGCUGAUAUGACAGCAUAUUUAUUGAAGAAAGAGGUAGAAAAAAUAAGACUCCAAGUCUUAUUUAGACUCUAAGUCCACAUUGUUCGAUGUAAUAAAUAACUUUAGACUCUAUGAUAGAGUCUGCAUUGUGAGUGCCUUAAGGCUUAACUAAUUAAUAAACCAAUCUCAUCUGUAAUUACAACUCAUAAAAUAACCAACAUCGAUCAUUCCUUUUUUAAACCUAGUAGUACUCCUCUGGCACCAGACACAGGCACCUCAAAGUCAGAAACCUUCUAAUAAUUAAUUACUAAUUAAUAAACUCCAACAGAAUUGCCCCAUGAGAUGCUGAUUGGUGAUCAUGUGACGUUACAGCAGAGCAGUAGCUUCUAAAUGAUAAUAUAAUACAGAGGAACUUAGUUUCAUGGUAUCAGCAUAUAUAGGUUUGUUAAACUCAACUCAAUUUUUUUGAGGGUGUGAAUAUAAUUGGUCCAUGGGAUUUAUCGUUGACAUCCAUGUUUACAGCUUAAGAUGAUAAAAAUAAGUUGUAGUCAUUUAUUUUCACUCAGUAAACCACAUUGAUAUAGAAGUGCAUAAUUCAUAUAACUGGCAGCUUCUAGGAACCGCACCCACCUAUUAUAACGAAAAAAUAUGGUCACUGGAAGGGAAAAAAAUGGCAUUUUGAUUUUCGAACGAGCCCUACUUGACACUUGAAAUGCACAAUUUUAUUCACUAUGUCAUCUGUAAUGUAUCUGCAAAGUCUGCUAACUAUAUAAAAAUAAUACAAAAUUUAUAAUAGUAGUAGUGUACCACAAAAUUGUCAUACACUCCAUUCUUUAGAAUGUUUUGGCUUGUCUAGAUAUAUUAUUUUUACUAUGUAUCUAGAUAUAGUGUAUAUUUAGACAGUGUAUUGUAAAAGCUAUGAACCUAAAAAAUCCAAUACAUCUUAUAAUUAAUUUAGAAAGUAUGUCUAAAAAAAGCUACAAGGAUGUUAUUGCUAUAGUGAAAUGAUCUGUCCACAUACCCUAUCAUUGUUUAUUAAUGGCUAGAAGGACAAUUAUUUGAUAGAGAGAUACUGUCACGUAUAUGGAAGUCUCUUCCGCUUUAUCUUCGGUAGCUAAACUUGUGAGCUCGUACGCCUUACUCACUCUAACAAAAUAAGGCUGUUUUGCAUAUGCCGUGCCUUCAUUCGGCAUACGAACUUGGUGGAUAUGUGUUAAAGUUUUGUCUUUGUGGACUUGUGUUGAAAUUGUUUUGUAUGUCGUCAUAAUUUUUUACUGUACCUUUAUAUAAACAUAUUUCUAUAGAAAAAUAGUAUCCUAAUUAAUAAGUUGCUUCCCAGUAUACGGAAAAUGUGGCUUAUUUUGCUAUUGGGUCGGAGGCAGUACGUAUUUUGGAAUACUGUGAUAAUGAUUUUUUGACUCAGUAACAAUAAAUCUCCAAAUAAUAACAUAAUGUUUACACAAUGUACUUAUAUAUAGGGUUUACACACAAUGCACUUAUCAAUAAAUCUAAGACUCAAAAAAACACAAUGUUUAAAAAUGAAAUUAUUGGGACAACAAACGUCUGUAAGAAGGAAAAAAAUAUACAUAGACGACGAAAAUUGAAAUAUACAUGGGCGCGCACCUCCUGCAGUCGGAGCAUCACGUAGGGAAGAAGCCAGUCAUCAGGCGGCCACCAAGGAUGCAAUGGCAACAAGUGCAGCUAGCUCUGUCAAAACCACGAGCACGCACACGCCACGUUCGACCGAGCCGCAAGAAAUGGCGAACAACUGAAGCAUGUUUUAGUAGGCGAAAUUUCUGUUGGUGCCGAAGGUCAUGCCGAACUGCCACCACCCCGGCACGACGUACAUGAACUGCAGGUACUGCCCGCCGGUGGUGGUGACGGCGAAGCUGAGCCCUUGGCCGACGAGUCCCGACAGCGCCUGCCAGUUAGCCCCCCAGUUCCUGGACAUCUGGAUCCACCCGGUCUUGUCGCCCUUCACCCAGGCGGCGCCCACGGCGCCGCUGCCGCCGACGUUCUGGAUGUUGACGAGCAGGAAAUACUGGGAGCCGGCGAUGCUGAAGCGCACGCCGCCGGUGCGGGUGCACCUGACCUGCUGGUACAGGACGGGGAUGAUGCCGGCCUGCACGACGCCGAUGUGCUCCCACGCCGGCUGCGACAUGUCGAAGUGCGGGCGGCCCGGGCCGCACCACCCGCCGUUGGGGAGCCCGUAGUUGGGCGGGCACAGGUUGGUGGCCGACACCGUGAUGGAGCUGCCCGGCUUGCACCACUGCCCGCCGGACCGUGACCUGUCGCACGUGAUCAGGUAGCACUGCCCGCACGACGCGCCGUUGUUGAACAGCGUCUGGCUCAGCGCCGCGUUGUUGAUGCCGUACCCGGCGUUGUACAGGUUGCCGUACCCGCACGCGCCACCUACAUAUAUAUGCAUUUUGAUUAAUUAGUAUAUAUGUGAUGUGCGGAUGGAGUAAUAAUAAGGUCGCCUAUACAAAAUAUGUGCACACAGCUCUUGUACAGCAAGACAAUGUGCAUGCAAAUAUAUAUCUUGUCUUACCCAUGGUGCCGGAUCCGUCGGCAUCGCCGUAGAACGUCGCGGUGCCCUGAGACCAGCCAGCGGCGGCGAGCCUAAGGCACGCUGCAAGGACUGUGCACAGGAUUAUCAGGGAUCUGGACGACGUAUCCAUAUAUGGACGUCGUCGGCAAUGCAGAGAGAAUGGUGACUGGUGAGGGCGUGUUCGUGAGCUGGCUGUGCAAGUGCAAUGGAGGUUCUUAACAAGCUGUAUGUUCCUGAGUUGAGCUUGUGGAUGGAAUGAGAUGGCAAGAAGGCGUCUGUGAGGCCAGUGCUUAAAUAGCUAGAGGAAGAGGCGCGACGUGGCUAACCGAAUGAGCAAGAAUUUGUUAUAUUAUUAAUUUAUUAGUCACCGGAUGGUGUUGAUUACGGGUAUGAUGGUCGAUCAUCCUGAUUGACAAGAAUCCGUGUUCCAUCGAAGCACAUGGCUGCAGAUGCAACGAUGAUCGCGCAGUCACUGCUGGCUGCAUGCAGGCUUGCUGGCUCCAAGCAAGGCCUCUGACUUUGGCGUUGGAACAACUAAUCAUGGAUGCAAGGUGAGUUAGUUGGUCGCAGUCUGAUAGAUAGAAUGACCAAUCUGUUAAGAAGAUUUCUGAGGCAACCAACCAUCAACUAACAGAAUUCCUUCCACACAUUAGUCGAAACCCUGUUCGCUGCAUGUUCUGCGGUUCUGAAGAUAGAGCUAGCACCGGCCAACCGAUCGAUAUGAUCCCCAAAUGUGAAUUCGUAGUGACGAUGCAGAAAGAUAUUACAUGCAUGGUUCACAAAUUUAGAAUUAAACUGCCGGCAAACGACGUGCCAGUUGUAACUCCACGUCGGUCGAGACUCGAGAACGAAUAUCAACCAUAUCAGAUCGAUGUUGAUCACUUCUCUUUGAGAUGACAUGACUUUAAUGAAUUUCGUAAUAUUUCACGUACGGAUUAGCCAGAAAAUUAUUUGAGGGGAUAUCGUAACAAUUUUAACGAACUCAAUUCGCAUGUACAAGUGUCCAACUGCACAAGAGAAGCCAUAAGUUGGUAGUGUGUAGCUCAUUUGCUAUAGUUAAGUUCCUUAAUUAGUGGAACUUGCUCGUCAGGAGUUCUAUAUUCUAGGUUCCAACGAGUUCGUUCAAUACUUUAAUUUUAUCAUAGUGAAUAUUGAUUGCUAUUAAGUAUGGGAUUCUUUUCAGUAAACUAGCAAUACUCAUUUCCUUAGAUAGCAUGUUAUUUGAUCCAUGCAAAAUUCAGCUUUUUUUCCCAAGUAAUCCCAGUUCCUAUUAUUCUUAUGUUAUGGUAUGAAUAUAACUAACUAUAUUUUCGAUGUGUAUGGAUCAUGGAUGAGAUUCUAUGGAUAUAGAGAGCUAGUUACAAUAGAUGUCAUUGCUUGUAUCUAACGGAACUGAACCCACGAAUUUAAUUACUAUCUCUGAGUUGGCACUUUAAUUUAAUCAUUCACAUCCUUGAUUCUUAACAGGUAAUGGAUAUAAAUGGGCAAAAACAAUAUUCAAAAGUUAAUAUAAAUUCAAGCAUUAUAGACUUGUACUCCCUCUGUCCUAUAAUAUAGUAUACUCUAAAAAUUUUAGGACAGCUUAAGAGAGAAGAAUACAAAAUAUAUAUAUGUGGCCUUACUUUCUAUUUCUUCAUCAGACACUUCUAUUAGUUUGAUUAAUGGUGAUUGAUUGACAAAUAACAAGGAUCCACAUGAUUACAUACAAAUUUAUGUGAUUAUUUAAUGCAAGACUGCUUUUAUUUUUCUAAAAUCUCAUAUAUUUUGAUUAGUUUUGAAUGCAAGAAUAAAUAAUAUUAUAGGACGACGGAUAGAGUAUAUGGAAGCCACGCGCUGGCUUUUAUCUGUCCUACGAACUUACUUUUUAACAUAGGGCCCACAUUAUUUCAGUUAUUCCACAUUGAGAGAGGGGAAGAUACCACGAUCUCACUCGUCUACUUCGAUCCUCCUUCUCUGAUGAGGUUAGGAAACCCAUUUACAGUAUAUGACAUGUUGUGCCAAAACGUACGCGACAUUACUGGACUCACAUGUUCGACAAAGGCUUUGCCGAGAGCUGCAUUCAGCAAAGACCCCUCGAGAAAUUUUUAGACGAUAAAGGGGUUUUUACCGAGGGCUCUUUAUCGGUCAGUCGGCAAAGAAAAACAGCCAUCAUGGUGUCGACAUCGUUGGCAAUUUUUUUUGCCAAGAGUCAGCCUUCGGCAAAGAAAUGUUUUUUUAAAUUCUUUACCGAGGGCUUUCUCGGUGUCGACGAAAGCUAGUCGGCAGUCAACCUUAGGGUAUACCCACGGUAGUAGUUUAUCGGUAGACGGUGCGCAAGCUACGAACUCGAUGGUGACGCAAGACACAGACAAGGUUUUUAUCUAGGUUCGGCCGCCGUGUGGGCGUAAUACCUACGUCCUGCGUCUGAUUGUAUUGCUGUGGAUUGUGUUGAGUUGAGAUUCGAUGUCCUAGGGGGGUCCCUUGCCUCUCUUUAUAUAGUCCAGAGGGCAGGGUUACAGAUCUGGAAACUAAUCCUAGUCGGUUACAAUUGCCAUGGAUAGUACGAUAUCAAUUCCUAUUCUAACCGACUAGAAUCCGGCUUGAUCUCCACGUCUUGUUUCCUUGCGCGAAACUCCAAGCAGUUGGAUCAAGCCUCAAACUGCCUUCGUGAUGGGCCAAGUCUCCUGGCCCAAGUCUAGCCGUAAGGGUAUAGGGGUUUAUACCCUCACAGCUAGUCUCCGAGCACCAUGUAUUGUGAUGUAACAAGCUAUCUUGAGCUUCUUCCACCAGUAAGACUUAACAUCUUUGACAACCAGGAAAGUCGCUCGAACAGUUGCAACGGUAUUUUAACCAACUUGACAACCAGUUGACCAUCAUUAACAUCGAAGAAGCAGGUUGUUCAAAGAAUGCAUGGUGCUCUUAAUCAAAAAAUAUUUUUUCCUGAUGAAGUGUGCCCACUUUACUUUUCUAAAAAGUACAGACUUUCAAAAAGCAAGCUUGUUCACCGCAAGGUGAAGUGUGCCCACUUAGUCCCCGAGCCUGGUAGUAGGUGACGUAGGCACGUGGUGCCAGGGUCAAAAAAGUCUUCGUAAAACUGAGAUGCAUCGCCAGAUGCAUCGUACCAAUGUAGUCCCCGAGCUUGCUGGAAGGCGAAAUAUGAGCCUUGUAGCAAGGUCUAAAAAAUAUAAUUACCCCUCAGUUGUAUAUGAGUCCAAUUCAUAUGUAACUGAGAAGAACAGUCCCUAAGUUGUGGUUGGAGAGUGAUCGAAGUAAGCCCCGAGCACAGUGAAGGGGGUGAUUGACGAGUCCCCGAGCACGGUUGAGAAUGUAGACGUGCUCGGUGGUCGGUACAGUCCCCGAGCACGGCAUAGGGAUCGGUGGACAAGUCUCCGAGUGUGGUUGGGAACGUAAACGUGCUCGGUGGUCGGCACAAGCUAUCAAGAUAUCAAAAAAGCGGACUAGACGACCAGUCCCCGAGCGUGACAUGCUCGGUGGUCGGUGCAGUCAAUCAAAAUGUCAGAUAAACAGACUGGUCGACCAAUCCCCGAGCAUGUCAUGCUCGGUCCUCCAACAGACCCACUUGUCUUUUGGAAAAAGCAUGUCACCGCAUUAAUGCGCGAUGUGACGGGGCAUCCUGGCGCAUUGUGAGGCGGUUGCGUAAAAAGGUACGCCUGGUAACUGUGCAGCCGCUCUUUGCGCGGUCCAAGAAAAGGAAACCAUUAAUUAUUCAGAAAAUCCACCAUAUUAACCGGCGGUAAUUAUUGAGAACUGAAACGCUGCGGCCGCUGCAGGAUCCGCCCACUUCCCCAGAAUACGGGAAGUGGUAGAGGUGGGGCUGUUGUUAUAAAAGCUCAGGGUCGUAUCAUUGUUUUUUACUUGGCAAUCGCAUACUAUUGCUUAAGCCACCAUCUUUCCCCUCACCUUCAAACCUCAAAACUGAGCUUGAGAUUUUCCAAGAGCCGAAAUGGCGAAGAGCGAUUCCAAGAAGAGGGCCGAGAUGAUGGCCACGGAAUGGAAGAAGUCCCGGAGUAUCACAAGAUCCCUCAACGACCUUGUCGAAAAGGGGCUUCUGCACAAUCAGGAACUCGGAGGAUGGAGGGCGCCGGAGGGGGAGAGCUACCCCGACCCCCGCGCCGGUGAGGUUGUUGUCUUCGAGGAUUUCUUUAAGAGGGGUUUUGGCAUUCCCGUUCAUCCUUUUCUCCAAGGUCUUCUUCUCUACUAUGAGAUCGGGAUUUGCAAUCUACACCCGAACUCUAUUCUUCUUAUCUCCACAUUCAUCCAUCUGUGCGAGGCCUAUGUUAGAAUAGAGCCGCACUUCGAUCUCUUCCGCUAUCUUUUUUGCUUUAGGAAGAAAGGAGCAGUUGGAGGCUCCAAGAUUGCAGGUGGAGUAUACCUUAAUCUGCGCGACGGGGUGAAGAACCGGUACCUCAGCUGCCCAUGGAACACUUCUCUCACCGAAUGGUACAAGAAGUGGUUCUACAUCAGAGAAGAGCCGGGCAGCGCCACGUUCUGCGACGUGGGCUACAUCCCUAAGAAGAGGGUCAGCUGGACAGACCGUCCAGAGCACACUGGGCAAGUGGUGGAGCUAAUGAGCCUGAUCGACUGGUCCCGCUUAGACAGGCCAGGAGUGGUCGGGAACUUCCUUGUGCGUCGGGUGAUGCCUUGCGAGAGGAGGGUACACUCGGCGUAUGAGUACGCGGGGAGCCAAGACCCGACCAGAAUGUGCCCGGAUGGUCUGGAGAAGGCAGAGGUUCAGCAGUUGAUGAACGAGUUAUUCAAUUUGUCUGAUGAUAACUUCGUUCAGAGUGAUGACUGGAUGCACGCCUUCAAGCUGGGAUGACCAGCUCCUAAGGUAAACGAAUACCUUUGUUACAUUGUUAUGUGAUCACUGCAAUCUCUUGAUUGAUAACUUAUCGUUUGUUCUAUGCAGAUUGGAGAUAUUGACCGGUGCUCAGUGUAUGUAUCAUUGGCACCCGAAAUAGACCAUCCUGCUGGGGUAGACCCAGCAGUGGACGAUGCUGCUCGGUACACCGACCGGCGUCGACCACCGAGGACAGGGUGGCGGGGAAGAGGCCAAUGGCCGCGGAGCCAUCCCCUACGGAGGCAUUGCCGGUGGAGACCAGCCAUGCUUCGAAGCGUCGCCGGCUCGUGAGGAUCACCGACGACGACGACGAAGAGGAGGAGGUUGCGCCCUCUUUGGUCCGGAAACCGCGCAGCUGGCCUGACGUUGCGCCGACCACCGCUGGUCACGUGACCGGUGAUCCGCCCGCCCCGCACACCGAGCCAAUGCGGCUUGGGGGGGUAGAUGCAGCAGUGGCGACUGGUAGGACCAGGAGGAGGUUCUUCGCAGCGACGCACAGGCGCUCCGAUCUGUAAGUUCUUUCAAUUUGUCUUCUGCACUUCUUUCCUUCUUGUUGUUUCUUGGUUUUUACGUCAAAAUAAUGUCUCCUGCUAGUGCGGCAUCGGACGUUGAUCCGGGCAACGUCGCCGGCCAGAGAACGGCCGAUCCGACAGUUGUCGUUGAAAGCGCCGCCGAGCGAACCACCCAGGAGCCAACCGAAGAGCAACCCACGGUUGUGACUGCGACGCAGACUGCCGGGGAGGACCCAGCUCAAGCGAGGGCCGGGGCGAGCACCCCGACAAGGGACGAUGAGGCUGCACGGAUGCCUCCCCUGAGUAGUGUCGCGGAGGGUGGAGGCAGAGCCCCGACUCCCCCGCCUGUUGAAGAAAGGAGGGCCCCAACUCCACCCCGGGCGGAGGCUUCUUCUCCAAAGGGCUCCCCUGGUCGGGGCAAGGGUCCUGUGAUACCUGUUACUACGGCUGGGGGUAGCGCGGAGGACGAGGAGGCCCAGGUGACCUCCGACGACGAGGUUGAGGAGAUCCAGGGGCGCCCCCAAGAUGGUCGCCAACACGUUUUCGUGUGGCGCCAAUGUGGGGACCACUUCAUCGGUCAUGAAGAGCUCGCUGAGACCGAGGAGGUGGCAAGAGUAGAGCGCGCUGCCAAGCGGCUCGUCGAAGAAGUCAAAGUAAGUGUUCUUGUGUUCUGUAAAAAUGUGUAUGUAUUGUUGUUUGUUUACUUCACAAUACAUAUAAUUCUUGCAGAGCGCAAUGAAGACGGCGAAGUACCGAAAAAGGUGCUUUGACCAAAUUGAAGGUAUCGUCGCCGAGAACAAGGCCCUAACCAUAGAGGUAGACCGCCUUCGGUCAGAGGCCGAGGAGAAGGCAGUCGAGACAACGGCUCAGGAAGAGCGCCUGCUCGAUCUAAAUCGGCGACUAGUCGAUAAGGAUCGGGAGAAGAAAGGUGAGUCAUGGGCUCUGAGCAGCUGUAGUUAACUGCGUGGUCGGUUUUGUUAACCAGCUAUUAUUUCUGCAGCUCUGGAAGAGGAGAUUGAGCGCCUCUGAGAAGAAAGGGAGCGACUCGACUAGGAGCGUACCGGCGCACUGGAGGCCGGGCGCCAGGCUGGCGAGGAGCUGAAGAACAAGAGUCGAGAAUUGGCUGGUGAGAGCCGUUUCACCCUUUUUGACUACGCAAUGUUCCUCUUGACGUGUUUAUACUGACUUCUUGCUUGGCUGUCUUUGGGAAUUUUAUCAUAGUGCUUAAAGUUAACACCAAGAAGCACCUCAACGAGCUGGUGAAGGAUCGGGACUCCUGGAAAGCCAAUUGUAUCGAAAUUUGGAAAGGAGUGGCCCCGGUGCUCGACUUGAUCAGCCCCGAGCUCCCCGAAGACCAACCCCGCGCACUGAGGCUAACCCCUGUCGAGAAGGCGCAACAGGCAUGGAGUUGGCUACAGCAGUUCGUUAAGGACGCCGGGGAGUUUGCCGGGGCGCACGUCCUCAGCAUGGUGCGUGCCCACUACCCCCUGGUCAACUUGUCCUGGCUGGAGCGGGGGUAUCCCAAGGAGGUUGGUCCGCAGGAGGCUGAUGACCUUCGUGUCGGCCUGCUCGACCUGUCGUCGACAAUGAUCGGCGACAUACACCUUUGUGGGACGUCAACUCCCCUCAACCAACCCGGAUCAGACAGGUCUGCCAGGGAGUUGUCGGGGGUGUCCAUUGCAGGAGAUGGGUGGUCGACGCCUGCGGUCUUGACCAGCCAGACGCCGGUGGCCCCGACCCCUUCGACUGGAUAGCAGAGCCAUGCGGGUGAUCAGCCCGAGCAGUAGGCCUGUAAGGUAGUCUGUAGGAGUAGACUAGAGACCGCCCAGAGGGGUUGUUAUUGUAAACUUUGUGUAUAAAGUUUGUAAUAAAGCUUGAUUUAUCAUAACCAUGGCUUUGAGCACUGUAAUAUUGUUUGAGUGAUGUAUCACUGAGUCAAAAUGACGGCCUCUCAGGACCUUUGCCCUCGAAAGUAAUUGUAGCACUUGUCGAAUAUUCUGCGUAUGAAAAAGUAUAUAGCAAGAAAGACAAAUUUUAUUAUUACUCAUCAUAAAAGGUUUACAAAUAAAAUGUACUAGAACUUAGGGAUAGAAACGGUGCAGUUUGUCUAUGUGCCAGGAAUUGGGCAAGCGUGUUCCGUCUGGGUACGCCAGUCUGUAAGAUGUAGGGCGUGUGACUUCGGCGACCACAAAGGAUCCUUCCCAAGGUGUAGAUAACUUGUGCAUUCCUUCCUGGCUUGUUUUCCACUUGAGUACCACAUCACCGACCACGAAGGAGCGGUCUUUGACGUUCCUGUUGUGGUAGCGCCUAAUAGCUUCGAGAUACUUUGCUGUUCGAAGGCAUGAGAUUAAGCGCUUUUCUUCUGUGCAGUUGAUUUUGAGCUCUCUGGCGAGGUCGGCCGAAGGCUAGUCAAAAUGUUCGACUCUUGGAGAUCCAAAGACAACGUCCGAAGGGAGCACUGCUUCGGUGCCGUAAACCAUGAAGUAGGGCGAUACGCCCGUGUUGCGACUAGUCUGUGUUUGGAGACCCCAGACCACAGCUGGUACCUCUUUCAUCCAUUGUCCUGGUGCUCUGUCAUUUUCAGUGUACAACCUUUUCUUCAAAGCAUCAAUAAUCAUUCCAUUUGCUCGCUCCACUUGACUGUUAGUCCACGGGUGGGCUACCGACACCUACUUUAUGACUAUGCCCCUGUCAUCGCAGAAGUCCCAGAAUGUAGUGCCAGUGAACUGGGUGCCUAGGUCAGUAAUUAUGCUGUUGGGGACCCCGAAUCUAUGUAUAAUUUGACUGAGGAACUCCACAGCCUUCUCGAAAGUUGCUUUGACCAGUGGCAUGUACUCGAUCCAUUUUGAGAAUUUGUCGAUCAGUACGAAGACAAAUUUGAAAUUGCCGGGGGCCGGCUUGAAUGGCCCGAUCAUGUCGAGGCCCCAACAGGCGAACGGCCAGGACGAUGGGAUCGUCUGAAUCUCGUGAGCGUGUACGUGGGUCCGCUUGGCAAAGAACUGGCAUCCUUCACAGUGUCGGACCAGUUUCUCGGCGUCGGCCACUGCGGUUGGCCAGUAAAAACCUGCUCGGAAGGCCUUCCCGACCAGUGUUCUGGAAGCAGCGUGAUUGCCACAGGACCCGACGUGUAUGUCAUCCAGGAGCUUGACGCCAUCAUCUUGCGAUACGCAUUUCAACAAUACUUCUGAGCUUGCGUUCUUAUGCAUAAGUUUACCAUCAACCAGUAUGUAAUUCUUAGAUCGUCGUAUAAGACGUUCAUUCUCCGUUUUAUCUUGAAAUCUCGAACCGUCCGAUAAAAACUUGAUGAAGGGAGUGCGCCAGUCGCGGCUGCUGGUUGUCGGAGUGGUGUCGUCUAUGAGCAUUGCCUCAUUGGGUUGCUUGUCGACCAGGACUGUACCGACACUUGGCGUGUGGAUAUCUUGGACGAAAACACCUUGCGGAAUCUGGGCCCGGGAUGACCCUAUCUUCGACAACGCAUCUGCUGCCUGGUUCCUGUCCCGGACCACAUGGACGUAUUCUAUGCUGUAAAAGUUGGAUUCCCAUUUCCGGAUUUCUUUGCAGUAGAGGUCCAUCUUCUCGUGAGUUGUGUCCCACUCCUUGUUUAACUGGUUGAUGUCCAGUGCGGAGUCACCGUGGACGUAAAGGCGUUUUACUCCCAGUUCGACAGCUAGUCGGAUGCCGUGCAGGCAUGCUACGUACUCGGCGACGUUGUUGGACGCUGGAAAGAAGAUCCUAAGGACGUAGCGGAGUUUGUCCUUGUUUGGCGAGACGAAAAGUAUUCCUGCCCCGGCUCCAUUGAUGUUCAAGGAUCCGUCGAAGAACAUUGACCAGUGGUCAGAGACAUCUGGGAGGGAGGCUCGUUUAGGUCUGUCCAUUCUACAAUGAAGUCGACCAGGGCCUGAGAUUUGACGGUAGUGCGACUCUGAAAAUCUAAGGAAAAUGGACAUAACUCCAUUGCCCAUUUCACAAUCCUUCCGUUGGCGUAUUUGUUGCGCAGGAUGUCUCCUAAUGGAAAACUGGUAGUAACUAGCACCCUAUGUCCGUCGAAGUAGUGCUUCAGCUUUCUUGAGGUGAUUAAGAUUGCGUAGAUUUGCUUUUGUAUCUGGGGGUACCUGGUCUUGGAUUCGUUUAGGACUUCGCUUAUGAAGUAUACAGGCCUCCGGACUUUGUAGACGUGGCCUGGUUCAUCUCGCUCGACCACGAGCACCGUGGAGAUGACCCGAUUAGUUGCUGCUAAAUAGAGGAGCAGGUCCUCAUUAGGUUGAGGUGCGGUGAGAACGGGUGGUGAAGUGAGGAAGGCCUUCAGCAGUGUGAACGCUGUGUUGGCUUCUUCUGUCCAGGAGAACUUUUCUAAUGCUUUUAGCAGUCUGAAGAAAGGAAGGCCCGUUUCCCCUAAUCUGGAGAUGAACCGGCUGAGGGCGGCCAUUCAUCCGGUGAGCUUUUGAAUGUCUUUGACGUUUCUGGGUGGUCGCAUGUCGAGCACUGCUUUGACUUUUGAGGGGUUCAGUCGUAUGCCGUCGCGACUGACGAUGUUGCCGAGCAGUAGACCAGAGGGGGCCCCAAAGAUACACUUUUUGGGGUUGAGUUUCCACUUGUAUUUGUUUAGUGCCUUGAAAGUACGGUCCAAGUUGUCGAUCAGGGUGCCUGCGUCCCUUGUUUUAACGACAACAUCGUCGAUGUAAGCCUCGAUGAGGUCGUCACGUAUCUCGUCGUGGAGGCAUUGUUGGAUGGCGCUUUGAUAGCUGGCGCCAGCAUUUUUCAGUCCGAAAGACAUGGUGGUAUAACAAUAUGCGCCAAAAGGAGUAAUGAAGGAAGUUUUGAUCUGGUCAUCUUCUUUUAGCGAGAUCUGGUGGUAACCAGAGCAACAGUCGAGGAAAGAGAGGAGUUCGCAUCCGGCCGUUGAGUCAACCACCUCGUCGAUACGAGGGAGAAUGAAAGGAUCUUUAGGACAGUGUUUAUUGAGAUCGGUGUAAUCAACGCACAUUCUCCAUUCAUUAUUCUUUUUUCUUACAAGGACUGGAUUGGCGAGCCAAUCGGGAUGAUACACUUCUUUAAUAAAUCCGGCUGCUAGUAGCCGUGUUAUUUCUGUCCUCAUAGCCUCCUUUUUGUCACGAGCGAACCGUCUGAGUUUCUGCUUGAUAGGUCUUGCGGUCUUCGAGACGUUUAAGGAGUGCUCGAUUAGGUUUCGUGGGACGCCAGGCAUGUCUGCGGGCUUCCAUGCAAAAACGCUUACGUUGUCCCUUAGAAACCUGAUGAGCGCGUCUUCCUAUUUGGGGUCCAGGUUGGCCCCGAUGAGAGCCGUCUUUUCGGGGCUGCCGUCGACCAGUUCUACCUCCUUGUGCUCUUUGGACUUGGAGUUUUUCCUGAGAGUCUCCUGUUCGGGUAUUUAGAGCUGGUCGGGGAGAAGUUGUGUGGCUUGAGCUGUAGUUUCUGCCAUGCGAAUCGAGAGAUCGAUUGCCUCCGUGAUCUUGAAGCUUUCUCCUCGUAAGUGUAUGCGGUGUAGACGUUGCCUCUAACGGUUAAGACGCCCUUCUCUGUUGGCAUCUUGAGGACUAGGUAUGAGUAGUGAGGUACUGCCAUGAACUUGGUCAGCGACGGGUGGCCUAGAAUUGCGUGAUAAGUACCGUCAAAGUUGGCGACCACAAAGUUGACGAACUUUGUGCGAAAGUGGUCGGGUGUUCCAAACUGGACAGGCAGCGUUAUCUAUCUAAGGGGUACUGAACUUUGACCUAGCAGGACGCCCCAGAACUGAGCAUCAUACGGCUUUAGUUGCGCCGGAGUUAGCUUGAGAGCCGGCAGGCUAUUGCGGAAAAGAAUAUCGAUGGAGCUGCCCCCGUCGACAAGCACACGCUCGAAUCUGACGCUGUUGAUGCAAGGGUCUAGGAUUAGAGGAAAACGCCCUGGCUCUGGGAUUGCGGCCCACUAGUCCUGCCUGGUGAAAGAGAUCUCUCUGUGCGACCAGGGAGGGAAUUUUGGGUCAGCGAUCAGGCCGUCUGCGCUAUCCACGUUGAGGCAGGCUCUCUUCAGGAGCUUUCUUUCUCGUUUAGACUCUAUGGAAACUUUGCCUCCAAAGAUGGAGUGCACCACGUCGGUGGGACUGACAUACUGGUGUCGUGGGUCCCUAUCCUAUCGUCGUCUUCGUCUUCAUGACCGUGUGUGUCUUGUUUCCCGUUUUUCUUGAUGGAAUCCCCCUAAGCAGCCCGCUGUGUGUAGAUACUCUUGAGGACACUACAUUCUUCCAUCGUGUGAUUGGACUUGGGAUGGAGUUGGCAUGGUCCUUUUAGCGUCUUGUUGUAGUCCUCUUGGUAGUCUCGCCGUCCAUUGGGGCGCUUGACUGUGUUCACCUAGUGGUCGUUGUCACGAGGUCGCUUGCCUCUGAAAUCGUCGCGGUUGUCGCGUCGCCUGUCCCAUCCUUCUCGGUGGUCGCGGUUGUUACCGCGAUGGGGGUUCCGGUUGUCAAAGCGUCCACGACUGUCAUCUCGUCGUGGAGGCUGUCGGCGCCUCUUGCAUCUUCUCGGAUAAGUUUUUCUACGUCGUCGGCAUUAGCGUAGUUUUUGGCCGUGGCGAGGAGUUCAGCGACCGUGGCUGGUCUUUCGCGCAGCAGCUUGUUUCGCAGUGCUUCAUGGAAGCGUAGACCCUUGAUGAAGGCCGAUAUAGCCUCGUCAUGAGAAAUCUUUGGAAUCUUGAGGCGCAUAUCCGCGAAACGUCGGAUGUAAUCGCGCAAAGGUUCAUUUUUCCUGUCCCUUAUCCUCUCGAGAUCGUAUUUAUUUCCGGGCUGCUCGCAGGUAGCAAUUAAAUUGUCAAUGAAUGCCUGGCGCAAUUCCUCCCAAGAAUCAAAAGAGUCCUCGGGUAGGCCGAGGAGCCAUUGAUGACCAGCCUGGUCGAGGACUACUGGGAAGUAGUUUGCCAUGACGUGCUCGUUUCCCGCUGCUGAUCGGACCACGAUCUCGUAAAGAGUGAUCAAAUUUUCAGGGUUUUCCUUGCCGUCAUAUUUUUUUAAGCUUCUCAAGCUUAAAGUUGCGGGGCCAUACAACUUGGCAAAGGUGUGAAGAAAACUGCCUUAAGCCGGAAGGGCCAUGUGUUGCAUCGUACUCAAUGUGUCGCAGGUUUUCGUGUACCGCUCUUUCCGUAGUGCGCCUGUUGAUGCGGUCGCGGGCAUCCUUUGGAGGGAUGUUGUAUCAUAGAUCCCUGUCCUGGUUUACUUCCUGACCACGCCCGCGCCUCUGCUCGCGGUAACCGCCGGUGUCCUGACCAUGGUGGUCGCGUCCUACGUCCUUCCUGCGAUCGUUGGGGGAGCGGCUAUGAUGGCGCCCGCUGGGUCGAGGUGAAGUCCGGCUGCGAUGAGUCUGGUCGGAGGAGACCUCCGUGUAGGAGAUGGCUUGGACUCUUUUGAGAAAAGUGGCAGUCUGCCCCAUUGCGGCGAUUAGGUGUGCUCGUAUACUGGAUCAGAUACCCUGGUAUUCCGGGGUAUCGGGGAACUGGUCCAGGUUUGCCAUGGCGACAGCCACGUUAGCGCUUGGCGUCUUGUAGACUGGCUGGUUACCGACCAUGUCGAAAGCAUCGCUGAGGUUUUGUGGCCCAAGCUGCCGUUCCUCGUCCGCUCGCUGCUGAGCACGAUCGGCAUUGCGCUGCUUGCGAAGUUGCUUUUGCUCGUUGGUUUCGCCAUCGACAACUAGUUCGUCGUUGCUGACGUUAAAAAUCAGAUCUCCUCACCGGGGUGGGAAGACUGGAAAACGAGAAAAACCAGGAGGGUAUGGUGGUAGAUCUAGGUCGUAAUCUUCGUCCUCGGAGUGUAGAACCUCGGUAGGGACGGACCCUAUGCUGGAGUUCAUACUGGUAGCCUUAUCGUCUGGCAGGGCGUGGAUGGAUACCAUGUUGACGUAAUGGCGAGCUGCUCGGCUGCUCGGGUGCGACGAAAAACCUGCCUUGCUGAACAGAGAUCGUGUAUGCCGCGAGUACUGGUCGGCCGCGUUGUUCAGACCAUAAGGGGAAUUCUGGUCUGGGGAAGCUGUCUUGAGCUUGACAGAUCGUCCCGUUGGGGUCGACGUUAUUGUUACAGACGUCUCCAGCCGUUCGUGCGUGGUGACACGAGUUGGCCGGCAGAAGUCGAAAAAGUUUGAUGACGUCGCUUGAUCAGAUUCGCGUGAGAUGAAAUCCACCAGGUUGGAAGCUUCGAGAAGCCUGAGGUCGGCGCGAUCAAGGGCUUGGAGAAGAUCCGAGUUGUCGACCUUCUUUGCCCUGUAACAAGGGAGUGGAGGUCGGGUGCUCGGAGUUGGCGUGAUCAGAGUCAACGCCUCUGCCGUCCCAGAUUGGAUCUGGGCUUCUUUCGAAGUCGUGGUAGUGAGGCCGCCGCCAUGAGUUGUCCACGUGAUCUAGCCGACGGUGAACGUGAGGCCUUCAGCCACGGCCGCGGAAGCUAGAACAAUGACCAUCGUGUUCGUCGGGAGAGCUGUACGCACACCCCCUACCUGGCGCGCCACUGUCGACGAAAGCUAGUCGACAGUCUACCUUGGGGUAUACCUACGGUAGUAGUUUAUCGGUAGACGGUGCGCAAGCUAUGAACUCGAUGGUGACGCAAGACACAGACAAGGUUUUUAUCCAGGUUCGGCCGCCGUGUGGGCGUAAUACCUACGUCCUGCGUCUGAUUGUAUUGCUGUGGAUUGUGUUGAGUUGAGAUUCGAUGUCCUAGGGGGGUCUCUUGCCUCUCUUUAUAUAGUCCAGAGGGCAGGGUUACAAAUCUGGAAACUAAUCCUAGUCGGUUACAAUUGCCAUGGAUAGUACGAUAUCAAUUCCUAUUCUAACCUACUAAAAUCCGGCUUGAUCUCCACGUCUUGUUUCCUUGCGCAAAACUCCGAGCAGUUGGAUCAAACCUCAAACUGCCUUUGUGAUGGGCCAAGUCUCCUGGCCCAAGUCUAGCCGUAAGGGUAUAGGGGUUUAUACCCCCACACUCGGGCCCUCGGCAAAGAUUUUAUUAAAAAAAACUUCGCCGAGGGCCUCAUCUCUAGCCCUUGGCAAAGAAAUAUUCAGAAUUUUUCUAAAAAAAUCUUUGUCGAGGGUUAUUGGCAGGGCCCUCGACAAAAACACUACUACGGCAAAAAAAAUUACAAUAAUCAAAUGAAGCAGUUAGCAUAGUAUAAAAUUUAGAUCCUUUACAUAUCCAGUACAAAUAAAAUUCAUAGUUUGUGUAGUUCAGGAAACACAUUCUUUACAAAUAAAAUUCAGAUUUUCACUACUCUAGCUAGAUCCAUCCUACUAGUAUACGACGAACCAACAAAAGUAGCUGGAAAAUAACUUACACCAAAAGAUGACUAGUGCACUCUUCCACAAUCAGCUUUUGUGUUUGCUGACUGAUAUCCUAUAGAAUUGACAAAAAUAAUAUUUAGAAUAGGAACAUGGGACUGAUUUAGAUCACUUAAUGGAAACUAGCUAAGUGCAGGUAAUUAGGUAAGCAAUAUAAAUUUGACCUUUUACAAGAACAAAUGCAAACAAGGCAGUUCCUUGAUGGUGGUUUAUACACUAGUUUCAGAAACAAUGCUACUUUUUAUUCUUAUUCCUUAUUCCUUAUGUAUUAAAAUCAUCUUGAGGGUGAAUUCUGAUAGAAAACUAGCAUUUCCUAGCACAUGCAUUUCUAAAAAAAGAAGUGACAUAAACUUGAGAAAUUAAACAUGGACAGAAGUUAACAUAUACAAAAUGGAAAUAACACCGUACAUGUGAAAAUAUCUAGGCAAAAAUCAUCAGAUUCCUCAAUUUGUGAGUUCACACACGAUGAAUCAUUGCCCUACACAUAGUCUGUUAUGUAAACUUCAUAAGGCAAAACCACACAACACAAGUCACUAAACUAUAGUCAUGCAUAUUUCAUGUUCCAAACAACAUCACAAGGCAAAAAACUCACAAGUCGCAAAUAAAAAUGAAGAUACUAGAGUUCAUUACUGUCAAGGGUAUCAGUAAGGGUAUCCCAACUGAUGCCCAUAAUGAGGUUACCCGUACGCAGGUCGAGACCCUCAACUCGACGCUCUAGCCAGUCAUACGUACAAUCAUCGACAACCGCAGCCUCGAAGACGGAAAAGGCAUCGAGCGAAUCGAUCAUGGCUCGAGCGCCGCUACCGUCGAAUACGGAAAUAGGCUCGAGCGAACCAGGAGGCGUCGAGCGCAAGGACGCCGCCCGCCGCCUGACACGCGCACGGGAACCAGGGCAUUUAAUGCGCCUGUCGCAUUCUCACCUAACACGCCAGUCACGGGAAGCGUGAUAGGGAACAGGCAUCCGUCCCGUCAUUUUUUGCAGCCUUCCCCACCAAACGACCCAGAGCGUGUCAGGACACGGGAAGCAGGGAUGGAACGUCUAAUCAGGACCCCCUCGAGACAUCCAGGGUCAACGCUCUGAUCAGCGAAGCGCUACACGGCGGCCGACCCUCGACCAGAGCCAUUUCCUUCCAGGAAAGGGUUGGGUGUUGAACGGCAAUAAAGCAACCACUCGGACGGAUCCGCCGCUGUAUCGUACCGGCAUGCCACCAAUGAACCAGUCCAAAACGGCGCACAGAGCAGGAUUCCAGGGCACGCGUAAUCAUCAUCAAGCUACCAGGACGGGACGGCUCGAGACCACGCCGGUACGGAGGCCUCGAGUAGGUCCGCGCGCCAUGCCUCUAUCGACCCCUACUCUGACACCUAUACUUGUACCUUGGGCUUCUCCUUGGAACUAUAAAAGAGGAAGCCCGGGAGCGGACUCAGGGGGACAUAAAAUAUACGACACACGCAACACCACACCCAUACGCAGUAGAACUUCCAUACUCCAUACCACGCUUGUAUUCACCCCUGUACAAGCACUUAGGUGAAAAAUAAUACAAACUCUCUCCCCCCGCUGGACGUAGGGCCUUCUCUUGCCCGAACCAGGAUAAAUCCUUGUGUCUUUUUGCAUCACCAUCUAGGAAAGGGAAGCACGCAUAAAAAUUCACUCGUUGGUGUGACCCCCCGUGGGGAAAACACCGACAUUUGGCGCGCCAGGUAGGGGUCCUGCGUGUUUUUCAUCGAUUUCCCGUUCUUUCCCAGAUGGCCACUCUUUUUUCACCAAUUCCGCGCUCCACGGUGAUUUGGUUUGGGAGUCUCGAGUUCAUGUCCACUGGCUCCGGCUAUGACAUGAUCUUGCUCUCGAUCAAAGGGCCGGGAGGAGCCCGCGUUGCGCCAACCUGGAUGAGGGCCCCGAGACAUCCUCACCACCACGCCUCCCCGCCCAAGAAGAGGCGUGGACAGUGCCACCAUCGCCUUUCUGCCUUGCCACGACCAGCAGUCCGUGCCAGGCAGGAGACGGCACGAGGGCCGAUAGCCCCGUGCACCACGGGCACGACGGCUCAGCGCCAUAAGGAUCACACGACGAUGGGAGGUGACGCGCCGCGCGCGCUCUCCCCCACCGCCAGGCUACUCCCACAUGGGCUGUUCGCCUCAAGAGGAGCCUUGCCGUUCGACCUGGACAAUGCCGCAGUGUCACUUUCCAGGGCGAUAUGCUAUAACACCCCAAAAUUUCAAUGUUGGGUUGUUAUUAGAAAAUACUAAAUAAAAUGAAGGUUUUUAAUAUAUGGAUAAAAAUUUGCCAAUAAUUGUUUAGAUUUUCAUAUACGGUUAUCAAAGAAAAAUAGUGCUUUUUAAAUAUUGUGGAAUUAAUUAGACGAGCUUAGUUGAUGUGAAGCUUUUUUGUUGCUUGAGUUGGUUGUUUUUGUAUGUGCUAAGUUACAAAAAUACGUUUAGACAUUGAUAAAUCCUUCCUAGAAAUUUUCUAGACUUUUUCGGGCUUUUUUUUCUAUUUUUCCUAGAACAAAAACUAUUUUUUUAGAUGCUCUAAAAUUCUUUUUUAUAGACACCAAAAACUUUAUUUGGAUUGAUCAACUCUCAAUAAAUCUCUAAAAGUUUUCCUUUAAUUUUUAGAAUUUUGGAAAUAUUUUUCAGGAAUUUAAAAUGAUUUCAGCUUUUUCUAGAAUUGUUUUAGAACUGAAAAUAAUUUAUUUAAAAUCCCGAAAUUAAGAAAUUCUAAAACUUUUCCAAACCCUAGACCUAUAUAUAUGCCGGCGUAGCCCUCGACGCGCUGAUUUCAGAAGUACGACCCUUUUUCCGAGCCGCCGCUCGUAGCUCCGUAGAUCCAUCACCGAAGUUUCGGAUCUCGUUUCCGGCGAACUUUUCCGGUGAAAGUUCGGCGAGCUUUUCCGGCCAACUCCGGCGUCCUCUGCAGAAACCGUUACCACUCCGAGGUUCGUCUCGAUCUCCUCUACACCGGCACGCCCUUAUUUUCGCGAUUCCGUGUUCGUUCAUCGUUUCCCUAAUCUAUUCUUCUCUUUUCCGGCGAGGUCAUCCAUGGACGAGCUCGUUCAUCAUCUCCAUCGGCCGGCCACGUUACCCUUCAGGCCAGCGGCGCCAAGCCUCGUGCCUCCUCUCUGCUAGCCACCUCCCCGCGCAACCUACGUCGCCUGGCCCUACGCGUGGCUGCAGGCCAAGGGCAGCAACACGCUGUGCUCACGCACCGGCCGUGCGUGGCCUAGCACCGCGGGCGAGGGCGCGUGGCCCAGCUUGGGCGCGUGCGAGCCCUCCAUCUGGCCGGACAGCAGGCCAAGGCCCCACGCCCGAGGCCUCUGUGCCCCUGCACAAGCGCCUCGACGAGAGCAGCAGCGGACAGCCAUAGAUGCAUACGUGAACACGGUGAACAAAGGUAGAAGACGACUUAAUUACAAGUUUGCCACUGGUCAUUAAUCCUUCGCUAUUUAAUCGUUCUAACUCCGUUUCAAUUGCGUUAGUUUCGUAACGUCGCGCUCUAUGCAGUAGUGCUAACUUUUAUUAUGUCAUAUAUUUUUAUAUAUAUUUAGUUGAAUAUUAGAUUAAUUAAUAUAUGUACUUAAUUUUAUAAUUAAAAGCACUAUACAGUUAAAAUCAUGUUUUCUAUUGUUUUGUGAUCAUGGCAACGAAAAUGACUUGUUAGCGAUACUGUUUUCCAUGUCCUAUGUUUAUAAAUAUAAUUAGUUUAAUUAAUAUUUAUUGAGUGCCAUUUUUUAAUUAUUAAAAAAACAAUUUAGGUUUACACUUCGGUAUUUUUUUAUAAUCUACUAUUAAUUUGAUUAAUGUUAACUUAAAUAUUUAUUAAUUAUAAUUCUUUUAGUUAGACAUAAAGUAUAUAAUUUGUUUAAUAUUUAUUUAAUGUCUUUUUGAUUAAAAAUAACUUAUGUUUCUAAUUUAGAUCUUUUAUAAAUAAAUAAAUGAUAACAUUAUUAAUAUCAACUUAAAUGAUUCUUUAUUAAUUAUAACUUGUUUAGUAUAAAUGGAAGCAUGUUAGGAUUUGAUUAGUUGCUCUCACUUGCUUUAUGUUUCUAAAAUUACAAAGACGUAAAGGCUUAAAUGAUAUAUAAUCAUCUACAAUUAAAAUAUAACUAAAGUUUAACUCUGGUUUUUAUAAUUCAACAUAAUUUGAUUAAUGAUUGCACAUAUUUGUUUCUAAAUAAAAUUAACAUAUGAAAAUAUUGACCUUUUUAUAAUUACUUGUCAACUUAAAUGUGUAUUUAUCAAUUAUUAAUUUGCCUUGUUCAAAUAUGAUCAUAUAAAGUUGUUCUAAAUGAAUUUAAUUAGUAGUUAUUCAAUGUCUUUUUGAAUUUGAAGUAGUUUAGGUUUAUCUCCGAUCUUUCAUAAAUCAUAUUAAUUAUAUAAUAUCAACAUAAAUGCCUUGUUAGUUAUGACUUGCUCCGUUUAACUUUGAAAAUAAAUAGUGAUUCUAAUUAAGUUGCUAUCACUCGUUUUAUAUUCUCUAAGCUAUGAAUGCUAAAAUAGUUUAAAUAAUUUCUAUAAUUAUUUAUAAAUAGAGUAUGACUAGAACUAUACUUCAUCUUUUUAUAAUUAUAAUUUGUUUAAUUCCACUUUUUGAGUUGUUUCUCUAAAAAGUCUAUCACCUCUCUUCAUCAAAUAAAAUAGAUCAAGCGAAUAGUUGGUCUUCUUCGUUGCGCUUCGAACCUCGAAAGUCGUGUCCGAUAAACUAUAGCUCCGUUCUUAAACGUUCUUGGGUUGUCUCGAUCAUAGCAAUAAGUCGUGUCGUUAGAGCGCUCUUUCUAAGCUUCUCUUUUUAUUGUCGUUUGUUCUUAGUCGUGAUUGUUGUUUGUCUGUUUGUGUCGCUUGGUUGCUACGAGCAGAAGAAGCGUGUUCGUUAGCGCCGAAGACCAGGAGCUGAGGACCGACAGUCGAAGCAGAAGUUGGAGAUUAGGAGAAAGAAGCUAAAGAAUUCUGAGCAGUUAUACACUGGAAAUAAAGGCAAGUGCAGACACCGUUUGAUCAUUUUGAACCUACUCAUUAAUGUCAUUUACUUUUUAUGCAUGUGUCCAAUGAAUGCAAACCCUAAGGACAUGACUAGCUCUACUUAUUAUUCCUUGUUUACCUGGGGUUAUGUAUAUGGGUAGACUAGGCCAUAUUAGUUUUUCUUAGCUGCUCUACUCAUCCUAUACACAUGUUUAAACAAGAAUUACUCUCUACUCAACUUGAUGCUUAAAUUGUGCUGAAUCUUUGGUCACUGCGGUGAUGGUGAUGUUGGAUGCUUAUGAGCAUCGUGAUGAUGGUGGUGACAGGGGGAGCGGGUACCGUUGGUGGUCCGGUUUGCCGGGCGUACCCGUCUCUGCUCUCCGUAAGGACUUAGUCAGGGAGCGGCCCCCUGGGACUUACAGUGCAGCUCCAAGCUAUAUGGGCUCUGGCUUGACUAAUUAUCAGGACCUCCGCUGGUAGGGUGUUACUUUCCGGGUAGGCGUAAGGAAUGUAGCUUGGGUAUUCAUAUUAAGAGGUCGGUCAGUUCGGGGCCCCAUUGCUAUGGACACGGUUGCCGCGCGCCCCGGCAAAAACUUACGAGUGGCAUCCUAUUAGUUGGACCCUGUGAAAGGUCUCGUAGUGAAACCCUGCCUGCUCACCUUGGUAGUGUUUUGGGGAGUCGCGACCCCGGGCAAAUGGGAAUCACGACUUGGAGUGAACGUGCACACCUCUGGAGAGUGUAAAACUGAUAUAUCAGCCGUGCUCACGGUCACGAGCGGCCCAGACCCUCACUUGAUGAGCAAAUUGGAUUCACUGGAUACUUGGAGAUGGAACUUGGUGAGGUUGCUACCUCGUGUUUUGGCGGAAUGGCUAUUCCGUGUUGGUAGGAUUGCUAUCCUGUGUUAAUAAUUGGGGUUAAUCCCUAGGCUUAUAUAUUAAUUAGGAUAGUCCUUUAAAAGAUGCUAAUUACUACUUACACUAAUUAAGGGUUGGGUUUAUGCUACUCAUAAUUAGUAAUAGGUUGUUCUUAUAAUAGUCAUAAUUAAAAGUGAUCAACUAAAAUGCUACCGCAGUCAAACCAAGUCAGCUUUACCUUGUUUUAAGCCUUGCAUGUCAUUACUUUCCGUCUGUGCUUGCUGAGUUCGACAUGAACUCACCCUUGCUAUUUCCUCCACACCCCCAGUGUGUAGUAAAGUGCUGCUCAGAAGAAGGAUAAAGAUGUCAUGGAGUUUUCUAGAAGCUUAUGAGAAGUGCUUGGCGUACGGAGCCCCCAGUCAACCGUCCCUGAGAAGAAUGGAGCCUAAGAAGUUCUAGCUACUGUUUCCGCGUACUCUGAUGUUUUGUAAGUGUUAAUAUAAAUAUGUUUUCCGCUAUAAAUAACAUUGUUUCUAAUAUUUCUAUUCUUUGUUGUAUGUGUGGACUUCCUGGGCACACAUAUGACAACUCUGGUCUUAUUUUAAAAGCCAGGGUGUGACAUAUGCCCAAACGCUCAGACAUACGUGGAGAGACCAAUGGUCCUCCCACACGGCCCUGGAGCGCAGCGACCGACGUCUGAGCUUCUGGACUUGUCCCAGGUACGAGGCCUCCGCCGCUUAGGCCCUGGGCGGUACACGAUUACCUCCCUCAGACAGCGGCUGCUGGAGGAAAGACGCGGAUGUUUCUACGCCGCCGAGCCGGACUCCGGCUCGGAAUCCGACAGCCACUACAAAAGGCAAAAGGGGGAUGUUUCUACGUAGCGGAUGUUUCGCGGUAUGGGGUCUCGACUUAGUGGGGCCUCUACAAAAGGCAAAAGGGGGGUACACUCACUUGCUGGUGGCCAUCGACAAGUUCUCCAAAUGGAUCGAGGCUCGACCCAUCACCAACAUCCGCUCCGAGCAGGUCGUCCUUUUCUUCACCGACAUCAUCCACCGGUUUGGGAUUCCCAACGUCAUCAUCACCGACAACGGCACUCGGUUCACAGGCAAAAAGUUCCUGGACUUCUGCGAUCAGCAUCACAUCCGUGUGAACUGGUCUGCAGUUGCCCACCCUCAAACUAACGGCCAGGUCGAGCGUGCCAACGGCAUGAUUUUGCAGGGGCUCAAACCAAGAAUUUACAAUCGCUUGAAGAAAUUCGGCAAGAAAUGGGUUGAGGAGCUUUCCUCAGUCCUAUGGAGCUUAAGGACUACGCCAAGCAGGGCCACAAAAUAUACCCCAUUCUUCAUGGUCUAUGGCUCUGAGGCAGUGCUCCCGACAGAUCUCGAGUAUGGGUCCCCUCGACUCAAAGCAUACAACGACCAAUCAAAUAAAGAGACUCAAGAGAACGCGAUCGACCAGCUCGAGGAAGCUCGAGACAUGGCCCUCCUCAACUCCGCCAGAUACCAGCAGAAGCUCCGACGCUACCACGACAAGCACGUGCGCAAGAGGGACCUGAACAUGGGCGACCUCGUCCUACGACGGCGGCAAAGCAAUCAAGGACGCCACAAGCUGACUCCACCUUGGGAAGGCCCAUAUGUGGUGGCCGAGGUCUUGAAACCGGGAACAUACAAGCUCGCAGACGAAAAGGGGGCGAUCUUCACCAACGCGUGGAACAUCGAACUGCUACGUCGAUUCUACCCCUAGAAUUUCAAAGCUUUAUGUUCCCACGUACAUUCUGUACCGAGGUUUUGUAAAUGAAUGCAUGAAUAAAUAAAGUCUUUCCCUCGAGCAAUUUACUUUUUCACGAGUCAAAAUCUCGACGAUUAGAAGGGGGUACCGACUAUGACCUAUCAUAGUCGAUACCCCCUCGGGGGCUAGCACUGGGGCGACCCCCCCCCCAGGGUCGAAAAAACCAAGUAAUCCUUUCGUUCCCAUCAGUAAUCUCGUGCGGUUGAGUAGUAAAGGUACCUCGAACCCCUUAAGGGCCAAGAAACGAUGAGCCUGAGGUCUCCUACGCCCCCGGGCUACGGAAACUCUACUCUCCUCCUCACCCUUAAGGCAAUCGAGACCGCCUUAAACAAAAGACCAAGCGAGAAAAAACAAACAUAGGCGCAAAAAGAAAUAAAGGAGCCUCGAGUGGAAAGACAGAUAAACAUUUAAAAGACAUCAUACUACUUAAAGAUAGAGUAGCAAAGUACUAUUCAAAGGAGCCUAGGCACCCAGAGCAGGCUCGCAGGCCUCAGUCCGCAUCACGGUCCUCACCACCCUCACCUGCGCCCGAGCUAGUCUUAGGAGGCAGUACCUCUGGCUCGAACAGCCUAGCCAACCUCUCUCCAGGAACCUCUGCAUCGUCGAUCAAGGCGUGGAGCCUCUCUUCGUUCUCCGCGUCAGUCUUGGAGAUGUCGGUGACGAAGCCGUGGGACACCACCUCCAUGUCGUAGGAGAAGCCUGAGCAGACAACGGCCAUUGCCCGCUUCACCCCGAUGUGGAGAGCGUCCCACACCCGAUCCCUCAGCGUCGCGCCUAAGUAGCACAGCUGAUCGACCAGCGCGUCGCCUCGAGCUUCCUCCUUCGACUCGUCCAUGGGCUCGACCUCCCAAGAGGUCGAGAGAUCGCUUAUCGCCGUCCGCAGUCGACGGUUCAAAGCAACCUCACCCUCGAGCUGGGCUUUGGCAUUGCGAGCCUCGACUUGGGCGGCUAAGAGCUCGUCUUUAAGCCCUGUGAAUGCCAACGCAAAAAGCUUCAGAUAAAACCAAGCACAUCUCGAAAUGAAAACCCGACAAUAGAAACGUACCGCGGACACUCUCCUCUAGAGCUGUGUUCUCGCCAACUAAUUUGGUGUUGGCCCUCUCGACCUCUCUGUUAGAGCGCGCCAGCUCAGUGUUGGCAACACGCAGAUCUUCGAUCGCCUUGCCAGCCUGAGCAAUGGCUCCAUUCUUCUCCAGCAGCUCUCCCUUCAGACGAUCGAUGUCGUUGGAGAGGCUGCGGGAUUGAGCCCGCUCCGCCUCGAGGUCUUCGAGGGCCUUCUUCUUGGCUUCUUCCGCGGCGCUCCGGGCGAUCUCGCUGUUCACAUACUCCACCUUCAUCCUCUGGAAGGUUUCUCGAAGGGAGUCUAGGUCAGUCUUGAGGAGGCCCUUCUCCUUGUCCAGAUCAGCAAUGACGUUCUUGUAGGACAAGGCCUCCUCCCGGGCUUUGGACGCAGCCUCCUCGACCGUCAGAGCCCGCUCCCUCAGCAGCACGGCCUCUUCCACGGCCUUCUUUGAGGCCUUUCGAGCCUCAGCCAGGGCAACCUCCCUCUCCUUCUUCUCCUCCUCGAGCGCCAAGAGCUCCUUAUAAGCCUUGAGUAGUUUCUCCUGCGACUCCAGGAGUUGGUCCUUGAGAAUGGGGAGCUGCUCCCAGCCGCCUCUCGUGGCAUGGAUGAAGCUCGAUUUGAUACGGGAGGUCUCUUUUAGGUCCUGCGAGCUGGUGGUCAAGCAGUUAGAACACAAAACCAAAAGCUCUAUAAGGAUUAAGGACCAAAAAACACUUACGAAGUAAGCCGGCCUGAGCCCGUUAUUGACGACGUUCGACAGGAGCCCCACCACGUGCUUCAUCCAGAGGCGGAACUCCUCAACGUGCUCCCACUUCUCAGCCUCCUUCCGAUUGUCCAGGAAGAUGUUGGGCUCAGACGGAUCGGUGGAAGCCUGGAUGCGGAUUCGAUCGGGGCACCAGUUCUCCAUUUCCUGGUCAGCCCGCGCCUUGACGCCGCGAAUGAGGUCCUCGACGGUCUCGAGGGACCCCCCAUGGCGCAGGAAAAAGUCGACGAGGGAGGGGAACCGCCCGUCGUCGUCCACCGUCUUCCAGGUGCUCGUUUCACUGCUUCCGCCUCUGCCCGACGUCCCAGCCUCGUCUUCCUCGGUGGGAAUACGGUCCUCCCACGCCCGACGCUCCCGGAGGAAUCCCAGGGCGAUUCCGUCCAUACCGUAGAUCGUCCUCUUGAUCUUGGAAUCAGAGUCGAUAGGGGUGCGCAUCAUGCAGGCGAGCGCUACCACACUGUCCGCCCGCCCCGACUCUGCUGGGAUCGCGGCGGGCGCCCCUGGACGGAGCCACGCUGGGGUUGGAGGGCCGAAAACCGGCAGACCCUCUUCCUGGUCCCCGGGCUCUUGCGGCGCCGGUGGUACUGGUUGGGGCGGACUGUGAGGAGGAGGCUCGAGUGGUUCCUCCAACGGCUGGUGCCCCUGCUGCUGCUGCUGCUGCUGCUCCUCGAGCUCCUGCGGCUCUUGUUGGCGGUCCUGCUCCUGUAGCUGCCGUCGCGUCUCCUGCUCGCGCUCCUCCUCUUCUUUCUUCUUCUGCUCCUCGAUGGAGCGAAGCCCGGCAGGCCAGGGCGUCUGUCUCGCGACGAGAGAAGUCUGGGCCCCCUCGUCCAUAGGAUUGGCAUCCCUCGAGGUCCCGUCGGCGCCAGAUCCAUCACUAAUGGUAAUGGGAUCCCCCUCGACCCCCGAUUGGGGAGGCUCGGGGGCUCCCUCCUGCCCUUGGGGCCAAGGCGCCUCGGUUUGUUUUGGCAACGACGAGGCAGGCUCACCCGCCAGGGGACGGGGUGGGGCGCUCUCGGUGCCGGUCGGCGGUUGAAGGUCGGAGGAGCCUGUAAAACGAAAAACAAAGGUCAGUCACUAUGAUGACCAACGUAAGAACAACACAAAUCCCAUGAAUAAGCUACUGACCUGGCUCCUUGGAGGCUGCUCCCACCUUGAGCCUCUUCGCCAUCGAAGGCUGGGCCUGCUCAAGCGUCCGCUUCAAUCUGAGGAAAGAGGAACGAGUGUAAAAAAAGACCGUUGUACGAGAAAACGCGAAGAAUCAGGAAAAUAAGAACUUCAGCGUCAAAGGACUUACCCCACAGGGAGAACGGCUCGCCUGCCGGUACCUCGACCGGUGGGCCUCGAGCCACCACGCGUCAAGGCUCCAAGACCCUCGAGGACAGGUGCUAGUCUUGGCCCAGCGUCUCCCGCCGGGCGAGCACCAGGACUGGCGCUCCUGCGGCCGGCCUGUCCCUUCUCGGAGGCCGCGGCGCGACCGCGCGUCAACGGCCCCGUUGCCUGGGGCUUAGCCCGGCCACCCAUCUUGGGCGCGGGGGGAGGUUGAUGGUGCGGGACGGCCCGACUUAGCGCAGGCGCGGGAGGGGUGACGGCGCGGGAGCGAUGAGAUCCGCUUGGGCCCUCUUUAGGCGCUCCUGUCCGCGGGGCGUCAACGUCGCCUCGAGGCGGACCCUCGAGGAUCCGGUCAAGGCGUGACGCCAUCCCCUCGGAGUCAUCGCUGUCGUCAUCGCCGUCUCCGCCGUCGUCCUCACUGUGGGAUUCUUCCUCAGGCUCCCCCCUUUGCCUGGACUUAGCUCGACGCGCCUCUAACGCUUGGCGGUCGAGAUUCUUCUUCUUGUCCUCCUUCCUCUUCGAGUCCUUGGCAGUCUUUUGUUUCACGGCGGACCGGCGCCGUUUGUCACGAUCGACCUCAUCCUCUUUUACAGGAGGCCUCGAGGACCGAACAUCGAUUUGUCCCUGCCAGAACAAAAGCAAGUUUAAAGAGGGUUUGAAAGAAGUCAAGAAUCAGAGCCAUGUACAAGAAAGGAACGUACCAGGUCAAUCGAGCCCGCAUCAGGCCUCAUGGGGAAGCCGUUGACGUGCUCCGACUUGAACUCGCCGGCAAUGGCCACCCUAACCCGGGCCGCGGCUUCAUCGUCCGCCAGGGACUCGUUCGACAUCCGGCACGCCUCGAGGUCCCGGGACGAAACACCGGGUCCCAUCUCAUCCAUCCUCAGCGGCCGAGACAUCAGCGGGAGAACCCUUCGACGAUGGACGGCCGAGAGGACGAGAGCGGCGGACAGGCCCUCCAAGCGUAGCUUCUUCGAGGCAUCGAGGAGGGGGUCAAGCCGCGACUGAUGGGCUUGGACGACGCCAUAUGCCCAGUCCGCCGGACGCUCUGUGAUCAGGCGACCGGUGUAGGCGGCUAGGAGAUCGUCGUCGUUCCGCAGAUAGAACCACUCGGAGUCCCAGCCGGCGUGAUUCAUCGACAAUCCCACCGGGAUGUACUCGCGCGGCCUCUUCGUCUUCCCCGUCUUCAGCACGAGGUUGAGGCAUCCCGCCCGCACAGGCUUCCUCACGCCAGUUGUCCCGGAGGGGGCGUUGAAGAGCUCGCCCCUGUAGAGGUGGAGCCACAGCUCCCAGUGGGGCAUCAUCCCCAAAUAGCCCUCACACACCGCGGCGAAGACCGCCGCAACGGUGAUGGCGUUUGGGGAGAAAUGCUGAAGCUCCACCCCGUAAUAGUGGCAGAGCGCCCGCAUGAAGCGGCUCGGAGGAGCGCCCAGGCCGUGUCGGUGGAACUUGGCGAACGAAACCACGUAGCCCUUGGGCGGCCUGGGCUCUCGGUGCUCCGCCGCCGGUGCGAUCCACUUCGGCGAUGACAGCGAUGUGCGGUGGCGCAGGAGUCCCUCCCUCUCGAGCUCCAGCAACCGGCGCUCCGUCAUCGACGACGGGCGCCAGUCGUCGGCGGCGAUGAGUCUCACAGGCAUCUUGGGCGAACAGAAGGCAGUUUCGCUGCCACUCGAGGGUACGUGCGCGUGAGAUGACGAGGGAGCUGAGGCGAGGGAGCAAAGGCAAGAAGGCGGAAGGCGGAAGGAAGAACGCCGGCAACGCCAUGAGAUAUUUAUAGACAGCAACCCACCAAUGGACAGAUCCGAUAAAUGAGGUAACUCCCCCCAUAAAUGCGCCGCCUAACGGUCCUUUUCCUCCUCACAGACGGGGCGCUCCGAAUUCUACACCGGUACAGUGCCGCAACGGCUCCCGCCUGAAAAGGCGUGCCCAACGGGCAAAAAGGCGAACUGCCGCGGUCUCUUCCUUCCCUUGUAAGCCAAGGAACGCACCCCUGAAAGCCUCGAGAGGUCGCAGGCUGACCCGCCGAAAGGGUUCGACAGCCGAUCUCGAGCACCAGAGUCAGGGAUCCCCAGCGAGCGGUCGAAAAUCGAGGCCCGCCUCGAAGACUCGCUUGAGAUGUCCAAGGUAGGGUCGAGACAGUCGAGAGGAAUCCCCCUGACGGGAGGCAUCGAGCCACUGGACUCUAUCGAACGAGACCAGCAUCCCCGACCACGUCGACCCCGCUUUAUGAGAACGCCUCCGGGCUGCAGCUGACCCCCUCGAAAGGGGCACAGGUUCUCACUUGGACUGUCCGUUAGGAGCUCAAUUUGGGGUGGAUGACGCUCGCUCUAUCGAGAGUAUGUCGAAACCCCCACGCGAAACAAGCCAAUCAGAACCUUCCACCACUGGUGUCGACAGCGUUUCUGCGAGUUAGGCGACACAACCCUCGAAGGAGUCAAAAACUCCUCCAAGGGCUCGGGGGCUACCCCCGCGGGGUCGCUCGCGCGCCCCCACGAAAAUUCGACCGCGAAAUAAAGCCUCCACUCGAGCGCCAGCGCUCAAAUCGAGACUCGGGGGCUACUGUCGAGGGUAUCAGUAAGGGGUAUCCCAACUGAUGCCCAUAAUGAGGUUACCCGUACGCAGGUCGAGACCCUCAACUCGACGCUCUAGCCAGUCAUACGUACAGUCAUCGACAACCGCAGCCUCGAAGACGGAAAAGGCGUCGAGCGAAUCGAUCAGGGCUCGAGCGCCGCUACCAUGGAAUACGGAAAUAGGCUCGAGCGAACCAGGAGGCGUCGAGCGCAAGGACGCCGUCCGCCGCCUGACGCACGCACGGGAACCAGGGCAUUUAAUGCGCCUAUUGCAUUCUCACCUAACACGCCAGUCACGGGAAGCGUGAUAGAGAACAGGCAUCCGUCCCGUCAUUCUUUUUGCAGCCUUCCCCACCAAACGACCCAGAGCGUGUCAGGACACGGGAAGCAGGGAUGGAACGUCUAAUCAGGACCCCCUCGGGACAUCCAGGGUCAACACUCUGAUCAGCGAAGCGCUACACGGCGGCCGACCCUCGACCAGACCCAUUUCCUUCCAGGGAAAGGGUUGGGUGUCGAACGGCAAUAAAGCAACCACUCCGACGGAUCCGCCGCUGUAUCGUACCGGCAUGCCACCAAUGAACCAGUCCAAGACGGCGCGCAGAGCAGGAUUCCAGGGCACGCGUAAUCAUCAUCAAGCUACCAGGACGGGACGGCUCGAGACCACGCCGGUACGGAGGCCUCGAGUAGGUCCGCGCGCCAUGCCUCUAUCGACCCCUACUCUGACACCUAUACUUGUACCUUGGGCUUCUCCUUGGAACUAUAAAAGGGGAAGCUCGGGAGCGGACUUAGGGGGACAUAAAAUAUACGACACACGCAACACCACACCCAUACACAGUAGAACUUCCAUACUCCAUACCACGCUUGUAUUCACCCCUGUACAAGCACUUAGGUGCAAAAUAAUACAAACUCUCUCCCCCCGCUGGACGUAGGGCCUUCUCUUGCCCGAACUAGGAUAAAUCCUUGUGUCUUUUUGCAUCACCAUCUGGGAAAGGGAAGCACGCAUACAAAUUUACUCGUUGGUGUGACCCCCCGUGGGGAAAACACCGACAAUUACUUCUUGCACAAUAUGCAUCUAUUGAUUGCAUCGAUCAAUGAACAAUAGGAAAUGGAGCAGCACACAUUUUCCUAAUUCCAAGCUACCAUAUACAGAAGUAGUGAAGUAUGCACAAGCUGUUUGUAGUCCUGUGUAAAAGGUAAGCUAAAUAGAGUUAGUUUCUCCUAUUAGUCUCAUCUAAACUACAAUAUUUAAUAGGAGCAUGUGCUGUUUAACCAAAGUAACUACAACAAGAUGAUAUAUUUUAGUUAACGAUUGGCAAUGUGUCAUUACUCAAAUUCAGUCAAUGGUGCUGUUGGCACAUGGCAAGAGUCGGCCUGCACAAGCUGAAUGUGGGAGGAGGUGGGAAAAGGGUCGGCCACACGUGCUGGCCAACGGGAGAGAGGAGAUUGAGAGAGAGCUGGGCCGCGCAAGAGGGAAGAAUGGGCUCUGGCCUAGGAGAAAGGGGACGAGAGUUGGGCACUUGGGCCAAAGGGAGAGGGGGAGGGUUUGUGCUUUUUGUUUUAUAUUUUUUUUCCAAAUUUUCAAAGCCAUUUGAAAACUAUUUUAAAAUCAACUUGAAUUCAUUUUGAAUUUUUAGAUAGAAUCACUCACCACAAUAAAAUAGUUGCACAAGCAUGAAUGCACAAACAAGUUGCUAAGUCCUUUGAUAAAUUUUAUUUUAACAAAAAAUAUUAUUUCUCUAUGUUUCAUGAGCACAUAAAUACAAAAUUAAAUAAAAUUCUCCUAUUUUGAAAACUUGCAAAAUUUAGGGUGUUACAGUAAACCAUUGGAGAAGAAGCAAUGACCAUUGGGGAGGACACAGAAGGGUAUAAAUACCCCUGUUCUCGAAUGGUAACUUAAGUGCGACACUAAGGAAUGGUUGAGCUGCCUGUCUUGGUGGUGGUGUGACGAUGUUUUGUAUAAGAUAUGAGCACUUGGUCACAUGAUUUUAACUAGAUGUUGUUUCCACCUUGAUAGUACGACUUUCCUAUACUCAAUUUCAAAAUACGAAAUGGAAUUUAAACCUGCUUUGAGUAGAAUGCCAUCCUUGAAAGUAAUAAUUUGGGGGAUCCUUCUUUCCAUUAUCCAAUUUCAAAGUUUCACUGCUUGUCAUCUUAGUAAAGCUCACUAGUUACCUAAUUUGGUGGCUAUCAACACCAAAACCCACAUUAGGUCUUGAUUGCACUUACAAUAAUCUAAAAUCUUUCUACAGAGCCAUGUCUAUGGUUUGGUUUCAGCAACUUGCUUGGUUAGGAUGAAUGGAAACAUGAGCAUGCAUAAUUUAUGAAAUGAAUUGUUGCCAGCAAUGUGUUGGGGGAAUAGAGUGUUCAACAACACUUAAAACUUGGCAACCACUUUUUAGGAAUACUCAUAUAUGGAAAAUAUGUGUCCUUUGCAAAAAAGUGUUUACAAAACCAAAUCCUUGCAUGUGUCAAAAAGAUAGCUUUAUGCAAAUAAAAUCAAACUUAUCCUUGAUUUUAUCCAUGUGUAUGUAUUUAUAGGUUUAUACCCCGCUCCAUAGGGUAAGGCUAGAUUUGUUGAGUACUUUAAUUUGUACUCAUCCUUGCUUUCAUGUAUAGAGGAGGAUUCAAACUUCCCCUUAAGGAGCAUUCAAUUAAGGUCAUGUCUAACCAACUAGCCUAUGACUUGGGCUUACCAGAUUUGUUGGUCCAUCAUUAUGUUGUAGUUACUUUCAUCUUAGAGUGGAUUGAACUUCCACUUCCAUCUGAACUACUGUAAUGAAACUAUAUGAAUGUAACAAUGUUGCAAAUGAUAACCGGAGGUAUUUUAGUCUUACUAAGUAUAAUAUGUACUCAAGGUUAUCCCUACAUGUUGCAAAUGAAGAUCCAAGUCAAGGAGCCACGACUCUAUAGCAAGUCAAAUGUCGUCUCGAGUAAUCAGACUCUUCUCACUUAGCUACACUGUUAUGUGUGCUUGGGAGACUACUAGUGGGAGAAAUGGUGGCCAAUUGAUAGUUUAUUUGUGUUCUUGCCGAAUCUAUUGUUGUCUACGUCCCUUAAUCUAUUCCUUGAAUCACUUUUGGUUUUGUACAUGACAUUUGUUUGAACCAUAGUGUAACAAUGAAACUUGUUUCUCGUUGUAUAUAUAUAGUCUCAUUGUUCCACUGUAAACCCUUAUGUAAACUCAGUCAUAAAGACUCAUGAAUGUGUUCCUAGGAGUGGAAAUGACAUGGAUGUUUGAGGUCUUCCCAUGGGGUGGUCUGACGGACUACAAGGCUUGACCUAGGUUAACCAUGUGUAAGUGUUGUGGUCUGUGGACAUACCUAUCAACGUUAAACAAGACAAUUCUACCAUAGAUUCCCAACAAUUUAACAAAUCAGCUAUCCAAUAUCUCUCAUCAUCCUUAGGUCUAAGCACAUAUACAUCACUUCUAAUGUAAUCUAUUCUCAUUCUUACAUGAGUUCAUAGUAGAAACGUAAAAGCUUAACGUUUUUCAUGUUCUUAUCCUCCAUGACUAGGAAGACAAUAGUAUCAUGUGCAUAAUGUAAGACACCAACUACUAUGCAAACACUUAUCACCACCAACUCUAAACCAUUUUGGAAUCUGGAGUGGACAAGUUGAUGAUAAAUGGUAUCACUGUUGAUAGUGAUAGGUGGGUCAUCAACACUACUAGUUUUAGCCACAAUCUGACAAUGAUCCUAAAGAAAAGGAAAAUGUAUGUUUCUAGGAUUUGAGUAUAUGCUACAAAAUUUGACAUUUGAUGCUAUUCUUUUACUUCAUAUUUAUAAAGCUUGUAAUAUAUAUUUUACAAUCUAGACGAUCUCAAAUGAAAAGUUGUUAACUACAAUGCUGUCAUCGAAUACAACUCUGACAUAGAUCUUGUCUCCAGUGAAGAAGUUGAUGUGUAUGAUAAUUUAUAUCAAAUAUUUGGGUAUCCAAACUAUCUCAAAUGAAAAGUGCUAACUAUAAAGAUUUAGAUCAAACUGAACCCUAUAAUGUUGAUAAGAAGUUUUUUCUUAAUCUCACAACAUAUAAAAAAUUAUAACUUUUUUUGUCAUGCGCACCGAUGACUUUUCACUAGAAGACAUAGUCAUGAACUGAUAGUGAUAUGUCAUUGCUAGUUGUAGAUGAUAACUAAACCAACUUAUCACCACCGGUUGUAGCCACAACUUAGCAAGGAUACACUAUCACUACUGGUUGCAAAGCAACCGAGAGUAAUACUGAAGGCAGUGAUAUUUAUUUUUAGUAGUGAAUUGCAUUUCUUCAUGGCACCACUCUCAAUAUAGCUAAUAGGGCAUCCAUACCAAGUUAUAUUGCAGGGGUUAAGGGUCACCCUAUAUAUCUAAGAACCAUGUAAUUUAUAAAGAACUCACCUCUUUCACCACUCAAUAUUCAAAAUCCAUUUGCUGCAAAAACCUUUCCUUAUUAUUGACACCUCUUCAAGAAAAGUCCCACAAACCUUGUCAUAUAUAUGAUUUUUUGAAGUCAAAUGGAACAAUAAUGCUAGGGUUUUGGGAAGACCUAAACUCAUGCAACAGCUCUUGAAGCAUAAUUACUACCAAAUGUUUCUUUCAGGUAUGAAGAUGGUCUAAUUCUUGCCAACUAUAGAAAUGGUUGAUGUGUUUUGUUUAUAUUUAACCAAGGAGACUAGAUACUCCUCUCUUUUUGCCUUAUCGUGCUCAGAUAUAACUAGAAGCAUUCCCUAUGCAUUGCUGUGGGAAUUGCAAAUAGAAAUAAGUAGGCCAUCAACGCAGCAUGAUGUUUUGAUCACUCAAAAUAAGUACAAUAACAUCUUUAGUACUUUAUAACUUACUAAAAAAUAAGUACAUGGAACUGUGAGAUGAAAAGAUGAGAUAGUGACAAAUGUCUUAGGAAUAGUACCACUUAAUGUAUCUUUUAAGCGGGGUUUGGGUUAACGAAAACCGAAUUGCUUCUUUUCAUUCAGUGUCAAAAGUUGUACACAUUUACCUUUCUAACGGGAGGGAUGUGUUUGGAUGGAACCUCAGUAACAAUGGUUUGUUCACAAUCUGGUCUAUGUACAAAACUUUGAUCCAACAAGUCGUUCUCCCUGAGAAAAAAAUUAAUAAUACUAUUGCAAAUUAAGAUGUUCCUGUGGUACAUGGAAAAGGAGCAACACUUACAAAAGAACUGGCAAGGAAAUGCCAAGUGUUAUCUUUGUAGUUCAGUUGAAACUAUAUAAUAUUUAUUUUUUGACUGUCACAUUACAAAUUUUAUUUAUAAUACUGUGCACAUCACUUUUGAAUUCAACAACCUACUAACUUUGCUAAUUUGUUUGGUUCUUGGCUCCAUGGAUUACGUCCUAAACUCAAGAACCAAAUCCUACUAGGAGCAGCUGCACAUUGUUGGACAAUUUGGAUGAAUAGAAAUGAUGUGGUUUUAACUGGAUCCGACAGUGGUCCAUGCUGCAUAGCGAGGAGGAUCGACCUCUAUUCCAGAUGGGUUGCAGAAGCUGUGGAAGUCAUUAAUUCUGACAGUCUUUGCCAAGUUUCGUUGAAGGACUAGGAAUCGGAAUCGUAUUGUGGACUAGUUUAUUUCCUUGUUAGCUGCGCUCACUAGCUGGCCUGAAAUUUGUUUUACUUGUGGUGCGCAAGCCUUAUGGAUUUGUUUUGUAUUCUCGACUAUCAGCUGUAUGCUAUCUGCGGAUGGUAGAAGCUAGAACUUUGUUCCUGAUUAAAAAAGAGCCAUUCAUCUAAACCUGCCCUUGAGGUUACGUACAUGUUUUGAGCGGUGCAGCUCAAGCUUAAAUCCAUGUAAGAACAUGCAUGCAUGGAUUAACAUUAAUUAAAUUUGAUAUACAGUGUUGAGAAUGCAUAGUGUUGAAACAUGCAUGGUAUCUAGGCCUUCAGGUCUGUGUUGCAUGCAUGCCCAUCUUCCAUGAUUCAACCCUUGCCAUUUACAACUUCAGGAGGAGAGAUCACGUAGGAGAGAGUGAGCCAGAGAUGAUCACAGAGAACACACUCUCCAUUCCACUGAACCACAUGAGCAAUAUAGCUAUAUAAGAUGGUUCACUCACUCUCCGCUAGCUGCUGCUUGCAAAAUUUAGUAGUAAAAAUUCUGGUUUGUGUUGAAGGUCAUGCCGAACUGCCACCAUCCGGGCACGACGUUGAGGAACUGGAUGUAGUGCCCUCCUGUGCUUGUCACGGCGAAGCUAAGCCCCUGGCCGACGAGCCCGGCGUGCGCCUGCCAGUUGGCGCCCCAGUUCCUGGACAUCUGGAUCCACCCCGUCUUAUCGCCCUUGACCCAGGCGGCGGCCACAGAGCCGCUGCCGGCGAGGUUCUGGAUAUUGACGAGCAGGAAGUAAUAGUUGCCGGCGAUGCUGAAGCGCACGCCGCCGUUGCGCCAGCACUUGACCUGCUGGUACUGCACCGGGAUGAUGCCGCCGCUGUAGAUGCCGAUCUUCUCCCACGCCGGCUGCGACAUGUCGAAGUGAGGCCGCCCCGGGCCGCACCACCCGCCGUUGGGCAGCGCGUAGUUGGAUGGGCAUAGGUUCGUGGCCGUCACGGUGAUCCAGGUGCCGGGCUUGCAGUACUGCCCGCCCGGACGGGAUGCGUCGCAGAUGAUGACGUAGCACUGCCCGCACGACGCGCCGUCGUUGAACAGCACCGGGCUCAGCGCUGCGUUGUUCACGCCGUACCCGGCGUUGUAUAGGUUCUCGUAGCCGCAUGCGCCUCCUGCAAUAUGUAUACGAAUACGAACAUGCAUAUGCAUGGAUUAUUAUUUUAGCAUAUAUACGUAUACAUUUAAUUAAUUUGUCUCAACAUGUACCGAAACAUGCAUGCAUGCAUGGAUUAUUAGCAGAUAUAUGUACCGAAAUGCAUGCAUGCAUGUGUACGUGCGAAAAAAUUACGUACCCAUCGUGCCGGAGCCGUCGGGUCCACCGUAGAACGUGGCGGUGCCCUGAGACCAGUCGGCGGCGGCAAGCGCGAGGCACGCCGCGAGCGCUGUGAGCAACGUCAGGGACUUGGCCAUUUCUGUGGACAUCAAUGCAUGUAGAGGGUGAAGAGUGUAGAGGAGAUGGUAUGAGGAUUUUGUUUGCUUUAAUUUAGCUGUGGGAUGAUAAUGAGAUGCAUGGCACUAGGGACGCCGAUGUGCUUAAAUAGAUGCAUGGCAUUGGAAAAUGAACACAGAUUGUGGAUAUAGUGAUGACGUUGACGAGGACUUAUAUAUUCCGUUUUAAUAAAAUUUCAGUAGGGGCUCCAACCCCUCUCCUGUUUCAAAAAAAAAAAACAGGACUUAUAUGUUUAUCCUUGUAAAACAUGCUGAUUAGGUUUUUAAUUAUGAAAAAGAUCGAAUCCAACAUAUCCUCCUUUUGAAGACAAAGCUACAGCCCAGUUCGCUUGAACUUAUCGGCCAGAAUUUUACGACCAGGCAGCAGUAUUUUUCUCUCGCAACAAAUCAACAUCAACAUUAGCAUCAGCUGCUUUUACAAAAUCUAUAUUAAUGAUUACAAAGAGUAGUUGACCCUACCCUCUCACUCUAAGAUCAUGUAGGUGAAGAUCAAGCUGAACAAAAAAGAAGCCAACCAAAUAACAUACUGAUUAGUCUAAGCACCUAGCUAGCUACCUCUGUUAAAAGAUUCACCCGCCAGCAACAAACCAUCAACUAACACGAAUUCCUUCCACAAUAGUUGAAGCCCAGUCCUGCGCAUGAUGGUGGUGCAACCGAACAGACGUGUGAUCAGUUCCUACUUCCUACACGCACAAUUACUUUAACUAACGAGAAGCCAGUUCCAAAAUUGUGCCUUUUAGUUAAUAAUAAUGACUCAUGUACUUAGCCACAACACACUAAUACAAUAUAUUGCAGUUCUAGAUAGAGUUGCUGCUGAUGCAACGCAAUACACCGUUAUAUGAUCAUUGCAAGAUCAAAGCAUUGACUUCAGAUGUCAAUGAUUGAUCGAGCAACCCAAAUUCAUCUGGUUUUAUUCACCCGAAAUUAUCAAGAAACGUCUCUAACUAACUCACCACCAUCAUCAUCUCAAACCGACUCAAGUAUAGCUGAAUUCGUAACAGACGGUAUUUUAUAAGUACAUGUUCUGUAAAAUAUUCUGUAUUCAGCUAAUGGUUAAACCCACCAAAAAAACAUAUAUAUAAUAACCAUCAUUCAUGGAACAUUUAUAACCAGAUCAAAAAAAUUCAUGGACACAUGACACAAGCUGAUUAUUACUAGAUAUACUGAACAAAUUUAAUAGUAGAAGUAGUUGCAGUAGGGAAACAAUCAUUCGUUCGCGCAAGUCAAAGGCCCAACUUAAGAGGUUAAGUUCGUUGCAACAGGUAUUGGUACGGUGACAGUGACAUAUCACCUCGCCAGAUAACAACAACAACGAUGAUUAACAAUCCUGACUUUUCUUCAAUUAUAUGCUAACACUCACUACUACAGGAUUUAUUUUUAGGCGGCGUGACCCUUUUUAAAAUGGAGGUGGGCGCAGUUUUUACCCGGCUCCAUUGUUCCUAUAUAUCAUGGCCAGGCUCGGUCGGCCGUUAGCACGCCCACAUAGGUUAAUUAUUAAUGGAGGCGGGUGCUUCAAAAAAAAACUGCCUCUAUUAUUGCACAUUAACGGAGGCGGUGGUCCUAACGUCCCCGGCUCCAUUAAUCCUUUAAUGGAGAUGGGCGUCUUAACAGAACCGCCUCCGUUAAUGUGUGAUUAACGGAGGUAGUCAGCGUAUAAAUGCACAGCCAUGAGCCUUUGUUCCUCCUCGUGACCUCCUCCAAUUUUUAGGGUUUUGAGAUCUAAAACCAUAAAAUUUGAGCAAAAUUUAGGGGGAUAAGUUUUACUCUUGAUUUGUUCAAGGAGGACACAUAGAAGGUUAGAACAUACUCUUUAAACAUUAUUUCAUUUACUUCUUCACCAUUUGAGGCUCUUUAGAUUUAGAUCCAUGGAGGAGAUAUAAAGCGGUUUUUAGCUCUAGAUCUAUUAUCUUGUUUGCAAUACUUAUUUUUUAUUAGGCAAUAAGGUUUGCAGGUAUGGAUAGGUUCGAAUAAAAUUACCGGAUGAAACGAAUGGAACCGCAAUACUUGGUUCAUGUGAGCAAGAAUAUUGCAACUGCAAAAGCUCAUCGUCAGAGUUUAGAUCAGACGACAACCAUAUGUCUGUGUUCUCGUUGUAAGAACAUAAAAGCCCAGCAGACAAUGAGGUGCAAUUUUACUUGAUCAGGUAUGAUUUUGUUAAGGAUUACACGAUAUGGACUUAUCAUGGAGAAAAAGAAGUGGAUGCGACUAUGGGUGAUGCAUUCGGAGGCAACUUGAUAUCAUCAACCGCAGAGCAUAUAGGACGACAACUUGCCUUCUCAUUGGCCGCACCGGCAGUAAGCAAUGACAAUUUUCAUGAUUAUAUCAUGAUUGAGGACUUACUCCAAGAUAUGGCUACUAACGAUGAUGGUUGUGGAGAUAGUGAUGAGGAUGCUGCUAUGAAUGACCCUGUGAGUGCAAAGUUUAUGGCAGAAAUAGCUUACUGCCUUGAUGAUGACAUUCUAUUUGGUAACUCGAGGUGGCUGGAGAAUUUCAGAGAGAUGAAGCAGGCUGCAACUGACGCUCUCUACAAGGGUUGUCCAAAGCAUUGGACAGUGCUGCCUUUUGACCUACAAAUGCUGAUGUUGAAGGCUCAGCAUGGCUAGUCUGACAUUAGCUUCAAUGACCUUAUCAGUGUCCUUGCUGACACAUACCCAGAUGAUAACAAGGUUCCAGCCAAUAUCUAUCAGGCGAAGAAGCUGAUCUGACCAAUGGUGAUGAAACUUAGUAAGUUUGACGCCUGCCCUAACCACUAUAUCCUUUAGAGGUGUUACAAGCACUACAAAAAUGCCACUAACCCAUUUUAUGACAUUUUUAUUAGAACUCCUGCUUUGUGCCAAAAAGAUGCAUGCCACAAAAAUGUUCAUCAUGUCCAAUUCCAUCUAAUCUGAUAGGUUUAUGUGACAUAGAAUUUAUGUCACAAAAAAUUAAUUGAUUUUUUAAAUGACGCUGUCGAAGUUGGCGGUCACGUGACCUACCACAUGGCUAGGUGCCCAGCUGGAGGGCCACACUAGUGGGCCAUGGAGAUCAUUCUACGCACGUGGCAUAGCUACCCCGUGGCCUGGGAGGCCCGUUUGCUCAUGCGCGGGCCUAGUGACGACACAUUGGUCUAUGCGACCUAGCGAGCGUGCACGGCCGAUUACUAAGAUGAUGAUUUCAUGGAAAUAGGAAGAAAGAGAAGAGGCCACUGUGUGAGCGGUGGGUGGGUUAUGAAUUGGACAUGUAAGGGCUUUUUAUCGAUGGUGUGGUAUAGACACCGCGAGGCACUUACCGAUUCUAGAGCUAGGUGACUGAACUUUGGCUUCUACAUACGACCAAACAAACUACAAGUUUGGCUAGCCCUAUGCAGAGAAACCCUUGUGCAACCAAACAAGAUCUAGUAUGCUCAAGUUGAAGGGGAGUAAGCAAAGCAAGCUCCCCAACCAAAUAAGGUCAGGUUGCAUUGGGAGAAGCGGUUUAGGUCACCUAGGAUUAGGUGGCUAGGGAGACAAAACACAAACCAAAUACAUAUAGCACCUCCAAAAGUCUUUCUAAUAAAGCUUAGUCAUUUGGAGAGCCAUUUGCAUUAAGUCAUUUUCUAAAUAUUUCCACUCUCCAAUAGUUUUUGUACAUGUUUAUUUACACUUUAGAGAGUCAUUGUAAUUUUUUAUCUUUGGCUAGUGAGAAUCCGGAAUAGAAGAUUGUUAUAUUUGGAUAAUCGAUUAAAAAAUUGUUGGAUGUAUUUUUUCACCAAAACCUCUAUUUCUAACAAUUAAGAAAAGAAUGCUCUUAGAGGGUAAACAAAGCAGCAAACGGGUUUAUCCUUUCCUUGAAUAACUAGAAAUCAUUGCAAGAUGGAGCCAAAAUGUAUCCAAAGUAUUUUUGACAUAUAGAACUUAUAUAUAAUUCGGUGUAUGUACCCAUACGAUGCAUACUAAGAAAAAAUGUGUCUUAUCUACAAAUAAAGCUGUAAAAAACAUUCAGGUGUAUGAGAGAUGUCACCGAUCGAUCCCCUUCUCUUGUUCAUCCUACCCUUCCAUUAUUUCCUCCAGCAGAGCUGGAGCAUCACGUAGGAUGGACGUCAAUCCGGGGGUCGCCAAAGAAGCAAUAUAAUAUGAUACAACAGCAACAAGUGCAUUUAGCUCUGCGUCAGAAUCAAGAGAAUGCACUCGCCACUCGACUAAACCUCAAGAAAUGGGGCAAAUAAGGAGGACAUCCAUCGAGCUUCCUCGGCGUCGUCGGCAGUAGGGUCUUAUUAGUAGUAGAAAUUCUGGGUUGUGGAGUAGGUCUGUCCGAACUGCCACCACCCAGGCACCACGUUCCAGAACUGAAUGUACUGCCCGCCGGUAGUGGUAACGGCGAAGCUGAGCCCCUGGCCGACGAGCCCGGCGAGCGCCUGCCAGUUGGCGCCCCAGUUCCUGGACAUCUGGAUCCACCCCGUCUUGUCACCCUUCACCCACGCAGCGCCCACAGAGCCACUGCCGCCGAGGUUCUGGAUGUUGACGAGCAGGAAAUACUGGGAGCCGGCGAGGCUGAAGCGCACGCCGCCGGUGCGCGAGCACUUGACCUGCUGGUACAGGACCGGGACGACGCCGGCGCUGUAGAUGCCGAUGUGCUCCCACGCCGGCUGCGACAUGUCGAAGUGGGGGCGCCCCGGGCCGCACCACCCGCCGUUGGGCAGCGCGUAGUUGGACGGGCACAGGUUGGUGGCGGACACCGUGAUGGAGUUGCCCGGCUUGCACCACUGCCCGCCGCUCCGUGACGUGUCGCAGGUGAUGAGGUAGCACUGCCCACACGACGCGCCGUCGUUGAACAAGGUCGGGCCCAGCGCCGCGUUGUUCACGCCGUACCCCGCGUUGUACAGGUUGUCGUACCCGCAUGCGCCGCCUGUACGUGUAUCAUAUCAUAUAUAAAAACAUGCAUGCAUCAGUGUGACGAAGUGAUUCUUUAGUAUGCGUACGCGAAUGUACCGUCUAUACAAUAUAGUUCUUGACCUCUGUACAGAAAUGAAUGCAUGCAUUCUUACCCAUCGUGCCGGACGCGUCGACUCCGCCGUAGAAAGUGGCAGUGCCUUGAGACCAGCCGGCGGCGGCGACGGCGAGGCACGACGCAACAACCACCGUGCACAGCAUAAAGGAAUUGGCCAUUUCGUCGUUCGAAAUGGAGAGCUGGAUGCAGAUAGAGAACAAGAUUGACGAUCGAGGGUGUGUGUUCGGUGUUCCUAAGCAGGGAAUAUGAGGAUGAAGAUGUUUCAGGCCGGUUUGAUGCAUGGCAUUGGGAUACCACUGCUUAAAUAGAGGAGGUGGUGUUCAGGCUAACCGAAGGUAGGAGAAAGAGUUGAUAAAUCACACGAUCUAGGUGGAGGGUUUAGGGGAAUAAUUGUCGAUCUUGCCUUGUGUAUCACAAGCAGCUACUAGCUAGUACGUCAGAACACACGUCAAAACAAUCCGUCUUCAACUCUUCAUUGGAAGCUAGCACAAGCGAUCGAUGCAUCACGGAGAGCUAGCAGCAGGCACGACCUAGACUACUGACGGACAUUGACGUGCAGGGAAGUAAUCAUAGAUGUCUUGAUUUGACAUCGAGUUAGCUGCCUCCGUCAAGAAGAUUCGCGCGGCAACGGACCAUCAACUAACCCAAAAAGUUCCUUCCACAUUAUUGUUGACAUAAGGAAACCCCUUGUUCGGUGCAUGCAUGUGCUGUGGUUGAAGAUCGAACAACGGCGGAUCAUAUCACAAGCGAGAAUUUGCAUUGGUUGGUUCAAUUUCAUUCACACACUGAUCAAAUCAAACCGGACAAACCUGGAUAAUUAUUAAAUCAUCUUAAUUAGCUAUAGAUACUAUGAAAAAAUUGUGAUCAAUCACUCUACCACAUUUUGCCCCCAACUUCUGAAAGACACCUACAAUACCAGACAACAUCCUAGAUCCUUCCACCUACAGUACCACAUUUUCCACCUUUCUCACUAGUGGAGCUAGCCAGAGCAGAGCACAGCCUCCUCGUACUAGCUAGCGCAGCCCUGGUCUACUGCCUGUCAUCGAGAUGUGGGUGAUGCGCGUGGAGCACCAUGCAUGCCAUCUCCCUUUUUUGCCAUGAAGGCACUACUAUAGGAAUGGUUUUCACACAUAUCAUCAGUUCGUAAAGAAACCACGGCUGAAAAUCAUUUUCUUCAAUCACACUAAAAUCGUCAAAAUCUCAAAGGUGGUUAAGCCAACAUCCAAAAUGAGCCGACCGGCUUUGAUAGCAAUUGAAGCAACCAUGACCCCCCCCCCCCCCCACCAAAAAAAAAGACAUGAAUUAGGUCACUUUAGAAACUAAGGAGAUAAAAGCACUAGGUUGUUACCUCAAACACAAUAAAACUUUGCAUCCUAUGUGCCAAUCCUAUCAACAACUUAGCAAGAUAAACUAGAAAGAGGUAAAUCAAACACUAAGAAAUGCAAAGUAACAUAGAAUGCAAACUUUCGCGUCAUGAUUUUUCUUAAGGUACUGAGAAGCUCAUAUUUCCCACUAGUCAAUACAACACACAUGGCAUGAUAACAAGUCAAAACAUCAAUAUAUCGCUAUGACUUUUUUUGGGCACACACACACACACACACACACACACACACACACACACACACAUAUAUAUAUAUAUAUAUAUAUAUAUAUAUAUAUAUAUAUAUAUAUAUAUAUAUAUAUAUAUAUAUAUAUAUAUAUAUAUAUAUAUAUAUAUAUAUAUAUAUAGCCUUUUAAUGACUUAUAAUUAAUGCACAUCAGAGAAAACAUCAAAUCAAGUUCAUGGCAAGGGUCGUUAAGUUCGGAGCAAUUGAGAUGUGAAAAACUUAGUUAAACAUGAAGUAACAAAAGUGCCCAAGGUUGCAAGUACAGGGUGUAACCAAGACUAAAUUGCUAUCAUGUUCCAUUCUUGGUUUCAAAAUAUGGAAAAGAAAAUCCGAUCAAAGUCCCAUCAGGCACAACGAAUCAGGUGAACUAAGAUGAUGAAUUCAUUCUUCAUGUAAGCUGAUCUUUAUUCAUAGGGUUUUCUUUUUCGGCGAAAUUUUGCAUUUUUUGAUGAGGUCCGAAAAUAAAUUUAUAUCGGUCAAAUUUUUCAGUUAAAUUCAUGUUUCGCUUCAAAAUUACUCCAAACAACAAUAAAAUGACCCACCAUAUCUUCUAGUCUUAUCAAAGCCCUAAAUUUCUUCAAAAUUAUUUAAUUUUCUCACUCACAUAUUCCGUGACACUAGCAUAUGCAGCUCGCCCACCGUCAGCCCGCUGCGCUACCGCAAUGAUAUAUUGUGUUAUUUCAUUGAUAUUAUAUAAAUUUGUGAUGAGUGAUAGAUUAGAAAGUUUUUCUAGUAAAAUGAUGCCAAAUAUUUUUAAAAAUCAAUUUGAAUUUAUUUAAAUUUCAUUCGAAAUUUCUGAAAUUUCUUAUUUAUCAGUAGGUGCCGAAAAAUUUUUCCUACCGAAAAAGAAAACCUGUAGAGAACAUCCCGAGGGCAAUAUUGUUCCAAGUAGUAAUUAAUAAAAGUUUGCAAGCUAGCUCUGUCAACAUACUUUUUGGCCAAAUUGGAAACAAUUUCGGAGCAGCAACUCCAUGUACCUGAAAGGCUAAAACAUAUGAUCAUGCCCAAGGAAGCAACCGCAACUUAGGUUAAUGUCCUGAAGAGUAACAUGAUGUCGAAACAAAGAACCACCAGAUCACGGCCCAACAAAGUCAAAAGAAAAACCUGUAAAGAACGCAUGAACCACUGUAGAAAAUAUGUACUUAAAAGACAAAGUAAUUUUGCGAACAUGUGCUGAACUGAGCUUCCUAUUAAUAAUUAUGUAUGUACAGCCUUCAUGAUUUGAUUCACUGCAAUGCAACCAAGUUAAACAUGAUAGAAGCAAUGCUCACAACUUACAGAUUACUAAUCACAUUGGACUCAGGUGCACUAUGUGAUUUUAAUAAUCAAUUGUUAGCAACCAUACGUCAAAAAGCAAACCAAAUUUAGAAAAGGAUGCCAUAGAAAAAAGUACCAUAACCAAACUUGUCUGAUUCUCUAGAAAUGUUGGCAUACAUUUUAUCAGUCCAUGUAUUUUUGUCCCGUAGAGGAUAACUAAAAAUCUAUAAAGCAGCCCGUCUAAUGUAUUUGCAAAACUAGAGCUUAAUUUCUUCCACAGUUUUUCCUAGCUAUGAGAAGGAGAAAACCACUUUAAUCUUACCUCUCUUUUUUAAGGCGUGAAAAGCACGGCUGUAUAUAACGCGCUAUGCAGGACUGUCUGCUAUAUAUACCUAUCUUGAUCUCUCUUGAGCUACUAUGUAUGUUGAAAAAAUAAUAUAAGCGCAUGGUCUUAUCAGCUAAAAUAACUUGGGAAUUGAAGCACAAAAUUGGUUCAGCGUCAGCUAAAUCAACAACCUACACCAGAAGAGAACUCCAACAAGUACUCUUAGGUACGGCUAUUAAUGUUCUUAGGUACGACCAUUUUGUGAAGCUAACUCCAGAUUGCCUUGCAUGAUGGCAUGGAAUUCAAUCAAAUGAUCACAAAAGCACAUGAUCGAUGCAAAACAUCAUCCAAGCAUGGCCUUGCACAUUUCAAUAUGAUUGAUUCAACAACCCAUAUUCUUGUGGUUGUAUCCGUCCAAGAUGACCAAGCAACGCCCCUAACUAACUCAUUAUCAGGGUCCAUGGCUUAGCUGAAUUUGUCAGUAACGGUGGAUUUACAAGUAUGAGUCAACCCUAAUAAAUUAGGAUUUCUCAUAGAGUAGUGCAUGUAUUCAUUACUAGGUCAUGAUCUGCAUGGACUUGAUUACUUGAAACCCUAAAUUGUUUAUUUACCGGAUAGCUAGAUUAAGAAGAGCAACUCCAAUUUUGUCAAAAAAAGAAGAUGGAGCAACUCCAAUGGGCAGCUCGCUAGAGAACAAUAAUUAGCUCAUGCAAAGUUACUCCCGUUCAGAAUGAUAAAUAUAUUUUGAUCAGGUAAAAUUCAAGUUUUGUAAAGUUGGACCAACAAUUAGUCAAAUUAUAUGUAAGUUUAGAACUUAAAACUUAUGUCGGUAUUGCUACCCUCUUAAUAAAAUAUGGUCAUCAGGGAAAAACUAAAACUUGUACUGGUACAUUUGUCUUCCUAGCUAGCAGACCUUUAAAAUUAUAUUGAUUUCUAGCAAUAUAUAGCAUAUUGUAAGAUAAAAUAUGUGUCAAAAUCUAUUGUGUCUGAUCAAAAUGUGCUUACCAUUUCUGACCAGAUGGAGUAACGGCCAGGCGUGUGGACUGAUGGGUUAAGGUAGUUACAACUUACACCAUGAGCAUGUAUCGGUGACGGUGGCCCAUGUCCUCGUCAGCCACCAACGAAACAAAUUGAUGUUCCAGAGCGGUUACAAUGUUGAUCAGAGUUUCAACGAACUAAUGCGUGUGGAAAGAAUUCAAGUUAGUUGAUAGUUCGUUGCUAAUCUAUAUGUUAUAUAGGCUAAUCAUUAGCAUAUGAAAACGUAGAUAAAUUAAAUUAAUAAAGAAAUUGUCCAUGAUUAAUUCCAUCCCCAAAGUCAGGCCUUGGAGCUUAGCUAGUGUCGUCGUGCAUGAGGCACCUUGCAUGCAUGCAUGUGCUUGCUUCGAUGGAACACGGUGAAUUUCCUUUGCUCUGACUAAGGUACGGUACGUACUCUGACGCGCUCAAGGCACGACCAUCAUUCCCUAGUCAAUCAACAUCCCCACGGCCCCACCGCAGCUAGCCCAUCUCCACUAUUUAAGCACUGGCCUGCGCCAAUCUAUGCAUCUCUCAUCUCGUCAUCACACAAGAAGUCCAGAACACGUAUACGGUUGAUCGUCUCUCCAUUGCCAAAUCCACUUCGAUCGUAGUAGUCAUGAAAAUCAACAAGUCCCUAGUUUUGUGCCUAUCCUUCUCGGCGUGCCUAGCCCUCGCCGCCGCAGGCUGGUCUCCCGGCACCGCCACGUUCUACGGCGGAGCCGACGGCUCUGGCACCAUGGGUAAGCAAGCAGCUCUUAAUAAUUACACACACAUUGCAUCCAUUUUUGCGCAAGAGCUACGCACAUUUUGCUAACUGCGCGCCCAUGCACUUAUUGCCAAUGCAGGUGGUGCGUGCGGGUACGACAACCUGUACAACGCCGGGUACGGCGUGAACAAUGCGGCGCUGAGCUCGACGCUGUUCAACGACGGCGCGUCGUGCGGGCAGUGCUACCUCAUCACCUGCGACGCGUCGCGUCCGGGCGGGCAGUGGUGCAAGCCGGGCAACUCCAUCACGGUGUCCGCCACCAACCUGUGCCCGGCCAACUACGCGCUCCCCAACGGCGGGUGGUGCGGCCCGGGGCGCCCCCACUUCGACAUGUCGCAGCCGGCGUGGGAGCGCAUCGGCAUCUACAGCGCCGGCGUCAUCCCGGUCCUGUACCAGCAGGUCAAGUGCUCGCGCACCGGCGGCGUGCGCUUCGGCAUCGCCGGCUCCCAGUAUUUCCUGCUCGUCAACAUCCAGAACCUCGGAGGCAGUGGCUCCGUGGGCGCCGCCUGGGUGAAGGGCGACAGGACGGGGUGGAUCCAGAUGUCCAGGAACUGGGGCGCCAACUGGCAGGCGCUCGCCGGGCUCGUCGGCCAGGGGCUCAGCUUCGCCGUUACCACUACCGGCGGGCAGUACAUUCAGUUCUGGAACGUGGUGCCUAGGUGGUGGCAGUUCGGACAGACCUACACCACAACCCAGAAUUUCUACUACUAAAACCUGCAAUCAGCGCUAGCAGAGUUCUUGGAUCGAUCUUCCUGUCGCUAUUUCUUGUGGUUCGGUCAAAUCGUAAGGGUGGGAGCCUGGGAGGUCCUCUUUUGUUUUCACGACUGUGCCUAAUGGACACUAUUUCAUUGAGAAGUAUAUAUAGAAGGGUGGGAGGUCCUCGUGGCCUGCUCUCUUAAUUUCUUUCAACUUUGUAGAUAUAUUUCCUGAAUUUUAGAUAUUUCUUUCAACGUUUGUAGAUAUAUACUUACUAUAUACACUAUACAUGUAUAUGAUUUCCGAUACUGCACUCCACAUGUUUCAGUCAGAAAUCCUACUGGCUAACUACUUACGCAGUUAGUUUCGGCAUCACUUGCCUUCUGCUGCUGAGCCACCAUUUCAAGGAUUGAUGGUGUUGGCGCCGUGUUCCGCUGUCAGGCAUUCACAUCUGCACAGUUAAAGGAACCAUUAUAUCUGGUAUCUCUCGGCAGAACUCUCAUGGCAACACAAGAAAGUCCAAGGGACGUGAUAGACGCACAUGACAGGCAGUUGUGGAACCCGACCACUGGCAUCGUCAACUACCACACAGACGACACCCGCGCCUCUGACCCCUGAAUGAAAGCAUUACAUUACAUCAACUUCGAACCAUGCAAGUCCACGUACGCCGGCUGCAUUAUUGGAGCCAUAGACUGUGCCAAGUGGAAAACAGAAGCACAUACUACAUGAUCUUAUCAAGUUAAUCUAUAUAUAACGUGGUAACUAAAGCUCAUGUAUGGUAAUUAAAGGUAGUCAUAUAUGGCACCUAGCUAGAUUGAAUUCACUUGAAGUAAAAAAAAUAUUAGGCUUAAAUAUUAUCCCCUUGAUGUUGAGAUCAAUUGACCCUAGGGAUGAAGCUUUAUUGUGAUUAGGGGGUGCAAAUGCACCCCCCCCCAAAUUGAAAACCAGUUAUAAUUUCUAAAAUUACACCAUAUAUAGACCCUCUGCAACACAAGGAUAUGUAGCCACACAAGGCUUUAAUUUUCUCUAUCUUCACCACUGUAGGGCUCCUCUUAGAUCUCACUUUAAGCUCCUUUCCAAUCUUGAGUCCCGUGUUAUGUGGGCUUAAAUGACGGUUUAUGGCAUCAAAGAUAUUAAUUAAGAGACAUAAAAUCCUUAUUUUUUAAUAAAAUACGAAAGGAAAUUGGAUAAAAGUUAUAAUAAGUACAAGACCCUCAACUCAAUGUUUAUAAAAAAAUUAUGCAGCUAAAAGUAUUUAAAUUUAAUAGUAACAAACUUAGAUUGAAAACAUCAUAAGAUAUGUACGUGGGAUAACAAAGCCAUCACAACUUAAACUUGGGUUCAAACAAAAUGGAUAAUAAAGACACAUGAAAUGACAUGUAGAAACACAAAAAGCUAUGGAUAUAUGGAUGAAAAACAUGUAAAGAAAUUGAUAAGUUUAUCAAUCAGUAGAAAUUAUAAAGUAUACUCCCUCCGUCCCAAAAUAGAUGUUAUUUUUGCUUUCUAAGAAGUUAAAUAGUUUUAACUUUGACCAAAUAUAUCUACAAGAUUGUUGAUAUUUAUAAUACAUAAUUAACAUCAUUAGAUAGAUCGUUGAAUAUACUUUUAUAAUAAACUUAUUUGGAGUUAUAAAUGUUGCAUGUAGUUUUCUAUCAACCUAGUCAAUAUUGAGAAAAUUUGACCCGCACGUAUCCCAUAGCGACCUUUAUUUUCGCACAGAGGGAGUAUAUAAGUAUAUAAGUGUAUUAAAUUAAAAAUGGUAAACAAAAAAUAAAGAAAGAGCAAAUAGAUAAGUAAUUUUUUUAUUAGUUAUAAGUACUAAGGAAAAAAAUUAUACUUGUCUCUCUUGAGAUCCAGCACAUGUACAGGCGCAAAGAUUGAUGGACUAGUUAAUCUACUACAGCAGCCAGGAGCUAGAACAACGAAUUGCAAGCAUCAGAACCAAUCAUUAGUUCGAGCAAGUUAAAGUCUGGUAGUUGUGUGGGCAUAUGCUGAUGCACACAAAGUCCUGAAUACCAGCCCCCAUGACACGUUCCAUCGAUCCGCAUGCAGCAUAAAGAGUUAAUUUAACAAUUCAGUUAAAAAAAAGAAAGAACCUUAGGUCUUGUUUAGAUCCAAAAUUUUUUUGGAUUUUGACACUGUAAUAUUUUCGUUUUUAUUUGACAAAUAUUAUCCAAUCAUGGAGCAAUUCGUCUCGUAAUUUACAGCUGUGCAAUUAGUUAUCUUUUUUAUCUAUAUUUAAUGUUCCAUGCAUAUUGUGCCGUAAGAUUCGAUGUGAUGAGAAAUCUUGUAAAGUUUUGGGUUUUUGGGUGUAUCUAAACAAGGCCUUAGCCUUCAAUUGUAACCAAGAAACAACCCUCUGAAAUCUGUGCAGAUAGUAGCCCUAUAUAGUAUUAUCUUAUGGGUUGCCAGUGAUACAUGGAUGACUUUUAGUUAACGAACAUUAAAUUCAUUCUCAAAGUCAAAUCCAGACCCUAGAGGUAUUCAUGAGUUACAGUUACUAGACUUGAAAUAACCUUCCGCCAACAAAAACACGAUCUUUCCGUUUGCACAUUGAAGAAUCUAAAACCUCUCUCUCUCUCUCUCUCUGAUCCCAGAUUUUACAUGUCUAUAACAGUACAAAUCAAUUGGCUUUUUUUAUAAACAUAAUUUUCGUUAUGUAUGUAAUAUAGUGUAUAUCUAGGAAGUUGUUAGGCGAGAAAGGUAAGAUUAUGAUAAAGAGGUAGAAUUGACAACUGCUACGGCGGAGUUUUCCUGAUCAGGUGUCUUUUAAAGAAUUUUAGCAAACCUUAUCUCUGCCGCUAUCACUUAGGCUAGUUUCAGUAGGGUUUCACCAGAAUAUCAUGCACAUUUAUUAGAGCGCCAUGUCAGUAAAGCUACACUUUUUGCAUGAAAUGAAGAGGAGAGAGAAGGAUGUAGUUUCACCAUGAUGAAACCCCGCGGGCAUUGUUUCCCACGAGGUGAAAUGGGAUGAAAUCCCCACUAUGGGUCAAACCGUUUCACCAUCUUGCAUGUGAUCCAAUUAUUUUGCUGCAAUUAAAUGCUUUGCUUAGCCUUAGAAACAACAAAGUGAAAUGCUUCAUUGCUGGGGUUAUUUCGUAGAUGGUUUCAUUUCAAUCUUGAUGACGUGUUGGUAUGUGAAACCGUGCAGUAACACUGUCCAUUGAAAUUGUCCUUAUGAAAAAGGAAACAAUACGUGCACUAGGUAGCGGUGCGAGAAAGGUACCGCUGCCACUAUCAUCACGUAGGCCGAGGGUUGGCCACCUUAGUAGCUCAAUUCUACGGCCAUAUAGUACAACAUUAAGGAUUUCACUUGCUUAGUGUCGUGGUCUCCCUGGUGACUCGCUAGUAAGAAUCGAAACACUGUUUUAUUUAACCUUUAAACUUCGUAUCUUCUUAAUGAAACAUAGACUCAGACCCGAUCACGGAAAAAGUCAAAAUUAACGAUUUGUAGUUUGGGAAGCAAGGAAUACUUAUAAUUUCAGAAAGUACACACGCUGUUAAAUUUGAAGCCACAUUGUUCCUCCAAUCAUACAAACGCACAUGCUUGAUCGUUCAUUCCAUGGACUGAGAUACCCGUCUUAAGGAACGCCACCAUGAGAUUGAGAUACACGGUGGCCCCAAUCUAAGCCGGAAUCCUCCAUAUAUGACCCAUUCAUUUCAUCCACUAACCGUGCCAACUGACUGGUUCCACCCACUAAAUUAAGCGCCGCGCCAAGGUGCAGUGUGGAAAGAAUAUGUUAGUUGCAAAAACAAAUCAGCCCCCGCGCGUUCUCUCAACUCUGAUCAACCUGUUCUGACAUACUGUACUACGCGCAAUCAAAGUCAAAAACUAUAGCAGUUACCUGCACUACUGCAUGUGGAGGAGCAUCUUCAUGUGCUCCCAGUUCGCACCGCUCAAAUGCAUUACGUGUUCCAUGACAUGAGAAUCAAUCAAAUGAGAUGCACGAUCGACACCACGCCGACAUUAUCGCCGGUCAUCUUCCCACUUCAGUUUCAAGUUUCAGCUCCAUCUCCCCUCAACCUCAAUCUCCUUGCCUACUUGCUCCUCCUAUUUAAGCACUGAACCUAGCAAAGGAGAUCAUCCACCACACCACCACAGUUGCAACUCACAACUUCCAGAUCACACGACAAGACAAAUCUGCUCCUUUUUCUGAUUAUUCCGUGCUCGUACUCGUAGCAAAGCUGGUCCCAGUCAUGGCGCCGAGGACGAUGAUGUUGGCGCUGUGGGGUGUUCUUGCGGCGUCCACCGUCGUGGCCGGUGUGGCGGGCUGGUCGCCGGGCACGGCGACCUUCUAUGGCGGGUCCGACGGGUCCGGGACCAUGGGCGGCGCGUGCGGGUACGGCAACCUGUACAGCGCCGGGUACGGCGUUAACAACGCGGCGCUGAGCCAGACGCUGUUCAACGACGGCGCGUCGUGCGGGCAGUGCUACACCAUCACGUGCGACGGGUCACGAUCGGGCAGCCAGUACUGCAAGCCCGGCAACACCGUCACCGUCACGGCCACCAACCUGUGCCCACCCAACUACGGGCUCCCCAACGGCGGGUGGUGCGGCCCGGGACGCCCGCACUUCGACAUGUCGCAGCCGUCAUGGGAGAAGAUCGGCGUCGUCCAGGGCGGCAUCAUCCCGGUGCUGUACCAGCAGGUCAAGUGCUCGCGGAGCGGCGGCGUGCGCUUCAACAUCGCCGGCUCCAGCUACUUCCUGCUCGUCAACAUCCAGAACCUGGGCGGCAGCGGCUCAGUGGGAGCCGCUUGGGUCAAGGGCACCAACACCGGGUGGAUCCAGAUGUCUAGGAACUGGGGCGCUAAUUGGCAGGCCCUCUCGGGGCUCACCGGCCAGGCGCUCAGCUUCGCCGUCACUACCACCGGCGGGCAGUACAUACAGUUCCUGAACGUGGCGCCGACGUGGUGGCAGUUCGGACAGACCUACUCUACCAACCAGCAGUUUUACUACUGACGAUGCGUCCAUCGAUCGGGACGAAGCUUUCGAAUUCUUAUCUGUUUGUUGAGUUGAUCUUCCUAGUUUUGUUCGUAUAUAUGGCGAGGGCCGACGUGCUGUCUCGUGGUUGUGGCGGAGUUUCAGCGCCCGACGAACCGUGGCCGUGGCAUGCUUGCUGUUCAUAGCGCUCAUUGUCUGCGUCCUUCAGUCUUUACCAUAUAUUGGCAUAAUUACAUCAUUUACACAUAUAACAGAAUUGUUAACACCAGUUCAAUCAAUAUGCAAGUUACAUUACCCAUGUUCUAGAGCUCAACUUGUUUUUUAGGUCAACGCAAAUAAUUCGAAGGUAACAACGUCAAUGGACAAUGGGGAGGCACUACCUCCUACUGAGGACGAUGGAAAGAGAUCGGAUUCGUAUGGAACCGGAUCCGGAUAUCAUUCUUUGUCAUAUUAUAGUUCAAAAACGAAUACGGAUAUUUUCGAAAACGAAUACAAACGGAUGUCUCAAAACAGAUUUCUAUUUGGAUAUUUACUUGAUUCAACUCAAAGUAUAUAUUACCAAAUUCAACAUAAAUGAACAAAAUUUUAUUAUUAGUUCAUCAUUAACUGAAGUUAAUUAAAAGAAAGUACACUUCUAAUAAUCUCCAAUAUCGAAGUAAACUAAAUUAUAAUGGAUUAUAUUUAAUAAAAUAAUAGGUCAAGUGAGGAAAUACAAAUAAAAUUGUAGAAAACAAGUAGCCAUUUGCUUUUUGCUUUAUCAAUAUUAUUGGAAUUACAAAGACUAGUUAUGACUUUGCUCUGCUUGAUUAUAUUUUCAAUUAUAUUGUUCUUUGUCUACUUUACAAUAGUAUAAAAAAAAGCUCAACUGUGGCCGUUGUGUCUAAUUUCUACAGUCGGUUUCCGUUAUAGCUCGUCAGUGCAAAGAAAACGACCGACCCGACUUAUAAACCGCCUGUGUAAACCACUUUCUACAGGUGAUUUUCUUAACGUAACCACCAGUGCAAAUACCUGAUUUCCACUGGCGGUUUAGUUAAGUGAACGCCUGUGGAAAUUGAUUUACACUGGCGGUCGACUUAGCUGAACCGCCAGUGGAAAUCACACAUUUACACUAGCAGUUAUGUUAAAAAAAACGCCAGUGUAAAAGGGUUUCUAUAUGUGCUUGUUUAAGUCAGCCACCAGUGAAAUUUCUAUUAUAAAUACCUCUUCUUCCUCCCCGAGCAAAGUUGUUUCUCGCAGCCACCCAUAGGAGGCCAUUAUGGAGCCCUAGUUUUCACUAAAUACAAGGGGAGAGGUUUUGAUCUUCAUUUCUUGGAAGGAGUUUGCUAAAAAAGUUAGUUUAUGUCUCUCUCGCCUCUUUUGUUCAUUGUAGCUCAAUUUGAGCCACUUUUUAAAUCUAGGGUUUCUCUAUGUGUUAGAGAGAAGAGUAACUAGGUUAAUAUCUUUAUUUGCUCAAAUGAUGUUGCUUAAGAUGGUUAGAUGAUGUCUCUCCUUUCUCCCUUUUUAUUUUUGCUUCUCACUUUAUUUUAUCCAAGAUUAAUGUAGGUAUUUCCAUGAAUUGUUUGUUCUUGUGUAUUUAUGUGGAGAGAGAAAUAGUUGUCAUCUUUGUUAAAUUUUUAAAUUUGAUAGUUUUUAUCUACAUUUUUAAAUGUACUUUUUAUCUACAUUUUUAAAUUUGUAUGUUUUUAAAAUUAUGUAGUUUGUGUUCUCGUUUCUCAAUUUAAGAUAAUUAUCCAUUAUUUAAUUAUUCACUAUGUAUUUAUAUAUGAAAUAGAUUUAAUUUUUAUUUAAUGAAAAAUAUGAAAGAGGUUUUGUGUUACUAUCAUUCUUCUACCUUUUAGCAAACAUUGCUUUGAGGUCUUCAAAUUAGAAAAUAUACAGGUGAGAGGUUUUCAUCUUGAUUUCUUCGAAGGAGGUUGGUGAUCAAAAGAUUAUAUAAUAAAUAUCUCUGGACGAUCAUACUUGUUUUUUGCGUUGAUUAUAAUUAAUUCAUUAUAUUUAUUUAGAUAAUAAUGGAGAGGUCAUUAUAGAUGUAUACUUUAUCAAAAUUAGAUCUAUCAUAUAUACCCGAGGUUCAUAGGUUUAUUGAUGCUACUAAGAACCAUGCUUAGAGAACAAAGACGAAGCACAUAUAUUGUCCAUGCAUAGACUGCGAAAAUAUUGUUGUAUUUGAUGACACUGAACAAAUCACUUCUCAUCUGGUCUGUUGAGGAUUUAUGAAGGAUUACUUGAUUUGGACAAAGCAUGGUGAGGGUGGCUCUGCACCUUAUAUAACUGGAAACCCUGAGAACAUCGAUGUCGAUGGUCCAGAUAUGAUUGCUAAUAGAUUUUCUUUCAUACACAAGACACAACAACCUCUUCUCUAUAGCAAACAUGUUGUGCCAAAUGUUACGGCUGUGGAAAAUGCAGAAUUCUUAGAGGCAAUGUUGUGUCAUCAUACGGAUCCUAAUAUGUUGUUAAUGAAAGGUAUGGAGGCCCUGACGAAGGCUGCAGAAGAGCCUUUAUAUGAUGAGUCUAAGGGUUGUACCAAAGAGUUCACGACACUACGGUCUGUGCUAAAGUUGUUCGUAUUGAAAGCUAGAUAUGGUCUGUCUGAUGUUGGCUUUGAUGCCUUCUUGAGUAUUAUCGCUAACAUGCUUCUAAAGGAGAACAAAGUGCCUACUAAUAGGUACUAUGCAAAGAAGCUAAUCAAUCCACUCACUAUGGGUGUCAAGAAGAUCCACGCGUGUAGAAAUCAUUGUAUUCUAUAUCACGGUGAUGAUUAAUUAUAAGGACUUGGAGAGUUGUCCAAAGUGUGGUGCAAGUAGGUACAAGACGAAUAAAGACUAUAGAGAGCAAGAGUGUGCUGCCUCGAGAAAGAAGUGAAAGAAGACCCAAAAAAACAACCAACGGAGUUCAAAACCUAGCAGCAAAGAAAAAAGAAGUAGACUACUAUGCAUAGAAAAAGAUUCCUACUUUGGUGAUGUGGUACCUUUCUGUAGUCGAUCGAUUGAGGUGUUUAUUUGCUAACCUAGAGGAUGCCAAACUUAUGAGCUGGCAUGCUUCUAAUGAGCAUAAAAAUGAUGCGAAGCUAAGGCAUCCAGCCGAUGGCAAGCAGUGGCAAGAUUUUAAUGACAACCACCAAGACUUUUCUGACGAACCAAGAAAUGUUAGGUUCGCACUGAGUACUCAUAGAAUGAAUCCAUUUGCUAAGAGAAGCAACAAGCACAGCACAUGGCCAGUGAUCCUCACCAUCUAUAAUCUUCCUCCAUGGUUGAUGCAAAAUCAAAAGUACCUUUUGCUAACCAUCCUUAUUUCUGGACCUACACAAGCUGGAGUUGGCAUGGAUGUUUUUUGGAGCUGUUAAUGGAGGACAUGAAAAUAUUGUGGGAAACAGGUGUUCAAAUGUUGGACGAGUAUUGCAAAGAUUCAUUCACGCUAAGAGCAAUUAUUUUUGUUACGAUCAACGAUUAUCCUGCUCUCUUCACAUUAUCAGGACAAUUCAAGGGUAAGGUUGGUUGCGUAGUAUUCAUAGAUGGAGCUGCUUAUAUGUCCCUUGAUGCAUCUAAGAAGUUAGUGUACAUCAGGCACAGACGCUUCUUAUUGAAAGGGCAUAGGUACCGCCUGAAAAAGAUGGAUAAGUACUUCGACAAUAAUGAGGAACUACACUCUACUGCACCAUUAGGUAAUAGUAAAGGCCAAAGAGUUUUUCAAAUAGUUAGAAAAAUCGAAUUUGUUUUUGGGAAGAAGACAAAAGACAGAAAACUAAGAAAGGGUGUGAAACCAAUUAUAGGGGCUAUAUUCAAAAAGAAGUCUAUUUUCUUUGAGUAUUUGCUAUACUAGAAAGAGUUAGAUAUAUAAAACGCGAUUGAUGGUAUGCACGUUCAGAAGAACGUGUUUGAAAGCCUAAUUGGCACCUUGCUAGACAUAAAGGGCAAGACAAAGGAAGGACUCAAUUCACACAUGGACAUGGUACAAUUAAGCAUAAAAAAAGAGCUUCACCCCAUUCUUCUAAAAAAUGGGAUGUAUCAUCUUCUGGUAGCAAGCUACAACCUCAAUGUAGAUGAGAAACAUGCAAUGUGUGUGUGGUUAAAAAAUUUGAAAGUCCCAUCCGAAUUUUGCUCCAAUCUACAGAGUAUUGUGUCAAUGAAAGACCUUACACUCACCAACUACAACUCACAUGAUUGUCAUGUCAUGCUGACUACUUUCCUCCCUAUUGCCAUCAGGGCUAUAAAUCUUGUGUUCUUAAAGAUGGCAGUCACACGGUUGUGCUACUUUUUCAACAACAUCUCACAAAAGGUAAUUGACAGAGAUGAGUUGGUGUCUUUUUAGGAAUUCACUGUGGAGACAGUGUCACAAUUUGAGAUGUGUUUCCCCCCAUCAUUAUUCAACAUCAUGGUGCACCUUGUGGUGCACUUGGUUCCACAAAUACAGGCAUUGGGUCCCAUGUACUUGCAUAAAAUUUAGAUGUAUGAGCGUUUCAUGUCAAUACUAAAUAGCUAUGUAUCAACUCGUGCUCAUCCUAAGGCGUCUAUGGUAGAGGGUUACUAUACCAAAGAGGCCAUUGAGUCUGGAGGUCCAUUCUACAAUAGUGUCCUAAAAGACCAAGUUGCAAUAGGCCUACCUCCAUCACGACACGAGGGCAGGUUGCAUGGAAGUGGGAGAACGGGACGCAAAUCAUUCAUCCCACCAGAUUACAAUACAGUCCUCAAGGCAUAUCGUAGCAUCCUAUAUCAGCUCUCGAUAAUGGAGCCUUUGAUCGAGGAACACAUGAAUGAGCUUCGCGAACAUAAUCAUGGACACAUGAACGAUUGGUUAAUGAAGGAACAUAAGACUCGGUUCAGCACAUGACUAAUGGAGUAGGACAUUCCACCUGGAGAAACAAUCGAGGAAUAAACCAUAGAGGCGUUGGCAUCUAGACCAUCAUGCCAGGUCUCGACAUGGCAGACCUAUAACAUUAGCGGCUUCACGUUUUGUACCAAGUCCAAGGACAAAAGAGCAUGGCACAAAACAGCAGUGUUCAGUGCGAGGCCAUAGACGAUGAAACUGGUGAGAUUAGUACAUAUGUUGGCUUCAUUGAGGAUAUAUGGGAACUAGACUAUGGUGCAUUUCAGGUCCCCGUGUUUCGAUGUCAAUGGGUCGAAGACAAACAUGUCACAGUGGAUAACUAUAUGAUCAGAGUUCUUGAUCUAAGUAAGGUAGGUUACAAAGAUAACCUGUGGAUCCCACUAAGUUUUUAGCUGAAAAUUUUCUAAGUUUGACGAAGGCGCCACAUUCUCCCUGAGCGCCGUCAGGCUACCGGUUUUUUCUGCCGCGUAUAUCUCCACCGCGCCAUCCUACCCGCUUGUCUUCACCGAGCUCUGUCACACACCGGUAAGCCUCUUUCCCUCCUCUCUCUCUCUCUCCUCUUGGUGGCUCGUGGUAGCGGCGGCGACGCUUGGUGCCGCAGCGAUGGCGUGGUGCACGGCGCUCCCUCCUCUCUCUCUCUCUCUCUCUCUCUCUCUCUCUCUCUCCUCUCGGUGGCAGCAGUGCCAGCGGCGGUGACGUGGGGCAACACGUGCGGGCACCGCCACGGCGUUGGUGCGUGGACAGUUGUGGCGGCGGCGUUGCGGCGGCGACGCGGGGGCAUGCUCGGGCUUCAUGGGCUGGCCCAAACUCUUUUUUGUAUUAUGUUUUCUAAAAAUAUAUUAAUAUAUGUAAUCCAUGCCGAUGAAAAUAAGUAUAUAUUUUUAUUUGUAUAAUUAUAUGUUGUAUAAAUGUUUUAAUUGUUAUUUUAUAAUACAUUUGUAUAAUUAUGUUGUGUAAUAUAUUUAUGUAAUAUUUAUUUGUAUAAUUAUAUGUUGUAUAAAUGUGUUAAUUAUUAUUAGUAUAGUUAUGUUGUAUACUAUAUUUGUAGUAAUUAUUUGUGUACUAUAUUUGUAUUUUUAUUCAUGCAAUAUAUUUAUGUAAUAAUUAUUUGUAUAAUUAGAUGUUGUAUAAAUGUGUUAACUAUUAUUUGUAUAAUUAUGUUGUAUACUAUAUUUGUAAUAAUUAUUUGUACUAUAUUUGUAUUAUUAUCCGUGUAAUAUAUUUAUGUAAUAAUUGUUUGUGUAUAAUUAUAUGUUUUAUAAAUGUGUUAAUUAUGAAUACAUAUCAUAUCAUACAUGUUGGAACUAAUAACCAUAAUAACCACUUGUCAAUUAUAUAUAGUGCCACAAGUAACCAUCCGGAUCGGUCCUGUGGAUUCUACGUGUGUGAGUUCAUGAGACAGAAUGAAAGAUACAUCAGGUGUGCGAGUUCAUGAGACAGAAUGGAAGAUACAUCAGUAACCCUUCUAAGGUAAUAUAUAGUAAUAGUCAUUUAUAUAGUUCUGUCAUUGAAGUUACAAAUCUACUACUUAUUGUAAUAAAUAUAUGAUCCUUAUAAUCUUCCUUUCUGUUGGUAUUUCUUAACAUCACUAUUAAGAGUAAAGACCCUAUCCUCAGUGGCUAGGUUGUUAUCUCCAGCAUGACCCCAAGAAAUACACUGGUGGUAGUAAAUAUGUAAUACUCUCUUAGAAUGAUGAAUAUAGAAUAAGGUAUCUGCAAGCACAGAUUUGUACCAUUGUAGCAUUUCACCCAAGAAAGUUUCAGGUAUCGUAUUUAUAAUUUUACCCUCGGGAAGGAUAGCCAAGGGAAUAGAUGUCACUUGCAUGUAAUCUCAUGAGGGCAACCACAUCUUAUCUAUCUAACUUAAUGUAAGGGUAAGUCACAUAAUUAAGAUAUAUAUAUAUAUAUAAUGAAUAGUAAUAAUAAUCAAACAUAGAAUGAUAAAUGUAUCUCUAGAGUACUCCAGUCUAUAGCACUAGCAUGAAUUAGAAUGAUCUACUAAGAUGUUUCCUAUGUUAUUCCAACUAUAUAGUCUAGCAUAUUAUGAUUAGUGCAAUUAUAUUUGGCAAUCAUAGCAAGAGCAGAUUAUAUCUACACAUAUGGACAUUACUGUGGAAAAUCAAGAAUAGAGCAAUCAUAUCCUCGUAAUUAGUGUCUACAGAAACUAUAUUCGGAGGGUGGACUACAGAGGACUCAAUGGGUAUAUCAUCACUGCGAUCUACCACACGACCCGGAAUAUAGCACGCUAACCCUGGGCACGAAAUACCAAAAACCGAAACCAAACCGAAAAAAAACCGAGAACCGAACCGAAAAAUACCGAAACCGAAUAAUUCGGUUCCUUUUCGGUACUAGGUUCUCAGGUACCGAAUUUACCGGGGUAUUUUCGGUACUGGGCCUCGGUAAACUGAAAUUUCCGAACAGUACCAAAUUAGCCCAAUGUAAGUUAGUAGCCCAUGUAAGUAUGUUACAGCAGUCAGCAGCCCAUGAGCCCAUCCAACCAAAACCCUAGGGCAAGCAAUAGCCCAUGACCCCGAGUCGACUCGACACGCAGCGUAGGUGCAGCCCCGUCCCCGUGACCCCCGACCCCGACGCGGCGACGCGCAGGGCGCAGCCCCGACCCAGCGCCGGCGAGCGGCGAGCCCCGCCCCCCGACGCUCGCCCCCCGACCCUCGGCGAGCCCCGCCCCCCAACGCUCGCCCCCCGACCCUCGGCGCUCGCCCCCUGCGCGGCUGCGCCACUGUCGCCCGUGCCUCUGCCGGACCGCCGCCCACAGCGCCCAGGCAGAUCCGCCACCGCGCUACGUGCCUAGGCCUGCUGGCGGCCGCGCGCCCCCUCCUCUGCUCCUCUGCCUCGGCGGCGCCCACGGCCCGCUCGCCCCUGUGCUGCCCCUGCCUCUGCAGCGCCGCCGCCGCCGCCAGUCUCGUAGGUCCGCCACGCGGCCACGAUAGCAACUUCAAUUGCUUCCUGCGACUCAAAGGUAAGAGCAAUUUGGCCCUUUGGUAGAGCAAUUUUGGUCACCAGAUUUGCAUGUUGACUUAGGUCUGUGUGUAUGCUUGUUUUUCAACAGAUGUCUCAGUCUGAGGAAGACGACCAAGUUCGGUACCUUCGGUAUUUACCGGUGUCGAACCGAAAGUACCGAAACUGAAGUACCUCGGUACCGAGUUUUUUCAGGAACCGAAUGGUACCGGCUUUCUCUGGUACCGAAUUAGAGAGGGUACCGAAGUACCGAACCGAUCGGUUCGGUAGUACCGAACGCCCAGGCUGAUAGCACGCAAACGCGGGCAAACACGAUAUAGGCACCAUGCCUACAUAAAGUCGACCACUCACCCGUGAUAUCAAAGAGUGAGAGCUAUACAAACAUAUAUUUGAAUAUAAAUCUAAACCAACUAUGUCAAGCAUAUAAUCAUAAUAGACUAAGAAAAAUAUAAUUAAGAAUAUAAGCAAAUAGAGCAAAUUCAUAUACAAUAUAAUAGAAUAGAGCAAAGCCAUAUUCAUAAUAUGAUGAAAUAAUAUAUAUAAUGAUGAACUAGAAUAAAGUAGGAGAAAGAUUACAAGAAUUACCGAGUAUCUCUCCGACAGAUCUGGAAACCAAGCGAUGCUUGCCUCCAACUAGAUCUAUUCUAGCUAUGCUUCUAAACUUGGAGCUCUAGAGAGAAGAAGGUAGAGAAUGAAUUAUAUAAAUGAGAAUGAUUAUCUCUUCUAAUCAAUGCCUCUAACCCUAGGGUCUACCCCUCCUUAUACAAGCUAGUGGGAUGAACCAUGACCCUUGGAUCAAGCCGACUUAAUGGAUGAAGAUCCUUGCUCCUCAAAGGCGGUUAUAGCUCGAUCCACGAGACUACUCUUGAUUGGUCAGGAGGGUAGGGCGGCUGCCCCCUCUGGGCGCCCUCCCCCGAACUUCACUCAUGUUUUGCUUUGUUCUGGUGGAUUUCUGACUCUUCUAGAUCCUUCUUUUGUAUAGUGGCGUAGAUAUCUCGUUUUUCUCUAUGUAAUCAUGACAUGUGGGCCUCCAAGGGUCAAUUCUUGAUAACCCCCUACAGAAACAGACAUUCACCAAAACCAAAACCUGUGGAAAUCUGUCAGAUGAAACCCUAUUCUAUUGUUGGUGAUUAUUUCAUGCCCUUAUUCCAUUCUCUUGUUGAUAUAAAAUUGAUACUUAUCUACCGUCAACAAGCUCCCCCAGCUUACCUUUUUCUCAUCCCUGAGCAAAGAAAAACUCAGCGAUGGAUCAGGAGUUGUUGUAAUGCUUUCAUACUUCAAGGGUACACAUGCAUUCAAACAAAAACUUAUCAGAUUAGAGUGAACCGUAAUGAUUUAGACUUACCCAUAUUACCUUCCACCAUGGGGCUUAUAGCUAUUACCUUGAUCUUGAGUGGUUGAAAGAUAGAAUGGUCAAGUCAAGCACUACUUCUCAAGCUCUUUGAUCAAUUUUCAUUCUGGAGUUUUUGCAAGAUUUUCAAAUAAAACUCAGAGAUUCCUAUGUAUGACCAUCUCAAGUCUCUCAUAUGUGGUAUUUGUAGAUCCUCUCCAAGGCACUCAUGAUGUCUGCCUUCUCUCUUCUCUCAAGGUAUAUGGUAUUUUUGGUAUAGGCAUAGUCAGAUGCCCUCUCUCUCUCACCCUACAACUAAGUGGCUUAUGUGGAGCUCAUAGAUCGGGAGACAGCUCAUACAUACUUGUAAACAUAUAUUGUAAAGUCAAACAAUGGAUCCAAAGAAUCAAGUCAUACAAUCAAAUCAAGAUGUGCAUGUGUGUGGAAUGUAGUGGAGUGGAAUGUAAUGGAUGGCAAAUGGAUGUGGUUAGGGUGUAUGGUGAUGGUGGAAUCCUAAGUCUACCUUUGCUCCUUGAAAACGCACCUACCUUUAUUGGAACUUUUUGGGUGAGCUUGGGAUGCUCUAUUUUUCUCUCUCUUUUUUCGAGAGCUCCCAAAUCUCUUUUCUGGAUAAUGAAAUGGCAGGUAGAAACAAGAAACAAUGGAGCUUUAUUAAAUGGCAACGGAUAAACAAGUGGAAUAUUUUUUUAAGUUCACUCCCAGGAUAGGAGUAGAACAAUUUUGUGUGGAUCUAAAUGGGAUAAAGGUGGAUGCGUACUUCCGGUGUAGAAGCACCAUAUGUGGGAGGAGUGUAUGUGAUCUUGAUUUUAAAAGCAUGACUAGUUCCUAAGGGUCAACAAAGCUCGACUAAACUCAAUGCUCAUAAGCAGUAAAUAACAGUGAAAUGUUUUUCCUAAUCUACAAGGCAUGUAUAUCUGGUUGUGGUAGGAAUUCAAGCUCUCGUCAUAUAGGAACUCAUCAUGUAGCAUUUUUAUGUUUUUCAAAAGAUAAACUCUCUAGAACUCUAGCAUCUCUAGGAACAUGAUUAAUAGCCGCUUAAAACCUUUCCAUAUCAUAUCAGUUGUAACACCCAAAAUCUGGAUUUUAAUUAAUAGAAAUUAAUUUGAUUUAUUUUAAUAUUUUUGUGAGCAUUUAAUCUAGCAAAUAAAUAAUUUUGUGAAAAUUAAAAUUCAUCAUAAGUUUAGCAACGUGAUUUUGCAUUCAUGCUGGAGCAUAGUUAUUUUUAUGCUGCUUGUUCUGUUUUUAUUUUAAUUGUUUUUGCUCAAAAACUCCUUGGAAAAAAAAGAAUUGAAAAGAAAAGAAAUAUAAAGAAAAAGGAGAAACCCCCUGGAAACCAGGCCGAGGCCCAGCCCCGCGCCCAGCGUCCUCCCCCCCCCCUCCCGCAGCUCACUGGCUCCCCUCGCGCGGCCCAUCUUAUUUUUCGGCCCAGCAGCAGGCCCGCGUGCGCACUCCUCUCCCCUCCCCUCCUCUGACCGACAACUGGGGCCCGUCCCUCUAUCGCUGAUGGGUGGGACCCUCCACGCGACACCUUCCCUUCCCUGUCCUUGUUCGUAACCGAGCAGGAUGCCAUCACCGAACCGAUCCCGCGAUACUCGGGAUUGAUUGAUUAUCGUGCGCCGCAAGCCCCUAUAAAGGUUUCAGGCCUCGGCCGCACUCCGUUCUUUCAACCGCACCGCGAAAUCAAGCCCUAGACGCCUUAAGCAAGCUCGGUUGGGAUCUAGCCUAGGUCGAAGCCGCUCCGCCACGCAGUGCGAGCCCUCGGUUCGUUUCUAGGCCGAGCCGAACCCCGUGGUGAUCUCGUCUCUCCCUCCUCUACUCGCCCGUGCGCUCGGUUGGAUUUUUGGUGUACAUAUUCGCGUUUUUGGUCAACGCCGGUGAGCUCCUUAGCCGCAUCCAUGGCGCUGCCGUGAAGGAGGUCGCCGGCGGCGGCCGGUUUCCUCCUCGAACGCUCCCGGCCGUUGGAUCGAGAAUCGGUGGCCGAGAUUAGAAGAUACCCCUUCGGGGUAGCUUUUGCUAAAGAGACCCCCAGGAUCUGAGAAACCAACCCGCGGUCCCUUUACGUAUUUUCCGAUUUACGUUUUCAUUUUCUAAAAGCGUAUUCUGGUUCGGUUUAGGUGAAAAUACGCCUUCUGUUAUUUACAAGUUUGCCAUUGAAUUUGUUUUGCUUAUAAAAUAUUCGUUUAAACUUCGUUUUCGUCCAUUCAAAUUUCGUUAGAUUCAUAUUUACGAGCUCUACAUGUUAGUAGUAUUUAUUAUCUGUUUUGAAACUUUUUAUUUUCACAGUAAUAUUUAAUUAAUUAUUGAUCUAUAGGAAAUAUUAGAAAAUUCAUAACUCCUGCAUUUUAAUUCCGAUUUUCGUGAACUUUACGUUUGUGUGAUCAUAGCGCUGCGUAGAUUAUUGUUGAUAUUUGGUAACGCAAUAAGGAAAUGAUCCGCAAGCGCACGGAUAUCGGUGAGCAUUUCAUCCGGGAGGUUUUCCAGAGUAUCGUAUUUAUAUUUUUACCACUGGGAGAAAGGGUGCAUCUGACUAACCAAAUCUAUUGCUACUAUCCCUUUAGGCAUAAAGAAUGUCUUUCGAUGUGAGUGAUAAAUAGAGAAGACUGCAACCGUAGUCUCCUUCUAACCUUGGUAAGGAUGAUCUACUGUUCUAAUGGGGAGGCUAACGGAAUCUAGACACCACAAAGGAUGUUCAACCCGCACCUAUAAACCCUAUCCUUCCUGCUAACGAGAUGUGAUCUACAAAGGUAGCUCGGAAAUGUCACGUUCCUCACUACUACCACGGUCCAGCUAGUCAGGGAAUAUCUAUGAGUACCCCAGCCUAAACACCACGUUUACGCCAGCAAUGAUUACUCUAAACUCUACGCGAAGAGAUUAAAGUAAACUCAUAAACCAUAAGAACAAUAAAACAAGAACUUACUAGAAUUUAGAAGUCGAAUUACUGAAGAAUCCUAGGAGCAAGCUUCGGGUUAGGAGAACUUGAUCCCGCAGGUACAAGCUUGGAGUAGACACCGACAGGCCGGGCUUCCUCCACUCUACACCUCCACUCUAUCUCUCUCAAUCUAGUAGAAACUAGAAGAUCUAUUUCUACCUUACAUUGAUUGCUAAGCUUAAAAAGAAAUAUUAAUUAGAGAAGAGGUUUUCCUUCGAGGGCACCCCUCAGUCUCUAUGAUAAUUUCUUCAUGUCUUCCAGGGGCCAGGGGAGCCUCGCUUAUAUAGUCCUCCCCUUCUAUGCGUUUUUGGGUCGAUAGCCAAGGUGGUACUAUGUUUUUCUUGAUCCAAUAGGUCGGUGGAAUAUCCCGAGCGAAGGAGUCCUGAAUUGACUCCAGCAGGGGGGCGGGCGCCCUGGGACUGGCCCAGCUUCGCCUCCGCUUCGGUCUCGUGGCUUCUGGAGUCUUCUAGAUGAUGUAAAAUUACGCGGUGCGUUGAUAUCUCUAUGUAAUCCCGACAUGUGGGCCUUUCUUCCUUAUUUCCUGAUAACCCCCUGCAGAAAUAGAUAAACAACAAAACUCGUGGAAUUCUGUCAGAUCAAACCCUAAUUCUAGGUGAUGGUUGCAUAUUGGUCCUUUCUCAUGUUUAUUUGAUAAUUAAAAUUGAUACUUAAGAACCGUCAACAAAUACCCCCAUACUUAGGCUUUUACUCGUCCUCGAGAAAAGGAUGGUUAAGAAUAAUAUCUGGGGUAAACAUUUAAAACAUUCUCUUUAUAAUUGCAGGGUGUUAAAAAUUCCACUGUGUACCAUAGUCAGGGAUGUGUAUGGUUAAGUGUAAAGAUUCUUUCUUUUCAAUCCUGUCACUUGGAGUUUUUGUAUAUUUUUGAAAGAAAGUUAGCAUACCUUUUUGAUCCUCAUAGGUUCUCUCAGAUCACUCAUUAUCUUUUAUAUAUAUAUCUCACUGAGGCUGUUUUAUUUUGCAAAAAUUCUCAAGCAUACUUACUUUGGAUUUAUUGCCUGAUCAAAACGGGAUCCGAGGAGGGAAAUGUCAUACUCUUAGAUCAAAGACUUUGGAAAUUAAAAACUUUGUCAACUCUUGCUGGCAUAUUGCUUAUUAGAGGGACCAUGGGCUGUCAUUUUUUUUUAAGUGGAUACCGAGGUACCCCUAAUUCUACUUCCGGACACUUGUCCAUUUUUUCUGCGAGGUUGUCGAGCACUUGCUCCUUUUUAUUUCCUCGAAAUAUCUUCUAUUUUUGCAUAGCCCAUGCCUCUAAUGCAAUAAUACUUCGGAAGAGUGAAUCUUACUGAAAUAAUGUCUUGAUCUUAGGAGCAUGAUAAAUCUCUCAACAAGGGUCUAACUCAUUUUGAACAAACUCAAUACAGAGCAGAUAGCUUUUAUAAUCAUAUUUAAUAUUUCAGUUUUAUCAGGCAUAUAAAACACUGAGGAUGGUAGCUAGGAAUUUGAACAUUUUGAAAUAAAUUCUCCAAGCAACAAUGAUAUCAAGAAUAAGAAACUCAUACUCUACCAUCACAUAUUCCAUCUUGACUUAAGUAACACAGGGUUUUAAAAAAUGAUUUUAUACUAAUUGCAAGUUUUCAGGAAAUAUCACAGAUUGAGAUUAAUCAUGAUUAGAAAUAUUUUAAUCUUUUUAUUUUAUCAUGUCGGGAACAAUAUUAUGCAUAAUCUAAAAUAUAUAUAUGUGUAGAGUAAAGUGUGCAGAGUGUGUACCUGAAUCGUGGAGUGGUGUAGUCGGAGUGUGUUUAGCAUGUCGAGGGAUCUCCCCCAUACUUGUUUUCUGCUUUCUUGCACAAAAAUAAAGUAGAGACACACAAGACAUAAUAAUAAUACUCUUUAUUGAUCUUGAGGCAUUUAUUACACAAGGAAGAACAAAAUUAUUUUUGGCUAUUCUCUCCCGGAUUAGGAGUAGAAUAUUUUUGGGUGAUUCUGAAGAUGGAAAUGUAUGGAUAUAUAUGGAUGGUACUUCCGGAGUAGAAGUAGCAUGUGUGAGUGAACGUGCAAGUGAAUCUUGAUUUAACCACAUGACAAGCUCCUAAGGGUCUACACAGCUUGACCACACUCAAUGCUCAUAAGCAGUAAAAAGUAAUUGUGUGGCUCGAAGUCUAGCAAGCAUGUAUAUAUGGCUGUGGUAGGAAUUUAAACUCUCAUCAUACAGGAACUCAUCAUGCAACAUUUUAAAGAUUUCCAAAGAUAAAAUUCUCCAGAAUUCUAGCAUCUCUAGAAACAGAUAAACAGCAGCUCAACCUUCCCAUAUCAAGUUUUCAUCCCACAAGUUUAGGUCUAGAGCAAGCUUUAAAUUAUAACAGUUAUGUCUAAACUUGAGAGAGAACUUAAAAUGUGCAAAUUAGGCAGAGCAACUAUUCAUCAUUUCCAUGCUUGAGUUUUAUUUAGAUACAGAUUAGCAUAGCCACUUUAUUUAUUUAUUAAACACACUAAGCAAAAGACAUAUAUAUAUAAGCAUAAAAUCUUUAUUUGGUUUUUCAUAGUUAUGUAUAUUUAUAUUCUAAAAUAAUAUAAGUAUAAAGAUAGAUAGAUAGAAAUACUUAUCGAGAUAAAUGGGGUGCUCUCCCCUAAGCUGAAUUUUGAUGUAAUUUCUCUUGAUGUAGCUAGCAGGUGGCAGAGGUGUAUUUGAAAGUCAGACGCAUUGUGACAGCGAUUAGAAUAUCCUCCGUCUGCCAGUCUUCUUGAUUCUUAGAUUCUGUGGAGCUCAAAUAGACAACAAAGCUUGUGGAACUAAUUAAGUGUUAGCAUAAAUAUCUAGCCUUUAUCAUGUUGAGACUCCUUAAUAAUUAUUACUCCCUGUUUUUAUAUUUUUAUUUUAUAAAGCAGAAAAAUAUUUUUUGUUUUAUUUUUAUGCCACCACAGUGAAUGUACUUAUGGGUUUUAUGCCACUCGUAUCCUCACAUGGGGCUUACUGUUUUUCACAUUUUUACUUUCUGUUUAGAACUUAAUUAACUAAGUGAACUACUUGAAAUAAUUGAAAGGGAAAGGAUAACUACCAAGUUUACCUCUUGGCAAGGCGUUCGGUGUUUUUAAGUCCUCCGAACGGGACUCUCCUCCUUCUCAAUUAUCCUGAGGUUCGUUGGGUGGCGUAGUCGGUACUUCCGGUAGCACCUCCUCUUCAUGUAUAGUUAUCUUCCUUUUCCACACCUGACUUGGUGCUUCGGUCUCCUCUGGAUAAUUCUGUUUAAACUCAACGUCUUCUGACCUUAUAACUUUUCCUUCGUAGUCUGCCCAUCCGUCCUUGAUGAUUUGCCUCCUCUGGUUGCGGUUGCGUCGUCUUCUUCUUGUCCUGACCUGCUUAGAAUCUUCAACUAUAUAGUUAGAAUCAUUAAAGUAAUGGCGUACCUUCUCAGAGGGGAAAUAUACGUGGACUUCUCUGGUUCCAAUGUAGAUGAUAACUUGGAUAGUGUUGAGGAAUGGUCUUCCAAGGAUGAUGGGUGGAUCGUACUCGUCUUCUCCCAUAUCAAUGUUCUGAAAAUCAUCUGGAGCUAAAUAUAUAUUGGUUGUAGGGGCAUGGUUCCAUGCAGGAGCUGAUAAGUGACUGCGGCCAUUAUGUUGACGUUAGAUCCGGUGUCGUAGAGUGUUUUCUAAAAAGAGUAUCUAUUGGUUGUGUACUCGAUGAUUGGAACACCAGGGUCGUCCUUCUUGAUCAAGAAAGGUGACUUGAGUCGACGAUCUUGACCUCCUUGAGCUGCAGUGACCAUCUUAGCUGACUCGGUCCACAUUUGCUUGUUCCUGUUCCUCCUGUUGGUCCUCUUCCUUGGUUCAUGUCGGGAUUGCUCUGAAGUUUAUGUAGUCUUGUUCUUGAAGAAAAGUCUCCUUCUUCCCCUUGAUGUAGAGACUGAUCUUGGCAUCAUUAGCGUAGAUGAUAGCUCUGGUGUUUAGGAAUGGCCUCCGUAAGAUGAUGGGUGCCCUCUCCUCAGUACCAGUCUCUACCACCACGAAGUUUGCUGGAGCGUACAAGGUACCAACUUGGACACAGAGGUUCUUUAAUAUUUCCUUUGGGAAACUAAGUGUGUGAUCUCCAUUGUGUUUGUGCUCGUAGAUCCUGGUUCUUCACUUAAUGGAAUCUGGGAGUUGUAAAACGCCUUCACGUUUCUCAAAAUGUGUCCUGCUCAUAGAGACAAGGCAGAGAUCAAGUGCAUGGGCUCUGUUGGUGGAAAACACCAACAGAACCAAAAGUGUAUUUGUUCUUUUCUAACCUUAAGCAUAGUGAGCAAGACAAGGUAGAUGGAUCAUGAGUGUAGCAUUUAAAACAUUUGUUAGAUCAGAUGGCUCAACCUAAUGGAAAGAUAAUCUAUCUAUUUUUUUUAUCUUCCAAAGAUUGAAUGUGCAACAUAUUAGCUUAUAUGUUUAGGAGCGUGGGAUUACGAAGGUAGUACUAAGAACAAAGAUUAAGGGACUAAACAUGUUGAAUCAGUUAGGUUGGUUAAUUUAGAGUUAUAAAUCAUACAUGUUUGUCUCUUUAUUUAUGUGAACGCCAGAACCAAGGAGAAACUUAUAAAAGGAUAGUCAAGUACCUUAAGAUGUUACCUUUGAAGAGUGAUGGUACAGUAUCAUCUUGUAGAAGCUUUCCUUUCUAGCGGUUGUGCAUCGUGUUUGUGGCUCCCUCCAUGGAUCAUCUCUUAUGAGCUACAUCUUUCUUGUGCAAAUUGUUAAACUUCAUGUGUCACUUUCUUCAUCUCCAAUGUGAGUUUAUCUCAGGACUUCCCAAGUUGAUAUUGAAAGUUUUCCUGCAGGGGUUAGUCCCACAAAAUACACCAAUGUCUAUACAAGCAAUUUUUAGUUCGAUAACCGAACUAGACUCCAUGUCUAAUCAGAUUAAGGAAGGCUGUUUAACCUAAGCACCAUGCUUAAUUUAAAAGCCAAUAGAAGUAUGUGCAGUACUUCCAAACUAACACUUACUAGGAUAAACAAAGGUAGCGUGAUGGCAUUUAUAGAGAUCUACUUAAGUGGAGAUGAAGUAGUGUGAUUAGUAUUUAACAAAUUGAGCAUGUCUCAAAGGUAAGGACAACCAACAUAGCAACAUGGCAAAGGAUGUUUUUAUGUGAAGUACUCCCCUAAGCUUGAAUUUUGCAAAAUUCAAGAUUGGAUGAAUUUAAUUCAAUGUUGCAUGUUGAUUGGUUGGGCAUACCUUGCGCUUGUCAUUCAUCCGGUCUUCUUGCUCCAAUCCUAGAAAGGUUAGUGACAAGAAUACCCGAAGGAAUAUUUCUACAAUUAUCUUUAUAUGCUCAAUACACAAGGUAAUGUUGCAAGUAAUUAGAAGUUCAUGUUACAAUAUGAUAAGUGCUUGUUUUAGGACACUAAGCUUGUCCUUGGGAAACCAUCAAUUAACUCGACGAGAUCUGCAAUAUUUAUUAUAAACAUAUGCAUCGACAACCGCUCUUUUAAAGUUUUUAUAAAUAGAAAAGAAGAGAGGGUUGGAGAUCUCAAAUGUGGUGAUAGCACAUGAAUUUUUAAUGCCCUCUAGCCAUUGAUGUUGCUCUUCUCGAUCCUCCUUAUGCAUGGGAUGUCUAGAGAGAUUCAUAGGAUUAUCGGGAGGUUCAAGAGAAAGAGCAUAGUAAAGAUUAUUAGGCUCAAGGAUGGGUUGGAUAGCCGAAUCAUGGGAUUGGAAAGUUUGGAAAUCGGCUAUUGAAACUUCCUCUCCUUGUAUGGGAGAUGAUUCCUUCUCUAUCUCUAUGAUUUUUCUAUGAAGACUAGUACAAGAAGGAUGUCCACGAAUGAAGACAUACCUUCCGUUACUAACUGAUAAAGAAAGAAGGACUCUACCAAAGGUUAUAUGAUUAAGACCAAUGUGAAAAUAUCUAAGAAAAACAUGGUCUUGCAAGGCUAGGUCUAAACCAGAAUUUAUAGAAAGAUUAACAGAUUCCCUAGGUGUAGCUAAAAGUGCAUUAUCUUCUUGAUUAAAAGAUAGGACCUCGGCUAUAGAAAAGGGUUGGUUUUGACAUAUUGCAAUCAACUCCGGACACAGAUCAUAAUUAGGGGCAGGACGUGUUGACUCCCAUGGUCUAUGGCUGGUCUCCGAAGGUGCAAAGAAUUUAAUAAUAGUUAUGGAAUUUGAGUUAUCCAUAAAGAUAAAAAUAAAAAGAUAAAAGAAUAAAAGUAUAAAAGUAUAAUACAAGAUAAUAGCAAGACUCAAAGUUAUCUCAGCAAACCGUCUUUCUCCCCGGCAACGGCGCCAGAAAUGCUUGUUGAUAUUUGGUAACGCAAUAAGGAAAUGAUCCGCAAGCGUACGGAUAUCGGUGAGCAUUUCACCCGGGAGGUUUUCCAGAGUAUCGUAUUUAUAUUUUUACCACUGGGAGAAAGGGUGCAUCUGACUAACCAAAUCUAUUGCUACUAUCCCUUUAGGCACAAAGAAUGUCUUUCGAUGUGAGUGAUAAAUAGAGAAGACUGCAACCGUAGUCUCCUUCUAACCUUGGUAAGGAUGAUCUACUGUUCUAAUGGGGAGGCUAACGGAAUCUAGACACCACAAAGGAUGUUCAACCCGCACCUAUAAACCCUAUCCUUCCUGCUAACGAGAUGUGAUCUACAAAGGUAGCUCGGAAAUGUCACGUUCCUCACUACUACCACGGUCCAGCUAGUCAGGGAAUAUCUAUGAGUACCCCAGCCUAAACACCACGUUUACGCCAGCAAUGAUUACUCUAAACUCUACGCGAAGAGAUUAAAGUAAACUCAUAAACCAUAAGAACAAUAAAACAAGAACUUACUAGAAUUUAGAAGUCGAAUUACUGAAGAAUCCUAGGAGCAAGCUUCGGGUUAGGAGAACUUGAUCCCGCAGGUACAAGCUUGGAGUAGACACCGACAGGCCGGGCUUCCUCCACUCUACACCUCCACUCUAUCUCUCUCAAUCUAGUAGAAACUAGAAGAUCUAUUUCUACCUUACAUUGAUUGCUAAGCCUAAAAAGAAAUAUUAAUUAGAGAAGAGGUUUUCCUUCGAGGGCACCCCUCAGUCUCUAUGAUAAUUUCUUCAUGUCUUCCAGGGGCCAGGGGAGCCUCGCUUAUAUAGUCCUCCCCUUCUAUGCGUUUUUGGGUCGAUAGCCGAGGUGGUACUAUGUUUUUCUUGAUCCAAUAGGUCGGUGGAAUAUCCCGAGCGAAGGAGUCCUGAAUUGACUCCAGCAGGGGGCGGGCGCCCAGGCUACCAGGGCGGGCGCCCUGGGCCUGGCCCAGCUUCGCCUCCGCUUCGGUCUCGUGGCUUCUGGAGUCUUCUAGAUGAUGUAAAAUUACGCGGUGCGUUGAUAUCUCUAUGUAAUCCCGACAUGUGGGCCUUUCUUCCUUAUUUCCUGAUAACCCCCUGCAGAAAUAGAUAAACAACAAAACUCGUGGAAUUCUGUCAGAUCAAACCCUAAUUCUAGGUGAUGGUUGCAUAUUGGUCCUUUCUCAUGUUUAUUUGAUAAUUAAAAUUGAUACUUAAGAACCGUCAACAAUUAUUUUUAUAAACUUUUAUCUUUGAUUUCUCACUGUUGGUGUAAUGUUCUAAUUAUAGUUUGUUUGCUUUGUCUAUGAUUGUCUACAUUGGAUUGCGUGUUGUUGAUUGAUGUUUGGGAAUAGACGGCGAGCCGUACGUUGGUGAUCAAGACCAAGCCUUUGAAGACUAGCAGGCUCAGGAGAGCUUUG
rnacentral:lncRNA from 1 species